AGAGUCCCAAUCAACUUAGGUUUGCAUGGCUACUGAAAUUUUUAUCAUUCAUAUACCUCUGAGAAAAGAUUAAACCAUUCUCAUAACCAUAUACUUCAUCAGACAAAGAUGAUAGCCAGGAGUUCAAUACUCCCUCCGUCCGGAAAUACUUGUCAUCAAAAUGAAUAAAAGGGGAUGCAUCUAGACGUAUUUUAGUUCUAGAUACAUCUCUUUUUAUCCAUUUUGAUGACAAGUAUUUUCAGACGGAGGGAGUAUUUUCUUACUCCGAUGCCAUAGUUACACCGGAUUAAAUGGUGUGUAUGGAUGUGCCAGGGCACUCCAUCAGAAUUGUAGGUGCAGGGAUUGAGAUCGCUAGGAGGGUGGCUUUGGGUUGAUCCAUGUAUCUGCUUCGUUAGAUUGUGAAUAAUUUAAUAAAGAUGGUUGUAUGCAUCGAUUGAUACAGAGGCCGAGCGUAACCCUCCUUUUCAAAAAAAAAAUUACGCCGCCCAUAAGCAUAUAUAAAAUCAUGUACAGAACAGAUGUGCUAGAGAAAACACAUCGGCACAAAAGCCACCUUCAGAUCAGAAGGCCAGAUGAACUACAACAUAACUCGGUACCCUCCACAUUUCACUUAUAUAGACAUAGUCGAGCUGAGCUAUGAGAUUACCCACAAAGCCAGCCAUUCACUAGGAACUAAGUUAACUAGAUCCAAGCAGAAAUGAACAUCCCAGAAAUAAGUACUCACAUCCUCCACCUACUCAAAUCCUACUGUUAGAACGACCUCCUCUACACCAGAGAAGGAGCAUCGCCAGCUUCUGGAGCGCUGUCCCCUGAGCUCCCUGACCCUGAACCUGUAAACAGAGUCAAAUGGGAAACAAUGUAUCUAGGACAAGUAUUUCCGGACGGAGGGAGUAGGAAGUUUAGUUCAUGAAGAAUAAACGAUGUUUGAUAAAAAGGGAAAGAAUAAACAGUGGGUUCGACGGUACCACUGGAUGAUGAAUAAACGGUGUUUCUCAAAGAGGAAAAGAAGAAACCGUCGCUUCGACAGUAUCACUGAUCAUGAUGAAGAACUACCAGAGACACUCGUUUCCUCAGCACCAUUCUUGGCCUCCACUGAUUGGUAAGUCAGCGGUCUCAUCCUUAAUAUCUACAUACUCAUCCACCUGCUCAGCCACCACUACAUUCGCCUUCUCAGGAUUCUCGCUCUCCUGUAAAAAAACUAAACAAAACAGAACAACUGGGAGUCCAAUUUGCAUAUGCACUAACUGAAAACGAGAACAACACAUGUAGGAACAGCACCAUUCGCAGCCUCAGAGCGCCAGCGCCAUCGUCGGCCUCGGCAAUGUCCUUCUGCAGUAAGGAUCUGGCCGCAGCGCUUCCUCAUAGCCGCCCGGAGCUUCGCCGGAGGCGGGGGGAGGUUCCUGCUGCAGCGUGUAGAUUAGAUGGACAGCGGGAGGAGGGCGCGGACCUGGCCGAGCCCGCCCCCGAGGCGUCCCGGUCCCGGAACGCACUGGCAUCGCGUUGGGCUAACCUCGCGGGCCGGAACGUGAGGCAACCGGGCGGCGGCGAGCUGUCCAGAAUGUAGCAGAAAGGAAGAGCUGAGAAGACAAGUGGAACCACAGAACCACCAUCCCUCUCCCCUCCCGCGUCGCCCCCCGCAGCCGAGCAAACCCCCUUCCCGCCUUCUCUCCUCCCUGCCGCCGCCACGGGGCGCGACCAGGCGAAGCCUGGCCGGCGCAGGCGGCGGCGGUACUUCUCGCCCUCGAUGGGCCUAGGCGCCGCAGUCUGGUGGGAUCAUGCGAUCCAGGUUAGUUUUCAGACCUUUUUUUUUUCUAUGUAGAUUUUCUGGUCGUUUUUCAUAUUCUGUUUUUAUCCCUUUUAUUUUAUUUUCUUCUCUUCUGAUUUUUUCUGAUCUUAUUUUUGUUUUUUCAAAUUCUUGAACAUCUAUUUGACAUUUCUUCUAUGUGUUGUUCCCCGGGCUUCUGGUUUUUAUGGGUUUUCUAUUUUUCUCCAUCACCUUUUUUUCCGAAAAACUGUUCAAUUGUGCAUUCUAAUAAUGUUUGGUGUGUAUUAGAAAAGUUCACCCUAUAGUAAAAAGAUCAUCAUAUAUUAGAAAUACCAAUUUUCUAUAGAUGUUUGUUCGUACAUACAAAAUUUCAUUGUAUAUACAGAAUUUCUAUUCUAUAUUAGAAAUUUGUUCGGUGUGUAUAUUAAAAAUGUUCACCAUAUAUUAACUAAUGUUCAAUGUAUAUUAUAAAAAGUUCACCGUAUAUUAGAAAUCAACAGAGAGACCGUGCUUUCGGUCUUCGGGUCGAGGGAUCAAUCGUGAACGGUUCUAGGGACUUCAUCAAUGAUCUAACCAACUCUUCUUCCACUACAACUCGAAGUUGGUAACAAUUCGAUCAAAGCUUGUUUGCAUCUUCAUAGUGAUUCGGGAGUAUGAUCCAUAGGACGAAUUUUCUUUGUUUUCUACUACGUUUCCCAAUAUAUAUUUGGUUGAAUGGUCCUCUGGGCCACCUCCCUAUGGUGUUUUUGAUCGCACCCACGUGCCAUGUCUCAAGCGCUGCCCCGCGCGCUGCGGGAGAUCCGAGUCGCCCUAUCAGCGUCCUUCGGCCCUGGACAGGUUGCUUCGCUCACGCCAGCUAGGCUCGCACGUACACCCGACUCGGCUUGUGACCGUCCCCUCGGCCGAUGGGCGAGCCGGGUCUCCCUGUUAGCAUCCUUCGGCCCCAGCAGUGGUGCUUCACUCGCGCUAGAUGGGGCCGCGCGUGCGCCCUACUCGGCGUAUGACCAUCCAUCUAGCCAACCCUAAUGGCCAUCCGGCCAUGGGUUGUGGAGGUGAGAGGGCGAGCAACUAGAGGAUGUUUCACUGUCACAAGCUUCGUGUGUGGGGCCUGCCCGACUGUGUGCGCAUUUGCCUGCCGGUGAUUAUGUCUCAACGUGUUUAUAAUUUUUGUUGUUUCAUGCUAUUAUAAUAUCACUUUUGUAUACUUUUAUGGCAAAUUUUUAUUAUUUUUCUAGACUAACCUACCCAGAGCCAAUUGUUUUUUACAUGUUUUAGGGCCUAUUUGGAUCAGUGCCAAAACCUGCCCAGCCAAUUUAUUGGCGUUGACUGCUGAGCGGGCAACUGUGGAACGAAGCCAAUUUUUUGGUGCGCCCUCGCUCGCACAUCCUUUCGGUUCACUUUCGCAUGGAUUUUGACGCCAAUCAUGGGUGAAUCGUGGGCGGCGCGGGCUUUGCCAAUUUUUUGGCGUGCCCAAUCAUUGGUAGUGCUAGCUCGGGUUAAAUCCAAACACACCCUUAGACUUUUCAGAAAAUAAAUAUAUGUGUAGCUCAAAAUACCACAGGGAUUUACGAUGAUUUUUUUUCCAAGUUAUGAAGAUUCCAGAAAGUGCUUGGAGGGGCCAUGGGGCCACACCAGCCCCCCCACUCGCCCAGGUGGUGUGGCUUAGGCUCCAUCCGUGUGGGCAGGCUAUGUGGGGCCACAUGGCACCACAUUACGUUGAUAUUUCUUUCGCCUAUAAAUCCUAUAAUUCGAGAAACCCUCUGUACCAUUUUUCGCGAUUUGUUUUGCGGCCGCAAGUUUCUGUUCCGGGGAGGUCCAAUCUAGAGGCUUGUUUCGACACCUUGCCGGAGGGGAAAUUCAUCACCGGAGUCAUCUUUAUCAACCAUGCUGCUACCAUGACCGUGUGUGAGUAGUUUUCCUAGGACCUUAGCGUCCAUAGCAGCAGCUAGAUGACAUCCUCUCUCUGUCUUGUGAGUAGUUUUCUUAGGACCUUAGGAACUCAAUCGAGGUGAAGUAAUCUAGCAAUAAGUAUUUUCCUCGGUAAAGAAAUAAGGUUUAUCGCACCAAAAGGAGUGCUUUCAGCAAACAAAGUCACUAGUACAUGUGCACAAAACACGACACAAACUUGUCUCUAACAUGUCAAGAAUGUUGUCAAGCUUCUUAAUAGAUAGAUAAAUUAAAAGAAACGAUACAACUAAGAAUACUAUUUUUGAUGAGGUUUUCAAUCAUAGAGAAUAGACCCGGGGGGGCAUAGAUUCACUAGUGGCAUCUCAUAAGCAUACAAGUGUGACGAACAAAUUACAGUUGGGCACCGAUUAAGUUGCAAUAUUUAUAUUUAUGAGUAUGAUCAUUCGUAGUAUAAUCUUAUAUAGGCAUUACGUCUGUGAUAUGUAGAACGUUAUCCAACUGCAGCUACAACUAAUAUUCACAGAAUGCUCAAUGGAGCUCUGCCUUCAGGGAGGCCAAAUUUGAAAUGAUCAAAAUUGAAAUUUGCAUGUUUCGAAGAAAAAUAUACAUACACUUAGAGACAUAAUGCACAAGUGUGUAAAUUUUCAGGACAAAAACAUUAAAAUGAGUUCUACAAAAAAAAACUAAGCUACUUUAGUAGAUGCGCUAUUCAUUCUGAAAGUCCAUGAAUUUGUCUUUUUUGCAUAGAUUGCAUUUUAAGGUAUUUAAUCCUAAAGUUUUACACGCAUACACAUCACAUCCUUGUUUACUUGUAUAAAUUUGUUUCAGAUUUUUUUUUGAAACUGGAAAGUUUAAAAAGAAUUGAUUUUCUUUUUCAAAAAAUUCAGCCUCCAUAGAGGUCAUGCCAACGACGCUAUAUUUCAAGUGUGUCUGCAUAAUAGAGUUCCCUGAAAAAAGGUGUGUUUGCAUAAACGGUUGGAUCACUUGCUCUCAAUUUUUAAAGUGUGUCGUCAGCAAAGCGCCACUACUAGUACGUGUAUCUGUGUAAAAAAAGGGGCAGCAACCAUUGCAGGUCAGCCGUACCAUUUGCACAAGCACGUUGGGAAACCGGAAACCGAGCGUUCGGUUCUGGUUCCUCGUGACGCGGUGACGGACAGAGAAGGCGACGGUCGCCUGGUGGACCCACAGCAUCCACUCACUUUCUCCAUAUCCGCAUGCCUUUGUGACGAUGCUGUUGAGUAUUGACUAUCAUACUCGGGUGGCACCCUGUGUGCCAAUCAGCUUUGGCCACGCCCAUAAACCAAAAAUGACCUUGAUCGGUUCUGGUUUGAGUCGGCUCGGUUAUGGUUCGGGCUUCAGACACGGCCAGGUUCGUUGUCGCUGUCCCACAAGUAAACAAGAGACUGAAACUUGUACAAUAGUCUACAAGGCUACAUGUACAGUUGCGGACCUCCCUUCUUAUUAGAUUAUAUAUCUUUGACGAGAAAAAGAAACUACUUUCCUACCCCUAUUCAUGUUAUUGUUCUUGAGAUGUGCAUAUACCUGUUUCAUCUUAUUAUUAGACUUUAUAAAUGUAUUUCCGUACUGGUGAUAUUUGUGCAAAACGACCAAGAAGUAACAAUUCUGAAAGGAAAAUCUAAGAGGGAACAAAGUCAUUUAUCUAGUACUACACUAAUACUGAAGCUAGUAGUAAUAAAGUGUCACGGAGUAAACAACCAAAACACAUGGUAAAGUGUCACUUCUCGGCACGCGGAUUGUUUACUAGAGGAGUUAACGACGCCAUGUUUUCAUUAGAGAAGCCCUCGCGUCGCUCCCUUCCCAGGGGCGACACAGGCGGCGACCAAGCAGCCAAGGCCUCCGGCCGCCCCACUCCAGCCACUCACUCGUCGUCGCCGGCGCCUCCCGGGGGCAAAGCUCGCGCGGAGCAGGCGGCGGCGGGGCGAAGGGCGGCGGGUGGCGCAGCGGCGGAGGACGGCGGAUGGCGCCGCGUCUNNNNNNNNNNNNNNNNNNNNNNNNNNNNNNNNNNNNNNNNNNNNNNNNNNNNNNNNNNNNNNNNNNNNNNNNNNNNNNNNNNNNNNNNNNNNNNNNNNNNNNNNNNNNNNNNNNNNNNNNNNNNNNNNNNNNNNNNNNNNNNNNNNNNNNNNNNNNNNNNNNNNNNNNNNNNNNNNNNNNNNNNNNNNNNNNNNNNNNNNNNNNNNNNNNNNNNNNNNNNNNNNNNNNNNNNNNNNNNNNNNNNNNNNNNNNNNNNNNNNNNNNNNNNNNNNNNNNNNNNNNNNNNNNNNNNNNNNNNNNNNNNNNNNNNNNNNNNNNNNNNNNNNNNNNNNNNNNNNNNNNNNNNNNNNNNNNNNNNNNNNNNNNNNNNNNNNNNNNNNNNNNNNNNNNNNNNNNNNNNNNNNNNNNNNNNNNNNCGACUUCGCCGGACUGUUGGCGCUGGUGGCGGAUGUGCGGCGCCGGCGGCUGCUCGCUUUUGGAAAACGGAUCCGCUCGGAUCUGGCUUCCCUGCAGCGGCUGCGCCUUGCUCGCCGGCGAUGGAAUGCUGGGGCGGCGGCCCCAGGACGUGGUGGUGUCGACGUGCACCUCCCUCACGGAGGUUGUCCGGGGGUAGCCUGCGAGGCGGUGGAUUUGGGGCCCUUGUGCCCGGAUCUGGUGGUGAGGCGGGCCGUCGGCCUGUGGCGGCGGUUCGGCAGAGGCGUGCCUGCUCCGGUCCACUGGGGGUGACGGGGAGGUGCGUGGGGUCAGGGCAGCGGUGGUGUUGCCCUGCGUGCUGGGCGGCCGCGGUCUCGACGACGCCGUUGUGGAGGGAGGUGGACUGCAGUGGUUUCUGCAGCCGGUGGUGGUUGGCGGCGAUGUGCUGCCUUGUUAGCUUGGUCAUGUGGCUGGGCGAGGACAGUCGGCAUGAUGCCGGAGACAGUUUGCUGGGCAGGCUGCGGUGAGGAUGGAUUUGGUGAGUUCCAGGCGAAAGCCUAGCUCGACCUUGGUCGUUGCCGGCGUCGACGGCGUCCUCGGACAUCGUUCCCUCCUUGGAGGCGUCGUCGUGGAGCCCCUUCACCACCACUGUCGCCUCGGUCUCGGGCUCUCCGGGUGAAAACCCAAGUUUCGACCUUGGUCGGAACGGGCGUCGGCGACAUUCUUGUCACUUCCCUCUUGGGGGCGACGCCUUGGAGGUCUGGUCCUCGUCAGCUCGCGGUGGCUCGGGUGGCUUUGUGGGUUCUUCGUCAGCCAGGUGUGUGCGCGGCCUCGGGGCCGGUGAGGAAGUCAGAGCGGCGGCUCCGAAAAACUUUGUCGUGGAGUGUCUGAUCUGGUCGCGUGGGCGGCAACAUCAGCAGCUCAGGUGGAGCGUGGCCUCGGGGCUGGCGGGGAAGUCGGAGCGGCGGCUCCGGAGAGCACCCCUGUGCCGUGGGGUGUCGGUUCUGGUCGUAUGGACGGCAGAGUCGUCGACUCGUAUGGAGUGCGGCCUCGGGGCCGACGUGUGUGAGUUUUUUGUGGUUUGUAAGCCGGAGUGGCGGCUCCGGGUCGUGUGGUGGAGUGGCAACUCUGGUUGUUUGGGCAACAGGAGAGUCGGCUCGUUAGGGACGUAGCCUCGGGGCUUGAAAAAAAAAGUUAACGACGCCAUACGCUCUGAAGCUUUGUUUAAGCAAUAAAGCAUCAUGAUCCGUUCAAGCCUUACAGCAUGGCAUGCGCUUACCCAAGGGUUGGAAAACCAAAAUGUGUGGUUCGGUUCGGCUCUGGUUCUGGUUCGGUUCGGCUCUGGGUUCUUGGGGCUGUAGAAGUCAUGUGCUGAUGUGCCGCUUUCCGCGUCUAAAGUCUGGGGCCAUGUAUAAAUCCUUCACCAUCUCCGACCUGUAAACCUCAAACACAAACCCAUUUCCCCAGCAAAGACCACCACCCAAGAGACGAACAAUGGGGUUCUUGGCCGCCUUCUGGAACCUACUUGCCUUGAUUUCCGCCGGAUGUAGCAAUGCGGAGAAGCUGCCGGCUGCUCUCAUCUCCUGCGGCGUCGUCGAAGCAGCCGCGGCGCUCUGCCUCGUCAUAUCCAAGGCGCCCGGAGGUAUAUUUCUCCACCACGGCAAAGCACCCUUCUUCUUGUACUACGGCAUGCUCAUCGCCGUGUUCAUCUUCGGGCUCCUCGAGGCGUCAGUCGGCUUCUGGGUGUCGGGGAAUGUGCGCGGACGAGGUGCCGCCGGGAAGACGAUCCUCUGGUUGGGCCUCCUGCCCAUCGUCUUCGUGGCUGCGCUUGGAGGCUUUGUCGUUCUGAGCAUGAAAUAGUUCAUCCUGCGUCAGUUGUGUGUGCGCACGCCUGUACGUGCGUGUGUCAGUGAGUGAGCUUGAUGUACCAUUUGCUUCCACCUGUUAUCCGUUUUACUCCUUCCGUUCCAAAAUAGAUGACCCAACUUUGUACUAAAGUUAGUAUAAAAUUGAGUCAUCUAUUUUGGAACGGAGGGAGUAUAUGUUUGUGGCAAUGAGGCUCUUUUAUGGAAACGGAGAGUUUCAGGUUUUGUUGGUAACAGAGUUUCAGGGUCUGCCCUGCUUUCGAUGUGAGAUUGUCAUUGAUCUGGUCUCUGCCUUGUUACGAACGGGAAUUCGUCUGUUGCAUUUUGGCACAUAUUUGUUCCCCUCUCAGAAAUCAGAGGAAAGUGGCAGUCAACGACUGCCUUUCUUCAGUAUCGUCCGGGCAAUUCAUACGCCCGAAUCGCCCCCUGCAGCCACGGCCCGUCGGGCCGGGAGAAAACGCCUUGAGUUCUUGAGUGCACGUGGAAAGUUCGUUGCCCUAUACCUCAGUUUCCCUAAAAAAAACCUGGGUGAAGUUCUAAGGCUGGCUAUAGUGGGGGUAACAUAACCGGUAACAUGCACUUGGGACUAGCAAACAUGCUUAUGUGACACACAAUUAAAGAAGAGAGAGGGGGUUAGAGUAACAUAAGUAGAUACCGUAUCAUGUUAAAUGAUAUGCUACUUUGUGUCAUGCAUGGCAAUAAAUAUGACCACCUAUGAAACUACUUUAUGAUACUAUGCACUAUGAAGGUACUAUCAUACACUAGUAUCAUAUGCAUGAUACUAGUAUAUGAUACUCCCCACUAUGACUAGUCUAAGACUAGCCACAAUGGUCAGUAACAUACACUAGUAACAUACACAUAUCCCUAGACUAUGUUACUAUCUUCAUAGUGAGUAGUAACAUAAGUGUGGUAACAUGCGAAGCUUCAUUUACUAGUUAUAAACUCAUAUUGCAUUGGGCAUGUGAUGUUAUAGUAACUAGCUAAGUUACUAUAACUACCUCUCUCCUCAUUAACUCAUUGCCACAUAAUCAAAUUUGCUGAGUUGGACUCGAUGUUACUGCCGAAGUUACUCCCAUUGUGGCUAGUCUAAGGGCAUCUCACGCCUGAUAUUCAGUUUUUCCCUUUUUUUGCGAGAUCUCGGAUAUUCGAGUGUUUGACAAAAAAACUACCACAAUUGGGGCUUCCGUCCCACAAAACUACCACUUUUUAAAAAUGACUGAUAACUACCAAAAAAUUGGAAGCGCAUGACUAAAAACUACCAAGUUGACGAUUUGACCGUUUUAGAGCGUUUAAACCCGUUUUUGACAGCCGUGGCCUACAUGUCAGGUGGACGACAGCGGUAACGGCUAACGGCGCUCUGUCCCAGCCGUUAGAGUCGGCCGUCGCGGUCGCACCUGGUCGGACCAGGACUAAGCUGGCCGACCGGGCUGCUCGUCCCCACGCUCCCUCACUCUCCCCCGAGCUCUUCUCCUAACCCUAGCCGGCGGCGUUCAUGGCGGCGGUGGAUGCAAACUCCGGCGCCGAAUCGCUUGGAGGCAUCCCCCCGACGUGGUGGGAGGCGAAGUUGCCGGCUUCUCGGAGGUUGAUAACUGGCUAGGCAGCACAAGCUUCGUGGUUCCACAGCCUUCCCAACCGCAAUCUCAGCCGUCCCAGAUGUCGGUGAGGCCGCCUCCCGUUGUAGUACCGUCGACGAGAAGAAGCGUAGGUCGAGGCCGGUGCAAGCUUCCUCGUCGUGCUGGCAGAGCGAGGUAUGGCAUCUGAUUUCUCAUAAUGUUUAUGUACUUUUAGGUUAAUUUAGAAGCAUGAUAUAUAGGCUAGUUGCACACUUAGAUUCAGAUUACAACCCUGUUUGUGCACAAUGGUAAAUUGAAAUUUGUUCGCAACCUUAACAUUGCAUUGUGUUUUUAGUGAAUCCAAGCUGUCAGAGAACUGAAAAACAUUUAACUGUCAGAAAUCUUAAUAUUGUCCAGGCUGUUUAAUUAUAACUAUCUUAAUCUAUGUUGCAGUAUUGAUGACCCAAAGUGGGAAAUUUGGUUUCAUUUCCUAGCCAGAGAAUCUGUGGUUAGAAGAAUUUACCUGUCAGACAUAUCAUAUAUUACUCUGAUUUCUCUUACUGCGUCUGAGGGCUGUGGAGCUGAUGAUUAUAUGUACUAUGUUGUUGAUGUGGAGAAAGGAAUAGAAGGUCUAGAGCAUGUUGAUUGUGAAGAUGAUGUGCAGCAGAUGUUGAUCCAAUUAGAUAAGGAAAAGAUUGUGAACAUACGAGUUGUUAGAGUAGAUGAGCCUUCUAAUGCAGAUGAAAAUAGAGAUAGUUAUUUUGCUGAACAUUGCAUUAACACACAACAAAGUUGCACGAAGCUGGUAGAUGCAACCAAAGACAGAAAGGAUGAGCUUAAGAACAACAAUCUUCAGAGAGAAGCUGACCUGAACCAUUUUGAAGGUGACACUGAUGUGUCUGAAUUUCUUUCUGAUGAAGAUGGCAACAAUGUGGAAUUACAUACAGGCUCCUCCUCUGAAGAAGAAGCUGCAAAACAAAAUAGAUCAAUGGUCCAGAAGCUGAAGGCAGUGAGAAAUCCUGGUCCAACAAGUAGAUCACACCAUGAGGUUGAGAAGAAGGAAAAACCAUGAAGCAGAUGAAUUUUGUUUUCCUGGUGAUCCUGGAAUUAGUGAUGAAGAAGAUGAGAUUAAAGGAGCUUUCAAACUACCAAGUGGUAGGAAGAGAAGGUUGAAGAAGAUGAAGGAAAGGGUAUGGUUCAAUGAAAAGCUUCCAGAUCCACAAGAACAGUUUUGUAAGGGACUGUGCUUCACCAAUGUUUAUGUGUUCAGAGAUGCACUUAGGGAUUUUCACAUCAGGACUUUGAGGAAUUUCCACUAUCACAGAAAUGCCCCUGAUAGGAUUAUUGUUUGGUGCUCAGAGAGAGCACAUGGAUGUGAUUUUUAUAUAUGUGCCUCUAAGAUAGCUCAUGAGCGAACUUUCUGCAUCAAGAAGUGUGAUAUGCUGCACACUUGUGGAGCAUGUGCAGAGAACACAAAGGUUACUACAAAGUGGUUGUCCAAAUCAGUACAACCAGCAUUGAGAGAAGACAUUAGAGCUCAUGUGGAUGCAUUAAUAAAAAAGACUAAGACUAAGUUUUCAAUUGACGUUUCAAGAAGUGUGGCAUAUAGGGCAAGGAGGAAGGCUGUUGAUGUGGUGCAAGGUGACCACAAGAAACAAUACUUGAGACUGAGGGGUUAUUUUCAAGCUGUUCUUGACACAAACCCUGGGAGAAGAUGUAUUGUAACAACAUUUGUUGACCCAGAAAAUCCUGCACCCACUCCUAGAUUCAAGUACAUGUUCUAUUGUCUGGCAGCAUCAAAGGAAGGGUUUCUGAAUGGUUGUAGACCAUUUAUAGGUAAUUGUUGUUGAAUUUACUGUUCUGAAUUUUGGGUCAUAUUUGGCCUGUAGCUAAUGUUUUACGGCAUCCGGGGCUUGAUGGGUGUUUCAUCAGGUUAACCACUGGACAGCAAAUUCUUGCUGCCACAGGAAGGGAUGGCAACAACAACAUCUACCCCAUAGCUUUUGAUGUGGUUGACAAGGAAGAUGGAGAUAGUUGGACUUGGUUUUUAACUCAGCUGAGAUGCUGCAUUGGUUGUGGUAACAAAUUUGGAACAUACACAAUAAUAUCUGAUAGGCAAAAGGUUAGCAAGUAAAUCAUUGAUCAUUGUUGCUAUAGUAUAGUACUUCAUGGAAUUAUUUCAGUGUGUUCAUGUGUGACCCUGUUUUCUGAAUGUAUAGGGGUUACUUAAGGCAAUAGAUGAGGUGUUCCCUGAUUCACCUCAAAGAUUCUGUCUUAGGCACAUAUAUGCAAACUUCCAAGCAGCUGGGUAUAGAAGCAAAGAACUAAAGCAGUGUGUUGACCAGGCUAGCUACUCCUACACUAGGCAUGGGCAUGAAUUAGGGAUGGCAGCUCUAAAAGCAGAGUCUGAGGAUGCCUGGAAAUGGCUUAAAAAUAUAGAGGUCUCUGCUUGGGCUAGGUAUGCUAUGGAUCAUACUUGCAAAACAGAUCUAGUUGUGAACAACCUUAGUGAAGUCUUCAGCAAGAUGAUACUUGAUGUUAGAUCCAAACCAAUAAGGAUAAUGUUUGAAGGGAUUAGAACCAAGUAGAUGAUAAAGAGGCAGCAAACUAGGGAGAAGUUGCAGACAUGCAGGUGGACAAUCACACCAAAUUACUCAGAGAUUUUAGAAGAGAACAAAAAGUAUGCCAAGCACUACCAGGCUGGCAGAGCCGGUGAGACAAUUUGGCAAGUAACAAGACUCUAAGUCCUAGGCUUCAGAUGAGAAAGACAGGACAUCAGGUAAUUUUUCUGAACCUGUUACAACAAUUUCAGUUCCUCUAGACAUACUUUUUCAUCCAAAAAUAUUUUUUAAAAGAAAUGUUAUGUGUUACAAGCAGGAAAACAGGGCAGUUUAUGAAGACAUAGCUGGUUCAUCUAGAACAGUUCCUCUUGCAACUGCAAGAACCACAAUAGUUCUUGCUGCAACUCCAUCUACAUCUGCACCAGCCCGUCCCACAUCUGGCCCAGGCCCUUCUGCAUCUGCACCAGGCCCUGCACCAAGAGCUAAAAGAGGUAGGCCUGCAGGUAGAGGGAGGACUCAUGGAUUCACUGCUCCAAGAGCUGCAACCACUUCAGAUAAUCAAGUUGGGACCAAGAGGAAGAGAAUGGCAAGCUCCAAAUUAAAAGGUUAUUUCUAUUGCAGUGGUAACUACUGAAGUGACAGGUAAGCAGAGAUGAAACAUGUUCUGUGGUCAAGUUGUCUGAACCUAUUCUGUGGUCUGAAACCUGUUUGGCAGUUUCUUUAUUUGUCUGAACCUAUUAUGUGGUCUGAACCCUGUUUGGCACAUUCUGAAUUUGUGUGAACCUGUUUUGUGCUCUGAAACAUGUUUGGCUAUUUCUGAAUUUGUCUGAACCUAUGAAAAUGGGCCUUUGAUUGGGCUUUGUUAUUGGAUCAAACUCCCGUAGCCUUCUUUGUUGUCUAUAAGAAGGCGAACCCUCUCUCCCCCUACCCAAAACCUAGCUGCCAGCACCACUACAACCCAGCCGCCAGCCAAAGAGAUGGAUCCCAGCCAUGGAGAAGUUGUUGAUGACCAGGAGGAGUUGGGUAGGGCAGCAAGAAGGGCUGCAAGAGAAUAAAGGAGGGCCCAUCGACAUGAGCGACGGCGACGGCUGGCUGCCAGAAUCAUGACAGAACGCAACUCCAACGACGUGAGGCAGUUCAAUGAGGUGUUACCAGCUGGAACCAACAUCACUGAUGAGCUGGUCAUUUGGUGGGCUAGAGAGAGGGCAAACAUCCAUCAAUAUCAAGUCACCAGGGCAAGGUGGAGUAGAAUUCUUGAUUCGGCGUGGUGAAUCUAUUCUCACUAAUGCUUGCUGUGGAUUUCUCUCUUGAAUAAAUGUCAGCUUGUAUGAAUUCUUAUCAAUUUCUCCGAAUGUAUGCGAAGUUAACUGAAUUUUCUUAAUUUGUGCUCUGUAAUUGUUUGUGCGUGGUGGUUCAUGGUAGUUAAUGUAGGUCUAGAAGCAUCCACACACAAGUAGUAGCCAGCCAUAUCUUUAAAGACAACACCCAAAACGUGUAGUCUCCACUUCUCCGCUCUUUCUUUCUACUCGACCAUUAGCCUAUCCAACUUCCCAUCCAAAAAACCACCUUCACGCCGGUGAUGGCAUUUGGAGAGGGUUGGCAUAGGGCCCUGUCGGUGUCAAAACCGGCGGAUCUCAGGUAGGGGGUCCCGAUCUAUGCGUCUGAGGCUAAUGGUAACAGGAGGCAGGGGACACGAUGUUUUACCCAGGUUCGGGCCCUCUCGAUGGAGGUAAAACCCUACUUCCUGCUUGAUUGAUCUUGAUGAUAUGAGUAUUACAAGAGUUGAUCUACCACGAGAUCGUAGAGGCUAAACCCUAGAAGCUAGCCUAUGCUGAUUAUGAUUGUCCUUGUCCUACGGACUAAACCCUCUGGUUUAUAUAGACACCGGAGGAGGCUAGGGUUACACAGAGUCGGUUACAAAGAAGGAGAUCUAAUAUAUGAAUCACCAAGCUUGUCUUCCACGCAAAGGAGAGUCCCAUCCGGACACGGGACGAAGUCUUGAGUCUUGUAUCUUUACGGUCCAAUAGUCCGGCCAAAGUAUAUAGUCCGGCCGGCCGAACACCCCCUAAUCCAGGACUCCCUCAGUAGCCCCUGAACCAGGCUUCAAUGACGAUGAGUCCGGAGCGCAGUUUGUCUUCGGCAUUGCAAGGCGGGUUCCAUCUCCGAAUACUCGAAAGUACAUGUUGUAGCAAACAGUGUCCGACUUCCCAUCAAUGUUGUACUCCUCGGCUUCUGUGCUUCAAUAAUGGCCAUCUCCACGUGUCAAGCGAAUACGAGGAGCCAGAGCAUUUUACAUUUGCCACCCCGACCCUGCAGGCAAACCAUCUAUUUAAGGAGAUGGGGACCCUUAGAUCCAAAUCUCUCCUUCUUCCCUUGAGCAAGCAUUCAACAGAGCGUAUCCGGAAGAAACCAUUCCAUCAUGGCCGGUUGCCGCAGCUCCUCUUCUUGCUCCCGUAGCUCUAAUCCAGGUGAUUGCACUACAAAAAAAUACACUUCCGUGAUGAUACGUGUUUGUCACAGUAGGUCGCGUUUUUUGUCAUGCAUGUACAUCCAUGACAAAUUUAUGACAGAAUCAAGAUAGUCAUACCUGUGCUGUCGUAGAAGUGUUCCAUGACAUUACCAAAAUUAUCAUCACGGAAGUGUCCACUUCCAUGACGAUAAAUCGCGCGUCACAGAAGUGCUUUCGUCAAGGGUGACCGACACAUGGCAUCCACCGUAACGGAACGCCGUUAAGCUAUCGGGUCGGGUUUUGGAUCCUAUAACCCGUUAACAGCCCCGACCAAUGGGGAUUUUCCACAUGUAAAAUCAACAUUGGCUGGAGGAAACACGUGCCGGCUCACCGUUGGGACAGAUGUCAUCCACUCAUUGGACAAAAGGCGCCUAUGAUACGUCGACACGUGGCACGACCCAACAGAGGCCCAUUCCUGUGAAAAGGCCGGCCCGUUUGACUUGGUCAAAAGGUGGCGGGCCGACCCAUGUAAAGCCUAUUAACGGCCUGUUCGCAUAUAGCCCAUUUACAGCCCGCUAACCCAAGGCCCGAUACACCCUAUCCGAAUUAGGCCCAAUAGCGUCAUCUAGGCCACCCAAUAUGAUUCCAGCCCAUUUUCACUUCUGGCCCAUGUAUGGCCCAUGACGUCUUUCGGCCCAUAUGAGGCCCUAUGUAACUCUUGGCCUAUUAUCGGCCCGUGGUGAAACUGGCCCGUAAUAAACAGUGUACUACUUUACACUCAUUAACGGCCCGUGCAGAAACUGGCCCAUAAUGAACAGUGUAUCACUUUAUACCCAUUAAGGGCCCGUUAUUCCGUUGGGCCGUUUCCAGCCCAUGUUAUCUUUCGGCCUUCUCAGAGCCCAUUUAUUCUUGGGCUCAUUUCCAGCAUUCGUUUACUUACGACCCAUUACUGUCAUUUUCUGCUUAUGGGCCAAAUUCAGCCCGUGGUUAUAGUCGGCCCGUUUGUGGUCCAUUAACACGUUGGGCCGUUUUCAUAGCGUCAUGAAAUACGACCUAUUAACGAUGGCCCGUUAUGGUCGGCCCAUGAACGGACGAUUCCAACUCUAGCCCGUUUACGGCCAUUAUGCGGCCUGUUAUUGGCCCAUGUUUGGCCAAUCGAUCAUACUGCCCGUAUAAGGCCCAUUGAUGAUACGUCCCGUAGAAGGCCCAUUGUUUAUGCGGCCCGUAGAAGGCCCACUAUUUAUACGGCCCAUAGAAGGCCCACUGUUUAUAUGGCCCGUAGAAGGCCCACUGUUUCUACGGCCCGUAGGUCCAGUGUCACUACAGUAAAUAUUAGCGCAUGGUUAUUAUGGCCUAGUUUUAGGUUAUUGCAGCCACUAGCAAACCGCAGGAAAAGAACUGCACUGUCUACAAGCAAACAAAUAAACAAGACAAAAAGGAAAUAAAUAAGCAAGCAACUUACACUAGGCUAUCACGGCUAUUACACAUAUUACAUCCACUGGGCAUGAAAGUUCGCCACCGGUGCAAAUAUAGGGAACACAACAGCAUAUAAACGCUGCAACAAAACAAGUCCAGAACUGAAACCACUUCAGAAGAGCUCCAGAAACAAUAUCCUGGGUACCCAUAAUGCUGUCAAGAUGCUUAGCAAGCUUAUUAACUUUCUCUUGUUUGGCGCUUAAGUCCUCCAGCGCUUGCUGUUGCACCAGAAAGUAUGCAUUUGAAUUCUGUAGGGACUUCCUCAGUCCUUCGGCUUCCUGUCGCAUAACAUCUGAUCGAUGUCUUUCAACUUGAAGUUGAGACUCAAGAAGCCGAACUGAUUCAGGCAACGAGUUCGAAGAGCUGGUGCCAGCAGUGGUAGCCAGUAACUCGAACACUACAUCAAGACAUGACUUUGUGGUUGUCUCAGUGUCCUCAAUAUAGUUUUUAUCAGCUUUCUUGGAGACCAACAGGGAUGUCUCACUAUCUUGAACAUUAUCUGCAUUACUUCCUUUACCAUUGCAUAACAGGGUACUCUUCUCCAAUAUUUUAUCCGCGUUCUAAAAGAGAAACAAACAAACACAUCUCAGGUUUACAAUGUAGUAUAUGAAACUCAUUUUGGUAAACCAGUUCAGUAGUAAGGUGGACAGGAUAACAGCAUGAAACAAACAUAUAUCUAUGUAGUAUGGUCACUGUAUGGUCUAUAUCAUUCUAGUUUAUGUUGCCAAAUCAAGAUAGAUACAGUUCGAAUCAUAUCUAUUUAAGACAAAGCAGCAUAGAUAGAAUAUAAGUGUGGGAAACUACACAGCAAUAACAACACUUGUAAUGUGCAUGGCAUGAGAACAUAACUGUUUACUCAAUUGAAACUGAAAUCAACAUAGAGCAAGUUACAACAGCAAACAACCAAACACGUUGAAGAAACAGGUUUAAAACAUACCUGUUGCGCCAUUGGAGUUUCAAUUGCAUCCUUCAAAUUUGAAAUUGGUUGGUAUCAGUAAAUACAGUGAUGCAAGAGCAAAGUAGUAUGAACCAUAGCUACGGAACCUGACCUGAGAACAAUUCUUCUUCUUCUUUAAGUGUUGACUUCGGGUUCGGAGUGGUGGUCCUCGUGAUUUGGGCACUGCAGUUGCCUUACUAACUGCUCGUGUUUGGGUGCUCUGUGGUGGAGACAGUGUUGUGUCAACGGGAACUGGGUGUCUAUCUGCUGGGGUUGGGGUUAGAAGGGGUGUAGCUGGUUCUCUGUCCAACUGGGUAGGGGUACAAUCUGCAUGAGUGUGGGUUAUGUGUGGUGGGGCUGAUUCUUGGGCAAGUACAACCGUGGUUCUAUCUGCAUCGACAGGUAGCACGAUCUUUUCUGAAGACCGUGUUUUUACUCCCACAUAUACUGCCAUCACUUCCUCCAAUUGAAAUGGCUGAUAAACAAGAAAAGUAAUUGAAUGUACAGACAUUGUAAGAUAGACAGGUGCAAUGGAUAGUAGGAAAGAAAACAGGGCAUGAAAUAAUUCACAUUUAUGUUGUCUAAGCAAACAGAAUAGCAGGACAUAAUUUCACAUAUAUGAUGGCUGAUUAAACAGGAUAGCAUGACACAAUUUCACAUGUAUGAUGGCUAACUAAACAGGAUAGAAUGACAUACUUCAAAAUAUGAUGACUAUGUAAACAGGAUGACAUGAUAUAAAUAUAUGAUGUGUCUAUUAAAGUGGUUGGCAUGCCAUAAAUCACAAACAUGCUGUCGAUGGAAACAUGAUUGCAUGAUAUAAUUCACGGAUAGAAUGACAUAAUUUAAAAUAUGAUGAUUAUGUAAACAGGAUGAGAUGAUAUAACUAUAUUAUGUCUUUAGAAAAUGGGUUGGCAUGCCAUAAUUCAGAUACAUGCUGUCUAUGUAAACAUCAUGGCAUGACAUAAUUCAAAUAUAUGAUUUAUAUACUAAGGAAGUGAGCAGAGGGCAAUUGCAUAUAUGAUGUGUCAACUAAGGAGAUGGCAUUCAAUAUUGUGUAUAUGAUGUAAAAACUAAGCAUUGCAAUACAACAUAUGCAUUAUAUGAGUAAUAUAACCCUGCCAAGUUUGAGCAUACACCUCAGGGGGAUAAUAGGACUGGUCAUCUGCCUCUGAAUCCUCCUCUGAAGAGCUAUCUGUAACCAGCAAGAUAUCUGCUUCAGCAGGUAGCAUUGUAUGCUCUGAAGACCUUGUUUUCACUCCAGAUUUCUCCAUCACCAAUUCAAAUGGCUGAUGCACAGGAAGAGCAGUUGAAUAUACAAACAUUGUCGACAAAAGCAAUGAGAAAUACAAAAAAGGACGACAUGAUAUAAUUCACAUAUAUGACGCUUGCCUAAACAACAUGGUAUUGCAUAAUUCACAUACAUAAUGCCUUGCAACAAGAUAACAUUGCAUCAUUCACAUAUAUAAUGUCUUGCAACAAGAUGGCAUUGCAUAAUUCACAUAUAUGGUAAUUAGACACUAAACAUGUGGCAUUCACACAAAGCAUGUCUAAACUAAGCAAAUGACAUAGCAAUGCAAGAUACCAUACGCACGAUAUGAGUAACAUAACCCUGCCAAGUUAGGGCAUGCACCUCAGGGGGAAAUAUGAUUGGUCACCUGUCUCUGAAUCCUCCUCUGAGGAGCUAUCGGUAACCAGCAAGACAUGCGCUUCGUCGGAUAGCAUUGUCUGCUCUAAAGACCUUGUUUCCACUCCAGAUUUUUCCAUGACCGUGUCGAAUGGCUGAUGCACAGGAACAGUAAUUGAAUGUACUAAAAUUGUUGACAAAUUUAACACAUAAUAAAAAAAUGAUGGCAUGAUAUAAUUCACAUAUAAGAUGACUGGCUAACCAAGGUGGCAUUGCAAAAUUCACAUAUAUGAUGCCUGGCUAGACAAGAUGGCAUUUCAUGAUUCACAUAUAUGAUAAAGAAACUAAACAGAUGGCAUUGACACAAAGCAUGUCUAAACUAAGGAGAUGACAUCUUUAAUGUAUAAAGUAAGCAAUGCAAGGCACCAUAUGCAUGAUAUUACCAACAUCAGCAUGCCAAGUUAGAGUGAAGACCUCAUGGGGUAAAUAGGAGUGGUCUUCUCCUUCUGAAUCCCCCUCAGAAUAGUUAUCUUCCUCUUGAUUACGAUCUGAAAUGGGUGGAGGGGGGGGGCUGCCUUUGCGCCCACCAUGGAACGACGUCUGCAUGAAAUUUUAUCGCCACGCAAGGCUUGUCUCUUUUGCUCUACAUGAUAAGUUCCAUUGUGUACAAUAACUAGCAUGCAUAGGAAUAAAACAUAGUGAGAUUAUGUAAGGAGUGCAUGCACAAAUCCAGAGUGAUGGUAGAAAACUGUGGAUAGACCCAAAACCAAUGAUAGCAGGAAGAUAAUAGCUUUAGUUAAAAUACAGAUAAUGGCUCCUUUAAUGUUUGUUUGCACCCAACAUGAAACUCAUAGUAGACACCGGAGAUUAACCAGAUAGUAGACAGAUAGUACUGAUUGCUGCCCCAAUAUGUACCCCACAACCAUUUAAAUACUCAAGUUUCAGCAUUAGUUUGGACCUGACUCGGAGUCUAAUAGGUGAACACGAUGAUAAUGUAGCAUGUCAUCAUAUUAAGCGACGCAUAACGUAAGCAGACACGGAAGAGUGCGACCUCUCUUGCGGACCCGUGUAGUCCUCAAGGUCAUCUACUCAGUUGAUGAUGGUAAUGUAGUUGUCGUGGCUGCCAGCGGUGGGGAAGAAGAUCUGAGGCGGCGAAAGACAGUCUGGAGAGCGGAUCCCUGCUGUGGUGAACCCUUCCAUCAUUGGAGCAGCUGAGCUGGGGUGGAACACAACGCCGCAGGAGCAGGACAAACCACACAAGGUUUUCGUUGACACAUAUCUGUAACAGAAGUAAUUGAGUAAGGGCUUGUUUGAAUUUGACAUUCUAACAAUGCAGGGAUAGGAAAUAGACAGGAAUAGGAUAGGAAUGCACGGGCAAAACUGAGAAUUUAAAAACACAGGAUUUCUGCCAACCUGGGUGUUUGAUUCACAACAAUUGGAAGAUCACAGGAUGCAAAAAAGCAUGGUGAGAUUAAGUCAAACCACAAUAAAAUGUACAGUUAUAAUGCUAUUGUGCUACUAUCUCUUAGUCUUGUGCUUGAUGAAUAAGAAUAUGAAAAGGAGGAGAAGUGGAAAUUAGAAUUCCUACGGUUUUUCUUUCAAGGAGACACUAAAGGAACAAAUCCUAUAGUUUUCCUUUGCUCCAUUCCUUUGCACCAAAUUCAUGAAAAAUAGUACCAUAGGAAACUUUUGGAAUCUUAUGUUUUUCAUUCACUUUUCCUUUCAAGCACUGGCGAUUCUAUUAGGCAGGCUUGAGCAAGGAAAAUCCUACACUAAAAAAAUGUUUUUGUGCUACUUCUAUUACUUUGGACCCAGGCCACUGCCAUACUAGCUCAACUCCCAGGCCCAUCGACAAAUGCACAGCUCAAACACGCAGAGAUAAAUAAUGAUGGCGUUCAAGAGAGUCCAUCACGGAUAGCUAAGUUGCCUGGUACCUCACUGCUUGUCAUAUAGUAGGAUAGAAUAAUUGUAUUUCCCGUUACUACGAGUGCUCAGUGGACAAUAUAUAUAACAUGUAGAGUAAAAAAGAGAUGCAACAAGUGUACAACCUCUUUGGCGAAGCCAUGUCGAUCUCAGCAUGAUUGGGUUGGCUGGUGAGGAUGCUCCGGCUGACUUUGCUGUCGAAGGAGGGGAAGAAGAUCUUAGGCGUCUGGAGAUGGAGCCCGAGGUACUGCUCCACUGUGAUGGAGGGUUUUGUCGUUGGAGCAGCUCCAGUGAGUUGUACAACGCCGAGGCUGAAGCAGGACAAGAGAGACAACGAACAACAUUAACCUGAGUGGAAUUCUAAUAGCAUCUCCAAUACAUGACAUAAAAUACAUAACCACAAAGUGCUAGAUGUAAAAUACAUCAGCCGCUCAUCUCUGAACUUAACUGUCGAAACUGAACUUAACUGUCGAAACUGAACUUAACUGUCGAAACUGAACCUAACUAUCGAAACUGAAUUUUGCUGUCGAAACUGAACGCACUAGCAAGGUGAGGCUACACGUCGAUCGACUGAUUUCAUCUCUGGUCAGUCGAUUUUGUAGCCGUUGGAUACAAAAUCAAGGGCCUGCGGUUCAUCUUCAACCUCCACCCCCCUGAGCCGCUAGCCACCACCGGCCAAACAGCAGCCCCCCGCUGCCCGCGGCCGGCGGUGCGCCGCCCCGCCCGCCCCUCCCCACCGCCGGUACGCCGCCGCCCCGGCCAUCCCUCUAGGCCCCCCCGUGCCGAGCUUUUUCUCCGGCGAUCCCCACGCCACCGUCCCGCCAACGCCCCGCCACCGUCGGCGACCAUCAUCCCCAUCCUGAACCCUAAGAUAGAUAGUGGGGUACCUCUCCGGCGAGCCCCCCUCCCCGCUGCGGCUGGUUCUUCCUUCACCCCGGCGAGCCCACCCCUUGAAAAUCGACUGACCCAAAAGUUGAUUCAGUCGACUAAAGUGUAGCCAAAUCGGAGCAGCAUCGCAAGCAAGAGCAAGAGCGAGAGCAGCAGUGCGAGCAAGAGCAAUAGCAAGAGCAGACCAGGCAGGGGACCGAGAGCAAGAGCAGAGCAGCAGCGCGAGCGAGAGCUAAAGCAGCAGCAGCACCUAUUGAUGUGGACGUCGUCGCCGAGGGAGAGACACCAUGGAGGAAGUGCCCGGCGACGCCGCCGUGGAUGGAGCCACGCCGUGUCGGCUCGGGACCGAGCGCCGGCAGCACCGUGAGAUCGAAUCAAUUAGAAAAUGCGGCGAUUAGUGUACAACCUCUUUGGUGGCGCCGAUUAGGCCACAGCUUCAUCCGAGGAAACGGUGAUGAUGAUGCUGUUCCAGUGGUGCAGGUGAAGACGACAGUGUGGGAAUGGAGGUGGCGCGAAAGACGAGGGGAACAUCGUGGUAGUUCCUUGGAGGUGGAGGACGGGGUGGCUGAACCGGUGGUACGAUGAGAAUGACGACGGAUCCUCAUCCGGUACGGUGGAUGAGGGACGUCGAGGUGUUGCUGUGGACGACGUCGUCGGGGAAGAGGCUCCGGCUGGGUGGCGGACGGAGCAGGGUGUGGGGUUUUGUCGUGGGUUUUUGCGGCCUCGGUGUACGAAUGGGUGGGCGGAUGGGAUGGCAGUGGGGAACCAUGGCUUAGGUACGCGCUUGUCCGAAAUGUGGGGUAAGUUAUGAAAGUACCCCCCACCGAUUUGAGGCGGUUCUUUCGGUUCAGGGGUACCACGGGCAUUUCACGUGUCGAGAUUUCACAGGAGGUGGGAGUUUUCGCGCGUGUUGUAAUUUCGGAAUAGCAAGGCCCGGAUUGAGAUGGAGGGAGUUGUCGGAGCACAACCAGACAAAGAUAUAUCUUAAAUAUUUCGGGCUAACAAGGCGCGGGUUGAAGAGGCGGGAGUUUCGCAACACGAUAGACAGAGACGCUAGCUUCAAUUUUCGGCAUAACAAGGCGCGGCUUGAAAUUUCAGAAGAACAAGCUUAACGUGUACCCAAAAAAAGACAAUUUGCACCUCAACACGCACAACACACACACAAACACCAUUUAGACUAGAGUAAGGUACACGUGCAUUGCACGCAUGAGAUUUGGCAACCAAAUUAUGAAUAAAUACCACAUUAUAACAUGCAAGCUUUGAGUCAUAUAUGCAUGAUGUAGAUGUUCGUUUAAUUCUUAUAGUUCAUUUCAUUCAAAAUCAUCUAGUUUUUAUAAGAAAGCUAAUCUAUUUUAAGAUUCAUGUAAUUGUGCGUUGUAAGACAUAAAGUAAAAACAAAUAAUGGCAAAUCAUGUAGAAAAACAUUUGGGCAAUUCUGAUACGGAAGAUUCUAGAACAAAUAAGAAGUGCUUGUGUUUUGAUGUUUGUGCAUUAUGCUUAAGUUCAACUAUGGAGUCUUCUAGAUUAUACAUGUGGCAAAAUCUGGUGGAAUCUAGAUGAUAUCCAACGGCCUAUAGUGCUCAAAUUUGCCAUCCUUGGACCAUCGGAUUCGCCUCAUCCAACGACCAUCUUUCACAGUUAAAGUUACCCGCACACAAUAUAAACCACACCGCGCAGAUCUCCGUUAUAUUCAUGCAUGCAUGGGUUUCAAACAUCAGGAUCUCUUAUUCAAAUAUUUGAAUUCAACUUUACAUUGAUUAUGACCUCAACUAUUCUUUUACACCCACACAGUAGUUUUCUCUUUAUAAUCGUACCACUAACUUUCUCUCGUGCAUGCAUGCACACACACUACCAGUCGGCAUUAUCUAUCACACGCAUGCAAUCUUUUUCUUCAGGUCGGUCUCCCAUGAAGGCACACACCCACACAUAUCCCCCUCUCCAUCAUACACGGCAUUCUUUAUCUCUCAUGCGUGCAUGCGCAACGAUCGAUGUUCCUCUAUGUAUGUGUGUAUAUAGCUAGGUCUUUCAUAGUUUUCCAUACAAACUGAUCAAUCGAUAUAUCCAGUGAGGUCUCACCCUCUUUCCCACGUCCACAUCGAUCAAUCUAUACCUCUCUAUAUAGGAUUAACAUAAAUAGCUAAUACACCCACAUUAAUUAUAUAUCCAACGUCCCCCUCUCAUCAUCCAUGCCUCCCGCUUCAUCUCUCACACGCGCGCACAAUGGCGAAGACAGGGGGCAGUAAGGGCCCUGCCCCCCCUAACAUCACUAUAUAUCGAGGCUAAUAUGAAUGUGAUCAUUAGACAAUUGCUGCUAAAAAAGGUUUAAUUUCAUGAAUUGACCCUCCCCAUAAAGGAUUAGCAAUGCUUGGCCCCCUAGCUCAUUUAUUUUUCAUGGCUCCACCGCGUGCAACAGCGCACGUGUUCGCCCCCUCUCUCUAAAUAUCGAUCUCGCACUUGUGCAUUUCUUCAUAGUCUCCCUCCACUCGGCCCCUCACACCAUCUUCUAGCCCCCACCGGAUUUUGCCACAUGCACAAUCUAGCAGACUCCAUGGUUGAACUUAAGCAUAAUGCACAAACCUCAAAACGGCAGUGGUUCUCUUUUGUUUUAGAAUCUUCCGUAUCAUAACUGCCCAAACUUUUUUUCUAGUUGAAUUUCCAUUAUUUGUUUUUACUUUAUGCUUUACAACGCACAAUUCCAUGAAUCAUAAAAUAGAUUAAGGGCUUCUUUGAUUCAAAGGAUUCUCAAAGGAAUUUUGGAGGAUUCUAAUCAUUAGGAAUUUUUCUUAUCUUGGUUGUUUGAUUCGUAGGAUUGUAAACCAUAUGAAUUUUUCCAUAUGAUUCAUUUUCACUAGAUUUCAUAGGAAACAUCCAUCCACUCAAACCUCUUUAAAAGAAUUAUGCGUUUUUUCUAUGCACAAUCAAACACUCGUACAAUCCUGUAGGAUUCAAGAAGACAUUCCACUAUAAUCCCAUGUUUUCCCUAUUCACGCGUUCUUAGCUUAUUUAUAAAAACUAAUUGAUUUUGAAUGAGAUGAACUAUAAGAAUUAAACGAAGGGCUACAUCACGCAUAUAUGACUCAAAGCUUACAUGCUAUAGUGUGGUAUUUAUUCAUAAUUUGGUUGCAAAAUCUGAUGGAUGCAAUGCACGUGUACCUUACUAGUACUUGAGUAUACCGCACGGUUCUUUGCUCCUCCUCGAUUAGGUCAUCGGCGCAUUUAUACGAGCAGUCAAAUCACAAGACCCCGCCUUCCAGCACUAAUGAGCCGUCAAAUCACAAAGGCCCUCGCCUCUUGUGAAACCGACCAAGCUAGACUGCCCCGCCCUCUAGCCUUUUAAAAAACGUAUACAUUUGUACAGCAGUAGUAUCGAUGGAUUGUGCCAUGGAGCAAAACUUGAAAUAAAAAAGGGUGGUACAUAUAGAGAGCGCUCGUCGCCAAAUUAUGCAUAUAGUACUAUUAAAAAGGCUAGUCACAAUAAUGGUGUCCAGCACAACCCACCCCUCAAAUAAAACUAAGCACCCUGGAAUUCUUUGAAAAAACUAAGCACCCUGAAAUUCUUUGACAACUAAACUGCUGGGUAUAUGAUGUUGGCCAUAUAUAUUGUACGUAUAUAAUGUGAAGAAACGAGUGGUAGUACUAUACCAACUAAAAGAUGAAAUGUAAGAAAUACUAGUAUGUACUUACUUAAGAGUUAAAGUAAAAAGAAGAAACAUAACAUAGUUCUGCUGGGGGCUUAGCACAACACACCCCUCAAAUUAAAUUAAGCACACGUGAAAUUAAACUUUGCAACUAUUCCGGUAGACGCUUCAUUAGAACCACUGUCGGGGGGAUGAACCCCAGGCAGGCAACGGAACCCGGAUCUAUUUCAAAAACAGCGGGGCCCGCAUCGCCUCGCAAAACCGGCGCGUGCCAGGCCGGGUCGCUCGACCCGGCAAGGCGCGCAACCCGGCCAAGACCCUCGACUCGGCAAGGUACGUCGACCCGGCCACAGUGGCCGACGCAAGGAAACUCAACCCGGCGCAACCCUGGCUUCCCCAACCAGCCAACCCACCCGUGGCGUCCACGGCAAUCCAGCCACGGGUCAGCUCCCGUCCCAUCCAGGCCGUACGAUGGGACGAGACCGCAAUCACCGAUGACCAAGACUACAGUGCCCGCGCCCACGCCCGUGGUCAGCCAGAGCGUGGCAACAGUGGCCCUUACCUACCCGCUGACCAGGGCUGGCACGGCAAUAAUGUCCCCGCCUUCACCGCUGACGAUAGCAAGCGGCGGCCUGACGGAGAACACUAUGCGCGGCUCGACUCGGCCACUCCAUGACAAUAGACAAGACGGUGCACGGUCCCCCUAGGAACGCAGGGCCCGCACCUAGGGGAACCCUGCGAACCACAAGCCCCCAAGCGGGACCCAGCCCAGUGUCCCGGACGCCGACAAUACAGACCCACUGACUCGGCAUAUUACCAUUGUAACCCUGGGUGGGUUGAUCUAUAAAACCCCCCAGGAGUCCAUGCCCGCAGGGGCACGGCAUGAUAUGUAAGAUCCCCGACAUGCAAAAGCAAGCAAGAUAGGACUAGCCACUACAUAGCAACACCAGGGAGAAGGAGCAGCCCGAGCCUCGGCCAGCCUCCUUCCUCCUCGAUACAGCUCCAGGAGCGACAUUGUACUAUCGACCAUCCAACUAAACUCGGUAGGACUAGGGGUGGUAUCUCUCUGGAGAGCCCCAAACCUGGGUAUGUCCGGCGUCCCGCGCCCGCGUAUAUCAACCUCGCCUCCCAAGCCCACCAGUGCCCUCGAGCCUCCUCCUCUCUUUAGCCAUCCCUUGGCAUCUGCUGUGCGCCCACCAUGACAGUUGGUGCCCACCGUGGGGCAGCUCGAGGAGCUGCCCGGAAGCAUGCUUCGGACGGGGCCCUUCUCCUACUCCGACGAGUCCAUCGCUCUGGCGGACGACGUCAUCGGAGCGCUCGCCGUCUCCUUCACCGUGCGGCACAUCUCCGACGCGCUCAUGGCCGACGAGUACCCCAGCGACGUGCUCAGCUACUCCAACUCCCCACUCCCUCUCAGCGGCGGAUUCACUACCGGGGUGAUGGACGCCCGCGUGGAGGUCUUCGUCACCGGCGAUGGCGCCUCUUCCUCGUCGAGCAAGGCAAGAAGAGUCGCUGAAGCCGCGGCCGCCACGGCAUGGACGGAGCCGUCCGACCCGCUGCACGCCGCGAUGCAGCGCCUCCGCAUCCCCAUCGGCACCAACGUCGACGCCACCAACGUCGCUGAAGCCCGAACUCAUCUCGAGGACAGGCGCCAGCAGAUGCUGGACUUGUCCGAGACGCUGGCCGCCACUAGGCGCCACCUGGAAGCUGCUCAGAUGGAGCACGACGCCGCCCACGGAUUCACGCCCGCCGCGGCCGAGCCAAGACAGGUCGAUACUCGCGCUCGGGGAGGAGCAAUCGGCUGGGCCUUCGGUGCCGUCCGGACGGUCUACGAAACCCCAGUCAAGAACAUGCGCGCUGCCGAGGCAGCCGCGGUCGUCCUCAACCAAAUUGCGGCCGAGGAGCUCAAGGAGCACAUCGGGCGGAUGCGCGAGCUCCUCCACGCCGUCAACACCCAGCAGGAUCGCCUCAACCAGCUCGCCAAGCCGGCGGGGUCCGGCUCCGCCCGCCCUGGCGGACCCGACAAACUCCUGCACACGGCCUCCUCGCCGCCCGACGAGGCGCACUCCGGACAAGCCCGGAUCCGGCGCAACCCGACCGGCACCGCCGCCGAUGCUCUGGGCAACGAGCCCAGCCCAGAGACCCAGCACGGACCCGGCCAGCCUGGCCGACGUCCGGCUCCAGCCGACCCGGCCCCUCGGGGCCUGGCCGCCAGUCGACUCGGCCCGUGCGCCAUCGACGACGUCGACGCACGCCACCGCAUCGAUCGGCUCGCUCGCUCCCUGGAGGUGGAGGAGAGCGGUGCUAUCGGGCCGACGUGUUUCGGCCCAUGCAUCCGGGAGGAGCCCUUCCCCAAGGGAUUCGUACUUUCCCACGACACCCCCAAGUACAAUGGGACUGUGAAGCCAGAAGACUGGCUCACCGACUACACCAUGGCCAUUGGCAUCACCGGUGCCAAUCAUCGUCUCGCCGUGCGCUACGCACCGCUCAUGCUCCAAGGAUCGACCCGCACAUGGUUGAACAGCCUGCCGAUGGGCAGCAUCAACGCAUGGGUCGAUUUCGAGGAAGCGUUUGUCCGCAACUUCACGGGGACGUACAGACGGCCUGGUCGCCCCAGCCAGCUCGCCAUGUGCGUGCAGGGGCCGACGGAGACCGGCCGGGAGUACCUCGCAUGCUGUACCGAGCUCCGGAACAGCUGCGAGGGCGUCCAUGAAGUCCAGGCGAUCCAAUACUUCGUCAGCGGGUGCCGAGACGGCACCCUCCUCAAGCACAAGCUUCUACGCUCCGAGCCGGCUACCAUGGCCGCGCUCAUGGUGACGGCGGACAAGUACGCCAACGCUGACUCCGCCAUGAAGAUCCAAGUGGCGCUGGAUGAGGCCGGCAAGGCGAAGCCGGUCUCUCCUCAUAAGCCGGCCGGCGAAAGCAGCGGGUAGCAGCACCACCAGAACAACAAGCGCAAGGCCGAGCAGCCGGCGCAACGUCACGACAACCGGCUCGUCGUGGCCGCCGAGCCCGCGGCGGACCCGGCAGCGAAGCGCCGGCAGACCGGCAAGAUGGCGUGGCAACCCGCCAUGAGCUUUGGAGAGAUGCUCGACGCCCCAUGCACCACAGCAGAGCAAGACCCUCCACGCACACGCUUCGACAGUGCGCCAUCACCAAGCGCAUCAUGAGGGGCGACGUUCCGCCUCCUCCGGCUCCGGCUCCGGCUUCGGGCGCAGGGCAGCCGCCUCCGCCUCCACCGCCGCCUCCCGCCGGCGGCAUGAUGCGGAACGACGCCUGCCCGGACCAGAACGCGGCCUACAUCAUCUUCACCAGCCUCGGCGAUGACAAGAACAGCGAGCGCCUCCUCCGGCAGGACGUGAACACCAUCGUCCCGGCCAAGACGGAUUUCAUGCAUUGGUCGGAUCGCCCGAUCACAUGGACCCGGGAGGAUCACCCGGCAGUCAUGCCGAGUCCGGGCGGAUACGCCCUCGUCCUCAACCCUACCAUCGUCGCGCGGCGCACCUGCAAGUUCUCCCGAGUCCUCAUCAACGACGGCAGCAACAUCAACAUCCUCUACCGCGACACGAUGACCAAGCUCGGCCUCAAGGCCGAGGACCUGGAGCCGACCCGGACCGUCUUCCACGGCAUCGUACCCGGCGUCUCCUGUUCACCCAUUGGCCAGGUCCGGCUCGAUGUCCUGUUCGGCGACAGCAGCCACUUCCGACGUGAACCAAUCUGGUUCGAGGUGGUGGACCUGUCCAGCGCGUAUCAUGCGCUGCUGGGCCGGCCCGCACUCGCCAAGUUCAUGGCGGUCCCCCACUACGCGUACCUGAAGAUGAAGAUGCCGGGUCCCAAGGGCCUCAUUACCGUCACCGGCGACUACCGCAAGUCUCUAGAGUGCGCCCGAGAUGACGCCAAGCUGGCCGAGUCGCUGGUCAUUGCCGAGGAGCGGCGCCAGCUCGACCGGAUCGUCGCCCUGGCCGGCGAGGCUUCCGACGCGUCGAUCCCGACCCAGGACCCAGCAGAUGAGGCCGCCUUCAAGCCCUCCAAGGAAACCAAGAAAGUGAAGCUGAACCCUGAAGACCCUAGCUGCAGCAAGUACGUUGUCGUAGGCGCACGCCUCGACAACAAAUAGGAGCUCGUCGACUUCCUCCGUGAGAAUCGGGAUAUCUUCGCAUGGACCCCCAAAGACAUGCCUGGUAUCCCGAGGAAGUACGCCGAGCACAAACUCCACGUCCGCAAGGACGCCAAGCUUGUCUAUCAACCCCUCCGUUGAUUUUCCGAAGAGAAGAGAAGAACCAUUGGUGAAGAGGUCGCCAAGCUCUUGGCGGCGGGCUUCAUAAUGGAAGUGUUUCACCCUGAGUAGCUGGCCAACCCAGUCCUCGUCCUGAAGAAGAACAAGACCUGGCGCACGUGUAUCGACUACACCAGCCUCAACAAGGACUGUCCCAAGGAUCCGUUUGCCCUCCCACGAAUCGACCAAGUCAUCGACUCGACCGCCGGGUGCGAGCUGCUAUACUUCCUGGACGCCUACUCCGGCUAUCACCAGAUCAAGCUGGAUCCGGCCGAUGCUCUGAAGACGUCCUUCAUCACGCCCUUCGGGGCGUACUGCUACAUCACCAUGUCGUUCGGGUUGAAGAAUGCCGGUGCCACCUUCCAACGCUGCAUGCAGAAAUGCUUGCUACCGCAACUCGGCAAGAACAUCCACGUGUACAUGGACGAUAUCGUGGUGAAGACCAAGCAGCACCUCACACUCCUCGACGAUCUGAAGGAAACAUUCACCAACCUUCAUGAAUACAAGGUCAAGCUCAACCCGGAAAAGUGCAUCUUCGGCGUCCCAGCCGAAAAGCUGCUCGGCUUCCUCAUCUUGGAACGCGGCAUCGAGGCGAACCCGAAGAAGAUCAAGGCCAUCGAGCGCAUGCGCAAGCCAACCCGGCUGCACGAUGUCCAGAAGUUCACAGGCUGCCUGGCCUCGGUCAUCCAGUUUCUGAGCCGGCUGGGCGAGAAGGCACUGCCCCUGUACCAGCUAAUGAAGAAAACAAGCCCGUUCGAGUGGAACGGCAAGGCGGAUGAAGCCUUCCAAGACCUCAAGCGCAUGCUCUCCACCGCAUCCGUCCUUGCCGCACCGACCGACAAGGAGCUGUUGUUGCUCUACAUAGCCGCGACCUCACGGGCGGUUAGCACGGUGCUAGUGGUCGAGCGACCGGAGAGGGGCAAGAUCCAGGCCGUUCAGCGACCGGUAUACUACCUGAGCGAAGUGCUCUCCACCUCCAAGCAGAACUACCCGCACUACUAGAAGAUGUGUUACGGCGUGUACCUCACCGCCAAGAAGCUGAAGCAGUACUUCCAAGAGCACGUCGUCACCGUCGUCAGCACGGCGCCGAUCGGAGAAAUCAUCGGGUGCCGGGACGCCUCUGGCCGGGUCGCCAAAUGGGCGAUCCAGCUAGCCGACCACACCAUCCUCUACGAGCCCCGCACCACGCCCUGGACGAUUUCCUCGUCGACUGGACCGAGACACAGUACCUGCCGCCGCCUCCCGACUCAACGCAUUGGAGCAUGCACUUCGACGGGUCCAAGAUGCGACUCGGAUUAGGGGCUGGCAUCGUACUGUCAUCUCCGAAGGGCGACCGACUCUGCUACGCGCUCUAGAUCCACUUCGCCGCCUCCAACAACAUCGCUGAAUACGAAGCCCUUGUGCACGGCCUCCGGCUCGCCAAGGAACUCGGCAUCCGGCGCAUCCUGUGCUAUGGCGACUCGGACUUAGUGGUGCAGCAGUGCUCCGACAAGUGGGACGCCCGUGACUCCAACAUGGCAAGCUACCGCUUCCUCAUCCAGAAGCUGUCCGGAUCCUUCGAUGGCUGCAAGUUCAUCCACGUCCCGCGCGUGGAGAAUGAGGCAGCUGACACGCUCGCCAAGAUCGCCUCGUCACGUCAAGCCAUCCCAUCCGGCGUCUCCCUCGAGCACUUGCGCAGGCUGUCCGUCAAGCCGUCACCGGACUCCGAGUCCAUCCACGUCCCAGAAGACCCGGCCGUCGCCAUCACCAACCCGGGGACUACUGAACCCGGCCCGGGGACAGUUGGACCCGGCCUAGGGGCUACUAUGCUCAACCCGGCCACCUUCUCCUCGGACCCGGCCGUCGCCGUCGCAGACCCGGGGGCUGCUCAACCCGGCCCAGGAGCCGCCGACUCGGAACCCACCUAGGUGGCCGUCUUCACCGCUGUCACGGCCCCGUCUUGGGCCCUGUCGAUAUCAUAAUGGCUGGAGAACGGGGUUCUCCCCUUGGACGAGACCGAGGCUUAGCAAGUUCAGCGCCGGGCGUCCGCCUACAGCAUCAUCAACAACGAGCUCGUCAAGCACAGCUCUACCGGUGUGUUCCAGCGCUGCGUCGAGCAGGACCGCGGCAUCGACAUCCUCCUCGACAUUCACCAGGGCGAGUGCGGGCACCACGCCGCAUCUCGAUCCCUCGUGGCCAAGGCGUUCCGCCACGGCUUCUACUGGCCAACGGCCCUCGAAGAUGCCGAGUCGCUCGUCCUCAAGUGCGAAGGAUGCCAGCGCUUCAGCAAGCGCAGCCACCAGCCGGCGUCAGCACUCCGCACCAUACCGAUCGCCUGGCACUUCGCGGCCUGGGGAAUCGACAUGGUGGGACCCUUCAAAACCGCUCGAGGUGGCAUGAUGCACUUACUGGUGGCAGUGGACAAGUUCACCAAAUGGAUCGAGGCAAGACCAAUCAAGAAACUAGAUGGGCCAACAGCCGUCCGGUUCAUGAAGGACAUAGCGGUGCGCUACGGCAUGCCGAACAACAUCAUCACCGACAACGGCACCAACUUCACCAAGGGCGCGCUCGAGCAAUACUGCUCUGUCUCCGGCAUCCGCCUCGACCUGGCCUCCGUGGCACAUCCGCAGUCCAAUGGGAAGGUCGAGCGGGCCAAUGGACUCAUCCUGUCCAGCAUCAAGCUGCGACUCAUCGAGCCACUCGUCCGCUCACCUGGCAAUUGGCUCGACGAGUUGCCCGCCAUUCUCCGGAGUCUGCGCACAACACCAAACCGGUCGACCGGGUUCACCCCGUUUUCCUUGUCUAUUGAUCCGAAGCCGCCAUCCCGACCGACGUCGAGUUCGACUCGCCGCGCGUCACAAUGUACACCGAAGUAGAAGCAAGAGAAGCACGCGAAGACGGUGUCGACCUGCUCGAAGAGGCGCGCCUUCUGGCACUUAGCCGCUCGGCUAUCUACCAGCAAGGCCUGAGGCACUACCACAGCAAGAAGAUCAAGCCUCUCGUAUUCCGCAAAGGCGACCUCGUCCUCCGACUCGUCCAAGAGCAGGCAGGCCAACACAAGCUGUCCUCUCCAUGGGAAGGCCUGUUCAUCGUGAGCAGGGCUUUGCGCGACCGCAACACCUACUACCUCAUCGACGCAUGCAAAUCGAAGAAGCGCAAGAGGGACACCGCCGGUGAAGAAACGACCAGGCUGUGGAACACGGAACUCCUCCGUCCGUUUUACAGUUAGCCGCACGAAUGUACGUAUCAACGCCUUUUGUAAGCAUAUGAAACUAUGGGGUCCCCGAACGAGACUCGGGGGCUGCCCUUUGCCGACCAAUUUAUUGCGUCCAUAUUUCACAACACUUUAUUAUCGAACCCGGCCGCCGGCUCGACUAGCUCGACCCGGGGGCUCGGGGGCUGGCCGGCUUGAUCACCACCCCGUCGCUUUACUUGGUGAUUCCUAAUAAAGUUAGGAUGCCGCGGUCACCCACUUCGCCCUAAAACCGCAGAUCCAGCUCUGGCUGACGGCGGGAAAGCACAACGGGCUAAAGCUCCCCUACGAUUCAUACACUAAGUCAAAGCCGCCGGGUCGACCAACCCGGCCCAACGCUCGUCAACCAAGUUAGCCGCACGACCGGCUGCUCACCAACCGGCCAAGCCGGAUUGCCGCCAGCCGGCCCAGUGGGUGUUUCGCUCGCGCUCAAAGCUUCUAAGGACCCAACUCCUGCGGCCGCCUCUCGAAGAGCCGAACUCCUUGUCACGGANNNNNNNNNNNNNNNNNNNNNNNNNNNNNNNNNNNNNNNNNNNNNNNNNNNNNNNNNNNNNNNNNNNNNNNNNNNNNNNNNNNNNNNNNNNNNNNNNNNNNNNNNNNNNNNNNNNNNNNNNNNNNNNNNNNNNNNNNNNNNNNNNNNNNNNNNNNNNNNNNNNNNNNNNNNNNNNNNNNNNNNNNNNNNNNNNNNNNNNNNNNNNNNNNNNNNNNNNGAAAUAAGUUCGAAAAAAGCAGAAGGCAAAAAGCAAAUAAACACUCACAACAUUUACACAUAAAUGUUUCAAGCAAAGGCCCACGGCCCGCGUUCAUUACACCCUGAAAACCCCCAGUGGGUGGGUGGACCUGCUACUUAACAGAAUUGUCUACAAAGAUUCUCAGGCAUUCCCAGCGCCGCGUCGCGACGUUGAUGCCCCCCCCGGCCGGCCUCCGGGUCCAGCGAAGCACCGGUGUAUUCUUCGGCUUCUGCGUCGCCGUAGACGCCCGUCUCCUCCGAGCUGCCCUCCGGGUCGUGAAGAAGCAAGCCAUAGUCAUCGCCAUCCACGACCGGGCCGUCUUCCGUCAGCUCCGGAUGGAACUCGUCGUGGAAGGCGAACUCGGCGAUAUAGCUGGCCCGGGAGGCGAUCCGGCCGUCCUGCUCCUGCAGCAACUUCUCCGAGCCAGUGCGCUGACCCAUCAGCGCGUCCAGCUGAAGUUCCGGGUGCCAAGACAGCGCGAUUCGGAGCGCCAUCUCAGCACCGGCACGGGCGGCGGAAACACGCCAGUCGCUAAGACGAUUCGGGCCCAUCUCCAACCAGCAUGCCAGGCGCGAGCAGCUGUGCGGAUGGACGGAGUCCGGUCAGAAGGUCGCCGUCAUCGCAGUGCCGACUCGAGACAGCCGCUCCAUCUGCGUCCCCAAGACCCACAGCCGGGCCUCAGCAGCGGCAAUGAUCUCCAGGAAAGUCCAGGCCGUUAGCGGAUCCAUUCCGGACCCAACAACACCGGUCGGGUCGCGCUGAUAGCGGACGGCUUCCUCCGCCAGCCGCUGCGUCUCCGGAAAGGCCCCUGCAGCCAAAAAAGAAGCAAGUCAGAAGAGAAACAAAGAAGAAAGGGCCGGGUCCCAACCCGGCAAACGACAAAGAAGCAACACUUACUAGAGAAAGACUCUUCCAGGUGCUGCGCCUCGAGCAACGUACCACGUCGCUCCCGCUCCAAGACACGGUCCCGCUCCCCGAGCGCCUUCUCCAGUUCGGCCGCCUUAGGAAGAGCCGCUUUCAGCUCGGCAUCCCUAUCUUCGGCCGCCUUGCGGCAGCGAGCCUCGGCCUGGCGGGCCUCCUCAGCCGUGGUGGCCUGCUCCCGCAAACGCACCACCUCGGCCUGGAGCCGGCCCUUGUCGUCAACCAGCUGGCCGCGCUGCUGGUCCGCCUCGACCAGGGCCUGCUACGUCUCCACCACCUUGGCAGCCUCCGCCUUAAGAAGCUCCACCUCGGCCUCGAGGCAGCUCUUGUGGCCUGCCAACUGCUCGUGCAGCCGGUUGGCCUCGUCAAGAGACCGCCGGGCCGCGGCCGCCUCCACUUUCGCCUGCGCCGCCUCGACACCAAGACGGCCGGAAUCAGCAACAAGCCGGUCAUAGUGAUGACCAGCCCGGAACAGCCGGGUCCGCCAAGACAGCACCUCGGCUGCGAAGAAGAUGAACUCAGCAGAAAGAAAACGACAAGACCUAAGAUUUGGCCCAACUGUUACACAGUUGGUCCGAAUCUCGGGGGCUACACCCAGUGGGUGCGCUAGCGCGCCCCCACUAGAAGAAAAGAACACAAAAAAGCACCUGCGGCGAUGCGAAGCUCCUCCUCCUUGGCAGCGAGCUGCUCCUUGAGCUCCCGAUGCUUGCCCAGGAGCCGGUUGAAGGCAGCAACCCGGAAGGCGUCACGGUGCUGAAAAAGAAGACCAAAGUCAACACAAGGCCAACGCUCGUAAGGUUCGACCCAACUACUACAUAGUUGGCCCGAACCUCGGGGGCUACACCCAGUGGGUGCGCUGGCGCGCGCCCACAAAGUUGAAAUCACAAGAAAGAAGAAGAGGAAGAAGGACGACAGAGAAGGUCUCUGCUCAAAGCCGCGGGUGCAGCUGUGUGUCGGUGGCAAGAAGCAGAGCGAGAGCAGGGGGGUAGGAGGGCGCGAGCGAGAAUAAUGUCCGCCACCCCCUUGCCCCCCCGAUUUAUAACCCCUAAUUCAAACAUGGGGAAGUGAGAUCGUCUGCACGCGCUCGUUCCACUAUCCUGCAAUAAGUGCGCACGUACACAUGCACUAACUGCACGGGGAAGUGCAACCGGCCCCCAGACGCCACAAUAAAUCUGCGCGCGUGGCCUGUGGCGCGCGGCGGCGGGCCCCGGCCCGUCACCCAGUCCCGUCACGAGCGUGGCCUGUCAGGCCCGUCCGACUUCUGGGCACCACGUGGCGCCUGCGCAAAGCCCGAGGGAUCACCUCAAUAUUCGACGGACUCCUCGGUUCCCUCCACGGCCGGGAUGCCGCGAUCCGGUUUCCGAGAAAACCGGCACACAAUGGGUGUUGCCGGACACGGCGUUCGUAGAUUCCUCCUUGCUCAAGGGGGAAGUUGCGAAGGCCCACUCAUCCAAAGACGGCGGACCUUCACAGCUUUGGGGACUACUGUCGGGGGGAUGAACCCCAGACAGGCAACGGAACCGGAUCUAUUUGAAAAACAGCGGGGCCCCAUCGCCCCGCAAACCGGCGCACGCCAGGCCAGGUCGCUCGACCCGGCAAGGCGCGCAACCCGGCCAAGACCCUCGACUCGGCAAGGUACGUCGACCCGGCCGCAGUGGCCGACGCAUGGCAACUCAACCCGGCGCAAUCCUGGCUUCCCCAACAAGCCAGCCCACCCAUGGUGUCCACGGCAACCCAGCCACGGGUCAGCUCCCGUCCCAUCGAGGCCUUACAAUGGGACGAGACCGCAAUCACCGAUGACCAAGACUACAGUGCCCCCGCCCAUGCCCGUGGUCAGCCAGAGCGUGGCAAUAGUGCCCCUUACCUACCAGCUGACCAGGGCUGGCACGCAACAGUGUCCCCGCCCUCACCGCUGACGACAGCAAGCGGCGGCCUGACAGAGAACACUGUGCACGACUCGACUCGGCCACGCCAUGACGAUCGACAAGACGGCGCAUAGUCCCCCUAGGAACACGGGGCCCGCACCUAGGGGCACCCGGCAAACCACAAGCCCCCAAGCGGGACCCAGCCCGGUGUCCCGGACGCCGACAAUACGGACCCACCGACUCGGCAUAUUACCAUUGUAACCCUGGAUGGGUUGAUCUAUAAAACCCCCCAGGAGUCCACGCCCACAGGGGCACGGCAUGAUAUGUAAGAUCCCCGACAUGCAAAAGCAAGCAAGAUAGGACUAGCCACUACAUAGCAACACCAGGGAGAACGAGCAGCCCGAGCCUCGACCAACCUCCUUCCUCCUCGAUACAGCUCCAGGAGCGAUCUUGUACUAUCGACCAUCCAACUAAACUCGGCAGGACUAGGGGUGUUAUCUCUCUAGAGAGCCUCAAACCUGGGUAUGUCCGGCAUCCCGCGCCCGCGCAUAUCAACCUCGCCUCCCAAGCCCACCAGUGCCCUCGAUCCUCCUCCUCUCUUUAGCCAUCCCUUGGCAUCUGCCGUGCGCCCACCACGACAACCACCAUGAGCAACGACACUGCCACCUUACUUGGAGUCCUCGUCCACAUCCUCAACUUCGUGCUUGUCCCUCUUCCUCUUGGCCGAUACUUCUUUGCUUGAACCGCCAACUUGGCUGUUGCUCUUCAUCCAACCCUUGUAGAUAUUGAAACAAAGGUAGCCAUCCAUUGCAGCGUACUAGAUGUGGUCUAUAUCUAUUACACUCCACUACCAUGCAUGACGAUGAAACGUGUAUGGAGGUUUCUCCAGUUUACCGUAUGAAGGAUGAACCAUGGCUCCUGCUAGGGUCAGCAUUGAAGGCUGACGAGAGGACACCAGCCGAUUCUUUUGGAGGUCGAAGGUGUUGUGUCACACCCUAGCUAGUUCAUGCAUUAGAGUGUUGCAUCAUGUUUAUUCUUUCAUCAGAAACCUGAAAUGGGGAUGACAGAACCCCCAGUCCCCUCUGAAACCAAUUAGGGUUUACUAAAAACUUUUUCAAUGAACCCGAAAUGCCCUUCUAAAAUGCCCAUCAUUUUUGUCUUGGUUCAGAACCUCUGCCAAAAGUGAUGCACAUUUUCCUAGGCCAUCUUAGGGUUUUUGAAUUAAAUCAUAAAUAUUUGAAUUUGGGCAUUUAAAAUUAUAUAAAAUAUUUAAAUGCUCAAAUAUCUCCAAACUAAAAUGUUUCAUGUUGGAAAUAUUCCAACUAUGGACCAGGAGUAGUUUGGUGAUUUUAGGAGUUGCCUAAGUAUUUUAUUUAAUUCAACAAAGUUGCAGAAGUAUUAAAAAACAGAAAACAGAAAGAAAAUGGAAAAACUUACCUGACGCCUGCUCCCGGCCCACCUGCCGGCCCAGCCCAGCGCCGCUCCAGCGAGCUGCUUGCCGGCCAGGCAGGCAGGCAGGUGCCCGACGGCGACCGCAGCGCGCGCCACGCACCUGGUCGCCGCCUCGCCGCUCCCCUCGCCCGGUGACGUCGUGGAUCGGCCUCCCUCGCUCCCCCGAACCCCCCAGACUCCCUCUCUCCUCUCCAGCUCCUCCCCCUCGCGCUCCCCUGCCAUGACCGACGCCACCAUCGCCGUGCCUUCGUCGUAGCCGUGCUCCCCGCCACCCGUGCGUCCUCUCAUCGUGUCCAGGAGCUCCGCCGCUGUCCACUCCAUCGAGCAAGCCGAGCCCCGAGCGCUCGCAACGCCCGAAUCCACCGCAACGAACUCGCCCGAACCGCCGUCGCCGGAGAUCCCCUUCAACGCUGCCGUCGCUUCGGUCCAUCCCCGGCCGCACCAAGGGCUUCGUCGCACCCACUGUGAGCUUAGCCAUCUUCCCCCCUCCUUUUCUUGCUCCCGAGCUGUGUAGCAACCUCCCGGAGCUCAACCGCACCCACCGCCGUGGAGCUCGUCGCCGACGUGCUCCCGGUCACCCUUCGACCACUCCACGGUGUCCAUCAUGCUCACCGUGUCACGUAGCACCUAGCUAGCUACUCCCCGCGCCUCACCGACCCCUCUAGCGUCAAGUUCGUCUUCGGCCGAACCCCGGUGGCCGCCAAAGUCGUCGCCGGCGCCAACUCCGGCCACCCCGACCCCAACGGACUCCACCAAGAGCUGCGGCUCAUCCUCAGCUCCACUCCGGUGGUCUCCGCGACCCAUUUGGCGGCCGAAACAGCCAAAACCACUUCCGCCGCCGCGUCGGGCUCGCCGGCGGCUAAACGCCGGUGCAGCCGACCUGGGUUUGACCACGGGUGGGCCCUGGUUGACUCUCCUGAGUCAAUGACAGGUGGGGCCCAGCCCUGUUAAUUAAACAGGUUUAGUUUUAUUUAAACUUUAAUUAAAUUAAUCACACUGACACGCGGGACCCACUGUCAGGUUUGACCCGGAUGUGUCCCGUUGACCUGCUGACGUCACACUGACGUCAGGCUGACGCAAUAAUUGAUUUUCUGGAAUUAAUCUAAUAUAGGAAAUUCCAGAAUAUAGUUUAAACUUUAAAAAUUCAUAUCUUUUAUUCUGUAACUCCAAAUCAGACAAAUUAUAUAUGAAAAAUGAUCAGAAAAAUCCAAUCUAUCCAUCUGUACUAUUUUCAUGCAUGAUUAAACAAGUUAACCUGAUGUUUAAUGCAGAACAAGGAAAAACACCUUAAAGGGCCAUGUUUGAGUUUGAAAUUUGAAUCUUUGAUUCAAAUUGGUUCAAACCCUUCUGGUCUUAGUUGCAUUAGCCCAACACACUCAUAUUGCUAUGUUUCAUGCAUGCAUCGUAUUUUUGCACAUUGUUUGGUGAUGGUUGUGUAUCGGUGUUCUUUGCGGCAGGUUCUGCCUCCGAGGAGUACCGUGAUUACCCUAACGAAGAACCGUAUCAGUGCAUCAAACCAUCAGGCAAGCAACCAACCAUUUGAUCAUAUCGAUACAAUCCCAUGUUCUAGCUCCUGCUCUCUUUUACUGCAUUAAGACAACGCGUUUCAAACUGCUGUGUGCUACGGUUGAACCCAUUUCCUCUGCAUGACCUGUCAUUGCCACAGUAACUAGAUGAAACCCACUAGCAUGUGUAGGAGUUGAAUGAGCCAUAUGUAUGUGUUGUUCCUACCUUGCUAUGCCUGCUAUGCUUAGAGUCGUGUCAGGUCUGGUUCAUCUGGGUGAUGGGCUAGAGUGAAAUGAUUAUGUCGGUAAUGAGAGUGGUGUGAUGAACAUGAUUUGGUAAAGGUAUCGAUGAGAGGCCAUGUAGGAGUACAUGGUGGGUUGUUUCAUUGAAGCCGACCUUAAGCACUGAGAUCUGUAUGUGUGAUUUAAGAUACAGCUACUACCAUGCAUUGGGCCCUGAAAUAUGACCCCGCUCGACUUCUUAUUCACCCUAGCUCUCUGUCCAGGAGUUGCAGGUAGUUUCUGGUGUUUGUAGCCUACUAGAGGCCGUGGACAGCGCUGACCGUAGGGGUGGGCUGUGAUGUGGUAGGUACGUGGCCGGGUGUACCGAAUACCCGUUAGGUAUCUCGGGAACCCUGUUCACAUCGUUCGGGGCCGUAUGGGAAACCUCGGCCGGACUCCCUGCGGAUGGAACCUGAAUAGGCGAUAAACCUGGACUAGAGGCUUAGGUGUUUAGGUAGGUCGUGGUCUACACCCACGUCGGCUUUCGCUUGAAGUCUGCCGAGCACAUGUCGUGUGCAGACGCUAAGUGGUGGAAACAUGUAUGAAGAAGUACACCCCUGCAGGGUUAUCAUGAUCUAUUCGAAUAGCAGCGUCCGCGGUAAAGGACUACUUGGUUGCCUAUACAGUUCAUAGACAAGUAAAUGGAAACUACUAAAAGCCUCAAGAUAAGUGUGAGUGCCGAGGAUGGCUCUUCCGCAGGAAGACGGAGGUGGAUCCUCGGUAGUGUAUUGAAUUGGUGAGUAGUGGACUCGUGUACGCAAAACCAUUUCAAGUUGGACUCUCGUAGGUUAGCCUAGCCAAGAGUCAAAGCUGGCUUGCUGCAACAACUCCACCAACCCUUCUUGAUGAUAUGCAUGUAUGUAGGAUCUGAUGUAAGUCUUGCUGAGUACCUUUGUACUCAUGUUGCUAUAAUUUACAUUUUUAUAGAAGACGCCGCAACCCCUUCUGAUGGGUUCUACGUAGACGUUGACAUCAAUGAGUAGGCUAAGGCCCAGGUGGUGAUCCUGAGCUUGUGAAGGACCACGUAGUAUAGCUAGGCUUUCCAAGCCUCUUUUAUUUACUAGUUGUCUGUACUCAGACAAGUUACUUCCGCUGCUGGUUUGUAUGACUGUAUGACUUGAAUGCUGGGUCGUGUGACCCGUACCUGUGUGUAUGAUUAUGUAUGGCUCCCUGAAACUUAAAUAAAGUACUUGUGUCGUAGAGUCAUGUUGUGAUGUCAUGUUGUAUUUGCACAUAUCGAGCAUACUGUGUGUAUGUUAUUGAAAUGCUUGGUAUGUGUGGGAUCUGACUAUCUAGCUGUUUAUCCUUAGUAGCCUCUCUUACCGGGAAAUGUCUCCUAGUGUUACCACUGAGCCAUGGUAGCUUGCUACUUCUCUGGAACACUUAGGCUGGCCGGCAUGUGUCCUUCUUCGUUCCUGUGUCUGUCCCUUUGGGGAAAUGUCACGCAUUGAGUACCGGAGUCCUGUUAGCCCGCUAUAGCCCGGUUUACCGGAGUCCUGCUAGCCCAGUGCUACAGCCCGGACCCACUUGCUGAUGACCGACACGUUCGUUGCUGGGUCAUGGAUGCCUGUCCCUGUAAGCCUGUGCCACUUUGGGUUUACAACUAGUCAUGUCAGCCCGGGCUCCUUAACAUAUGGAUGCUAGCGACACUAUCAUAUACGUGAGCCAAAAGGCGCAAACGGUCCCGGGCAAAGGUAAGGCGACACCCAUGGGGAUACCGUGCGUGAGGCCGCAAAGUGAUAUGAGGUGUUAUAGGCUAGAUCGAUGUGUCAUCGAGUCGGGGUCCUGACAGCGUUGGCAUCAGAGCCGGACUGCCUGUAGGUUCUCCAAGCCAAACUGGUCGAUGUUGAGUCUAGAAAUUCUUUAGUUAUAUGUAGGGGAAUUGUUUGUGGGUGGAACGUAAGGCUCUUUUUACUCCUUUAUCUUAUGACAUUCUGAUCUGAGUCAGUCUAUUCUUCCACCGGGGGUUAAGGAAUUAGGAUCUAUUUCUCUCUAUCAGGAUCACGUGUUACUAAUCAGUAGUACCUUAUAGGUUUGAUGGAUACAAGCCUAGUUCAGUUCUACUACCACAUUAUGUUGUUAGGAUGGACUCAGAACCUUGAUAUGAUGAUGUUGAAUGUGUAUGAAAUCCUUUGUCAAAUGUCUCAAAAUCCUUCUUGAGCAUUUACAGCUGUUAUGCAGCCGAAAUUUUGCCAGAAAUUCUAAUGCCUUUGCAUUAUGAUUGUGCUUUCAGAUGGCCACUCGCGACCUCAAUCAAGUGGUUCGUCUGACUCGAUGCCUAGAUGUACCCGGCCAUACUGCCAUGUUGGUCAGGGUAAUGAGUGAGGCUGGAUACCGUUGGUAUCCUGAGUACACGGUCGAAGAGCAAUUCCGAGACUUUAAUCAAAGCCAGUAUCUCUGCACUGUCAGGAUAUUUCCAUCUUAUCCUGGGUCCACCGAGCCCCUUCACUGCUCCUAUGGACUCGGGGUUACUAUUGAGAUGGCUGUGCAGGACGCCGCCUACUCUAUGAUGACCAUCAUGCGAGUCAGGUCUGGCCUAUUUCGGGACUCUGAUUUCCGAUAUAUGCCAGGAUCACUUCCGGGAGCACAAGGGUAUCUCCAGGCUAUCUAUGCUGACCCCACUCAGGGGGAUUCACGGACUUGCACUACUGCUGAGAUGCUCGAGGAUAAGGACCGUGAAAAUCGGGCCUGGAGGUUAGAGCUCUUCAAUACCCGUGCUGACCAUUGGGCCACAUUGACUCGGUUUGCACCGGCGGUGCAAGCUAGAUAUUCGGAUAUGCACGAUCUCUAUCCUGUGAGAUCUGCUCUGCCAGACGUGAUGGGUUGGCGUGAUGUAGGAGGCAUCACCCCACCUCACGGUCCCCGCAGGCCACCGUCUGUUGGUCCAAGACCUCAUCCUAGCCCCUAUGGUCCACAAGCUCCGCGAGAUCGUCUGUUUCUGGAGUAUCAUGUUGAGCUUCCAGGCUAUGGAGGUGACUUCUACGAGGACUACUACGGAUCGGUCUGAGUUAGUGGUAGUAUCACUAGUUCAUGUUAGCUGUGUCGUCUAUCGUCCUGCGUGACUCGUGGGAUAUGACCUAGUUUGUAUCGCCUUCCGGAGGUGUAGAAAAAUAAUGUAUAGGAGCUUGGAAUGCCUCCGAUGAGAUGUAAUCCUCUUUUCACCGUAAUAGUACCUUUUUUGGUCUUGUACUAAACCCUGUAUGGUGUGUAUGACGAUGGAAUAAAGAAGCAGUUUCUGUAUCUACCAUGUCAUACGGAUGAUCAUCUUGCAUUCCGAGUUAUUCCUUACAUUCUGUAUCCUAUGUCGGAAUUUUAUCAUUCUGACUAAAUCAUUGUCUUGUUUACCUAGGAUGGUCAACACGCGCACUAACCCUGCUCCUCAAGAGCAGGCCGAAGGCAGUGAAGUCAGGAAUGCAAAUCUGCCUCAUCCUCCUUCCCUAGCCGAGGUUAUGAUGGAAGCCGAAAGAAACAAGCGGGAGACCAACCGUUUGUUGGAGCGUAUUGAACAGAACACAGCACACCAUCAGAGGACUAACGUGGUGUCACUCAGUGAUUUCAUCAAGUUACAUCCACCCACGUUCCACCACUCCGUCGAGCCUCUCAACGCUGAUGACUGGCUUCGCAGUAUCUCUCACAAGCUGCGUUCCGCGCUAGUAGUUGAGGCUGACAAGGUCACCUUUGCUGCAUAUCAUCUUGAAGGCCCCGCCAGUCUAUGGUGGGAGAAUUAUGGAGCUAUGCGUCCAGCGGGCCAUGUCACUACUUGGGCUGAAUUCAGCGAGGCUUUCUGUGAACAUCACAUUCCGGAGGGUCUCAUGGACCGUAAACGUGAGGAAUUCUGCAGUUUCACUUAGGGCUGACUCUCUGUGGAUGCUUACAGCAGGGAGUUCGGUAACCUCGCACGAUAUGCAUCUGAGGAAGUUUCUACUGAUGCCAAGAAGCAAGCAAGGUUCCGUAAGGGACUUAGUCCUGAGCUUCGCCGCGACCUCCGUCUGCAUGAGUGCACAUCUUUUCAGAAACUUGUUAACAAGACCAUCCGUACUGAGACCGGUCAGAUUGAUUAUGACGCAACACGCAAGCAUGGCCGUGACAUGGGUUCCUCAUCUGGUGCUGGUCCUCAGAAGCGCCGCGUGUGGGUGCCCAACACCGCCCUGCCACCCAGGUUCACACCGAGGCCAUCCUUCCAGACGCCUCGCCCCGUUCAACAGUCUGCACCAGCCAAGCCCUAUGGUGGUCCAACCAACAGUGCUCCUCCACAAACCAGUUCCGUGACUUGUUUCAAGUGUGGGGAAUCUGGCCACUAUAUGCGUGAGUGUCCCCAGACCAACCCCAACCAAUCUGCUAAAGCUGUUGGCCGUGGCAAGCCGACAGGGAAAGUGUUCCACGCCAAGCCGGCCACCGCUACACGUGGCCAUGUCAACUGUAUCUCUGCCGAAGAAGCUCAAGAGGAUCCCAACGUCGUUCUCGGUACGCUCCUUGUUAAUUGCCACCCAGCAUCUGUUCUUUUCGAUACAGGAGCCUCUCAUUCAUUUAUAUCCGAGAACUAUGCUCGUUUGCAUAACACCGCAUUCUGUGACAUGCCAUCCACUAUGGAAAUUUCUACUCCCGGUUCUAGAUGGCAGACCUCCAGGGUAAGUUAUGGAAAUGAAAUCCAAGUCGACAGACUUGUUUUCCUUGCAUCUUUGAUAGCUCUCAAAUUUUCAGAUAUUAAUAUCAUUUUGGGUAUGGACUGGAUGUCAGCUCAUCAUGCCAAAAUUGAUUGCUUCUCUAGGACUGUUCAACUCACUCAUCCUUCGGGCAAGAUAGUCAAUGUCUUGACCCGAUUAGCCAAGCGACAAUUAUAUUCUCUUAACGCCAGCCCUUUGCCAGACCUUGAGGACGUUCCGGUAGUCCGUGACUUCCCGGAUGUUUUCCUAGAGGAAUUGCCAGGUGUUCCACCUGACAGGGAUGUUGAGUUCGUAAUAGACCUCAUUCCAGGAACCGUUCCGAUUGCUAGAAGACCCUAUAAGAUGGCACCACUAGAACUAGCCGAGCUUAAGAAACAACUCGAUGAGUCCUUGAAAAAGGGUUUCAUCCGACCUAGUUCAUCUCCGUGGGCUUGCCCCGUCCUAUUCGUCAAGAAGAAGGAUGGUACGGACCGGAUGGUUGUAGAUUAUCGACCUGUUAAUUUGGUCACAAUCAAGAACAAAUAUCCGCUCCCCAGGAUCAACGACCUGUAUGAUCAGCUCGCUGGAUCCUCAGUCUUCUCCAAAAUGGAUUUGAGGUUGGGCUACCAUCAAAUCAAAAUCCGAAACGGGGACAUCCCUAAAACGGCCUUUGUUACUCGUUAUGGCCAAUACGAGUACACCGUCAUGUCCUUCGGUUUAACCAAUGCUCCAGCCACCUUUUCUCGGUUAAUGAACUCAAUCUUCAUGGAGUAUUUGGAUAAAUUCGUCGUGGUUUACCUCGAUGAUAUACUCAUCUACUCCAAGAACGAGGAAGAACAUGCCGAACAUCUAAGGCUAGUGUUGAAGAAACUUCGAGAGCAUCGCCUUUAUGCCAAAUUUUCUAAAUGUGAAUUCUGGUUGUCAGAAGUGACCUAUCUGGGUCACGUAAUAUCAGGUAAAGGUAUUGCUGUUAACCCUGAGCGAGUUCAAGCCGUCCUUAAUUGGACUCCACCUGAAUCGGUCAAGCAAGUUCGGAGUUUUCUAGGCUUAGCGAGCUAUUGCCAUCGCUUUGUAGAAAACUUCUCCAAAGUUGCUAAACCUCUAACCGAACUCCUCAAGAAAGAUAAGAAGUUCGAAUGGACUCCACAAUGUGAGCACAGCUUUCAGGAACUGAAAAGACGCCUGACUUCUGCUCCCAUACUGGUACCGCCAGACUUCUCUAAGGACUUUGUUAUCUACUGCGACGCCUCGCGACAAGGACUAGGUUGCAUUCUCAUGCAAGAUCGACACGUAAUUGCUUACACUUCACGGCAAUUGCACCCACAUGAGGAGAAUUAUCCUACUCAUGAUCUAGAGCUUGCAGCCGUAGUCUAUGCACUUAAGACCUGGCGACAUUACCUCCUCGGUAACCGUUGCGAAAUAUUCACUGAUCAUCAAAGUCUGAAGUACAUUUUCACCCAACCGGAUUUGAAUCUCAGGCAAAGACGUUGGGUUGAGUUGAUCACAGAUUUCGACUUAGGGAUAACCUACACCCCAGGGAAAGCCAACGUCAUGGCUGAUGCGCUAAGUCGCAAAUCUUAUUGUAACAACCUGAUGAUACAACAAAGUCAACCGCUUCUCCAUGAGGAAUUUCGGAAGCUUAACCUUCACAUUGUUCCUCAAGGAUUUCUUUCCACCUUGGUAGCGAAACCUACCCUUACAGAUCAAAUCAUCGCUGCCCAAAAGCGAGAUAAGGGAAUAUCUAAAAUCAAGGAGAACAUUGCUAGCGGAGGUGCUAGUUGUUUCUCCACAAAUGAUCAUGGUGUUGUGUACUUUGAGAACCGUUUAGUGGUUCCCAAGAACCAGCAUCUACGGCAGUUGAUCCUUAAGGAAGCUCAUGAAUCUCCUCUCACCAUUCAUCCCGGUAGAACCAAGAUGUAUCAGGACCUACGCUAGAGGUUCUGGUGGACUAGGAUGAAGAGAGAAAUUGCUCAGUAUAUUGCUAACUGCGAUGUCUGCCGUCGUGUAAAAGCAGAGCAUCAACGGCCUGCUGGCACCCUUCAACCCUUAGCUAUUCCUGAAUGGAAAUGGGAUAAAAUUGGUAUGGACUUCAUUACCGGUUUUCCCAGGACCAAAAGAGGGAAUAAUGCUAUCUUCGUCGUUGUUGAUCGUCUUUCCAAAGUGGCCCAUUUCUUACCUGAUCGCGAGAGUAUAACCGCUAGUCAGCUGGCAGACUUAUACAUCUCCCGAAUAGUGUCUCUCCAUGGUGUUCCCUUGGAAAUUAACUUGGAUAGAGGAAGUCUUUUCACCUCUCGAUUUUGGGAAAGUUUCCAAAACGCUAUGGGAACCCGCCUUUCCUUUAGCACCGCUUUUCACCCUCAAUCGAGUGGUCAAGUGGAACGCGUCAACCAGAUCCUAGAAGACAUGCUUCGAGCCUCUGUUAUCUCAUUCGGAAUGGAUUGGGAGAAGUGCCUUCCAUUUGCCGAAUUCGCUUACAACAACAGCUAUCAAUCUAGCUUGGGUAAAGCCCCUUUUGAAGUCCUCUAUGGACGACGGUGUCGAACACCCCUUAACUGGUCAGAGACCGGGGAAAGACAAUUCUUUGGCCCAGAUAUGAUUCAGGAAGCAGAAGAGCAAGUUCGCAUCGUUCGUGAAAAGUUGAAAACAGCCCAAUCUCGUCAAAAGAGUCAAUAUGACCGAAAACAUAAGGCUAUGACUUUCGAGGUUGACGAGAAGGCUUACCUUCGGGUUACCCCUCUGAAGGGAACCCAUCGUUUCGGUAUCAAAGGCAAAUUGGCUCCUCGUUACAUUGGACCUUUUCGCAUUCUCGCUAAACGAGGAGAAGUUGCCUACCAGUUGGAACUACCUCCGCACCUCUCCAGAGUCCACGAUGUCUUCCACGUUUCUCAACUCAGGCGUUGCUUCUCGAAUCCUAUCCGUGGAGUGGACCACGAAACGCUUGAUCUCCAAGAUAAUCUUACAUAUCGAGAGUACCCCAUUCGUAUCCUCGAUCAGGCCGAGCGUACCACUCGACGUCAUAACAUCAAGUUUCUCAAAGUACAAUGGUCGCACCAUUCUGAGGAUGAAGCAACUUGGGAAAGGGAGGAUCGUCUUCGACUUGAGUAUCCUGCCUUCUUUCCGGAGGAAACCAAAUCUCAGGACGAGAUUCUUUUGAGUGGGGGUGAGUUGUCACACCCUAGCUAGUUCAUGCAUUAGAGUGUUGCAUCAUGUUUAUUCUUUCAUCAGAAACCUGAAAUGGGGAUGACAGAACCCCCAGUCCCCUCUGAAACCAAUUAGGGUUUACUAAAAACUUUUCAAUGAACCUGAAAUGCCCUUCUAAAAUGCCCAUCAUUUUUGUCUUGGUUCAGAACCUCUGCCAAAAGUGAUGCACAUUUUCCUAGGCCAUCUUCGGGUUUUUGAAUUAAAUCAUAAAUAUUUGAAUUUGGGAAUUAAAAAUUAUAUAAAAUAUUUAAAUGCUCAAAUAUCUCCAAACUAAAAUGUUUCAUGUUGGAAAUAUUCCAACUAUGGACCAGGAGUAGUUUGGUGAUUUUAGGAGUUGCCUAAGUAUUUUAUUUAAUUCAACAAAGUUGCAGAAGUAUUAAAAAAACAGAAAACAGAAAGAAAAUGGAAAAACUUACCUGACGCCUGCUCCCGGCCCACCUGCCGGCCCAGCCCAGCGCCACUCCAGUGAGCUGCUUGCCGGCCAGGCAGGCAGGCAGGUGCCCGACGGCGACCGCAGCGCGCGCCACGCACCUGCUCGCUGCCUCGCCGCUCCCCUCGCCCGGUGACGUCGUGGAUCGGCCUCCCUCGCUCCCCCGAACCCCCCAGACACCCUCUCUCCUCUCCAGCUCCUCCCCCUCGCGCUCCCCUGCCAUGACCGACGCCACCAUCGUUGUGCCUUCGUCGUAGCCGUGCUCCCCGCCACCCGUGCGUCCUCUCAUCGUGUCCAGGAGCUCCGCCGCUGUCCACUCCAUCGAGCAAGCCGAGCCCCGAGCGCUCGCAACGCCCGAAUCCACCGCAACGACCUCGCCCGAACCACCGUCGCCGGAGAUCCCCUUCAAUGCCGCCGUCGCUUCGGUCCAUCCCCGGCCGCACCAAGGGCUUCGUCGCACCCACUGUGAGCUUAGCCAUCUUCCCCCCUCCUUUUCUUGCUCCCGAGCUGUGUAGCAACCUCCCGGAGCUCAACCGCACCCACCGCCGUGGAGCUCGUCGCCGACGUGCUCCCGGUCACCCUCCGACCACUCCACGGUGUCCAUCAUGCUCACCGUGUCACGUAGCACCUAGCUAGCUACUCCCCGCGCCUCACCGACCCCUCUAGCGUCAAGUUCGUCUUCGGCCGAACCCCGGUGGCCGCCAAAGUCGUCGCCGGCGCCAACUCCGGCCACCCCGACCCGAACGGACUCCACCAAGAGCUGCGGCUCGUCCUCAGCUCCACUCCGGUGGUCUCCGCGACCCAUUUGGCGGCCGAAACAGCCAAAACCACUUCUGCCAACGCGUCGGGCUCGCCGGCGGCUAAACGCCGGUGCAGACGACCCGGGUUUGACCACGGGUGGGCCCUGGUUGACUCUCCUGAGUCAAUGACAGGUGGGGCCCAUCCCUGUUAAUUAAACAGGUUUAGUUUUAUUUAAACUUUAAUUAAAUUAAUCACACUGACACGCGGGACCCACUGUCAGGUUUGACCCGGAUGUGUCCCGUUGACCUGCUGACGUCACACUGACGUCAGGCUGACGCAAUAAUUGAUUUUCUGGAAUUAAUCUAAUAUAGGAAAUUCCAGAAUAUAGUUUAAACUUUAAAAAUUCAUAACUUUUAUUCUGUAACUCCAAAUCUGACAAAUUAUAUAUGAAAAAUGAUCAGAAAAAUCCAAUCUAUCCAUCUGUACUAUUUUCAUGCAUGAUUAAACAAGUUAACCUGAUGUUUAAUGCAGAACAAGGAAAAACACCUUAAAGGGCCAUGUUUGAGUUUGAAAUUUGAAUCUUUGAUUCAAAUUGGUUCAAACCCUUCUGGUCUUAGUUGCAUUAGCCCAACACACUCAUAUUGCUAUGUUUCAUGCAUGCAUCAUAUUGUUGCACAUUGUUUGGUGAUGGUUGUGUAUCGGUGUUCUUUGCGGCAGGUUCUGCCUCCGAGGAGUACCGUGAUUACCCUAACGAAGAACCGUAUCAGUGCAUCGAACCAUCAGGCAAGCAACCAACCAUUUGAUCAUAUCGAUACAAUCCCAUGUUCUUGCUCCUGCUCUCUUUUACUGCAUUAAGACAACGCGUUUCAAACUUCUGUGUGCAACGGUAGUUGAACCCAUUUCCUCUGCAUGACCUGUCAUUGCCACAGUAACUAGAUGAAACCCACUAGCAUGUGUAGGAGUUGAAUGAGCCAUAUGUAUGUGUUGUUCCUACCUUGCUAUGCCUGCUAUGCUUAGAGUCGUGUCAGGUCUGGUUCAUCUGGGUGAUGGGCUAGAGUGAAAUGAUUAUGUCGGUAAUGAGAGUGGUGUGAUGAACACGAUUUGGUAAAGGUAUCGAUGAGAGGCCAUGUAGGAGUACAUGGUGGGUUGUUACAUUGAAGCCGACCUUAAGCACUGAGAUCUGUAUGUGUGAUUUAAGAUACAGCUACUACCAUGCAUUGGGCCCUGAAAUAUGACCCCACUCGACUUCUUAUUCACCCUAGCUCUCUGUCCAGGAGUUGCAGGUAGUUUCUGGUGUUUGUAGCCUACUGGAGGCCGUGGAUAGCGCUGACCGUAGGGGUGGGCUGUGAUGCGGUAGGUACGUGGCCGGGUGUACCGAAUACCCGUUAGGUAUCUCGGGAACCCUGUUCACAUCGUUCGGGGCCGUAUGGGAAACCUCGGCCGGACUCCCUGCGGAUGGAACCUGAAUAGGCGAUAAACCUGGACUAGAGGCUUAGGUGUUUAGGUCGGUCGUGGUCUACACCCACGUCGGCUUUCGCUUGAAUUCUGCCGAGCACAUGUCGUGUGCAGACGCUAAGUGGUGGAAACAUGUAUGAAGAAGUACACCCCUGCAGGGUUAUCAUGAUCUAUUCGAAUAGCCGCGUCCGCGGUAAAGGACUACUUGGUUGCCUAUACAGUUCAUAGACAAGUAAAUGGAAACUACUAAAAGCCUCAAGAUAAGUGUGAGUGCCGAGGAUGGCUCUUCCGCAGGAAGACGGAGGUGGAUCCUCGGUAGUGUAUUGAAUUGGUGAGUAGUGGACUCAUGUACGCAAAACCAUUUCAAGUUGGAGUCUCGUAGGUUAGCCUAGCCAAGAGUCAAAGCUGGCUUGCUGCAACAACUCCACCAACCCUUCUUGAUGAUAUGCAUGUAUGUAGGAUCUGAUGUAAGUCUUGCUGAGUACCUUUGUACUCAUGUUGCUAUAAUUUACAUUUUUACAGAAGACGCUGCAACCCCUUCUGAUGGGUUCUACGUAGACGUUGACAUCAAUGAGUAGGCUAAGGCCCAGGUGGUGAUCCUGAGCUUGUGAAGGACCACGUAGUAUAGCUAGGCUUUCCAAGCCUCUUUUAUUUACUAGUUGUCUGUACUCAGACAAGUUACUUCCGCUGCUGGUUUGUAUGACUGUAUGACUUGAAUGCUGGGUCGUGUGACCCGUACCUGUGUGUAUGAUUAUGUAUGGCUCCCUGAGCCUUAAAUAAAGUACUUGUGUCGUAGAGUCAUGUUGUGAUGUCAUGUUGUAUUUGCACAUAUCGAGCAUACUGUGUGUAUGUUAUUGAAAUGCUUGGUAUGUGUGGGAUCUGACUAUCUAGCUGUUAUCCUUAGUAGCCUCUCUUACCGGGAAAUGUCUCCUAGUGUUACCACUGAGCCAUGGUAGCUUGCUACUGCUCUGGAACACUUAGGCUGGCCGGCAUGUGUCCUUCUUCGUUCCUGUGUCUGUCCCUUUGGGGAAAUGUCACGCAUUGAGUACCGGAGUCCUGUUAGCCCGCUACAGCCCGGUUUACCGGAGUCCUGCUAGCCUAGUGCUACAGCCCGGACCCACUUGCUGAUGACCGACACGUUCGUUGCUGGGUCAUGGAUGCCUGUCCCUGUAAGCCUGUGCCACUUUGGGUUUACAACUAGUCAUGUCAGCCCGGGCUCCUUAACAUAUGGAUGCUAGCGACACUAUCAUAUACGUGAGCCAAAAGGCGCAAACGGUCCCGGGCAAAGGUAAGGCGACACCCGUGGGGAUACCGUGCGUGAGGCCGCAAAGUGAUAUGAGGUGUUACAGGCUAGAUCGAUGUGUCAUCGAGUCGGGGUCCUGACAUGUUGCCUACAACGAGGCCUAUCCGACGUAGGACUUCUUUGUCGUUACCAAAGUCUACAGUAACGAAUUUGACUAGGUUGCUCUUGAGGAAGUCCUUAAAAUCCUGGCACUCAACGUCGGCAUGGCAUAUGUGGUAGACCAAGCAUAAGUCAUGCACGCAAACCUGGAUCAAGGUGGGCUUCUUCCUCUCUUCGUCCUUUAGAUCCUUCUCUCGUCCCACGACUGUGGUGUACUCAACAUCUAGCCCAGCGACCCACUCAUCAUCUGAGUCUUCGAACAUGCGUCUGAAGCGAGAAAGGCAUCCUUUCACCGUCGCGGAAGAACGGGUGCAGAUGACGUCGAACUCAUCACCAGUGAUGAUUCUAACCUUGUACUCACCGCCGAUCGGGGAGAUUUGGAACGCCAUGGAUUUGGGAGGAGGGUUAGGAUUAGUGGAACUGCCGUAAUGUACAAAUGUGAAUGGACGGGAUGACUAGGAGCGAACCGCCAUAGUAUUAAAGGACGUGUGGGGACGAGUAGGAGCGAACUGCCAGCGUGCGAACGGCAGGGUAGUGGCUUUCCGUUCUCCCAUGAAACGGCUUCCAAGAGCCCUUGGAUCGGAGAUCGAACGGUUGCAUGGCGUGAUUCUAGACCUAUGGGUGAAUAUCCUAUCCUGGAGGGUUAUUCCGCAAAUUUUCAGCAACUUAGCAUGCGGCCGUUUGAUCUCAAAUCCAAGGGCUGCUAGCAGCCCGCAUGAUGGUCGCGCCUACCACGACCGUCGCGUCGCUCGCAUGGUCGUGCCCUUGGAGAUUUAACACGGUGCGGUAGGCUGUCUGAUUUUGGCAUGUAAUACAUAGUCAUCACUUAGUCACUCAUACUACAACAAGGUUGGCUAUAAGGUUGGCUAUAAGUGUAUUUUUUUUACUCCUCUCUAUCACUUUCUUCGUACUCCCUCCGUCCCAUAAUAUAAGAAUGUUUUUGACACUAGCUAGUGUAGUGUCAAAAACGUUCUUAUAUAAUGGGACACAGGGAGUACUAGUAUUUAUUGCAUUUGCCAAGGAGUGACCUCUUCCAAGAAAUGGUGUUGCUAAGUUUGCUUAAUUUAAUUAGCUAUAGACUCAAAAUUGUCUUUUCACCUAGGUACACGCGCUUAGCACCGUUUCUUUCUUGGGUCACCAAACUAGUCUCUCUCUUCUUGAUUAACUUGCCACAUCAGACUUUAUGCCUAUGUGGCAAGCUUAAGCACCUGUUGGAGCAAGUAAGUACAAUAUUGCGCUUUACAUGGCAUUUUUGCAUAUGUGGAGGAAAGAGAGGCAAGGAAAAAGUGGAUAAGUGGGCUCUCAUGCAAGAGCCAGCCUCUACUACAUGGUGGAGCAUUGGGAGAGGCACCUGUAUGAAGGUGGUCAUGAAUCGGGAGACUCACGCCGGUCGUAGCGCCGCAGUUAAAAUGAUAAUGGAAAGUCAAAUCACGGGCCCCCACGUGUCCAGCAGUAACUCACUGUCAAAUCACACAGCCCUACGUUUGUAGUAGCCUACUCCCUCAUCUUCUCGCGUCUCUGUCGAACCGACUAGGCGGAACUGUCCCGCCGCCUACCGGGCUGGAAAAGCCCCGCCCUCGACUUUAAAUAGUAUAAAAAUUCUAAUUUUGUAUCCAUGGAUUGCGCCCGCGCCAUGGAGCAAAGCGUCUAGAAAAUGGCGGUACACAUGUACGGAGUAUACAACACACCCUCGCGUUUGCGUCGCACCCCAAACGGUCGGUCGGUCUGGCACGCUGCUCUCCGAAUGGAGCGCGCGUCAUAUUGUGUUCGCACACACAUGUGGGACGGCAAUUGAGAACCGAGUAUAGGCACACUCCUCGGCCCCGCAAGUCGGGUGACUUAAUAGAAGAGGGAGACGAGCGAUAGUACUAGAGAAGUGUUGUACUAUGUUGGUGCCUGGACAAUCCCUGCAAGACAUGGAAGAUCAGUUCGUCCAUGCAUGUGACCAGACUCCAGCAGACACGCCUGGUUUGGCUAUCGUCUACAUAUUGUGUAGGCUGUGUUGUACAUGGCUGUAGUUGUGGUGAGAAAUCUAAAAAAAGGUUUCUUGUCAUCUCGAAAAAUUAUGUGUCAUGUGCUUCGUAUCACUGCGAGGGUUAAACAGUGGCAACUGAGUUGGGCUAGUCAUUGGGGGCACAUGCACGAAUAGUGACUACUCGGCUGCCAUCUAGGUCAAGCCAGCUAUGUUAAUUAGGACAUCUAUCGACGGACCCCUUUUCUACGAGUUUAUCUUUAAUUUGAGCUUUGUUCUUCAUCUAGUUUGUCCGUCGGGAUUCAUGUUGUCUCCUUUGGGCAGUGAGGUUAUGAUUUCUUGUCAUGUGGCAUUUUUUCAUGUUAUAUGUUAUAAUCCGGCGCUUCAGAUCAAAAUGACGACAACUGCGCCUCCGGGCCACGUGCAUGAAGACUUCUCGACAGUCAUUGAUGAGGUCAAGCCGGCUCCGAUAGACAAAAGAAAACUAAGUACUACUCCACUAUAUAGGCAGGAGCCUCCGCGCUUGCUUGCUAGUGUUGCUCUCUUCACACUGUCUCGGCCUCUCCAGAUCUAAACAUGACAACGGUGGCCACUCUCUCUCUCUCUCUCUGCUCACUGCUGGUCACAUAUCCAGCCGGAUCCUCUCCACCGGGGAAGGUGAGAAGGUGCAAUGUUCACGCGGUCGUCCUCGGCGACGGCUCUUACCCACUGCUGGGCGCGUCCCGAUCAGCCUGCCUUGCUGUUCUCUCCCAAGCACCGCUGGCGAGGGAGGGCCUCCGACCCCUGCUUCCUCGCUGCCAUAGUGUGGGCAGAUACGACCUCCCGCCGCCCACCUAGUGACAUCCUAGCGACCAUCAGGUAUAACUUCCUUCGAAACUGGCCUUGCUCUACUUCCCGAGCUCCUGACGUCGCUGCAUUUGUAACUUUUACUAUUUCUCAGGCCCCUCGUAGAUAGGAUCGAUCGGCUGUUCGAAAACCACCUAAUUUUUUUAUGUUUAAGAGGUAAAACUAGUUCAUGCACUCGAAUAUAGUACUACUUGGUUCAAACAAGGAAUAAAGGGGGUGGGAGUGGGGGAGGAUUUGUUACCUGAAUCUAGGACUUGGUCGAAAGAGGAAAUAAUGGGGGCGAAAAGUAGGAGAGACUGGCUAUCCAACUAGUCUCUAGGUCUAAUAGGGAAAUAAAGGGAAACACAGUACAAACUCAAUAUAAACCCGAUCUAUUGGUUGAAAAAGGAAAGAAAGUGGGGACCGGGGGACAAGUCAACAGAGUAAGUCCAGCACUAGAUUUGCUAGCUUCACAUGGUAUAAGGUGGCUAUACCGAACAAAAAUGGGACCAACCCAGAUAUCCUGUUCUGAUGUUUGUUGCCCCGAGCCACUCUUAUGUAAUGCCACUGGUAAAAUGUAGCAGUCGCACUGCUAAAAGUAAGGACACGUUAAACCAAUGUUGUUUUCAGUGUAAUGCCUCCAGUAAUAUGAAUCAAUGGCACUUCUUUACAUGUCCUGCUAAAAUUUCCCAUUAAGAUAAGUUGGUUUUUUUCGUUAGAAAUGCAACUGUCCUGGUCCGCCUACUCUCCCGUGCCCAAAGUAAUGUCGUAUUUAACGAUUGUCAUAGUUAAUCCUAAUGCUCACACUAAUAUCUAGCAAUGCCACUGCUUUAGAAAUUGCUACUGUCCUUGUAGGAUUGCCAUUCAGAUAAGGAACAUGCUUCUUUUCAUUUGAUGCAUGUUUCAUCACUUGUUAGUCACCCUCCUUUCCACCUUUUUUGUGCACACAGAGAUAUACAUUUCACGCUCGAUCUUAGUUGAACUGCACAAAUGAUAUCCAAAUUAUAGUUGAGCAUUCCAGGAGCUUCAUAACCAACCUUGAUGUUGCUCAAUUUUAUUGCAACUAAUGAAGAAGAAGCUCUGUGGGUUUCGUUUUCUGAUGGAAAUGGAACCGGGGCAGGAGCCCUUUUCUUAAUUUUUUUUUUGAAGAAGCUGCUAGCUCACAGGACAUUGCUUCAUUUUAGGUGAACUGCACCGAAAGGUCCCAUGAAUUGAAUCAUCCAUGUUGGUGACUGAAAGAGCCAGCUUUAGCAUCCCAGUCUAAGCAGCCCCGGUGUAACGCCCCGGAUUCGAUGCGCCAGGUGUUUGCCAGUUAUUCGCCGUCUUUGCCAUGUCAUUUGCUUGCGUGUUGCAUUUUAUCAUGUCAUCAUGUGCAUUGCAUUGCAUAUGUGUUCGUCUCAUGCAUCCGAGCAUUUUCCCCGUUGUCCGUUUUGCAAUCCGGCACUCCUACGCCCUUCGGCGUCCCCCUUUUUGUCUCUUGUUGUGAGCGGGUGUCAAACUUUCUCGGAAUGGCCCGAGGCUUGCCAAGUGGCCUUGGUACACCACCGGUAGACCGCCUGUCAAGUUUCGUGCCAUUUUGAGGUCGUUUGGUACUCCAACGGUUAACCGCGUAGCCCGAAACCCCCCUUUCUCUUUGCAGCCCAACACCCUUCCAAACUGGCCCAAAACCCAUCCUAACCUCCUCCAUGCUCUCGGUCGUUCCAUCACGAUCGCGUGGCCGAAAACCGCUCCUCAUUUGGACUCUCCUAGCUCCCAGAAACUAUAAAUAUGCCCCUCCCCCCGAAAUUCGCGGAUGAAUUCUCCCCUGAAACCCUAGCUCCACCCUCCUCUGCGCUGCCGGACACGCCCGUCCCGCGGCGGACAUGUCCGCCCACCGCCCCGACGAAUCGCAGGCCGCCAUGUGUCCCCGCCGGCCUCUCUCUCUCCNNNNNNNNNNNNNNNNNNNNNNNNNNNNNNNNNNNNNNNNNNNNNNNNNNNNNNNNNNNNNNNNNNNNNNNNNNNNNNNNNNNNNNNNNNNNNNNNNNNNNNNNNNNNNNNNNNNNNNNNNNNNNNNNNNNNNNNNNNNNNNNNNNNNNNNNNNNNNNNNNNNNNNNNNNNNNNNNNNNNNNNNNNNNNNNNNNNNNNNNNNNNNNNNNNNNNNNNNNNNNNNNNNNNNNNNNNNNNNNNNNNNNNNNNNNNNNNNNNNNNNNNNNNNNNNNNNNNNNNNNNNNNNNNNNNNNNNNNNNNNNNNNNNNNNNNNNNNNNNNNNNNNNNNNNNNNNNNNNNNNNNGCCGCCGUGUUCCGCGAGCUCCGGCCAUCGCCCGCCCGACCUCGCCUCUGCCGACCCCGUUGCUCCUCCGCGCCGUCCGCGCCAGCUCCGGCCGGAUCCGGCCAGAUCCGGUUCGGCCCGGCCUCGCCAGCGUCCUCCCCGGCCCUCCGACCAUCUUCUUCUCCAUCUCCGGCGAGUUCUUCGGCCAUCCUCGUCUCCCCGCCGCCGUUGACUUUUCUGAGAUGGUAAUAAUUUGGCUAAGUCCCGAAAUAUUUUGACAUUAUCAUGCCAUGUUCAUCGCAUCAUAUCUCUGCAUCCGUAGCUCCGUUUUGUGCGUGUAAUAUGUCAAAUUGUUCGUCUCAAUGAGUGCUUCAUUUCAUUCCAUUGCACCAUGUUCAUUUGAGCUAAUCUUGAUGCCUGAAUCAUCGUUGCAAGAGUGCUUCAUAAUGUUGUCUGUUAACAGAACAUGCUCAUUUGUCAUUUUUGCCUUGUUUGAUGUGUGCAUCCUAUGAGGUUGAUGUCUACAUGUGUUUUGAACUAUGCCAUGCCAUCUUUACAGUGGUGUAUGCCAUGUAUUUUUGUGAUCAAUAUGGUGACUAGCACAAGCAUGCAAACUAGGCUUCGUGGUAUUGCUGAUUUUAGUCCCUGUUCUGCUGUUAUUUUUAUGCCAUGUAAACAUGAUGCUACAGAGAGAUCCAUGCAUAUUUUGAGAUAAUUCAGUAACUAUGUUUUGAACAUAUGGUUGUUCUUUAUCCAUUCAUGCCCCUGUUUGCAAUUAUGGAGUAGUCUAGCAUGUCAUUUUCGUGCUCUACUUUUGCUACAAAAUGUUUCCUGGCAGCUUGUUUACAUGUUAUUCAAUUUUGCCAAGGUUGUUGUAGUUGAUACUUGCAUGUUAUGAACUUGUUCUUGCCUUGUUUAGCUUCAUAAACAUGUCUUCUUGAUGAUGCUAUGAUUAUCUUGUCAUGCAAUGACUUGUGAGUGAAUCGAGCUUGUUAAGUAGGGUACAUGCUGUUGCUGUUUUGCUAGGCUGAAUCUGUUAUUUCAUGAUGCUACGUAAACCUGCUGCUAUAAGUCAUUCUAUGCAUAAUCUGGAGAUGUUCACUAAGGGUGUUUUGUUCUACAUGUUAUGCUCUAUCCAUCCAUGCCCCUGGUUGCAAUUAUAGCCUGCUGUAGCUUGUUGUUUUCUUGCUCCAAAGUUGCUAAAUAAUGUUGUUGUCAGCCUGUUAACAUUAAGUUCAGUUGUUGCCAUGAUUGUUGCUAGUGUUCCAUGCACCCUAUGAACUUGCUCUUGCCAUGCUUAGCUUCAUAAUCAUGUCUUCUUACUGUUGGUUGCCUUGCCAUGCCAUGUAUUGCUCUGUGGUGAGUGGUACAAGCUCAUCAACAUGCCUACUUAUUGUUGUUCCUGCCAUGUAUGAAUCUGUUAACGAAACUUGCUAUGUUUACAUGCGUGCCAUCAUAUCUUCUGAUCCUUUUUGGCUCAUGGUCAGUAAGGGACUUUUGAUCUAUGAUUUAAGUAGUUUCAUGCCAUGCCUUUGUUUGCCAUGAUAAGUUCUUGUAACAUGUUGUUUGAUAGCUCUAAACAUUGCAACCUGAUGUUAUUUUCUUCAAAGUCUGAACUGUUAUUAUUUGCAAUCUUGCCAUGUGUGUUUGAGCAUGUUCUAGUGAUUUUUGGAGAUAGCGCAGUGUUCAUGUUUUGUUAUGCUUUACCUGUACAUCACGCACAUGUAUUUUGUUUUCUUGUUGAGAUGCUGUAACAUGUUGUUUUGAUGCUAGCAGUAUGCCUAGUUGCUGUUUUGGACAGCUUGUCCUUAUAACUUGUUUAGAGUGUAUGCGUUGAACCGUCGCUCCGUUUUGAGUGUGCUCUAUAUGAAACUUGCUUGAUUUUGCAUGUAGUUUCAUAUUAUCAUGUUGCACCCUUGUUUUGGUGUGUUUGCUUGAUGUUUGAAUGCAUUUUGCAUCAAUACCAUGUUUAACUUGUUUUGCUCAUAUCUUCUAGGUCGUAGCUCCGAACUAAAUGAACUUUAUAUGUAACUUGACUAGAAUCUCGUGUAGAUCAUCUUUGUGUAUCUUAACUUGCUGUUUAACAACUUGAACAUAAGGUUUAUUCAGAUCUGGACCAACUUCGAAAUUUGCAUAUGAGGACAUACCGGAAUUGUUAUAUGUUGUUCCCGGCCUCAUUUAAACUUGCCUUGAUGUGUUGCUCUUGUUUGCAUCAUCUCUUGCCAUGAGUAGCUUCAUGUAGAUUUGUCAUGCAUCAUGCGUUGUUCAUGUGUGGUGUGUUUACCUUGUUGUGUACUUCUUCUCGAUAGUUCCUGUUUUGUUGCGAUCGUGAGGAUUCGUUCGUCUACGCUUGGUUCGGCUUCAUCCAUUCAUCUUCUUCAUGGACUCGUUCUUCUUCCUUGCGGGAUUUCAGGCAAGAUGACCGUCACCCUGGAUCUCACUACUAUCAUUGCUAUGCUAGUUGCUUCGUUCUAUCGCUAUGCUGCGCUACCUAUCAUUUACUCUUCAAGCCUCCCAGAUUGCCAUGAACCUAUAACCUUUGACACCCUUCCUAGCAAACCACUGUUUGGCUAUGUUACCGCUUUUGCUCAGCCCCUCUUAUAGAGUUGCUAGUUGCAGGUGAAGUUGAAGAUUGCCCCAUGAUGGACAGGAUUAUGUUGGGAUAUCACAAUAUCUCUUAUAUUAUUUGAUGCAUCUAUAUACUUGGUAAAGGGUGCAAGACUUGGCCUUAUGCCUGGUGUUUUUUUCCACUCUUGCCGCCCUAGUUUCCGUCAUACCGGUGUUAUGUUCCCGGAUUUUGCAUUCCUUACGCGGUUGGGUGAUUUAUGGGACCCCCUUGACAGUUCGCUUUGAAUAAAACUCCUCCAGCAAGGCCCAACCUUGGUUUUACAAUUUGCCUCACCUAGCCCUUUUUCCCUUGGGAGUCGCGCUCUCGAGGGUCAUCUUUAUUUUAUCCCCCCGGGCCAGUUGUCGUCGUGAGUGUUGGUCCAACCUGUCAACCGCCGGUGGCCACCAGGGGCAACUCUGGGGUGGCCUACCGGAAGUUUGGACAAUCCGGUGUGCCCUGAGAACGAGAUAUGUGCAACUCCUAUCAGGAUUUGUCGGCACAUUCGGGCGGCUUUGCUGGUCUUGUUUUACCAUUGUCGAAAUGUCUUGUAAACCGGGAUUCCGAGUCUGAUCGAGUCUUCCUGGGAGAAGUUAUAUCCUUCGUUGAUCGCGAGAGCUUAUUAUGGGCUAAGUUGGGACACCCCUGCAGGGUAUAAUCUUUCGAAAGCCGUGCCUGCGGUUAUAGGCAGAUGGGAAUUUGUUAAUGUCCGGUUGUAGAUAACUUGACACCAGAUACGAAUUAAAACGCAUCAACCGCGUGUGUAGCCGUGAUGGUCUCUUUUCGGCGGAGUCCGGGAAGUGAACACGAUUUUGGGUUAUGUUUGACGUAAGUAGGCGUUCAGGAUCACUUCUUGAUCAUUGCUAGCUUCACGAACAUUCCGCUUGCUCUCUUCUCGCUCUUAUUUGCGUAUGUUAGCCACCAUAUAUGCUUAGUCGCUGCUGCAGCCUCACCACUUUACCCCUUCCUUUCCUUUUAAGAUUUGCUAGUCUUGAUACCCAUGGUAAUGGGAUUGCUGAGUCCUCGUGGCUCACAGAUUACUACAACAACAGUUGCAGGUACAGGUUAGGUGAUGAUCAGGACGCGAGAGCGAUGUUUUCUUGGAGUUCUUCUUCUGCUUCUUCUUCGAUCAGGGGAUAGGUUCCAGGUCGGCAUCCUAGGCUAGCAGGGUGGAUGUCGUUUGAGUUUUUGUUUGUGUUUCAUCCGUAGUCGGAUGUUGCUCUUAUGUCUUGUGAUGUUGUACUCGUGUGGCAUUGUAUGCCUCUUGUAUGUAUCCCCAUCUAUUAUGUAAUGUUGAUGUAAUGAUAUCCACCUUGCAAAAGCGUUUCAAUAUGCGGGUCUAUCCUUGGUGGGACCUUCGAGUUCCUUUUGGAUAGGGUCGCAUAUUGGGCGUGACAAGUUGGUAUCAGAGCCUCGACCGACCCUAGGAGCCCCUUGAUUGAUCGUGUAGUUUGGCCGAUGUUGAGUCUAGAAUAAAACUGUUUUUCAGAGUCUAGUUAUAUCGAAGAGUAGGAAUUCUUUUUACUCCUCAGCCCCUUUCGUCGCUCUGGUAAGGAAUCUUGACGUAGGUGUUUUGAAUUACUCCUCUUCCCCUUCAAAAAUUUUCUUUAGGAUCACGCGGUUUGUUUUUGGUCGUUGGUUCUCGUCUCUUUUCAUCCGGUGCAUUUCUUGUCAAGUCAACUCGAGCCUCUUCAUCAUUGCCAAGUUCAAUCCUCAGUUGUCUUCUUUUCCCACCCGCCCACCCCUUCUUCUUCUUGGAACCGGAGUACAUAAUCGAGUAUCCAUCCUACUCAUGCGAAGCCUUUGCUUUCUUUCAACCGGUGUUUCCUCUUGAAGUUAUUCGUCGGUUCCCCCUCCCAAGUUGCCUUUGUUUUCCCNNNNNNNNNNNNNNNNNNNNNNNNNNNNNNNNNNNNNNNNNNNNNNNNNNNNNNNNNNNNNNNNNNNNNNNNNNNNNNNNNNNNNNNNNNNNNNNNNNNNNNNNNNNNNNNNNNNNNNNNNNNNNNNNNNNNNNNNNNNNNNNNNNNNNNNNNNNNNNNNNNNNNNNNNNNNNNNNNNNNNNNNNNNNNNNNNNNNNNNNNNNNNNNNNNNNNNNNNNNNNNNNNNNNNNNNNNNNNNNNNNNNNNNNNNNNNNNNNNNNNNAGUCUGAGUCUCUUGUGACCAUCAAUUUCAUUUGUGCAGAGUAUCUUCAGUCUUUCCUCAAUUAUUUCAACCGUUGAAUUCUCGUCUCGUUCGUCAUUCUUCAUCCCUUUCUUUUUCCGGUGCACUCUAUUCAAGUUUUUCGGGAGAUCACAUUCUUUUCCUUGGUUAAAGUAUUCUCCUUGCUCGUUCGCCUCUCGCCAUUCAAUCAUUCCGGAGUUCAGAAGACAUCUCAGGAGAUUUGUUUGUGUUCCAAUUAAUUCGAGGUUGUCACCUCAUUCAAAUAUUUCAAUUGUUCCGGUGCAUCAUCUAUCUACUCAACAUCCUUUCCAACGGUGUUUUUCUCUUCAGUGGGCCCUAACCCACAGGUCUUUUCCCAGGAUCUUACCCGACUCUUCUAAUUAUUCUGAAGCCAUUCCAAAUUCUUUUCAAGUGUGACGUAAGAAUGAAUUUCAUCAGUCACAUGCCUUCUCCAAGAUCGUUUUCAAAUUAUUUUCAUUGUUGGCUCAACCUCUUCGCUUUUCAUUCUCCCGGAGUAUCUCAGUAAUUUUGGUGGUAUUUCUUGUCAUCAUUUGAAGAUCGAAGAAGAGCCUCUCAAUCAUGUCCGUUCUCUCGAAGAUUCAUGGCUCUAGCUUCAUGUUAUCCUUGCAAAUUAUUCCAUUUGUCAGAUAUUCUUUUCUUACCCAUCCGGAGUAUGUCAGAAGUUGUUUUCCCGUUUCUUUUCACCGGAGGCCAUCUUUCCAUAAGAAUUCUUCGUCCUCACAUUUCAGUUACCGUUAUCCAAUUAUCCCGGUGCUUCCGUUCAAGUGUUCUUUAAUCAUCUCAUUAUCUCUUCGUUCUUUUGCAUCUAAAUCCCCUCUUGCUUAUUGGUUCUUAUAAUUCAUCCCGGUGAUUAAGUCUCUUGCAUCACUCAUUUCGAAUUCUUACGAUGGUUCCUUCAAAUUAUUUUUCUUUGAUUAUCAUAUUAAUCCAUUCGUUCUUUCGAAUCCUACCGGUGGCUCAGGAAGACCUUCUCAAGUUUGCGAUAUGUCACUUCUCAAUCCUUUUCAACAAGAAUAAGUAGUAUGAAAAAUCCAUUGCGUGUCAUCAAUUUAAUUUGAUGAAGGAUAAUCAUACAAUAAAUCUUACUCUUAUUUCAUCCAAGUGAGUAAUCCCUUCCUUCGGAGUUUGUUCUUGAUGAAUAAAUUCUAGGCCCAAGUGUUUUCAUAUUUUCUUUUCCGGAGUUCAAAUUUCCUCGGCCAUUUCGUCAGAACCACCAUCUAAAUCAUCGUAAGGCUCAUCUUAUUCUUUAUUCCUUCAUUCUGUCUCAUCGUGUUUUGUCACCGGAGUUCUUCAUGGUGGUUCUUCACGAUUUAAUUCAUUCCUCAAGUGUUCAUCAAGAUUCUUGUAGGCGAAGCUCAAGUUUUCUUCUUCUUGCUUCGCGAGGUGCAUUUAAUUCUCCGUUUUCUUUUGAAAUGGAGUUUUGCAUUUCUUCUUUCUUCCCAGUUAUUUUAUCUUUUCUGCUCGUGGUUGGUUAUCACCUCAUAAUUUCUGAGAUGUUAUCCAUAAGUCCACGACAAGCUUAUUCUUUUCGUUGUUGAAUUUUCUCAACAACUCCAUUCAAUCUUUUCUUCUAAGGUUGCUUUCUAUUUCAUUCGCGGCAUAAGAGUCAUUUUCUUCUCCGUUCUUUUCAUUCAACUCUUUAAUUCUUUCCAGAGGUUUUGUGUCAUGUCUUCAUCAGGUAUCAUUCCAUCCCCUCAAGUUCAUGUUCUUUUCCUUCCAUUUUCAGCCGGAGUGCUGCCUAAAUCCUUUCAGUCUUAUUCGUUUCUUAUCUCGUUCUAACCAGAGUGCUUUCAUAGUCUAUCUGAUUCAGUGAGCUUUCGAUUCUCGUCAUUCUCGUCGUUCCUCUCUUAUUCUCGAGUGCUCUCGAUUCUUUGCUUCUUCUCUUCAGUUCUUGCUUCACCUCAUCCUUUUCCCUUCCGUCUCGGUCCUAAGAUCUCGGGACGAGAUCUCUUGUUAGUGGAGGAGUGUUGUAACGCCCCGGAUUCGAUGCGCCAGGUGUUUGCCAGUUAUUCGCCGUCUUUGCCAUGUCAUUUUCUUGCAUGUUGCAUUUUAUCAUGUCAUCAUGUGCAUUGCAUUGCAUACGUGUUCGUCUCAUGCAUCCGAGCAUUUUCCCCGUUGUCCGUUUUGCAAUCCGGCACUCCUACGCCCUUCGGCGUCCCCCUUUUUGUCUCUCGUUGUGAGCGGGUGUUAAACUUUCUCGGAAUGGCUCGAGGCUUGCCAAGUGGCCUUGGUACACCACCGGCAGACCGCCUGCCAAGUUUCGUGCCAUUUGGAGGUCGUUUGGUACUCCAACGGUUAACCGCGUAGCCCGAAACCCCCCUUUCUCUUUGCAGCCCAACACCCUUCCAAACUGGGCCAAAACCCAUCCUAACCUCCUCCAUGCUCUCGGUCGUUCAAUCACGAUCGCGUGGCCAAAAACCGCUCCUCAUUUGGACUCUCCUAGCUCCCAGAAACUAUAAAUAUGCCCCUCCCCCCGAAAUUCGCGGAUGAAUUCUCCCCUGAAACCCUAGCUCCACCCUCCUCUGCGCCGCCGGACACGUCCGUCCCGCGGCGGCCAUGUCUGCCUGCCGCCCCGAUGAAUCGCAGGCCGCCAUGUGUCCCCGCCGGCCUCUCUCUCUCUCCUCCCGCCGCCGCCNNNNNNNNNNNNNNNNNNNNNNNNNNNNNNNNNNNNNNNNNNNNNNNNNNNNNNNNNNNNNNNNNNNNNNNNNNNNNNNNNNNNNNNNNNNNNNNNNNNNNNNNNNNNNNNNNNNNNNNNNNNNNNNNNNNNNNNNNNNNNNNNNNNNNNNNNNNNNNNNNNNNNNNNNNNNNNNNNNNNNNNNNNNNNNNNNNNNNNNNNNNNNNNNNNNNNNNNNNNNNNNNNNNNNNNNNNNNNNNNNNNNNNNNNNNNNNNNNNNNNNNNNNNNNNNNNNNNNNNNNNNNNNNNNNNNNNNNNNNNNNNNNNNNNNNNNNNNNNNNNNNNNNNNNNNNNNNNNNNNNNNNNNNNNNNNNNNNNNNNNNNNNNNNNNNNNNNNNNNNNNNNNNNNNNNNNNNNNNNNNNNNNNNNNNNNNNNNNNNNNNNNNNNNNNNNNNNNNNNNNNNNNNNNNNNNNNNNNNNNNNNNNNNCAGCGCCGCGCCCCAGCGCCUCCCCUCGUCGGCGCCGUCCGCGCCGCCGCGUGCCGCGAGCUCCGGCCGUCGCCCGCCCGACCUCGCCUCCGCCGACCCCGUCGCUCCUCCGCGCCGUCCGCGCUAGCUCCGGCCGGAUCCGGCCAGAUCCGGUCCGGCCCGGCCUCGCCAGCGUCCUUCCCGGCCCUCCGGCCAUCUUCUUCUCCAUCUCCGGCGAGUUCUCCGGCCAUCCUCGUCUCCCGCGCCACCGUUGACUUUUCUGAGAUGGUAAUAAUUUAGCUAAGUCCCGAAAUAUUUUGACAUUAUCAUGCCAUGUUGAUUGCAUCAUAUCUCUGCAUCCGCAGCUCCGUUUUGUGCGUGUAAUAUGUAAAAUUGUUCGUCUCAACGAGUGCUUCAUUUCAGUCCAUUGCACCAUGUUCAUUUGAGCUCAUCUUGAUGCCUGAAUCAUCAUUGCAAGAGUGCUUCAUAAUGUUGUCUGUUGUUUGUUAACAGAACAUGCUCAUUUGUCAUUUUUGCCAUGUUUGAUGUGUGCAUCCUAUGAGGUUGAUGUCUACAUGUGUUUUGAACUAUGCCAUGCCAUCUUUACAGUGGUGUAUGCCAUGUAUUUUUGUGAUCAAUGUGGUGACUAGCACAAGCAUGCAAACUAGGCUUCGUGGUAUUGCUGAUUUUAGUCCCUGUUCUGCUGUUAUUUUUAUGCCAUGUAAACAUGAUGCUACAGAGAGAUCCAUGCAAAUUUUGAGAUACUUCAGUAAGGAUGUUUUGAACAUAUGGUUGUUCUUUAUCCAUUCAUGCCCCUGUUUGCAAUUAUGGAGUAGUCUAGCAUGUCAUUUUCGUGCUCUACUUUUGCUACAAAAUGUUUCCUGGCAGCUUGUUUACAUGUUAUUCAAUUUUGCCAAGGUUGUUGUAGUUGAUACUUGCAUGCUAUGAACUUGUUCUUGCCUUGUUUAGCUUCAUAAACAUGUAUUCUUGAUGAUGCUAUGCUUAUCUUGUCAUGCAAUGACUUGUGGUGAGUGAAUCGAGCUUGUUAAGUAGGGUACAUGUUGUUGCUGUUUUGCUAGGCUGAAUCUGUUAUUUCGUGAUGCUAUGUAAACCUGCUGCUACAAGUCAUUCUAUACAUAAUCUGGAGAUGUUCACUAAGGGUGUUUUGUUCUACAUGUUAGGAUCUAUCCAUCCAUGCCACUAGUUGCAAUUAUAGACUGUUGUAGCUUGUUGUUUUCUUGCUUGAAAGUUGCUAAAUAAUGUUGCUGUCAGCCUGUUAACAUUAAGUUCAGUUGUUGCCAUGAUUGUUGCUAGUGUUCCAUGCACUCUAUGAACUUGCUCUUGCCAUGCUUAGCUUCAUAAUCAUGUCUUCUUACUGUUGGUUGCCUUGCCAUGCCAUGUAUUGCUCUGUGGUGAGUGGUACAAGCUCAUCAACAUGCCUACUUAUUGUUGUUCCUGCCAUGUAUGAAUCUGUUAACGAAACUUGCUAUGUUUACAUGGGUGCCAUCAUAUCUUCUGAUCCUUUUUGGCUCAUGGUGAGUAAGGGACUUUUGAUCUAUGCUUUAAGUAGUUUCAUGCCAUGCCUUUGUUUGCCAUGAUAAGUUCCUGUAACAUGUUGUUUGAUAGCUCUGAACAUUGCAACCUGAUGUUAUUUUCUGCAAAGUCUGAACUGUUAUUAUUUGCAAUCUUGCCAUGUGUGUUUGAGCAUGUUCUAGUGAUUUCUGGAGAUAGCCCAGUGUUCAUGUUUUGUUAUGCUUUACCUGUACAUCAUGCGCAUAUCUUUUGUUUUCUUGUUGAGAUGCUGUAACAUGUUGUUUUGAUGCUAGCAGUAUGCCUAGUUGCUGUUUUGGACAGCUUGUCCUUAUAACUUGUUUAGAGUGUAUGCAUUGAACCGUCGCUCCGUUUUGAGUGUGCUCUAUAUGAAACUUGCUUGAUUUUGCAUGUAGUUUCAUAUUAUCAUGUUGCAUCCUUGUUUUGGUGUGUUUGCUUGAUGUUUGAAUGCAUUUUGCAUCAAUGCCAUGUUUAACUUGUUUUGCUCAUAUCUUCUAGGCCGUAGCUCCGAACUAAAUGAACUUUAUAUGUAACUUGACUAGAAUCUCGUGUAGAUCAUGUUUGUGUAUAUUAACUUGCUGUUUAACAACUUGAACAUAAGGUUUAUUCAGAUCUGGACCAACUUUGAAAUUUGCAUAUGAGGACUUACCGGAAUUGUUAUAUGUUGUUCUCGACCUCAUUUAAACUUGCCUUGAUGUGUUGCUCUUGUUUGCAUCAUCUCUUGCCAUGAGUAGCUUCAUGUAGAUUUGUCAUGCAUCAUGCCUUGUUCAUGUGUGGUGUGUUUACCUUGUUGUGUGCUUCUUCUCGAUAGUUCCUGUUUCGUUGUGAUCGUGAGGAUUCGUUCAUCUACGCUUGGUUCGGCUUCAUCCGUUCAUCUUCUUCAUGGACUCGUUCUUCUUCCUUGCGGGAUUUCAGGCAAGAUGACCGUCACCCUAGAUCUCACUACUAUCAUUGCUAUGCUAGUUCCUUCGUUCUAUCGCUAUGCUGCGCUACCUAUCAUUUACUCUUCAAGCCUCCCAGAUUGCCAUGAACCUCUAACCUUUGACACCCUUCCUAGCAAACCACUGUUUGGCUAUGUUACCGCUUUUGCUCAGCCCCUCUUAUAGCGUUGCUAGUUGCAGGUGAAGUUGAAGAUUGCCCCAUGAUGGAUAGGAUUAUGUUGGGAUAUCACAAUAUCUCUUAUAUUAUUUAAUGCAUCUAUAUACUUGGUAAAGGGUGGAAAACUCGGCCUUAUGCCUGGUGUUUUGUUCCACUCUUGCCGCCCUAGUUUCCGUCAUACCGGUGUUAUGUUUCCGGAUUUUGCGUUCCUUACGCGGUUGGGUGAUUUAUGGGACCCCCUUGACAGUUCGCUUUGAAUAAAACUCCUCCAGCAAGGCCCAACCUUAGUUUUACCAUUUGCCUCACCUAGCCCUUUUUCCCUUGGGAGUCGUGCUCUCGAGGGUCAUCUUUAUUUUAUCCCCCAGGCCAGUGCUCGUCGUGAGUGUUGGUCCAACCUGUCAACCGUCGGUGGCCACCAGGGGCAACUCUGGGCUGGCCUACCGGAAGUUUGGACAAUCUGGUGUGCCCUGAGAACGAGAUAUGUGCAGCCCCUAUCAGGAUUUGUCGGCACAUUCGGGCGGCUUUGCUUGUCUUGUUUUACCAUUGUCGAAAUGUCUUGUAAACCGGGAUUCUGAGUCUGAUUGGGUCUUCCUGGGAGAAGGUAUAUCCUUCGUUGAUCGCGAGAGCUUAUCAUGGGCUAAGUUGGGACACCCCUGCAGGGUAUAAUCUUUCGAAAGCCAUGCCUGCGGUUAUAGGCAGAUGGGAAUUUGUUAAUGUCCGGCUGUAGAUAACUUGACACCAGAUACGAAUUAAAACGCAUCAACCGCGUGUGUAGCCGUGAUGGUCUCUUUUCGGCGGAGUCUGGGAAGUGAACACGGUUUUGGGUUAUGUUUGACAUAUGUAGGCGUUCAGGAUCACUUCUUGAUCAUUGCUAGCUUCACGACCGUUCCGCUUGCUCUCUUCUCGCUCUUAUUUGCGUAUGUUAGCCACCAUAUAUGCUUAGUCGCUGCUGUAGCCUCACCACUUUAGCCCUUCCUUUCCCUUUAAGCUUUGCUAGUCUUGAUACCCAUGUUAAUGGGAUUGCUGAGUCCUCGUGGCUCACAGAUUACUACAACAACAGUUGCAGGUACAGGUUAGGUGAUGAUCAGGACGCGAGAGCGAUGUUUGCUUGCUUGGAGUUCUUCUUCUGCUUCUUCUUCGAUCAGGGGAUAGGUUCCAGGUCGGCAGCCUGGGCUAGCAGGGUGGAUGUCGUUUGAGUUUCUGUUUGUGUUUCAUCCGUAGUCGGAUGUUGCUCUUAUGUAUUGUGAUGUUGUACUUGUGUGGCAUUAUAUGCCUCUUGUAUGUAUCCCCAUCUAUUAUGUAAUGUUGAUGUAAUGAUAUCCACCUUGCAAAAGCGUUUCAAUAUGCGGGUCUAUCCUUGGUGGGAUCUUCGAGUUCCUUUUGGAUAGGGUCGCAUAUUGGGCGUGACACCCGGCCUCCAUCCUUGCGACGCACGGUACACCUCGUUUGCCACCUGCUUGACCCUAGUGUCACUGAUAAAAUGAAGUAAUAAUACAGUUAAAAUAGAGCGAGUGUCAUCUCUAUCAUUUCAUUUCCAAUGUAGAGAAAGAAAGUGCUUCUCUUUGUUAAAGUAUGUUUCAUCAACUAGUCCCAUUGUUAAUGUUUAAGCGUUUCUGCAAACUGGGGUGCUUAAUUUUAGUUGAUAUGUACAAAAAUAGAGAUUUGAAUGUCUCAAGGCGUCUCCUUGUACUACUGAUGUACACUGAUGUUCAUCACUGGCAGAUGGUGUAUCUGGGAGACUUGGGACGAUGUCCAGUAUGAGGCGUACCGUACGAGGCGUCGCAGGGCCCAUCUCGCCCUCGCAGCAUGGCAUACUAUGAUACUAUCGCAAUAUUUUCUUCUAUUUAUUUUGUGUUUCAUCAACUAGUGUCACUGUAAUGUAAUCACACUUUUUCAUUAUCUGUGCAAACAGGGUUAUUCAGCUGCACUUUGGUGGAACUACAAAAAUGUACGUAUGGAACUGGCAUAUAUGCAGAGUGCGAGGUGUGCCAAGUAAAAAUUACCGACACCAACCAUGCUGCAUGCACGUAUUGGCAUCCACCACCACCAGUGGGAUGUGUGGCGCUCUCUGUGGAUGGAUCUUUCUCGGCAGCAAAUCCUCUUACCAAAUAAUAGUAGCUUAUAUUGGUAGUUUUCUAGGGAGUACUCUUUUUUGAAAGAAGCACCAAUCUAUUUUUCUUUAUUUGUACACUGUGUCACAACUUUGACCCAAAGGUCCAGAGCUAUUUUAGGGUGAUUGGCAUAGUACUAGGAGACCGAUUGUAAGCAUGAUUUUCAUUAGCUGUCACACUGAUUGUAAGCAUGAGCAGGUGGAAGAUUAGGUUAGUCCGAAGCUUACCUUAAACCCUACCACCAUUGUUGAAACGAGGCGAGCGUCGAGGGAACCAUGGAGAACGGCGGGGAAGCGACGCCGCGCCAUCCGGCCUCCUCUUGCGGUGGGAGAAUGAAUACUCCUGUGGCUUCGGCUGGCUCUGCACCCUCACGAACGGCACACCAUACUCGAUCGAUUCAUUAUCCUCUGGGUGCUCGACCUUCGACCUGUACACCCACCACCUCCGCCUGACUGUCGCCUCGGGCGAAUCUGUCUGCUCCAUCACCCAUUGGAGAUACUCGAUGAACUCGGAGGACUGCGGCGUGACUGCCGCCGAGGAGUACAUGUACAUCGCCGCCCUCAUCGCUGCCGUCUCGCUCUUUCGCAUACAUUGCCACAUGGCCCGCACCGUCCUCAAAAUCUCCCACUCAUUGUCAAACAAACUAAGGAUCUCCUUCAACCUGGCUAACUUUGCCUGGUCGCCGCCGGUGAUCUUCCUGAUUCGCUGCUGCAUCCUCUCCAUAGAUGUCGUUCUGAGUGGUCCGGUGCUAGCUUUGGAAGAUGGGAGGAGAGACGGUGGUCUUGCAAUAGAGAAGAGGGAGAGGAGAGGAGGUGGUUUUGGAAUGGAGAUGAUGAAGAGGAGAGGAGGUGGUUUUGCAAUGGAGAGAAGAUCAGAAGAGGGAGAGGCGAGAUGGUGGUUUUGGAAUGGAGAUGAUGGAGAGGAGAGGAGGUGGUUUUGGAAUGGAGAUGAUGGAUAGGAGAGGAGGUGGUUUUGCAAUGGAGAAGAUCAGAAGAGGGAGAGGCGAGACAGUGGUUUUGGAAUGGAGAUGAUGGAGAGGAGAGGAGGUGGUUUUGCAAUGGAGAAGAGGGAGAGGAGCGUGCGGCAGCGAUUUAGGAUUGGGCGAGAGGACCGGCGCACUGUGACUGGAUCAAAAUCAAAAUCAAUUUACCCUUCAAUUAAGAAAGCGACCCCACAUUAACUAGUCUCCCUUUUAUUCUGGGUCAUAAUUGACCAUGAUUUUCGCACAUAAAAUAUAUUUUAUACGUUGCAAAAAUAAUAUAAUUUGAAAGUACAUUCAGAUACGAACCAAACGAUACAAUUUUUGGUGACAUGCAUUCACAUUUUGCUUGUCACAUACAGUACGUGGUCAAACUUUGACCCAAAAUACGCAAAACAACAAAAAAAUACUUCCAAGACCAGCGCCGCUCUUCCGCUCUUAUCCUCUUAAACCACCGCCGCUCCUCUCCUGUUCCAAUCUAAAUCCAGCGCCACUCCUCUCCUCUUCCAUUUCAAAACAACUGCCCCUCCUCUCCUGUUCCAGUCCAAAACCAGCGUCGCUCCUCUCCCGUUCUAAUCCAAAACCAGUGCUGCUCCUCUCCUCUUCCAUUCAAAAACCACCACCGGCGAGUGAAGGUGCUGUGGAGAAGUAGAUCGAUGGAGGAGUACAACCGAUACGUGAGGAUCGCAGACGGCGACCCUGUGAAGCUAGCUAGGAUGUUGGAGAUACAAUCUUGGUUUGACAACAAGGACCAACUAGCGGCGACGGCGACAUCCAUGGCCAAAUAUCUACAACAGAGCGAAAAGGCAGCGAUACUCCCGGAGGGAGUCGCGCUGGAGUACAUAGAGCUGCUCCUCUGGGCCAUGGAGCAAACAGAUUCACCGAAUCCGAUCGUGACGGAGCGGUGGUGGGAGUAUCGAUCCCAGAUGGAGCAUCCACCAGAGAUUGAAGGAUCGAGCAUCUACAGGGUGCCGUUUGUGAGGGUGUCCUGCCAGAGCGAGGCGGUGGAGUCUUCGUCGAUCGAACCCAACUGCAAGAGUAGAAAAGCAGUUGGCCCGACGACGCUUCCCCGCCAUUGUCUCCCUCGCCGUUCACAUCGUCUCACGGGGCGGCUGUCUGCCGCCGCGGAAUAGGAGGGGGCUGCCCUCAACCCCCAGCCCAAUAGUCGGGCAGGUUGUGAAUUGUCAGGAGGAGCUUAGGGUUGUCAGUAUUUGCAUGUCGUGAAUUGUGUUUUGUGUUGUGUAUUUUGAGAGUACUUUUAGAUAUGAAUGUGUUUUGAAUUUCAGAUUUGCAGUAUUGAGCAUAUGAAGAAUUUUAUGAAUUCUAGAGAUCUAUUUUUAGCACUUAAAAAAUGUAGUUUCAUAGGAGUAUAAAAGUGCAGACGAGAAGAAACUGCAAGUUUCAGUUUCAGAUAAGAAACUGCAAGUUCAGUUUCAGAUAAGAAACUGCAACUUUCAGAGGCAGAGCAUUUAUAUUAACACGGCCUUUUCAAACAGGGUUAACAUCAUGUUGGAAGUUUUAUUCAUGGUCGAAAAUGGAACUACCAGCCAGUUAACAUCAUGCUGAUCAACAUUCAUGCAUAGCACAUCUUCAUAUGAUGCACAGUCAAAAUGCCCACACAAUGUCGAGUGUGCGAAACACAGAGAAAACGAGGGACAAAGUUUUGGCAAGUUUUGGACGUGGUUUUGGGCUGCCCCGUCUAGGCUUUCAUUUUUAACAUCCACAGCCCACGACCUCGGAUGGGAAGGCCUGUUUGUAUUUUCUUAGGGCCGUCAUGUAUCGACAGCGGUCAUUGGACCUCCCAUCCGAGGUUUUAUUUUUGGCAGCCCAAUUUAUGUAUUUUUUUUGAAGAAAACACAGAGGUCUGUUCUAUUUUUCUAUAUAAGAAUAGGAACACCAGGUACAACUUAUGUUUCCCUUCUAACUAUAUUAUAUAUGUUUAGAUUAUUUUAUAUGUUAUUAUAUAUUAUUUUUAUUGUCAUCAUAUAUUUAACAUAUACUUACAUAUGUAAGAAAACAAUAUCCCACAUCUUAUUAACUUAUAAAAAUAAUUUCUUAACAAAUAAAAUCCUGGAUUGUUUUGGCACGAAAAUCCUAGUGAUUGUGUACAAAAUCUUGUUAAUAUUUAAAUACGAAUGUAAUAAUAUCACUUAUUAUUUAAAUAUAUUUAUAACAAAAUGCUCAGCCCUUUUUUACUUUUUGAUAACAUUGCUGGCCCAACCCAACAUUAUAAUUAGAAUCAGCCCAGCAAAAUCAUGUAUCUAGAUAAAGUGCAAAUGGCCUGUAAUUUUUUAGGAAAUAAAAUAAAUGGGCCGCAUGGAUGCUACAUUAAUUGUUCACCCAACCCAGCUAAUGGCUAUAAUUCAAAAAAAAUAUAUCAAAUUGACUGUAAAUUCUACCACGCAAAAAAAGACUGUAAAUUCUGAAAAGAUGGGUUGAAUACGUGCCACAUUUUUGGAGGCUGAAACGUGGGCCAAUAGGUCGAAGCCAACGCAAGUCGUUGUCAAUUUAGUCAACAAAUGAUUCUGACAUGUUAGCCGUUGGAUUUAUAUCUAAUGACCGGCAUCCAUCUUCAAUCUCUCGUCUUCUUCCCCUAGCGCCGCCGGGACCACCUCCCGCCUCCUGCUGCUAGCAGCUCUGCUUAGCACGCUUCGCUAUGAAGCGCUACUCCAGCGUUGGCCAGGCCAUCCCUCCACCCCUCCACACCUCCUGUUCUUCUCCACCGACUGCCGAACCACACCGCACUAGAACCAGUUAACCCUCGUACACCUCUUCGUCUGCGACUCUACUCCUGCGUCUUCCCAUCUCUGGGUCGUCGCUGUCCGGGGCCUCGCCGUCAUCCACCACCUUGGAUGCGCUCGGCACGGCGUGGUCAACGUGGUCAACGAAAGACACCAUCGGAAGUAGACUGUGCAUGGAGAGGCUGACAGCUGGGUCCACGGCCGCACACAAGGAAAUGCCUCCUUAUUACGCGCAAAAUAAUGAUUCCUCCAUCUGAUAUCUGGGACCCACCGGAAGGGCCUCUGUAUUUCGCGAAAAAAACGUGCCCCCCGCUGACUUGUCGGACCCACCAGCUAUAUUCGCACGCAAGAAAGUGCCUUCUUAUUACGCACAAAAAAAUGAAUACUCCCCCUGCCAGCUGGAACCCAGCAUACUGGGAGGCUGACUUGUGGGCCUACCAAGUUGACGGGGAUGGAGGGCUUUGUCAACUUAGUCAAUAUGAACGAUUCUAGCUCCCGUUACCGUACGAUGUUCAUCCAACGGUUGUAGUGCUUCUUCAACCUCUGGUCUUCUUGCUCCAGCCGCCCAAACCAGCGCCGGUCGUACCGCGUGCUCCUGCCUCCCGUGGCCGGCUUUGAUGCCGUGGAGGCCUCACCACCCCCUACAACUCCCACCGCUGGCCAGGCCAUCCCUCUACUCACCCACACCCCCUAUUAUUCUGCGGCGACAGCAGCCUCAUACCGCAGCCAAACCAGUGAACCCUCGUACUCCUCUUCGCGUGCACGUCCACUGCUGCGUCUUCCCCGGCUCCGAGUCGUCCCCUUCCUAGGCCUCGCCGUCGUCCACCGCCGUGGUGCUCUCGGCACGGCGUGGUUAACAUGGUCAAGGAACGACUUCCAUCGGACGUGGACUGUACGUGGAGAGGCUGACAGCUGGGUCCACGGCCGCAGCAAGGAAGUGCCUCCUUAUUACGCGAAAAAUAAUGAUUCCUCCACAUGACAGCGGGGACCCACCGGAUGGGCCACCGUAUUUCGUGAAAAAAAAGUUUCCCCCUGACUGGUGGGACCCGCCAGCUACAUCUUCGCACGCAAGGAAGUGCGUCCGGGAAAAAAAAAACGAUUUGCCCCCUGACUGCUGGGACCCACCAGCUACAUCUUCACAUGCAAGGAAGUGCGUCCGGGCAAAAAAAACGAUUCACCCCCCUGACUGCUGGGACCCACCAGCUACAUCUUCGCAGGCAAGGAAGUGCCUGAUAGUCGGGACUCACCUGGUCGAAGCGUACGUAGCGUUAUCAUUCUGGUCGCGAACGUGUACGUACAUACUGGUCGAUGUAGAGGUGUGCACGUGUCGUAGUAGAGGCGCGCACGUGUCGUAGUAGAGGCGCGGACGUAGCAUGUACACGUACGUACAGUGGCGAGGGUGCAAGAAAGAAAAUAUGUCCACGUACGUACAUACGGGAAGGAUCUCGAACGCCUACUCACGCAUACGUACAUGGCUGGGUCGGAACGGAGAAACAACAUCGUCGUCGUGUUCAUGGGGAGCCAACAGGCUGGGUCGGAACGGAAUGCGUGGUCGUGUUCAUCGGGAGGGCUGGAUGGAACAGGCGAUGGAAAUGAGGUCUGGCGUACCGCACAACGGAGGAAACGGAUCUCCUACGUUCGGAACGGGGUCCUGUUGAUUGGGAGGGGUGUGGCGUACCGCAAAACGGAGGAAACGGACCUCCUACGGUCGAAACGGGGGUCCUGUUGAUCGGGAGGGGUGUGGCAUACCGCAAAACGUACGAAACGGACCUCCUACGGUCGAAAGAGGGGUCCUGUUCAUCGGGAGGGGUGUGGCGUACCGCAAAAUGAGACUCCACGGGAUACUGUUCAUCUCCACCGUCGACCUCCUCCAGCCACCAUGGGCUACCGUCGACCUCCUCCAGCCUCCACGGGCUCCUGUUCAUCCAGCCUCCACCGCACGCUACUCCACCGGCUACUGUUCAACCACCCCUCCACGGGCACGCCUCCACCAUGUACUAUUCAUCCAGCCCUCCACCACACCACGGGGUCUUGUUCAACNNNNNNNNNNNNNNNNNNNNNNNNNNNNNNNNNNNNNNNNNNNNNNNNNNNNNNNNNNNNNNNNNNNNNNNNNNNNNNNNNNNNNNNNNNNNNNNNNNNNNNNNNNNNNNNNNNNNNNNNNNNNNNNNNNNNNNNNNNNNNNNNNNNNNNNNNNNNNNNNNNNNNNNNNNNNNNNNNNNNNNNNNNNNNNNNNNNNNNNNNNNNNNNNNNNNNNNNNCAAUCGAUCGGCUUAAGUUAGCAGCAGUAGCGAAGGAGUCGCUCCAUCUGGUUCAGUUAACAGCCAUCGAUCGAUCGCUCGGGUUCAGUAACGCAUAGCCUACAGUGCCAUCGCUCGGGUUCAGUUAGAGCCCAAUGCCUCGCUCGGGUUCAGUUAGAGCCAAUGCCUCGCACACACGCGCAUACGUGUAUGAGGGAAACGCACAUCGCUCGGCCCCCGACCUCCCACCGUAACCGGCAACUCCCCGAAAUUUUCCUCCCCCUCGCUUCUACGAUGGUUUUUUCCGUCAUGGACGCCCCAAAGAAUGUCAUGCAGCUGCGUCUCCGGCCCCCCAAGACGAAAAGACCAUUUUCUGUCAUGAUUUUGUGUCAUAGAAGUAGGAGCCCACCACAUCUAUGAUGAUACCGGGUUUUGUCACAAUUAUCGUCAUAGAAGUGUCAUAUGUAUGACAGAAAAAAAUUUCGUUUGGCCCAAAAUGUCACGGAUGUGUCUUUUUUUUGUAGUGUUGGGAAGAAUGUUCUAUUCCCCAUAGCCGUUUAGUAGAGUUGCAGACCCAAGGGUUUCUUCCAUCAGCGUACAUGGUCCUCGUCUGAGCCGGACUAGCCACCUACAAUGGCGGGGAGCAAGCGGAGAGAUCUCCUAACCCAUCUUAGGGGGAGCGAGUAUGCCUCAUCCCAUAUUUGCUAAGAGGUGUCGGGUUUCCAAUACACCCAUUCCUUCGUGGGCUCCUGGAGUUCUAUGGCCUCCAGUUACGCAACUUCACCCCCGCCUCCGUGCUGCACAUCGCAGGAUACGUCGCCCUUUGUGAAUUAUUCCUGGGCUGCGAGGCUCACUUUGAGUUAUGGAAGAAGUUAUUCUUCCUCAUUCCUCGCAAUCAAGGGGAAUCUAUAUAUCAAGUGGGCGGAGCCGAAAUAUGGCGCGUCACCCAUACCGGAUACCUGUCCGGCACUCCAAAGAAGGCAUCCGAAGACUGGCCCUCGGAGUGGUUUUAUGUUGAUGACGUUCCCCUUCCGGAUCCAAUCCGGACGGGCCUCCCUGAGUUUAAUAACGCUCCGUUGAAGAAACACCAAAGUUGGCGCCCUCGGAGCCCUCAGGAGGAAGAUACCAGAGAAGUCCACUUCCCGAUGAGCAGGAUAAAGACACUGGCCCAAUCAGGACUGACAAUAGUCGAGGUUAUAUCAAUAUGCAUAAUGCGGGGGGUGCAUCCACUUCAAUAUCGGCGGAAGCCUAUGUGGCACUUCAACAGGGAAGACGAUGCCACCCGCUGUGGUCGUAAAGUUCUGGACUCCACCAGUGCUCUGGCGAGAAUAUUAUCUGAUUCAUAUAAAAGAUAAGAAGAGGAGUUCCUCCGCAUCAAACCGCGGGAUGGAUUUUCCAUGUACAACCCCCCAAGCUGGGUGUGCCUUUACUCUUUACUCAACUUUAUCCAUUCUUGCGCCCUUCAUCACAAUCAUUUACCUUGAUAUUUCUAAGCAGGAACCGAGGCAGGCCGUAAAAUAGUUCAACAGCCCUCCUCCAUAGCCAGAGGAUCCUGGCCGGGCCUUCGACCCCGGACUUGAAGAAGAUCCGGAUAUAUCUGUGGAGCUUGUCAACGGGACGUUUUAUCAGGCAAGCCGUGACGGCACCUUUGUGGCUAUUAUUGCCGAUUAUCUCGGACUGCUCCCUGCGUCGCGCGUAAGCAAAGCUAAAGCUUUCUGAAGAAGACUCCUUCCUUACGCCAUGCCUUAUGCACAAAUAUCUUAUUUUUAUAGAGACGACCAUCAGAAUGUGGCGCCAAGCCCCUGGGGGCUCAUCAGCAAAGGGCGUCCGGGCCAGGCAGGCUCAAGAGGAAGAAGGUUAGGGUCGAAACACCGCCGCAGAGGUAUAGUUAAAAUAUGCUUUCUAAUUAUGAUGUGUGAAAUGUAACAGCAUCCAUCGUGUCCUGGCAGAAAGAGUAGUCGCUGGACUAGAUCCGGAGAUCCUGCCGGUCACGCCUCCACCAGCAGGAUUCGAGAGCCGGCUUCGAGGGAGGAGGCCAAUGCGGGGACGAUGCCGAAUUGUCCUCCGACAGAGGAUGCAGAUAGGCUCUCCGCCACAAAUUCCGAAGUAGAGAGUGCCAUGAAUCACCGGCACCGACGGGCCUUACUUCGCAAUAGUAUCUUUUCCGAAGAGGCAUUCAAUGCUUUCAAUUCUGGAGACGCAUACAUCCGAGCUGCCCAAGACGGGCUCGCCCGAGCGAUGGACCAGUAUGCGAAAUAUAUACGGGUAAGAAAAUUUAAUAAGCAUGUAUAGCAGUAGCCCCUGAAACUUGAAACAGUUGGGACAACUGAUUUAAGGAUCAUUGUAUGCACAUGUUCUUGUAGAGAAGAAUACCCAUUUGUCUCAAGAGCUGGAGGAGUGCAAGACCCAGCUGAGGGCCGCGGUUGCCAAACAAGAGGAAUCCCAGAAGGCCUCAUCUGGUAACAUUUGUCUCAAUAGAGAAAUUUUAAGGAAAUAUACCAGUUAGUAAUUGGCUUGCUUUAUAAGUCUAACAGAAAAUUCUGCAGACAAUCCCGGGGAGAAUCCGGAGAUUGUAAGAGAUAGUGAGUCACAUAUACAAAGACAACUAAAGGCUGGAGAGAGUGUGCUUAUGCAAGUUAGGCAGGAGAAAAACAAUCUCCAAGAUGCCAACGUCCGGCUGGGCGUCGAAUUAGCAAAUGUUCGAGCUCAGCUAGUGGACUCCGUGAAGGAGAACAGGAGGCUUCAUCGCGGCAUUUAUGGUAAGUGCCUAAACGAACUGCAGUAUAGUUCGGGAGUAAGCAUUUUAAAAGAGUAUAUAUCUGUAGGUAUGCUGAUGGGCCGUCCUGAAGAGGAGAUGCCCGGGUCCGAAGGCGAUUUACUGCAAGAUCUCUCACAGCUGCACAAACGAGUUCGGCAGGUGAUGCAGGGUAUUGCCCAGGCCUUUUGGCCAUCCACUUCCCUGCCAGGAGGCAUGGGGGAGCUCGUGGAUAUGCUCCAAGAUCUCUCACAGCUACAUGAACGUUGUGGAAGGUAUCAGCCUACCGACAAGGUGAAAGGGAAGCCUGGGCCAUGGUGAAGACGCGAUACACCAAGCUUGACCCGAACCAUAUGGCCGAAGUGGGACCGGCGGGGCCAGAUGAGCAAGAGAUUCCCGUGAGUCUGGUGUAUGACCAGGUAGCGUUAGCCGCAAAGUAUUCCCAAUAGGAUUGCAAGCUAGAUAGCAUGUUGGAUGGUAUGGAGGAAGAAUAUAGCCAGUCCAAGUGACUAUGUAAUUCAAUGGACACAUGUAGUCCCUAGCCGGAUUAAAAAUCUUUUGUCAUGGCGGACCUUUUCGCUUCAGCCCCCGGAUCCGACAGUCCAGGGUGUAUCCGAACACCCGCUCAGUUAUGCAAAACCGGGGUAUGCGUGGAAACCAGGCGUAGGGGUCAUAAGUGCUUGAACAGACAAGUACCCAACUAGUUAUGUUAUAUUAUAUGGGUAGUAAGAAACAUCUUCCAGGGAGAAUAGUUCCGUUAGGGGUUGCUUUCCCUAGGUACGCAUGCAUCGAUGUGCAUGUCUGAACUGUGAACAGAAACGCAUGAUACAAAAUAUCUGGGGAUUCAUGUUGUAAUAAACGAAAGAAACAUCUUUUGUUCACCGACCGAAUAUUCCCUUAAGAACGCUAGCUUUCGGCUUCACCCAGUCUGAGGUACACAUCCGGCUGAACCGGCAGUAACAAUCGCAGAGGUGCUCCCCUUAUGCCCUAGCCGAAUUAUCGAGAACGUAGGGCAUAAAUACAAGAGCCAGGCAACGCAGCAUGGCCACAUCUUAAGUCAUAUCGAUGCAUAUAAUGGUGAAGAAAAGGGCACAUAUGGAAAAAGGGCGCAUAUGUGGUAGGUGGGAAGCCAUAAAAGUAAUUAUAUUUAGCUUUCGUAUAGGAAGCCCCCAGGUAUUGUGAGCACACAUAGUGCGGCCGGAGUGAUCCGAGCAUCCGCACUGUAUUUAAUACUUUGUGUGAAGAAGGUAAAAAGGGCGAGAAACGAAAAAGGGAGAACAUAAUUAAAAGAGCGAGGGUAAGGAGACGAACACUAAGGUCGACACUAGGCGUAGAAUCUCCGGAGUCUGGCCGCGUUCCAUGGGUUCGGCUCGAGUCUGUUAUUGGAUGCAUUGCGCAGGCGGUACGCUCCUCCGGUGAGAACUUUAUCAAUGAUGAAGGGACCCUCCCACUUAGGUUUGAGCUUGUCCUUCUUCUCCGAUAGGCGUAGAACGAGUUCGCCAACGUUAUAAGUUUUGGCCCGCACUUCUCUGCUUUGAUACCUUCGAGCCUGCCGCUAAUAGAAUGCGGAACGGGCUUUUGUGACGUCGCGCUCCUCCUCCAGGGCAUCUAAGUUGUCCUGCCGAUCUAGCUCGGCUUCCUUCUCUUCGUACAUGCGCACGCGAGGUGAGUCAUGGAUUAUGUCGCAGGGUAGUAUUUCUUCUGCGCCGUACACCAUAAAAAAUGGUGUAUAUCCGGCGGUACGAUUCGACGUGGUCCGCAGCCCCCAGAGUACGGAGUCGAGCUCCUCUACCUAGUGCGUGUCCGAUUCUGUCAAGGAUCGCACUAGUCUGGGUUUGAUGCCGCUCAUGAUGAGACCAUUUGCACGUUCGACCUGUUCGUUUGUUUGGGGGUGAUAGACGGAGGCGUAAUCGAUUUUAAUGCCCAUGUUGCCGCACCAAGUUUUCACUUCAUUGACUGUAAAGUUUGAGCCAUUAUCAGUGAUGAUGCUUUGGGCGACGCCGUAAUGGUGUACAACCCCUGAUAUGAAGUCUAUCGCUGGUCCGGAUUCAGCCAUUUUAACUGGUUUGGCUUCUAUCCAUUUGGUGAACUUGUCCACCAUGACCAAUAAGUAUUUUUUCUUAUGGCUUACCCUUUAAGGGGUCCGACCAUGUCCAGCCCCCAGACGGGGAAGGGCCAAGUUAUGGGGAUUGUUUGGAGAGCGGUAGGAGGCAUAUGGCUCUGAUUGGCAAAGAGCUGGCAACCGACGCAGUGUUGGACAAGGUCUUGUGCAUCUACCCGGGCUGUCGGCCAAUAAAAACCUAUACUAAAGGCUUUGCUGACAAGUGCCCGAGCCGCGACGUGGUGCCCGCCGAGUCCGGCAUGGAUUUCAGCCAAGAGCUGCCGCCCUUCCUCUUUGGAGAUACAUCUUUGGAGCACUCCGGUGGCACUUUUCUUAUAGAGUUCUCCCUCAUGGACUUUGUAGGCCUUGGAACGCCGCACAAUACAGCGUGGUUCAUUUUGGUCCUCGGGGAGCUCCUGCCUAUUUAGGUAGGCCAAGAAAGGCUCGGUCCAUGGGGCGAUUACAGCCAUGAUUUCGUGGGCCGAAGGUGUUAUUUCGGUGGUGGAGCCCCGAUUACGUCAGAUGGUUCGGAAUCUGGGGUUGUAUUCCGAGCCGGACUAGUGUUGCUGGACCCCCCUUCCCAUACCAUGGAUGGCUUGAACAACCUUUCCAAGAAUAUAUUAGGUGGGACAGGGUCGCGUUUGGCACCGAUGCGGGCGAGGAUAUCCGCCGCUUGAUUGUUUUCUCGAGCCACAUGGUGGAAUUCGAGCCCCUCGAACCGAGCUGACAUUUUGAGGACGACAUUACGGUAGGCCGCCAUUUUCGGAUCCUUAGCAUCAAAAUCUCCGUUUAUUUGUGAUAUUGCGAGGUUUGAGUCCCCGCGCACUUCUAGGCGUUGAAUGCCCAUAGAGACUGCCAUCCGAAGACCAUGCAACAGAGCCUCAUAUUUGGCUGCGUUGGUGGAGUCUGUGUAUAAUAUAUGGAGUACGUAUUGGACGGUGUCUCCGGUGGGGGAUGUCAGGACUACACCCGCUCCCAAUCCGGCCAGCAUUUUAGAGCCGUUGAAGUGCAUGAUCCAAUUGGAGUACGCGCCGUACUCUUUAGGGAGUUCGACUUCUGUCCAUUCGGCGACAAAGUCAGCCAAUACUUGCGACUUAAUGGCCCGCCGUGGUUUGUAUGUCAUGUCGAAAAGAAGGAGCUCGAUAUCCCACUUAGCAAUUCGUCCUGUGGCGUCGCGGUUGUUUAUUAUGUCGUUGAGUGGUACUUCAGAGGCCACCGUAAUCGAACACUCUUGAAAGUAGUGUCGUAGCUUCCGGGACGCCAUGAAGACCGCGUAUGCUAUCUUUUGAUAGUGUGGGUAUCGGGAUUUGCAUUGAGUGAGGACAGUGGACACGUAAUAUACCGGCUUUUGGAGCGGGGACUUGUAUCCGUCUGCUUCUCGUUCGACGACGAGCACUGCGCUUACAACUUGAUGUGUUGCAGCUAUGUACAAUAGCAUAGGUUCACCAAUAUUUGGCGCGGUCAGGACUGGGUUGCUGGCCAAUAGGGUCUUUAUUUCAUCCAGUCCAGCCGCGGCCGCAUCCGUCCACACGAAGUGUUCGGUGCGUCGAAGAAGGCGGUAAAGAGGUAGUGCCUUUUCUCCUAAUCGGGAGAUAAAGCGGCUUAAGGCAGCCACGCAUCCAGUUAGUUUCUGGAUAUGCUUGAGGUCUGUUGGGAUAGCCAACUACGACAGAGCUUGGAUUUUUGCCGGAUUUGCUUCGAUUCCUCUAUUGGAAAUGAUGAACCGAGCAACUUCCUAGAGGGUACGCCGAAAACACAUUUUUCAGGGUUGAGCUUGAUGUCAUAUGUUUGGAGGUUGUCGAACGUGAGUCUCAAGUCAUCUAUUAAAGUUUCGACGUGUCUUGUUUUUAUGACCACGUCGUCCAUGUAUGCCUCCACUGUUUUGCCGAUUUGCUUCUCCAGGCAUGUCUGAAUCAUACGUUAAUAGGUUGCGUCGGCAUUUUUGAGCCCAAAAGGCAUAGUGUUGAAACAGAAGGGGCCAUAUGGCGUUAUGAAGGCCGUUGCGGCUUGGUCGGAUUCCGCCAUCUUUAUUUGAUGGUAUUCGGAGUGUGCGUGGAGGAAACAUAGUGAGUCGUGUCCUACGGUGGCGUCGAUGAUUUGGUCAAUGCGAGGGAGGGGGAAGGGAUCCUUGGGGCAGGCUUUGUUGAGGUCUUUGAAAUCGACACAUAGGCGCCAGGAUUUAUCCUUCUUUGGUACCAUUACUAGAUUUGCCAGCCAAUCCGGAUGUUUUAUAUCUCUGAUGAAUCCAGCCUCAAGUAGCUUGGCUAGCUCUUCUCCCAUGGCUUGCCGUUUAGGCUCUAAGAAGCGCCUAAGAGUCUAUUUGACUGGCUUGUAUCCUUUCAGUAUAUUGAGGCUGUGUUCGGCCAGCCUGCGUGGGAUGCCCGGCAUGUCUGAAGGAUGCCAGGCGAAAAUGUCCCAAUUCUCGCGUAGGAAUUCUCGCAGUGCGGCGUCCAUUGUGGGGCUCAACUGUGUCCCGAUGGAAGCUGUCUUUGUGGGGUCCGUGGGUUGGACCUGGAAUUUGACUAUCUCGUCCGCGGGAUUAAAUGAGGUAGACUUGGGUCGUUUUUCGAGUAUCACGUUGUCCCUGUCCACUAUGGCGCGCAUGGUUUUUAGUUCUUCGGCCGCUAGGGCUUCAGAUAAUGCUUGCAGGGCUAGUGCUACAGUUUUAUUUUUGGCGUGGAGUGCGACGUCCGGAUCACUGGCUAGAGUGAUGAUUCCAUUGGGUCCGGGCAUUUUAAGCUUCAUGUGCCCGUAAUAGGGUAUAGCUUGAAAGCUCGUGAAUGCAUUCCGCCCUAAAAGGGUGUAGUAUCCGCUGCUGAAAGGGGCCACAUGGUACGUGAUUUCUUCGGAACUAUAAUUCUCCGGGGUGCCGAAUACCACAUCGAGUGUGAUUUUUCCCGCCCUUCGUGCCUCCCGACUAGGGAUGAUUCCCCUGAAGGUCGUGCCGCUUUGCUCAAUGCGGCUUUUAUCAAUUUCCAUCUUGUUGAGCGUUUCUUCACAGAUCAAGUUUAAUCCACUUCCACCGUCCAUGAGUACUUAAGUGAGCCGAAAGCCGUCCACGAUUGGGCUAAGGACCAAGGCGGCUGGUGCCCGGACUGUCUGGAAUUGAGAUUCAUCACUGGCACUGAAGGUUAUAGCAGUGUCGCUCCACGGUUUUAUUUUUACCACGUGGCAGAUUUCAGCGAAAUUUCAAUGAGUUCGCUUGCGCCUAUUAUUUGAGGCGAAAGUCUUGAAGACUGUCAGCACUGCAUUGUUGUCUUCGGCGGGAUGUUGCUCUGCUUUAUGGUUUACAAGAAGAUCCUCGCCGCUUUUUGCUACCUGCCGGAGUAUCCAACAUGCUCUAAGGCUAUGUGUUGGCGUAGUAGCCGACGUGCUGUGAAUUUUGCAUGGACCAUUGAGCCAUUCUUCCAAUAUGGUUCCACGCCCUGGAGUGGGCUUUGGUUUCUUGGGAAUUGGAUCAGGCAACUUACGAUAGUUUGCCCUUUUAGUUUGGACGAAGGGUUUAUUGAGAGCCGGAUUAUCCCAGAAGUCUGUUUGGGUUUUCCAGGCGCUUUCCAUCGCAUAGUACUUCUGUACUAUGGCUGCUAAGUCGGCAAAGUGUACUAUGUCACAGCGACUUACAGCAUUAAGGAUCCCUUUGUUCGUGCAGUUUUGGCAGAAAAGUGAGAUUGCGUCCUCCUCACGACAGUCCUUGACCCUAUUUAUCACAAGGAGGAAUCUGGCCCAGUAGCGAUGUACUGUCUCUUUGGGCUCUUGUAUGAUAUGGGAAAGACAGCAUAAUUCAGGGUGGGUGGGCGUAGUUAAGUCCGAAUUCUGACCCAAUUUGACAUCCAGGGGCAGAGGAGCUUCCAGGCUUGGCAGCUCGGACUCCGGGAUGUUGCCCAAUUUUUCUGGCCCGUUACCUGAUUCUGAGUCCAGGGUCUGGGUCAUGUCCUCUAGCGAGCGGGUAUCCGGCUCAGAGAGCUUAGUAAUCCGGACAUAGUUCGUCCUCAAAGUAGAGGGAUAAUCCAUGUGUGGCCCUUCCACUACCGCUAUCUCAUGGGUGACCGGUGGGGAUUUGAUGUCCCUUUGGUCGGGUUUAAACCCAAUCUGAUCAUAGUCUGUAGUGACUCCCAGAGCGGCAAUGCGAUCCAAGAGCUCAUUAAGGGAGGAGAGCUCCAUUGGAUCCAUCUGUUCGGCGAGUUCCGAAUUGAUGUGGAGGUUGUUUUUGAUGACCCAAGAGGUCAUCAUCGGCGUGGCAGCCGGUCGGGCGGUCAUGACGAAGCCGCCUAGUCAGAGAGUUUGGCCUACCGCCAGGGCUCCCCCAGAGGUGAUGUUUUCCUUGACAACGAGAUGAGCCAUCGAGCCUUGUAGUGACAACACAGAGGAACUCUCAGUGAAAGCACCAAUGUCGGUGUCAAAACCAGCGCAUCUCGGGUAGGGGGUCCCAAUCUGUGCGUCUAAGGCUAAUGGUAACAGGAGGCAGGGGACACGAUGUUUUACCCAGGUUCGGGCCCUCUUGAUGGAGGUAAAACCCUACUUCCUGCUUGAUUGAUCUUGAUGAUAUGAGUAUUACAAGAGUUGAUCUACCACAAGAUCGUAGAGGCUAAACUCUAGAAGCUAGCCUAUGAUGAUUAUGAUUGUCCUUGUCCUACGGACUAAACCCUCCGGUUUAUAUAGACACCGGAGGAGGCUAGGGUUACACAUAGUAGGUUACAAAGAAGGAGAUCUAACAUCCGAAUCGCCAAGCUUGUCUUCCACGCAAAUGAGAGUCCCAUCCGAACACAUGACGAAGUCUUGAUUCUUGUAUCUUUACGGUCCAACAGUCCGGCUAAAGUAUAUAGUCCAGCCGUUCGGACACCCCCUAAUCCAAGACUCCCUCAGGCCCUACGGGAGCUGUGUGCCGGCGACGCCAAGAAGCUGGAGUAUGCGCGUGAGGUCAGUUCUUGGUUCAGCAGCCCUACCAUGCUGCAGAACCAAGCGCGCGCCGUCAGGGCAGCCGCCACAGACAAGGAGAGGGAGCGCCUGCCUGACCUCCAUCGCCCCUUGAUUGAAAACCUCAUCUGGGCAAUGGGUGAAGCUAGGGAUUCGCCGGACCCUUUUCAGCGAGCCCGUUAGUAUACGUACCAAGACCGCCUGAAUCUGCGUCUGGUGGACCACCUAGUUGAAUGCAUAGUGCCAGUGCUGCCCCUCAUGAGGAUGAUGGAGAUGCAGCAAGAGCAGGUGCUGCCGGAGCUGGAGCGGCCACCAGUGUAGGAGGAGGAAGCAUGCUCAUCUAGCAAGAAAAACAAGGCCAAAAAACAGAGCUUCCAAGGUCCUGUUCGUCGUUCAAAGCAUCUUCGUCUGUUGCGUUAGUACUGAGGAUGCUACAAUGUAGAUGAUGAUGCUGCAGUGUAUGAUCUACCUGUUUUAAGUUUAGCAACUUAGAUCAAUGUAUGUGAUCCUGCGAAGUACUAUGUUUCAAGUUAGCAUGGUUGGUCUAUGUGAAUGAAACCUGCUCUGAAGUACCUCUGAAUCUGAAUUAUUGUGCACUGCCUCUGAAUCUGCACAAGUUUCUGUCAACUUUAAACAGCACAAGUUUCACCAUGCAAUAACUACAGCACAACUACCACCAAGUCUCACUGAAUUCAACUUCUUUACUGCAUCACUCCACCUCUCUUUACUACAUCUCCUCUUUCUUCAACUACUUGACAUCAUCCUCACUGGAUCUCCACAACUUCACCUCACUCGCCACUUCUCUCACAACCACAUCCUCUCUGCACCCAUGGCUGGUUCCUCCUCCACACCAGACCCAUGGCUCAACCCAUUCCCCACUGGCAAGGGCUGGGUUGCCAUGCUAUUUGGUUCGGCGCGCGGUGACCAGGAUCUAUUCCUGGACUACAUGAAGAUAGCUACGAGAUACAACAAUGUGGAUGGACUAGUAGAUGUUGCUGACCUAGUCCAGAAGAAGGCGACGCCUCAAGAGAAGAAGUGCAUGCAGCAGAGCUAUGGAACUAAAGGUAAGGGUAUUGUCGGUGUCAAAACCGGCGGAUCUCGGGUAGGGGGUCCCGAACUGUGCGUCUAGGCGGAUGGUAAUAGGAUACGAGGGACACGAUGUUUUUACCCAGGUUCGGGCCCUCUUGAUGGAGGUAAAACCCUACGUCCUGCUUGAUUAAUAUUGAUGAUGUGGGUUACAAGAGUAGAUCUACCACGAGAUCAAGGAGGCUAAACCCUAGAAGCUAGCCUAUGGUAUGAUUGUUGUUCAUCCUACAGACUAAAGCCAUCCGGUUUAUAUAUACACCGGAGAGGGCUAGGGUUACAUAGAGUCAGUUACAAUGGUAGGAGAUCUACAUAUCCGUAUCGCCAAGCUUGCCUUCCACGCCAAGGAAAGUCCCAUCCGGACACGGGACGAAGUCUUCAAUCUUGUAUCUUCAUAGUCUUGGAGUCCGGCCGACGAUGAUAGUUCGUCUAUCCGGACACCCCCUAGUCCGGGACUCCCUCAGAAGCCCCUGAACCAGGCUUCAAUGACAACGAGUCCGGCGCGCAUAUUGUCUUCGGCAUUGCAAGGCGGGUUCCUCCUCCGAAUAAUUUAUAGAAGAUUGUGAACACCAGGAGAGUGUCCGGCUCUGCAAAAAUAAUUUCCACAUACCACCGUAGAGAGAAUAAUAUUUACACAAGUUCAAUCUGCUGACGUAUUUCGUGGUGUGACGUCACACCACAACCAAGCCUUUACUUGAAUCGUUUUUAUUGUACCACCUCAGCGCGUUUAGCGAAGCGGUUUCCUUGGCACAUCUUGUCGAAGCAGAGAUCAUGUUCCCCUUAUUCCGGGAUUCCCAUCAAUACGGACGUGGAUAACCCAACCGCGCCAUCAAUCGCGGCGCUUGGGGGAUAAGCGAGUUUUACCAGGCCGGUGGGGACACAUGUUUUUGUCCGCCCAUAUAAGGGGAUAAAGAUCCAACCCUUUUACCUGCGGCUUCUUCCUCCUUAGCUUAUCCAUCUCUGCGAACCCGAGCUCCAGCGCCCAAGCCCGCACAUCCCACCUCAACCUUCUCUGAUCAUGUCCGGAGUGGGAGGCAAGUGGAUGGCUUCCUCCGUCACGGAGGGGCAGAUCCAGAAGCUGCGCAACGCCGGAUACUUGUCCAGCGACAUCGCGCAUCGGCUCCCCGACGAGGGAGUGCUCAUCCCCACCCCUAGGCCCCAUGAGAGGGUAGUAUUUCUUCCCCAUUUCCUCCGCGGACUGGGCUUCCCACUACAUCCCCUUCUCCGGGGGCUCAUGUUCUACUACGGCCUAGAUUUCCAUGAUCUGGCCCCGAAUUUCAUCCUCAACAUCUCGGCGUUCAUCAUCGCGUGUGAGGCUUUCCUCUGCAUCCAGCCCCACUUCGGCUUGUGGCUCAAGACCUUCAGUGUCAAGCCGAAGGUUGUGAAGGGCAGCCAAGCGGAGUGCGGAGGCGCCAUGGUGGGCAGGAUGUCCCAUAUUACUUGGCUCGAGGGCACUUUCAUGGAAACCAUCAAGCGGUGGCAAUCGGGGUGGUUCUACAUCACCGAGCCGCGUGACCCUAAAUGGGCAGCGGCCCCCGAAUUCAGAUCUGGCAUCCCCACACGGCUCACCUCCUGGAAAGAGAGUGGCCGGAUCUGGGGUGAUUCAGAGGAGCUAACCGGACUCCAAGCCUGUGUCCAGAAGCUGGUGGACAAGAAGCUCAAGCUUGUCAACAUAGUCUAGGUCAUGCUCAUCCGCCGGAUCCUCCCGUGCCAACGACGGGGCUUCAACAUGUGGGAGUUUGAUCCGACGCAGCACCAGACCCUGAGCGGCCUCUUCGACACUACGUACGAAGAGGUCUGGAAGGUGCUGUUCAAGGGCGCCGAGGCUCCCGCAUCCGCUACCGAAGAUCGCGGAUUCAGCUCGCAGCGUCCAGCUGACGAGGUAAGUGAUUUCAUCCUUUACAGAAUGCUCGUUUGCCAUAGUUUGACUCUAUGUGGGAUCUAAACUCCCGCUUUCCUUUGACAGGACUGGCUGGCGAAGGCCGAACAGACUAUCUGUCCAGCCCCAUUGCCAGAGGACCCAGUGGACGCCCGUCUAACGGGGCUGCUGGCUUCGGCACCCCAUGUGGUGCCGGAGAAAAAGGCCAAGAAGCAGGCCACGGGUACUCGGAAAAGUUCCCGUUUUCAGGUGUUAUCGGAUGAUGACUCCGAGGCCGAAUCCUCCCACCAAGGCGAGGAGGAGAAGAAGAAAGCCUCUCCCCCAGCGGGGGGAGGGAAGAAAAGGAAGACUUCCCCUACGGGGGAGGCCGAAGGGUCCAAGAAGGGAAAAACCCUUCCCCCGGACUACUCUGCCGACGUCAGUGAUGACGACGAGGACUGGCCUCCAAGGACCAAGCCCCUGCCGAGAUCGUAAGUAUCCGGGAUCCUGAGUAACUUUAUGGUUUUCUUUUUCGCCACACAGUGUCUUUCUAAUGCCGCAUACAACCCUGCAGUCCGCCCAAGGAUGAUCUUCCCGCUUCGUCGAGCGGGUCCCUAGGUGCGUCGGAUAUGGAUUCCCUUCCGACCGCCUCCUCCCCUCGUGACGCGGACGAUGCCGAGGUGGGAUCCCGGGAAGGGACCCACCAGGAGGAGAAGGCCCCAGAGGUGUCGCAGGACAACCUCCCGGACUUUGCACCGGACUCGGCGCCGGAGCCCCUAGUGGCUCCAGAGUCCGGCGGGCGACCCCUUCACAAGAAGGGCAAGACCGUGACGCCGACAGCUUCCGUCCAACCGGAGGCGCCGGAUAGAUUGCUGGAGGCGCUCAAUGGCGCCUCCAUUGAAGAGGAACACCGCACUGUUAUGAGUGCGGUGAUUCAGAAAGUUCAGCUCGUCAAGAGCGGGCUGACCGAAGCCUGCAGCAGCCUUCUAACAGGCUUUGAGGUAAGAAUUUUGAUAUAUGUAAAAUAGUACCGCAUAGACAGUAGCCCCUGAUGCUCGGUUCGGUGUUCGGAAAGAAAAGCCGGACCGAGGAUUUAAAAAGAUAUAUGCAGGAGUCAUAAAAAAUAUGUCAAUAUGGGAUUGCAGGCUGUGCUGCUGACCUCUGCCGCACUGACUGCGGAGGUCAAUACUUUGAAGGAAAACCUCGAGCGGUCCGAGAAUGAGCUCGGCCGUGCCAAGAAGCAGCUCGAGGACAAGGAAGGUGAGUAACACCUUAUUAAAAUUGUACCUUGCAGAAAAGGAUUUGGUUGCAAGAAAAAUUACAAGGAUAACGUGGAUAUGGCAGGGGCCACUAAUGAGGUGGUGACCCUGAAAGAGGCGGUGGCCGCGGCCGAACGCAAUGCGGCCGCGGAGCGCACCGAGCGAGAGAAGUAGGAGGCGCGGGUGGCGGAGGUACAGAAAGAGCUCCAGGCUCUCAUGAAAAAACAUGAGGGUUUGGAGCGUGACUCGAAGACCCGAGAGUCCGAGCUUGCAACGGCUCUUGAGAGUGCCAAAGCCGCUAAGGCCGAAGCCUACAAGGCCCUACAGGAAAUCAAUGAGUUGAAGAAAAUAGCAGCGGGUAAGGCAUUUUUCAUGCAAAGUAAGCAUGUGAGUGUUAAUUACCUGUUGCUUACCCGAAUUUGGAGCUCUCCAGGAGCGUUCGCAGAUCUUCCUUGCAGCGUGUCCGAUGCUGCCACGUUCUACCGGGCCGAGGAGGGGAGCUCGACAGAGAAGGUCUUCUGGUCUCAGUAUGCUGAGGCCGGACAUCCGGUGCCCCUUAGCGACCAACUGAAGCAGCUAGUCGAGCUCCACAAGGCGGCCGAACAGGCCAUGAAGGGCCUCAUAGUUCGGCUGUGGCCCAAGGAGGCCAUGCCUGGGAGCUACUUCGGCCUGGUACGGCGGCUGGUGGAUGCGUGCCCGUGGGUUGAAGUCAUCAAGCACUCCGCCUGUAUUGAAGGUGCCCGUCGGGCCCUUGCCCAUGCAAAGGUGCACUGGGGCAAGAUGGAUGCCCAGAAGCUAGUGACGGACGCGCCACCGCAGGGCAAGGAGCAUCGUACGCCCGAAAUGUAUUAUAAAACUGUCCUGAAGGGUGCCCGCAUUAUUGCGGGUGAGUGCUCCAAAAAAGAAAAUUUUGAGUAGACUCGCGUUUUGUUAUCCCGUGCGCUGAAAACUAAGUUCAUAUGCGCGAAGCAACACUUGUUAAUUUAAAAUAUUACCUUCUGUGCGGCUGUUUCUCAAAUCUGAGAGAUGGCAAGUCGUCGGCUUCAGCCCCCAUGCCACGAGUGCUGGGGUGUUCGGGAUAAAUUUGAGCACUCUUGUUCCCAUAUUUGGGUCCAUCGAGGGAGGCGCUCAACACAACGAACAAGGCAACCGGACUUAUAGUGCUUGAACACUCUCACUUAGCCAUAGAAUUCUAUAAUUUUAAAUUUCGGCGAAGCCCCUAGUACUCAGAAGGCCGAAUUUGGGGCGCUAUCCACGCCUGGGCCGGACAGAAUCCGGCUCCUCACUCGAAGCGGCAUAAGUCUUUAGGACUCGCAAAAAACCUCUCGAACAGCGACCAGCUCUUGCCUCAUCAUGACGGUCAGUUUUAGCUUUCUCCACUGAGGCGUUAACCCAGCUCAACUGGGGCGCAAUCGCAGUGGUUCUCCCAGUGCUACCUUAGCCGAUAAAACGGAAUGUAAGGUACCAAAACAUGGGAGCCGGGCAAACCCAACUAUUGACCCAAGAACACGAUUUGGAGCCAGUGCAUAUAAUGCUAUAAGUUCGGGGUGCCGCACUUGUGAAAGUGUUCGGACUUAUCACACCAUAAUGCGGGAAACAUAAGCCCCUGGUGUAUUUAGCCGUACCAAAACGUACGGAUGCAACAUGUCAUAGAUGAACAUAUGUAUAAGAAAGGAAUGCGAUUGGAAGCAAAAAGGUGCUGCAUUGCUUUAUUCAAUAAAAACUGCUGUAAGUGCAGAACGAUACAAAUGGUGCGGUAAACAAGGGAUGGGACUGUUAAACAUGUCCCCCUCCAGGGGUAGGCUACGGAAUAAUGCAUAAAACAGAUUUAAUGCUCAUAAUGGAGACCACCUGGAUAUUCGUUGUAGCCUUUCUCCUUCCCUGGCUGUUGCAUCGUGGGUUCGGCAUGUCUGCUGUCGGACAGGGCCUCUGACAAACGGAGUCCUGUGGGUAAAAAGAAAAUAAAAAAAAGAACGACACACUUGAGAGCCCCUGGUGUGGUUGAGCCGCAGUCUGGGCCUAUCGUGGUCGCGCCCCUUUCCCCAUGCCCAUGGUAUCUUCAGAGCGUAAUGGUGUACGCGAAGGGUCUGUCUUGACGUUUUACAGGGGUUGGGGUUGGGGCCGCACUGCUACACGUGCUCGGAACGUGCCAGGUGGUCAUGUUGUAGGUUACUCCGGGCGCGCUUAGCUGUGUCCGGCCGCUUAGCGGCCGGACUCGAGAAUUGCCUUAAGAGGCUGCAUUGUACUUCUGCCGCGAGAGCCGCUGUAUGUUCCUCCAUUCGGAGAGAAUGUUCAGUGUUUCCGUUGACCUUGAUGACUCCUCGAGGGCCUGGCAUCUUGAGCUUGAGGUAUGCAUAGUGCGACACCGCGUUGAACUUUGCGAACGCGGUACGUCCGAGCAGAGCAUGAUAUCCGCUGCGGAACGGAACUAUGUCGAAGAUUAACUCCUCGCUUCGGAAGUUAUCCGGGGAUCCAAAGACCACUUCCAGUGUAACUGAGCCUGUACAAUUGGCUUCUACACCUGGUAUGACGCCUUUAAAGGUCGUCUUGGUAGGUUUAAUCCUUGAGGGGUCAAUGCCAUUUUGCGCACUGUAUCCUGAUAAAGCAGGUUCAGGCUGCUGCCGUCGUCCAUCAGGAGUCUGGUGAGGUGAAAUCCAUCGACGAUUGGGUCUAAAACCAAUGCAGCCAAUCCACCAUGACGGAUGCUGGUGGGGUGGUCCCUUCGGUCGAAAGUGAUCGGGCAGGAGGACCAUGGGUUGAACUUCGGGGCAACUGGCUCCAUCGCGUAUACAUCCCUGAGUGCGCGCUUCCGCUCCCUUUUGGGUAUGUGUGUUGCGUAUAUCAUGUUCACCGUCCGCACCUGUGGGGGGAAACCCUUCUGUCCUCUAUUGUUCGGCGGUCGGGUUUCUUCCUCGUCAUCGCUAUGCAGCCCCUUGUCAUUGCUCUCGGCAAUUAACUUCCCUGCCUGCUUGAAUACCCAGCAGUUCCUGUUGGUGUGGUUGGCUGGCUUUUCGGGGGUGCCGUGUAUCUGGCACGAGCGGUCGAGUAUUCGGUCCAAGUUGGACGGACUCGGAGUAGUUCUUUUGAAUGGCUUUUUCGUUGAGCGGGUUUAGAGCCUCUGAAUCCGGCAUUGACUGCCAUAUCCUCACUGUUAUCGCCGUUAAUGCGGCGUUUGUUUUUGUUGCGACGCGACCUGCCAUUAUGGUCCUUGAUAUCCGGACUGCCAGAAUUUUUGCUGAGGUUGUUGCUGCGUGCUAGCCAGCUGUCCUCACCCGCGCAGAAGCGGGUCAUGAGUGAUGUAAGGGCUGCCAUGGAUUUCGGCUUUUCCUGUCCCAGGUGCCGGGCAAGCCACUCGUCGCGGAUGUUAUGCUUGAAGGCCGCGAGGGCCUCGGCAUCCGGACAGUCGAUGAUUUGAUUUUUCUUGGUUAAGAACCGUGUCCAGAAUUGUCUGGCCGAUUCGUCUGGCUGCUGAAUUAUGUGGCUUAGGUCAUCUGCAUCUGGUGGUCGCACAUACGUGCCUUGGAAGUUAUCGAGGAAUGCGGCUUCCAGGUCCUCCCAACUCCCGAUUGACUCUGCUGGCAAGCUGUUAAGCCAGUGCCGGGCUGGUCCUUUAAGUUUGAGUGGGAGAUAUUUGAUGGCGUGGAGAUCGUCACCGCGGGCCAUGUGGAUGUGGAUGAGAUAGUCCUCGAUCCAGACCGCGGGGUCUGUUGUGCCAUCAUAAGAUUCAAUAUUGACGGGUUUAAACCCUUCGGGGAUUUGAUGAUCCAUUACCUCAUCUGUGAAGCACAGUGGGUGUGCGGCGCCUCUGUACUGGGCAAUAUCACGACGGAGCUCAAGAGAGCUUUGUCUAUUUUGUUCGGCCCGGCCGGACUUAUUGAGUCCGGCGCGACGGCCGUCGUCAUGUGUGAUGGGGCGCCCACGCGAUCUGUAGAUCGAUCUUGAUUGUCUUGCCUUAUCCUCCAAUAUGUCCUGCAAGUCCGGAGCGUUCCCCUGUGGCCUUGUGCUUUUCGAGCGAUGUCGGGGUACGGGUCUAGUGAAGGGCCUACAUGCCUCUCUGUCGCGACCACGGGGUGGUCGGCCAACCGUAUUGUCUCUUGGUGAUGCGGGUUCAUAUGCCUCCUCCUCUAAUCAGGGGAGCAGCUUACGUUUAGGGUAGCUUUUGGAGGGGCGUUCGAGCUCAUGCUCUUCGGCCGCGAGGACUUCAGUCCAUCUGUCAGCUAGCAGAUCUUGAUCAGCUCUAAGCUGCUGCUGCUUUUUCUUGAGGCUGUUUGCCGUGUCCAUAAGCCUGCGUUUAAAACGCUCUUGUUCGGCGGGAUCCUCAGGCACGACGAAUUCGUCAUCGUCGAGGCUUGCCUCGUCUCCGGAGGGAGGCAUGUAGUCCUCUACCUCUUCUUCUGCCGCUCUCUCAUGAGGGCUGGCAUCUCUGUCCUCCUGUGCUGAAUCUUGCUGGAGUGGGUUGUCUUCGGCACUAUCUGGGGUGUUAUUAUCUCCGGUGCUGGAAUCUUCAUUCUUGCUGUGGAGGGAUUUAGAGCGGCGCCGCUGACGCUGGCGCUUGGGCUGUUUCUUGGAGGGGUCAUCCUCCGCUAUUCCUUCGCCAUUCCCAUCCUUUGGGAUAUCCACCAUGUAUAUGUCAUAUGAAGAGGUGGCUUUCCAGUGCCCGGUGGGCGCUGGUUCUUGGUCGUCUCUGGCAUCGUCGUCCAUACCGUCGAUGUCCUCGGAGUCGUAGUCCAGCAUGUCGGUUAGAUCGUCGACAGUGGAUGUCAAGUGGGUGGUGGGUGGGCUUUGAAUUUCUUCGUCGUCCGCAUCCCAACCGUCCUGACCGCAGUCCAGCCAGGGCUCACCUGAUAACGAGAGGUACUUUAGCGAACUCAAGAUGUCGCCAAAAGGUGAGUGUUGAAAGAUGUCCGCCGCGGUGAACUCCAUGAUCGGCGCCCAAUCGGAUUCGACCGGAGGGGGCGCGGGAGGUUCGGAGUCCGGCGAGGAGUCCGGCACCUCGGAGUCACGAGAUUCAUGAGGGACAAGGUCAGUGUUUGGCUCUAUCGUCGUAGAGGUUGCAGCCCUCGAGGCGGUGUCUAGCCAUCCGUCCUCGAUCUACGCAGCCGACUCCGAAUCAAAGAUCGGAGCGGGCUCGAGUGCGGCCUCCAGGGUACUGUCCGGCUGCAGAGCUAAAUCAUGCCCAUCGUGACAGUGCGGCACGCUCGGCUGUGGCUCGAAUCCAUCGAGGAUCAAGUCCCCGCGGAUGUCAGCCGUGAAGUUCAAACUUCCAAAUCUGACCUGAUGGCCAGGGGCGUAGCCUUCGAUCUGCUCCAGUUGGCCAAGCGAAUUGGCCCGCAGUGCAAAGCCGCCGAAUACGAAGAUCUGUCCGGGGAGGAAGGUCUCACCCUGGACUGCAUUGUUGUUGAUGAUCGAAGAAGCCAUCGAGCCUAUCGGUGACGACACAGAGGGACUCUCAAUGAAAGCACCAAUGUCGGUGUCAAAACCGGCGGAUCUCGGGUAGGGGGUCCCGAACUGUGCGUCUAGGCGGAUGGUAACAGGAGACGAGGGACAUGAUGUUUUUACCCAGGUUCGGGCCCUCUUGAUGGAGGUAAAACCCUAUGUCCUGCUUGAUUAAUAUUGAUAAUGUGGGUUACAAGAGUAGAUCUACCACGAGAUCAAGGAGGCUCAACCCUAGAAGCUAGCCUAUGGUAUGAUUGUUGUUCGUCCUAUGGACUAAAGCCAUCCGGUUUAUAUAGACACCGGAGAGGGCUAGGGUUACACAGAGUCGGUUACAAUGGUAGGAGAUCUACAUAUCCGUAUCGCCAAGCUUGCCUUCCACGCCAAGGAAAGUCCCAUCCGGACACGGGACGAAGUCUUCAAUCUUGUAUCUUCAUAGUCUUGGAGUCCGGCCGACGAUGAUAGUUCGGCUAUCUGGACACCCCCUAGUCCGGGACUCCCUCAGGUAUCCUGCCCAUCGACACUCUACUAUGGGCAAUGAGAGAGGCAGACUCCUCCGAUGAUGUCCAGCAUAAGCGACGGGAAGCCCAUCGCUAUGUUGCUCCGGCAAAAGCUGCAACUGAUGUAGCAGUGCAGGAAGAGGAUGACGACGACUUGCAGAUAGUUGCGCCACCUGCAGAGCAGGCUCACCGCCGUCCCCUCCCAUCAUCGUCAUCGAUGAAGAUGAUGAAGAGGAGGAAGUGAAAAAGCAGAUAGAUCCAAGGCAGAUCAAGCAAAUCAAGCGUCGCUCUGCACGCUUAGCAAAUCCUAAAGAUGAGCAGUACAUCCAAUGUUAUUUAAGUUGCCUAAGUGAACCUAUCUCUGAAACCUGCUCUGAAAUUAGUGUUAGCUAAUUCAGUUUCGUCAGUGUGCACAAGUUCAGUAUCGUCAAUUAUGUUUAACUGAAACUUGAUUUGCAUGUAUGUGCCUUCUAUGUUAGAGAGACUAUGUGCUAUCUAUGUUACAGAGAAUAUGUGCUAUCUCUGGUGUAUCCAAGAUCAGAUAAUUCUAUGUGCUAUCUAUGUGCUAUAUAUAGGUCAGUACUGGAUGCAACAGAUUACAAUAACAAAUAUAUAAAUUUAACAUCAUCAUGGACUAUAGUUCAUAAGCUAACUUACUAUCCAUACUUAGCAUUACAACUUGGAGUUCAUAGGCAGUUAAUAUCUUAAAGCAUUACAGAUCACAUGCAGUGCCAUGGGCACCACAAAACAAAUCCCCAAAAUGAUCUGAAACCAGGACAGUUCAUAUCUAGUAUUAUAGCUAGCUAAGAUGCAUAUUUGCAUCAGAUAACAUAGCAAGGCCAGUUAUAUAUAUAGGCCUCAUAUAUACUUACCAUCCAGAGCUGCCACUUCGCUCCUCCAUCACAACUUCCUUGAUCUUGUCCAGCUUUUCCUUGCACCGACCAACCUUCAGUAGCUCAGCGAUGACAUUCUCCAGCUUCUUAUUCUCUUCUUUAAGGUGGUCUCUGUCCACCUCUAUCUCCUUCAUGGCCUUCCUUGUGUUUUGGAUUACAUCAGCUUGACUCUAAAGGAUGCAUCUCUGUUCUUUUUUGAGAUUAAGCUUCUCCAUCUCAAGCUCAAUCUUUGCCUGCUCCUCAAGUUGCUUCUUCUUCUCCUUCAGUUCAUUCAUUGCCUGGCUUGUGCAAUCCAUGUCAUGAGAUUUGAUUCCAUCCUGAUAAUCAAACAACUUGGACACAUCAUCCACCAGCUGGCUAUACUGAUUGGUCAGAGAAUCAAGCUCCUUCUAUAGUUUUGCAACCUCUGUCCCAUGAGCCUCAUUUUCCUGGGCUCUCCCAAGGUUCUGCUCAUGAUACAUAUCCCAGAGCUUGGUUAAGCACCUUUGCAGAAUUAUAGGCUAGGGGAAUCUACCCACUCCAGAACACCACAGUGCACACCAUCCUGAAAAUCAAAUUAUAUUUGCAGUGAACACCAUAGAUAACAAGCAAAUUCAGAAUCACAAAUCAUAAACACAUGUCCUAUACAUAGGUACACUAGCUAGCUCUAUACUAAAAAUACAACACAUCAAUAUGUUUCCAGUGCUCUCUGCUACCACUACUAGGGAAAUCCCUAGUAGUAGCGCGGGUUUUGAGGCUAUCAGCAGCGCGGGCACCCAUGCUACCAAUAAGGCGCUACACCUAACUAUUAAUAGUAGCGCUGUUUGUACCCGCGCUACUACUAUUGACUAUAUCAGCAGCACAUUUUCGGAACGCGCUACUAUUAGUUAGUUGUAGUGAUUUCCUGAGCCCGCGCUACUGUUAUAUCUUUCACCAUUUCCCCAUUCCAGCUUCAAUAAACUGCAAUUUCCAGAUACUAGGUACUACUAGAUAUCAAUUUCAUAAAGCAUUAUAGGUACUAGGUAGUACUCCCUCGGUUCCAAAUUACUCGUCGUGGUUUUAGUUCAAAUUUGAACUAAAACCACGACGAGUAAUUUGGAACCGAGGGAGUACUAGAUAACAAUUUCAUAUAUACUCAACAUGCAUCCUCAAGAAGUACAAGGUGACAUCGACGACGAUCAUCAUAUUUAGUUCUAGAUGAUAUCGAUGACGAUCAUCAUAUGUAGUUCUACAUGAUAUCGACGAUGAUCAUCAUAUGUAGUUCUAGAUGAUAUAGCCACACACACAUAUGUAGUUCUAGAUGAUAUCGACGACGAUCAUCAUCCUCAAGCCUGGGCGGUGGGUGUUCCUGAUAGUAAUUAGGAUGGCCUGUCCAACACGAAGAUUCUUUCCAACGAGGAAUCUUUUCCACCCAACCGUGUUUAAGUGUGUGCGACCGUCUGUGUCCAUGCGGUAAGUACAUGUGGUGAUGGAGCCCCUUGCGGUAAGGCGUAGUCCAGCUGAGCCUUCUUCAUCAGGCUCGAUACCACAACUCACAGAUAGGUUCUUUGGCAAUUUCUGAAUAAGAAAAACAUAUCAAUUAAUAAAUAGCCUCACACAUACUCUUGCAAAUAUAUUUCUAUUAAGUCUAGAUGUCUACACUAUCAAAAGACACAGUACUACGCAUUUGUACUAAUUAAUCAUGAAUUCUACUAAUAAGUAUAUAUGGAUUAUCUACACUAUUAAUAGUUCCUUGGAUUCUACACUAAUAAGCAUGUGAUCAGACUCUACACUAAAGCAUAUCGACGACUAGAUUCCACACAACUUAUCAUUGGACUCUACACUAAGCAUAUCAUCGGAUAAUUUGCAUUUGUAAGUAUAACAUACCAUAUCAUGUCGAUCGACCAUGGUACUUGUCAGGCGGGUCAUGAAUGGCACCCCGACAAAGUUAGCAUUGGGUGGAAUUAUGUCCCAUAGGUUGCACACCUCCUUCUCGCUCAACCUCAUUCUUUGAGCUACGAUGGCUUCAUGAAGUGGGUUCUCAUCAUCUUCAUCGAGUGGGUCCUCAUUAUCUUCAUCAUCUUCUUCAUCUGCAUCAUCUUCGUCAUCUUCAUCAUCUUCGUCAUCUUCAUCAUCUUCCACCAAGUUGAGAUAAAUGACAGCCAGCUUGGGUCUUUCUGCUUUGAAGGAGAAGCUGAUCAACUCACCACCAGUAAGACGCAUGCGGGCAAGGAAACGGGCCCAUCCAUCUCCUCCAAUCUGUGACAUAUUGCGUCCUUUCUCGACCUCCAUAGUGUACGGCCCCCCAGGAGCCUCAAAUGUCACAGUGUCUCCUGUCAGCUUGUUGAAUGUCAACCUCACAUUGCAUGGGACGGUCUGUGUAAGAAAAGAAAAAUGACACAAUGCAGUAAUGCCAACACUAAAAAUAAAAUAGUUGUUACAUUUCAUCUAAUUUCUUACCGCCGCAUGACGAAAACUCGGCUGGAGGUAGAUGCCAAACAGCUUGCCAGUUGCAAGGCUGCUGGCGCACCUUGACUUGCACAGUCGACAUAGUGGUGGUGGUGGUGGCGCCAUUUUCCUAAAGCAAUAUGAGCAAAGGAUUAAUGAUUCACUUCACAGGAAAGAAAAACAGUAGCAUGUGAUAUUUUUGGUGCUUUCGUGAGAAGCAAUUUUAUGGACAAUUAUAAUCCUAAGAUCUAAUAACUUAUUAGAUGACAAGGUACCACGUACCAAAGCAUUUCGGUGGCACCUAUUUCAGAAAAAAUAACAAUAAAAUGGUGCAUACUAAAUCAACUAAAUCAACUAGCAUACUAAACCCACUAGCAUACUAAAUCAACUAAAUCAAAAUGUUCUAAAUCAACUAAAUCAACUAGCCUACUAAAUCAACUAAAUCAACUAGCCUACUAAAUCAACUAAAUCAAAAUGUUCUAAAUCAACUAGCCUACUAAAUCAACUGAAUAAUAUCAACUAAAUCAGAAUGUUGCAUAUGAACUAGCCUACUAAAUCAAAAUGUAGCAGGGAGGAGGGAGAAGGAGGGGCGACUCGAGGAGGGAGAAGAGAGUAGGACGGAGGAGGAAGGCGGAGCGAGGAGGGGCUGGCCGGUGGCGAGUGGAGGGAGAAUGGAGGAGGAAGGCAGAGCGAGGAGGGGUCGGCCAGCGGCGACUGGAGGGAGGACGAAGGAGGAGGCCGGUAUCGAGUCCACCGAGGAGGAUGAGGUGACGGCAGCACAGAUCAGAGGAGGGGCGACGGGGGAGGACUGGCGGCGCGGGGGUUGAGGGGGAGAUCGAGUGUGUGUGUGAGUGUGAUCUGGAUCAGAUAGGUGAGUGGGGGAGAUGGAAUGGCUUAGCAGUAGCGCGCUAUAGCAAAAUGGGCUACUGCUAAACGACCUAUCAGUAGCGCCUUUCGCCGAGAACGCGCUACUGCUAUGUUAGACAUAGACAUAAAAAAUACAUUCAUCAUCAAUUGUCUUUUUGUGUACAAUCUGAUUUGUCAAUAGAAAUCCUCGACGGUUGGUUUAAGAACAGGCGAGGAUGCCUAUUGCGGCCACAGAUCCUACACAUAGAGUUCAAUGAAGACCAAGUGCUUGUGAAAGUUGUAGAAGUAACAUAUUUAAGGUGGUACAAACUCCCUUCAGUAGUAACCUUAGUAGCAGCGAUUAUUGCGUAAAUGCGCUACUGCUAUGAUCCGUAGCAGUAGCGCUUUUUGUUUUAAUGCGCUGCCGCUAUAAUAGGACUCACGGCGGCGUCCUGGGAAUUUUAGCAGUAGCGCGUCUUAGAGUGUGCGCGCUACUGAUAAACUUGUUUCAGCAGCGAAUUUUGAGAGCAUGCGCUACUGCUACGUAGCAGCAGCGCCUGAUUUUAAAGCGCGCUGCUAGUAAGAUUCUGUGUAUAGGCUUUUCCCUUGUAGUGUACAAAUACAAUAUUCAGACAUACAUAAGUUUUCACACAUAAGGAAAAUUCAGAAAUACGACAACUAAACGCUACUCUGUUUCCACUACAUAGCAGAUCCGAUGAAUCUCCUGCCAGUGUCAGUGCCUUCAAAUGCCACAAACUUGCCUGCCCUCUGCCUGUGCGGGAUGCACAUUCUGUCAGAUUCAGUCACAAGCCCACAAAAGCUUGAGUCUAUCACAGUGUCAGGAGUUUGCUGCAGCAGUAAAAACAUAUAUGUAUCAACUACAGCUCACAUAUAUGAACUUAAAUGGAAGAAAUCUCAAUUAUCUUCAAACCCUAACCCUAACCCUAAAACACACAGAAAGGAGAGGAGAGGAUAGAGUUAGCUGACUUACGAAAUACUCCAUCUGCAUGCUGCUGAACUCGCUCAUGAGCUCGUCAUCGUCGUCCAAGGUCAUGUUACUAUUGGGCCAGGACGUCAUGGUCGGUCGUGGUGUCGCCGGAGAGCGAGAAGAAGCAGAGGAGAGCAGGGUGGGGAGUGAGCUCAGGGGAGAGUGAGGGAGCAGGUGGGAACGAGCCCGGUCAGCCAGCUUAUACCUGGUCCGAUGCGGCCCGGUCGGCCCGGUCGACCAGGUGCGACCGACGAGCGAGCAGCUCUAACGGCUGGGGCGGAGCGCCGUUAGCCGUUACCGCUGUCGUCCACCUGACAUGUGGGCCACUGCUGUCAGAAAUGGGUUUAAACGCUCUAAAACAAUCAAAUCGUCAACUUGGUAGUUUUUAGUCACGCGCUUUCAAUUUUUUGGUAGUUAUCAGCCACUUUUAAAAAAGUGGUAGUUCGGUGGGACGGAAGCUCCAAUUGUGAUAGUUUUUUGUCAAACACUCCGGAUAUUUAGUUAAUCAAUUGGGUACCCGUCAUCCAGUCGUAUCCCUAAAAAAUAUCCGUCCCCUCCUUUUUAUAUUCCAAAUGUUAAAAUUUUCUGCAGUAAGGAUCUGGUAGCAGCAGCUCUUCCUCAUAGCCGCCCGGACCAUCACUGGAGGCGGGGCGAGGUACUCCUGCGGUGCCCUGCUGCUGCUCCUGCGGCAGCGUGUAGAUUAGAUGGAUAGCGGGAGGAGGGCACGGACUUGCCCGAGCCCACCCCGAGGCGUUCCGGUCCCGCAACGCACUAGCAUCGCGUUGGGCUAACCUCCUCGGCCGGAACGUGAAGCAACCGGGCGGCGUCGAGCCACCGGCAUAUAGGAGCUGUCCAGAAUGUAACAAAAAAGGGUCGGAGAAACCAACUAAUAUCUAUCGCCUGUUGUGAUACAUAUCAGGCCAUCGCCCACGCGAGUCAGACGUGGACCGAGGCCCAGAUAAGCAGUUUUCUGGAGGUUUUCACACGAUAUUUCUUCUGUGUUGGUUUUCAGUUCGUUUUUCAUUAUCUCUUUUACAUUGUUUAUAUUCUGCAUUUUUCUGUUAUUUAAAAAAAAUUCUUGAACAUCUCUUUGAAUUCACAAACAUCUAAGAAAAUUCGCAAACAUAUCUUCUAUGUGUUUUUCCCCAGUUUUCUGGUUUUACAGGUUUUCUAUUUUUCUCUAUUCAUCUUUUCUUCGGAAAAAUGUUCAAUUGUGCAUUUAAAAAAUGUUCAGUGUGUAUUAGAGAAAAGUUCGAGCUAUAUUAAAAAAAGUUCAUUAUACGUUGGAAAAACUUCACUGUAUAUAAAAAAAUUCCAUUGUACAUUAGAAAUUAGAUUAGUGUGUAUAUUAAAAAUUGUUCUCUGUAUAUUAAAGCGAGUUCACCGUACAUUAAAAAGAGUUCACUGUAUAUACAAAUUAUUUUUUACAUAUUACAAACUUGUUUAGUGUGUAUUUGAAAAAUUGUUCACCUUAUAUUAAAUAAAGUCCAAAGUAUAUUAAAAAAAGUUCAUUGUAUAUAAAAAAAUGUUUAUUGUAUAUUACAAAUUUGUUCAGUGUGUAUUUGACAAAAAAUCACCGUAUAUUAAAAAAUGUUCAAUGUGUAUUUGAAGAUGUUUAUAAUAUUGAAAACUUUUAAAAAUGAAAAAAUAUUAAAAACCCAAAGAAUGCCACAAAAACACCAUGCCGUAAGAGAGAGAAAACACAAAUCAUAAGUACUCCAUCCGUCCAAAAAAGCUUGUCCCAAGCUUGUCCUUCAAAUGGAUGUAUCUAGCACUAGUGCUAGAUACAUCCAUUUGGGGGACAAGCUUUUUCGGACGGAGGAAAUGGUACGCUAGGCUAUAGGAGCUACCGAAAGAAUUUAACAGGCCGGCCCACAUAGAGUGAGAGUGAUGAGCUACCUGAGUGAUCCCUCUAUAUAUAUAUAUAUUGGGUCAAGCGAUACAUAUCGAUCCCCAGAGAAUGGCAGAAGGCCAUGGCUUGGGUCUAAAUCCCCAUUUAUCGUGCCAAAGCCCAAGAGUGAUACAUUUGGAUCGCUUUCUCAAUUCCCUGCAAAGAACUCGAAUUCACCCCUAAAAAAUGCAAGAGCCAGAAUUCUCAACAGACAUUAGAAAGACAAAUGCAUCAUAAAAACAUGGAGGAUACAAAUGUGUGCUCGGUAUGCCAAUGCAUGCAGAAUUCUUGGAGACACACUCAAUGUUAGAGUGCAUGAUGGUAAGAUGUAUAUGGGUUUUGGUAGACGAAGAGUUGCACAAACAAGCAUCUUUGUGUACGGAGCCAAGGGAAAAAAUGGCUAUUUGAGAUGGAUGAAUAUCUUACUGAACAACAAUAUAUCAAGUUAAUAGUAAAAAUGUGGGCGAUCUGGAAGGCGACGCGAGAGUUUAUACAUGAAUAAGUAUAUCAUAGCCCUUUUGCCACUUGAGGAUUCAUCAUGAACUGAAGGAAUUACGAGGAACACGAAAUUCAUAUGAGGGGAUCUCGGGCCGGGUGGAUUGUGCCACCCCUGGGUGAUGUUAAAUAUAAUGUCGAUGGUGCCAUAUCAGUGGAUAACUGCCAUGGCGCUACAAGUGUAAUUUUUAGGGUGGGUGGUCCAAAAUGCUUUGAGGUUAUCGCGUGUAGAGAAGCUAUGUGUUUGAGGAUGGACUAGCAUGUAGGUGCUGAUGUGAUUGCAUCAGAUUGCAUGGCUAUUGUGCGGGAAAUUGCAAGUGCUUCUAUGGGAUAACAUGCUAUGAUAAUAAAUGUGAUAAGGAGAAUGAAGGAGGAGGCCAGUAAUAUUGCUUUUCGUCACGAGUAUAGACAGUCCAAUGAGGAUGCUCAUACUAUAGCUAGAAAUUCUCUAGUUUUAGCACUUGGACGCCAUGUUUGGCUGAUGGAGUCCCUGCACUAUGUAAACCCUAUGAUUAUUGAUUAAUAAAUCUUGGGUAUUUACCCCUAAAACAUAGUAGCUUUUAGGGUCUACCAAAAAAUUUAACUUUCAGGGUGUGUUGUACAACUGGUACAUGUGAUCCUUUCUCAACUAAGUUUUGUGAUAAAUUUUGCAGAUUAGGUUAUCCUGGUAUGGAGAUUUGAAGAUAUUCAACUAAUUUAACCUGCCUUUUUGAUAGAUGCAAUUGCUAAAUCUUCAAUAGGACUAGUCAAGCUACCGGACAAUGUAUGUGAGACUGCCAUCAUGAUCACCUGCAAAGAGGUUCGACGGUUAUAAAUGUCAGCAGGCAGAAGUGCAAAGAAUAACACCAAUGGGAUAAAUUGUAAUGCACACACCUAGAUACAAAAUGCCACCAACAAAAGAAUGACAAAAUGGUAAACCAUGGAAACAUGCGUCCACCUAGAUCCUCUAUAGAUAACAUUUGCAAAUAGUGCAAACGAUGUGCAUAUGCAUUGAAUAAUAAUAAUGGAAUGAAAAUUAUCAUGGUGGCAUACUGCUUACGCACAUGCCACAUCACAAGAACAUCCUAUGCGCAGUAGAGCACUUCAAAAGCAAAGUAAGUGUGGGGAACGUAGCAUGCAAUUUCAAAAAAAAAUCCUACAAUCACGCAAGAUCUAUCUAGGAGAUGCAUAGCAACGAGAGGGGAGAAUGUUUCCACGUACCCUCGUAGAGCGAAAGUGGAAGCGUUAGUUAACACGGUUGAUGUAGUCGAACGUCUUCAUGAUCCAACCGAUCCAAGUACCGAACGUACAUCACCUCCGUGUUCAGCACACGUUCAACUCGAUGACGUCCCUCGAACUCUUGAUCUAGUAGAGGGUCGAGGGAGAGUUCCCUCAGCACGACGGCGUGGUGACGGUGUUGAUGAUGUGAUCCGCGCAGGGCUUCGCCUAAACACUAUGAUGCUAUGACCGGAGGAGUAAACUGUGGAGGGGGGCACCGCACACGGCAAAGAGAAUAAUUGAUGUGCCUUUGGGGUGCUCCCUGCCCACGUAUAUAAAGGAGGGGGAGAGAGAGGUCCGCGGCCAGGAGGGGCGCGCCAUGGGAGGAGUCCUACUUGGACUCCUAGUCCAAGUAGGAUUCGCCCCCCCCCCUUUACCUUUUUCCACCGGAGGGAAUAGAAAGGAGAGGGAGAGUAAGGGAAGGGGGCGCCGCCCCCUCCUCGUUGUCCUAUUCGGACUCCCUAGGAGGGGGGCGCGUGACCACCCCCCGCGGGCUUCCCUCUCUCUCCCUUAGGCCCAUGUUGGCCCAACACUUCCCCGAGGGGUUUCGGUAACCCCUCGGUACUCCAGAAAAAUAUCCGAAUCACUCGGAACUAUUCCGAUGUCUGAAUAUAACCUUCCAAUAUAUGAAUCUUUACCUCUCGACCAUUUAUAGACUUCUCGUCGUGUCCCUGAUCUCAUCCAGGACUCCGAACAAACUUCGGUCACCAAAACACAUAACUCAUAAUACAAAUCACCAUCGAACGUUAAGCGUGCGGACCCUACGGGUUCGAGAACUAUGUAGACAUGAUCGAGACACAUCUCCAAUCAAUAACCAAUAGCGGAACCUGGAUGCUCAUAUUGGUUCCUACAUAUUCUACGAAGAUCUUUAUCGGUCAAACCGCACAACAACAUACAUUUUUCCCUUUGUCAUGUUAUGUUACUUGCCCAAGAUUCGAUCGUCGGUAUCUUCAUACCUAGUUCAAUCUCGUUAUCGGCAAGUCUCUUUACUCGUUCCAUAAUGCAUCAUCCCGUAACUAACUCAUUAGUCACAUUGCUUGCAAGGCUUAUAGUGAUGAGCAUUACCGAGAGGGCCCAAAGAUACCUCUCCGAUACACGGAGUGACAAAUCCUAAUCUCGAUCUAUGCCAACUCAACAAACACCUUUGCAGACACCUGUAGAGGAUCUUUAUAAUCACCCAGUUACGUUGUGACGUUUGAUAGAACACAAGGUGUUCCUCCGGUAUUCGGGAGUUGCAUAAUCUCAUAGUCAAAGGAACAUGUAUAAGUCAUGAAGAAAGCAAUAGCAAUAAAACUUAACGAUCAUUAUGCUAAGCUAAUGGAUGGGUCUUGUCCAUCACAUCAUUCUCUAAUGAUGUGAUCUUGUUCAUCAAAUGACAACACAUGUCUAUGGUCAAGAACCAUAACCAUCUUUGAUUAACGAGCUAGUCAACUAGAGGCAUACUAGGGACACUUUGCUUUGUAUAUGUAUUCACACAUGUACUAAGUUUCCGGUUAAUACAAUUCUAGCAUGAAUAAUAAACAUUUAUCAUGAUAUAAGGAAAUAUGAAUAACAACUUUAUUAUUGCCUCUAGGGCAUAUUUCCUUUAGUCUCCCACUUGCACUAGAGUCAAUAAUCUAGUUCACAUCGGCAUGUGAUUUAACACCAAUAGUUCACAUCUGUAUGUGAUUAUCACCCACAGUUCACAUCACGAUGUGACCAACACCCAAAGGGUUUACUAGAGUCAAUAAUGUAGUUCACAUCGCUAUGUGAUUAGCACCCAAAGAGUAUUAAGGUGUGAUCAUGUUUUGCUCGUGAGAGAAUUUUAGUCAACGGGUAUGAUACAUUCAGAGUCGUAUGUAUUUUGCAAAUUUUCUAUGUCUACAAUGCUCUGCAUUGAGCUACUCUAGCUAAUUGCUCCCAUUUCAGUAUGUAUCCAGAUUGAGACUUGGAGUCAUCUGGAUCGGUGUAAAAGCUUGCAUCGAUGUAACUCUUUACGAUGAACUCUUUAUCACCUCCAUAAUUGAGAAAUAUUUCCUUAGUCCUCUUAGGUAACUAAAGAUAAAUUUGACCGUUGUCCAGUGAGGCACUCCUGGAUCACUAUCGUACCCCCUUGCUAAACUCAUUAUAAGGUACACAAUAGGUCUGGUACACAGCAUAGCAUACUUUAUAGAACCUAUGGCUGAGGCAUAGGGAAUGACUUUCAUUCUCUUUCUAUUUUCUGCUGUGGUCGGGUUUUGAGUCUUACUCAACUUUACACCUUGCAAUAUAGGCAAGAACUCCUUCUUAGACUGUUCCAUAUUGAACUACUUCAAAAACUUGUCAAGGUAUGUAAUCAUUGAAAAAUCUUAUCAAGUGUCUUGAUCUAUCUCUAUAGAUCUUGGUGCCCAAUAUGUAAGCAGCUUCACUGAGGUCUUUGUUCGAAAAUCUCCUUUCAAACUCUCCUUUAUGCUUUCCAGAAAAUUCUACAUCAUUUCCGAUCAACAAUAUGUCAUUCACAUAUACUUAUCAGAAAGGCUGUAGUGCUCCCACUCACUUUCUUGUAAAUGCAGGCUUCUCCAAAAGUUUGUAUAAAACCAUAUUCUUUGAUCACAUUAUCAAAGCGUAUAUUCCAACUCCGAGAUGCUUGCACCAGUCCACAGAUGGAUCGCUGGAGCUUUUACACUUUGUUAGCACCUUUAGGAUGGACAAAACCUCCUGGUUGCAUCAUAUACAACACUUCUUUAGUAAAUCCAUUAAGGAAUGCAGUUUUUGACAUCCAUUUGCCAGAUUUCAUAAAAUGCGGCAAUUGCUAACAUGAUUCGGACAGACUUAAGCAUCGAUACGAGUGAGAAAAUCUCAUCGUAGUCAACACCCUGAAUUUGUCGAAACCUUUUGCGACAAUUCGAGCUUUGUAGACAGUAACAUUAUCGUCAGCGUCAGUCUUCUUCUUGAAGAUCCAUUUAUUUUCUAUGGCUUGCCGAUCAUCAGGCAAAUCCACCAAAGUAAACACUUUGUUCUCAUACAUGGAUCCCAUCUCAGAUUUCAUGGCCUCAAGCCAUUUCACAGAAUCUGGGAUGAUCAUCGCUUCCUCAUAGCUCAUAGGUUCAUCAUGGUCUAGUAACAUGACUUCCAGAAUAGAAUUACCGUACCACUCUGGUGCGGACCGUAAUCUGUUUGACCUACGAGGUUCGGUAGUAACUUGAUCUGAAGUUUCAUGAUCAUCAUCAUUAGCUUCCUCACUAAUUGGUGUAGGAAUCACUGGAACUGAUUUCUGUGAUGAACUAUUUUCCAAUUCGAGAGAAGGUUCAAUUACCUCAUAAAGUUCUACUUUUCUCCCACUCACUUCUUUCGAGAGAAACUCUUUCUCUAGAAAGGAUCCAUUCUUAGCAACGAAUAUCUUGCCUUCGGAUCUGUGAUAGAAGGUGUACCCAACAGUUUAUUUUGGGUAUCCUAUGAAGACGCAUUUCUCUGAUUUGGGUUCGAGCUUAUCAGGUUGAAGCUUUUUCACAUAAGCAUCGCAGCCCCAAACUUUAAGAAAUGACAACUUGGGUUUCUUGCCAAACCACAGUUCAUAUGGUGUCGUCUCAACGGAUUUAGAUGGUGCCCUGUUUAACGUGAAUGCAGCUGUCCCUAAAGCAUAACCCCAAAACGAUGGCGGUAAAUCAGUAAGAGACAUCAUAGAUUGCACGAUAUCUAAUAAAGUACGGUUAUGACAUUCGGACACACCAUUACGCUGUGGUGUUCCAUGUGGCAUGAGUUAUGAAACUAUUCCACAUUGUUUCAAAUGAAGACCAAACCCGUAGCUCAAAUAUUCACCUCCAUGAUCAGAUCAUAGAAACUUUAUUUUCUUGUUACGAUGAUUUUCCACUUCACUCUAAAAUUCUUUGAACUUUUAAAAUGUUUUAGACUUAUGUUUCAUUAAGUAGAUAUACCCAUAUCUGCUCAAAUCGUCUGUGAUGGUUAGAAAAUAACGAUACUCGCCGCAAGACUCAACACUCAUCAGACUGCAUACAUCGGUAUGUAUAUUUCCAAUAAGUCAAUGGCUCGCUCCAAUUGUUCUGGAGAACGGAGUCUUAGUCGUCUUGCCCAUGAGGCAUGGUUCGCAAGCACCAAGUGAUUCAUAAUCAAGUGAUUCCAAAAGACCAUCAGCAUGGAGUUUCUUCAUGUGCUUUUUACCAAUAUGACCUAAAUGGAAGUGCCACAAAUAAGUUGCACUAUUAGUACUAACUUUGCAUCUUUUGGCUUCAAUAUUAUAUGAAUAUGUGUAUCACCUCGAUCGAGAUUCAACAAAAAUAGACCACUCAUGAAGGGUGCAUGACCAUAAAAGAUAUUACUCUUAUAAAUAGAACAACCAUUAUUCUCUAAUUUAAAUGAAUAACCAUCUCGCAUCAAACAAGAUCCAGAUAUAAUGUUCAUGCUUAACGCUGGCACGAAAUAACAAUUAUUUAGGUCUAAAACUAAUCCCGAAGGUAGAUGUAGAGGCCACGUGCCGACGACGAUCCAUCGACCUUGGAACCAUUUCCGACGCGCAUCAUCACCUCGUCCUUAACAAAUCUUCAUUUAAUUCGUAGCCCCUAUUUUGAGUUGCAAAUAUAAGCAACAGGACCAGUAUCAAAUACCCAGGCGCUACUACGAGCAUUAGUAAGGUACACAUCAAUCACAUGUAUAUCAAAUAUACCGUUCACUUUGCCAUCCUUCUUAUCCGCCAAAUACUUGGGGCAAUUCCGUUUCCAGUGACCAGUCCCUUUGCAGUAGAAGCACUCAGUUUCAGGCUUAGGUCCAGACUUGGGCUUCUUCCCGGGGGUAGCAACUUGCUUGCUAUUCUUCUGGAAGUUCCCCUCCUUCCCUUUGCCCUUUUUCUUGAAACUAGUGGUCUUGUUAACCAUCAACACUUGAUGCUCCUUCUUGAUUUCUACCUCCGCAACCUUUAGCAUUGCGAAGAGCUCGGGAAUUGUCUUCUCCAUCCCUGGCAUAUUAUAGUUCAUCACGAAGCCUUUAUAGCUUGGUGGCAGUGAUUGAAGAACUCUGUCAAUGGCACUAUCAUCAGGAAGAUUAACUCCCAGCUGAGUCAAGUGGUUAUGGUACCCGGACUUUCUGAGUAUGUCUUCACUGACAGAACUAUUCUCCUCCAUCUUGCAGCUAUAGAACUUGUUGGAGACUUCAUAUCUCUCAACUCGGGCAUUUUCUUGAAAUAUUAACUUCAACUCUUGGAACAUCUCAUAUGCACCAUGACGUUCAAAACGUCUUUGAAGUCCUGGUUCUAAGCCGUAGAGCAUGGUGCACUAAACUAUCAAGUAGUCAUCAUAUUGACCUAGCCAAACAUUCAUAACGUCUGCAUCUGCUCCUGCAAUAGGUCUAUCACCUAGCGGUGCAUCAAUGACAUAAUUCUUCUGUGCAGCAAUGAGGAUAAACCUCUGAUCACGAACCUAGUCCGCAUCAUUGCUAUUAUCAUCUUUAAACUUAGUUUUCUAUAGGAACAUAUAAAAAAUAUAGGGAAGCUACAACGUGAUCUAUUGAUCUACAACAUAAUUUGCAAAAUACUAUCAAGACUAAGUUCAUGAUAAACUAAAGUUCAAUUAAUCAUAUUACUUAAGAACUCCCACUUAGAUAGACAUCCCUCUAGUCAUCUAAAUGAUCACGUCAUCCAUAUCAACUAAACCAUGUCCGAUCAUCAUGUGAGAUGGAGUAGUUUUCAAUGGUGAACAUCUCUAUGUUGAUCAUAUCUACUAUAUGAUUCAUGUUCGACCUUUCAGUCUCAGUGUAUUGAGGCCAUAUCUGCAUAUGCUAGGUUCGUCAAGUUUAACCCGAGUAUUCUGCAUGUGCAAAACUGGCUUGCACCCGGUGUAUGUGAAUGUAGAGCUUAUCACACCUGAUCAUCACGUGGUGUCUCGGCACGAUGAACUGUAGCAAUGGUGCAUACUCAGGGAGAACACUUAUACAUUGAAAUUUAGUGAGGGAUCAUCUUAUAGUGCUACCACCGUACUAAGCAAAAUAAGAUGCAUAAAAGAUAAACAUCACAUGCAAUCAAAAUAUGUGACAUGAUAUGGCCAUCAUCAUCUUGUGCCUUUGAUCUCCAUCUCCAAAGAACCACCAUGAUAUCCAUUGUCACCGGCUUGACACCUUGAUCUCCAUCGUAGCAUCCUUGUCGUCUUGCCAACUAUUGCCUCUACGACUAUCGCUAUCGCUUAGUGAUAAAGUAAAGCAUUUACAUGGCGAUUGCAUUUCAUACAAUAAAGCGACAACCAUAUGGCUCCUGCCAGUUGCCCAUAACUUUGUUACAAAACAUGAUCAUCUCAUACAACAAUUUAUAUCACAUCAUGUCUUGUCCAUAUCACAUCACAACAAGCCCUGCAAAAACAAGUUAGACGUCCUCUACUUGUUGUUGCAAGUUUUACAUGGCUGCUACGGGCUUCUAGGAAGAACCAUUCUUACCUACGCAUCAAAACCACAACGAUUUUUCGUCAAGUGUGCCAUUUUAAACUUCAACAAGGACCGGUCGUAGUCAAACUCGAUUCAGCUAAAGUUGGAGAAACAGACACCUGCCAGCCACCUGUGUGCAAAGCACGUCGGUAGAACCAGUCUCAUGAACAUGGUCAUGUAAUGUCGGCCCGGGCCGCUUCAUCCAACAAUACAGCUGAAUCAAAGUAAGACGUUGGUCGUAAGCAGUAUGACUAUUAUCGCCCACAACUCUUUGUGUUCUACUCGUCCAUAUCAUCUACGCAUAGACCUGGCUCGGAUGCCACUGUUAGGGAACGUAGCAUGCAAUUUCAAAAAAAUUCCUACGAUCAGGCAAGAUCUAUCUAGGAGAUGCAUAGCAAUGAGAGGGGGAGACUAUGUCCACGUACACUCAUAGACCAAAAGCGGAAGUGUUAGUUAACGCGGUUGAUGUAGUCGAACGUCUUCACGAUCAACCGAUCCAAGUACCGAACACACGACACCUCCGUGUUCAGCACACUUUCUGCUCAAUGACGUCCCUCGAACUCUUGAUCCAGUAGAGGGUCGAGGGAGAGUUCCGUCGGCACGAUGGCAUGGUGACUGUGUUGAUGAUGUGAUCCGCGCAGGGCUUCGCCUAAGAAGUACGACACUAUGACCAGAGGAGUAAACUGUGGAGGGGGGCACCGCACACGGAAAAGAGAACAAUUGAUGUGCCUUUGGAGUGCUCCCUGCCCACGUAUAUAAAGGAGGGGGGAGAGGCCGGCGGCCAGGAGAGGUGCACCAUGGGGGGAGUCCUACUUGGACUCCUAGUCCAAGUAGGAUUCGUCUCCCCUCCCUUUACCUUUUACGACCAGAGGGAAUAGGAAUGAGAGGGAGAGGGAAAGGGAAGGGGGGCGCCGCCCCCUCCUCCUUGUCCUAUUCGGACUCCCUAGGAGGGGGACACACAACCACCCCCACGGGCUUCCCUCUCUCUCCCUUUGGCCCAUGUUGGCCCAACACUUCCCCGGGGGGUUCUGGUAACCCCUCGGUACUUCGGAAAAAUAUCCGAAUCACUCGGAACUAUUUUGAUAUCCGAUAUAACCUUCCAAUAUAUGAAUCUUUACCUCUCGACCAUUUCAAGACUCCUCGUCAUGUCCGUGAUCUCAUCCGGGACUCCGAACAAACUUCGGUCACCAAAACACAUAACUCAUAAUACAAAACAUCAUUGAACGUUAAGCGUGCGGACCCUACGGGUUCGAGAACUAUGUAGACAUGAUCGAGACACAUCUCCGAUCAAUAACCAACAGCGGAACCUAGAUGAUCAUAUUGGUUCCUACAUAUUGUAUGAAGAUCUUUAUCGGUCAAACCGCACAACAACAUGCAUUGUUCCCUUUGUCAUCGGUAUGUUACUUGCCCGAGAUUCGAUCGUCGGUAUCUUCAUACCUAGUUCAAUCUCGUUACCGGCAAGUCUCUUUACUCGGUCCGUAAUGCAUCAUCCUGUAACUAAGUCAUAUGAGCAUUACCGAGAGUGCCCAGAGAUACCUCUCUGAUAAACAGAGUGAGAAAUCCUAAUCUUGAUCUAUGCCAACUCAACAAACACCUUCGAAGACACCUAUAGAGCAUCUUUAUAAUCACCCAGUUACGUUGUGACGUUUGAUAGAACACAAGGUGUUCCUCUGGUAUUCGGGAGUUGCAUAAUCUCAUAGUCAGAGGAACAUGUAUAAGUCAUGAAGAAAGUAAUAGCAAUAAAACUUAACGAUCAUUAUGCUAAGCUAACGGAUGGGUAUUGUCCAUCACAUCAUUCUCUAAUGAUAUGAUCCUGUUCAUCAAGUGACAACACAUGUCUAUGGUCAGGAAACAUAACCAUCUUUGAUUAACGAGCUAGUCAAGUAGAGGCAUACUAGGGACACUUUGUUUUGUCUAUGUAUUCACACAUGUACUAAGUUUCCGGUUCAUACAAUUGUAGCAUGAAUAAUAAACAUUUAUCAAGACAUAAGGAAAUAUAAAUAACAACUUUAUUAUUGCCUUUAGGGCAUAUUUUCUUUAGUAAGAACAAUGAACAUGGUAAGAAAACAAGAAUAGUACAGAAGAAUUUAAACCAUGGUUGUAAUCAACAAAGUCGGUUUGGUAAGAGCAGUAAACUGGUUGUAAAAAAUGUGGUACUAACUUAAUGCCAAUAAUACUAGCUAACUCUAAUUUUGCAGAGAAUCAACUUGCAGUGUUGUGAAAAUGAAAUGUGCAAAGUGAGGCUAACUAAAGGAAGGGUGGAUCAGAAGUGGCCUCAAAAAAUAUUAUGCAGAAAUGUGGAAUUGGCCCAAAAGGGUAGUACUAAUAUUUAUGGGAAGAAUGGAAGAUAAUGAAAACUACUCCCUCCAUCCCACAAUAUAAGAGCGCUUGGCAAGCUAACAUAGCUUACAUAAUGCUCUUAUAUUGUGGGACGGAGGAGUAAUAAACAAGAGGUCAUUAAAGCAAGAUAUAUCUUUUGGAUAAAAGAGUGACCGUCCUUUAUAGAAAAGUUGAGGUAGAUCAUCUUGACUCGCGUCUGGCGAAGCUUCCAUAGAUUCCUCUGAAGAUCAGGUAAGUUCCAUCUUUUACUAUAGCUUAACCAAGCUAGUGAUCAACAUUAAGUUAUGCACCAUAGUUGAUGCAUAAAUGAGCUGGUAUAUACGCAAAUGAAAAGGAGCAGAGUAGAGUCUAGCCUAACCUAUAAAUAUACCAUCCAUUCCUUUGCUUUGCGGAAUAAUGCUGCCAUUUGAAAAAAAAGACAAGAUUAUUAACAACAAAUGAACAAAUGCACAUCCAUAGAAUUACAUGGAAGAUAAAGUAAACACCAUGAGGGCAUAUAAAUAAAUUACAGGGUACACAGAUUAAAUGUCAGAAGGGCAUAUAGCCGCUUGACUUGUACAUUUUGUGUCCUUUAAAGAACAAUUUCAUGGAUUAAUUGCACAGACUAAUCGUACUAGUUUGGAUGUUUUGUAAACUUACUAUGAUAAGUAACCACUUCGAAGGUUGCAAGAUUAGUCUGUGAGACUGGAGUAACCAGACAACCUACCAUGAGUUCAACAGUUAGAAAUGGUAGCAUGUAGGCAGGCAAACCAAUUAUGUGUGCCAAAGAAUGUAGCAUCAUGAUGUAUUAUAGGUGCAUAUCAGUCCACAAAAUCAACGUGGUAAGAGCAAAGAACUUGUUACAAGUUUGCAAUAGAGAUAAAUCAGGGCACUCUAGUGACAAAGUAAAUGAGAGAUGCAAGCCAACGUUGUCGUUGUGAAUUAUUACAUUCAAGUUUUGUGACUAUGUAAGAUCCAGAGGCAUGGUUGCGUACAUAUGACCAACAAUGCAGCAAGGAUUCAAAAAAAAUAUUACUGCCAGAAAAUAUUCGAAAUAGAAAGUGGAGGCAAUGAGAAUAAACUGAAGUAUUUUUAUGGACAAAACUGAAGGGUUUCUUCAAGUGAAAAUAUAACUUAGCUAAAUGUUUGUUGGACGGAGAGAGAGUGAAGUUACCUUUGUCAGAGCUAGAUUGAGUCAGUUCCUCUUCAUUUAUCUUACCGGCUUCCAAACUUGUCUCUGAAUUAGAUCACAUAAGUUCAUCGGUUGUUGUCUUAUGGAGUUACAAACUCGUAAAUGAGAAGUUUUACAUACCAACAAGAUGCACUCUUACAUCCAGUUGCAUAUGGUGUCGGAAAAGUAAAUUUAUGUGAUAGUCUCCUUAUCAGACACGCUUUACAAUCGUGCACUGUUUGUGAUGGGGCGCGCAUCGUAAACUUUGCACCAUAGAAUAGCGCGUGUGAUGGUACUGCCAACCCAUACACUUAGUUCUACAAAAUGUAUGCAUUCUUACUCCCUAUCACUGACGAUUUCUUGGUCUUGUCGGAUGGAACCCCCCUAUCGCACAUACAGGCAAGGCCAUGGUUUAAAACUCUGUUGCGGAAAGGGUGUAAAAACCUUAUGUAUAGGAUGUCGCUGCACCAGCGUAUAUAUGCAUGUUUCAUACAAUUAAAUCUCGUUGAAAAUGUAUUGCAACCAAUGGCCACAACAAUGACUAGGUAUUGUUAUUACAUAAACGGAGCCAAGGAGGGCCGAGACCCCUGCCAAUCGCUCAACCCCCUCAAUGAUUUUUAUGAACGAUAGGACGAGACCAAAGGACCUCACCAAGGAGGUUGAAGAAGGCCCGCUGAAAUUUUUUACCUACGGGGAGCGGGAGAGUGCUUUGGCGAGAGGCACUAUGAAUCUCCGCACUAGUUCAUUCACCAGAGUGGUGGACGUCGGUAGAGGUGUAGGGAGUUGGUCAAUUUUAAUAACCACCUACCCCCGUAAGACUAAUCUAUUGAAGCAUGUGUUCCUUCCUCCUUAGAGCGGCCUCUUGUGGCUGCCCACGAAGAUGACGGAUGGCGUCCCAAAGGCAGAUAACUGGAACAAGGUCAUACACACCCCCUUUCUUUGUCGCGGCCUCUCUUUACCUCUGCGUGGCUUCAUCUGGGGUGUCUUGGGAUCCAGUCACAAUUCACGCUUUGGUGCUAUUUAUUUGAAGUGAUACUGCGGAGGGAAGGUGGCGUGGUUCCAGAUUGCUGCAGAGCUGUCAUCCAGCCUCAAGAGGAUUCGUGGUACUUUGAUACACUGUUGCCUAAGAUGACAAGGUCGUGACAUAAGGGUUGGUUUUAUCCCUUGACCCCCCGAAGGAGCUGAACAUGGAGGGUGCGCCGCCAUUCUAGAAUUCACCUCUGCGAGAACUGCGAUCAUGGAGUUCGGAGACCGACCUCAUCAUAGAGACAGGGUUGCUAGUUCAGGAUGUCUACCAACUCCAAGAUUUCAUCCUCAUAGGCAUGCAGAUCUUGAAGAGUUGGCUAGAAAGGAAAACUCAGUCCUUAGUAGACCGAGCUCACCCAAGGUUUGACUAUGUGGGUCCAAGUGAUUCUUGCCACUUGAACCAUGCAGAGAUCUCUGGAUUAGAGCUCAUGUCUCAUAUGCACUUUUUGACUCACGUUCCCAUCAACAAAAUCACUCUCUAGGUUGUUUUGGAAUCCUUUCAUCACGAUCACCGUAUGAGCAACAUAAUCAAUGCUCCCCUUGCAGCCCUCCUACGAGUCCUUGUGUCAUAGCCCAAGAUUAGUCUUUGCUUGACAUUGCAGAAUCAUCCAUGAAUGAUGUUUAAAAUCAAAUUAAAUUUGAAUUGGGGAUGAUCAAAACCCUAGCACCAAAUGAAUUCAACUAUUUUCAACCAAAAUAUUUCAAUGAACCAAAAUGCCCUUCUAAAAUCUUCAUAAUUUAUGGGAAAAAGUGAAAACCAUAAAUAGACAUGAUGCAUAUUUUUCCAGGACAUUUUUGGUCUUUGAAUUAAAUCAAUACUUAUUUUAAUUGGACUUGUAAAUUCAUAUAAAUAUUGUUAUAACUCCAAUAAUUCUGGAAAUCCAUGUGGAGCUUUCGAUUUGUCCAUAUUGCAUCCACACAUAUUUUUGAGAAGCAAGAAAAUUGAAUUGCUUUCAAAACCAAACUCAAAACCCACCUGUAAAUUAUAAAAACUGUAACAGAAAUAGAGAAAUAGGAAAAGAGAAAACUUACUUGGUAAUCCACAUACCUGAGAGGCCCUGCAGCAGCCAGCCCAAUAGAGCCCAACCGCCACCGUCCUCAACCUCCUGCCAGUAGGCAGGAGGGCUUGUGUGAGGGAGUCCUGGAUAAGGGGCUAUCCGGACAGCUGGACUAUAUACAUCAUCCGGACUAUUGAAGCGUGAAGAUACAAGACGCAAGACUCCGGCCCGUGUCCGGAUGGGACUCUCCUUUGCGUGGGAGACAAGCUUGACGAUCCGGAUAUUAUAUUUCCUUCCUUGUAACCGACUCCAUGUAAACCCUAGCCCUCUCCGGUGUCUAUAUAAACCGGAGAGGAUGGUCCUUAGAAGGCCGAUCACAAUUACAAUCAUACCAUCAUAGGCUAGCUCUUAGGGUUUAGCCUCUACGAUCUUGUGGUAGAUCUACUCUUGUACUACUCAUAUCUUCAAUAUUAAUCAAGCAGGAAGUAGGGUUUUACCUCCAUCGAGACGGCCCGAACCUGGGUAAACAUUGUGUCCCUUGCUUCCUGUUACCAUCAGCCUAAGACGCACAGAUCAGGACCCCCUACCCGAGAUCUGCCGGUUUUGAUACCGACAUUGGUGCUUUCAUUGAGAGUUCCUCUGUGUCGUUGCUUCGAGGCUUGAUGGCGUCUUCAAUCGCUGACAACAUGGUCCAGGGAGAGAUUCUUCUCCCUGGACAAAUCCUUGUGUUCGGCGGCUUCGCACUGCGGGCCAAUUCGCUUGGUCAUCUGGAGCAGAUCGACAGCUAUGCCCUUGGCCACAAGGUCAGGUUUGGAAACUUGAACUACACGGCGGAUAUUCGCGGAGACUUGAUCUUCGACGGAUUCGGGCAUGUGCCAGGAGCGCCGGACAGUCACGACAAGCACGGCCUAGACCUGCUGUUGGACAAUGCUCAGGAUAUCACCCCUGCAGUAGCCCCGGAUCUAAAUCCGGAGCAGGUUGCGUUGCGUAAGGACGGAGGGGUGGACCCCGCCCGCGGGCCGCAUACUCAUCGGCGUUGGAGCCGAACACAGGUCUCGCCUCUGUUGAGGUCUGUAACCUCGAGCCCCCGGACUCGUAUCCGGUUGUUGGUCCCGGUCCGCAUACCCUCGAGCCAACCGGGCCAGGUUGGGCUCCGGUAAUGGAGUUUACCGCUGCAGACAUCUUCCAGCACUCGCCCUUUGGCGACAUGUUGAACUCAUUAAUAUCUCUCUCUUUGUCAGGAGGCUCUGGGCCGAACUAUGUCCGUCCUGAGUGGGAAGCAGGCGACGAAGGAAUUCGUUGCCCACCCACCACCCACUUCAUUAACACGAUCGAUGAUUUAACCGAUGUUCUUGACUUCGAUUCCGAAGACAUCGACGGUAUGGACGAGAUGCAGGAGAAGCUUCAGAAUCUUUGGGGCGCGGGACUACUACCUUGUCACACGAUAUAUACAUGGUGGAUACGCCCAAGAAGGACGACGAUGAUAAUCCGGAAGAUAAAACACCCGGGCAAAAGCCAAAACGUCGGUGCAGACGCCGCUCAAAGUCUAGCAACAAUAAAAAUAGCGACAAGAGUGCAAGAAGGAUCGACAUACCAGUAAACCCCGAAGGCAGUAACGACCACAUGGACCCAGCGAUGGAGCAGGACGAGCCAGGGCACGCCAAACCGAGUUCGGAGAAAAUACCCGAUCACAAUGAUCCGGAGGGACAAGCUCAUGAAACUGCCCCAGAACAGGAACACAGUCCGGACGACGAUGCAUUCAUCAUUCCGGACGAACGAGUGGAACGAGACAACCUCCACCGAAAGCUUAUGGCCACAUUAAGAAGUCUAAGGAAGAAGAAGCAAUGGCUCAAAGCCGCACAGGAAACGCUCAGUCACAGAUGGACUAAAGUGCUGGACACUGAAGAAAGAUACGGCGAUGAUCGCCAUACAAAAAGCUAUCCAAAACGCAAGCUACUGCCAGAAUUCGACAACAAGGCCGUUCCACCAAAGAAUAAUACGUCCAGGAGACCAGACGUACCGCUUCAUAACCACAACAGAACGGCUACUGACGCCGCGCAUGAUCUGCGUGAGCAUCUGGAUAAGAAAGCCGGUGCAGCCAGGUCCAUCUAUGGAUCUAAAGGACACACCCCGGCGAGGGACUAUGGUCACCCAAAUGCUCAUACAAGCCAAAUACCAGUUCAGAAUAAACUCCGGACACAACAACAGCCGACCGCAUGCCACAGCGCGCCCAGAUACAGAGGGGCUGCUCACCCCCUGUGCUUCACCGAAGAAGUACUGGACCAUGAAUUCCCACAAGGCUUUAAACCUGUGAACAUAGAGGCAUACGAGGGAACGAUAGACCCAGGGGUCUGGAUCGAGGAUUUUAUCCUGCAUAUUCACAUGGCUCAUGGGGAUGACCUCCACACCAUCAAAUACCUUCCCCUCAAGCUGAAGGGACUAGCUCGACACUGGUUGAAAAGCCUCCCCAAAAAUUCAAUCGGGAGUUGGGAGGAACUCGAGGACGCUUUCAGGGCCAACUUCCAAGGGACUUAUGUCCGGCCUCCGGAUGCAGACGAUCUAAGUCACAUAAUCCAACAGCCCGGAGAGUCCGAGCGCAAGCUUUGGAACAUAUUUCUCACUAAGAAGAAUCAAAUUGUCGAUUGUCCGGAUGCCGAAGCCUUAGCAGCAUUCAAACAUAGCAUCCGCGACGAGUGGCUCACCCGGCACCUCGGCCAAGAAAAGCCAAGGACAAUGGCAGCCUUAACAGGCCUUAUGACCCGCUUUUGCGUGGGUGAAGAUAGCUAGUUAGCCCGUAAAGGCACCAGCGACCCCAACACAUCCGAAAUAAGGGAUGGCAACGGGAAGCCACGGCGUAAUAAACACAAAUGCCAAAACAAGGAAGAGAGCCCGGAUAACACAACGGUCAAUGCCGGAUUCAGGGGCCCUCGACCUGAUCAGCAAAGAUGCCAUUUAAAGGCAGUAAAGAGGGACCAUCCAGUCUGAACAGAGUCCUGGAUAGACUAUGCCAAAUUCAUGGCACCCCGGAGAAACCUGCGAACCACACGCAUAGAUAAUGCUGAGUCUUCAAGCAGGCCGGCAAAUUAAAUGCCGAACGCAAGGGGAGGGAAACACCAAGUGAAGACGAGGACGAACCUCGCCAGCCGAACACUGGGGGACAGAAAAAAAUUCCCGCCAGAGGUUAAAACAGUAAACAUGAUCCACGCGACUCACAUAUUCACGAGAAGGCACGAACGCGCGCUCAGAGACGCGCACAAUGUAGAGCCCAUCGUACCCACAUCUAACUUCUGGAUGUCUGGUCCGAUCACUUUCGAUCACAUGGACGACCGAACUAGUAUUCGGCGCGGAGGAUCAGAGGCCUUGGUGCUAGACCCAAUAAUCGACAGAUACCGUAUCACCCACGUCCUCAUGGACGGCGGCAGUAGUCUCAAUUUAACAUACGAGGACACUGUCCGCAGAAUGGGGAUAAACCCAUCCAGCAUUAGCCAAAGCAACACCACCUUUGAAGGGGUGAUACCAGGCGUGGAAGCCUACGGCAGGGGCUCCGUCGUGAUGGAAGUAACAUUCGGCUCCCCAGGCAAUUCCAGAAGCGAAGAAUUACUCUUCACCAUCGCACCCUUCCAAAGCGGCUAUCAUGCAUUCUUCGGAAGAAAGGCCUUCGCCCGCUUCAACGCAUUGCCGCACUAUGGGUACCUUACACUCAAGAUGCCCGGUCCACGUGGCGUCAUCACCGUUAGCGGAAUCACAGAGCGCUCUUCACGCGCAGAAGAACACGUGACGGCCCUGGCGGCCGGACUGUAAGCGGCCUCCAAUAUCAAAAAGACAUGACUGGUCAUUACGACCACAUACACGGUUAGAUGGGUCAUGUAGCCCGAAUAAAACUGAACCAGGGCACCGUACAUGUAAUCCCAUAUUGGAUACCAGGGGCUGUAAAUAUUUAAUGCAGCCCCAUAGCUGGCUCAACCUUACUGGCAGGCCAACAUCAUACACUUUUAUUAUCAAUCGCAUACUUACGUUGUACUCUCCUACGAGUUUUCUUUUUUCCACAAACAACGUUCGUGCGAUACCCUUCCAGGAUACGGCACAACAGAGACAAAGGCGAAGACGUGCAGCAGGGCCCCGUUCAAAAGGUUUCUUUUUAGAUUAAGCCCCUGUGUAAACCUUUUCUACUGCCUCUUAUUGUUUAACCAUCCCAUGGGUUCCAUAUCCACAGAGGAUACUACCGUUAUUGGCAUUUCGCCACGAUAGAUUAAAACGCAUGUACCUGGAAAUUUAGGUCUUAUAAUAGGCUAUCGCCAGCCUAUUUUCUUUUACAAAGACCGAAUACCCUCGGGAGUGUUCGGCGUCACCAGUUUGGCCUUAUAUGCAUCAGCUCCGAAUCAUGUCUUUGGUCAAAUGUUGGGUUUGCCUGGCUCCUGGGUUUGCCGCCUUACGUUCCGUUAUUAUCGGCUAAGGCGGCCAAAGGAGAACUACUGCGAUUGUACCCUGGUUAUUCCGGAUGAGCACCUCAAUAGAGAAAGCCGAAAAUUGACUGUCAUGAUACAGCGAGAGACUGUUCAACCACUCGAAGACUCACCGGAAUCUCUAGGAUUCCUCCACACUAACGAAGGGUCGUUUCCCGGCCAUGUACAUACGCGCCCGUAUUCGGAUGCACGCGAAUGUACCAGGGGCUACAUAGUAGCCCCACCGUUAGACCCCCAUGGCUAAGCGAAAGUGUUACAGCUAUAUAGUCCGGUUGCCUAGUUCGACGUGUGAUCACCUCCUUAAUGGACCAAGACGUUGGAUCAAGUGUGAUUAAGCAUAUUUUUCGCGAACACCCCCGUAUUGUAUGCAUGGGGGCUGAAGACAACGACUGCUAACUUUCGGAUUCCUCAUAUUUAUAUAAAAAACGGCCGCAAAGGGGACACAAUCAUACUUCCGGGAUAAAGUAUAAAUACAGCCUCAUAAUCAAAAUAAACAUUGUUUUUUUACAAGGAUUCGACUUAUCACUCGAACAAGACAUUCUUCGAGAACUACGCCUCUAUUAGGCGGGCACCUUCUGUGACCUGUGCCAAGUAGUGCUCGGCCAGAUAUUGGCCUCCCGCCGGAUCCUGGGUCGCUAUAAUGGUGGCCUCCAUAUCCGUCCAAUAGGCUUUAACACGGGCUAGAGCCAUCCGUGCACCCUCUAUGCACGCCGACCUCCUCAUAGCGUCAAUCCGAGACACAGCCCCAAGGAAUUGCUGCACCAAACCAAAGUAACUGUCCGGCUUAGGUCCCUUCGGGCAAAGAUGGUCUAUUACAGACCGCAUUGCAAGCCCGGACAGCCUGUGAAGCUCCGCCACAUCAGCCACCUUCUCAUUUAGCAGCAGCGGGCGAGUGGGAACACUGAAUUGCGACCAAAAAUCUUCUCACCUCCUUAUCACCUUGACCCUUGAAGAACUUGACAGCGUCAGUUGUACUAUUCGCCAAGUCCGCAUAUGUGUCUGUAGGACUCCAGCGCCCAGCCAGGGGAGCAUACUUCGGAUCCAAAAACCUCGUCCGCAGUAAGUAGGAGCCCCCAACCACGAUUUUGUCGGCCUGUUGGAGCUCCUCCCGCAUACCCCGGAUCUCGGUCCGCAUCUCUUUGGCGGCAUUAAGUGCCUUGUCUAGCUCGGCUGAACUAGCCUUAUUCUCCUUUUCAAGGAGUACAUACCGGUCGGCGGCAUUUUUCAACUCCCCAGCCAUUUCGGCUAUCUUUUCCUCGCUUCGGCGAUGAGCAUCCUGUUCAUCUCUCAAUUCUUCGGCCUCCUUUAGGGCAGCCGCAUUGCUAGCCCGAGCUUGUUCCUUGGACUGAGCAAGUUCCGCCCUCGGGGCCUCCAUGGCAGCAGCACCAUCUGCAGUACAAACACAUGGCAUUAACAAUAUGCCACUCUCACAUUUUCCUAUACAACAUAAUAAGGGAAGCAGAGCACAUACCCUGGGAUUCUUCGAGCCGUUUGUUCACCAGCGUGAUAUCGGCAUCAAUAGACCCGAUGUGCCUCCUUAGUUUGGCAACUUCAACAGACUGGUCGGCUGCCGGAUCCUUAGAUACCUGCGCACAUGUACGGUGCAGCCAUUACUAUGUGAUCCCCCGUUUGCCUCCUACGGCGGGCAACCAGAGUCUCAGGGGCUACUAUCCAUAGGGAGAACACCUAGCGCGUGCUUCACAACCAAAAAAUAGUGCAUUUUUCACUACAUACCUCAAAGCCUUUGAGCAGGAUUGUUAAUGCAUCAUUCAAACCGCUGGUAGCGGAUGAAAUCUUCGUGAGCACCGUGAUCAUUAAAGAGGGGUGCUCCUCCGAGAGCGUGGCUCGCUCCAGAAGGCCUGUCAGUACGUCCGGCCGGACAUCGAUCUGUGUCGGACCCUUCUCAUCGCCCCCCGUGGGAGCCAAACGCAUCGGGCUCAGGGCGACUGACGUGCUCGCUUCCGGCUUCGGCAGAUCUAGACUCCUCCAUGACGACACCUCAGUGUCGCCCGCUUCAUGAGGCGGAGAGGUGGGUGGGGUCUCACUCGCCAUCAUCUCCGGAGGAAGAUCCCCCGAAUACGAACUCUGUCGAGAGGAACUGCUCGCCGGACUACAAAAGAUGAAGUCCCGGUUAUGAAUCUCGGAGAAACACCAUAUCUUCGAAUUAAUGAUUAACUUACAGCUUGAUGGAGGGCUGGCCCGUUGGUGGGCAUGACGCGGUGAGGGUGCCCGUCGCGGCAGAGCCCCCUAGUGAUGCCUUCUUCCCUUGUUUGGGCAUCUCCGCCUCCAAGUCUUUGGAGGCGGCCCUCUUCCUCCCGCGCGGGGAGGAGGCUUUAACCUCCCCUUCCCGACUAUCCUCCCCAGGGGAGGUAACGAUUCCCCUGGUUUGGAUGCGUAUUGUGUGAAGUUCGGCUUCACCGCCCUUUCCUUCGCCUUUCCCUAAGGGGAUUGUGCUGAGCACCCGGCCAAGCAUCUUGGAAACGGUCGGACCAGGCGAGCCUUCAGGAAGUGGCGCCGGACACCUGAUUCUCUCCGCCUUGUUGAGCCAUUCCUGGCCACGGAGGGAUUUUCAUAAUAAUAGUUAUGAUAAAUAUAAAUGAAGUGUCCAGCUUUAAGGUUACUUACUUGGGAAUCUAGGCGAUUGUAGCUUAGGCCCGCAUCCUCGGUGGUGUCCGGACACUUUACUUGUGGUCCGAAGAAUAAUUUACACAUCCCUUCGAGCUUCAGGCCGAAGAAGUGCUUAAUAGUCCGCGGACCCUCCGGAUUAAACUCCCACAUCCGGAGAGGCCGACGUUUGCACGGCAACAUCCGUCGGAUUAGCAUCACUUGAAUUAUGCUAACAAGAUUUAUGUCCCUCUCAAUAAGCUCUCGGAUGCGAUUCUGCAGUUCUGGUACAUCACCAGCGGCCCCCCAAUCCCGUCCUACGUCGGUCCAAGAUGCCAACUGUGAUGGAGGGCCCGAGCGGAACUCGGAGGCGACUACCCACUUUGUGCCUCUGGGAGCUGUAACAUAAAACCACCUCCGUUGCCAUACAUUGUAUACUUCCGGGAAAGAACCCUCUGGCCAGGGGGCAUCAGCGUUCCUGCUUAUUAUGGCACCUCCGCACUCUGCAUGUCGCCCCUCGAUCAUCUUCGGCUUCACAUUAAAGGUCUUGAGCCAUAAGCCGAAGUGUGGGGUGACGUGGAGAAAUGCCUCGCACACAAUAAUGAAUGAUGAGAUAUGGAGGAUAGUGUCUGGAGCCAGAUCAUGAAAAUCCAACCCAUAGUAGAACAUGAGCCCCCUCACAAAGGGGUCGAGGGUGAGGCCCAGGCCUCGAAGGAAGUGUGGGACAAACACAAUGCUCUCGUUGGGCUCCGUUGUAGGGAUAACUUGCCUUGGAGCAGGAAGCCUGUGCUGAAUGUCGGCGGUCAAGUAUCCGACCUCCCUAAGCUUCAUAACGUCCUCCUCUUGGAUCGAGGAGGCCACCCACCGGCCUUUUGCGUCGGAUCCGGACAGGUUGGAGGAUCUGGGUUGUUGGAGCUUGGGUCUUGGGUGUUAGAACUCGAGGUGCGAGAAGGAGCAAGGGAGGUGGAAAAGAGGUGUAGGCCUUGACCCCUUUAUAAAAGGGAUGAAUAUCGAGAGUCCUCGGCGUGACCGCUUGAGACUUAUCUAAAAUACACGGAGUCAUACCAACAGUCUCCGUGGGGUCACACAUGCCCAUAUUGAUGAAAGACCCCGUAAUAAGAGGAACACGAUCUCUGCUUUGGCAGGACGUGCCAAUAAAACCGCCUCGCGACGCGAUUCGAGGUGGGGCAGGAAACGCUGGUUCGUGUUGGACCAGGCCACGAUGGAAGGGCACGACGUACAAAGAUUGCCAGCAGAACGGAUUUAUGCUAUGUUCCCUACAAUGGUGUGUGAAGAUCAUCUUGCAGAACCGGACACUAUUUGUCGUAGCAGAUCCGGGCACGGUCUACGUGUUCGAUAAUUACCUUGGAGUAUUCGAAGAAGGAACCCACCUUGCAAUGCCAAAGACAAGAACGCACGCCGGACUCAUCGUCAUGGAAGCCUGGUUUAGGGGCUACUGAGGGAGUCCUGGAUUAGGGGGUAUCCGGACAGCCGGACUAUAUACAUCGUCCGGACUAUUGAAGCGUGAAGAUACAAGACACAAUACUCCGGCCCGUGUCCGGAUGGGACUCUCCUUUGCGUGGGAGACAAGCUUGGCGAUCCGGAUAUUAUAUUUCCUUCCUUGUAAAUGACUCCAUGUAAGCCCUAGCCCUCUCAGGCGUCUAUAUAAACCGGAGAGGAUGGUCCUUAGAAGGCCGAUCACAAUUACAAUCAUACCAUCAUAGGCUAGCUCUUAGGGUUUAGCCUCUAUGAUCUCGUGGUAGAUCUACUCUUGUACUACUCAUAUCUUCAAUAUUAAUCAAGCAGGAAGUAGGGUUUUACCUCCAUCGAGAGGGCCCGAACCUGGGUAAACAUUGUGUCCCUUGCUUCCUGCUACCAUCAGCCUAAGACACACAGAUUGGGACCCCCUACCCGAGAUCCGCCGGUUUUGAUACCGACAAUGUGCCCACGGCGCGCACACACACACGAGGCCACCUCCAGCCUGCUUGCUCGCGUUGGAUGGUGAUGAUCCACAAGUAUAGGGGAUCAAUCGUAGUCCUUAAGUAAGAGUGUCAAACCCAAUGAGGAGCAGAAGGAAAUGACAAGUGGAUUUCAGCAAGGUAAUUUAUGCAAGCACUGAAAUUGUCGGUAACAGGUAGUUUGAUAGCAAGAUAAUUUGUAACGAGUAAGUAACGGUAAUGGUAAAUAAAGUGCAGCAAGGUAGCCCAAUCCUUUUCUGGCAAAGGGCAAACAAAAACGGUCUCUUAUAAUACGCAAAUUGUUCUUGAGGGUACACGAGAAUUUCAUCUAGUCACUUUCAUCAUAUUGGUUUGAUUCGUGUUCGCUACUUUGAUAAUUUGAUAUGUGGGUGGACCGGUGCUUAGGUGAUGUUCUUACUUGAACAAACCUCCUACCUAUGACUAACCCCCUCGCAAGCAUAUGCAACUACAAGAAAAGUAUUAAGAUAAAAUCUAACCAUAGCAUUAAACUUUUGGAUCCAAAUGAGUCCCUUACAAAGUAGCACAUAAACUAGGGUUUAAGCUUCUAUCACUCUAGCAACCCAUCAUCUAAUAACUACUCCACAAUGCAUUCCCUUAGGCCCAAAUAUGGUGAAGUGACAUGUAGUCGACGUUCUCAUGACACCACUAAGGGAAUCACAACAUACAUAUCAUCAAAAUUUUGAACACAUAUCAAGUUCACAUGAUUACUUGCAACAAGAUUUCUCCCAUGACCUCAAGAACAAAAGUAACUACUCACAAAUGAUAAUCAUGCUCAAGAUCAGUGGGGUAUUAAAUAGCAUAAUGGAUCUAAACAUAUAAUCUUCCACCAAAUAAACCAUAAGUAAUCAACUUCAAGAUGUAAUCAACACUACUAGUCACCCACAGGUACCAAUCUGAGGUUCCGGUACAAAAAUUGAACACAAGAGAUGAACUAGGGUUUGAGAGGAGAUGGUGCUAUUGAAGAUGUUGAUGGAGAUUGUCCUCCCAAAGAUGAGAGGGUUGUUGGUGAUGAUGAUGAUGACGAUGAUUCCCCCCUCCUGGAGGGAAGUUCCCCUGGCAGAAUCGCUCCACCGAAGGGCAAAAGUGCUCCUGCGCAAGUUCCGCCUUGAGAUGGUGACGCUCCAUCCCAAAAGUCCUCUCCUUAUUUUUUCUAGGUCAAAAUGACAUAUAUACCAGAAGAUGGGCACCGGAGGUGGGACGAGGAGGGCACAACCCACCAGGGUGCACCUGGGCUGCGUGGCGCGCCUGGGUGGGUUGUGCCCACCUGGUGGGCCCCCUCUGGUAGUUAUUUUCUCCAUUAAUUUUCAUACAUUCCAAACAAUUCUUCGUAAAUUUUCAGCUCAUUUGGAGAUGUGCAGAAUAGGUAACUCUGACGUGGCUUUUUCAGGUCCAGAAUUCCAGCUGCCGGCAUUCUCCCUCUUUGUGUAAACCUUGCAUAUUAUGAGAGAAAAGACAUUAUAAUUACUCCAUAAAGCAUUAUUAUGAAUAAAAAUAUUAUAAAUAAAAAUAGAAAAACAUGAUGCAAAAUGGACGUAUCAACUCCCCCAAGCUUAGUCCUUGCUUGUCCUCAAGUGAAAACCAAAAUCAAAAAACAUGUCCACAUGCUUAGAGAGAGAGAGGUGUCGUAAAAACAAAAUACGAACAUAGAAGGAUCAUGCAUCACUACAAAAAAAUACACUUCCGUGAUGAUACAUGUUUGUCACAGUAGGUCGCGUUUUCUGUCAUGCAUGUACAUCCAUGACGAUUUUAUGACAGAAUCAAGAUAGUCAUACAUGUGAUGUCGUAGAAGUGUUCCAUGACAUUACCAAAAUUAUCAUCACGGAAGUGUCCACUUCCAUGACGAUAAAUCGCGCGUCAUAGAAGUGCUUUCAUCAAGGGUGAUCGACACAUGGCAUCCACUGUAACGGGACGUCGUUAACCGCUGUUAACCUAUCGGGUUCGUUUUUUGGAUCCGAUAACCCGCUAACAGCCACGACCAAUGCCGAUUUUCCACGUGUAAAAUUCUGAUUGGCUGACGGAUCCAUGCGUCAGCUUCGCGUUGGCACAAGUGUCACUCAUCCAACGGUCGAGAUGGGCCUAUGAUAUGUUGACACGUGGACCGGCCCAAAAGUGGCCCACAAAGUUUAAAUGAGCUGGCCCAACCGAAGCCCAUAAGAUUUAGCAGACCAUAAUGGGCCGGCCCAGCUAAAGGCCCACAAAAUUGAGCGGACCAUAAUGGGUCGGCCCAGCUAAAGGCCCACACGAUUUUGCAGACCAUAAUGGGCCGGCCUAGCUAAAGGCCCACAAGAUUUUGUGGACCGCAAUGGGCCGGCCCAGCUAAAGGCCCACAAGAUUCUGCAGACGAUAAUGGGUCGGCCCAGCUAAAGGCCCAACAUUCUCUGUCAAAUCGGCCCGUCAACGGCCUGUCCUAAACUUGUCAUCAACGCGGCCCAUGGUCGCUUCUGGCCCGUUAACAGUCCGCUAAGUAAUUGGGCCGAAUUACGGCCCGGUGUAUUUUCGGCCUAUUAAAGGUCCGGCUUCAUUUGGGCCCAUUUACAAGCCAUCAAAACUUUUGGCCAAUAAACGACCGUGAAGGAUUUGGGUCAUAUUCGGCCAUGUCUAACAUUCGGCCUGUUAGAGGCCCACUAUAGAUUUGGGCCACUUUCGGCCUGUUGUCAUUUUCGCCUGUUAACGCCGGACGAAAACCAUGGGCCAUAUGUGGCCCAACAUCAUAUCGGGUCCAUUAAUGGCCCAUAUAAAAAUGACGAUAAUCUAGCCCGACCGAAGUUCCGGCCUGUUAAAUGCCCGUGUAUUAGGUCGGCGCAUUUACGGCCCGUCUGAAUUUCGGCCUGUCAAAGAUCCGCAUCGUAAAUGGGCCACCAUUUCGGCCUACUAAGACCAGUGGGUUAUUUGGCAUAAUCAGGGCCCAAUCUCACUUUCAGUCUAUUAAAGGCCCAUGUUUUUAUGGGCUCGAUAUAUUUACACCUGUAAACGGCCUAUUUUUACUGAGGGCCCAAAUUAUGUUUAGGCAUGUUAAAGGCCCACUAUGGGCAUAGGCCUACAAAAAAAUAUGAAAGCUGAUACUGAUUUAGGCCCAGAUAUUUUUAGUGGGCUACAUGCCAAUUUCGGCCCGUAAUCGUUUUUAUCCCAAUUGGAAUGGGCACGACGAAUGUUGGCAUGUUGGGCUCCUACAAAGCUUUCAGCCGAAUACAUUACUAAGAUAAACCUACACUAUACAAAAAUAGCGUCGUAAUUACUGCAGCCUAUGGCAGCAUCAUAAAUUCUGUAUCACAACAAAAUAAAUUCCAACCAUACAACAAAGGGCCUGUUGGCAUAAAGUUUACAGUCCUUCCAGAUAAAAGCACCAUCAGAUGUAUAGAAGCACAGAUCAUUUGACCUGAGUGCUAAUGUUUUAGGCUAUAGAAUCUGAUGGAGCAGCACGAUCUCCACCUUUUUUCCGCCAUUGCUCUUGAACAACAAAGCGAAUAUCUGAUAGUCUGGUUUCAAAUCCAUUCAUAUCUUGACGACAUUUCUCAACCACUAUUUUUGUUUCCGAAACAACGUCCAUUAGGGAUUGGACUUGUGUCUGGAGCACAGAUAUAUCACUCUGUCUAGCAGGAAGAUUUUUUUCAGUAGGCGAUUUGGACGAGGUUUCCUUGACAACCAACCCAGAAUUACACGGGAAGCUGCUUUUUGCACUGUUAGUGGAGAGAUACUGAAGCACUGCAGCAAGAGGUGACAUUGUGCCUCUGUUAGCCUCAUCACCUUCAGGUGGUUGUGGCUGUUCAAUCAUUUGUUCCAUAGCUUCCUGAAAGUUUGAACUUGUAUAUUAGUGUACCAGAUAAGUUACUAAUGAGACAAAAACAAACAAAGUAGGUUAAACGUUUAUACAUAACUUAUUUUGGUGAACUACUGUAAUACAUUAGCAUGUAUUGUAGUGCCAACUACAUAAUAAAAUCACUUUCGGAACAUAUGUCCGUGUAGCAUGCCUACUGUAUUGUCUAUUUCCUCACAUUCGUUGACAUCUAAGGGUAAAGAGACAUGGUUUAAAGUAGGAUGAACAUAGUAUGACAUCAUUCAGAUCAUGGGCAAACAGAUAUAAAACAAACAGGCUAUUUUAUCGUUGUGUGCGCACAUGAACAUAACAACUAGAUUACAGAUCAAGACCAAAAGAAUAUCCUUCAUCUCUUUUAAACCAUGUGAGGUGAAAUGAUACGUUAAGAAAACUGUGUAUAAAAGUGAACAGAGUAACUGACAUUGGCUGCAAACCAAGUAGUUAAAUGAACACAUCACAGUACCAAUCAGUUCAAGGCAGGAGGAGUAAGGACUUACAACAGCGGCUUGAACUGGUGUGCUCAUGCCCUUCAUCUUGCUGGUGUGGCAAUCCUUGAAGAUUUGCACUGCAUUCAGUUUAGGUUCUUUUUGGUCCGCACAGGCUUUCCUAUGUAUUUGGAACAAGUAAAUAUAGAUACGAUAAUAUGGCACAAAAAAAGAAGGAAGUAGCAGCUAUUUACAAGAGCCUUGCAGUGUGCAAUAUAGCUACGAGAUCCUGUUGUCUGUUGGAAUUUCACUUUAGAACGGUUGGUUUUGUUCUUCAAACAGUUAGCCUAGAAGAAGAACACUUGUAAGGCACAUACAUAAAUACAAGUUCAAUGUGUGGUCUGAUCAAAUACAUAUAGCCUACCUGAUAGUUUGAAUCAGACCAGUGUUUAACGAGGGUUUUCCAAUCUUCAUCUGUAAUAUAUUCCACUAGAGAUGUUUGGGCGAUUUCAUUGUUAGCCUUGCCUUCAAAGUGAGAUUUUCUAAGGUGGUGCCGAUAUUGUCGCGGAGCAGACUGAAAAACAUGAGUGCAUGCUUGUUUAGUUGAAUCAUCUUUCGGAUCCAACUUGAACCUCAUCUGUUGAAAAAAGAAUGUGAGUCUUUUUAGGACGAAGCUAGAAAGUAUGGGACGGAGCAAGACAAUAUUACUAAUUGCGAUGAACAACAUUACUUACGGAUAAAUGGUCAAGGAAGGUGUUAAACUGGGUAUUGUCUUUCUCAUUCCUGUACUCGAUCCAUGUUGGGAGGAUACGCGCAUGACACCUAACGACAACGGUUGCCUCUGAUACUAACUUGGUUGACUCUGUAGCAUCACGUGGCCUUUUUAAACCUGCCUCAAAAUGGAUCUCCAUUCUUCCUCCUUUAGAUUUUGUUAAUCUGCCAAGCAUUAUCCCUGAUGUUUGUUUUUGCUUGCGUCGUGGUGCUAGUUCAACAACUAAUAUGGAAAGAGUUAGUGUACAUCAAACCGUGAGAGUACAUAUAAAGCAGCAUGCAACUGCAACUUGACUCGGUCAGGUACCAUCUUGGUGUUGAUGCUCAUGAGGUUCAUCUGAUCUUGCCAAGUCCUGUUGUGUCAGCAGUGCUUCGGAAGUAGUGUUAGGUGUGAAGGCAGCUUGGGAACUGGCCAUUUCCCAAGCAAACGAAUGAGUAACUAGUUGAGAUGCUGGUACAGUUGAAGCGGAUGUUGCAGCUGGUGGAGCAGGUGAUAUUGUGUUUGUAGAUUUAGCCGGUGAACUUGGACCUUCUACUGCACUAUAAGUACCAGCAGAAUCUCGACGGCAGAUCCAUUUCUGUUUCACCCGAUGAGCAACAACACUCCUACUAUAUUAUUUUCCUUGCUCUUUUUUGACUUUGCCAUGUCAAGCUGUACCCACAACACAAAAGAAUAAAAUCACUCUUCAGAACUCAUUGAUGCAUGAUACAGACAAGCAAUACUUUGAUGUAAGACAACCGUAUGAGGAUGGAAUAUGUAACAAAAACAGGACGGCAUGACAUAUUCACAGCUACGAUGUGCAAACUAAGCAGAAGGAUUUUCAAGAAAAUAGAAGUAAUGCAAGCUAUACACCAUAUGAAAGAUGCAACCAAUAUUACUCUUCCAAGUUAAAAGUGUCUUGUCAUAAGUGGCAAUUCGAAAAAUUAGAAGCAGUACAAUGUAGAAAUCAAUACAAGAUGCAACCACUAUUAAACUGCCAUGUUAAAAGCGUCCAAUCAUGAGUGAUUGAUGUGGGAUAUACAACAAUAGUACUUUGAUGUAAGAACAUGGUAUGAUAGAUAGAUGAAGUGUAUUCUAGACACAGAAAGCCAUGUCAUAUGCACAUGUAUAACGUAUAAACUCAUCAGGUGCAAUUUAAUCAAAAUAGAAGAAAUACAGGCUAGACAACAUAUGCAACAUGAAACCAAUUAUCACACUGUCAACUUAGAGCAAGCACCUGCGAUGAUGGAGUAUGGGAGAUGAACUCAUCAUGUAGACUUGGGACUUCAACUUCAUUAGCAGUAGCAGUGGCAAAUAUAGAGAGUCUCUGUUUGCGUCGGUGUGGAGGACCACCAACAUCCCCUAACUUACUCUUUUCCUUCCUAUUUUCUGAUAUUGCCUUAUGAAGUCAAAACCACAAGAAGAUGAAUAAAAUUAGCUAUGCAUAACUGGUUGAUGCAUGAUACAGACGAACACUACUUUGAUGUAAGGCAAGCGCAGGAUAGGAGGAUGGAAUAUAUACAAAAAAAGACAGCGUUUCAUAUUCACACGUACGAUAGGAGGAUGGAAUAUGUAUGAAAAAAACAGUAAGCGGAAGGCAUUUCAACAAAAUUAGAAGAAAUGAAAGCUAGGCACCAUAUAAACAUGCAACCAAUAUCACUCUAUCAGGUAAAAAUGUCUCGUCGUAAGUGCCAUUUCAAGAAAUUAGAAGCAGUACAAGCUAGAAGACAAUGCAAGAUCCAACCUACAUCACAACCCCAAGUUAAAUGUGUCUUAUGGGUAAGUGAUCGUUGCAGGUAUAAGUUGUAAGCUACGCAGAUGCAAUUCAACAUAAUCAUAAGCAAUACAAACUAGACAUUAUGAAAAACGCAACCACAUAUAACAGUUCCAAGUAAGAGCAAGCACAUGUGAUGGUGGAGUAGGGGAGAUGUGCUCAUCAUGUACACAUAUGUUCUAGAAACAGGAACACGUGUCAUAUUCAUAGGCAUUAUGUGUAAAGUAAGCAGAUGCGAUUCAAGUUAGAAGCAAUACAAGCUAGACAUCAUACACAACAUGCAACCACAUAUAAUAGUGCCAAGUUAGAGCAAGCACCUGUGAUGGUGGAGUAGGGGAGAUGUGCUCAUCAUCUACACAGCUGCGUUGACUGUCCAGCCUUGUGCUGUCUUGCGAAUCUUGUUGGGAGGAUGGCGGAGUAGAAUUUGUAGAGACCCCCUGUUUGAGUUGCUCCGAAGGACCACCAUCAUCCACUGCGGGACUAAUUUCCUUCAGCUGUAAUGAUUUUGCAUUGUGAAGUCAAACCGAUAAGAAAAAGGAAUAAAAUUCGCUCUUUAGAACUCAUUCAUGCAUGAUACUGACGAACACUACUCGGAUGAAAGGCAAACAUAUGAUGUGAGGAUGGAAUAUGUAUGAAAAAUAGGAUGGUGUGACAUAUUCACACCUAUGAUGUGGUAACUAAGCAGAAGGCAUUUCAACAAAUUAGAAGCACUACAAGCUAGACACCAUAUGAAAGAUGCAACCAAUAUCACUCUGCCAAGUUCAAACUGUAUGGCGUUCCAACAGAUUAGAAGCAGUACAUGCUAGAAAUCAUAUGCAAGACACAACCAAUAUCACAGUGACGACUUAAAGGUGCCUUAUCAUAAGUGACUGAUGCGGGAUAUGCAAGAAUAGUAGUCUGAUGUAGAAACAGGAACACAUGUCAUAUUCACAGGUAUUAUGUGUAAAGUAAGCAGAUGCAAUUCAACAAAGUUAGAAGCAAUACAAGCUAGACAUCAUACACAACAUGCAACCACAUAUAAUAGUGCCAAGUUAGCGCAAGAACCUGUGAUGGUGGAGUAGGGGAGAUGUGCUCAUCAUCUACACAGCUACGUUGACUGUCUAGCCUUGCGUUGUCUAGCGAAUCUUGUUGGGAGGAUGGCGGAGUAGAAUCUAUAGAGAACCUCCGUUUCAGUUGCUCGGAAGGACCACCAUCAUCCAAUGCCUUGCUAAUUUCCUUCAGCUUUAUUGAUUUUGCAUUGUGAGGUCAUACCGACAAGAAACAGGAAUAUAAUUCGCUCUUCAGAACUCAUUCAUGCAUGAUACUGACGAACACUACUCUGAUGAAAGGCAAAGUCAUGAUACGAGGAUGGAAUAUGUACGAAAAAAUGGAUGGCUUGACAUAUUCACACCUAUGAUGUGGUAACUAAGCAGAAGGCACUUCAACAACUUAGAAACACUGCAAGACACCAUAUGGAAGGUGUAAUCAAUAUCACUCUGCCAAGUUAAAACUGUCUCGUCAUAGGUGGCGUUCAUCAAACUAGAAGCAAUACAUGCUAGAAAUCAUAUUCAAGAUGCAAACCAAUAUCACACUGCCAACUUAAAGGUGUCCCAUCAUAAGUGAUUGAUGCAGGAUACACAAGAAGAGUAGUUGCAUGUAAGAACAUGGUGUGAUAGACAGAUAUAGUAUGUACCAAAAACAGGAAAUCGUGUCGUAUUCACAUGUAUCAUGCGUAAGCUAAGAAGAUGCAGUUUAGACUAAUUAGGAGAAAUACGAGCUAGACAUCAUAUGAAACAUGCAACCAGAUAUCACACUGCCAAGUUAGAGCAAGCACCUUGGAUGGUGGAGUAGGGGAGCGGAGACUUGGACCUUGUAAUGCACUAUCAGUACAAGGUGAAUCGGUACAGAUGCUCCGUUUACGUUGCUGUAGAGGACCACCAUCAUCGCCUUCCUUACUCUUUUCCUUCCUCUUUCUUGAUUUUGCCUUGUCAAGUCAAACCCACAAGAAAAAGGAAUAAAAUUUGCUCUUCAGAACUCAUUGAUGCAUGAUACUGAUGAACACUACUUUCAUGUAAGGCAGCCACAUGAUAGGAGGAUGGAACAUAUAUGAAAAACAGGACGGCGUGACAUAUUGACAUGUAUGAUGUAUAAAGUGUAAACUAAGCACAAGGUGCUUGAACUUGUUAGAAUCGAUGCAAGCUAGAAACCAUAUGAAAGAUGAAACCAAUAUCACUCUGCCAAAUUAAAAGGAUGCCCUAACAAAUGUAUUUGACCAAAUUAGAAGCAAUACAUGGCAACAGGCUAGAAAUAAUAUGCAAUAUGCAACGAAUAAAGGUGACUCAUCGUAAGUGAUUGAUGCAGGAUAUAGAAGAGAGGUAGUUUCAUGUGAGAACAAGGUUAACAUAUAGAUGUAGUGUGUACCAAAAAUAGGAAUGCAUGUCAUAUUCACAGGUAUAGUGUGUAAACUAAGCAGAUGCAAUUUACCCUAAUUAGAAGCAUUACAAGCUAGACACCGUAUGCAACAUGCAACCACAUAUCACACUGCGAAGUUAGAGCAAGCACCUGUGAUGGUGGUGUAGGGGAAGUGCGGUCUUCAGGUACAGAGCUACGUUCAAUAUCUUCAUUUAGGCUUGCUGUUUCUUGAUAAUCAUGUGGAGAGGAUGGCAUUGCAUUCUUUAUAAGAGUAUUGUGUCUCAUAUUAACCCACGCGCAUGACUGUCUCAUCAUAAGCGAUAGAUGCAGGAUACACAAGAACAAUAGUUUGAUGUAAGAACAUGGUGUGAUAGGCACAUGUAGUAUGUACCAAAAACAGGAAGGUGUGUCAUAUUCACAUGUAUAAUGUGUAAGCUAAGGAGGUGCAAUUUAACAAAUUAGGAGCAUUGAUGAGGGAUACACAAGAAAUUAGCUUGAUGUAAGAACAUGGUUAAUAGAAAGACGUAGUAUGUACCAAAAACAGGAAGGCAUGUCAUAUUCACAGGUAUAAUGUGUUAACUAAGCAGAUGCAAUUUACCCUAAUGAGAAGCAUUACAAGGUAGACACCGUAUGCAACAUGCAACCACAUAUCACACUGCCAAGUAAGAGCAAGCACCUGCGAUGGUGGUGUGGGGGAAUUGCGGUGAUCAACUAGAGAGCUACAUUGACUAUCUUCAUUUAGCCUUCUGUUUCAUGAGAAUCAUGUGGGGAGGAUGACACUUCACUCUUUAAACGAGUAGGGCGUCUCACAGUAACCCACUCGGGUGACUGUCUCAUCAUAAGUGAUUGACGAGGGAUACAAAAGAGCCUUAGUUUGAUGUACGAACAUGGUUAAUAGACAUAUGUAGUAUGUAUCAAAAAUAGGAAGGCAUGUCAUUAUCAAAGGUAUAAUGUGUAAAGUAAGCAGAUGCAAUUUAACCAAAUUGGAAGCAAUACAAGCUAGACACCAUAUGCAACAUGCAACCACAUUUGACGGCGUGAAGUUAAAGCAAGCACCUAGGAUGGUUGUGUGUGGCAAUUGAGAUCAUCAACUGCAGAGCUACGUUUACAGUCUCCAACUGCUGACACUGCACCCAUUAGAGCACUGAAACGCUUAGUGCUUAUCUUUGAAUUACACUGGAGUGACUUCUGUCUUUUCUUUUCUGCAUUCAUCAACACUGCGUCAGAGUCUGAAAUACCCAUGCAUAAAAAACAAUAGUGUGAGUAUGAUGAAGUGUGUGCACAAUUAGUACAGUGUAAAGGUAGCAGAUAGUAGGUCGGUGAGAAAUAAAUGACGGGAGACAUAUGAUAGCUCUACAACAUGCAUGGCACACUAAAUUACUAUAGGAUUCUAUGAAACUAACAGUCAACUGAAAGAAAAUAGGUCAGCCCAUUUUUUCUACACUGUCCGAUGUACAAAGAACGGGCAGAUCACCUUCAUCUACCUCCAGCCAGUCAGUGUUGACGAUCUUCCUCGAAACGCCAGCGACCACCGGCCCAGUAUUCCUCCCCUGCCUGCGACCUCCCCUCGACCUCACCGCACUGCCGUGCUUGCCACCACCCCCCGGCCAUCCAUUCAAGCCUCGCCGACCUCCGGAUCGGGCGCAAGCAGCUCCUGCGCCCCACACCCCUAUGAUAGACACCGAUGUGCCGCUUCCCCGAGGAAUAGGCAGACUAGGUGCUCUGCGCACCUAAGCGGGUGCUGGUUCUUUUAAUUGCGGUUUGACUGACCCUGAAUUGAAAUCCAGGUGGGAUACUGACCUCUAGCAAAGGUGAAAUAGUAAAAGCGAGGAAACCUUGUGCAUUUAGUAUCACGAAGAAGAUGCAGUAAGAAGCGCUCAACUAGUUUCUUUCGUGGGAUCAAUACGGUGUGAGCGGAGACGUAAAAUUUGCACGAAUAAGGGAAGAGGAGUACCUCUUUCUGUUGGCAGUGUUGUGUCCUCCUGCUGUUUUUCCAACGAUCUUCUUGUUGUUCGCUGGAAACCAGAAGUUGUGGAGGACGGUGAAGCCUUGGACGAACCCAUGGCCAAGUUGUUGAGUGUGGUGCGGUGGCCGUCAGUCGGCAGCGGGGAAGCAGAUCCGAGGUGGCGAACGACGGCGUAGCGGGAACAGCUCCGGUGCAAUGGACGGUUGCGACAGUGGAGCCGCAGUAGUGAGGCGCCGGACGGCGUGGUCGGAGUGGUUCUGGUACAGCGCACGUCGGUGUCGGCGUCGUGGAGGCAGCUCUGCCUCGGCUUCAGCUGCUAAAUCCUUGAGGGCGUUGCGGUUGCAGUUGCGUUGGACGACGACGUCGGGGUACUGGCUCCGGCGUGAUGCAGGAGGGCGGCGGUGGAUUGGCCGCUAUGGGGUGGAGGACGGAAGAGGCUGGGGUUUCGCAGCUGGUAGAGAGCGCGUUUUCGCGCCCACGGAGUAUGAAUGGGGAAAUGGAGGGAGGCGGCGAACUAAGGGGGAACAAUGUUUCGGUUUGAGACACGCUUGUUUGAAAUUUGGGGAAAGUUACAAACUUUGCCCACAUCUAAAAUUUUGGACAUAUUGCGGGUUGGGGGUAGGACAGUCAUGUUAGGUGUCCCAAAUGUGGGCGGGAUAGAUUUUGGCCAAGCGCAUGGGUGUUUAGGCGCCCACGGUGCAUGAAUGCUUCUUGGAGGCGGUUGAGACUGGCGUCUUGGUGAAGUUACAAACCUAGCACGCUUUAGACCUUUGGACAUCAGGUAGGCUACACGGGCCAGAGUCAGGACAGUAAUUUCCUACCACCAAACAUUAGCCUCGCACAGUUUCGGGUGACCAGAGGCCUAUUUGGCGCUUUGUUCAAUAUUUGGGAGCAGAAGCAUUAACGUUUUCGGUUCUCUUGAAUUGAACUUUCAGGAUUUGUCAAACUUCACAAAUCUUUACUCUUGAAAAUCCUAAAGCUAUGAUUAUUUUUGGAAUGAGGGGGUACAUUUGAAUAUACAUUGUACAUGAGUAUCUAUUAAAAUAUAUGCAACUUACCUCAGUUCAUGCAUGGUUCCAGAUAUAAUCUCCUUGGUUGGAAAAAAAGUUAGAUAUGCGUAUGAAUAUAUAUAGCAUGUUCAAACACACAACAAAGAUUGAUGCCCCCUUUUACAUCUGAUUUACAAAUGCCAUUAUCUCGGGUUCAAAUAGAUGAAUGCACUUCCUAUGAAUUCGAAUCUUCGAAACCCCCUUUAUGUUGAAUUCGACAUGUAUUCUAUUUCGUAGCUAGCAAUUUGGAAUGUAUCCAUGCAAGUGACAAAUGUAUAAAGUGCUUCACACUAACAACAUGGAGUGCACUAAUUAAUGUUUAUAUAUGAAUUGCAAAAGCAUCCAUUGCCUGUAUUUCAAACCGCUCUCACUCUAUGGAUCGAUAAUAUGAAAUAAACACAUGCACAUGCUAGAAUUCAAUAGAGUAUGGGUGUUUGAUAGACCGAUUUUCGUCGAUACGCAAUUUGCAAAAUUCAUGAUCUCAUCCAAAAAUAAUAAUGCCAUUUAUAUUUUAAUUUAAUGCGUAGAACCGCCUUUUACACGUAGGUGCACUAUGCCUCGGUCCGUUCUCACAAACGCGUUAUAUAUCUCUCUAUCUAACGCAUAAGUGCACACACUUUAUAUGCAUCGGCAUUUCUCUUUCACACAUGCUCACAAUCUCUCUCAGGGUGUUGGGGUGUCUCACGCACAUGCUCUCUGUGUUUCUCUCUCUCUCUUUUGGACUACUAUGUACCACUCUUUGCACUAAUCUCAGUUGGAAAACACUAUUUCUCUCACAUGCAUAUAUACACACGCACGGUCUCUACUAGCCCUCUAUAUGCACAUAUAUGUGCCUACGUGUCCCCCGCACGCACAUUAUCUUUAGGCCUCUCUUGCANNNNNNNNNNNNNNNNNNNNNNNNNNNNNNNNNNNNNNNNNNNNNNNNNNNNNNNNNNNNNNNNNNNNNNNNNNNNNNNNNNNNNNNNNNNNNNNNNNNNNNNNNNNNNNNNNNNNNNNNNNNNNNNNNNNNNNNNNNNNNNNNNNNNNNNNNNNNNNNNNNNNNNNNNNNNNNNNNNNNNNNNNNNNNNNNNNNNNNNNNNNNNNNNNNNNNNNNNNNNNNNNNNNNNNNNNNNNNNNNNNNNNNNNNNNNNNNNNNNNNNNNNNNNNNNNNNNNNNNNNNNNNNNNNNNNNNNNNNNNNNNNNNNNNNNNNNNNNNNNNNNNNNNNNNNNNNNNNNNNAGUAGUUGGCAGAUAUGAUUUCAUCAUAUCAUUCGGUAGGAUAUCCCCGGCUGUUAGGCUGGAUGGUAAUACAAGGCAAAGUUUUACCCUAGUUCGGAUCGGACCGUUGCAGUUGAAGAAAGAGCCUACUCCUGGUACUGUAUAUUACUGAUAGGUACAAAGUACACGUGAAUACCAGGCAUUGUGCGUGUGUGUAUAAUAUCGACGAACUAGCCCCCAAGCUUGUAUAACAUACUAGGGGCCUAGGGUUACAAAUCAUAUAUAGUCGGCUUAUCACCAAUGGGGAUAGUGUCCUCCGCGACUCUGGUAGCUUCGUGUUGUACGCCGAGUCCUCCACAUGGCUCUUCGUAUAACACAUCUCGGUCCAACCUAUAUGUGGCGCGGCAUGGAACUGACCCAUGAGUCUUCAUGUUGACCCACCACAACUAGAAAUGAUGUGCCCACCACACCACACACGCAAUCGGCCACUAAGAAAUAAGCAUAUACAAUAGUACAAUGGUAUCUAGCUCACGAUACGUCUCCAUAUUUUGUUGAUGACACUGACGGACUUUGCAUUUUAUGCGUGCUCCGUAUUUUGUUGACGACACUUACGGUCAUUGUAUUUGAAGCGAAAGCAUGAUAUGGUCACUGGACUUCAGAAUAAGCUCAUCAUGGUCACCACAUACAUUUUGUCGUGCUAACCAACAUGUGGUUGGAUGGUUAGGAGGACAGUGGUUUCUCAAGCCCACCAAAGUUCAAGUCCCGGUGCUCGCAUUUAUCUUGUGUUAAUUUCAGUAUUUUCCGCCGAUGUACGUUCAGUGGGAGGAGACGUUCCACUCAACUAUGAGGCACAUAUGGUGACUUCAUAAAAUCUCAAGAUCAUAUAUGUUGGCCCACUCUCUCGAGGGUGCUCAUAGGGGUAGGGUUCGCGUGUGCGCGCUUAUAGCGGUGAGUGCUUGCGCAUAUAUAUGAGCCCUUGUGUCUGUACUGUGUUAAACAAAUACGUGUCAUGAUUAUACGGUCACUGGCUCACCCGUACAACUCUGUAUUUUGUUGAUGACACAAUUAAUUGACCAGUCAAACGUUCCACGCGGCGCAACUAGUGUUGCACCAUCGGGGCACGUAACCAUGGGGCCCACCUGUCAGCCCGUAUAUGAAAGAAAGAAAUGGUAGUUUGAGUCUGUACUAUGUUAAUAAAACAGGAGUACAUUUUAGGGUGAUCAUACGGUCACUGGCUCACCAUACAGCUCCGUAAUUUGUUCAUAACACGAUCAAUUGACCAGUCAAAUGGUCCACAUUCAGCAGCGCACAUUACCAUAGGGCCCACCCGUCAGCGCGUAUAUGAAGCACAGAAAUGGUUAUAAAUUAGUGGUCAGUGGGUACUCAAAGUCGUGAGACCUCUGGUUGGCAGUCGCCGGCGGUUGGGGGCGUUGAUUGGGCGGUGGGGUGGGGAUCGCUGGAGAAAAAGCUCGGCGCCGGGGAGGGGGGACUAGAGGGAUGGCUGGUGCGGCGGCGGACCGGCGGUGGGGAGUGGUUUCAGGGAGGGCGGGCCGGCCGCGGGCGNNNNNNNNNNNNNNNNNNNNNNNNNNNNNNNNNNNNNNNNNNNNNNNNNNNNNNNNNNNNNNNNNNNNNNNNNNNNNNNNNNNNNNNNNNNNNNNNNNNNNNNNNNNNNNNNNNNNNNNNNNNNNNNNNNNNNNNNNNNNNNNNNNNNNNNNNNNNNNNNNNNNNNNNNNNNNNNNNNNNNNNNNNNNNNNNNNNNNNNNNNNNNNNNNNNNNNNNNNNNNNNNNNNNNNNNNNNNNNNNNNNNNNNNNNNNNNNNNNNNNNNNNNNNNNNNNNNNNNNNNNNNNNNNNNNNNNNNNNNNNNNNNNNNNNNNNNNNNNNNNNNNNNNNNNNNNNNNNNNNNNNNNNNNNNNNNNNNNNNNNNNNNNNNNNNNNNNNNNNNNNNNNNNNNNNNNAUCUAACGGCUGGAAAAUCUAAUGACCAGAGAUGAAAAAGUUAGUCGACUGACGUGUAGCCUCACCCCGCACGUACACACGCACGCACGCAAGACACGCAUGCCUGCAGGCGUGCAACACUGACACGUACACAUAACGUACACACGCACGCAUGUUGGCAUGCAACACAGACACGUACACAUGCACUCACGAACACACGUACGUACGCACCCAUGCAUGCAACACUGAAACGUACCCUUGCAUGCAUGCAACACUCGCACGCCUGCAUGCACACAACACACGACGCAAGACACACGCUCAAGCUAUACGUGCAUGCACCCUUUGUUAAGGACAUGGAUUGUUAUGGGUAUUAAUCAAUCUUAUCUGUGAUAAGCAGAACAUUGAUGUUUGCAGCGGUCUUUAUGAAUCACAACGUAUUGAACGGGCUAUCAACAUAGUAGGCUUAUAUACAUGAAAAAUAUUACGUCACACUCAAUGAACAAUCAUUGGUUUAUGAAACGCCCCCUUCUGACCGCCCAGGCCCACCAAAGGUUCCUCUGCUGUGUGCUGCCUGCGUUGGGUAACUGACAUGCAGGCCAUGUACCCAAAGAGCCCACACGUCAGUGGAAGAACGGCGCGGUGUCCUAGGUCAGAGUCGAGGGCGCCACUUGCUGCACGCCUGGCUAAACACGCCUCCGUGCCGCAUUCAAACGCCUCCAUGAAACCCGCCCGUGUGGAAGCCGAGAAACCCACUCUGGACACACGUCCGUUCAUGAUCGGGCCGACAUUAAACGCAACGCCGGUCGAGCUCCUCCUGUCCGCCAUCUAUUUAAUCUCCUAUUUAAACGAGGCCAAACGCCGGCCAAGAAUCGCACACCUCAGCCGCUCCUCUAUCUCCUCCACCAUUUUAUCCACUCUUACAAUGGCUUACGAAGAGUAGUUAUUCCGCAUCCAAGCCGGCUGGGUAGCCCGCUGGAUACGAGCUAUGCAGCUUGCUGAUUCACCUCCCACCCCUCGCCCGACGGAGCCAAUUGCCACCCCAAGCCGGUGCGCGGUUUAGCAACUCGCCGCUCCAGGCCAGCUCGACGAGGAGCGGUGCACGGGCGUCGUUGCUGCCGUCCACGCCGCCGCCUCGUACUGCGUCUCCCGUUUCUUUGGCCGAGACUCCCAUGUCGGCGGCGCACCAUGCAAGCAGCGACAGAAGCUGGGUGUGCGGAGAGCGACGAGUCGAUGGCCAGCGCCUCCGCGUCCACCGCCAUCAUUGAGGAGAAGUAGAACACGGGGGGCCGCUGCCGCUUGGGUCCCAUGAAGGCCACCAUGGAGGCAACGCCGGCGUACAUAGCAGGUGUCUUGCCGGAUCCUUUUGUUGCGAGGAUCUUCGUCGACCGUGCAUGGGCUCCAUAGAAGAGGGGAAUGUUAGGGUGAACUCGAGCCAGUGCCAGCCACGGCGAACUAGUGGCCGGUGAUGAACUUGAACCGGUGCUGGCCACCAUCAUCUUUGGCACCAGCCAAUGAUAUCAGUUGGGCAGUGGGGAAGCGAGCCGUCCUUUGCGCUAAAGCAUAUACCUCCAGGGCUCCUGGCAGUCUGAUGAUCGUGCUGCCGGACAUGAGGAACACAGAUCGAUCAGCGGGCGACCAUUUAGGCCAGGUAUUAUAUACUUGUGUUGUCCAAAACUAGCACCGCGUAGUUCAUUUGAAUGUAAUGAAAUCUGUCAUGUUUGUAUGAAAAUCCGGUAUUUUAUAUGAUUUCCAUCGUUGUUUAUAUGAAAUAUCAGUUUGUCUACGUGUUUGCGUGAAUCUCGUCCGGUUGGUUGAGUUGUUGUCAUAAUGUGUGCGGCUACGGUUGGAUGGCAUAAUCUGCGGGUCGCCGGUCGGUCUGCGGGCGGCUCGGGCGGCGUUGUGGGACAAAAAUAACAUCGCUUGUGCAAUCUCAUCUCCAACGUGCGCGCUGGAGGAUGCAUGACAGCAUGAGCACCCGAGCCAUUCCUCGUUCAUCGGUGGCAAAGGCACCGGUGGAAAAAAGGGUCGCCAAUAUUUUGGCUACCCCGGGCAAGAUCCCAACAGCCCCUCCCAACAGAUUCAAAUCCCUCGUUCACCAUGGAAUUUUGCCAUGUGUUGUUUCCAUGGACUAGCAAGAUGCCCGUGCAUUGCACAGAACAUCAAGAUGCAUUUUUUUACAAACUCCCGCAUGCAUGCAAGGGAUAAUUAAUGUCCUGCUUUGCUAGUAACACGAGGCAAACACCGUUAAUAUUGCAUCGAUUAGUGUUAGUGGCCUUGUAUAUUUGCAAAUUGUAAUUUUGAUAGUGGCCCUUUGUAUAUAAAAAUGGAGGGAGGAAGAUGAGAGAUAAGGUGAGGAGGAGUGGGGCGUGGUGGUGACUGGUGGUCGGACUGGGCGGAGGCAUGGGGAUGGACGGCGCAUUAUGUAUAGGUUUGUAUCUCUCUCACACACACCCACGUAGGUGGGGGAUGUGCACAAAGAGAAGAGGUGCACGCACGGCGCACGUACUCCCAUCUCUUUCCCAACCACACCCGCGUGGGUACACGGUGGAGCUCAUUUCUGUACGAAAAGGCAGCCCACAUGGUAAUUUGACACGUGUACUGGUUGUCCACUUGGUGGAGGGAGGAUCAUCUACCACGGGUGAACAAAAAAAUUGCGAAUUGACGUGUUAUGUUAAAAAAAUAGGCAAACCAUGUGGGGCCUACCUUAGAGGCAAGGCUCUAUACACUGGAGUACUUUUGAUGUGUCCCGUCAACUCGCAGAACGAGGAGAAGCUUGCUUAGUGCACCGUCUCCCCCGCCCACAGGCGCGGUGGCUCACAGGAUGAGGUGAAGCUUGCUUACGAGUAGUAGUAGUAGUAGUAGUAGUACUCCUACUACUGUACGCCUUACGCCCGCUCCCUCGCCCACGCGCGUGGUGGCUCCUGGCACGAGGAGAAAAUUUUACUACUCCCUUCGUUUACUCCUCGUCCCUACUAUGUACCUUGGUUAGUACUCCCUCCAUUUACUUAUACAAGGCCACUAUAAAAAAAUACAUUUUGCAUCUAUACAAGGCCACAAAUAGUAAUCGAGACAAAAGUUACUACUCCCUCCUUUCCAGUUUAUGGCUGAAUUUCAAUAUCUCCCCAAUCAAGGUAGACGGUGGGUGGUCGAAUUAAUUUCGUAGUUUGCACAUAUUAGUAUGCUCGUUUUUCUCAAGAAGUUAUGUUGACCGAGGCAUUAAUUAGAACGAAUGCAUGAAUGGCCACUAAAUUUCCAUGAACUUCUACAUGCAUUGCUUAGUUUCCUCUUGACACUGCUUCCGUCGGGUGAUCUAACGCACCUCGAAAUCCAACAUGUAAUGGUACUACUACUAGUAGUAGAAUUGAGACUUAUCAAACGGAAAAACGAAUGUUUUUAUAUGAGCCCUAUAAACCCUAGUGGGUACAUACUCCGUAAAAACAGAUUUUUCCAAAACUAACUCGCUCCCUUUCAUGAAUUCUGUAGUAUACUCCUCCGUUGACGCUCCCUUUCAUGAAUUCUGUACUUCCUGUUGCCGACAUGUGGGACAUAUAGCAACCGGGUCGAUGUGUCAAGAACCAAAUAACAGUGCAGAACAGCAGGAGGACGCACCCCACUUGUACCGGCCCAGUAGUAGUAAUGAGCAAUGAGACGUCAAAUCACAAUGCCACACCUUCCCAGAUGGACGAAGCAACCAUUAUUUCACACUUUGGUUCGCCAUCAUCUAAACCACAUAGUAUUGCUUCUGUCUCAAGAGGGACACGCGCAUCGCCUUGGUACAUCAUGACACGUGGGACCGCAUGACAGGCUAUGCUCCCCCGCUGAUCGCUCGAUAAAAUCACCUCAUUUUUACUAUACUUCCUCCGUAUCGGUUUACUACAUGGGAUGCACGUCAUUCUAGGUUGAGAAUUUAACUGGCUAUAUAUGUGAUGAACAGUACUCUAGCCUUUUAAAAAAUGUAUACUUUUGUACAGUAGUAGUAUCGAUGGAUUGCGCCAUGGAGCAAAAAUUGAAAUUAAAAAAAGGUGGUACAUAUAGAGAGCGCUCGUCGCCAAAUUAUGCAUAUAGUACUAUUAAAAAAGCUAGUACGUGCUUAAUUGGGGUGCUAAAUUCUAUUAAAAAAAUACUAGUAGUAUGUACAUAGUGAAGAGUUAAAGUAACGAGAAGAAACAUAACAUAGUUCUGCUGGGGGCUCAGCACAACACACCCCUCAAAUUAAACUAAGCACACCUGAAAUUAAACUAUGCAACUAAUCUGGUAGACACUGCAUUAGAACCACCAUGAGCAACGAUACUGACACCUUACUCACUUGGAGUCCUCGUCCACGUCUUUUGACUUCGUCCUUCUCCCUCUUCCUCUUGGCCGAUACUUCUUUGCUUGAACUGCACACUUGGCUCUUGCUCUUCAUCCAACCCUUGUAGAUAUUGAAACAAAGGUAGCCAUCCAUUGCAGCGUAGUGGAUGUGUUCUAUAUCUAGUACAUUCCGCUACCAUGCAUGAUGAUGAAAUGUGUAAUGAGGUUUCUCCCGUUUACGGUACGAAGGAUGAACCAUGGCUCCUGCCAGGCUCGGCAUUGAAGGCUGACGAGAGGGCAGCAGCCGAUUCUUCUGGAGGUCGAAGGGGUUACCUACAAUGAUGCCUAUUCAACCCAGGACUUAUUUGUCGUUCUUAAAGUCUAAAGUAACGAAUUUCACUCUUUUGUCCUUGAGGAAGUUCUUAAAAUACUGGCACUCAACGUCGGCAUGGCAUAUGUGCUAGACCAAGCAAAUGUUAUGUACGCAAACCUGGAUCAUGGCGGGCUUCUUCCUCUCUUCGUCCUUUAAAUCCUUCUCUCGUCCCAGGACUAUGGUGUACUCAACAUCUAGCCCAAUGACCCACACAUCAUCUGAGUUUUCGAACAUGCGUCUGAAGCGAGAAAGGCAUCCUUUCACCAUCGCGGAAGAACGGGUGUAGAUGACGUCGAAUUCAUCACCGGUGAUGGUUCUAACCUUCUCACCGCCGAUCGUGGAGAUUUGGGACGCCAUGGAUUUGGGAGGAGGGUUAAGAUUAAUGGAACUGUCGUAAUGUGAAAGGACGGGACAACUAGGAGUGAACCGUCGUAGUAUUGAAGGACGUGCGGGGACGAGUAGGAGCGAACUGCCAGCAUGCAAACGGCAGGGUAGUGGCUUUCCAUUCUCCCAUGAUACGGGCUUCCAAGAGCCCUUGGAUCGGAGAUCGAACGGUUGCAUGGCGUGAUUCUAGACCUAUGGGUGAAUAUCCUAUCCUGGAGGGUUAUUCUGUAAAUUUUCAGCAACUUAGCAUGCGGCCGUUUGAUCUCAAGUCCAAGGGCUGCUAGCAGCCCGUAUCAUGGUCGCGCCUACCAUGACUCGGCCACGCCAUGACGAUCGACAAGACAGCGCAUAGUCCCCCUAGGCACACGGGGCCCGCACCUAGGGGAACCCGGCAAACCACAAGCCCCCAAGCGGGACCCAGCCCGGUGUCCCGGACGCUGACAAUACGGACCCACCAACUCGGCAUAUUACCAUUGUAACCCUGGAUGGGUUGAUCUAUAAAACCCCCCAGGAGUCCACGCCCACAGGGGCACGGCAUGAUAUGUAAGAUCCCCGACAUGCAAAAGCAAGCAAAAUAGGACUAGCCACUACAUAGCAACACCAGGGAGAAGGAGCAGCCCGAGCCUCGACCAACCUCCUUCCUCCUCGAUACAGCUCCAGGAGCGAUCUUGUACUAUCGACCAUCGAACUAAACUCGGCAGGACUAGGGGUGUUAUCUCUCUGGAGAGCCUCAAACCUGGGUAUGUCCGGCAUCCCGCGCCCGCGCAUAUCAACCUCGCCUCCCAAGCCCACCAGUGCCCUCGAGCCUCCUCCUCUCUUUAGCCAUCCCUUGGCAUCUGCCGUGCGCCCACCACGACAACCACCAUGAGCAACGACACUGCCACCUUACUCGGAGUCCUCGUCCACGUCCUCGACUUCGUCCUUGUCCCUCUUCCUCUUGGCCGAUACUUCUUUGCUUGAACCGCCAACUUGGCUGUUGCUCUUCAUCCAACCCUUGUAGAUAUUGAAACAAAGGUAGCCAUCCAUUGCAACGUACUGGAUGUGGUCUAUAUCUAGUACAUUCCGCUGCCAUGCAUGACGAUGAAACGUGUAUGGAAGUUUCUCCAGUUUACCGUAUGAAGGAUGAGCCAUGGCUCCUGCUAGGGUCAGCAUUGAAGGCUGACGAGAGGACACCAGCCGAUUUCUUUGGAGGUCGAACGUGUUGCCUACAACAAGGCCUAUCCGACGCAGGACUUCUUUGUCGUUACCAAAGUCUACACUAAUGAAUUUGACUAGGUUGCUCUCGAGGAAGUCCUUAAAAUCCUGGCACUCAACGUCGGCAUGGCAUAUGUGGUAGACCAAGCAUAAGUCAUGCACGCAAACCUGGAUCAUGGCGGGCUUCUUCCUCUCUUCGUCCUUUAGAUCCUUCUCUCGUCCCAUGACUGUGGUGUACUCAACAUCUAGCCCAGCGACCCACUCAUCAUCUGAGUCUUUGAACAUGCGUCUGAAGCGAGAAAGGCAUCCUUUGACCGUCGCGGAAGAACGGGUGUAGAUGAUGUCGAACACAUCACCAGUGAUGAUUCUAACCUUGUACUCACUGCCGAUCGGGGAGAUUUGGGAUGCCAUGGAUUUGGGAGGAGGGUUAGGAUUAGUGGAACUGCCGUAGUGUACAAAUGUGAAUGGACGGGACGACUAGGAGCGAACCGCCAUAGUAUUAAAGGACGUGCGGGGACGAGUAGGAGCGAACUGCCAGCGUGCGAACGGCAGGGUAGUGGCUUUCCGUUCUCCCAUGAAAUGGGCUUCCAGGAGCCCUUGGAUCGGAGAUCGAACGGUUGCAUGGCGUGAUUCUAGACCUAUGGGUGAAUAUCCUAUCCUGGAGGGUUUUUCUGCAAAUUUUUAGCAACUUAGCAUGCGACCAUUUGAUCUCAGAUCCAAGGGCUGCCAGAAGCCCGUAUCAUGGUCGCGCCUACCACGACCGUCGCGUCGCUUGCGCGGUCGCGCCCUUGGAGAAUUUACACGGUGCGUUAGGCUAUCUGAUGUUGGCAUGUCAUACAUAGUCAUCACUUAGUCACUCAUACUACAACAAGGUUGGCUAUAAGAUUGGCUAUAAGUGUAUUUAUUUAUUUUACUUCUCUCAAUUUCUUUCUUCGUACUCCCUCCGUCCCAUAAUAUAAGAAUGUUUUUGACACUAGUGUAGUUCCAAAAACGUUCAUAUAUUAUGGGACACAGGGAGUACUAGUAUUUAUUGCAUUUGCCAAGGAGUGACCUCUUCCAAUGAAAUGGUGUGCUUAUUAGUUUUUUGUUGCUAAGUUUGCUUGAUUUAAUUAUCUAUAGACUCAAAAUUGUCUUUUCACAUAGGUACACGCGCUUAGCACCGUUUCUUCCUCGGGUCACCAAACUAGUCUCUCUCUUCUUGAUUAACUUGCCACAUCAGACUUUAUGCCUAUGUGGCAAGCUUAGCACCUGUAGGAGCAAGUAAGUACAAUAGUGCGCUUUACAUGGCAUUUUUGCAUAUGUGGAGGAAAGAGAGGCAAGGAAAAAGUGGAGAAGUGGGCUCUAAUGCAAGAGCCAGCCUCUAAUACAUGGUGGAGCAUUGGGAGAGGCACCUGUAUGCAGGUGGUCAGGAAUCGGGAGACUCACGCCGGUCGUAGCACCGCAGUUAAAAUGAUAAUGGCAAGUCAAAUCACGGGGCCCCACCUGUCCGGCAGUAACUCGCUGUCAAAUCACACAACCCUACAUUUGCAACAGCCUACUCCCUCGUCUUCUCGCGUCUCUGUCAAACCGACUAGGCGGAACUGUCCCGCCUACCGUGCAGGAAAAGCCCCGCCCUCGACUUUUAAAUACAACUACAUUCGCUUAAGAAUCCAAUGAUAUACUUUUUGUGACAUAGUAACUCAUAUUUAGUUAGUCAAAUGGAUGACCUAGAACUAUGUGCAGGCCCUAUAAACCGAGACACCUAAAACUAAAAAACCGAGACGGAGAGGGUAGUUCAGCACGUAUCUUUUUAGAUCAAUAUAGUCGGGAUUCACCAAUGAGCAAAACCAAGUGGUAGGUUGCUCCUGUCGUGUUGGCGUAGCAACUCAAGUAGGGUUAAUCCGCACACAAAAUGGCGACACACUUAACAGGACCCCUUUGGCUGACAUGUGGCUCAUCCACCGUCUUGUUCCACGUGCAAUGCACCAAAUUACAGUUCGGAGCAGCGGUUGGAAUUGGAGGCACCCCGGUCGUAGCACCGCAGUAUUAGAAAAUGAGCGAUGAGGGGUCAAAUCACAAAGCCCCACCUUUCCCGCAUUAAGCUGGAUGGAUGAAGCAACCAUCAUUUCACUCUAGGGCGCAAGAGCAUAAAGAAAAGAGAAAACAAUGAUGCGUGCGACAGCUACCUAGGACACCCUAGGGUAGGGGUCUCCACUAUAGAUCCUUUUUUUGAAAGCGCCUCCACUACAAAUCGUCUUCUCCCUCGUCCUCUUGAAGAAAACCGAUGAUGAGUGCGGCGGUAGGGUUUUUAGGAGUACUACAGCGUGCGGGGCCACGUUGUAGUAAACGGGUUCGAGUUGAUGCCUUAAAUAUGUAUGGGCCACUUGGUUUUACGGGAACGAGGCAACAUUUUGGGUUCGGGGACCAGUGGGGAUAUAGUACGUACAAAAAAUUGUGGAUGUAGGUUCAACCAAAAGGCAAUGAUGCAUGGGCCCUGCAUUUUGAUAUACCCGGGGUCGCAUGAAAUUUGCUACUCUACUCAAAACUAGUAAGGUACACAUGUAUUUAUCGCAUGAGAUUUCGAAACCAAAUUAUGAAUAAAUACACACUAUAGCAUGUAAAGCUUUGAGUCAUAUAUGCAUGAUGUAGAUGUUCAUUUAGUUCUUAUAGUUCAUCUCAUUCAAAAUCAAUUAGUUUUAUAAAAAAAUUAAGAUUCAUGGGGUUGUGCAUUGUAAAUCAUAAAGUCAAAAACAAAUAAUGGCAAUUCAUUUAGAAAAAAAUAAUCUAUUAUGAUACAGAAGAUUCUAGAACAAAGGAGAAGUGCUUGUGUUUUGAGGUUUGUGCAUUAUGCUUAAGUUCAACUAUAUCUGGCCAUGGGUCGGGCCGGGUCGGGCCGGGCUUGGGUCGGGCCUAAAAAAGCCCACGACAGAAAAUUGAGGCCCAGGCCCUCCCAGGCCCUACCAUCGAGCCUACUUUUCAAGCCCAAGCCCGACCCAUCUGGUCAAAAGCCCUCAAAAGCCCUUAGGGCUUAGGGCCGGGGGCCGGGCCUCUUCCUUAAAAUGCCAAUAUGCCAAGCCCAAGCCUGUCAAGGCCCUACUGGUGGGCUCAAAACUUAGGCCCAAGCCCGGCCCACGAGCAAGCCCAUCGGGCCUAGGCCCUGGAUUUUAGGGUCGGGCUUGGGUGGGGCGACAGGGCCGGGCCUGAUAUGGCCAGGACUAAGUUCAACCAUGGAGUCUUCUAAAUUGUACAUGUGGCGGAUCUGGUGGAAUGUUGAUGAUAUCCAACGGCCAGUAGUGCUCAGAUUUGCCUAUCUCUGCACUGUCGGAUUAGCUUCAUCUAGCAACCAUCUUUCAAAGUUAUUGGCACACUAUAUAGUUCUUGUGACAUAGUUGCAUGUAUUGGAAAAAAGCUACUAGUGGGUUGUACUAUCUAUUUAGGAAUAGAAGAUGUAUACAUGGAAGUUGUAGGGAAAGAGAUGACAUGGAGCAUCUCAAUUCCUAUGAGUAGGGAUUGGAAAAGAGAUGUCAUUUGGUUCACAUCUAGGAACUUUUCUAUUGAAUCUAGAGAUGACAUGUAUCUCAAUUCCUACGAGGAGGGAUUAGAAAAGAGAUGUAAUUUGGUUCAUAUCAUAGGAACUUUUCUAUUGAAUAUACGCUAAUGUUUAUUUUCCUUUGAAAUUAAGGGAGUAUAGGAAUCCAUUCAUAUGAACCAAGUGGCUCUAAAGCUAUAGAAAUGAUAUCAUGUUUAUUUCCUUUGAAAUGUGGAGUAUAUGAAUCUAUUCCUAUGAACCAAUUGGCUCUAAAGGAAAAAAUCCUAUAAAAAUCAUAUCAUAUAGAGUUCCUAUGAUAUUCCUCGACACUAAAGGAUGGUUGAAAUUGUUGCGGGUGAUACGAUGGUCUUUCUUUGUAGACUCCUCACCCAUCUUUAUAGUUACCUCUCGAAGAUGAAUGAAAUGAUAUAUACAGGGUAUUCUACAUGUGCAACUUGGUACAUGAAAACUCGGUAAAAGUUUGCGAGGUUCGAAUUUUCAAUAAAGCUAUAUGCACUGCAUUUCUGAACGGAGGGAGCAUACGGCAGGUGCUAACACUCACGUGGAAGAUUUGUGUGUAGGAGGAGUGGCUAUUCUGUUAAAUGAUAUGGCAAAACUGACACUGUCGGAUGCCGAUCUAACGGUUCUUACGGUGUUCGUCAGGAAAAGGCUUGUGGCGAACGUUUGUCAGAUAAUGAUUCACAGACACAUGCAUUGCAUUGAUACGUGUCCCCCUCUCUCUCUCAUGCACACGCACCCUCACGAGUCAUGACUCUCCCGAGUCCUCUCACAGACUCGCACAUCGCACCCACCAUCUAUCUGCAGGUAGACGUCACGCACAUAUGUGCUCUUCACACCCUACCCUUAGAACUUCUAAAAAACAAAAGACGUCGCGCACAUUUUAUUUUAGCUCACACUUAUACUAUUACUCUUGCGGUGAACGUUCUUUGGGCAUAGUAUAUUGUACUCUCACGAAGAGAAGCGGUGCACGUACACACUAGUUCUCUCACACCCACUCGCGGGUACACGUAGGAGCGCAUUUUUUUUGAAGCUGGUACAACAAAAUCACUCCACUAUAUAUAAAAGCAGGAGCCUUAGCGCUUGCUUUACUAGGGUUCCUCUCGUUCACUCUCUCAUGCUCUCCAGAUCUAUGCAAGACAUAGGUGGCCACACUCUCUCUCAGCUCAUGGCUGGUCACAACUCCGGCUGGACAACCUUGAUCGGGGCAGGGGUGUAGGUGCAUCAUUUACGCUGUCGGCGGCGGCGAGGGAGGAGACCAAUGGCUGCCCACGCGUCCCAAUCAGCGGCCGUGCUAUUCUCUCCGAGAGAGCGCCGGCUCGGGAGGGCCUCCGACCCCUUCUUCCUCCCUGCGGUAUUGUGGCCAAGAUGCGGCCUCCCGACGCCGUCUUUGCCACAUGCCAACGACCCUCAGGUAUAUAUUCCUUCGAAACCUGCCUUGCUCUACUGCCCCAGCUCCAUUCGUGUGGAUCCUUUUCUACUUCUGUCUGAUGUUCCAAAGCCACCUAGACUUCUACUAUUAUUAGAAGUAAAGCUAGUUCAUACAGUCAACUCUAAGCGUUGAUUCAAACAGGGAAGAAAGUGGGAAAGCUGUAGCAUGAAUCUAGGACUUGGUUCUAAGAGGAAAUGGGGGAAAGUAGUAAUGUCUGUUGUCCCUACGCCCAUAUCGCUACUAUUAAUGUAAAAUCACAUGAAACAUUAAGCAAUGCCACCUAAUGUCACUAUAAGUAAUGGUCUGGUGCCGUCGAUAAAUUGAAGCAAUGCCACCACCAUUUUAUGAAGUGCUUCCGUCUUGAUUUAUUUCCCAUGAAUUGUGUUUUUGCAAUUACACUUAAAUCUCACACCGCUAACAUUGCUUCAUCCCAGUGGAACUGCACAAAUUUGAUUGCACAUUUACUAACCAUGUGCUACUCUCAUGACAGUAAUACUAAUGCUAUUGUUCUGCAUGUUAAUCUAGUGGCAUUGUUGAUGUGAUGGGAUGCUACUUACUUAAGGACUCUUCAUCUAGUGCCAAUUAUAACACAAUAGAUACUGAUGUUAAUCAUACGCCACUAAAAAUAUCUGUCAUAGUUUAAGUAAUCAUAUUUCGUAUUUGCGCAAAUAGGGAUAUCUGUCUCCAUAUCAUUUCUGGAUGUCUGUCUCCGUAUCAUUUCUAUCCGCGCAAUCAAAAGCACACACCUCAGUUUUAGUACAACUGCACAAAAUGAGAUGGCUAUCCCUCGUUGUCGUCGUCUAACCUCCCGUCUUCAAGGUAUCCCUACAUUGGUAGUAACUAAGGUAGAAUGACCAACGCAAUCUAAAAGAAGCUGAUUCGUACGUUUUACUUCCUGAUUACAGUGUAGGGACGAGCGAAAACAACUACAUCCUAGUCCAGAAUGCACUUUCUAUCAGUUCAUCCAUGGACCGAGGACUAGCUGGCACGGCUGCACGGCGGUUUUUUGAACAUGUGCGCGGACAAGAGGCAUUGUGGUCUUCUUAUUUCUGCAAAUAGCGAUGCUUAAAUUUAGUGGAAUGCACAAGAAUUUCACCUAAUCAGUACACUGCAUGGUUCAAUUCAGCAUUCCAGCUGAGACCACAAUUAUAAUUGGUUAUUCUGGAAUGAUAGAACCUAACCCUGGAUGGUGGCAACAAGAAAAAACCAGAGUGAACUCCAGGAAAUUUAAGCCUGCCGGGAGGCCCUUUGCUUAGAGAAGCCUUGCUUGUUUUUUCCUGAUUUGUAAACCUUCUCACAACUUUGUCUUUUGUUGUGAACUAGUAUAUGUUUGUUAUGUUCUAUGAAUCAUUGAGAUAUAUAAAAUUGCUUAAGUUAUGCUUUUCAAGUUUUUUUAUGAAGACGAGUUUAAUGUGAGUUUUCACAUGAGCGCUAGACUAGCGUGUGAACAUUUGGAAUUUAUUACAUUGUGGCCUCAGUUAACUACAUGAACUACUGUAACAAGAUAUAUAGUUGCUUAUAUGUCAGACAACAGAUUGUUGAUUGUUAGCUGGUCGAUAGCCUAGUGUUAAAGCGAGCUGAGCCAAUGUGCAGUGUUUUGCACAACUGCUUACAUGUGGGGUAGCACCAACAGUGUUUACAAGUACUUAUGUAUACGUCGGCGCAUAGUUCUCGAACGAGUCACUACAAAAAAAAAGACACAUCUGUGACAUUUUGGGCCGAACGAAAAAAAAAUCGGUCAUACAUAUGACACUUCUAUGACGAUAAUUGUGACAAAACCCGGUAUCAUCAUAGAUGUGGUGGGCUCCUACUUCUAUGACAAAACAUCAUGACAGAAAAUGGGCUUUUCGUCCUGGGCGGGCCGGAGACGUAGCUGCAUGACAUUCUUUGGGCCGUCCAUGACGGAAAAAACCGUGGUAGAAGCAAGGGCGAGGAAAAUUUCGGGGAGUUCCCGGUUACGGUGGGAGGUCGGGAGCCGAGCGAUGUGUGUUUCUCUCGUGCACGUACGCACAUGUGUGCGAGGCAUUGGCUCUAACUGAACCCGAGCGAGGCUUUGGGCUCUAACUGAACCCGAGCGAUUGCAUUGCAGGCUACGCAUUACUGAACCCGAGCGAUCAAUCAAUGGCUGUUAACUGAACCCGGUCGAGCGAUUCCUUCGCUACUGCUGCUAACUAAAGCCGAUCGAUUGGNNNNNNNNNNNNNNNNNNNNNNNNNNNNNNNNNNNNNNNNNNNNNNNNNNNNNNNNNNNNNNNNNNNNNNNNNNNNNNNNNNNNNNNNNNNNNNNNNNNNNNNNNNNNNNNNNNNNNNNNNNNNNNNNNNNNNNNNNNNNNNNNNNNNNNNNNNNNNNNNNNNNNNNNNNNNNNNNNNNNNNNNNNNNNNNNNNNNNNNNNNNNNNNNNNNNNNNNNNNNNNNNNNNNNNNNNNNNNNNNNNNNNNNNNNNNNNNNNNNNNNNNNNNNNNNNNNNNNNNNNNNNNNNNNNNNNNNNNNNNNNNNNNNNNNNNNNNNNNNNNNNNNNNNNNNNNNNNNNNNNNNUGUGGAGGGCUGGAUGAACAGUAGACGGUGGAGGGGUGCCCGUGCAGGGGUGGUUGAACAGUAGCUGGUGUAGUAGCGCAUGGUGGAGGCUGGAUGAACAGGAGGCCGUGGAGGCUGGAGGAGGUUGAAGGUAGCCCGUGGAGGCUGGAGGAGGUCGACGGUGGAGAUGAACAGUAUCCCGUGGAGUCCGGUUUUGCAGUACGCCACACCCCUCCCGAUGAAAAGGACCCCCGUUUCGACCGUAGCGCUCUAACACAAGUCUGUUUCGUCCGUUUUGCGGUACGCCACACCCCUCCCGAUCAACAGGACCCCCGUUUCGACCGUAGGAGGUCCGUUUCGUCCGUUUUGCGAUACGCCACACCCCUCCCGAUCAACAGGACACCCGUUUUGACUGUAGGAGGUCUGUUUCCUCCGUUUUGCGAUACGCCACACACCUCCCGAUCAACGGGGCCCUGUUCCAAACGUAGGAGGUCCAUUUCCUCCGUUCUGCGGUACACCAGGCCUCGUUUCCAUCGCCUAUUCCAUCCAAGCCCUCCCAAUGAACACGACCACGCAUUCUGUUCCGACCCAGCCGGUUGGCUCCCACGCGUUCCGUUGCCUCCCGAUGAACGCAACGCAUUCCGUUGCCUCCCCAUGAACACGAAGACGAUGAUUUUUCUCCAUUCUGACCCAGCCAUGUACACGAGCCCUCCCGUACGUAUGCGCGAGUAGGCGUUCGAGACCCCGCCCGUAUGUACACAUACGUGGCCGUAUUUUCUUUCUUGCACCCUGGCCGCUGUACGUACGUGUACAUGCUACGUGCGCGCCUCUACUACGACACGUGCGUGCCUCUACAAUGACCAGUAUGUACGUACAUAUUCGCGACCAGAAUGACAAUGCUACGUACGCUUCGACUAGGUGGGUCCCGACUGUCAGGCACUUCCUUGCCUGCGAAGAUGUAGCUGGUGGGUCCCAGCAGUCAGGGGGCGAAUCGUUUUGUUUUUUUUUGCCCGGACGCACUUCCUUGCAUGCGAAGGUGUAGCUACUGGGUACCAGCAGUCAGNNNNNNNNNNNNNNNNNNNNNNNNNNNNNNNNNNNNNNNNNNNNNNNNNNNNNNNNNNNNNNNNNNNNNNNNNNNNNNNNNNNNNNNNNNNNNNNNNNNNNNNNNNNNNNNNNNNNNNNNNNNNNNNNNNNNNNNNNNNNNNNNNNNNNNNNNNNNNNNNNNNNNNNNNNNNNNNNNNNNNNNNNNNNNNNNNNNNNNNNNNNNNNNNNNNNNGGACGCACUUCCUUGCGUGCGAAGGUGUAGCUGGUGGGUCCCAGCAGUCGGGGGGCGAAUCGUUUUUUCGGACGCACUUCCUUGCGUGCGAAGAUGUAGCUGGUGGGUCCCAGCAAUCAGGGGGGCGAAUCAUUAUUUUCUCGGACGCACUUCCUUGCGUGCGAAGAUGUAGCUCGUGGGUCCCAACAGUCAGGGGGCGAAUCAUUGUGUUCGCGAAAUACGGUGGCCCGUACGGUGGGUCCCCGCUGUCAGGUGGAGGAAUAAUUAUUUUGCGCGUAAUAAGGAGGAACUUACUUGCGCCUGCCGUGGACCCAGCUGUCAGCCUCUCCAUGUACAGUCCACGUCCGAUGGAAGUCGUUCCUUGACCACAUUGACCACGUCACGCCGAGAGCACCACGGUGGUGGAUGACGGCGAGGCCUAGGAACGGGACGACGCGGAGCCGGGUAAGAGGCGAUAGUGGAUGCACAUGCGGAGAGGAGUACGAGGGUUCACUAGUUCGGCUGCGUUGCCGUCGCCGCAGAAUAGCAGGGGGCGUGGGUGAGUGGAGGGAUGGCCUGGUCAGUGGUGGGAGUAGUAGGGGGCGGUGAGGCCUCCGCGGCAGCACAGCCGGACACGGGAGGUAGGAGCAGGCGGCACGACCGACGCUGCUUUGGGCGGCUGGAGCAAGAAGACCAGAGGUUGAAGAAACACGACGGCCGUUGGAUGCACAUCGUACGGUCACUGCAGCUAGAAUCGUUUAUAUUGACUAAGUUGACAAAGCCCUUGGUACGUCAACUUAGUAGGCCCACAGGUCAGCUUCCGAAACGGUGUGCCCUAGAUGUCACGGGGAGGAAUCAUUUUUUGGGCGGGUGAAGCUAGAAUAUCCAAGAUUGAAGAAGAAGCACGGCAUCCGUUGGAUGGACAUCCAACGGCCACUGCUGCUAGAACCGUGUGUUGACUAUAAGUUGACAAAGCCUUGCAUACGCGUCAACUCUGUUUUUUUAGGGGACGCGUCAACUUAGUAAGGCUAGAAGUGUGUGGCAGAGAACUUAUAGCCCAUUUGAGAUUUGUAAGAAUGUGCAUCCCAUUUUUGAAUUCUAAUGGAAUUUACUACAGCCCAUUUACAGUUUGUUAAAAGUAUAGCCCAUUUCAACCAACCAUUCAAAACAGAAUUCAAUAAAAUUUCCCACAUUUUGAUGGGAUCCGAAAUAUUUUUAUCCCGAAAUUUCUAGUCGGAUUAAAUACAAUUUCAAUAUAAAUUUAUAUUAUGUAAAAAUCCAACGAAACAUUACACUCGCAACAAUUAAUGAAAUUAAAAUUUUCAAUAUCCAAAAAUAAUAUUUUAUAAAGUAAUCAUGUGUUUGGUGCAUCUUUUAUUAGUUACUGCCCAGUUUUUAUAAUUGCAUCCCAUUUAUUAUUUCUUAAAGCCCAUUUUCUUGUUAAGCCUAAUGCAUACCUCCUAGGAAAGAUUUGCAGCCUAGCGGGAUGGAGAAUAAUAACUUGACCUUGCGUGGGUAUUCCUAAAAAAGUAUAGCUGGGCUAGCCAUUUUCAGCUUGAAAAAAAUUAAUGUCUGGGCUGGAUAUCUGGCCUGGGCUAGACGGGCCACAGCCCGCCCAAUUAAUACCUGCAGCGAUGUUUUCGUUGUUGUUCAAAGAAGAAAAAUUAAUAUCUAGGCUAAACAUCGAAAAACUCUGCAGUGCUCACACCUUAAAAACAGAAAUACUGCUCGAGCUGCUUGGUCCCAGCUGUCGGUCGCUUCUUGUGCAAUUCUCUCGUUUAUUGACUACUCCCUCCUUUCCGGUUCAUAGUGCUCAAUUCAAAAAUCUCACCAAUCAAGGUAGAUGGCGAGUGGUGGAAUACUUUUUGUAGUUUUGCAAAAGCACCUAAUUAAUGCUCUUGUUAUCCUCAAAAAAUUAUGUUUAUCAAUGCAUUAAUUGCAAUGCAUGCAUGCAUAAAGUACAUGCAUUGGUCAAUUUUCUCUUAAUACUUGCAUGCAAUGAUUUAAUGCACCUUGGAAUCUGAACAUGUGAUGGAAAACAACCAAAUUGAGCCUUACAAAAUGGAAAAACUAAAAUUUUGAGAUAAGCCCUAUAAAUCGGAAAGGAGGGAGUACAUAGGUUGACAAUGGUGUGGGACCGUGAUGUCAGGAAACCAGGAGGAAGCAAAGUAAAUUAUAGUUAUAUAUAUAUAUAAUAAGGAGGCACUUGCGUACGUGAGGCUAUGGACCUGGUGGGUCCCCAUUGUCAUCCUCUCCAAGUAAAGUCAUCUCCUCUCCCGCGCGCUUUCCGCCCGAAACAGUCAGCGCCGCCCGCCCCGCUUCCCGGUGCAGGCGAUUGCUCCGCCUUCAAACGACACAAGUGUCGUCCGUCCGUCCAUCUGCCGCCCACAUUAAUGAUACACGGUUGCCGAGGCGGCUACUCCGGCGCCACAUGUCCGUCCCUCCGCCCGCCCACCAUUGCUAUAUAAACUGCUGCGCUGGCCAUAGCCGCAGUCAUCCGCAUCCGUUCCCUUUCUCCUGUCCACACCACUACUACCCACCAUGGCUUCCUCGCACUCCAGCGCUCUUCGGGACGGGCGGACGACGGACCACAAGGAGAUGGUAGCCAUUGCUGCCGACCGGCUGGCCGGCAGGCAGCCGGAGGACGACGACGUCCCAAUGGAGAACAUGGUAGUCGACGAUCCGGCGCCAACCCCCUCCUCCGCGCCAUCCUCGCCAGUGCAUUGCACCAUGACCAUCGGUGAGGCCCGUGCCCAAUAUACGGACAAGGUGAGGCAGAUGCAUGAGGAGCAGUUCCGGGAGCCGCAGGCCGACGCUGCCUACAACCACCAUCUCCUCUAGGAGCACCUGCAGGCGGAGGAGCAGAUCGCCGCAGAGCGGGUGGAGCAGGAGGCGCUGCUCGACUCGUACCGCUCCGCCCGCAAGGGCCGCCUCGAGCACUGGCGGUACCACAUGCGGGUGGCGGAGGCUGCGGCCGCCUACAAAGAGGCUAGCAAAGAGGGCGAUGAAGCGGGCGAGGUGAUGUUUAGCGAGACCGAGGACGAGGCAGAGGACAAUGCCGGCUCUGACGAGUCCCCGCUCCGCUGGCAUCGACGAGGCCCUGCUCCACUAAGGCCCCGCGGCGCCAACAACGAGGCAGAGGACACCGCCGGCUCCGUCGAGGCCCCGCGCUGCCAACAACGAGGCAGAGGACAUCGCCGGCUCAGCCGAGGCGCCACCCUGCCGGCAACAUGGGGGAGUAUUUCCACUGCUUCGCUGAGGCGCCGCCCGCCGGCAACGAGAUAGAGGACAUCGCCGGCUCCGCCGAGGCCCUACCCCGCUGCCAACGAGGCCGCGCCACAUAGAAAACGAGGAAGAGUAGAACACCGUAGGUCGCCGCUGCUCGGGUCCAAGUAAGGCCACCGCUGCUACCCUCCAGUUGAAGCCAAGCUAGGAGGGUUGACCAUUGACGGGCGGUUAGCUUCUUGGCGGCGACAUGGAGUCGGAGAGCUGCGCUGGAGAAGAACGCUGCUUCUAGUUAACUGCCGGUGCAGUUGGCUGACUGACACAUGGGCCCAACAGGCCACAUGUCAGUUACGCAACUGCACCUGCAGUUAAGUCACUGAAGCUUCUGUUCAGCUCAGCGAGACACAGGUGGGUAGCUUCGGUUAAUUAAUUAUACCUCCAGCGCACCCCUUAUUAGUUGAAGAAUGUAUGAAAUGUAAUGAAAUCUGGCAUGUUUAUAUGAAAUCCGACCGUGUAUGAAUGAAUUUAUUUCGAUUAGUUCGAAUUCCUGUUUCACUGGCAUUGGAUGAACAUGCAAAACAAUACGUACUAGCAUUAUUCCUAGGGUGAUCACCUCGUUCGCAACAGUUUCACAUGUACUCCCUUCGGUCCUUUCUAGUCUGCAUACAAGUUUUGUCUGCAAUCAAAGUAUCUCUACUUUGACCAAUCUUAUACAAAAAAGUAUGCACUUUCACAAGUUGUGAAGUAAAAAGGAGCAGAAGGAGUACAAAGAGUUUGAGCAGCUUUUUAGCAUUUUUGUACAUUGCAAUCAAACACACAGGCCUGGCAAUUCAUAGAGAACGUUCAAAACAAUCGAGGAUUAUGCAUCUCAGCGACUCACAUGUCAGAGGCAAUAUUUACUUCACAACUAAAGAAUAAAGAAAAAAUUGAUCGACGCUGCUGACAGCAAAGGGUGUCCCAUUCGAAAAUAUCAAACGCAUGUCUUGCUAAAAUCAAUGAGCAAAAUUUGACAAGGUUGUCCCAUUCCAAAAUAUCAAAUGCCUACGAUUGUGCAAUGGGUAGGGUUUGCCAUCAGUUCGGACAUUGACAUGGCACCUCGUGCUAAAUAAGCCAGUUGUUCUUUUUGUGCAGUUCCACAAAAAUCAACCAAAUUCGCGCAUAGCUUGUAUGAUUUCACCCUUAUAUGUUGCAACGCCUUGAACUUAUCGGCACCUCCUUUCUUGUGGUGGAAAUGAAUGAUUCGAUGUAUUUAUGAACAUUUUGUGCAGUUUUCAUUGAAAUCAAGCUGAGCACCUGUUUGCACAAAUACAAAAAACUGAUUAGUAUAAAGCAAAUUGUACUAUGAAUUGACAGUUUCAACAAGCACAUACAUGGUCCAUGUAGAGCACACUUUUAGAAAAAUGGAACUCACCAGAAAGAAUCCUAGAACAACAUUGUACUCGCGCAACACAGCAAAAAAAUGGAGAUUUGUCAGUCCUUCUGAGCUGAAGUUAGUUUGGUCUUGUGGGGAGUAAUGUAACCAUCCUUCACCUGCUCCUUCUGAUGAGAUGAUAGACAGGGCUUCUUCAUCCUGGCAUAAUCAGAAGAAGAUGAUACUGUUGUGCAAAGACAAGAGGACUACUAAAUGCUAGCAUCCCUGUUUGCUCGAAAAAAGGAAAGGAAAUAUUUAAAACAACACAGAUGAAGCACUUCUCAAGGACAAUACCAGUUUUUCAUGACAGUAUCUAAAUAGUAGCACAACACCAAUAGAGAUGACAAAGCUCAAUCAUAUGGAUGAAAUCAGUGGGCGAGUACCAACCUUUGUCAGGAGGCUUAUUGUGUAGAGCAUACAGAUGAAGCACUUCUCCGGAACAAUCUGUUGCUAUCUAUGGUGGUGGCCAUGCUUACUAAAUACUCCUCGAUUAGUUUAAUGUUUCCAACAUCUUCUUGUGCAGUUCCACUAAAAUAUAUGGUAUCUUCAAAGAAGAUCCCUGUUUGCACAUGUAGAGAUAAUUACGUAUUACAUUAAGAGUGGCAUCAAAUCAGUGGCAAAACAAUUGCUCAUUCCAGCCAUAGCAAUAAAUUAAGAUGCAAGCCUAUAUCAUUACUUGUGUCAUCAUAGUUCCAGUGCUUCAUUACAGCACCGGGAGUUAAUUUUUGUUUUUCUUCCGCUUGUUCUUCCCCUUCAUCACUUGGUUCAAUAACAGACAAGCUUCGCCUUCAAUGUAAGAUUUGGCAUGUCAAUUAGGGAGCACAAGUAUAGUACUAAACUUAAUUUUCUAAUGAAAGUGGCAAAAUACAGGCCAGCAGUUGUGAAAUAUCCUUAUCUUACCUCAAUGGGAUAUUACGGUGCACAUACAGAUUGGAAGUCUUGUCUCCAUUUGUGCAGUUCACUAAAAUCAAGCAACAUUAUCGUACAAGUAGCACAACAUAUGAAAGCACACCGCAGAAUCAUGUGACAGAAGGCUAGUACUGACCUCUCAUGAUGCGGAAUUCAAACAACUCACAAGAAGAAGAUCUGAACCAAAUUCGCUUUAACCGAUAGGAAGUAAGAUCUCCUCUUGUGCAGUUCCACUAAGAUCAAGCAAUCAAGCAACAUUAUCGGUGUGACAUUUUGGUUGAACGCAGAAAACACUCUUAAAACAAAAGUGUUUAGUGCAGUGCAACAAAAGGUCACAAUGGCAACGAGGUGAAGUAGAUAACCCUGUUUACAGAGAGGUGCAAAGGAAACAAUUAGUGGUCAAUAACGGUGGAUGACAUAGAAGCCAACAAAAAGAAGCAUCUACCUUAUCUAAAUGGGAAAGAAAGCAAGACAGUAGCAUUUCUCAAAUGGUGGCAUUGAUUAAUAUUAACAUAGAGAUUAUAUUAACAAUAAAAUUCGUUAAACAUGUAAUUUGCUUUUAACUGUGGCAUUGCAUCAAUUUUCCAGCGGCAUUAUUAGAGGGUGUUUGUUUACAGGGACAUUUUGGUGUAGGGACUAAAAAAACUCCGUGUCAGUCCCAUCUAAACCAAACAGGAGGACUUUUAGGGACUAAAAGUGGGCAUUUGGGACUAAGAAAGAAGACCCCGAGGGAGUCUUUUUGGGACUUUUUCCAACAGUUGCCCCUGCCACGUAUCACACCUUGUCUCUAUUAGUUCAUUACUAGGGGUAACAUGGUCUUUUAGCAUGUCAUUUAAUAACCUCUAGUCCAUGUUUAGUCCCUGGAACCAAGCAGGUAGGGACUAGGGAGUUUUUAACCAAACAGGGCCUUAGAUUAACAAUAGAUAAUGAGUUGCACGGGACAGUGGACGCACCAGCACCAUGUGCAUCUACCAAUGUAAUGUGGUCAUGCACAGUCUGUUGCAACAAAGAACAAACAACCAAUGAGCAUAUUUGUGUUGGUCCCAGUUUUGUUAUCUUUAGACACCUUUUCCUAUGUGAGCGCAGCAAAUCUAGUCCUGCUCAAACUCUACAGCCUUGUCCCUUCCUUUCCUUUUUGAACUAGUACUUUCGCCCCUUCCUUUCCUCUUUUAACCAUGUCCUAGAUUUAUGCAAUACAACUUUCCCCACUAUUUUCCCCCAUUCCUUUCCUCUUUGAACCACGUCCUAGAUUCAUGCCAUACAACAUUCCCCCUUCAUUUCCUCUUUGAACCACGUCCUAGAUUCAUGCUAUAUACAACUUUUCCCACUAUUUGCCCCCACUCCUUUCCACUUUGAACCAUGUCCUAGAUUCAUGGUAUACAUGCAGGUAGAGAAAUGCAUGUGGAGUAAGUAAAUUAUACAUUAAGGUUCUUGGGGCGUGGUUCGGUGGGCGACGGGACAGCAGCGAAGAAGAAGGGGUCGGAGGCCCUCCCGCGCCGCCGCUGGGUGGAAAGUGAACAGCUGCGCCGGUAGUGGAUUCCCUCCCUCGCCGAUGGCGACAUCGUUAAGCCUCCUUCCCUUCCCGGUGGACGGAUCCUGCCGACUCUUUGAGAAGAAGUGAGGGGGGAGAGAGGCCAACGAAGUCUUGUUUAGAUCUGGAGAGGGCGAGAGAGUGUGAAGAGAGCAACUACAAGCGCUGAGGCUCCAGCGGGAGAGGGAGAGAGAGUGUGAAGAGAGCAACUACAAGUGCUGAGGCUCCAGCGGGAGAGGGCGAGAGAGUGUGAAGAGAGCAACUACAAGCGUCGAGGCUCCAGCGUGUGUAUAUAUAUACUGGAGAGAGUGUGUGAAGCGUGCAAACCCUAGAAAACAUUUUGACCAGUCAAAGAAUCCUCCUGGCACAAAUUAUGCUCAAGUGUAGUUAUCGAACCCGAGACCUCAAGUUUGAUGAGCGAACAGGCUAACCAGCUACACAACCCUCCCGUUAUGUUCAACGAGAGGAAAAUAACCUUUUAUACAUUCCUGCAUUUGUGUGACAAGCAUUCCGUGUUUUUUGUGUGUGUGUGGGAGUCAUUGGGAUUUCAAUCAUAAUCGUGUCAUGUGGCUUUGUGGUAAGACUAUCCACAGUGGUGCAGAAAUAAUGCAGCCUUAGUCACCUUACCUCUCUCCACAUAGUACGUUGGGUCCCAUCAGUCGGAGGGUGAAACAAACAAAUUAAUAAGAAAAAUUAAAAGCGCCAGCGGUGUAUCUUACCUCACACAUCUCGCUACUGCUCAGGAACACUGUCCAAUUGAUCCCUUAGUUCGCUCAUGUACUAUUUUAAGUGAAUCCUUAUUAUAACAUGCACACAAAUUUUGGGCACAUGUAUUCGACUUAAGUCAGUGUGCCACCAUAUCUCGUAUACUUACUACUCCCUCCGUCUAGGUGUAAUAAGUCACGUUAGAAGGUGCAACGGGACCAAGGUGCGUGUGUGUGUGUGUGUGUGUGUGUUUAACAGCAUGUGUGUGUUAGAGAGAGCGACAGAUCGACCUACUCCUACAGAGAGAUGGUGGGUAUUGUACGAUUUUAGCCGCGAGAGUCGGUGCAUCCUCUCGUUUCGGGCAUGUCCGGUAGGGACAUGCGGACAGCUGCCAUGCACGCUCCUGACCAGCCUGGCCCACCCAAAGCCCCUCCAUCGCCAGCGCGCUUCCCGCCCGAAACGGUCAGCGCCGCUCCAAAGAAUCGGUGCCGCAUUCAUGCCCGGGUAGAGCAGACGCGACCUCUCACUGGCGCAAGAGUGAUGGCUGCUUUGUCCGUCCAACUUACUGCUCGGUCUAUUUGAUUUGACGGCUCAUUUGUCUUUAUUACUGAGGUGGUAGGGCUACUGGAUGUCCCACGCUUUCAGAGAAAGGAGGUACUACUACUACUAGAUUACAAUUUUCUCCAUUCUUACAGCGAAGGAGUGCAAGAGCAGUGAAAACACGCAAGCUCGGUGAUUACAUGGCCCACCUCACACUAUCACUGUGUGACACCUAACUCUUUACAUAGUACUCCCUCCAUUGCUAAAUAUUACUAGAUGAGUCCCCGCGCGUUGCCGCGGAACAGUGGUAUAUCUCUCUGCGCAAAAUUAUCGAUUUCAUAGAACUAAAAAAAUCUAUAACCGCAUGACAAAUGUGGUAGCCAAACUAAAUAAACUCCCAUCAUCAUUUAGAUCAUCCCACGUAAGGAAAGAAGAUCAGCCAACUCCUACUGCAUAAUGUGAUUAUAUUUUUCUUUUUGACAUGUUAAUGGGACUUAACAGCUCACUUACAUGCAUGCUACCAGUGCAUGCUUGCAUGCAGACAUGUUGAUGUGAUUUAAAACCCACUCACAUGCAUGUGCCACGGUAUUUCUGCAUGCUUGCAUGUGGGUUAGUGCGGAGCCUCUCAACGUCUAGAUCAGACGGCUAUUAUGGACUGAUUUACUUCAUCUAACGGCUACAUCAAUUUUGAUUAUGUGGCUCAAGGAGAGGAUAGAGAAUUCCUAGUAGUGGGGGCUAGCUAUUACUAGUAGAUAAGUCUUUGUAGAGAUUCCACUAGGUGAACUACAUACGGAACAAAAUGAAUGAAUCUACACUUAAAAUGCAUCUAUAUACAUCCGUAUGUGGUUCAUGGUGAAAUCUCUACAAAGACUUAUAUUUAGGAACAGAGGAAGUACUAGUAUAGUACAUACUGUAAUUUAUCAGCGAGAUAAAUUUGUACAAUGCUAUGAAGCUUCCAGCUUCUAUUACAUGUAUCUUGCGUCCAAGGUUGCCCGUUGCAACAUUUCAUCAAAUACAAAGGAGACUAACAUGCAUGCUAUUGCAUCUCAAUGAUUGACAGCUCAUAGCAAAUAUCUACUCCCUCCGUUCCAAAAUAAAUGUCUCAACUUUGUGCAAACUUUAGUACAAAGUUUUGCUACUACUAAAGUUGACACUUAUUUUGGAACAGAGGUAGCUAAAGAUAAAAACAAUCCAUGCAGUACCUAGCCCUUGAACCGUGAACCCUGACCAGGCUUCAAUUUGCUGGCAACGUUGGAGCUUCCUAAUAAAUGAAGUUUGUAACCUUUUGACCAUCGGAUCAUUUUGUGCAGUUUCACCAAAAUCGAGAUGAGCAUCCCUGUGGCAAAGAAAUUGAAGAAGCGUGAUUAGAAUAAGAUUACUGGGACUAGUUGAUGAAACAUAAACUCAUCACAAAUACAGUACGUAGAAGCCAGUAGAGGUAUGUGCGGGGCAAAGAAGUAGAGAAAUAUCCACAGGGAGUGAUGUGGGUAGCUGGAGCAGUGGUGCAAGCCGGCUGUAAAGGGAGUUGUAACUGAGGGACGUAGCUCAACCUUGAGGAGGGCGGCGACAGGCGGCAAUUUCCCACGUCGCGGCAGUGAGCAAGGGGCGAAGGCAGCCUCACCGGUUUUGUGAGAGAGAACAACGGGGACCCCUGACCGGGACGUGCCGAUAGUGGGUUUUCACUGUCGGCGACGGCCACCGCAUCACUAAGCAUCCACCCCUUCCCCAAGCGGACGUGAUCCGCCGGGAUGUUAGAGAAGUGGCCACAGUCGUUUUGUGUGAGAGAGUGUGAAGAGAGCAACCCCAGCAAGCAACCGUGUAGGCUGGCCCGUCCUGACUAUGUAUAUAGUGGAGCGGUUUCCUUUUCUCUCCAUAUGAACCUAUCAUAUUGCGUACAUGCCACUGAAGAAAAAAAAACUUUAUUUAUAAAUGAUGAGGCACCUACUACUCAUAUUCCUAUAACCUUGCACUUGGCAUCUCCAAAAUAUUAACCUUGCGAUUGGCUCUUCGCCUCUUCGGGAAGUCGAGCAAUAAUGGUAGUGCAGUAUAUAUCAUUCUGGCUAUAUGAGACCGAAUAAAUUGCUGCACGUCCACCACGUGGGCGAGGGUCGAGGGGCGAGGGAGAGUGCUACAUAUGGAGCAAAAUGAGUGAAUCUACAGUCUAAAAUACGUCUAUAUACAUCAGUGUUUGGAGUAUGUACUAGUCGUUCAUAUUGAAAUCUACUAAAGGACAUAUAUAUUCCAAAAAAUAUGAUAUAAUCUCUAUAACCAAGGUAGUAGGGACGAGGAGUAAAUGGAGGGAGUAAAUUUUUCUCCUCGUCUUGCGAGCUACCGCGCGCAUGGGCGAGGGAGCGGGCGUAAGGCGGAGCAAGCUUCACCUCAUCCCGCGAGCCAUCGCGCCCGUGGGCGGGGGAGACGGCGUACAAAGCAAGCUUCUCCUCGUUCUGUGAGUUGACGGGACACAUCAAAAGUACUCCAGUGUAUAGAGCCUUGCCUCUAAGGUAGGCCCCACAUGGUUUGCCUCUUUUUUUAACAUAACACGUCAAGUCGCAAUUUGUUUGUUCACCCAUGGUAGACGAUCCUCCCUCCACCAAGUGGACAACCAGUACACGUGCCGAAUUACCAUGUGGGCUGCCUUUUUCGUACAGAAAUGAGCUCCACCGUGUACCCAUGCGGGUGUGGUUGGGAAAGAGACGGGAGUAUGUGCGUCGUGCAUGCACCUCUUCUCUUCGUGCACGUCCCCCACCUACGUGGGUGUGUGUGAGAGAUACAAACCGUGUUCGUGAGUGUUUUUCNNNNNNNNNNNNNNNNNNNNNNNNNNNNNNNNNNNNNNNNNNNNNNNNNNNNNNNNNNNNNNNNNNNNNNNNNNNNNNNNNNNNNNNNNNNNNNNNNNNNNNNNNNNNNNNNNNNNNNNNNNNNNNNNNNNNNNNNNNNNNNNNNNNNNNNNNNNNNNNNNNNNNNNNNNNNNNNNNNNNNNNNNNNNNNNNNNNNNNNNNNNNNNNNNNNNNNNNNNNNNNNNNNNNNNNNNNNNNNNNNNNNNNNNNNNNNNNNNNNNNNNNNNNNNNNNNNNNNNNNNNNNNNNNNNNNNNNNNNNNNNNNNNNNNNNNNNNNNNNNNNNNNNNNNNNNNNNNNNNNNNNNNNNNNNNNNNNNNNNNNNNNNNNNNNNNNNNNNNNNNNNNNNNNNNNNNNNNNNNNNNNNNNNNNNNNNNNGCUCGAUGUAUCGGUGUGUGUGGGGGGAGGGGGUGGGGGGAGGGGUAGGCAGAGGCCUAACUAUAGAGGUAGAACGACUCAUAUAUGUGUUGAGAAGGAGAGACCUAGCUAUGUCUUGAGGGAGAUCGGUCGACAUCCAUACAUAACUGAAGGACGGGAAAUAUGAUGCGAAAGAGAGAGAGAGAGGACAGAGAGAGGAGAGAGGGAGGGAGGGAGAGGGAGGGAGAGGGGUAGAGUGAUGGAUGGGUGAUGGAGUUGCUUCUCAGAGAUGGUGGGAGAGGCCUACUAGACAAACUAAGGGUGGAACUGCAAUGUUAUCAAUAAGAGUGGGGAUGUGUUUUUGUGUGUGCCUGUGCGUGAUAGAUCUGUCGGGACGCAUCCAUGGAUGAUGAAGGGGAACCAUGUGUUUGGUAAGCAAACCUAACUAGAUCGGUAGAUCAAUUGUUGUUUGUCGGAGGAAGGGAGAGACACAACUACUGAGGUAGAUCGAUCGACGUGUGGGUAAAAACGAGUUAUAAGGACCUAGAUAGCUAUAUGUAUAGCGAGAGAUUGGUCGUUAUACGUCCAUUUAUCAGAGGCAAAUAAGGCCCAGCGAAACGGAUAGACAGAGAGAAUGGAGCUAGGAGGUGGUGCGAGAGGCCCAACUACUAGCUAGAUAGGGGGAGGAGUGUGCGGUUGUGAGAUCGAUGAAAAGAGGAGCGAGAGUUUACACGUGUGUCUGACCGUAUGAGAGACACGAGGCAAGGACACAUAAAGGAGGAGAUUGAAGGUGUGUGUGUAUGUUGUAGGCAGGCAUCGCUGGAGAGGUUUAUCGAUCGGUGUGUGUCGGAAAGGAGUUGUGGAGACUCUGGGAGAAUGACCUAAAGAAAAAAUGAAUGUGCCCGGUGGAUAGAAUGCCGAGGGAGGGGGAGGGCGAGGAGGGCGUGUGCAUGCACGAGAGAAAGUUAGUGGUAGCUACAAAGGUUAGAGGAUUGUGUGGGUGUAAGAGACUAACAAAGAUCAUAAUUUGAUAUGAAAGCGGAAUCAUAUAUUUGAAUAGGAGAUCAUAGUGUUUUAAACAUUGCAUGCAUGAAUAUAGCGGUGAUACACGUGAUGUGCACAUGUUAUACCAUAAUGUGAUAAUGCAUGGCGUUUGCAACUCACAGCUAAAUGCCGAACAAUCUAAACCAUACUAUACAUCAAACAAUCUCACAUUUUAUUUGAAUUUGUGAUAAUGUGUGGCAUUUGUAGCUUACAACUAAAUAUCGAACAAUCUAAACAAUACUAUAUAUUGAACAUUCUCACAUUUUAUUUGAAUUUGUGGUAAUGUGUGGUGUUUGCAACUCACAUCUAAAUACUUGUAGGCGUAGGGGGCGGGGCACCAUACAUAAUGUGAUAAACACAUUAUACAUAUGAGACAUGGUUUAGAUUAUGAAGAUCUAGCUAGAGCUAUAAAUGUAAUGUGAUUUGAAAUCAAAAUAAAGUGGAUUCAAAAAAUCUAGUUCGAGUUCAUAUAGUACACAUAGUUCAUAUGUAACUCGAGACUAAUCAUGUGGUGUGCUGUGAAGAUAAUACACAAAUGAUGGUUUAACUUGACAAUAAUGAUGAUUGUAGAUCUUAUUAAAACAGAGAAACGAAUUCAAAUGCUUUGACUUCACAACAAUCAUUACGAUAGAUCUUAUUCAAAUAGAGAAACGAAUUCAAAUUUAGUUCAUAUUGAAGUGGUAGUAUAUACGUUUGGAAUGCACUAAAACAUUCAUUUGAGUAGUAGGUUGCAUGCAUUAUACACGUAGCGAAAUAUUUUAAUUGAACAUAUCAUGAAUUCAAAGUUUUGAAUGACAUUUGUAGUGCCCAUUGAUUUGGUACAGUACACGUUAGGCUUGUUCGGAAAUUUCAACCCGCGCCUUGUUAGCCCGAAAUAUUUAAGAUAUAUCUUUGUCUCGUUGUGCUCCGACAACUCCCUCCAUCUCAACCCGCGCCUUGCUAUUCCGAAAUUACAACGUGCGUGAAAACUCCCACCUCCUGUGAAAUCCCGACACGCGAAAUGCCCGUGGUACCCCUAAACCAAAAGAAUCGCCUCAAAUCGGUGGGGGUACUUACGUAACUUACCCCACAUUUCGAAGAAGCGCCUCCCUAAGCCAUGGUUCCCCACUGCCAUCCCAUCCGCCCACCCAUUCGUACACCGAGGUCGCGAAAACCUGUGACAAAACCCCACACCCUGCUCCGUCUGCCACCCAGCCGGAGCCUCUUCCCCGACGACGUCGUCCACAGAAACACCUCGACGUCCCUCAUCCACCAUACCAGAUGAUGAUCCGUUGUCGAUCUCAUCAUCCCGCCGGUUCAGCCACCCCGUCCUCCACCUCCAAGGAGCUGCCCCGAUGUUCCCCUCGUCUUUCGUGCCACCUCCAUUCCCACACAACCGUCUUCACCUGCACCACCGGAAGAGCAUCAUCAUCACCGUUUCCUUGGAUGAAGCUACGGCCUAAUCGGCGCCACCAAAGAGGUUGUACACUAAUCGCCGCAUUUUCUUCUUGAUUCGAUCUCACGAUGCUGCUGGCACUCGAUCCCGAGCCGACACGGUGCUGCUCCAUCCACGGCGGCGUCACUGGCCACUUCCUCCAUGGCAUCCCUCCCUCGGUGGCGAUGUCCACAUCAGUAGCAGCUGCUGCUGCUUUAGCUAUCGCUCGCGCUGCUGCUCUUCUCUUGCUCUCGGUCCCCUGUCUGGUCUGCUCUUGCUAUUGCUCUUGCUCGCGCUGCUGCUCUCGCUCUUGCUCUUGCUUGCGAUGCUGCUCUGAUUUUGCUACACUUCAGUCGACUGAAUCGACUUUUGGGUCAGUCGAUUUUUAGGGGGUGGGGGGCUUGCCGGAGUGAAGGAAGAACCAGCCGCAGCGGGGAGGUGGGCUCACCGGAGAGGUACCCCACUAUCUAUAUUAGGGUUCAGGAUGGGGACGGUGGUCACUGGCGGUGGCACGGUGUUGGCAGGACGGUGGCGUGGGGAUCGCCGGAGAAAAAGCUCGGCAUGGGGGGCCUAGAGGGAUGGCCGGGGCGGCGGCGGACCGGCGGUGAGGAGUGUUUUCGGGGCGGGUGGUGUGGUGCACCGCCGACCGCGGGCGGCGGGGGGCUGCUGUUUGGCCGGUGGUGGCUGGCGGCUCAGGGGGUGGAGGUUGAAGAUGAACCGCAGGCCCUUGAUUUCGUAUCCAACAGCUGCAAAAUUGACUGACCAGAGAUGAAAAAUUCAGUCGACCGACGUGUAGCCUCACCUUGCUACUGCGUUCAGUUUCGACAGCAAAAUUCAGUUUCGACAACAAAAUUCAGUUUCGACAGUUAAGUUCAGAGAUGAGCGGCUGAUGUAUUUUACAUCUAGCACUUUGUGGUUAUGUAUUUUACGCCAUGUAUUGGAGAUGCUAUUAGAAUUCCACUCAGGUUAACGUUGUUCGUUGUCUCUCUUGUCCUGCUUCAGCCUCGGCGUCGUACAACUCACCGGAGCUGCUCCAACGACGAAACCCUCCAUCACAAUGGAGCAGUACCUCGGGCUCCAUCUCCAGACGCCUAAGAUCUUCUUCCCCUCCUCCGACAGCAAAGUCAAUCGGAGCAUCCUCACUGGCCAAGCCAAUCACGCUGAGAUCGACAUGGCUUCACCAAAGAGGUUGUACACUUGUUGCAUCUCUUUUUUACUCUACAUGUUAUAUAUAUUGUCCACUGAGCACACAGAUUUGUUCCUUUAGUGUCUCCUUAAAAGAAAAGACGUAGGAAUUUUAGUUUUCACUUGCCCUCCUUAUCAAAUUCCUAUUCAUGAAGCACAAGACUAAGAGAUAGUAGCAUAAUAGCAUUAUAACCAUACAUUUUCUUGUGGUUUGACUUAAUCUCACCAUGCUUCUUUGCAUCCUGUGAUCUUCCAAUUGUUGUGAAUCAAACACCCAGAUUGGCAGAAAAAUCAUGUGUUUUUAAAUUCUCUGUUUUGCACGUGCAUUCCUAUCAUAUUCCUGUCUAUUUCCUAUCCCUGCAUUGUUGGAAUCCUCCAAUUCAAACGAGCCCUUACAGAAUUACUUCUCUUACAGAUAGUUGUCAAAGAAAACCUUGCGUGGUUUGUCCCGCUCCUACUGCGUCAUCGUCCACCCCAGCUCAGCUGCUCCAAUGACAGAAGGGUCCAGCACAACAGGGAUCCGGCCUCCAGACUGUCUUUCACCGCCUCAGAUCUUCUUCCCUGCCGCUGGCAGCCAUGAAAACUGCAUUACCAUCAUCAACCGAGCAGAUGACCUCAACGACUACACGGGUCCGCAAGAGAGGUCGCACUCUUUCGUGUCUACUUACGUUAUGCAUCGCUUAAUAUUACGUGCUACUUUAUCGUCAUGUUCACCGAUUAGACUCUGAGUCAGCUCCAAACUAAUGGUCAAACUUGAGUUUUUAAAUGGUUGUGGGGUACAUAUCGGGGCCGCUAUCAAUAGUAUCUAUCUACUAUCUGGUUAAUCUCCGGUGUCUACUAUGAGUUUCAUGUUGGGUGGGAAACAAACAGUAAAGAAGCCAUUAUCUGUAUUUAUUAACUGAAGCCAUUAUCUGCCUGCUAUUAUUGGUUUUGGGUCUAUCCACAGGUUGCUACCAUCACUCUGGAUUUCUGCAUGCACUCCUUACAUAAUCUCACUAUGUUUUAUUCCUAUGCAUGACAGUUAUUGUAAACAAUGGAACUAAACAUGUAGAGAAAAAGAGACGAUCCUUGCGUGGCAAUAAAAUUUCAUGCAGACAUCGCUCCAUGGUAGGCGCAAAGGCAGCCCCCCUCCAUGCAUUUCGGAUUGUAAUCAAGAGGAAGAUAUCUAUUCUUAGGGGGAUUCAGAAGGAGAAUACAACUCCUAUUUACCCCCUGGGGUCUUUGCUCUAACUUGGCAUGCUGAUGUUGGUUAUAUCAUGCAUAUGGUGUCUUGCAUUGCUUACUUUAUACAUCAAAUAUGUCAUCUGCUUAGUUUAGACAUCCUUUGUGCGAAUGCCAUCUGUUUAGUUUAUUCAUUGUUUAUGUGAAUUAUGCAAUGCCAUCUUGUUUAGCCAGGCAUCAUAUAUGUGAAUUUUGCAAUGCCAUCCUGCUUAGCCAGUCAUCUUAUAUGUAAAUUAUAUCAGGCCAUCCUUUUUUUUCGUUACAUAUUACAUUUGUCAACAAUGUUAGUACAUUCAACUGCUCUUCGUGUGCAUCAGCCAUUUGACACGGUGAUGGCAAAUUCUGGAGUGAAAACAAGGUCUUCAGAGCAGACUAUGCUAUCUGAUGAAGUGCAUAUCUUGCUGGUUACGGAUAGCUCCUCAAAGGAGGAUUUAGAGACAGAUGACCAGUCCUAUUCCCCCCCCCCUCCCCGAGGUGUGUGCUCUAACUUGGCAGGGUUAUGUUGCUCAUAUCGUGUGUAUGGUGUCUCGCAUUGCUAUGUCAUUUGAUUAGUUUAGACAUGCUUUGUGUGAAUGCCACUUGUUCAGUGUCUAAUUGCCAUAUAUGUGAAUUAUGCAUUUCCAUCUUGUUGCAAGACAUUAUAUAUGUGAAUUAUACAAUGCUAUCUUGUUGCAAAGGCAUUAUAUGUCAGGACCCCGACUCAAUGCCACAUCGAUCUAGCAUGUAACACCUCAUAUCACUUUGCGGCCUCACGCACGGUAUUCCCACGGGUGUCGCCUUACCUUUGCCCGGGACCGUUUGCGCCUUUUGGCACACGUAUAUGAUAGUGUCGCUAGCAUCCAUAUGAUAAGGAGCCCGGGCUGACAUGGCUAGUCGUAAACCCAAAGUGGCACAAACUUACAGGGACAGGCAUCCAUGACCCAGCAUCGAACAUGUCGGUCAUCAGCGAGUGAAUCCAGGCUGUAGCACUGGGCUAGCAGGACUCCUGUGAACCGGGCUGUAGCGGGCUAACAGGACUCCGGUAUUCAUCGCGUGACAUUUCCCCGAAGGGACAGACACAGGAACGAAGAAGGACACAUGCCGGCUAGCCUAAGUGUUCCGGAGCAGUAGCAAGCUACCAUGGCUCGGUGGAAACACUAGGAGACAUUUCCCGGUAAGAGAGGCUACUAAAGAUAAACAACUAGAUAGUCAGAUCCCACACAUACCAAGCAUUUCAAUAACAUACACACAAUAUGCUCGAUAUGUGCAAACACAACAUGGCAUCACAACAUGACUCUACGACUCGAGUAUUUAUUCAAUAGGCUCCGAGGAGCGAGAUAUUACAAACAUGAGUCUCAUGACCCAACAUUCAGAGCAUACAAAUCAAAGCACAAGCGGAAGCUCAACAUGUAUGAGUACAGACAUCUACAAAUGAAAAAGGCUGAGAAGCCUGACUAUCUACCAGAUCCUGCCGAGGGCACAAGAUCGUAGCUGAGGUAACAAGCUAAACGUCGAAGUCCACGUGGAACUACUAGUGAGACUGAAGUCUCUCUGCAAAAACAUAAAUUAAGCAACGUGAGUACAAAUGUACCCAGCAAGACUUACAUCAGAACUAACUACAUAUGCAUCAUUAUCAACAAAGGGGAUGGUGGGGUUUAACUGCAGCAAGCCAGCUUUGACUCGGUGGCUAUCCUAACUACGACUGCAAGCAACUCUUUUGAGGUGGCGCACACGAGUCCACAUAUUCGCCGUAUCAAUACACCACUAUGGAUCCGCUCUCGUCUCCCUACGAGAACGCCAUCCAUAGCACUCACGCUUAUCUUGCGUAUUUUAGAGUAUCCACUUUCACUUGUCUAUGAACUGAUAUAAGCAACCCAGAAGUCCUUUUCCGCGGACACGGCUAUUCGAAUAGAUGAUGUUAACCCUGCAGGGGUGUACUUCUUCACACACGCUCUCACCACUUACCUCAUUUACACAACAUGUACUCGGCAACCUUCAAGCGGAAGCCCAACGUGAGUGUCGGCCACGGCCUGCCUAAACACUCAAGUCUCUAGUCCAGGUUUAUUGCCUAUUCGGGUUCCAUCCAUGAGGAGAUCCGGCCGGAGUUUCGCUCAUAGCCCCAAAUGAUGUGAACAGGGUUCCCGAGACACCAAAUGGGCGCCCGGUACACCGUGCCACGUGCCUACCGCAUCACAGCCCACCCCUCCGGUCAGCGCUGCCCACGGCCUCCAGCAUACUACAAACACCAGAAACUACUUGCAACUCCUGGACAGAGGACAAGGGUGAUUAAGAAGCCGAGAGGGUCCAUUGGUUUCGGGCCCAAUGCAUGGUAGUAGCUGAAUCAUGGAUCACAAAUACAGAACUCAGUUUCUGAGGACGGCUGCAAUGAGACAACCCACCAUGUACUCCUACAUGGCCUCUCACCGCUACCUUUACCAAAUCGUGUUCACACGCUUAGCUCACACACUGUAGGACAUGUUCACACACCUCUGAUUCAUCCCGGAUGAAUCAGACCUGACACAACUCUAAGCAAUAGCAGGCAUGACAAACAAACAUGAAUGAGUAGGCACAACAGGGCUCAAACAACUCCUACUCAUGCUAGUGGGUUUCAUCUAUUUACUGUGGAAUGACAGGUCAUGCAAAGGAUAAAGGGGUUCAGCUACCGCAGCAAGUAACAGUUGAAUCGUUGUUGUCCUAAUGUAGUAAAAGAGAGCAGGGCGAGAGAGUAGGAUUGUAUCGGAAUGAACAAGGGGGUUUUGCUUGCCUGGCACUUCUGAAGAUAACAUUGAGUCUUCAUCAGUGUCAACGAUCACAUCAUCGGUACAGCGUCUACCGAGGGGGAACAACACCGGCAAACACAGAAGAAACACGAUCAAUGCAAUGCACAAUAUGAUGCAUGCUAUGACAUGGCAAUAUGAGUGUGUUUUGGGCUAAUGCACCUAGCUAUGAUUUAAAUGAAGUUGGUUUGAAUACAUGAUUCAAAUUCCAACUCCAUAUAUGGUUAUUUAAAUGCCCUUUAUUUGUUUUGUCCAAAACAGAGGACAAGCAUUGUUCAAACAUGCAUGAAAAUGGUACAGAUGGAUUCCUUGAAUUUUUCUGAUCAUUUUUCAUAUAUAACUUGUUUGAUUUGGAGCUACGGUUGAAUUACUAUGAAUUUUAGAAGUUUUAGGAAUUUUCUGGAAUUUCCUGAAUAUUUAGAAUUAAAAUAAUUCCAGAAAAUGCAUUACUGCGUCAGCACUACAUCAGCAUGACGUAAGCGAGUCAACGGGGUGCGGUCCAGGUCAAACCUGACCAGCGGGGUCCACUGGUCAGUGACACAACUAAUUAACCAAGUUAAUUAGCCUUAAGUUAAUUCUAACUAAACUGUUUGUGGGGCCGGGGCCCACUAGUCAGCGACUAAUCAGCUAACUAACCUAGGUUAAUUAGUGUUAAACUAAUACUAACUAAAAAUUUCAGGGGGUGGCCCACACGUCAGUGACACACGGGGGAAGGUCAAACCCGGGUCAACUCGCUGGAGUUGACCCGCGGCUCGUCGCCGGGGGAGCCAGAGACGGCGGAGGGGUGCGGGUUUCCUCCUCCGGCGACCAAAUGGCCGGCGAAGGGCGUCUACGUGACGCAGGCGCUCGUCCGCGUCGAGUAGUGGCAGCGGCUGGGCCUAAGAUGGCCGGAGUCGUCACCGGCAUCGACCGUGGCGGUCGCUGGAGCUCGGGCGAGCUCGGGGUCGACGCUACGGUGGCCGGGGAGGCUCGUGCGAGGCACCUACGUGCUCUAGGCAGUGCAGGGAGGAAGCUGAGCACGACAGUCGGGCCACUAGGUGGCCGGAGGCACGUCGGCGGCGGUCACAGGCGGCGGCGGGUUUCGGUCAUCGGCAAAACGGCGACUAGAACUAGCAAACGUCGCGGAGACAAAGGGAAAACGGUGUAGAAGCUCACGGGGAUUGUGUAGGGCUGGUCGGCGAGCUCGGGGAGGCUUCGGAGGUGGCGAGCGGGCACCAGCGAUCUCGGGCGGCCGGAGAUGGGGAAGAUGGCGUGGGCGGCGAUGCAGGGCGUCCGGCGGGGCAUGGGUUGGUGGAGAGGAAGAGGGGGUCAAGGCGGAGCCUUUGAGCGCAUCGGUGAGGCUGGGGGUGGCCGGUGGCCGCGGCGAACGGCGUCGGUGGCGACGGAGGCGCUCGGGCGGAAAGAACAGAGGAGGGGGAGAGCGUUCGGGGGAGAGAGAGGAACGUCCAGGGCGUCCAGGCGUCGCGCUGGCGUCAUCUAGGCGCGACGAGGGGGAGCCAGGCAGGCUAGGAGGGAGGAGGUGGCCAGGGCAAGCGCGCGCGGGGGCGACACGCCUCUGUCCUUCUGGCGAGGGAGGAAGACGACAGGGGGGGAAGCAGCGGUGGGCUGGGCCGCCAGCUGGAGUUGGGCCAGGUGGGCUGAGAGGUGAGCGCCAGGUAGUUCUUCUGCUCUUCCUAUUUCUGUUUUUUUUUAUUUUGUUCUGUGUUGUUUUAGUUUAGUAAAAUACUAAACCAUUUAUAAAAUCCUGAAAAUAGUUAUGUGGCUAGAACUAAAAUAUACCAAACCACAUAAAAUGUUCCAGUAUUAUUGGACAUAUAUUAUUUAUAUAUCAAAUAUAUAUCCAAUGCAAAUAGUUAUUGAACUAAUUCAAAGGCCCAAAAUAAAUGUUUCAGUCACUCCAAAAAUAUUGGUUUGCAUUUUAUUCUUGCCAAUAUUUUUCAAAGCUGAAAAGGAACAUUUCCUUGGAAACAUUUGAAGCAAUUUUUAAUGUUGAUCAUCAUAUUUUUUUAAAUGAUUUCUGAGGCUCUCCAAUUCCCCAAUUCAAAUUUAAAGAAAUUUAGACAUGAUGCAUGGAUGCAAUGCCACUAGUUACAAGCAAGCUCUAGGGCUGUGACAACUCACCCCCACUAAACAAGAAUCUCGACCCGAGAUUCAAGCGUAGGGUAAGACGAAGGUAAAACGCCAACUAACAUAAUCUUCACGAUCCAGGGUGCACUCCAUAAGAGUGUUGAUUUGAUCACCAUCAUUAUCUUGAUGUCAUGCUCCGAGAACUCCAACCGUCAUGACAACGAGAAGAGAAAGAAAACUCUAGAGGGAUCGAUCUUUUCGAAGGUCGAACAACUCAGGAUUAACUCUCGGAAUGAGGCAUAGCAACAUCUCUCGAGCUAGAGACGAAGCACACCUCUAGAGGGAUGGAGUGGAACAGAUGACGAGGGUUCACUAGGUAGACAACAAUUCCACACUUAAAAAGGUGGUGAACGAUUGUCAACGUAGCAAGGAGUUGAGUUGCCAUGAUACCACAACGAGGCACCUUAGGGAUGGUGACUCGUAGAUAUAUCCCCUUAAGUGGCAAAAAGAAUUACCUUUGAUUCAGAGAUCAUUGAAACUCUUUAAACCAGCCUAAGGCAAUUCUCGAGCGAUCGUUUGGAGGGGUCGGUAGAAUGGCAUACUCGGACUUGGAUGAUGUGGACUACCUUGUUGAAGACAACGCCAUGGAUGAUUUUUGCUUAUCACCGGAAAUGGAAGAGACCCAUGGUAGAAUGGCACAUUGGCAGUGCAAGCUGGGAACAAAAUGCAAAUGCUGGGAAUGAUUCUGGUAACUGGGGAAGAACCCAACAAUAGAGAGUGAAUUCACUGUUUGAAAAGGUCAUAGCAUUGCCGAGGAAACUUAGAGCACUAUACAGUUAAUGCCGACGAUCAAACCUAGCACUUGCGCAUGCUCUCAAGAACUUGAGCAUUUCCAUAAUCAUCAAGGUUUUACCAACAUCCGUGUCAAGGAUCCUGGCAACACAACUUGCUACCAUGAUGAAUGAUGAUGGAUGAUGCAGAUGCAAAGGAAGAUAACACUUUCUCAGAUUUCACCCUUGGCGAGGCCAAGGAAAUAAAAUCUGGAUGAUCGACCGAGAGACAUUUAGCACUCCGCUUCUAAUGUUCUCCUUGAUGUGCUAGCGUAAUCCACCCAUAGAUAUGGUUUGAUAUCUAGAACAUCAAGUAAAAGGUCGGACUUCGGGAUCUCAAAAAUCCAUAGGGGCAACUAGGGAGUAAAUCCUACGAAAUCCCUAUGGGGAGGUGGCCAACUUCUCCAAUCAAGAUACUACAAUAUUAGGUCUCCCGGCGGGGUGUGUUGGCCACGACAUCCACUUUACCGGUUUCCGAGGGACCGAUAUUAUAGUUCUUGGGAAAUGUUCCAAACCAUCAUAUCUGUCUGAGAUUCAGAUCUGGUUGGUGUCAGGAUAUUCCAGACUCAUCGAGGCUAGGAAGAAAAACGAAAGUUUGCAACACAAAUCGACAAGAUGACGUUGCGAGAUUCUCGGGGAAUGAACUACGAUAGUAAGCUCCAAAACAUGAGCUGGUUCUGCUACAAACAUGUGAACACGUUGUCCCAGACAAGCAUGGCCACGUAGUAGUCUUAUAAUUAAACACUACCGAGCUCAGGUGGGGAACCAUAAUCAAGGAUAUCGAAGUCUUUACGCAAGUCCAUGGAUUAGAUCCCAAGCAUAGACUUCUUUUCCUUGAACAAGUCAAUCAGUGGCUUAGUGUGCUAGGGACACAUAUAGAAUGAAGGUUGCAAGCCUCCAGACUACAGAAUACUUUGCACGUGUGCAUGACUGAUUUGGGAUGAUUCCAAAGGAAACAAAACAAUCUUCCUCGAAUUCAUGGCGGCAACUUACAUCAGAUGCACAUGAAUUAGAGGAAGUCACUACUUUCAUCCAAACAUAGGCUUCAUGAAUGGAGCACGAAGGCAUUGCUUACAAAAUUUUCAACACUAGGUUGAUGUUCAACAUGAUUCAUGGGGGGACACGAAAUGCUACUGAUGGGCUCAACAACAACUCAUCGGAAUUUCCAUAUCACUGGACUUCCACCAUCAUGUGAACACGGCGAUAGCAUUGGUCAGACCAAAGAUGUAAUGGUGUAUGCUCGAGGGAUCAACCACGGGUAAGACAACAUUACGAGCAUCGUUGGUACUGACUUGAUUUGACGAUAGCCCACACUCAAAUCAAAGGAUUGAUAAGACAAUAGGUCCAGCAACUGCUCACAGGGACCAAUCGAUGAAGAUAUCAUCUUUCUUCAACACACACUACACAAGAAUAUCCCUUUGGAACGAACUAAGUCAGGCAAGCUUUUAUCUUCCAACUCUCCAAGUUGUUGUCUAGUUUAACCAACUAGCUCAGGGAUAUCUAACACCGAUCUUGGAGAGAGGGUGGUUCACAAGAAACCAACUUGAUCAUGAGCUCAACAUAGCGGUCAGGUGACAACCUGGUAAUACUUCCGAGAAGAUCUUCGGAAAAUCACGAACCACCGGUAUGUUACUAAGCUUGAGAACAAUCUUGCUUUUCAGGGCAAGACGAUAUAAUCAAACAAGCAAGGAUUGACACUAUCCUAACUCAUUGGUUGAAAAGUGCACCAGGAAUAAGGACUAGGUAGCACGAUCAAUCUUAGAAGGAUGAUUCAAAAACCAACACGCUAAGAAUGAAAUUAUUAUCCUUUAACUACCAAGCAACGAGGUUGCUGGGAGUAUUGAUUUCACACAUCACAAUUCAUUUGUCGGCAUUCCGGUUACAAUAACACGAGGACCGAGGAAUGACUAAUGAUGGUGAGAAGUAUCACUACCAAGAGUUCAUAGGAUGGUGUGCAAUUCCUAUAACAAUCCCGAUAUAAAAGAUGGUAAUACUCCAAGGUAGAACAGAGCAAAAGCAAGAUUAGCAAUUUGAUCUGCGGAGUACGACUUCUUUGACCCAAUCCUGGAUAUGGAAGAGGUACUGGAGUUUGUUUCUCCUAGUCAUUCCGUGGUAGAAUGGCUUGACAGACCACAAGAGUAAUAGGCAUCGAUAAACGAAUGCAUGCAUACUCUUGACUAUCAAUUGAUAGACGAAGGUCAGUAGACAACUAAAGAGGGACAACUCAAAGGAACAUAUAACUUUCUGAGUUGUGGAUGCAUAGAUUAGUAUGUCGAACCAGGUUCAACAGGUUUCUUCCGGAUAACCCAUGCAGAAAGGUUGAGCUGGCAGAGUCACAAUAUAGCAUGGAGAACUCAUCGAGAGCACUCUUGUUGUCAUCUUUUGGUUCAGAAGAACUCCUGCCAAGAAUGGUUCAUGGUAAUUGGAAGAAGGAUGUACCACGAACCUCGAGGACUAUCGCAAAGGUUACUAAUAUCCUAAAGGAACUAGCAACACUAUCAACAUGAUGUAAGUAGGGUGAAUCUCGGGUUCAAGAACCCAGGAAUAGAAUGCCUACUAACUAAAUGGCAUCACGGGAUGCUUUCGAUAAUGACAGCCAGAAUCAUCACACUGGAAACACAGAUCAUGGCUAGACCACUAGAUGAUCCUCUAAGCACUUAGGGUCAUAAUAGGAACUCCAACAUAUAUGUCAAGGCAAUAAAUUACCUCAACGCACCGGUUAGUGUGCUUAUUCUGACCAUAAGGGACAUCGGGAACGGAAAGAAAGGAUUUGCAAAUGCAUCAGACUAUUUAGAAACCUGGAAUGACUCGGACAGCAUAACGGCUGUAAAUGCUUAGAAAAGAUUUGAGACAUUCACAAAAAUGGUGGCAUAACCACUCAGAAGCACAAUAUCAAGGUUUCGAGAUCAUCAGUAACAUACAGAAGUAGUAGGAGCUGAACUGAGACUUAAAUCCAACAAUCUUAUAAGUCUACUGAUUAGUAACACGUGAUCCUGAUAGAAAGAGGAGAUAGCCUAGUUCCUUAACCCUGCAGGAAAGAUAAGAUGACUCAGAUCAGAAGGCAUAAGGUAUAAGGAGUAAAAAGAGCCUUACGUUACAUCCCACAAUCAAUUCCCUUAUAUAACUAAAGAAUUUCUAGACUCAACUUCGACCAGUUUGGCUUGGUAAUCCUACAGGCAGUCAAGCUCUGAUACCAACGCUGUCAGGACCCCGACUCAAUGCCACAUCGAUCUAGCAUGUAACACCUCAUAUCACUUUGCGGCCUCACGCACGGUAUUCCCACGGGUGUCGCCCUACCUUUGCCCGGGACCGUUUGCGCCUUUUGGCACACGUAUAUGAUAGUGUCGCUAGCAUCCAUAUGAUAAGGAGCCCGGGCUGACAUGGCUAGUCGUAAACCCAAAGUGGCACAAACUUACAGGGACAGGCAUCCAUGACCCAGCAUCGAACAUGUCGGUCAUCAGCGAGUGAAUCCAGGCUGUAGCACUGGGCUAGCAGGACUCCGGUGAACCGGGCUGUAGCGGGCUAACAGGACUCCGGUAUUCAUCGCGUGACAUUUCCCCGAAGGGACAGACACAGGAACGAAGAAGGACACAUGCCGGCCAGCCUAAGUGUUCCGGAGCAGUAGCAAGCUACCAUGGCUCGGUGGAAACACUAGGAGACAUUUCCCGGUAAGAGAGGCUACUAAAGAUAAACAACUAGAUAGUCAGAUCCCACACAUACCAAGCAUUUCAAUAACCUACACACAAUAUGCUCGAUAUGUGCAAACACAACAUGGCAUCACAACAUGACUCUACGACUCAAGUAUUUAUUCAAUAGGCUCCGAGGAGCGAGAUAUUACAAACAUGAGUCUCAUGACCCAACAUUCGGAGCAUACAAAUCAAAGCACAAGCGGAAGCUCAACAUGUCUGAGUACAGACAUCUACAAAUGAAAAAGGCUGAGAAGCCUGACUAUCUACCAGAUCCUGCCGAGGGCACAAGAUCGUAGCUGAGGUAACAAGCUAAACAUCGAAGUCCACGUGGAACUACUAGUGAGACUGAAGUCUCUCUGCAAAAACAUAAAUUAAGCAACGUGAGUACAAAUGUACCCAGCAAGACUUACAUCAGAACUAACUACAUAUGCAUCAUUAUCAACAAAGGGGAUGGUGGGGUUUAACUGCAGCAAGCCAGCUUUGACUCGGUGGCUAUCCUAACUACGACUUCAAGCAACUCUUUUGAGGUGGCGCACACGAGUCCACAUAUUCACCAUAUCAAUACGCCACUAUGGAUCCGCUCUCGUCUCCCUACGAGAACGCCAUCCAUAGCACUCACGCUUAUCUUGCGUAUUUUAGAAUAUCCACUUUCACUUGUCUAUGAACUGAUAUAAGCAACCCAGAAGUCCUUUUCCGCGGACACGGCUAUUCGAAUAGAUGAUGUUAACCCUGCAGGGGUGUACUUCUUCACACACGCUCUCACCACUUACCGCCGUUUACACGACAUGUACUCGGCAACCUUCAAGCGGAAGCCCAACGUGGGUGUCGGCCACGGCCUGCCUAAACACUCAAGUCUCUAGUCCAGGUUUAUUGCCUAUUCGGGUUCCAUCCAUGAGGAGAUCCGGCCGGAGUUUCGCUCACAGCACCAAAUGAUGUGAACAGGGUUCCCGAGACACCAAACGGGCGCUCGGUACACCGUGCCACGUGCCUACCGCAUCACAGCCCACCCCUCCGGUCAGCGCUGCCCACGGCCUCCAGCAUACUACAAACACCAGAAACUACUUGCAACUCCUGGACAGAGGACAAGGGUGAUUAAGAAGCCGAGAGGGUCCAUUGGUUUCGGGCCCAAUGUGUGGUAGUAGCUGAAUCAUGGAUCACAAAUACAGAACUCAGUUUCUGAGGACGGCUGCAAUGAGACAACCCACCAUGUACUCCUACAUGGCCUCUCACCGCUACCUUUACCAAAUCGUGUUCACACGCUUAGCUCACACACUGUAGGACAUGUUCACACACCUCUGAUUCAUCCCGGAUGAAUCAGACCUGACACAACUCUAAGCAAUAGCAGGCAUGACAAACAAACAUGAAUGAGUAGGCACAAUAGGGCUCAAACAACUCCUACUCAUGCUAGUGGGUUUCAUCUAUUUACUGUGGAAUGACAAGUCAUGCAAAGGAUAAAGGGGUUCAGCUACCGCAGCAAGUAACAGUUGAAUCGUUGUUGUCCUAAUGCAGUAAAAGAGAGCAGGGCGAGAGAGUAGGAUUGUAUCGGAAUGAACAAGGGGGUUUUGCUUGCCUGGCACUUCUGAAGAUAACAUUGAGUCUUCAUCAGUGUCAACGAUCACAUCAUUGGUACAGCGUCUACCGAGGGGGAAUAACACCAGCAAACACAGAAGAAACACGAUCAAUGCAAUGCACAAUAUGAUGCAUGCUAUGGCAUGGCAAUAUGAAUGUGUUUUGGGCUAAUGCACCUAGCUAUGAUUUAAAUGAAGUUGGUUUGAAUACAUGAUUCAAAUUCCAACUCCAUAUAUGGUUAUUUAAAUGCCCUUUAUUUGUUUUGUCCAAAACAGAGGACAAACAAUGUUCAAACAUGCAUGAAAAUGGUACAGAUGGAUUCCUUGAAUUUUUUUGAUCAUUUUUCAUAUAUAACUUGUUUGAUUUGGAGCUACGGUUGAAUUACUAUGAAUUUUAGAAGUUUUAGGCAUUUUCUGGAAUUUCCUGAAUAUUUAGAAUUAAAAUAAUUCCAGAAAAUGCAUUACUGCGUCAGCACUACGUCAGCAUGACGUAAGCGAGUCAACGGGGUGCGAUCCAGGUCAAACCUGACCAGCGGGGUCCACUGGUCAGUGACACAACUAAUUAACCAAGUUAAUUAGCCUUAAGUUAAUUCUAACUAAACUGUUUGUGGGGCCGGGGCCCACUAGUCAGCGACUAAUCAGCUAACUAACCUAGGUUAAUUAGUGUUAAACUAAUACUAACUAAAAAUGUCAGGGGGUGGCCCACACGUCAGUGACACACGGGGAAAGGUCAAACCCGGGUCAACUCGCCGGAGUUGACCCGCGGCUCGUUGCCGGCGGAGCCAGAGACGGUGGAGGGGUGCGGGUUUCCUCCUCCGGCGACCAAAUGGCCGGCGGAGGGCGUCUACGUGACGCAGGCGCUCGUCCGCGUCGAGUAGUGGCAGCGGCUGGGCCUAAGAUGGCCGGAGUCGUCACCAGCAUCGACCGUGGCGGUCACCGGAGCUCGGGCGAGCUCGGGGUCGAUGCUACGGUGGCCGGGGAGGCUCGUGCGAGGCACCUACGUGCUCUAGGUAGCGCGGGGAGGAAGUUGAGCACGACAGCCGGGCCACUAGGUGGCCGGAGGCACGUCGGCGGCGGUCACAGGCGGCGGCGGGUUUCGGUCAUCGGCAAAACGGCGACUAGAACUAGCAAACAUCGCGGAGACAAAGGGAAAACGGUGUAGAAGCUCACGGGGAUCGUGUAGGGCUGGUCGGCGAGCUCGGGGAGGCUUCGGAGGUGGCGAACGGGCACCGGCGAUCUCGGGCGGCCGGAGAUGGGGAAGAUGGCGUGGGCGGCGAUGCAGGGCGUCCGGCGGGGCAUGGGUUGGUGGAGAGGAAGAGGGGGUCGAGGCGGAGCCUUUGAGCGCAUCGGCGAGGCUAGGGGUGGCCGGUGGCCGCGGCGAACGGCGUCGGUGGCGACGGAGGCACUCGGGCGGAAAGAACAGAGGAGGGGGAGAGCGUUCGGGGGAGAGAGAGGAAGGUCCAGGGCGUCCAGGCGUCGCGCUGGCGUCGUCUAGGCGCGACGAGGGGGAGCCAGGCAGGCUAGGAGGGAGGAGGUGGCCGGGGCAAGCGCGCGCGCGGGCGACACGCCUCUGUCCUUCUGGCGAGGGAGGAAGACGACAGGGGGGGAAGCGGUGGUGGGCUGGGCCACCAGCUGGAGUUGGGCCAGGUGGGCUGAGAGGUGAGCGCCAGGUAGUUCUUCUGCUCUUCCUAUUUCUGUUUUUUUAUUUUGUUCUGUGUUGUUUUAGUUUAGUAAAAUACUAAACCAUUUUAUAAAAUCCUGAAAAUAGUUAUGUGGAUAGAACUAAAAUAUACCAAACCACAUAAAAUGUUCUAGUAUUAUUGGACAUAUAUUAUUUAUAUAUCAAAUAUAUAUCCAAUUCAAAUUGUUAUUGAAUUAAUUCAAAGGCCCAAAAUAAAUGUUUCAGUCACUCCAAAAAUAUUGGUUUGCAUUUUAUUCUUGCCAAUAUUUUUCAAAGCUGAAAAGGAACAUUUCCUUGGAAACAUUUGAAGCAAUUUUUAAUGCUGAUCAUCAUAUUUUUUUAAAUGAUUUCUGAGGCUCUCCAAUUCCCAAAUUCAAAUUUAAAGAAAUUUAGACAUGAUGCAUGGAUGCAAUGCCACUAGUUACAAGCAAGCUCUAGGGCUGUGACAUUAUAUAUGUGAAUUAUGCAAUGCCAUGUUGUUUAGCCAAUCAUCAUGUAUGUGAAUUAUAUCAUGUUAUCAUUUUUUUGUAUUACAUGUUCCAUUUGUCGACAAUGUUUGUAUAUUCAACUACUCUUCCUGUGCGUCAGCCAUUUGAAGCGGUGGUGGAAGUAUCUGGAGUGAAAACAAGGUAUUCAGAGCAGACAAUGCUACCUGCUGAAGCAGACAUCUUGCUGGUUACAGAGAGCUCCUCAGAGGAGGAUUUAGAGACUGAUGACCAGUCCUAUUUCCCCCCUGAGGUCUAUGCUCAAACUUGGCAGGGUUAUAUUACCCAUGUCAUGCAUGUUGUCUUGCAUUGCUUAGUUUUUACAUCAUAUAUGGAUUGACAUCUGCUUACUUGCUUACUAUAUAAAUCAUAUAUUGGAAUUAUAUCAUGCCAUCAUGUUUACAUAGUACAUACACAUCAUCUAUCUGAAUUAUGGCAUGGCAACCCAUUUAAUAAAGACAUCAUAUAGUUAUAUCACCUCAUCAUGUUUAGUGUUUACAGUCAUCAUAUUUUGAAUUAUGGCAUUCUAUCCGUGAAUAUAUGUGAAUUAUGGCAUGCCAACCUAUUUAAUAAACACAUUAUAUAGUUAUGUCAUGUCAUCAUGUUUACACAGUCUCAUAUUUUGAACUAUGUCUUUCCAUCUUUUUUAGUUAGCCAUCAUAAUGUGAAAUUGUGUCAUGCUAUCCUGUUUAGUUAGCCAUCAUAUAUGUGAAAUUGUGUCAUGCUAUCCUAUUUGGUUAGACAACAUAAAUAUGAAUUAUUUCAUGCCCUCUUUUAUUCCCCACUAUCCAUUGCUCCUGUCUAUCAUACAAUGCCUAUACUUUCAAUUACUUUUCUUGUUUAUCAGCCAUUUGAAUUGGAGAGUGUGAUGGCAGUAUCUAAGGGAGUAACAACACGGUCUUCAGAAAAGAUAGUGCUACCAGUUGAUGCAAAUAGAACCACGGUUGUACUUGCCCAAGGACCAGAUGCACUACACAUAACCCAGACUCUCGCAGAUUGUACCCCUAGUCAGUUGGACAAAGAACCAGCUACACCCCUUCUAACCCCAACCCCGGCAGAUAGUAACCCAGUUCCAGUUGACACAGCACCGUCUCCACCACAGAGCACCCAAACACGAGCUGUUAGUAAGGGAACUGCAGUGCCCAAAGCACGAGGACCACCACUCCGAAUCCCAACUCAACGCUUAAAGGAGAAGAAGAUUUCUUCUUAGGUCAGGUUCUAUAGUUAUGGUUCAUACUCCUUUGCUCUUGCAUUACUGUAUUUACUCAUACCAACUAUUUUCAAAUUUGAAGGAUGGAAUUGAAACUCUAAUGGUGCAACAGGUAUGUUUUAAACCUGUUUCUUUAACUGGUUUGCUAUUGUAACCUGCUCUAUGUUCAUUUCAGUUUCAAUUGAAUAAACAGUUAUGUUCUCAUGUCAUGCAUAUUACAAGUGUUGUUAUUGCUCUAUAGUUACCAACACUUAUAUUCUGUCUAUUCUGCUUUGUCUUGAACAAAUAUUAUUUGAACUGUGUCUCUAUCUUGAUUUGGCAACAAAAACUAGAAUGAUAUAGACCAUAAAGUGACCAUGGUACAUAGAUAUAUGUUUGUUUCAUGCUUUUAUCCUGUCCACUUUACUACUGAACUCAUUUACCAAAAUGAGUUUCAUAUACAACUUGGUAAACAUGUGAUGUGUCUGCUUGUUUCUCUUUUAGAAUGUGGACAAAAUAUUGGAGAACAGUACCAUGUUAUCCAAUGGUAAAGGAAGUAAUGCAGAUAAGGUUCAAGAUAGUGAGACAUCUCUGUUGGUCUCCAAGAAAGCUGAUAAAAACUAUCUUGAUGAUAGUGAGGGAACCCAAAAGUCCUUUCUUGAUGUAGUGUUCGAGUUACUGGCCACUACUGCUGGCGCAAGCUCUUCGAACUCAUUGCCUGAAUCAGUUCGUCUUCUUGAGUCUCAACUUCAAGUUGAAAGACAUUGAUCAGAUGUGCUGCGACAUGAAGCUGAAGGACUGAGGAAGUCCCUGCAGAAUUCAGAUGCAUAUUUUCUGGUGCAACAGCAAGCGCUGGAGGAUUUAAGCGCCAAACAAGAGAAAGUUAAUAAGCUUGCUAACCAUCUUGCCAACAUUAUGGGUACCCAGGAUAUUGUUUCUUGAGAUCUUCUGAAGUGGUUUCAGUUCUGGAUUUGUUUUGUUGCGGCGUUUAUUUGCGCUGGUCGCCAACUUUGACAACUAGUGUAUAUGAUAUGUUGCUUUGUUCCCUAUAUUUGCACUAGUGGCGAACUUUGAUGCCCAAUGGAUGUAAUAUGUGUAAUAGCCGUGAUAGCCUAGCUCUAGUUACUUGCUUAUUUAUUUCCUUGUUGUCUUGUUUAUUUGUUUGCUUGUAGUCAUUGCAGUUCUUUUUCCGCGGUUAGCUAGUGGCUGUAAUAACCUAUUUUUUAAAACUAGGCCACAAUAACCAUGGGCUAAUAUUUACUGUAGUGACACUGGGCCUCCUAGUGGCCGUAGAAACAGUGGGCCUUCUACGGGCCGUAGAAACAAUGGGCCUUAUAUGGGCCAUAGAAACAAUGGGCCUUCUGCGGGCCGUAUCAUCAAUGGGCCUUAUACGGGCCGUAUGAUCGAUUAGCCAAACAUGGGCUAAACAGACCGCAUUAUGGAUGUAAACGGGCUAGAGUUGGAAUCAUCCGUUCAUGGGACGACCAUAAUGGGCCAUCGUUAAUAGGUCGUAUUUGAUGACGCUAUGAAAACGGCCCAACGUAUUAACGGACCACAAACGGGCCGACUGUAACCACGGGCUGAAUUUGACCCACAAGCAGAAAAUGACAGUAACAGGCCGUAAGUAAAUGAAUGCUGGAAAUGAGCCCAAGAAUAAAUGGGCUCUGAGAAGGCCGAAAGAUAACAUGGGCUGGAAACGGCCCAACAGAAUAACGGGCCGUUAAUGGGUAUAAAGUGAUACACUGUUCAUUACGGGCCAGUUUCACCACGGGCCGUUAAUGGGUGUAAAGUGAUACACUGUUCAUUACGGGCCAGUUUCACCACGGGUCGUUAAUAGGCCAAGAGUUAGAUAGGGCCUCAUAUGGGCCGAAAGACGUCAUGGGCCAUACAUGCGCCAGAAGGGAAAACGGGCUGGAAUCAUGUUGGAUGGCCCAAAUGACGCUACUGGGCCUAAAUCGGAUGGGGCGUAACGGGCCUUGGGUUAGCGGGCUGUAAAUGGGCUAUAUGCGAACCGGCCGUUAACAGGCUUUCCAUGGGCCGGCCCGCCACCUUUUGACCAAGUCAAACGGGCCGGCCUUUUCACAGGAAUGGGCCUCUGUUGGGCCGUGCCACGUGUCGACGUAUCAUAGGCGCCUUCCAUCCAAUGAGUGGAUGACAUCUGUCCCAACGAUGAGUCGACACGUGUUUCCUCCAGCCAAUGAUGAUUUUACACAUGGAAAAUCCCCAUUGGUCGGGGCUGUUAACGGGUUAUCGGAUCCAAAACCUGACCCGAUAGCUUAACGGCGUUCCGUUAUAGUGGAUGCCACGUGUCGGUCACCCUUGACGAAAGCACUUCUGUGACGCGCGAUUUAUCGUCAUGGAAGUGGACACUUCCGUGAUGAUAAUUCUGGUAAUGUCAUGGAACACUUCUACGACAGCAUAGGUAUGACUAUCUUGAUUAUGUCAUAAAAUAGUCAUGGAUGUACAUGCAUGACAAAAAACGCGACCUACUGUGACAAACACGUAUCAUCACGGAAGUGUAUUUUUUUGUAGUGAGUGCUCUAUUUCAUCAAAACACACAUUGCUCAUAUGAUAAACCGUGACAACUUAUGUCUUACCAUGCCAUAUUCAUGAAAAACUAGUGAGGACGCAUUUGUUUCGGCAACAAUUACGAUGGUUCUCACAUGAUUCACGGGCACACAAAAGUAGCAGCAGUUCCCAUAGACGGAUUCAAACAGAGUACUAGCCCCAGAGGGGUCGAUAACAUGCAAGGUUCAGAUAAUUAGACACAAUCCAAACUACUAUUAAACACUAGCUGGGGCAACUAUUUCAUGCCUCGAUCUAAUUUGGGCUGGACACAAGACGGACCUUGCCAUGAACAUCAUCGAAGAUGUCCCGUAGCAGCUCAAUCCUAUGAACCUUCAUGAAGACAACCUUGUGCCGUUGCCACUGAUAAACUUGUUUGUGGAGGCAUGCCACAUCAUCUUCAUGCGUAAGCUUGACAAGAACAGUAUCCCUCACAAAUGAAGGAGUAGCUUUGAACUUCUUGUGCUUCAGUACACCCUGGAAAACACGCCUGACAAUAGUGAGGCUGGAAUACAACUCUUCAUUGGUAUAACCGCAAAUGGCUUCCAGGAUCCAACAGCCUAAGAACUCUGUUUUCUCAGUGCGUAUAUUCAGGUCAUCCGCCUCAUAGCGAGUGACAUGUACAACCACACAAUCCUUGUCUGCAUCAGGGCUCUAAUUGAAACAGAAACAAAUUCUGAAUUACGUUUUAGUAUAAGAAACACAAGUUAUUUAAACCACUAUGUAUAGCAUGGCAUCGAAGCUAAUAAAAUUUUGCAUUAUUAAUCACCACAUACUUAGAUGAAAACCCACAAUCGAGAUCGGCAAAGAAGAAAAUCACCUUGGGUAGCUCAGCGGGGGGGACACAUCCUCGAAGGGGGAAAACUGCUCCUGCAGUGCCACGGGGGUUGUAACCUCAAACGGGGCGUUGACCAUCUCAGUAGUGGCCGUGAGCGUAUCUGGGGCUGGCUCGAUGGCUGCCUCCAUCUUCUUGGAGCUCUCUGUCUCGUGGGGAUCAACCUCAUGCGUCUGCUCCAAUAUCGGCAGAUCUUUGCCUAGUUCUCCUUGGUCCAUCAUGAAACUGACGAAUACUAGGAGACCACUGAAAGGAAAACACAAUCACAAUGACAAUGAAACAAAAAUGAGAGUGAGGAUCGGUUACUGCUUUGCAAAAGUUCUUUUUUUCCUCUGAACGAAAAUAUACCAACAUCACGGAUCCGCUUACCUUCCCUUCGUUGGGAGAAAAGAACAGUGGCAAAUGCGAGUGUUGCCUUUCUUGAAGACGGUGAGGGAGAAGGGGAUUCCGCGAAGAGUGAAAUGAUGGUUGCUUUGUCCGUCAAACUUAGACUGCGGGGAGGUGGGGUUUUGUGAUACGACGGCUCGUUACUGCCGCGCUAGGACCGGGGUGACUCUCUGCCUGCAUACUGCCUUCUAAUUUGGUGGAUGGCAUUUCGACCCGCGCGCUGCAUGGUCGGCAUGUCGGUAACCAAAAGUAUAAGUACAUUCAAUAGAGGGAGACGUUUCAAUGACCUAGGAGUAACCAGAAGCGGUAGAGUGUCUCCAGUGUACUAGUAGUAAUUGUUUUUCUGGGUAGUAUACUAGUAGUAGUUGUUUCUCUGGGCCCAAGACAAAACAGCCCAUCCACACUAGUAAAUAGUAAACUCAAUUCAAAAGCCCAUAUAUUUACUGAAUGAGAAGCGCUACCCACACCCAGCACACCGCUCCCGCAAAAAACCUGGGUGCUCUUCUUCCUCCUCACUCCCACCCACCUCAUGUCAACUCGCUCCACUCGUACCCCCAAAUUCCUCACCUCACUCCUACAGAAAACCCCAGCUCCCCUUCUUCCUCACUCCUACAGAAAACCCCUAGCUCCCCUUCUUCUUCGCUCGCACUACAACUAGGCUCGUCAUUCAUUACUCUUCUCAAAUCCGUGAGCGCGAUGCGAUGCCCUCGAGGAAAAUUGAGUCGGCUGACCCCAGCGCCAAGAAGAUGAGGCUCCUGCCAGCGAUGAAACCUGUUGUAGAUCCCGCACCCAGCAGUGCAGGGAGAAGCAGCGACCCUACCCCCAUCGGAUCCCAGGAAACCGUAGAAUCUCGGGUGGACCACAUCAGCGAUCUCCCGGACGCCGUCCUUGGGGAGAUCAUCUCGCUUCUCCCCACCAACGAUUGCUGCCACAUCCAAGUCCUCUCAAUUCGGUGGCGCCCUCUAUGGCGCGCCGUGCCCCUUAAUCUCGACUAUCGUCAGCUAUCUCUCUUCAAUGAUUUUGAAAUCCCCAGAGCCAUCAUCUCCUCCCACCAGGGCUCCGUUCAAAGCCUCUGCAUCCCGUCAUGCUACCUGAGCAAGCAUACCAUGCCCUGCACGGCAGAUGCCUGCUUGAAAUCCCCUGAAUUCACAGAACUACAGCUGCUUGAGUUCUACUAUUCCCAUGGAAAUCACAUACCACAUACUGAACGCCAUGAACUUGUGCCCUCAGCACCGAUGUCCAUCUCGCGGUUUUCCUCCUCUCUCCACACCGCCACCUUUGCGCUGUGCUACCUACCAUACAAUCUGGUACUAAACCUUCGACUCCCAUUUCUCAAGAAAUUUUCACUUGUGCGGGUUUGUAUAUCGGAGGCAUCAUUGCACAGCAUCAUCCACUCCAGCUGCCCUGCGCUGGAGUGCUUGGUGCUUGUUUUCACAGUUAGAAUCGGUUGUCUCCAAAUAAAGUCGCCUAACCUUGUAAGAAUUGGAAUUUCUUUUGACGGAAGGCAGCUCAUCAUCCAAGACGCCCCUUCACUUCAAAGGUUGAUCCUUGAUUCUAGUUAUUCACUGUUGCAAAUAACCGUCCUCUCUGUGUCUAAACUCGAGACCUUGGGUGUAAUACAUGAUCUCUGUGCUCAUUUCAAUAUGGUGUUUAGCUCCAUAGUUCUUCAGGUACUUUAUAUUAUCAUCUACACUUGUAACCAUAAGCUGCAUUUUAAAUUUCAGCGCAUAAGUUAUAUAUCAUCUUGGAGUACACAUUUUUCUACUAAUAUUAUGUUCUAUGCUCAAUGAAGAGUUUCUCCAUGUAUGGCCUAUCAAUGGUGCUGGAUUCUGUCAAGAUCUUAUAUAUCCAAAUGAAUAGUUUUGAUCUGAACAAGAUUAUUGGCUUGCUGCAAUGCUUUCCAUGUCUGGAGAAGUUGUAUAUAAAGGUGAUAAUUCCACGCACAUUGGAAGCCCGCAUAUAGUGUACUAGAAUUAACCGUUCAGCUGUUGCUCUUUCGACACUCUUCUUUUAGACCUUAACUAUUUUCAAUCUUCAUGUCUAUUUAGGCAACAGGAUGGCGUAAGAAAGUUAUAACCAAUCGGUGGAUUCAUAAGCAUCAGGAUUUUCUCACUUCUCAUGAAAUUCGAUUGAAGACAAUAACGCUAGAACGAUAUGUAGCCAACCGUGCAAACACUAGAUUUGUCACAUUCUUCCUGCUGAAUGCGAGGUUACUAUUGUCCAUCAGGCUUAAGUUUAUUAGCAGCAUGGUUUUGAAGGAUGGGUAUGUCGAAGAGCAAAAAAAGGAGUUUCAGGUGGGCAAAAGAGCUUCUGAACGUGCAGGGCUUCUAUUUACAACAUAUUGUGGUCAUAAUCCAGUAAAUUUUACGACCCAGGAUGUUCAUUCUAUGGACCUGACCGAUCCAUUUGACUGUGACUGCCAAAAACAGUGCUGGAGUUAGAUGUUGUUGCCCUUUUCAACCUGGGUUUUUUUGUAAACCUGAUGAACAAUUAACCCUCGUGCUUUUGUACAGUUUGUACGCUGGAGUUAGAUGUUCCUGCCCUUUUCAACUCGGUUGUGACUGUCAUAUUUUCUUUGAAACAAGGCAAAUGGCCUGCCAUUCGUUUAAUUUAGAGUGAAAUAUUGUAACAAAUCCCAACCAAGGGAAAUAACAUCACUCUCGCCAGCUGCUUGAGCUCACUGUGCAUUACAGAAGCCAAGUGAUUACCCCCACCAGCUCCCACAAAUUUAUUUUGAACUAGCACAUCAAAUGGGAUGUAAAUUUUCAUAGGAAAGGCUGCAUGACCGUGACGGAUUUGGAUUCUGACAUUUGGGACCCGCGAGGAAAUAGCCUAUCCAAGGUGGUGUCGACUUACUAGCCAGUCAACAAACGAUUCUGCCUACCAGCCGUUGGAUUGACAUCCAACAUCUGUCGUGUAUCUUCUAUCUCUUGUCUUCUUCUUUCUCCAGCCACCCAAACCAAACCACCCCGUCGGCUUCGUCUGCUCCCGCCUCCCAUGGCUAGCUGCGCCUCCGCCGCCCUACCGUACGUACCCUCCAAUGUUGGCCAGUCCCUCCCUCUAUUCCCUCAGACAUCCUGUUAUUCUCCGGUGACGUCAGCCCCAGCAGCACCCGCGUUCGAACCAGUCAACCCUCGUACUCCCCUCCGCCUGCGACUGGACCGGUGCAUCUUCCAUGGCUCCUGUUUGUUCCGUCCGAGGCCUCGCCAUCGUCCUCCGCCUUGCGGCCUUGGUUCACUCGCCGUGCGCGGUGCGCCGCACUCUUGCAUUGUCAACAUCGUCAACAACCGAGAGGAACAAGGAGAUGACUAUACGUGUAGAGGAUGACAGUAGGGACCCACCAGCGUCAUGGCAGUACGCAAGCAAGUGCCUCUAUAUUACAAGCCCAAAAUAUGGUUCCUCCUAAUGGUUGGACAUCUGGGGCUCACGUCAUUGUCAAUGUAGUCAAUAAACGAGAGAAUUACACUACGAGCGGCUGACACCAGGGACCCAGCAGGUCACGCAGUUUUCUUUUUUGAGAAACAAGUAGUUGUUAUUUAUACUAGUUUUAGUGACGGAUCAGGGUAACAACGGGGCUGUGCAGGGGCUGUGGCCUGUCUAGCCAGGGUUUUAUUUAUGUUUACCACAUCAUGAGCCCAGUUGUGUUUUUUUCUUGCUGAAAAUGGCUAGCCCAGUUCUAUUUUUUUUAAAGAAAUACCCAAACAAGGCCUACUUGCUUUAUCGGCCCUGCUGGGCUGCAAAUCUUUCAAGACGAGGAGAGUUUCAUUCGGUUUGCCCAGAAAUGGGUUGUACAUUUUUAAAACACAUCAAACCGGGAAUUAGUUUCAAUUUUUUUUCAUUACAAGAUUUUAAAUUCCAUUGAUUUUUAUGCAUGGACAAUUAUUUGGAUUUAUAUUUAUAUAAAUUAUUUUUCAAAAUAGUUUGAAUGUGAAUCGAUAUUUCUGGAUUAAAAAUAGUUGACCGCACCGAAAUAUGUAAAAUUUCGUAUUCUUUUUAACCGUGGCCACAAUAUGGGGUGUAAUGCUAACAAAAAGAAGAUGGGAUCCAAAAAAAUUCUUAAGAAUUAGCAAAUGGUGUCAGGACCCCGACUCAAUGCCACAUCGAUCUAGCAUGUAACACCUCGUAUCACUUUGCGGCCUCACGCACGGUAUUCCCACGGGUGUCGCCUUACCUUUGCCCGGGACCGUUUGCGCCUUUUGGCACACGUAUAUGACAGUGUCGCUAGCAUCCAUAUGAUAAGGAGCCCGGGCUGACAUGGCUAGUCGUAAACCCAAAGUGGCACAAACUUACAGGGACAGGCAUCCAUGACCCAGCAUCGAACGUGUCGGUCAUCAGCGAGUGAAUCCAGGCUGUAGCACUGGGCUAGCAGGACUCCGGUGAACCGGGCUGUAGCGGGCUAACAGGACUCCGGUAUUCAUCGCGUGACAUUUCCCCGAAGGGACAGACACAGGAACGAAGAAGGACACAUGCCGGCCAGCCUAAGUGUUCCAGAGCAGUAGCAAGCUACCAUGGCUCAGUGGAAGCACUAGGAGACAUUUCCCGGUAAGAGAGGCUACUAAGGAUAAACAACUAGAUAGCCAGAUCCCACACAUACCAAGCAUUUCAAUAACAUACACACAAUAUGCUCGAUAUGUGCAAAUACAACAUGGCAUCACAACAUGACUCUACGACUCAAAUAUUUAUUCAUUAGGCUCCGAGGAGCGGGAUAUUACAAACAUGGGUCUCAUGACCCAACAUUCAGAGCAUACAAGUCAAAGCACAAGCGGAAGCUAUCAUGUCUGAGUACAGACAUCUAUAAAUGAAAAAGGCUGAAAGCCUGACUAUCUACCAGAUCCUGCCGAGGGCACAAGAUCGUAGCGGAGGUAACAAGCUAAACGUCGAAGACCACGCGGAGUUACUAGUGAGACUGAAGUCUCUCUGCAAAAACAUAAAAUAGGCAAACGUGAGUACAAAUGUACCCAGCAAGACUUACAUCAGAACUAACUACAUAUGCAUCAUUAUCAACAAGGGGAUGGUGGGGUUUAACUGCAGCAAGCCAGCUUUGACUCGGUGGCUAACCUGAACUACGACUGCAAUGUAACUCUUUUGAGGUGGCACACACGAGUCCACAUAUUCACCAUAUCAAUACACCACUAGGGAUCCGCUCCCGUCUCCCUACGAGAACGCCAUCCAUAGCACUCACGCUUAUCUUGCGUAUUUUAGAGUAUCCACUUUCACUUGUCUAUGAACUGAUAUAAGCAACCCAGAAGUCCUUUACCGCGGACACGGCUAUUCGAAUAGAUGAUGUUAACCCUGCAGGGGUGUACUUCUUCAUACAUGUUUCCACCACUUAGCGUCUGCACACGACAUGUGCUCGGCAGACUUCAAGCGAAAGCCGACGUGGGUGUAGACCACGUCCUACCUAAACACUCAAGUCUCUAGUCCAGGUUUAUCGCCUAUUCGGGUUCCAUCCAUGAGGAGAUCCGGCCGGAGUUUCGCUCACAGCCCCAAACGAUGUGAACAGGGUUCCCAAGACACCAAACGGGCGCCCGGUACACCGUGCCACGUGCCUACCACAUCACAGCCCACCCCUCCAGUCAGCGCUGCCCACGGCCUCAAGCAUACUACAAACACCAGAAACUACUUGCAACUCCUGGACAGAGGACAAGGGUGAAUAAGAAGUCGAGCGGGGUCAUAUUUCAGGGCCCAAUGUAUGGUAGUAGCUGAAUCAUGGAUCACAAACACAGAGCUCAGUUCCUGAGGACGGCUUCAAUGAGACAACCCACCAUGUACUCCUACAUGGCCUCUCACCGACACCUUUUACCAAAUCGUGUUCACACACUUAGCUCACACAAAGUAGGACAUGUUCACACUCCUCUGAUUCAUCCCCGAUGAAUCAGACCUGACUCAACUCUAAGCAGUAGCAGGCAUGACAAACAAACAUGAAUGAGUAGGCACAACAGGGCUCAAACAACUCCUACUCAUGCUAGUGGGUUUCAUCUAUUUAUUGUGGAAUGACAGGUCAUGCAAAGGAUAAAGGGGUUCAGCUACCGCAGCAAGUAACAGAUGAAUCGUUGUUGUCCUAAUGCAGUAAAAGAGAGCAGGAGCGAGAGAGUAGGAUUGUAUCGGAAUGAACAAGGGGGUUUUGCUUGCCUGGCACUUUUGAAGAUAACAUUGAGUCUUCAUCAGUGUCAACGAUCACAACGUCGGAACAUCGUCUACCGGGAGGGAACAGAUACCGGCAACAAAGAAGAAAUACAAUCAAUGCAAUGCACAAUAUGAUGCAUGCUCAUGACAUGGCAAUAUGAAUGUGUUUUGAGCUAAUGCAACUAGCAAUAGAUUAAAUGAAGUUGGUUUGAAUACAAGAUUCAAAUUCAAACUCCAUAUGUGAUUAUUCAAAUGCCAUUUAAUUGAUUUGUGCUAAACAGCAGCUAUAAAUUGUUCUAACAUGCAUGAAAAUGGUACAGAUGGAUUCCUUGAAUUUUUCUGAUAAUUUUUCAUAUAUAAAUUAUUUAAUUUGGAGCUACGGUUGAAUUUCUAUGAUUUUUAGAAGUUUAUACAAUUCUCUGGAAUUUCCUGAAUUAAAUUAAAUCCAGAAAACCUAUUACUACGUCAGCAUGACUUCACGGUGACGUCAGCAAGUCAACGGGCGUUGUCCAGGUCAAAUCUGACCUGUGGGACCCAUAUGUCAGUGUAAUUAGUCUAACUAAUUUUUAGUUAACACUAAUCCUAACCUAAUUAACAGGCCGGCCCCACCUGUCAUGGACACAGGAGGGGUCCCGCCGUGGCCAAAAUGGGUCAAACCCACCGGCGGCUUGACGCCGGCGAGGCCAGCCGUGGUGGCGAGCCUCGGGUUUUGCCCACAGGGCUCAGUUUGGCGUGCGGAGCACAGCUUCGGGAUGCGGACGCUCGUCCGCAUCCAACUGUGGUGGUGGCGCGGCCGGGGAGUGGCCGGAGUGGUGCCGGCGAUGAGCUCGGCGGCGGCCGAAGCUCGGGUGUUUAGUGGGGAUGGGGCUGCGGUGCGCAAACGAGCGCGGCGAGGUGCCACGAAGGCUCUACGCGAUGCGGGGAGCGCGUUGGGCGCAUGCCCGGGACCAAAUGGUCACCGGAGCUACGCCGACGUUGAGCUCAGGCGGCGGCACGUUUCUGCCAUAAAGGGGGCGACGGCUACGGCGAUCAAAUGAAGCGGGGAAGAGGGGGAAAGGGUGGAGGAGCUCACAGCGAUCACGAAGAGGGGCUCGGCUUGCUCGGGAACGGCCGGAGUUCUACGAAUUUGGGCGACGGCGACCGGCGGGUCCGAGGUAGGAGAUGAGCCCGGAGAGGAUGUUCGGGGCUUCUGGAGGGGCGUAGCUCGGUGGAGGAGGAGGAGGGGGUCGAGGCGGAGCCUUUGAGCGCAUCGGCGAGGCUAGGGGUGGCCGGUGGCCACGGGUACGGCGACGAUGACGGCGAGCUCCGCUCGGUGGUGUGCGCGAGAGGGGAGCAGAGGAGGGGAUGGGGUCCAGGGGGAGAGAGGAGAGGUGCAGGGGGCGAGGGGGAGUGCGUGGCACUCGCAGGCGCGUCGGGGCGGCGGUGGGAAGCAGGAGGUGGACGGGGCGCGUAGCCGCGCGCGCCGGGCGCGUGCCCGUCCUCCUGGCAGGGAGGAAGACGACAGGGGAGGCCCAGAUGGGCUGGGCCGCACAGGAGCUGGGCCGGCUGGGCUACCAGGUGAGCGCCAGGUAAGAUUUCUCUCCUCUCUGCUUUUCCUAUUUCUGUUGUUUUUUUUAAUAUUGUUGUGUGUUGUUUUAGUUUAGUAAAAUACUAAACCAUUUUAUAAAAUCCUGAAAAUAGUUAUGUGGCUAGAACUAAAAUAUACCAAACCACAUAAAAUGUUCCAGUAUUAUUGGACAUAUAUUAUUUAUAUAUCAAAUAUAUAUCCAAUGCAAAUAGUUAUUGAAUUAAUUCAAAGGCCCAAAAUAAAUGUUUCAGUCACUCCAAAAAUAUUGGUUUGCAUUUUAUUCUUGCCAAUAUUUUUCAAAGCUGAAAAGGAACAUUUCCUUGGAAACAUUUGAAACAAUUUUUUUAAUGUUGAUCAUCUUUUUUUUAAAUGAUUUCUGAGGCUCUCCAAUUCCCCAAUUCAAAUUUAAAGAAAUUUAGACAUGAUGCAUGGAUGCAAUGCCACUAGUUACAAGCAAGCUCUAGGGCUGUGACUACUCACCCCCACUAAACAAAAAUCUUGUCCCGAGAUUCAAGCGUAGGGGAAGGUGAAGGGGGAACGCAAACUAGCACAAUCUUCACGAUCCAGUUGCACUUCAAAUGAACGUUGAUUCGUUCACCAUCAUUAUCUUGAUGUCUUGUUCCAAGAACUCCAACCAACAUGACAACGAGAGGAGAAAGGAACUCUACGGAAUCGAUCUUCUCAAAGAUCGAACAACUCGGGAUCAACUCACAGAAUAAAACAUAGCAACAUCUCUCGAGCUGAGAGAUGAAGCACACAUCCAUAGGAAUGGAGUGAAGCAGAUGACGAAGGUUCACUAGGUAGACAACAAUUCUACCCUUAAGAGGGUGGUGAAUGGUUGUCAUCAUAGCGAGGAGUUGAGUUGCCAUGAUACCACGACGAAACAUCCUGGAGGAGGGUGAUUCGUAGAUUAUUACCUUAAGUGGAAAAAAGAAUUACCUUUGAUUCAGAGAUCAUUGAGACUCUAUAUCAACCUAAGGCAAAUCACAGCAAUCGAUUGGCGGGGUGCAAAGGAAUGGUACACCCGGACUAGAAUGGAUGAUGUGGACUACCAUGUUGAAGACAACGCAAUGGAGGAUUUUUGCUUACCACCGGAAAUGGAAGAGACCCGUGGUAGAAUGGCAUAUUGGCGGUGCAAGCUGGGAACAAAAUGCAAAUGCUGGGAAUGAUUCUGGUAACUGGGGAAGAACCCAACAAUAGAGAGUGAAUUCACUGUUUGAAAAGGUCAUAGCAUUGCCGAGGAAACUGAGAGCACUAUAUAGUUAAUGACGACGAUCAAACCUAGCACUUGCGCGUGCUCUCAAGAACUUGAGCAUUUCCAUAAUCAUCAAGAUUUUACCAACAUCCGUGUCAAGGAUCCUGGCAACACAACAUACUACCAUGAUGGCUAAUGAUGGAUGAUGCAGAUGCAAAGGAAGAUAACACCUUCUCAGAUUUCACCUUAGCGAGGCCAAGGAAACAAAAUCUGGAUGAUCGACCGAGAGACAUUUAGCACUCCGCUUCUAAUGUUCUCCUUGAUGUGCUAGCGUAAUCCACCCAUAGAUAUGGUUUGAUAUCUAGAACAUCAAGUAAAGGUCGGACUUCGGGAUCUCAAAAAUCCAUAAGGAACAACUAGGGAGUAAAUCCUACGAAAUCCCUAUGGGGAGGUGGCCAACUUCCUCAAUCAAGAUAUUAUAAUAACAGGUCUUCCGGCUGGGUGUGUUGGCCACGACAUCCACUUUACCGGUUUCCGAGGGACCGAUAUUACAGUUCUUGGGAAAUGUUCCAAACCAUCAUAUCUGCCUGAGAUUCAGAUCUGGUUGGUGUCAGGAUAUUCCAGACUCAUCGAGUCUAGGAAGAAAAACAAAAGUUUGCAACACAAAUCGACGAGAUAAUGUUGCGGGAUUCUCGGGGAGUGAGCUACGGUAGCAAGCUCCAAAACAUGAGCUGGUUCUGCUACAACAUGUGAACAUGUUGUCCCAGACAAGCAUGACCACACAGUAGUCUUAUAAUAAAACACUACCGAGUUCAGGAGGGAAACCAUCAUCGAGGAUAUCGAAGUUUUGUACAAAUCCGUCUGGUACCUUCGGGACUAGCACUUAGAACUUAUUAACCUUGAACAAAUCAAUCAGUGGCUUGGUGUGCUAGGGACACAUAUAGAAUGGAGGUUGCAAGUCUCCGAACCACAGAAUACUUCGCACAUAUGCAUGACCGAUUUAGGAUGAUUCCAAAGGAAACAACAUUGACUUUCUCGAAUCCACGGCGGCAACUUGCAUCAAAUGCACAUGAACUGGAGGUAGUCACUUCUUACAUCCGAACAUAUGCUUCAUGAACUAGAAUGAAGAAAAUGCCUUCAAAAGUUUCCAACACUAGGUUGAUGUUCAACAUGAUUCAUGGGGGGAGACAAAACGCUACUGAUGGGCUCAACAACAACUCAUCGGAAUUUCCAUAUCACUGGACUUCCACCAUCAUGCGAACACGGUGAUAGCAUUGGUCAGACCAAGGAUGUAAUGGUGUAUGCUCGAGGGAUCAACCACGAGUAAGACAACAUUACGAGCAUCGUUGGUACUGAUUUGAUUUGAGGAUAGCCCAUACCCAAAUCAAAGGUUGGAUAAGACAAUAGGUCCAGCAACUGAUCAUAGGGACCAAUCGACGAAGAUAUCAUCUUUCUUCAACACACACUACACAAGAAUAUCCCUUUGGAACGAACUAAGUCAGGCAAGAUUUUAUCUUCCAACUCUCCAAGUUGUUGUCUAGCUUAACCAACUAGCUCAGGGAUAUCUAACACCAAUUCUUGGAGAGAAGGUGGUUCAUAAUAAACCAACUUGAUCACGAGCUCAACACAGCGGUCAGGUGACAACCUGGUAAUACUUCUGAGAAGAUCUUCGGAAAAUCACGAACCACCGGUAUGUUACUAAGCUCGAGAACAAUCUUGCUUUCCAGGGCAAGACGAUAUGAUCAAAUAAGCAAGGAUUUGAAUAAUCCUAACUCAUUGAUCGAAGAGUGCACCGGAAAUAAGGACUAGGUAGCACGAACAGUCUUAGAAUGAUGAUUCAAGAACCAACACGCUAAGAAUGAAAUUAUUGUCCUUUAACUACCAAGCAACAAGGUUGCUAGGAGUAUUGAUUUCACACAUCACUAUUCACUUGUCGACAUUCCGGUUACAAUAACACAGGAACCGAGGAAUGAACAAUGAUGGCAAGAAGUAUCAUUGUACCAAGAGGUCAUAGGGUGGUGUGCAAUUGCUAUAACAUUCCCAAUAUAAGGAUGGUAAUACUCCAAGGUAGAGCAGAACAAAAGCUGGAUUGGCAUUUUGAUCUGCGGAGUACAAUUGUUUUGACCCAAUCCUAGAUAUGGAAGAGGUACUGGAGUUUGUUUCUCCUAGUCAUUCCGCGAUAGAAUGGCUUGACGGACCACAAGAGUAAUAGGCAUCGAUAAACGAAUGCAUAUAUACUCUUGACUAUCAAUUGAUAAACGAGGGUCAGAAGACAACUAAAGAGGGACAACUCAAAGGAACAUACAAUUUUCUGAGUUGUGGAUGCAUGGUUUAGUAUGCCGAACAAAUUCAGCAUAUUUCUUCCGGAUAAGCCAUGCAGAGAGGUAGGACUGGCAGAGUCACAAUUUAUGAAUGGAGAACUCCUCAAGAGUACUCUAAUUGUGAUCUAUUGAUCCAAUAAACAUCUGCCAGAAUGGUUCAUAGUAUUUGGAAGAACGAAAAUACCAUGGACCUCGAGGACUAAUGCAAAAGUUACUAAUAACCUAAGGGAGCUAGCAAUUACUAUCAACAUGAAGUAAGUAGGGUGAAUCUCGGUUCGAAAACCCAGAAGUGAAAUGCCUACUAACUAAGUGGCAUCACGGGAUGCUUUCGAGAAUGAUGGCCAGAAUCAUCACACUGGAAACAUAGAUCAUGGCUAGACCACUAGAUGAUCCCCUAAGCACUUAGGGUCAUAAUUAUUAACUCCAACAUAUAUGUCGAGGCAAUAAGGUACCUCAACUCACUAAUUUGUGUGAUUAACCUGACCAAAAGGACAUCGGGAACGGGAGGAAGGGAUUUGCAAAUGCAUCCGACUAUUUAGAAACCUGGGAUGACUCGGACAGCAUAACGGCUGUAAAUGCUCAGAAAAGAUUUGAGACAUUCACAAAAAUGGUGGCAUAACCACUCAGAAGCACAAUAUCAAGGUUUCGAGAUCAACAGUUAACAUACAGAAGUUGUAGGAACUGAACUCAAGCUUAAAACCAACAAUCUUAUAAGUCUACGGAUUAGUAACACGUGAUCCUGAUAGAAAGAAGAGAUAGCCUAGUUCUUAAUCCCCGUAGGAAAGAUAAGAUGACUCAGAUCAGAAGGGCAUGAGGUAUAAGGAGUAAAAAGAGCCUUACGUUCCAUCCCAUAAUCAAUUCCCUUAUAUAACUAAAGAAUUUCUAGACUCAACUUCGACCAGUUUGGCUUGGUAAUCCUACAGGCAGUCAAGCUCUGAUACCAACGCUGUCAGGACCCCGACUCAAUGCCACAUCGAUCUAGCAUGUAACACCUCGUAUCACUUUGCGGCCUCACGCACGGUAUUCCCACGGGUGUCGCCUUACCUUUGCCCGGGACCGUUUGCGCCUUUUGGCACACGUAUAUGACAGUGUCGCUAGCAUCCAUAUGAUAAGGAGCCCGGGCUGACAUGGCUCGUCGUAAACCCAAAGUGGCACAAACUUACAGGGACAGGCAUCCAUGACCCAGCAUCGAACGUGUCGGUCAUCAGCGAGUGAAUCCAGGCUGUAGCACUGGGCCAGCAGGACUCCGGUGAACCGGGCUGUAGCGGGCUAACAGGACUCUGGUAUUCAUCGCGUGACAUUUCCCCGAAGGGACAGACACAGGAACGAAGGACACAUGCCGGCCAGCCUAAGUGUUCCGGAGCAGUAGCAAGCUACCAUGGCUCAGUGGAAGCACUAGGAGACAUUUCCCGGUAAGAGAGGCUACUAAGGAUAAACAACUAGAUAGCCAGAUCCCACACAUACCAAGCAUUUCAAUAACAUACACACAAUAUGCUCGAUAUGUGCAAAUACAACAUGGCAUCACAACAUGACUCUACGACUCAAAUAUUUAUUCAUUAGGCUCCGAGGAGCGGGAUAUUACAAACAUGGGUCUCACGACCCAACAUUCAGAGCAUACAAGUCAAAGCACAAGCGGAAGCUAUCAUGUCUGAGUACAGACAUCUAUAAAUGAAAAAGGCUGAAAGCCUAACUAUCUACUAGAUCCUGCCGAGGGCACAAGAUCGUAGCUGAGGUAACAAGCUAAACGUCGAAGACCACGCGGAAUUACUAGUGAGACUGAAGUCUCUCUGCAAAAACAUAAAAUAGGCAAACGUGAGUACAAAUGUACCCAGCAAGACUUACAUCAGAACUAACUACAUAUGCAUCAUUAUCAACAAGGGGAUGGUGGGGUUUAACUGCAGCAAGCCAGCUUUGACUCGGUGGCUAACCUGAACUACGACUGCAAUGUAACUCUUUUGAGGUGGCACACACGAGUCCACAUAUUCACCAUAUCAAUACACCACUAUGGAUCCGCUCCCGUCUCCCUACGAGAACGCCAUCCAUAGCACUCACGCUUAUCUUGCGUAUUUUAGAGUAUCCACUUUCCAUUGUCUAUGAACUGAUAUAAGCAACCCAGAAGUCCUUUACCGCGGACACGGCUAUUCGAAUAGAUGAUGUUAACCCUGCAGGGGUGUACUUCUUCAUACAUGUUUCCACCACUUAGCGUCUGCACACGACAUGUGCUUGGCAGACUUCAAGCGAAAGCCGACGUGGGUGUAGACCACAACCUACCUAAACACUCAAGUCUCUAGUCCAGGUUUAUCGCCUAUUCGGGUUCCAUCCAUGAGGAGAUCCGGCCGGAGUUUCGCUCACAGCCCCAAACGAUGUGAACAAGGUUCCCGAGACACCAAACGGGCGCCCGGUACACCGUGCCACGUGCCUACCGCAUCACAGCCCACCCCUCCGGUCAGCGCUUCCCACGGCCUCCAGCAUACUACAAACACCAGAAACUACUUGCAACUCCUGGACAGAGGACAAGGGUGAAUAAGAAGUCGAGCGGGGUCAUAUUUCAGGGCCUAAUGUAUGGUAGUAGCUGAAUCAUGGAUCACAAACACAGAGCUCAGUUCCUGAGGACGGCUUCAAUGAGACAACCCACCAUGUACUCCUACAUGGCCUCUCACCGACACCUUUUACCAAAUCGUGUUCACACACUUAGCUCACACAGUAGGACAUGUUCACACUCCUCUGAUUCAUCCCCGAUGAAUCAGACCUGACUCAACUCUAAGCAGUAGCAGGCAUGACAAACAAACAUGAAUGAGUAGGCACAACAGGGCUCAAACAACUCCUACUCAUGCUAGUGGGUUUCAUCUAUUUAUUGUGGAAUGACAGGUCAUGCAAAGGAUAAAGGGGUUCAGCUACCGCAGCAAGUAACAGAUGAAUCGUUGUUGUCCUAAUGCAGUAAAAGAGAGCAGGAGCGAGAGAGUAGGAUUGUAUCGGAAUGAACAAGGGGGUUUUGCUUGCCUGGCACUUUUGAAGAUAACAUUGAGUCUUCAUCAGUGUCAACGAUCACAACGUCAGAACAUCGUCUACCGGGAGGGAACAGAUACCGGCAACAAAGAAGAAAUACAAUCAAUGCAAUGCACAAUAUGAUGCAUGCUCAUGACAUGGCAAUAUGAAUGUGUUUUGAGCUAAUGCAACUAGCAAUAGAUUAAAUGAAGUUGGUUUGAAUACAAGAUUCAAAUUCAAACUCCAUAUGUGAUUAUUCAAAUGCCAUUUAAUUGAUUUGUGCUAAACAGCAGCUAUAAAUUGUUCUAACAUGCAUGAAAAUGGUACAGAUGGAUUCCUUGAAUUUUUCUGAUAAUUUUUCAUAUAUAAAUUAUUUAAUUUAGAGUUACGGUUGAAUUUCUAUGAUUUUUAGAAGUUUAUACAAUUCUCUGGAAUUUCCUGAAUUAAAUUAAAUCCAGAAAACCUAUUACUACGUCAGCAUGACUUCACGGUGACGUCAGCAAGUCAACGGGCGUUGUCCAGGUCAAAUCUGACCUGUGGGACCCAUAUGUCAGUGUAAUUAGUCUAACUAAUUUUUAGUUAACACUAAUCCUAACCUAAUUAACAGGCCGGCCCCACCUGUCAUGGACACAGGGGGGGUCCCGCCGUGGCCAAAAUGGGUCAAACCCACCGGCGGCUUGACGCUGGCGAGGCCAGCCGCGGUGGCGAGCCUCGGGUUUUGCCCACAGGGCUCGGUUUGGCGUGCGGAGCACAGCUUCGGGAUGCGGACGCUCGUCCGCAUCCAACUGUGGUGGUGGCACGGCCGGGGAGUGGCCGGAGUGGUGCCGGCGACGAGCUCGGCGGCGGCCGAAGCUCGGGUGCAAGUGGGGAUGUGGCUGCGGUGCGCAAACGAGCGUGGCGAGGUGCCACGGAGGCUCUACGCGAUGCGGGGAGCGCGUUGGGCGCAUGCCCGGGACCAAAUGGUCACCGGAGCUAUGCCGACGUUGAGCUCAGGCGGCGGUGCGUUUCGGCCAUAAAGGGGGCGACGGCUACGGCGAUCAAAUGAAGCGGGGAAGAGGGGGAAAGGGUGGAGGAGCUCACAGCGAUCACGAAGAGGGGCUCGGCUUGCUCGGGAACGGCCGGAGUUCCACGAAUUUGGGUGACGGCGACCGGCGGGUUCGAGGUAGGAGAUGAGCCCGGAGAGGAUGUUCGGGGCUUCUGGAGGGGCAUGGCUCGGUGGAGGAGGAGGAGGGGGUCGAGGCGGAGCCUUUGAGCGCAUCGGCGAGGCUAGGGGUGGCCGGUGGCCACGGGUACGGCGACGAUGACGGCGAGCUCCGCUCGGUGGUGUGCGCGAGAGGGGAGCAGAGGAGGGGAUGGGGUCUAGGGGGAGAGAGGAAAGGUGCAGGGGGCGAGGGGGAGUGCGUGGCACUCGCAGACGCGUCGGGGCGGCGGUGGGAAGCAGGAGGUGGCCGGGGCGCGUGGCCGCGCGCGCCGGGCGCGUGCCCGUCUUCCUGGCAGGGAGGAAGACGACAGGGGAGGCCCAGAUGGUCUGGGCCGCACAGGAGCUGGGCCGGCUGGGCUACCAGGUGAGCGCCAGGUAAGAUUUCUCUCCUCUCUGCUUUUCCUAUUUAUGUUUUUUUUAAUAUUGUUCUGUGUUGUUUUAGUUUAGUAAAAUACUAAACCAUUUUUUAAAAUCCUGAAAAUAGUUAUGUGGCUAGAACUAAAAUAUACCAAACCAAAUAAAAUGUUCCAGUAUUAUUGGACAUAUAUUAUUUAUAUAUCAAAUAUAUAUCCAAUGCAAAUAGUUAUUGAAUUAAUUCGAAGGCCCAAAAUAAAUGUUUCAGUCACUCCAAAAAUAUUGGUUUGCAUUUUAUUCUUGCCAAUAUUUUUCAAAGCUGAAAAGGAACAUUUCCUUGGAAACAUUUGAAACAAUUUUUUUAAUGUUGAUCAUCUUUUUUUAAAUGAUUUCUGAGGCUCUCCAAUUCCCCAAUUCAAAUUUAACGAAAUUUAGACAUGAUGCAUGGAUGCAAUGCCACUAGUUACAAGGAAGCUCUAGGGCUGUGACAAAUGGGCUGUACAUUAUUAGAAAUAAUGGUAGAUUGGUUGUAUGCUAUUUUCCAUAGAUUUGAGGUUGACUUGUGCGCCUACUAUAGGUUGACGCGUAUGCUUUCAUAAAAAAAAGGUUGACGCACAUGCAACGCCCUGUCAACUUAGUCAACACACGAGAGCAGUGACUGUUAGAUGUCCAUCCAACGGCUGUCGUGCUUCUUCAAUCUCUGCUCUUCAUGCUCCAGCCGCUCAAACAAGUGCCGGUGGGACUACCUGCUCCUUCCUCCCGCGGCCGGCUAUGCUGCCGCGCAGGUAUCACGGCCCCAUCGUACUCCCAUCGCUGGCCUAGCCAUCCCUCUACUCGCCCACGCAUGUUGUUAUUCUCCGGGGAUGGCAGCCGAACCAGUAAGCCCUGGUACUCCUCCACGUGGGAAACAACUGCCGAGUAUUCCCUGGCUCCGUGUCAUUCCCUUCCUAGGCCUCGCCGUCGUCCACCGCCCUGGUGCUCUCGGCACGGCCUGGUCAACGUGGUCAAUGAACGACAUCCAUCGGAAGUGGACUGUACGUGGAGAGGCUGACAACUGGGUCCACGACCACACGCAAGGAAAUGCCUCCUCAUUACACGCAAAAUAAUGAUUCCUCCACCUGACAGCUAGGACCCACAGGAAGGGCCUCUGUAUUUCACGAAAAUAAACGUUCCCCCCACGGACAGGUCAGACCCACCAGCUAUAUCUUCGCAUGCAAGGAAGUGCCUCCUUAUUAUGCCCAAAAAAAAUCAAUACCACCCUGCUAGCUAGGACCCAACAUAUUGUUGGGCUGACUUGUGGGCCUACUAAGUUGACGGGGAUGGAGGGCUUUGUCAACUUAGUCAAUACUACAGUGACCGUAUGAUGUCCAUCCAACGGCCAUAGUGCUUCUUCAACCUCUGGUCUUCUUGCUCCAGCCGCCCAAAGUAGCGUCGAUCGUGCCGCCUGCUCCUGCCUCCCGUGGCUGGUUGUGCUACCGCGGAGGCCCCAUCGCCCCCAUACUACUCCCACCACUGGCCAGGCCAUCCCUCCACUCACCCACACCCCUGUUAUUCUACGGCGACGGCGGCCUCACACCGCAGCCGAACCAGUGAAUGCUCGUACUCCUCUCCGCGUGUGCAUCCACUACCGCGUCUUCCCCGGCUCCGUGUCAUCCCCUUCCUAGGCCUCGCCAUCGUCCACCGCUCACUAUGGCGUGGUCAAUGUGGUCAAAGACCGAUUUCCAUCGGAAGAGUACUGUACGUGGAGAGGCUGACAGCUGUGUCCACAGCAGCCGCAAGGAAGUGCCUCCUUAUUAUGCGGAAAAUAAUUAUUCCUCCACCUGACAGCAGGGACCCACCGGGCGGGCCACCAGUAUUUUGUGAAAAAAAUGUUUCCCCCUCACUGUUGGGACCCACCGGACGGGCCACUGUAUUUCGCAAAAAAAAUGUUCCCCCCGUUGUCAGCUUGGACCCACCGGAAGUGCCUCCUUAUUACGCACAAAAAAAUGAAUACUCCCCCAGCUAGCUGGGACCCACCUUGGUGGGAGGCUGACUUGUGGGCCUACUAAAUUGACGGGGACAAAGGGCUUUGUCAACUUAGUCAAUAUGAACGAUUCUAGCUCCAAUGACCGUACGAUGUCCAUCCAACGGCCGUAGUGCUUCUUCAACCUCUGGUCUUCUUGCUCCAGCCGCCCAAAGCAGCGCCGAUCAUGCCGCAUGCUCCUACCUCCCAUGGUCGGUUAUGCUGCCGCGGAGGCCUCACCGCCCCCUACUAUUCCCACCACUGGCCAGGCCCUGUGGCGAUGGCAGCCUCAUACCGCAGCCGAACCAGUGAACCCUCGUACUCCUCUCCACGCGGGCUUCCACAGCCGCGUCUUUCCUGGCUCCACGUCGUCCCCUUCCUAGGGCUCGCCGUCGUCCACCGCCGUGGUGCUCUCCGCGCGGCGUGGUCAACAUGGUCAAGGAACGACUUCCAUCAGAAGAGUACUAUACAUGGAGAGGCUGACACCUGGGUCCACGGCCACAACCCAGCUUUUUUGUGAUUUGCCAAGUAAGUCGCUUUGUCAGGCCUGUUGGGCUGCAAAUCUUUCAAGACGAGGAGAGCUUUCGUUCGGCUGGCCGAGAAAAUGGCCCAUCAGUAAUGAGAAAUGGGCUGUACAUUUUUAAAACACAUCAAACCGGCAAUUAGUUUCAAAUAUCUUUUUUUCAUUUUGAGAUUUUAAAUUACAUUAAUUUUAAUGCGUGGAGAAUUUGUUAGAUUUUAUAUUGAUAUACAUUUAUUUUUUAAAUCAGUUUGAAUGUGAGUCGAAAUUUCGGGAUUAAAAACAGUUCGGACCGCACCGAAAUAUGCAAAAUUUCGUAUAAUUUUUUAACCGUGGCCACAAUAUGGGAUGUAAUGCUAACAAAAAGAAUAUGGGCUCCAAAAAAACCUUAAGAAUUAGCAAAUGGGCUAUAAAUUAUUAGAAAUAAUGGCAGAUGGGUUGUAUGCUGUUUUCCACAGAUUUGAGGCUUUCCUAAAAAAAGGUUGACGCACAAGCAGUGACUGUUGGAUGUCCAUCCAACGGCCGUCGUGCUUCUUCAAUCUCUGCUCUUCCUACUCCAGCCGCUCAAACAAGUGCCGGCGGGACUGCCUGCUCCCUCCUCCCCACGGCCGGCUGUGCUGCCGCGCAGGCCUUACCGCCCCACCGUACUCCCAUCGCUGGCCUAGCCAUCCCUCUACUCACCCACACCUGAUGUUAUUCUCCGGCGACGGCAGACGAACCAGUAAACCCUCGUACAGUCGUACUCCCCUCCGCGUGGGAAACAACUACCGAGUCUUCCCUACCUUCGUGUCGUUCCCUUCCUAGGCCUCGCCAUCAUCCACCUCCCUGGUGCUCUCAGCGCGGCCUAGUCAACGUGGUCAAUGACCGACAUGCAUCUAAAGUGGACUGUACGUGGAUAGGCCAACAGUUGGGUCCAUGGCCGCACGCAAGGAAAUGCCUCCUUAUUACGCGCAAAAUAAUGAUUCCUCCACCUGACAUCAGGGACCCACCGAAAGGGCCUCUGUAUUUCGCGAAAAAAUGUUACCGCCGCUGACAGCUCGGACCCACCAGCUAUAUCUUCGCACGCAAGGAAGUGCCUCCUUAUUACGCACAAAAAAAUGAAUACUCCCCAUGUUAGCUGGGACCCAGUAUAGUGGCAGGCUGACUUAUGGGCCUACUAAGUUGACGGGGACGGAGGGCUUUGUCAACUUAGUCAAUAUGCACGAUUCUAGCUCCAGUGACCAUACGAUGUCCAUCCAACGGUCGUAGUGCUUCUUCAACCUCUGGUCUUCUUGCUCCAGCCGCCCAAACCAGCGUCGGUCGUGCCUCGUGCUCCUGCCUCCCAUGGCCGGCUGCGAUGCGGCGGAGGCCUCGCUGCCCCCUACUACUCCCACCACUGGCCAAGCCAUCCCUCUACUCACCCACACCCCCUGUUAUUCUGCGGCGACGACAGCCUCACACCACAGCCGAACCAGUGAACCCUCGUACUCCUCUUCGCGUGGGCACCCACUGUUGCCUCUUCCCCGGCUCUGCGUCGUUCCCUUCCUAGGCCUCGCCGUCGUCCACUGCCGUGGUGCUCUCAGCGCGGCGUGGUCAAUGUGGUUAACGACCGACUUCCAUCGGAAGAGUACUGUACGUGGCGAGGCUGACAGCUGGGUCCACGGCAGCCGCAAGGAAGUGCCUCCAUAUUACACGCAAAAUAAUUAUUCCUCCACAUGACAGCGGGGACCCACCGGAUGGGCCACCGUAUUUCACGAAAAAAAUGUUUCCACCCUGACUGCUGGGACCCACCAGCUACACCUUCGCACGCAAGGAAGUGCGUCCGGGCAAAAAAACAAAACGAUUCGCCCCCCUGAAUGCUGGGACCCACCAGCUACAUCUUCCCACGCAAGGAAGUGCCUGGCAGUCGGGACCCACCUGGUCGAAGCGUACGUAGCAUUUUCAUUCUGGUAACGAACGUGUACGUACAUAUAUACUGGUCGAUGCAGAGGCUCGCACGUGUCAUAGUAGAGGCGCGCACGUAGCAUGUACACGUACGUACAGCGGCCAGUGUGCAAGAAAAUAUGGCCACGUAUGUGUACAUACAGGCGGGGUCUCGAACGCCUACUCGCGCAUACGUACGGCCAGGGCUCGUGUACAUGGCUAGGUCGGAACCGAGAAACAUCAUCGUCGUCGUGUUCAUGGGGAGGCAACGGAAUACGUCGUGUUCAUGGGGAGGCAACGCAAUGAGUCGUCUUCAUCGGGAGGCAACGGAACGCGUGGGAGCCAACCGGCUGGGUCGGAACGGAAUGCGUCGUCGUGUUCAUCGGGAGGGCUUGGACAGAACAGGUGAUGGAAAUGAGGCCUGGCGUACCGCGGAACGGAGGAAACGGCCUUGUGUUCGACCGGCCACGUUUGAAACAGGAUCAUGUUCAUCGGGAGGGGUCUAGCGUACCGCAAAACGGAGGAAACGGACCUCCUACAGUCGAAACGGGGGUCCUGUUGAUCGGGAGGGGUGUGGCGUACCGCAAAAUGGACGAAACGGACUUGUGUUGGAGCGCUACGGUCAAAACGGGGGUCCUAUUGAUCGGGAGGGGUGUGGCGUACUGCAAAACGGACGAAACGGACUUGUGUUGGAGCACUACGGUCGAAACGGGGGUCCUGUUAAUCGAGAGGGGUGUGGCGUACCACAAAACGGGACUCCACGGGAUAUUGUUCAUCUCCACCGUCGACCUCCUCCUGCCUCCACGGGCUACCGUUGACCUCCUCCAACCUCCACGGGCUCCUGUUCAUCCAGCCUCACCGCNNNNNNNNNNNNNNNNNNNNNNNNNNNNNNNNNNNNNNNNNNNNNNNNNNNNNNNNNNNNNNNNNNNNNNNNNNNNNNNNNNNNNNNNNNNNNNNNNNNNNNNNNNNNNNNNNNNNNNNNNNNNNNNNNNNNNNNNNNNNNNNNNNNNNNNNNNNNNNNNNNNNNNNNNNNNNNNNNNNNNNNNNNNNNNNNNNNNNNNNNNNNNNNNNNNNNNNNNNNNNNNNNNNNNNNNNNNNNNNNNNNNNNNNNNNNNNNNNNNNNNNNNNNNNNNNNNNNNNNNNNNNNNNNNNNNNNNNNNNNNNNNNNNNNNNNNNNNNNNNNNNNNNNNNNNNNNNNNNNNNNNNNNNNNNNNNNNNNNNNNNNNNNNNNNNNNNNNNNNNNNNNNNNNNNNNNNNNNNNNNNNNNNNNNNNNNNNNNNNNNNNNNNNNNNNNNNNNNNNNNNNNNNNNNNNNNNNNNNNNNNNNNNNGUUCAUCCAAAGAGGCAGCAUCGAUCGGCUUCAGUUAGCAGCAGUAGCGAAGGAAUCGCUCGAUCAGGUUCAGUUAACAGCGAUGGAUCGAUCGCUCGGGUUCAGUAAUGCGUAGCCUACAGUGCAGUCGCUCGGGUUCAGUUAGAGCCCAACGCUCCGCUCGGGUUCGGUUAGAGCCAACGCCUCGCACACACGCGCGUACGUGCAUGAGAGAAACACACAUUGCUCGCCCCCAACCUCCCACCGUAACCGGGAACACCCCGAAAUUUUCCUCGCCCUCAUUUCUACCACGGUUUUUCCGUCAUGGACGGCCCAAAGAAAGUCAUGCAGUUGCGUCUCCGGCCCGCCCAGGAUGAAAAGCCCAUUUUCUGUCAUGAUUUUUUGUCAUAGAAGUAGGAGCCCACCACAUCUAUGAUGAUAUCGGGUUUUGUCACAACUAUCGUCACAGAAGUGUCAUAUGUAUGACAGAAAAAAGUUUCGUUCGGCCCAAAAUGUCACGGAUGUGUCUUUUUUUGUAGUGCAUAUUAUUAUAACAGCAACAAACUUUAUCAAAAAACUUUAUCACACAACUUUUAUCAUAUAGCUUCUCAUUAACAAGUAAGAAUCAUCAAAACAUUGAAGUAUAAACCAUAAACUCUAUUGAAAACCAACAAACUAUGUUCUCAGUCAACUUUGCAACUACAAUUCAUCAUCUUUUCAGGAAGGGUCACGUAUCGGAGCCUUUAGGCAAGUCCACAUACUCAACCAUAAUUUAGUCUUCUAUGAUUGCUAACACUCAUAGCACACCCAUGAAUAAAAAGUUUCAACCAGACACAUAGAAAGAUAUGGGCUUAUAGUUUCGACGCCUCCCAAUGUAUUCACCUCAAGGGUGAUAUCAACAAUAUUAACUCAUGCCCACUCAUAUCCAACUGGAUAUAUGUGCAUAGAUCUUUCCUCGCCACAUGAUGCUUGUAAAAAGAUAAAAAAAGGAAUAGGGAAGAAUACUUUGACUCUUACAUAAAAGUAAUGCAUAAAAGUAAAAGAUAGGCCCUUCGCAGAGGGAAGAAGAGGUUGUCAUGUGCUUUUUGGUUUGUAUGCUCAAUCUCUUAGUGCAAAAGAACGUCAUGUUAUUGUCGGUGUUCUGUGAACGGGGGUCCCUAGACUUUCCUGUCUGCGGCCUACAGCGUGGCUCAACCAGUGGCCCAGUACGGCCUGUCUUCAUCAACCCAAGUUCAAGACCCUCGCGAGGGGCCAAGCCUCGCAGGGCAGAUGACGCAAGGCCUCCUCGGGGUCGGCCUCACCAGGCAGGCUCGCGAGGAGGCGGAGAGAUCAAGGCAAGCGGUACCUCGCGAGGUGCUCAUGAUGCAAGCCAUGACGAUCAAGACCAGGCGGGUGCCAGGCGGGCUCCAGCUUGCACAGUGUCCUUGUUUCCUCUUUGGUGCAAAGGGGGCAAGCGUAGGCGUGGAGUACCGAGGCAUCAUGCAAAGGUUUCCAUAUCGGUGCAACAAGACCAAGACUAGCAGGACAGAGGUCACCGUGGAGCCCAAGACGGCGUCAUCACCAGUGCCUUUGGCAGACGAAGACCACCUUUAGUCGGGAUAGCUUGUACUAGCUGUCCCCUUUCAAAAUGGCUGUUGUUGGCUCCCUUCCCGCUCAAUAUUUGGGAAGAGGACCAGGGCCUCUAUAAAUAGCGCUAGCUACCACAGUAGAAGGACAAGUUAAGUUCAUCCGCACACCACACUACCACAAGAACACCUCUCCUCAUGAGGUUGUUCUUCCUCUUUAUUGUUCAUCAUCAGCCCAAGAGGCAAUCCACCACACCACACACUGGAUUAGGGUAUUACACCACAACGGUGUCCUGAACCGGUAUAAACCUCGUGUCUCUUGUGUUGCUCAUCGUUCUAGCUUAGAAUCGCGGCAAGGUUGUGGGCGUGAAUCGGUAGGGAGAAGAUCUUCGUGCGCACCCCAGAGUUCGAACCUUAAGGGUUUUGCCGGAACCCGAUAUCCGACAUUUGGCGCGCCAGGUAGGGGUGCGCCAGAGCUCUCCCUUCCAUCGGCCCACCCUCCACCAAGAUCGCGCUUCGCCCUCAUGGCGGACAACGCGCCUCCGGCUCCGGCGGCCGAUGUCAGCACUGGGGCCAGGGGCUCCGAGCCUUGGCCCCCGCCUUGUGGCAGGUGCAGUGGCCGCACAAGUUCAAGCCAGAGAUGCCGCCGUGCUACAAUGGGGCGGCGGAUCCGCUGGCUUUCGUGCUGGCAUACGAGGAGGCCGUCCUCAAGGCCGAGGGCGACGACAAGGUCAUGGCCAACUAGUUUCCCAUGGCCCUCACCGGCGUCCUGCGCGUUUGGCUGCUCAACCUGCCAACAUCUUUCGUGGCCUUCUGGGAGGAGCUGCGCAACCUCUUCCUCACCCACUACGAUGCACCGGCGCUCCCGGUCAUCACAGCUCUCUUGGGCGGCUCGCAGGUGCCACCCUCAGACCGCCACGCCAAGCCAUUCUUCCACCAGAUCAGUGCUGCCCUUGCACGGCAAGGGGCUCCUCCGGGUUGGGCGGCACCCAAGGCCGACCUGACCUUCAACUCCGAUGAUCAUCCCGUCAACACCGCCUGCUCGGGUGCGCUCCCAAUGCUUUGCACGCCCACCAUCUGCCAGGUGGCCAUCAACAAGACCCUCAUUGACGGUGGCGACGGCCUCAACAUGCUCUCGGUGGAGGCCUUCAGCCUCCUCCAUGUACCGCUGGAACGGCUCCGACCCAGCAAGCCCUUUUCGGGAGUCCGAGGCGGUUCCUCUAGCUCCCUGGGGCAGAUCCGCCUCCCUGUGACCUUCGGCACCCACGACAACUUCGGCACGGAGCUGGUCAACUUCGACAUCGCCCAUAUCGGCUUCCCAUACAAAGCCAUCCUCGGGUACCCCGCCUUGGCUCAGUUCAUGGCAGCGGCCCAUCCGGCCUACAACCUCAUGAAGAUGCCUGGGAGCAGCGGCGUCCUCACCAUAGCAGGAGAUACCAAGGACGCUCUCAAGCUCGCCCUCAAGACCGCCGCGGCAGUGCAGCCUGCCGGCGCGGACACCUCCAAGGCCAAGGGGGCUGCGCCGACCAAGAAGAAGCAGUUGUUUACUCAGGACAAGGUGGAGACCAAGAAGGUGUCGGUUGAGGAAGAUGGGUCCUCGUAAGAAACCUUCACCAUAUGUUCCAACCUCAACCCCGACCAAGAGGAGGUGCUGGUGAAGUUCCUGCGCACGAACAAGGAUGUGUUCGCAUGGGAACCCAAGCAGCUAGCAGGGGUCCCAAGGCAGGUGAUUGAGCAUCACCUGAAUGUGUGCCCCAAUGUACGCACCAUGAAGCAGAAAGCCAGGCGGCAAUCCACCGAGAAGCAGGCCUUCAUCAUCCAAGAAACCCACAAGCUAGAGGUAACAGGUCUUAUUCGCGAGGUUCGCUACCCCAAAUGGCUGGCAAACCCCGUUGUUGUGCCGAAAAAGAGAGGAGAUGAGCGCAUGUGCGUCGACUUCACCAACCUCAACGAGGCAUGCCCUCAAGAUCCGUUCCCGCUCCCUCGCAUCGACCAAAUUGUCGACUCCACCGCCGAGUGCGACCUGUUGUGUUUCUUGGAUGCGUUUUCGGGUUAUCACCAAAUCAAGAUGGCGAUAGAAGACGUGGAGAAGACGGCCUUCCUGACCCCAUGUGGGUUAUACUACUACACAUGCAUGUCGUUCGGGUUGCACAACGCGGGCGCAACCUUCCAGCAACUGAUGCACAUCACCUUAGGCCGGCAGCUCGGGAAAAAUGCCAAGGCUUACAUCGACGACAUUGUGGUGAAGUCUCAGGAGGCGAAGACCUUGAUCCAGGAUCUGGAGGAGACCUUCGCGAGCCUUCGCAAGGUGGACAUGUGACUCAACCCGAAGAAGUGUGUGUUUGGCGUUCCUUUAGGCAAGCUUCUGGGCUUCCUCGUGUCCCACAGAGGGAUCGAGGCCAACCCGGAGAAGGUCAAGGCAAUCGAAGACAUGAGUCCACCGUAAACCCUCAGAGAAAUGCAGAAGCUCGCCGGACGUGUAACUGCGUUAGGACGCUUCAUCUCCAAACUGGGGGAGCGUGCCUUGCCUUUCUUGAAGCUGAUGAAGAAGAAGGGCCCGUUUGAAUGGACACAGGAGGCCGACCAAGCGUUUCAAGAUCUCAAGAAAUAUCUGACCAGCCCUCCUGUGAUGGUGGCACCACGCCUCUCGAGCCCCUGGUGCUCUACCUCGCCGCCACACCCUACUCCGCCAGUGCAGCUCUAGUGGCGGUCCGGGAGGAGCGCCAGGUCAAGGCUGUGUCACGACCAGCCACGGCCUCGACGACACAAGACCAGGGAGGUUUCACGAGGACCACGGCCUCAGCGGAUGGAGACUAGCCUCAGCAGGAAGACGCCCCCGGGGCUGAAGAGGCUGUUCCAGGCGACCAAGCGCUGGGGGCUCCGUCGUCUCAGGAGGCGUCUCACCCUCCAGAGGGCACAAACCUCGUCAGCACACCCACCCUCGUCGAGCAUCCGGUGUACUUCGUCAGCACGGUGUUGCGGGAUGCAAGGGCACGAUACCCCAUACCUCAAAAGCUCUUGCUCGCGCUAUUGGUGCCCUUGCGAAAGCAGCGGCACUACUUCCAAGGUCACCCCAUCAAGGUUGUCUCGGCCUACCCAUUGGAAAGGGUACUUAGGAGCCCCAACUCCGCUGGAAGGGUCGCCGAAUGGAACAUCGAGUUGCAAGCGUUUCAGUUGGAAUUCAGCACGACCAGGGUCGUCAAGGGAGCCGUACUUGCAGAUUUUGUGGCACAAUGGACAGAGGCCCCAGGACUCGGGGCAGGCGAGGAUCGGUCACUUUCCCCAGGAAGCGACGCACCAGAUGGCUGGGUCAUGUACUUCGAUGGGGCAUUCUCGCGGCAUGGCGGGGGGGCUGGUGCAGUGCUUAUAUCCCCCACUUAGGACAAGCUGUAUUACGCCGUGCAGCUCCAUUUCCAGCAUGGCGAGAAGGUCUCCAACAACAUAGCAGAAUGCGAGGGCCUCAUAGUAGGCUUGAAAGCUGCAGCUGCACUAGGGGUGAAGCGCCUCAUCAUCAAGGGCGAUUCAUAGCUCCUCGUCAACUUAUCCAACAAGGUGUACGAGCCGAAGGACGAGCAUAUGGGAGCAUAUCUUGCGGAGGUGCGCGGGAUGGAAAAGCAGUUUUAGGGGCUGGAGUUGCAGCAUGUGCCCCGCGACACCAACCAAGAGACUGAUGACAUCUCCAAGAGGGCAUCCAGGCGGCUGCCUCAGGAGCCUAGCGUUUUUGAGGAGCGGCUCUUCAAGCCAUCGGCGGCACCGUCACUUUCAAGCGCAGCACAGCCUCGGGAGGAACUCCCUCAGCCACCAGCAAAAGGAGCCCCGGCAUGUGGCCCGACCUUGGGAGCGCGCUUACUCUUGGCGCUGGAACCUCAGGAAGGAUGCUGGACCACGGAAUUCAAGGACUACCUGAUACAAGGGACGCUGCCAGAGAAAGAGGAGGAUGCGAAACGCGUGGCACGGCAGGCCACGACCUACUGCGUCCAAGACGGUGAGCUCUACCGGAAGCGGCCAAACGAUGUUUCCUUGCGUUGCAUCUCCAGGGAACAGGGGAAGGAGUUGCUGGCUGACAUACAUGGUCGAGAUUGCGUACACCACUCAUCAUCACGGACCCUCGUUGGCAAGGCAUUUCGCAGCGGGUUCUACUGGCCUAUGGCACUCAACGAUGCAAUCGAGCUGGUGAGGUCCUGCGAAGCCUGUCAAUUCCAUGCCAAGUAGAUCCAUCGGCCAGCUCAGGGCUUGCAGACCAUCCCACUCUCGUGGCCGUUCGUGGUAUGGGGGCUGGAUAUCUUGGGCUUGUUCCCCCGAGCUCCUGGGGGCUUCCGCUACCUCUACAUCGCCAUCGACAAGUUCACCAAGUGGGCGGAGGUGUAAGCCGUCCGCACCAUCCCAAUUGGUUCUGCAGUCAAGUUCAUCAAGGGCCUCGUGAGCCAAUUCGGGGUCCCUAACCGCAUCAUCACCAACAACGGUUCGCAGUUCACCAGUAAUCUCUUCAAAACAUAUUGUGCUAACCUUGGAACACAGAUAUGCUACGCUUCGGUGGCACACCCCCGGAGUAACGGCCAGGCCGAACACGCCAACGCAGAGGUCCUGAAGGGCCUCAAAACCAGGACCUUCAAAAAGAAGCUGGAGGCCUACGGCAAGGGCUGGUACGACGAGCUCCAGUACAUGCUGUGGUCCAGCCGCACCACCGCCACCAAGUCGACUGGCGAGACCCCGUUCUUCCUCGUCUAUAGAGCAGAGGCGGUCCUCCCUCACGAGGUCAGGCGUCACUCCGCGCGGUUCCUAGCGUUUGAUGAAGCGGAACAGGACGCCAUGCGGGGGAUGGAGCUCGUGCUGGGGAAGGAGCACCGUCGAGAAGCCACACUGCAAGCAGCAAGAUACCAGCAGGCGCUGCGGCGGUAUCAUUGCUGCAACAUCCACCCCAGGACUCUCGAGGUAGGUGACCUCGUACUUAGGCGGGUGCUCCCCAGGGAAGGGUUGCAAAAGCUCUCGCCCAUGUGGGAGGGCAUGUUCAAGGUUGUCCAUGUUUCCAGGCCUAGCACCGCGCGCCUGGAGACUCAGGAAGGGGUGUCCAUCCCAAACUCCUGGAACAUUUAGCACCUCCGAAAGUUCUACCCUUGAAGAAAGGCCCGGUGCCUGUGAAGAAGGCCCGGUGCCUGUGAAGCUCGCCGCCCGAAGAAAGGCCCGGUGCCUGUGAAGAAGGCCCGGUGCCUGUGAAGCUCGCCGCCCAAAGAAAGGCCCGGUGCCUGUGAAGAAGGCCAGUGCCUGUGAGGCUCGCCGCCCGUGACACUCUCACGUAAUAAUGAGUUGGGGUUGUACACGCCCCAGAGUCUCCGGAGUGCCGCCCUCGGGCCUCGGGGGCUCCCGCCCAUGCCUAGUGGCAGCACUUAGCUCCAUGCUAGGGAGAAGACGUCGAAGACUAGAUUAGGUGCCGGACGCGGCUUUUCAUUUGCUUUCCACAGUUGGCUUGUUCUCCCUUGUUUGAACCUUUAUUGAAGUUGCUUCUAGUGUUAUUUGCCGUCUCUGCCCCUAUUCUCUAUUUUCGGAUUUUGUCUGGCUCGCUCUCUCUCUCUCGCAAACCUCGCGAGGGGGCUGCGCGGGCGCCCUCCUGAGCCCUUCCUCUCCUGAUUCUCGUGCACGGGCGCCCUCGUGAGUCGUUCCUCUCCUGAUUUUCGCGAGGCUCUCUCGUUCGAGUUCGCAGCGGGAGCACCCCUCCCGGUUCAUGCCCCUCGGGCAUCGUGACACCAAGCACCCGGGCCAUAGCCAGCAACCCUGGCGACCAAGGUUCGGAAAUGAUUCUCCCAACAGAUUUUUUGCAGCUUUCAAGGCGCCCGGCAAGGCCUCAGGCAGGCACCUCGCGAGGCGGAAACUACUGCAAACGUCACGAGCUAAGUUGUUCCUAUGCGCAGACACAUAGCAACGACACCAUAACACAGCACAGGAACAACAAAUGUAGUACGAUAAUUAGGGGAUCAUAGUCUGUUGCACGCCCCCAUGGGGCUCCAUGCUUCUCUCUCUCGAUGCAGGAAAAGGAGGAAAACAAAAUAAAAGCAGCGCGCGCCUUGAGACAGCUCGCGAGGAAGGAUCUGUGUCGUCCUCCCGAGCUUAAUCAGACUCUGCCUCGUGCUUCACCCAGGCGCGGCGACGGGACGACCCGCUACCGCCCUCAAAGCGGGCCCGGCGGUGUGGUGGCUGAUCGCGGCCACCGCUGGAGGAGCUGUCGCCAGAGGAGGAGCCGCUGAAGCUCGACGAGCUGUGGUCGCCACCGGGAGUGGGUUCGCCUUCGCCCUCUUCAAGGUCGUCGCCAAGGCCAAGCACCCCGUCACCAUCAUCGUCUUCAGGGCAGCACCCGACACGGCGGCCAUCUUCUCCGAACAUUCUCACGUAGAGGAUCGCGUCUCCAUCGUACUUGAAGUGGAGGGUGCACCGCCUGCCCAGGCCACGCGCGCGGGCAAAUGUCUGGCAGCCCCGGGCUAGGGCCACGUUGCCGGUGACGGAGAUAUCCACCGUGACCCAGGAGGCCCUGCUGCAGCAGUCGUCCGCCUGCAACUAGAGCCCACCAGGGCCAGCAGCCGGCAGCUCACCGGCGAAGAAGCGAGGGAGCUGGAGCCAGUUGCCGGCCGGGUUGUCCGACCACACAACGAACUUCAGCAGCACCUCUACCGAAUGGAAGCGCGGCCGGGGAGGGCUCGCAGCCACGUCACGCCUUCCCCCACCAACUGGGCUGCCUCGACAUGGGCGACCACCACCGCAUGAAGGACCACCGCCGCGACCACGGGAAGCCACGACAGGGGUCUCAGGGUGCUUGCUAGGGCGACCGCGGCCGCGCUUGGGCGGAGGAGAGCCAGGCCCUUCCUGGCGAGCCUUCCCCUUCUCCGCAGCCGAGAACCUCUUCACGGGCACCAUGGGACGCUGCGAGCAACAGGAACGAGGAGGGAGAAGAAGCAGGCGGAGCAAGGGGAGAUGUACAGCGGGCGCUUUCGCUCCUCCCCAUAUAUAGUCCAGGGGAGACCAACCGUCGACCUCCGCGAUCACAGGUUAUGAUGACUCUUUUUGCAUGCAGCAGGGACUCGUCAAAUCGGGCAGUUGUCGAGGCAGCGUGGGGAAGCGGAGACGCCCAUGUCCAGUCAACCGCCAUGCGGCGACCAAGGCCGCUUGCUGUUGGGGCCCGCGGCGCUCUGCACUUGCCCUUUGGCUUUGCUGCUAAGCUAAGUCCGAGCACGCGUUGGGCCCGGGGGCUUCUGUCGGUGUUCUGGGAACGUGGGUCCCCAGAGUUGCCUGCCUGCUGCCUGCAGCGUGGCUCAACUAGUGGCACAGUACGGCCUGUCUUCAUCAAGCCAAGUUCAAGACCCUCGCGAGGGGCCAAGCCUCAUGGGGCGGACGAUGCAAUGCCUCCUCGGGGGCGGCCUCACCAGGCAGGCUUGAGAGGAGGCAGAGAGAUCAAGGCAAGCAGUGCCUCGCGAGGUGCUCGUGACGCAAGCCAUGACGAUCAAGACCAGGCGGGCGCCAGGUGGGCGCCAGCUUGCACAGUGUCCUCGUUUCCUCUUUGGUGCAAAGGGGGCAAGCGCGGGCGCGAAGUAUCGAGGCAUCAGGGAAAGGUUUCCAUAUCGGUGCAACGAGACCAAGACCAGCAGGAUGGCAGGAUGGAGGUCACCGUGGAGCCCAAGACGGCGUCAUCACCGGUGCCUUUGGCAGACGAAGACCACCUUUAGUCAGGAUAGCUUGUACUAGAUGUCCCCUUUCAAAAUGGCCGUUGUUGGCUCCCUUCCCGCUCAAUAUUUGGGAAGAGGACCAGGGCCUCUAUAAAUAGGGCUAGCUACCACAGUAGAAGGACAAGUUAAGUUCAUCCGCACACCACACCACCACAAGAACACCUCUCCUCGCGAGGCUAUUCUUCCUUUGUACUAUUCAUCAUCAGCCCAAGAGGCAAUCCACCACACCACACACUGGAUUAGGGUAUUACACCACAACGAUGGCCCGAACCAGUAUAAACCUCGUGCAUCUUGUGUUGUUCAUCGUUCUAGCUUAGAAUCAAGGCGAGGUUGUGGGCGUGAAUCGGUAGGGAUAAGAUCUUCGUGCGCACCCCAGAGUUCGAACCUUAAGGGUUUUGCCGGAACCCGAUAUCCGACAAUUAUAUUGCCCAUUAUGAUCGCAACCUUUAUUAUGCAGUUUAUCACUUUUAUUAUUUUGCCAUCACAAGUUCAUACAAUGCUCAAUUUUCUCUUACACUAAAUGAUCCAACACAGUUAGAAGCAAUUUUUAUUGCCUUAUUGCACUGAUGAAAACUUACUUGAAGGAUCUUACUCAAUCCAUAGGUAGGUAUGGUGGACUCUCAAAACAAGAUUUUGGGUUUAAGGGUUUUUGGAUGCACAAGUAGUAUCUCUACUUAGUGCUAUUUUUUGGCUAGCAAAGAUAUUGAGCAAGCAGCACAUGUUGAAGGAUCUAUGACAAUAUAACUUCUAUGUGAAUGUGAACAAACAUAAAUCAUUAUGUUGUCUUCCUUGUACAACGUCAACAAUUUUGACACAAAAUAUUUAAUGGGGGCUCACAAUCAUAAAUGUCCAAGAUAGUGUAUUUGCAUGUGAAUCUUCUCUUCCCUUAUUAAUUCUUUCAUGAAUUGCAUCAUUGACCAAUGCUAUGUUUGUCAAUCUCCAAUAAAUUUUACCACUUAUACUUUUCCUUAUGUGAUGUUAUUACUUACCUAUUAGCAUAAGAUAUUUUUCAUUUUUUAUUGAAACAUAAAAGUAAAGAAAGCAAAACUUGAACUAAUCUUUAUUAUAUAUCACGCACACGAUUACAUAGAUAGAGAGAUAGAUCACUAGCAAACACUCGAAGAGAAAAGAUUCGAACUAAACUUUUAUUCAACUAAUUCAAAAUAUGACUAAAGAUCGAACUAAGAUAAAUAAAAGGAAAGAUAGUGGCGGUGAUACGAUACCGGGGCACCUCCCCCAAGCUUGGAACAAGCCAAGGGGAGUGCCCAUAUUGUGAACUCAAGUCUCCUUUGGUGAUGAAGAAGGAGGUGCUGAUGAGGUAGCGUCACAUUUCAGGCUCAGGAGGUACUCCAAUCUAUGAAUGAUGCUCCAGAGGACGAUGACUGAUAUGUCUCCAAUGUAUCUACAAUUUUUUAUUAUUCCAUGCUGUUAUAUUAUCAUUCUUGGCUAUUUUUACAAUCAUUUUAUAGCAACUUUAUAUCAUUUUUUGGGACUAACCUAUUGACAUAGUGCCCAAUGCCAGUUGCUGUUUUUUGCUUGUUUUUUUACAUCACAGAAAAUCAAUACGAAACAGAGUCCAAACGUAGCGAAACUUUUUGGAGAAUUUUUCUGGACCAGAAGACACAAGAUGGGCCAAAGAAGUACCAGAGGGGUUCCCUGAGGGGGGCACAACCCACCUGGGUGCGCCUGGGGGCCCAGGCACACCCUGAUGGGUUGCGCCCACCUUGGUGGCCUCCCGCGCCGCCUCUUCGCCCUAUAAAUACCCAAAUAUUCUAGAAACCCUGGGGGAGUCGAUGAAACACAAUUCCAGACGCCGCAAGUUCCAGAACUACAAGAUCCAAUCUAGACACCAUCAUAGAGGGGUUCAUCAUCCUCAUUGGUGCGUCUCCGAUGAUGCGUGAGUAGUUCAUAGUAGACCUACGGGUCCGUAGGUAGUAGCUAGAUGGCUUCCUCUCUCUCUUUUGAUUCUAAAUACAAUGGUCUCUUGGAGAUCUAUUUGAUGUAACUCUUUUUUGCGGUGUGUUUGUUGGGAUCCGAUGAACUUUGAGUUUAUGAUCAGAUCUAUUUUAUCCAUGAAAGUUAUUUGAGUUUUGAUCUCUUAUAUGCAUGAUUAUUUAUAGCCUCAUAUUUCUUCUUUGAAUCUUCAGUUUAGUUAGGCCGACUAGAUCGAUUUUUCUGGUCAUGGGAAGACAUGCUUUGUGAUGGGUUCGACCGUGUGGUGUUCUUUCCCAGUGACAGAGGGGCAGCAAGACACGUAUUGAUCGUUGCUAUUAAGGAUAACAAGAUGGGGUAUAUUCCUACAUGAAUAGAUCUUGUCUACAUCAUGUCAUCGUUCUUAUUGCAUUACUCCAUUUUGCCAUGAACUUAAUACACUAGAUGCAUGCUGGAUAGCAGCCAGUCUACUAAUCUUGGACAUGAUGCCUAUAUAUUAAUCAUUGCCUGGAUAUCAUCAUAAAUAUUUGAGGUUCUAUCAAUUUUCCAACAGUAAUUUGUUUACCCACCAUGUGCUAUUUCUUGAGAGAAGCCACUAGUGAACUCUACGUCCCCCGGGUCUAUUCUUUAUCAUAUUUGCCUUUGAGAUCUAUUUUUAUUUGCUUUUGUUUUCAGAUCUUUUAUUCCAAAAAACAAAAAUACCUUGCUGCAAUUUUUAUUUGCAUCUUUUAUUUCGUGUUUGUUAGAGAUCUAUUUAUCCAAUCUAUCACAAUUUUAUUUGCAUCUUUAGGCUAAUACUAUUAAAACGGGAUGAGGUGUUGCUUAAUGGCUUGCUUGCUCAAAUGCUUACUGGUAUUGCUCCAAAUCCCUCAACCACUUCCUUAUUCCAUAUGUCAAUAUCCCAAACUCUAACUCGGCCCCACCGAUCUAUUCCAUCCGGAGCCACCGAGUUCAUAUGACAUAGUCACUGCCAGAAACCCUAAUAGUUCGGUCACACCGAUACGGAUCUCGGUCUCACCGAGAUGGCCUUGCCAACGCUCUGUGACUUGUUGCAUUUACUUUGGUCCCACUGAGUUAUGCAAUCGGUCUCAUCGAGUUAUGCAAUCAGUCUCACCGAGUUGGCUUGACAUUCACUCUGUUGCCUUAUUGCUUCACUUUGGUCUCACCGAGUUGACGCAAUAUGUGCCACCGAGUUUAUGUUUUCCCUAAGCCCUAGCACAUCAGUCCCACCGAGUUGUUCCAGUCGGUCCCACCGAGAUUCCUAACGUUCACAUUUUGAACUAAAUCGGUCUCACCGAGUUCGUCUAUUCGGUCUGACCGGGUUGAGUCAAAUGUGUGUAACGGUUGGAUUUUGUGUGGGGCUAUAUAUACCCCUCCACCCCCUUCUCCAUAUGUGAGAGAGCCAUCAGAACGUGCCUACACUUCCAACAUACAUUUUCUGAGAGAUAACCACCUACUCAUGUGUUGAGAUCAAGAUAUACCAAUCCUACCACAAGAAUCUUGAUUUCUAGCCUUCCCCAAGUUGCUUUCCACUCAAAUCAUCUUUCCACCAUAUCCAAAUCUGUGAGAGAGAGUUGAGUGUUGGGGAGACUAUCAUUAGAAGCACAAGAGCGAGGAGUUCAUCAUCAACACACCGUCUAUUACCUUUUGGAGAGUGGUGUCUCCUAGAUUGGUUAGGUGUCGCUUGGGAGCCUCUAUCAAGAUUUUGGAGUUGAACCACGAAUUUUGUAAGGGCAAGGAGAUCGCCUUCUUCGUGAAGAUCUACCCAAGUGAGGCAAGUCCUUCGUGGGUGAUGGCCAUGGUGGGAUAGAUAAGGUUGCUUCUUCGUGGACCCUUCAUGGGUGGAGCCCUCCGUGGACUCGCGCAACCAUUACCCUUCAUGGAUUGAAGUCUCCAUUAAUGUGGAUGUAUGGUAGCACCACCUAUCAGAACCACGCCAAAAAUCUAUGUGUCUUCAUUGUGUUUGCACACUCUAAUCCCAUCCCUUUACUUUCUCGCAAUUAGCAUGCUUUACUCUUUCCGCUGCAUAUACUCUUUCAUGCUUGCUUGAAAUGUAUUGUGAAUUCUUAAACUUGUGCUAAAACUCCAUCUCAACUUAAAGAACUUAAAAACUGCCACUUUUACUUGUGAAGGGUCNNNNNNNNNNNNNNNNNNNNNNNNNNNNNNNNNNNNNNNNNNNNNNNNNNNNNNNNNNNNNNNNNNNNNNNNNNNNNNNNNNNNNNNNNNNNNNNNNNNNNNNNNNNNNNNNNNNNNNNNNNNNNNNNNNNNNNNNNNNNNNNNNNNNNNNNNNNNNNNNNNNNNNNNNNNNNNNNNNNNNNNNNNNNNNNNNNNNNNNNNNNNNNNNNNNNNNNNNNNNACCCCUCUUCUCAAUCCUUUCAGUUCGGACCGGUUAGCUUGGGAAUCCCAGACAGAUCUGGCCUGGCUCCUAUGGAGGGUCUUGUAUAUAGAUAGGCUUUCUAGCCUUCUUUCUUUCUAGCUUUCUGUACUCAGACAGGUUUAUGCUUCCGCUUGUUGCUUGUAUGACUUUGUAUGUGAGUCAUCGGACCCAUGUUUGUAAUAUCAUACUAUGUAUGGCUCUCCGAAGCCUUUUAAAUAAAUACUUUGAGUCGUAGAGUUUUGUUGUGAUGCCAUGUUGUAUUUACACAUAUUGAACAUAUUAUGUAUAUGUUAUUAAAAUGCUUGGUAUGUGUCAGGGAUAUACCCCGCGGUAUGACCCGGCCGGACUUGAUGUUUCAUUGGUAACCGCCAGAGGAUUGGCGACUCACGUGUCCGGUGGCCCACUGGUGUGACGACUCACGAGCCUGAAGACUCAUGGGUGACCCGGCGGGUGCUUCAGACGGACGACAAGGCCCAAGGCCCAGUAUGUCGGUUCAUAUAAAGGUGGGCCGGCUUAAGAGGAAAGGGAUGACGAAUAUUUCCUUUACGAGGAAGAAAGACCCGGACUUGUAUUCAACUCGUAAGAAAAGAUAGACUAGUCCUAAUUCUACUAGGACUCCACAUGUAACCUGCCCCUCUAACUUAUAUAAGGAGGGGCAGGGCUCCCCAAAGAGGGAAAAGCAACAAGAAACGAUAUCUAGGGCUAGAUACAAGGAGGAGAGCCGACUUACAGCGACUCCCUCAUAAUCAUAAUGAGACCUAGCCAUAAACAGCAUGUAGGGUUAUUACCGGAUGAUGUUUCCCGGGGCCCGAAGCUGUAUAAAUCCUCGUCUUGUGUGUUGCGUUUCUCGAUUCCGCUCAACCCCUUCAAGCUACCACAUAGAUGUGUUGGCCUCGCGACUAAGUCCUGACACUAAGGACAUCUGACGUGACAAUUCCACGACAGUAUGUGUGGGAUCCGACACCUAGUUGUUUAUUCUUGGUAGCCCUCCUUAUGGGGAAAUGCCUCCUAGUGCUUCCACUGGGUCGGUAGCUUGCUACUGCUCCGGAACACAUGGAUUGACCGACAUGUGUCCUUCUCUGCUCCUGUGUCUGUCCCUUCGGGGAAAUGUCAAGCGGUGUUUACCGGAGUCCUCAUAUCUUGCUACAACCCGGUUACACUCACUGCUGACCGACACGUGCAUUGCUGGGUCAUGUAUGCCUGUCCCUGUAAGUUUGUGCCACCUUGGGCUUACGACUGGUCAUGUCGGCCCGGAUCCUACAUCAUAUGGAUGCUAGCGACACAAUCAUAUACUUGAGCCAAAAGGCGCAAACAGUCCUGGCCUAGGUAAGCAUGCAGCCGUGGGGAUACCGUCCGUGAGGCCGCAAAGUGAUAUGAUAUGUUACAUGCUCGAUUGAUGUGACUUAGGAUCGGGGUCCUGACACCUUGGUACUAAUCCAAUUUUCUUGCGUUUCCUCCAUGCUCAUGUGCAUGUUUUCUGGUUAUUUUUUCCCUACCCUCAUAGCCCGGGCGGUCGCCACCAGCGGAGCUGUUAUGCUUGAUGCGAGCACUGUCUAGCCAGUUCUUAGGUACGAGAUGAGGAUGUGGAGGCCGGGAAAAGGGUAUCGAUGGGCCACCCAUGUUCGUAGACGAUCACCGAGAGAACAGUGUCAUGAGAUUACAUUAGUCCUCAAUAACCCUAUUAUCAUCAACAGCAAAAAAAAAAGACAUUGUGAAAACAAUGCACUUUCAGGCAGCUGCCGCCAAAGCACACUGCCGCGCCAAGUAGCAGGCAUGCACCCACGGUCAUCUCGUCCGGCUCCCCUCCUCGUUUGAGUCCGCCAGCUCCUCUAGUGACUACGAUGCCCCCGAGACAGCAACACCUACAUCAUCUUUGACAACUACUACCACCACUUCGAAGACAAGGGGAAGGACAAGGUGAAGCGUUGGUAUUGGAUUUACAUCUUUUAUCUAUGUAGUCAUGGGUCAUGGUCCUAUGAACUAGCUAUCGUAGUGUGCUAUCGUAUGAGCUACUAUGAUGAACUUGCUAUGUCCGGUUGUACUGGCACGCAGGUCCGGGGGCACUGUUCCCAUUUUCCUUAAACUUCUAAUUUUGAAUCUUUUAUAUCUUUUGAACCAAAUGUUUAAAUUAUGUUUUGUUUGCAUGUUUGUGCUGCUUGUGACGAGGGCAUUAAAUAAGACCAGUUUUAAAUAUAUUUUGAGAAGUUUUUAAAACUUCACCAAGUCUCAACCGCUGAAACUUGAUACGAAUGAACGGCAAUAUCACCAAGUUUCGGAUACUAAAACUUAAAAUUUGGUGUGCUCUCCUACGAAAUCCAACGACUUGGCGGAUUCCGAAACAAUCGUGCGACCGGGCACGGGUGAGCAAGUGCAUUUCCCCGGUGUGUCCAUGUGAAUUUCUUAGGAACUGUUAUGUGUUUAUUGACAUUGUAUUGAUCUACAUUGCAUGGAGUCAUAUGUAUUUGAUGAUUCAAAUNNNNNNNNNNNNNNNNNNNNNNNNNNNNNNNNNNNNNNNNNNNNNNNNNNNNNNNNNNNNNNNNNNNNNNNNNNNNNNNNNNNNNNNNNNNNNNNNNNNNNNNNNNNNNNNNNNNNNNNNNNNNNNNNNNNNNNNNNNNNNNNNNNNNNNNNNNNNNNNNNNNNNNNNNNNNNNNNNNNNNNNNNNNNNNNNNNNNNNNNNNNNNNNNNNNNNNNNNUGCAGAGGUGAACAAAUAGGGCCAAUCCCCUCCUAUCCGCAGACACGUCCGGACAUACAAGGGGUCAAAUUUUCCCCGUCCAAUUGAAUUGAAGACGAUCCGCCGACGGUUCGGCCGUAUCUUUUGCACGACCACGCUGGGAAACCGGAAACCGAGGUUCGAUUCUGGAAAAAGUCCAAAACAAACCUUGAAAUUGUAGGCAAAAGCUAAAUCAAACACCAAACUCUUAAUCCCUGAAAUCAGCACACCGAACUCUAUAAUCCCGGUCUAUUUUAAACCUUGGGAGGACUCGGCCGGUAUUUGCUGAAUUGGGCCGGCCCAGUAGCGCAGUCGCUCAUGCGCGUGCACUAGUCUAUUUUUCUUUUAUGUUUUCUUUUUCGUUUUUUCAUUUUUACAAUUGCCUAAUUUUUCUCAGUACCCAAUGUACAUUUUAAACACAGACAUUAAAUAUUUUUUGAUAAACUUUUGAUAUUUUCAAAUACGUUAUGGACAUUUUGAAAUUAAAUGUUUUCAAAAAAAAUUGAAUACAUGGUAAUAUUUUUCGAAAUACAUGUUUUACAUUUUUCUUAAUGACAAUACACAUUUUACAAAACUACACAAACACUCUUUUACAUGGUUCAACAUGUUUAAAUUCGCAAACACUUUUUUCUAUACAUGUCACGUAUAUUCUGUUAAGGUUAUGACACAUUUUUGUACAACACGCAAACAUUUUCGAUACAUUGUACAUACUUUUUUUGAAAAAUGCCACAAACACAUUUUCUGAAACUCGCGAACAUUCUUGAAAUGUUACAUUUUUUAGAAUGUACGAAACCUUUUUUUUUGAAUCACACAAAUAUUAUUAUACAUUGUAUAAACAUUGUUUGAAUUGGCCCAUACAUUUUUUUAGAAUUUGUGGUAUUUUCUAGAUGUCACAAAGUCAGAAAAUGUUUAUGUAUCAAAAAGUGUUCGCACUUAAUUUUGUUCAGGUUUCAGAAAAAAUUUAUGGUUCAAAAAGUGUUUGCACUUUAAAUUUUCGUUCAGGUUUCAAAAAAUGUUGAUGUUUCAAAAGGUGUUGGCUUUUUCAAAGUUGUUGGUUUUUACGAAAUAGUUUAUGAAAUUGUAAAAAAUAUUUUAAAAAUGUGACAUAAUUUGAAAAUUUGAAAACAAUCAUAGCAUCUGAAAAACUGUUGGUAUUAUGAACAUUUUUGGCAAAUGUGUUUUUCUUUUUGAAAUCACAAACAGUUUUUUAAAAUGCGAAUAGAAUUUUAAAAUGCCAAACAUUUUUUUAAAAACACAAAAUGAAUUUAAUUUUCGCCGAAAAUAGAAAACAGGAACAUUUUUUAACUCGCGAACAAUUUUAAACAUGUGCGAACAUUUUUGAAACUUCACGAAUUGUUGUUGUGUUGUAGUGGGCCGGCCCAAAUUCUUAUCCGUGAGAGUAGCUAGUUAUCCUGGCCGGGAUUGUACUAUUCCCAGUUUGCCAAACAGGUCUAGGGUUCAAAAUAGACCGGGAUUACAAGUUUAGAGUGUCAAUUUCCGGGAUUCAAAGUUUGAGGUUUGAUUUAGCUUUCGUCUAUAAUUUUAAGGUUUAUUUUGGACUUUUUCAUUCUGGUUCGUUUUCCGCUUGGCUUCGCCUAGUGAGUCGUGACGCGGUGACGAAGAGCGAGGACGACGGUCGGGCCCAGCCUGCGGAACCACAGCAUCUACUCACCUUUUCCAUGUCUGCAACCCCACGCGCGUGUGGACCAUUGUGCCAUAAACCGGAAAUGGCAUUGAUCGGUUCUGGUUUGAUUCGGUUCCGUUGUGGUUCCGGCUUCCGACACGGCCAGAUCUAGAGUAAAAUAGUCAGAUCAGUUCGUGUCGUGCAGGGCCGUAUGCAUCGCUAGAUGCAGAGGUCGAGGAAACCCCCUUUUCGAAAAAAAAAGUUCGUGUCGUGCAGCUUCACAAAAUGAUAUAGAAACUUCCUCACUAGUAAAAAGGAGAAUGAAACUUACUCUACAACGCUACAAGGGCAUCUCCAACCAAGCUUCAAAAUAUCGGAUAUCGGGUUCAUAUCGGUUUGGCUUUGACAUAUUGGAUGUCGGAUAUCAGGUGAUAUAUCGGACGAUAUGUAGAUAUAUCGACGAAAACAUGUGUAGUUGUUUUCAUUAUUCUUGUUCAAAACAUUUAUUUUUAGUAAAACAAAAUGUAUGAUGUCAAAGCUUUAACAUAUCACUUUUAGAUUCUUAGUUUAUUAACUUGUUGAUUAAGAAACUAUUAAGGAAAGAUGCACAAAAUGCUUACUCUAUGAUUAAAAAUAGUAUCAUAUAUAUGCAUUUGUACGAAAAAUUGUGCAUGACGUUGAUAAUAUAUAAUGAAGUUGUAAAUGCAUAAUCUUAUUUCACUGCUAUCUAAUAAAUAAUUGUUGUCGUCUAUGUACCGUCCUAUAUCAGUGGACAUAUCAGGCUAGAUAUCGGGCAUAUCGGUCGAUAUUUCGGUCCAUCUCGGAUGAUAUGUUGAAAAAUGAUAUUUGCAAAAUGAUAUGUUAUGUUUAUAUCGGUGAAGCCCCAAAAGUGAUAUAUCGGCCUCUAUAUCGGUCGUAUCGGCCUAGAUUUAAAAGCUUGUCUCCAACGCAUACACUCAAACCGACUGCAUCGUCUAAACCUUAUGGUCCAACCGUGUUUUGCAUGAGCCGGUCCGGACGUCAUUUUUCCUGUAAACCGGAAGCAACCCCGGGAGAGGAGCUUUGCCAGCGUCCGGACCAGGGUCAGGGUUGUCGGACGCGUGCGUGGUAGAGGUCCGGACGUCAUUUUUCCUAUCAAUCGGAAGCAAACUCUCUCGCGUGUUCUCUCCAACGGAGGCGCCACUUCCCGCACCGUUUUUCGACGACAAGGCGGUGAGGCAGGCGCACGGCAGAAGCGGCGCAACGUGGCCCGCCGCUCCGUGUUCGCCAAGUCGAACGAGGCAUCGGCUUGGGUCCGCAACGACCCGAACUUGCCGACGGUCUGGGCUCUCGACCGGUCCUUCAUGACUGCAGAGACAACCACGUAGGGACGCCGCCGACUCGAUGGUGAGCACCGCCGCCAGGGUCCACAUUGGCCGCGGCAACCCUCCGCACGUUGUAAAAGGGAGUGGAUUGACUCCUCCGCGAGCGCCAGGAGGUGUCCGGGCAAGGCUGACAAUGAAGGCGGCACGGCCGCAACGCCGGUGCUGCCCAAGAAGACUGUUCAAAACGAUGAAAAAAUAAAAUUUUGAAAUGAAAAUCUAAGAAGGAACAUGACUGCACUUUCGUUUUUGAUGCUCUGUUUUUCUCCCACUACGAGUGCAUGUGCUUACGGAGGAUGAUCAUGACAGCAGGGUGGGGUCAGAGUUCUCACAAUCAUUUGGGGAAACCAAAAUGUCCUGUGGUUCGGUUCGGGUCUGGUUAUGGUUUCUGGAGGGGCGGCAGAACUCAGGGAAACCAAAAUGUCUUGUGGUUCGGUUCGGGUAUGGUUCUGGUUUGCCACAGUGCCACUUUGCGCGUAGGCUGGCUAUAAAUCUUCAUCAUCUCCCCCCAGGUCAAGAACCCAUUUCUCCAGCAAACACCACACACACGAGACACGAGACGCACAAUGGAUUCCGUGGCCACAGUCGCCGACCUUGGCGCCCUGAUCUCCGACGCAUGCCGCGACGCGGAGAUGCUGCCGGGCGCUCUGAUCUCGUGCGGCGUCGCCGAGGCCGCCGCGGCGCUCUGCCUCGUCAUCUCCAAGGCGCCCGGCGGUGUGUUCCUCCACCACGGCAAAGCGCCAUUCGUUCUGUACUACGGCAUCCUCGUCGCCGUGUUCAUCUUCGGGCUCCUCGAGGCGUCGGCCGGCUUCUGGGUGUCAGGCGACGUGGUCGGACGGCGCGCCGCCGGGAAGACAAUCCUCUGGUUGGGCCUCCUGCCCAUCGUCUUGGUGGCUGCGCUUGGAGACGUUGUCAUUCUGAGCAUGAAAUAGUGUCGACGUUUGCCGGUAGUAUCAUGUACUGAUGCUGUUGUAAUCUGUUGGUUCGUCCAUGUCAGUUACGCCUUGUGUGUGUAGGUGGGCGCGCAUGAGCUUGAGGUGUCAUUUCCUUUCACUUGCAGUCUGCACGGUGUGUUCUGUCGAGAUGAAUUUUGGGUUAUUAUUGCUCUUCCCUGAUUUUCCUAAACGAACAAAACAAAAAUGCAUCCGUUGUAGCGGAAGCAGAGGGUUCGAAGUUCCCUUCUGUUUUUUUUGUUUUGUUUUUCUUUUGAGAUCCUGUUCCCUUGUGUAAUGUGAUCCGUCGGCCUGCCCGAACCGUUCGAGUAUCAUCGACCGGCCCGAACUCACUCAGCCCAUAGAGCUUUGUGUGCUCUCCACGAACUCUCAACCGCGAGCGUGCGUGUGCUCUCUAGAACGAAACAAGAAAAAGAAAGACUGGGACUCAACACGAAUUUUUUGAAUUUUUUUUAAAUUGUUGAUUUUUUUUAUUUUUAAAUUUCUGAAUUAUUUGACAAUUUAAUCUCUAAUCACCCUCACUGCUCAAUAGACGCUAGAAAUAGAGUUCAAAUAGCACAUCGAGGGUAAAGUAAUCAUUUUAGAAAUCAACAUGCCGCCGUGCUCAACACGAAUUCAACACUCAAUAUCUCUUGUUAAACCUUAAAGUUGUGGCAUGCUCGUUCACACGCUUUGUUUCUUCAAGAGUCGAUAACACCACCGUUGUUUCAUCCUCAUCUCCCUCAUCUGACGAAGACGAAUUCAUGAACUCGGCGUACAAGUACUCCUCGUCUAAAUCAAUUGUUUUUGAUUCAAUGUAAAUAAUGUCAACAUUAAAAAAUUGCUAUGGCAUUUGACCGAGCAGUUGAUGGGCGUGGCGUCCACCAUGGACGAUAUCGGGAGGUGCGGAGGGUAUCUGGGUGGCGGCUGAAUCCAGUGGAGUACGACGAUAGAAUAUCCCUAGGCGAGUAGGCGCAUGAGUGGAAUGGCAGAGGUCGACAGGGCCUUGGCAGCGUCCAGGGGAUGGGGGCAGCAUUUAUCUCUGGGAGUAGAGGACUGGGACGAUUUUGAAAAAAAGCAGGCUUUGGGUGGGGUUUUAGGUGGGUACAAGGAGUUGAAGUCCGACGUGGAAGACGUCCGGACUGCCCAUAGACCUCUUUUGGGGUCGGUCUAUGAGAUUUCAAUCGUCGAGAGUGGUCUAGUCCAGAAAUUUAGGGCAUUUUGGUGAUCCGCAUCGGAGAUGCCUAUCAUAGACCAAUUUUCUAAAAUUGCCUUUAUGUUUUUCUAUUUUUCUCUGGAAAUUCUUUCUUUGGAUUUUCCUCUAUGGGUUUAUUGAGAAAUUAAUUAGUGCAAUCGGGCUAUAGUCCCGGUUUGUAAGGACCUUUAGUCCCGGUUUUGCAACCGGCACUAAAGGGUGGGGACUAAAGGUCCCGCCCUUAGUCCCGGUUCAACACGAACCGGGACCAAAGGCCCACCACGUGGCACAAGCCCGCGGCGGGGGCUGGGGAACCUUUAGUCCCGGUUGGUAACACCAACAGGGACUAAAGGAAUUUUUUUGAUUUUUUUUAACGGUUGAAUUUCUUUGAUUUUCAAAUUUCUGAAUUAUUUGACAAUUUAAUCUCUAAUCACACUAGUGUGGAGCACUCAUUAUUCCAAAUCGUCUAACUUCUCGACUGGUCACCCAUCCCCCUCAUUACUCCAACCUGAGCACGCUUAACUUUCGAGUUCUAUUUCCCCUAGUUUCCAACUCUGCACUUGUUGUUUUCUUGACAAUAAUAAUCUGUCAAUCCUAUUAACCCUUAAGAGUUUAGCUUGAGCAUGAAGCCACACGUUUCACCGUUUGAGUUUCAAACUAUUAUUGUAAAAAAAUAUUUAAUAACACUAAUAUUUCUUGAAUAAGUAGUUUGACCAAAAUUCAAAAAAACCUAAAAUUUUGAGCAUAACUUUUUUUUUCCUUUCAGAAUUUGAGGAUUCUAAAAAUUUGCAAAACAGCCUACGGCUGUCGAAAUCGGAACCGGCUUUUGUAAAACAUGUCAAAAUUUAUGUUUCUAAAUUUCCCUAACUAGUAGAUGUAGUAACAUAACUACAUCUCGAAGGAUUUUAUUUUUUUAUCAUUUUUUUAAAAACUGAAAAGGCGAUACGGGACGGGGGGAGGGGGGUGGUAGAUUUCGAAAAUUAAAGAACCCCUUAAUCAGGGUUGGAGCCACCAACCGGGACUAAAGGGGUCUACCCUUUUAGUCCCAGUUGGUGGCUCCAACCCGGACUAAAGGUCUAACCUAUAGUUCCGGUUUGUGUCACAAACCAGGACUAAAGGGGCUUGUGGGGCCCCGGCCUGACGCCGGCCUGCCACCACCCCUUUAGUCCCGGUUUGUGACACAAACUGGGACUAUAGGUCACAAAUGAAUCGGGAUUAAUGCUUAGCCGUUUGAAUCGGAACUAAUGGUACCAUUAGUACCAGGUCAUAAUUGAACCGGGACUAAUGUGCUGAACAUUAGGUCGUUUUUCCGCUAGUGAUUGCUUUCUCUUUUUUCCUUUGCUCAAAUGAGUUGGAGUUAUACUAGUAAAAUCUGCUCCUGCCUAUUAUUCUUCAGAUAUGUUCUUCCCAAGUCCAAUCUUCUUGAGGAAGUAUUCAAACUUGUAUGUUUGAAUUUUUUUUUUGGAAAGAAACACAUAUACUAGAGACAAAAUGUACAAUGUGUAAAUUUUCAGGACCAAAUACCUUAAAAUGAGUGCUACACAAAAAUCUGUAGUAGGUGCACUAUUUAUCCUCCAAGUCCAUGAAUUUGUCUUUUUUGCAUAGAUCGCAUUUCAAGGUGUUUCAUCCUGAAAUUUUACACAUAUACACAUCACAUCCUUGUUUACUUGUACAAUUUCUUUCAGGUAUUUUUAGAACUGAAAGUUUGAAUUUAGAUUUUUCAAAAAUUCGGCCUCCAUGGAAGCCGAGCUCCAAAACGCUCCACUCUGCCAACGACGCCUUAUUUCAAGUGUGUCAUCAUAAUAAAGUUCACUGAAAAAAAGGUGUGUGUGCAUAAACGGUUGGAUCACUUGUUCUCAGUUUUCAAAGCGUGUCGUCAGCAAAGCGCCACUACUAGUACGUUGGGACAAACAGCAACCAUUACAGGUUCGCCGUAUCAUUUGCACAACCACGUUGGGAAACCGGAAACCGAGCGUGAGCCGUGACGCGGUGACGAAGAGCGAAGACCACAGCCGGGCCCAGCCUGCGGACCCACAGCAUCUACUCAACUUUCCUUUGUCUGCAACCCCACGCACGUGUUGACCAUUGCGCCAUAAACCGGAAAUGGCAUUGAUCGGUUCUGGUUUGAUUCGGUUUUGUUGUGGUUCCGGCUUCCGGCACGUCCAGGUCUGGAGUAAAAUAGUCAGGUCAGUUCGGGUCAUGUAGCUUCACAAAAUGAUAUAGAAACUCCCCGCUAGUAAAAUGAGAAUGAAAUUUAAUUUACAAGAUUUUAAUGGCAUCUCCAAAGCAGAUGCUCAAAUCAUCCACAUCAUCUAAACCGUACGGUUCAGAUGUGUUUUGUCAUCUAAUAUGAUACUGUAUCCAUCCAUGAAUCGGUCCAGACGUUCUCUUUCCCGCAAACCGGAAGCAACCUUGGGAGAGGGGGCUUUGCGAGUGUCCGGACCGCUACCACGUACGCGUCCGAUAACCUUGGCCCGCACAAAACCCUCUCCCGCCUCUCUCGCGAUUUCUCUCCAGCAGAUGCGCCGCUUCCCGCGCGUUUUUUCGAGGACAAGGCGGCGGGGCAGGGGCAGCACAACGCGGCCCGCCGUUUCGUGUUCGCCAAGUCAUAUGCGGCAUAGGCUUGGGUGCGCUGAGGGACUCCUGGAUUAGGGGGUAUCCGGACAGCCGGACUACUAUUGGAGCGUGAAGAUACAAGACUCAAGACUUCGUCCCGUGUUCGGAUGGGACUCUCCUUUGCGUGGAAGACAAGCUUGGCGAUCCGGAUAUUAUAUUUCCUUCCUUUUAACCGACUCCAUAUAAACCCUAGCCCUCUCCGGUGUCUAUAUAAACCGGAGGGUUUUAGUCCUUAGGGACAGAAUCAUAAUCAUCAUAUGCUAGCUUCUAGGGUUUAGCCUCUAUGAUCUCGUGGUAGAUCAACUCUUGUACUACUCAUAUCAUCAAUAUCAAUCAAGCAGGAAGUAGGGUUUUACCUCCAUCGAGAGGGUCCGAACCUGGGUAAACAUUGUGUCCCUUGACUCCUGUUACCAUUAGCCUAAGACGCACAGAUCAGGACCCCCUACCCGAGAUUCGCCGGUUUUGACACCGACAUUGGUGCUUUCAUUGACAGUUCCUUUGUGUCGUCGCUGCAAGGCUCGAUGGCCCGUCUCGUUGUCAAGGACAACAUCACCUCUGGGGGAGCGCUGGCUGUAGGCCAAACUCUCCGACUAGGCGGCUUCAUCAUGGCUGCCCCAUCGGCUGUCGCGUCGACGAUGCCUUUCGGGUCAUCACGCAUAGCCUCCACGUCAAUUCAGAACUCGCCGAACAGAUGGAUCCGAUGGAGCUCUCCUCCCUUAAUGAGCUCUUGGAUCGCGUCGCUGCUUUGGGAGUCGCCACAGACUAUGACCGGAUCGGGCUUAAACCCGACCAAAGGGAUAUUAAAUCCCUGCCGGUCACCCACGAGAUAGCGGUAGUGGAGGAGACACAUACGGAUUACCCCUCUAUUUUGAGGACGAGUUAUGUCCGGAUCACCGAGCUCCCUGAGCCGGACACCCGCUCAAGGGAAGACAUGACCCAGACCCCGGACUUAGAAUCAGGUAUUAGGCCGGAGAAAUUGGGCAGCACCCCGGAUCCUGAGCUGUCAAGCCCGGAAGCUCCCUGCCCCAGGGCGUUAGAUCGGAUCAGAAUCCAGGUUCAGCUACACCCACCCACCCGUACUCAAACCCUCUCUCCCAUAUCAGACAAGAACCCCAAGAGACAAUACAUCGCUACUGGGCCAGAUUCCUCCUUUUGCUAAACAAGGUCAAGGACUGUCAUGAGGAGGACGCGGUCUCACUUUUCUGCAAAAACUGCACGAACAAAGGAAUCCUUAAUGCUAUAAGUCGCCGUGACAUAGUACAUUUUGCUGACUUGGCAACCAUAGUACAGAAGUACUGUGCGAUGGAAAGCGCCUGGAAAACCCAAACAGGAUUUUGGGAUAGUCCGGCUCUCACUAAAACCUUUGUCCGAGCUAAACGGGCGAACUCUCGUAAGUCAGCCGAUCCAAUCCCCAAGAAACCAAAGCCCACCCCAGGGCGUGGAACCGUAUUGGAAGAAUGGCUCAAUAGGCCAUGUAAACUCCAAAGCACACCGGGCACUACACCAACAGAUAGCCUUACAGCAUGUUGGAUACUCCGGCAGGUAGCAAAAAAUGGCGAGGAUCUUCUUGUAAGCCAUAAAGCAGAACAACAUCCCACCAAAGAAAACAAUGCGGUACUGACAGUCUUCGAGACUUUUGCCUCAAACAAUAGGCGCAAGCGACCUCAUCGAAGCUCCGCUGAAAUCUGCCACGUGGCAAAAAUAAAUCCAUGGAACGACACUGCUAUAACUUUCAGCGCCAGCGAUGAACCUCAAUUCCAGAUAGUCCGGGCACCAGCCGCUUUGGUCCUUAGCCCAAUCAUGGACGGCUUUCGGCUCACUAAAGUACUCAUGGACGACAGAAGCGGAUUAAACUUGAUCUACGAAGAAACACUCAGCAAGAUGGAAAUUGAUAAAAGCCGCAUUGAGCAACGCGACACAACCUUCAGGGGAAUCAUCCUUAGUCGGGAAGCACGGUGUGCGGGAAAAAUCACACUCGAUGUGGUAUUCGGCACUCCGAAGAAUUACAGAUCCGAAGAAAUCACAUUCCAAGUGGCUCCUUUCAGCAGCGGAUACCAUGCCCUUUUAGGGCGGGACGCAUUUACAAGCUUUCAAGCCAUACCCCAUUACGGGUACAUGAAGCUUAAAAUGCCCGGACCCAAUGGAAUCAUCACUCUAGCCAGUGAUCUGGACGUUGCACUUCGCGCCGAAAACAAAACCGCAGCACUAGCCCUGGAAGCAUUAUCCGAAGCCCUAGCAGCCGAAGAACUAACAAUGCUGCGUGCCACCGUGGAUAAGGACGACGUGAUACUCGACAAGCGACCCAAGUCCACCUCAUUUAAACUCGCAGACGAGAUAGUCAAAUUCCAGGUCCAUCCAACGGACCCCACGAAGACAGCUUCCAUCGGGACACAGUUGAGCCCCACAAUUGACGCCGCACUGCAAGACUUCCUAUGGGAGAAUUGGGACAUUUUCGCCUGGCACUCCUCGGAGAUGCUGGGCAUCCCAUGCAGACUGGCCGAACACAACCUCAAUAUACUAAAAGGAUACAAGCCUAUCAAGCAGACUCGAAGGCGGUUUUCAGAGCCCAAACGACAAGCCAUGGGGGAAGAGCUAGCCAAGCUACUCGAGGCCGGAUUCAUCAGAGAUAUCAAGCAUCCAGAUUGGCUGGCAAAUCUGGUAAUGGUACCAAAGAAGGACAAAUCCUGGCGCCUAUGCGAGACUUCAAAGACCUCAACAAGGCUUGCCCCAAGGAUCCCUUCCCCCUCCCUCGCAUUGACCAAAUCAUCGAUGCCACUGCAGGACAUGAAUCGCUGUGUUUCCUUGACGCAUACUCUGGAUACCAUCAAAUAAAGAUGGCAGAGUCUGACCUAGCUGCAACGGCCUUCAUAACGCUAUAUGGUCCUUUCUGCUUCAACACUAUGCCUUUCGGGCUUAAAAAUGUCGGCGCAACCUAUCAACGCAUGAUUCAAACAUGCCUGGAAAAGCAAAUCGGCAAGACAGUGGAGGCAUAUGUGGACGACGUGGUCAUAAAAACAAGACAUGUCGAAACCCUAAUAGACGACUUGAGGCUUACGUUUGACAACCUUCGAACAUACGACAUCAAGCUAAACCCAGAAAAAUGCGUUUUCGGCGUGCCCUCUGGGAAGCUGCUCGGCUUCAUCGUUUCCAAUAGAGGAAUUGAGGCGAAUCCGGCAAAAAUCCGAACUCUAUCGCAGUUGGCUAUCCCAACAGACCUCAAGCAUAUCCAGAAACUAGCUGGAUGCGUGGCUGCCUUAAGCCGCUUUAUCUCCCGGUUAGGAGAAAAGGCAUUACCUCUUUACUGCCUUCUUUGGUGCACCGAAUUUGUAUGGACGGAUGCAGCCGCGGCCGGACUAUACGAAAUAAAGACCUUGUUGGCUAGUAAUACAGUCCUAACAGCGCCAAAUAUUGGCGAACCUAUGCUAUUGUACAUAGCUGCAACACAUCAAGUUGUAAGCGCAGUGCUCGUCGUCGAAUGAGAGGCUGACAGAUUCUGCUCCAGAAGCCGGUAUAUUACGUAUCCAUGGUCCUCACCCCAUGCAAAUCCCGAUACCCACACUAUCAAAAGAUAGCAUACGCGGUCUUCAUGGCAUCCCGGAAGCUAUGACACUACUUUCAAGAGUGUUUGAUCACGGUGGCCUCCGAAGUACCACUCAACGAUAUAAUAAACAACCGCGAUGUUACGGGCCGGAUUGCUAAAUGGGCCAUCGAGCUCCUUCCGUUCGACAUAACAUACAAGCCACGACGGGCCAUCAAGUCGCAAGUACUGGCUGACUUCGUCGCCGAAUGGACAGAAGCCGAACUCCCUAAAGAGUACGGCGCGUACUCUAACUAGAUCAUGCACUUCGACGGCUCUAAAAUGCUGGCCGGACUGGGAGCAGGCGUAGUCCUGACGUCUCCCACCGGAGACACGGUCCAAUACGUACUCCAAAUAUUAUACACAGACUCCAACAACGCAGCCGAAUACGAGGCUCUGUUACAUGGUCUUCGGAUGGCAGUCUCCAUGGGCAUUCAAUGCCUGGAAGUACGUGGGGAUUCAAACCUUGCAAUAUCACAAAUAAACGGAGACUUUGAUGCCAAGGAUCCGAAGAUGGCGGCCUACCGUAAUGCCGUCCUCAAAAUGUCAGCUCGAUUCGAGGGGCUCGAAUUCCACCAUGUGGCUCGAGAAAACAAUCAAGCGGCGGAUAUCCUCGCCCGCAUCGGCGCUAAACGCGACCGUGUCCCACCUUACAUAUUCCUGGAAAGUCUGUUCAAGCCAUCCGUGGUAUGGGAAGGGGAAUCCGGCAACACUAGCACAGAUCCGAACAAACCCCCAGAUUCCGAACCAUCAGACGUAACCGGAGGCUCCGCCACCGAAAUAACACCUUUGGCCCACGAAAUCAUGGCUAUAAUCGCCCCGUGGACCAAGCCUUUCUUGGCCUACCUAAAUAGGCAAGAGCUCCCCGAGGACCAAAAUGAAGCACGUUGUAUUGUGCGGCGUUCCAAGGCCUACAAAGUACAUGAGGGAGAACUCUAUUAGAAGAGUGCAACCGGAGUGCUCCAAAGAUGCAUCUCCAAAGAGGAAGGGCGGCAGCUAUUGGCUGAAAUCCAUGCCGGACUCAGCGGGCACCACGCCGUGGCUCGGGCGCUCGUCAGCAAGGCCUUUCGUACAGGCUUUUAUUGACUGACAGCCCGAGCAGACGCAUAGGACCUUAUCCAACAUUGCGUCGGUUGCCAGCUCUUCGCCAAUCAGAGUCAUAUGCCCCCCACCGCUCUCCAAACAAUCCCCAUUAGUUGGCCCUUCAUGAUCUAGGGGCUGGAUAUGGUCGUACACCUUAAAGGGGGAAGCCAUAAGAAAAAAUACUUAUUGGUCAUGGUGGACAAGUUCACCAAAUGGAUAGAAGCUAAACCAGUCAAAACGGUCGAAUCCGGACUAGUGAUAGACUUCAUAUCCGGGGUUGUACACCGAUACAGUGUCCCACACAGCAUCAUCACUGAUAACGGCUCAAACUUCACAGUCGAUGAAGUGAAAACUUGGUGCGGCAACAUGGGCAUUAAGCUCGAUUACACCUCCGUCUACCAUCCCCAAACAAAUGGCCAGGUCGAACGUGCAAACAAUCUCAUCAUGAGCAGCAUCAAACCCAGACUAGUGCAAUCCUUGACAGAAUCAAACACGCACUGGGUCGAGGAGCUCGACUCCAUACUCUGGGGGCUGCGGACCACGCCGAAUCGUACCACCUGAUAUACACCAUUUUUUAUGGUAUACGGCGCAGAAGCAGUACUACCCUGCGACAUAAUACAUGAUUCGCCUCACAUGCGCAUGUACGAAGAGAAGGAAGCCGAGUUGGAUCGGCAGGAUAACUUAGAUGCCCUGGAGGAGGAACGCGACGUCGCAAAAGUCCGUUCCGCAUUCUAUCAGCAGCAAGCUCGACGGUACCAAAGCAGAGAAGUGCGGGCCAAAACUUAUAAUGUUGGCGAACUCGUUCUACGCCUACCGGAGAAGAAGAAGGACAAGCUCAAACCUAAGUGCGAGGGUCCCUUCAUCAUUGAUAAAGUUCUCACCGGAGGAGCGUACCGCCUACCUAAUGCUUCUGAUAACAGACUCGAGCCGAACUCAUGGGACGCGGCCAGACUCCGGAGAUUCUACGCCUAGCGCCGAACUUAGUGUUCGUCUCCUUACCCCCUCCUUUUCAAUUACGUUCCCUCCUUUUUCCUUUCUCGACCUUUUUCCUCUUCACACAAAGUACUUAAUACAGUGCGGACGCCCGGAUCACUCCGGCCGCACUAUGUGUGUAAGCCAUACCUGGGGGCUUCCUAUACGGAAGCUAAAUAUAAUUGCUUUCAUGGCUUCUUGCCUAUCACAUAUGCAUUCUUUUUCCAUAUGUACCCUUUUUCACCAUUAUAUGCAUCGAUAUGACUUAAGAUGUGGCCAUGCUGGGUUGCCUGGCUCUUGUGCUUAUGCCCUACGUUCCCGUUAAUUCGGCUAGGGCAUAAGGGGAGCACCUCUGCGAUUGUUACUGCCGGUUCAGCCGGAUGUGUACCUCAGACUGGGUGAAGCCAAAAGCUAGCUUCCUUAAGGGAAUAUUCGGUCGGUGAAUAAAAGAUGUCUUUCGUUUAUUACAAUAUGAAUCCCCAGAAGUUUUUGUAUCCUAUGUCCCUGUUUGUAGUCCGGACAUGUACUUUGUUGCAUGCGUACCCAGGGAAAGGAACCCCUAACGGAACUAUUAUCCCUGGAAGAUGUUUCUUACUAUCCAUGUAAUAUAACAUAACUAGUUGGGUACUUGUCUGUUCAAGCAAUUAUGACCCCUACGCCUGGUUUCCACGCAUACCCCGGUUCCGUAUAACUGAGCGGGUAUUCGGAUACACCCCGGACUGUCGGAUCCGGGGGCUGAAGCGAAAAGGUCCGCCAUGACAAAUGAUUUUAAUCCGGCUAGGGACUACUUAUGUCCAUUGAAUUACACAGUCACUUGGACUGACUAUAUUCCUCCUCUAUACCAUCCAACAGUCUAUCUAGCUUACAAUCCUGUUGGGAAUACUUUGCGGCUAACGCUACCUGGUCAUACACCAGACUCACGGGAAUUUCUUGCCCAUCUGGCCCCUCCGGUCCGACUUUGGUCAUAUGGUUCGGGUCAAGCUUGAUAUAGCGCGUCUUCACCAUAGCCCAGGCUUCUCUUGCACCUUGUCGGCAGGCUGACAUCUUCCACAAUCGGAAGCGCCGCCGUGCUCCUUGGAGCAUAUCCACGAGCUCCCCCAUGCCCUUUGGCAGGAAGCUUGAUGGCUACAAGGCCUGAGCAAUGCCCUGCAUCACCUGCCGAGCUCGCUCGUGCAGCUGUGAGAGGUCUUGCAGAAAAUCGCCUGCAGACGCGGGCAUCUCCUCUUGAGGGUGGCCCGUUAGCAUGCCUACAAAUAAAAUUUAUUUCAAUAUGCUUCCUCACCGAGUUGUACUACAGUUCGUCUAGGCACUUACCAUAAAUGCUGCGACGAAGCCUUUUGUUCUCCUUCACGGAGUCCGCCAGCUGAGCGCGAACAUCUUUUAAUUCGACAUCCAGCCGGACAUUGGCAUCUUGAAGAUUGUUCUUCUCCUGCCUAACUUGCGUAAGAACACGCUCGCCAGCUUUUAGCUGCCUCUGGAGAUGCGACUCGUUAUCUCUUACGACAUCCGGAUUCACCCCGGUAUUGUCUGCAGAAUUUUCUGUUAGACUAAACAUAGAAGCCACUUACUAACUGGUACAUCUCCGUACAAUUGAGACAUAUGUUACCAGAUGAGGCCUUCUGGGAUUCCUCUAACUUGGCAACCGUGGCCCUUAGCUGGGUCUUGCACUCCCCAGCUCUCGAGACAAUUGCUCAUUCUUAUCUACAAGGACCUGUGCAUAAAUUGAUCCUUAAAACAGUUGUUCCAACCAUUUCAAGUCUCAGGGGCUACUGCUAUACAUGCUUAUCAAAUUUUCUUACCCGUAUAUCUUUGGUAUACUGGUCCGUCGCUCGGGCAAGCCCGCCUUGAGCAGCUCGGAUGUACGCGUCUCCCGAAUUGAAAGCAUUAAAAGCCUCUUCAGAAAAGAUGUUGUUGCGAAGUACGGCCCAUCGGCGCCGGUGAUUCAUGGCGCUCUCCACUUCGGAAUUCGUGGCGGAAAGCAUAUCUGCAUCCUCUGUCGGAGGACAAUGCGGCAUCGGCCCCGCGCCCGCCUCCUCUCUUGAAGCCGGUUCUGGAAUCCGGCUGGUAGAGGCGUGAUUGGCAGGAUCUUCGGAUAUAGUCCGGCUAUUCCUCUUUCUGCCAGGACACGAAGGAUGCUGUUACAUUUCAAACACAAUAAUCACAGAGCAGGUUCUUACCAUAUCUCUGUAGCGGUGUUUCGGCCCUAACCGCCUUCCUCUUAAGCCUGCCCGAUCCGGACACCCUUUGCCGACGAGUCCCCAGGGGCUCGGCGCCGUGCUCUGACCAUCAUCUCUACAAAAAUAUGACACUUCAGGUGUAAGGCAUGGCGUCAGAAAGGAGUCCUCUUCGGAGGAUAGGGUUUUUUGGCUUGGCUUACACGUGAUGUAGGUAGCAGUCUGGAUAGUCAGCGGUAAUAGCCACCGAGGCACUGCCGCAGCUUGCCUGAUAAAAUAUCCCGUUGACAAGCUCCACAGUAAUAUCCGGAUCUUCUUCGAGUCCUGGAUCGAGGGCCCUUCCGGGGUCCUCUGGCUGCGGGGAGGGGUUGGAGAUUCCUUCUAUGACCCUCCUCAGUUCCUGCUCAAAAAUAUCGAGGUAAAUAAUCUUGACGAAGAACGCCAAAUUGAGUGAAGCAGCGGAAAGACUGGCGACUUACCCAGCUUGGGGGGUUGUACAUAGAAAACCCAUCCCGUGGUUUAAUGUGAAGGAAUUCUUCUUCUUCUCCUUUAUACAGAUCGGACAAUAUCCUCGCCAGCGCAGUGGCGGAGUCCGGACCCUUACGGCCACAGCGGGUGGCAUCAUCUUCCCCGUUGUAGUGCCACAUGGGCUUCCCCCGAUAUUGAAGCGGCUGCACUCCCCGCAUUAUGCAUAUUGCCAUAACCUCGACUAUCGUCAGCCCGGAUUUGGCCAGUAACUUUAUCCUGCUCAUCAGGAAGUGUAUCUCUCUGGUAUCCUCCUCGUGGGGGCCCCGAGGGCGCCAGCUUCGAUGUGCCUUCGGCGAGGCGUUACUGAACUUAGGGAGACCUGUCCGGACUUGAUCCGGAAGGGGAACGUCGUCGACAUAAAACCACUCCGAAGGCCAGUUCUCCGGUGCCUUCUUGGGAGUACCGGAUAGGUAUCCAGUCUCGAUGAUGCGCCAUACUUCGGCUCCGCCCACUUGACAUAGGGAUUCCCCCUGGUUGCGAGGGACAAGGCAGAACAACUUCUUCCAUAACCCAAAGUGAGCCUCGCAGCCUAGAAAUAGCUCACAAAGGGCAACGUAUCCUGCUAUAUGCAGCACGGAGGCAGGGGUGAAGUUGUGCAACUGGAGGCCGUAGAACUCCAAGAGCCCGUGCAGAAAUGGGUGGAUAGAAAACCCGACGCCCCUUAGCAGAUGCGGGAUGAGACAUAUCCUCUCCUCUGGAGAUGGAUUAGGAGAUCCCUCCGCUUGCUCCCCGCCAUUAUAUGUGGCUAGUCCGGCUCGGACGGGGACCAUGAACGCCGGUGGGAGAAACCCUUGGGUCUGUAACUCUAUCAAACGACUGUGAGGAACUGAACACUCUUCCCAGUCACCCGGCUUGGAGCGAGAGGAGCGAGAAGAAGAGCUGCGGCGACCGGCCAUGUUGGAAUGGUUUUUCCAGAGCACUCUGUUGGAUGCUUGCUCGAGGGAAGAAGGUGAGAUUUGGAUCUGAGAAUCCCCGUCUCUUUAAAUAGACGAUUAGCUGCCGGACCGGGGGUGGAAAAUGCAAAGAUGCCUCGUCUCCUCGUAUUCGCUCGACACGUGGAGAUGGUCAUUAUUGAGGCACAGAAGCCGAGGAGAACAACAUUGAUGGGAAGCUGGACACUGUUUGUUGCAACAGGUACUUUGGAGUAUUCGGAGAUGGAACCCGCCUUGCAAUGCCGAAGACAAGACUGCGUGCCGGACUCGUCGUCAUUGAAGCCUGGUUCAUGGGCUACUGAGGGAGUCCUAUAUUAGGGGGUAUCCGGACAGCCGGACUAUAUACUUUGGCCGGACUAUUGGAGCGUGAAGAUACAAGACUCAAGACUUCGUCCUGUGUCCGGAUGGGACUCUCCUUUGCGUGGAAGACAAGCUUGGCGAUCCAGAUAUUAUAUUUCCUUCCUUGUAACCGACUCCAUGUAAACCCUAGCCCUCUCCGGUGUCUAUAUAAACCGGAGGGUUUUAGUCCUUAGGGACAGAAUCAUAAUCAUCAUAGGCUAGCUUCUAGGGUUUAGCCUCUAUGAUCUCGUGGUAGAUCAACUCUUGUACUACUCAUAUCAUCAAUAUCAAUCAAGCAGGAAGUAGGGUUUUACCUCCAUCGAGAGGGCCCGAACCUGGGUAAACAUUGUGUCCCUUGCCUCCUGUUACCAUUAGUCUAAGACGCACAGAUCGGGACCCCCUACCCGAGAUCCGCCGGUUUUGACACCGACAUGCGCAACGACCCGGACUUGGCGAUGGUCUGGGCCCUCGACCGGUCGGUCAUCACUGCAGAGACGGCCGUGCGGAGCCACCGCCGUCUCGACGGUGAGCUCGCCAAGAUUUUCGAGGAAUGGUCUCUCAACGACACCUUCACUAAUGUCGGCAGAGGUAGGGCACCGCGGCCGGCGUCCGCAUUGGCCACGGUAGCCCUCGUCACGGCGUAGGAGGAACUGGACCGGCUCUUUCGCGAGCGCCAAGAGGUGUCCGUGCAAGGGUGCCGCGGCCCCGUGGCUGGAAGGACGACGACGAUGGCGCCAUGGCCCGCGACGACGGUACUGCCCAAGAAGACCGCUCAAAACGAUCGAGAAAAAACAAUUCUCAAAGAAAAAUCUAAGAAGGAACAUGACUGCACUUUCGUUUUCAUUGCUCUGUUUUUCUCCCACUACGAGUGCCUGUGCUUAUGUGUCAUCACAGGGCGAGCUCAGUAUCAUCACAAUUAUUUGGGGAAACCAAAUGGUCUGUGGUCCGGUUCGGGUAUGGUUAUGGUUUCUGGAGGGACGGCAGAACUUAGGAAAACCAAAAUGUCUCGUGGUUCGGUUCGGGUAUGGUUCUGGACUUCUGGUUUGCCACAACGCCGAAGGCUGACAAUGAACGCGGCACGGCCGCAACGCCGGUGCUGCCCAAGAAGACUGUUCAAAACGAUGAAGAAAAAAUAAAAUUUUCAAAUGAAAAUCUAAGAAGGAACAUGACUGCACUUUCGUUUUUGAUGCUCUGUUUUUCUCCCACUACGAGUGCAUGUGCUUACGGAGGAUGAUCAUGACAGCAGGGUGGGGUCAGAGUUCUCACAAUCAUUUGGGAAAACCAAAAUGUCCUGUGGUUCGGUUCGGGUCUGGUUAUGGUUUCUGGAGGGGCGGCAGAACUCAGGGAAACCAAAAUGUCUUGUGGUUCGGUUCGGGUAUGGUUCUGGUUUGCCACAGUGCCACUUUGCGCGUAGGCUGGCUAUAAAUCUUCAUCAUCUCCCCCCAGGUCAAGAACCCAUUUCUCCAGCAAACACCACACACACGAGACACGAGACGCACAAUGGAUUCCGUGGCCACAGUCGCCGACCUUGGCGCCCUGAUCUCCGACGCAUGCCGCGACGCGGAGAUGCUGCCGGGCGCUCUGAUCUCGUGCGGCGUAGCCGAGGCCGCCGCGGCGCUCUGCCUCGUCAUCUCCAAGGCGCCCGGCGGUGUGUUCCUCCACCACGGCAAAGCGCCAUUCGUUCUGUACUACGGCAUCCUCGUCGCCGUGUUCAUCUUCGGGCUCCUCGAGGCGUCGGCCGGCUUCUGGGUGUCAGGCGACGUGGUCGGACGGUGCGCCGCCGGGAAGACGAUCCUCUGGUUGGGCCUCCUGCCCAUCGUCUUGGUGGCUGCGCUUGGAGGCGUUGUCAUUCUGAGCAUGAAAUAGUGUCGAUGUUUGCCGGUAGUAUCAUGUACUGAUGCUGUUGUAAUCUGUUGGUUCGUCCAUGUCAGUUACGCCUUGUGUGUGUAGGUGGGCGCGCAUGAGCUUGAGGUGUCAUUUCCUUUCACUUGCAGUCUGCACGGUGUGUUCUGUGGAGAUGAAUUUUGGGUUAUUACGCUGUAAUUAUUGCUCUUCCCUGAUUUUCCUAAGCGAACAAAACAAAAAUGCAUCCGUUGUAGCGGAAGCAGAGGGUUCGAAGUUCCCUUCUGUUUUUUUGUUUUGUUUUUCUUUUGAGAUCCUGUUCCCUUGUGUAAUGUGAUCCGUCGGCCUGCCCGAACACGGCCUGGUAUGUUUCACUAAAAAUCUGGGACAAACUAGCCUGGCCCAAACCGUUCGAGUAUCAUCGACAGGCCCGAACUCACUCAGCCCAUAGAGCUUUGUGUGCUCUCCACGAACUCUCAACCGCGAGCGUGCGUGUGCUCUCUAGAACAAAACAAGAAAAGAAAGACGGGGACUCAACACGGAUUUUUUGAUUUUUUUUUUAAAUUGUUGAAUUUUUUUUAUUUUUAAAUUUCUGAAUUAUUUGACAAUUUAAUCUCUAAUCACUCUCACUGCUCAAUAGACGCUAGAAAUAGAGUUCAAAUAACACAUCGAGGGUAAAGUAAUCAUUUUAGAAAUCAACAUGCCGCCGUGCUCAACACGAAUUCAACACUCAAUAUCUCUUGUUAAACCUUAAGUUGCAGCAUGCUCGUUCACACGCUUUGUUUCUUCAAGAGUCGAUAACACCACCGUUGUUUCAUCCUCAUCUCCCUCAUCUGACGAAGACGAAUCCAUGAACUCGGCGUACAAGUACUCCUCGUCUAAAUCAAUUAUUUUUGAUUCAAUGUAAAUAAUGACAACAUUAAAAAAUUGCUAUGGCAUUUGACCGAGCAGUUGAUGGGUGUGGUGUCCACCAUGGACGAUAUCGGGAGGUGCGGAGGGUAUCUGGGUGGCGGCUGAAUCCAGUGGAGUACGACGAUAGAAUAUCCCUAGGCGAGUAGGCGCAUGGGUGGAAUGGCAGAGGUCGACAGGGCCUUGGCAGCGUCCAGGGGAUGGGGGGCAGGAUUUAUCUCUGGGAGUAGAGGACUGGGACGAUUUUGAAAAAAAGCAGGCUUUGGGUGGGGUUUUAGGUGGGUACAAGGAGUUGAAGUCCAACGUGGAAGACGUCCGUGUUGGGGAACGUAGCAGAAAUUCAAAAUUUUCUACGCAUCAGCAAGAUAAAUCUAUGGAGUCAUCUAGCAACGAGGGAGAGGGGAGUGCAUCUACAUACCCUUGUAGAUCGCGAGCGGAAGCGUUCAAGAGAACGGGGUUGAUGGAGUCGUACUCGUCGUGAUCCUAAUCACCGAUGAUCCUAGCGCCGAACGGAAGGCACCUCCGCGUUCAACACACGUACGGUUGGGAAGACGUCUCCUCCUUCUUGAUCCAGCAAGGGGAAGGAGAGGUUGAUGGAGAUCCAGCAGCACGACGGCGUGGUGGUGGAAGCAGCGGCGAUCUCGGCAGGGCUUCGCCAAGCUCAGCGAGAGGGAGAGGUGUCACGGGAGGGAGAGGGAGGUGCCAGGGGCUAGGGUUCGGCUGCCCUCCCUCCCCCCACUAUAUAUAGGGCCCUAGGGGGGCCGGCCCUAGGAGACCCCAUCUCCAAGGGGGGCGCCGGCCAAGGGGGGAAACUUGCCCCCCAAGCCAAGUGGGGCGCCCCCACCCCUAGGGUUUCCAACCCUAGGCGCAGGGGGAGGCCCAAGGGGGGCGCACCAGCCCACCAGGGGCUGGUUCCCUUCCCACUUCAGCCCAUGUGGCCCUUCAGGAUAGGUGGCCCUACCCGGUGGACCCCUGGGACCCUUUCGGUGGUCCCGGUACAAUACCGGUGACCCCGAAACUUUCCCAAUGGCCGAAACUGGACUUCCUAUAUACAAAUCUUUACCUCCGGACCAUUCCGGAACCCCUCGUGACGUCCGGGAUCUCAUCCGGGACUCCGAACAACUUUCGGGUUACCGCAUACUAAUAUCUCUACAACCCUAGCGUCACCGAACCUUGAGUGUGUAGACCCUACGGGUUCGGGAGACACGCAGACAUGACCGCGACGACUCUCCGGUCAAUAACCAACAGCGGGAUCUGGAUACCCAUGUUGGCUCCCACAUAUUCCAAGAUGAUCUCAUUGGAUGAACCACGAUGUCGAGGAUUCAAUCAAUCCCGUAUUCAAUUCCCUUUGUCUACCGGUAUAGUACUUGCCCGAGAUUCGAUCGUCGGUAUCCCGAUACCUUGUUCAAUCUCGUUACUGACAAGUCUCUUUACUCGUUCCGUAACACAUCAUCCCGCGAUCAACUCCUUGAUCACAUUAUGCACAUUAUGAUGAUGUCCUACCGAGUGGGACCAGAGACACCUCUCCGUCACACGGAGUGACAAAUCCCAGUCUCGAUUCGUGCCAACCCAACAGACACUUUCAGAGAUACCCGUAGUGCACCUUUAUAGCCACCCAGUUAUGUUGUGACGUUUGGUACACCCAAAGCAUUCCUACGGUAUCCGGGAGUUGCACAAUCUCAUGGUCUAAGGAAAAGAUACUUGACAUUUAGAAAAGCUUUAGCAUACGAACUACACGAUCUUGUGCUAGGCUUAGGAUUGGGUCUUGUCCAUCACAUCAUUCUCCUAAUGAUGUGAUCCCAUUAUCAAUGACGUCCAAUGUCCAUGGUCAGAAACCAUGACCAUCUGUUGAUCAACGAGCUAGUCAACUAGAGGCUCACUAGGGACAUGUUGUGGUCUAUGUAUUCACACAUGUAUUGCGGUUUCCGGUCAAUACAAUUAUAGCAUGAAUAAUAGACAAUCAUCAUGAACAAGGAAAUACAAUAAUAACCAUUUUAUUAUUGCCUCUAGGGCAUAUUUCCAACAGUCUCCCACUUGCACUAGAGUCAAUAAUCUAGUUCACAUCACUAUGUCAUCUCGCUUGUGAGACAGGUUAUUAGUCAUCGGAUCUGAACCUUUCAGAUCCAUGUGUGCUUUGCAAAUCUCUAUGUCAUCUCCUAGAUGCACCUACCACGCUCUAUUUGGAGCUAUUCCAAAUAACUGUUCUACUAUACGAAUCCGGUUUACUACUCAGAAUAAUCCGGAUUAGUGUCAAAGUUUGCAUCGGCGUAACCCUUUACGAUGAACUCUUUUACCACCUCCAUAAUCGAGAAAAUUCCGUAGUCCACUAGUUACUAAGGAUAAGUUUGGCUGCUGUCCUGUGAUCCAUUCCUGGAUCACUCUUGUACCCCUUGACUGACACAUGGCAAGGCACACUUCCGGUGCGGUACACAGCAUAGCAUACUAUAGAGCCUACGUCUGAAGCAUAGGGGACGACCUUCGUCCUUUCUCUCUCUUCUGCCGUGGUCAUGUCUUGAGUCUUACUCAAUACUCACACCAUAUAACACAUCCAAGAACUCCUUCUUUGCUGAUCUAUUUUGAACUCCUUCAAAAAUCUUGUCACGGUAUGUAUUCAUUUUAAAGUACUAUUAAGCGUUUUGAUCUAUCCUUAUAGAUCUUGAUGCUCAAUGUUCAAGUAGCUUAAUCCAGGUUUUCCAUUGAAAAACACUUUUCAAAUAACCCUAUAAGCUUUCCAGAAAUUCUACAUCAUUUCCGAUCAACAAUAUGUCAACAACAUAUACUCAUCAGAAAUGCUAUAGUGCUCCCACUCACUUCUCCGGAAAUACAAGUUUCUCAUAAAGUUUGUAUAAACCCAAAAUCUUUGAUCAUCUCAUCAAAGCGUAUAUUCCAACUCCGAGAUGCUUACUCUAGUCCCUAGAAGGAUUGCUGGAGCUUUGCACACUUGUUAGCAUCUUUCAGGAUUGACAAAACCUUAUGGUUGUAUCACAUACAACCUUUCCUCAAGAAUAUUGUCGAGGAAACAAUGUUUUGACAUCCUAUCUGCAAGAUUUCAUACAUGGAUCCUCUCUCGGAUUUUAUGGCCUCGAGCCAUUCGUCGGAAUCCGGGCCCACCAUCGCUUCUCCAUAGCUCGUAGGUUCAUUGUUGUCUAGCAACAUGACCUCCAAGACAGGAUUACCGUACCACUCUGAAGCAGUACCUGUCCUUGUCGUCCUACAAGGUUUGGUAGUGACUUGAUCCGAAGUUUCAUGAUCACUAUCAUAAGCUUCUACUUCAAUUGGUGUAGGUGCCACAGGAACAACUUCCUGUGCCCUGCUACACACUAGUUGAAGUGAUGGUUCAACAACCUCAUCAAGUCUCCACCAUCCUCCCACUCAAUUCUUUCAAGAGAAACCUUUCCUCAAGAAAGGACCCGUUUCUAGAAACAAUCACUUUUGCUUCCGGAUCUGAAAUAGGAGGUAUACCCAACUGUUUCGGGUGUCCUAUGAAGAUGUAUUUAUCCACUUUGGGUUCGAGCUUAUCAGGAUGAAACCUUUUCAUAUAAGCGUCGUAGCCCCAAACUUUCAAGAAACGACAGCUUAGGUUUCUCUAAACCAUAGUUCAUACGGUGUCAUCUCAACGGAAUUACGUGGUGCCCUAUUUAAAGUGAAUGCGGUUGUCUCGAAUGCCUAACCCAUGAACGAUAGUGGUAAUUCGAUAAGAGACAUCAUGGUAUGCCCCAUAUCCAAUAGGGUGCAUAUAUGAUGUUCAGACACACCAUCACACUAUGGUGUUCCAGGCGGUAUUAGUUGCGAAACAAUUUCCACAAUGUCUUAAUUUUGUACCAAACACGUAACUCAGAUAUUCAUCUCUAUGAUAAUAUCAUAGACAUUUGAUCCUCUUGUCAUGACGAUCUUCAACUUCACUCUGAAAUUACUUGAACCUUUCAAUAAUUCAGACUUGUGUUUCAUCAAGUAGAUAUCCUCAGCAUCUACUCAAAUCAUCUGUGAAGUAAGAACAUAACGAUAUCCACUGCGUGCCUCGACACUCAUUGGAUAGCACACAUCAAAAUGUAUUACUUCCAACAAGUUUCUCUCUUGUUCCAUCUUACUGAAAAACGAGGCUUUUCAGUCAUCUUGCCCAUGUGGUAUGAUCUGCAUGUCUCAAGUGAUUUAGAAUCAACUGAGUCCAAACGAUGCAUCUGCAUGGAGUUUCUUCAUGCGCACAUACCAAUAGACAUGGUUCGCAUGUCUCAAACUUUUCAAAAAUGAGUGAGUCCAAAGAUCCAUCAACAUGGAGCUGCUUCAUACGUUUUAUACCAAUAUGACUAAAAUGGCAGUGCCACAAGUAGGUGGUACUGUCAUUACUAUCUUAUAUCUUUUAGCAUGAACAUGUGUAUCACUAUGAUCGAGAUUCAAUAAACCAUUCUUUUAGGUGCAAGACCAUUGAAGGUAUUAUUCAAAUAAAUAGAGUAACCAUUAUUCUCCUUAAAUGAAUAACCGUAUUGCGAUAGACAUAAUCCAAUCAUGUCUAUGCUCAACGCAAACACCAAAUAACAAUUAUUUAGGUUUAACACCAAUCUCGAUGGUAGAGGGAGUAUGCGAUGCUUGAUCACAUCAAGCUUGGAAAUACUUCCAACACAUAUCGUCACCUCGCCUUUAGCUAGUCUCCAUUUAUUCCGUAGCUCCUUUAUUUCGAGUUACUAACACUUAGCAACCGAACCGGUAUCUUAAUACCCUGGUGCUACUAGGAGUACUAGUAAAGUACACAUUUAAUACAAUGUAUAUCCAAUAUACUUCUGUGAACCUUUCCAGCCUUCUCAUCUACCAAGUAUCUAGGGUAGUUCUGCUUCAGUGACUGUUCCCUCAUUACAGAAGCACUUAGUCUCGGGUUUGGGUUCAACCUUGGGUUUCUUCACUGGAGCAACAACUGAUUUGUCGUUUCAUGAAGUACCCCUUUGUCACACCCUAGCUAGUCAUGCAUUAGAGUGUUGCAUCAUGUUUACUUUUUCAUCAGAAACUUGAAAUGGGGAUGACAGAACCCCCAGUCCCCUCUGAAACCAACUAGGGUUACUAAAAUAAUUUUUCAAUGAACCUGAAAUGCCCUUCUAAAAUGUCCAUCAUUUUAGCCUUGGUUCAGAACCUCUGACAAAAGUGGUGCACAUUUUUCUAGGCCAUCAUAGGGUCUUUGAAUUAAAUCAUAGAUAUUUGAAUUUGGGCAUUUAAAAUAAUAUAAAAUAUUUAAAUGCUCAAAUAUCUCCAAACUAAAAUGUUUCAUGUUGGAAAUAAUCCAACUAUGGACCAGGAGUAGUUUGGUGAAUUUUGGAGUUGCCUAGGUAUUUUAAUUAAUUCAACAAAGUUGCAGAUAUAUUAAAUAAAACAGAAAACAGAAAAGAAAGGGGAAAGACUUACCUGUGCGGCCCAGCCAGCUGGCCGGCCCAGCUAGCAGCCGACCCAGCCCAACACUGUAGCUCCCCGUCGUCUUCCUCCCCACGCCCCGAAGCUGCUGCGUGCUCGCGCGCGCGCGGCCGCGCGGCCACCUCCUGCUUGCCGACGCCCUCCUGGCCGCGUGGACGACAUCCGCAGCCCGUCCCGAUCCCCCCUGCUCUCGCUCACUCUCCCCCGUUUCUCCCUCGCUCUCUCUCGCUCUCGGCCGAAGCACACCGUCGCCGCCGUUCGCCGUAGCCACUGUCUCCGGCCACCCCUCGCUCCCCCGAGUAGCUCAGAAGCUCCGCCACAACUCCCUCUUCCUCCCCACCGCUCCACGAGUCCCCGGAAGCCCUGCAUCGCCGCCACGUCGCCGUUCCCCUCUUCGGGCUCCGACCACCGUCGCCGACGAAUUCGCCGUCUCCAGCGCGUCCCCGAGCCCGCUUCGACGCCCACUGCAACCGCGGUGAGCUACGCCACCGUUUCCCCCUCCUCUCCCCCUCGUUCCCUCACCGUAGCUUCAUCUCCACCACGGCCGAACCUCCGCCGUCGCCGAGCUCGCCGUCGACGCAGCUCCGGUGACCAUUUGGUCACCCCGGCGAGUCCAACGCGUUCACCGAACCCAGUAGAGCAUCCCUAGCGCCUCACUUUGCUCGACUUCGAGCUCCAGCACCACUCCCGUGCAUGACCGAACCCCGGCGGCCGCAGCCGAGCUCACCGCCGUCAACUCCGGCCACCCCGACCCCAACGGACUCCGCCAAGAGCCGCGGGUCGUCCUCAGCUUCACUCCGGUGAUCUCCGCGGUCCAUUUGGUGGCCGAAACGACCAAAACCACUAUCGCCGCCGCACUGUUGGUCGCCGCCGGCCAGAACUCCGGCGAGCUGACGUGGCUUAGUUAAUUAGUCACUAACCCCCCCACCUACUGACGCUGACAAGUGGGCCCAGGGCCUAGUCAAAGCUAACCAGCCCGGGGUCAACGCGGGAUUAGCCCCUGUGACACUGACGUGUGGACCCCACACGUCAGGUUUGACCCGAGCCAGCCCCGUUGACCUGCUGAUGUCACUGUGAUGUCAGGCUGACGCAGUAAAUGAUAUCUCUGGAUUUAAAUUAAAUCAGGAAAUUCAGAAUAUUAUUUAAACUUCAAAAAUUCAUAACUUUUAUUCUGUAACUCCAAAUUGGACAAAUUAUAUAUGAAAAAUGAUCAGAAAAAUCCAAUCUAUCCAUCUGUACUAUUUUCAUGCAUGACCAAACAAGUUAAAUUGAUGUUUUAAUCAGAACAAGGAAAGGCACUUUAAAAGGCCAUAUUUGAAUUUGGAAUUUGAAUCUUUGAUUCAAAUUUGCUCAAACACUUCUGGCUUUAGUUGCAUUAGCCCAACACACUCAUAUUGCCAUGUUUCAUGCAUGCAUCAUAUUGUUGCACAUUGUUUGGUGAUGCCUGUGUAUCGUUAUCCUUUGCGACAGGAUCUGUCCCCGAGGAGUACCGUGAUUACCCUAACGAAGAAUCGUAUCCGUGCAACGAACCAUCAGGCAAGCAACCAACCAUUUGAUCAUAUCGAUACAAUCCCAUGUUCUCGCUCCUGCUCUCAUUUACUGCAUUAAGACAACGCGAUUCAAACUGCUGUGUGCUACGGUAGUUGAACCCAUUUCCUCUGCAUGACCUGUCAUUGCCACAGUAACUAGAUGAAACCCACUAGCAUGUGUAGGAGUUGAUUGAGCCAUAUGUAUGUGUUGUUCCUACCUUGCUAUGCCUGCUAUGCUUAGAGUUGUGUCAGGUCUGGUUCAUCUGGGUGAUGGGCUAGAGUGAAAUGAUUAUGUCGGUAAUAAGAGUGGUGUGGUGAACACGAUUUGGUAAAGGUAUCGAUGAGAGGCCAUGUAGGAGUACAUGGUGGGUUGUUUCAUUGAAGCCGACCUUAAGCACUGAGAUCUGUAUGUGUGAUUUAAGAUACAGCUACUACCAUGCAUUGGGCCCUGAAAUAUGACCCCGCUCGACUUCUUAUUCACCCUAGCUCUCUGUCCAGGAGUUGCAAGUAGUUUCUGGUGUUUGUAGCCUACUGGAGGGUGUGGACAGCGCUGACCGUAGGGGUGGGCUGUGAUGCGGUAGGUACGUGGCACGGUGUACCGAAUACCCGUUAGGUAUCUCGGGAACCCUGUUCACAUCGUUCGGGGCCGUAUGGGAAACCUCGGCCGGACUCCCUGCGGAUGGAACCUGAAUAGGCGAUAAACCUGGACUAGAGGCUUAAGUGUUUAGGUAGGUCGUGGUCUACACCCACGUCGGCUUUCGCUUGAAGUCUGCCGAGCACAUGUCGUGUGCAGACGCUAAGUGGUGGAAACAUGUAUGAAGAAGUACACCCCUGCAGGGUUAACAUGAUCUAUUCGAAUAGCCGCGUCCGCGGUAAAGGACUACUUGGUUGCCUAUACAGUUCAUAGACAAGUAAAUGGAAACUACUAAAAGCCUCAAGAUAAGUGUGAGUGCCGAGGAUGGCUCUUCCGUAGGAAGACGGAGGUGGAUCCUCGGUAGUGUAUUGAAGUGGUGAAUAGUGGACUCGUGUGCGCAAAACUGUUUCAAAUGGAGUAUCGUAGGAUAGUCUAGCCAAGAGUCAAAGCUGGCUUGCUGCAAUAACUCCACCAACCCUUCUUGAUACUAUGCAUGUAUGUAGGAUCUGAUGUAAGUCUUGUUGAGUACCUUUGUACUCAUGUUGCUAUAUUCUACAUUUUUACAGAAGACGCUGCAACCCCUUCUGAUGGGUUUUAUGUAGACGUGGACAUCAACGAGUAGGCUAAAAGACCCAGGUGGUGACCCUGAGCUUGUGAAGGACCACAUAGUAUAGCCAGGCUUUCCAAGCCUCUUUUAUUUUACUAGUUGUCUGUACUCAGACAAGUUACUUCCGCUGUUGGCUUGUAUGAUUGUAUGACUUGUAUGUUGGGUCGUGAGACCCGUACCUUUGUGUGUAUGUUAUGUAUGGCUCUCUGAGCCCUAAAUAAAGUACUUGUGUCGUAGAGUCAUGUUGUGAUGCUUCGUUGUAAUUGCACAUAUCGAGCAUAUUGUGUGUAUGAUUGAAAUGCUUGGUAUGUGUGGGAUCUGACUAUCUAGUUGUUUAUCUUUAGUAGCCUCUCUUACCGGGAAAUGUCUCCUAGUGUUACCGCUGAGCCAUGGUAGCUUGCUACUGCUCUGGAACACUUAGGCUGGCCGGCAUGUGUCCUUCUUCGUUCCUGUGUCUGUCCCUUCGGGGAAAUGUUACGCUUUGAGUACCGGAGUCCUGUUAGCCCGCUACAGCCCGGUUUACCGGAGUCCUGCUAGCCCAGUGCUACAGCCCGGACCCACUUGCUGAUGACCGACACGUUCGAAGCUGGGUCAUGGAUGCCUGUCCCUGUAAGUCUGUGCCACUUUGGGUUUACGACUAGUCAUGUCAGCCCGGGCUCUUUAUCAUAUGGAUGCUAGCGACACUAUCAUAUACGUGAGCCAAAAGGCGCAAACGGUCCUGGGAAAAGGUAAGACGACACCCGUGGGGAUACCGUGCGUGAGGCCGCAAAGUGAUAUGAGGUGUUACCAGCUAGAUCGAUGUGACAUCGAGUCGGGGUCCUGACAGCGUUGGCAUCAGAGCCGGACUGCCUGUAGGUUCUCCAAGCCAAACUGGUCGAUGUUGAGUCUAGAAAUUCUUAGUUAUAUGUAGGGGAAUUGUUUGUGGGUUGGAACGUAAGGCUCUUUUUACUCCUUAUACCUUGUGACAUUCUGAUCUGAGUCAGUCCAUUCUUCCACCGGGGGUUAAGGAAUUAGGAUCUGUUCUCUCUAUCAGGAUCACGUGUUACUAAUCAGUAGUACCUUAUAAGUUUGAUGGUUACAAGCCUAGUUCAGUUCUACUACCACAUUUUGUGGUAGGAAUGGUUUCAAGACUUGAUAUGAUGAUGUUGAGUGUGUACGAAAUCCUUUGUCAAAUGUCUCAAUAUCCUUUUUGAGCAUUUACAGCUGUUAUGCUGCCGAAAUUUUGCUAGAAAUUCUAAUGCCUUUGCAUUAUAAUUGUGCUUUCAGAUGGCCACUCGCGACCUCAAUCAAGUGGUUCGCCUAACUCGAUGCCUAGAUGUACCCGGCCAUACUGCUAAGUUGGUCAGGGUAAUGACUGAGGCUGGAUACCGCUGGUAUCCUGAGUACACGGUCGAAGAGCAAUUCCGAGAUUUUAAUCAAAGCCAGUAUCUCUGCACUGUCAGGAUAUUUCCAUCUUAUCCUGGAUCCACUGAGCCUCUUCACUGCUCCUAUGGACUCGGGGUUACUAUCGAGAUGGCUGUGCAAGAUGCCGCCUACUCUAUGAUGACCAUUAUGCGAGUCAGAUCUGGUCUAUUUCGGGACUCUGAUUUCCGGUAUAUGCCAGGAUCACUUCCGGGAGCACAAGGGUAUCUCCAGGCUAUCUAUGCUGACUCCACUCAGGAGGAUUCACGGACUCGCACCACGGCUGAGAUGCUCGAGGAUAAGGACCGUGAAAAUCGGGCCUUAAGGUUAGAGCUCUUCAAUACCCGUGCUGACCACUGGGCCACCUUGACUCGGUUCGCACCGGCGGUGCAAGCUGGAUAUUCAGAUAUGCGCGAUCUCUAUCCUGUGAGAUCUGCUCUGCCAGACGUGAUGGUUUGGCGUGAUGUAGGAGGCAUCACCCCACCUCGCGGUCCCCGCAGGCCACCGUCUGUUGGUCCAAGACCUCAUCCUAGCCCCUAUGGUCCACAAGCUCCGCGAGACCGUCUGUUUCCGGAUGAUCAUGUUGAACUUCCAGGCUAUGGAGGUGACUUCUACGAGGACUACUACGGAUCGGUCUGAGUUAGUAGUAGUAUCACUAUUUCGCACUAGCUGUGUCGUCUAUCGUCCUGCGUGACUCGUGGGAUAUGACCUAGUUUGUACUCUUUCCGGAGGUGUAGAAAAAUAAUGUAUAGGAGCUUGGAAUGCCUCCGAUGAGAUGUAAUCCUUUUCUCACCGUAAUAGUACUUUGUUUGGUCUUGUACUAAACCUUGUAUGGUGUGUAUGACGAUGGAAUAAAGAAGCAGUUUCUGUAUCUACCAUGUCAUACGGAUGAUCAUCUUGCAUUCCGAGUUAUUUCUUACAUUAUGUAUCCCAUGUCGGAAUUUCAUCACUCUGACUAAAUCAUUGUCUUGUUUACCUAGGAUGGUCAACACGCGCGCCAACCCUGCUUCCCAAGAGCAGGCCGAAGGCAGUGAAGCCAAGAAUGAAAAUCUGCCUCAUCCUCCUUCACUAGCCGAGGUGAUGAUGGAAGCUGAGAGAAACAAGCGGGAGACAAACCGUUUGUUGGAGCGUAUUGAACAGAACACAGCACACCAUCAGAGGGCUAACGUGGUGUCACUCAGUGAUUUUAUCAAAUUGCAUCCACCCACGUUCCACCACUCCGUCGAGCCUCUCGACGCUGAUGACUGGCUUCGCAGUAUCUCUCACAAACUGCGUUCGGCGCUGGUAGCUGAGGCUGACAAGGUCACCUUUGCUGCAUAUCAUCUUGAAGGCCCCGCCAGUCUAUGGUGGGAGAAUUAUGGAGCUAUGCGCCCAGCGGGCCAUGUCACAACUUGGGCUGAAUUCAGCGACGCUUUCCGUGAACAUCACAUUCCGGAGGGUCUCAUGGACCGCAAGCGUGAAGAAUUUUGCAAUUUCACCCAAGGCCGACUUUCCGUGGAUGUCUAUAGCAGGGAGUUUGGUAAUCUUGCACGAUAUGCAACCGAGGAAGUUUCUACUGACGCCAAGAAGCAAGCAAGGUUCCGCAAGGGCCUUAGUCCUGAGCUUCGCCGCGACCUUCGUCUGCAUGAGUGCACAUCUUUUUCGAAACUCGUCAACAAAGCCAUCAGUGCUGAAACUGGUCAGACUGACUAUGACGCAACACGCAAGCAUGGACGUGACACGGGUUCCUCAUCCGGUGCUGGUCCUCAGAAGCGCCGCGUGUGGGUACCCAACACCGCCCUGCCACCCAGGUUCACACCGAGGCCAUCUUUCCAGGCGCCUCGCCCCGCUCAACAGUCUGCUCCAGCUAAGCCCUAUGGGGGUCCAACCAAUAAUGCUCCUCCACGUACCAGUUCCGUGACUUGUUUCAAGUGUGGGGAAUCUGGUCAUUAUAUGCGUGAGUGUCCCCAGACCAACCCCAAUCAAUCUGCUAAAGCUGUUGGCCGUGGCAAGCCGACAGGAAAAGUGUUUCAUGCCAAACCGGUCACCGCUUCACGUGGCCAUGUCAACUGUAUCUCUGCCGAAGAAGCUCAAGAGGACCCCAACGUCGUUCUCGGUACGCUUCUUGUUAAUUGCCACCCGGCAUCUGUUCUUUUCGAUACAGGAGCCUCUCAUUCCUUUAUAUCUGAAAAUUAUGCUCGUUUGCAUAACGUUGCAUUCUGUGACUUGCCAUCCACUAUGGAAAUCUCUACCCCUGGGUCUAGAUGGCAGACCUCUAGGGUAAGUUAUGGAAAUGAGAUCCAAGUCGACAGACUUGUUUUCCUUGCGUCUUUGAUAGCCCUUAAAUCUUCAGAUAUUAAUAUCAUUCUGGGUAUGGACUGGAUGUCAGCCCAUCAUGCCCAAAUUGAUUGCUUCUCUAGGACUGUUCAACUCACCCAUCCUUCGGGGAAGAUAGUCAAUGUCUUGACCCGAAUAGCCAAGCGACAAUUAUAUUCUCUUAACGCCAGCCUUUUGCCAGACCUUGAGGACGUUCCGGUAGUCCGUGACUUUCCGAAUGUCUUUCCAGAGGAAUUGCCAGGUGUUCCACCUGACAGGGAUGUUGAGUUCGUAAUAGACCUCAUCCCCGGAACCGUUCCGAUUGCUAGAAGACCUUACAAAAUGGCACCUCUAGAACUAGCCGAGCUUAAGAAACAACUCGAUGAAUCCUUGAAAAAGGGUUUCAUCCGACCUAGCUCAUCUCCGUGGGCUUGCCCCGUCCUAUUCGUCAAGAAGAAAGAUGGUACGGACCGGAUGGUUGUAGAUUACCGACCUGUCAAUUUGGUCACAAUCAAAAACAAAUAUCCACUUCCCAGGAUCAACGACCUGUAUGAUCAGCUCGCUGGAUCCUCAGUCUUCUCUAAGAUGGAUUUGAGGUUGGGCUACCAUCAAAUCAAAAUCAGAAACGGGGACAUUCCUAAAACGGCCUUUGUUACUCGUUAUGGCCAAUACGAGUACACCGUCAUGUCCUUCGGAUUAACCAACGCUCCAGCCACUUUUUCUCGGUUAAUGAACUCAAUCUUCAUGGAGUAUUUGGAUAAAUUCGUCGUAGUUUAUCUCGAUGAUAUACUCAUCUACUCCAAGAACGAGGAAGAACAUGCCGAACAUCUAAGGAUAGUGUUGAAGAAACUUCGAGAGCAUCGCCUUUAUGCCAAAUUUUCUAAAUGUGAAUUCUGGUUAUCAGAAGUGACCUAUCUGGGUCAUGUAAUAUCUGGUAAAGGUAUUGCUGUUAACCCUGAGCGAGUUCAAGCCGUCCUUGAUUGGACUCCACCCGAAUCGGUCAAGCAAGUUCGGAGUUUUCUAGGCUUAGCGAGCUAUUGCCGUCGCUUUGUCGAGAACUUCUCCAAGGUUGCCAAACCUCUAACCGAACUCCUCAAGAAAGAUAAGAAGUUCGAAUGGACUCCACAAUGUGAGCACAGUUUUCAGGAACUGAAAAGACGCCUGACCUCUGCUCCCGUGCUGGUACCGCCAGACUUCUCCAAGGACUUUGUUAUCUACUGCGACGCCUCGCGACAAGGACUAGGUUGCAUUCUUAUGCAAGAUCGACACGUAAUUGCUUACGCUUCACGGCAAUUGCACCCACAUGAGGAGAAUUAUCCUACUCAUGAUUUAGAACUUGCAGCCGUAGUCUAUGCACUUAAGACCUGGCGACAUUACCUUCUCGGUAAUCGUUGCGAAAUAUUCACUGAUCACCAAAGCCUGAAGUACAUCUUCACCCAACCGGAUUUGAAUCUCAGGCAGAGACGUUGGGUUGAAUUGAUCACAGACUUCGACUUAGGAAUAACCUAUACCCCAGGGAAAGCCAACGUCAUGGCUGAGGCGCUAAGUCGUAAAUCUUAUUGUAACAAUCUGAUGUUACAACAAAGUCAACCGCUUCUCCAUGAGGAAUUUCGGAAGCUUAACCUUCACAUUGUACCUCAAGGUUUUCUUUCCACCUUGGUGGCAAAACCUACUCUUACGGAUCAAAUCAUCGCUGCCCAAAAGCGAGAUAAGGGAAUAUCUAAAAUCAAGGAGAACAUUGCUAGCGGAGGUGCUAGUUGUUUCUCCACAAAUGAUCAUGGUGUUGUGUACUUUGAGAAUCGUCUAGUGGUUCCCAAGAACCAGCAUCUGCGGCAGUUGAUCCUUAAGGAGGCCCAUGAAUCUCCUCUCACCAUUCAUCCCGGUAGUACUAAGAUGUAUCAGGACCUACGCCAGAGGUUCUGGUGGACUAGGAUGAAGAGAGAAAUUGCUCAGUAUAUUGCAAAUUGCGACGUCUGUCGUCGUGUAAAAGCAGAGCAUCAACGACCUGCUGGCACCCUUCAACCCUUAGCUAUUCCUGAAUGGAAAUGGGAUAAAAUUGGUAUGGAUUUCAUUACCGGUUUUCCCAGGACCAAGAGAGGGAAUAAUGCUAUUUUCGUCGUGGUCGAUCGUCUUUCCAAAGUAGCUCAUUUCCUAUCUGUUCGUGAGAGUAUAACCGCUAGUCAGCUGGCAGACUUAUACAUCUCCCGGAUAGUGUCUCUCCAUGGUGUUCCUUUGGAAAUCAAUUCGGAUCGAGGAAGUCUUUUCACCUCUCGAUUUUGGGAAAGUUUCCAAAAUGCUAUGGGAACUCGUCUCUCUUUUAGCACCGCUUUCCACCCUCAGUCAAGUGGUCAAGUGGAACGCGUCAAUCAGAUUCUAGAAGACAUGCUUCGAGCCUCCGUUAUCUCUUUCGGAAUGGACUGGGAGAAGUGCCUUCCAUUUGCCGAAUUCGCUUACAACAACAGCUAUCAAUCUAGCUUGGGUAAAGCCCCUUUUGAAGUUCUCUAUGGACGACGAUGUCGAACACCCCUUAACUGGUCAGAGACCGGGGAAAGGCAAUUCUUUGGCCCGGAUAUGAUUCAGGAAGCAGAAGAACAAGUUCGUAUCGUUCGUGAAAAGUUGAAAACAGCCCAAUCCCGUCAAAAGAGUCAAUAUGACCGAAAACAUAAGGCUAUGACUUUCGAGGUUGACGAGAAGGCUUAUCUUCGGGUCACCCCUCUGAAGGGAACCCAUCGUUUCGGUAUCAAAGGCAAAUUGGCUCCUCGUUACAUUGGACCUUUUCGCAUUCUUGCCAAACGAGGAGAAGUUGCCUACCAGCUGGAACUACCUCCGCACCUCUCCAGAGUUCACGAUGUCUUCCACGUUUCUCAACUCAGGCGUUGCUUCUCGGAUCCUAUCCGUGAAGUGGACCACGAAACGCUUGAUCUCCAAGAUAAUCUUACCUAUCGAGAGUAUCCCAUCCGUAUCCUCGAUCAAGCCGAGCGUACCACGCGACGUCAUAAUAUCAAGUUUCUCAAGGUUCAAUGGUCGCACCAUUCUGAAGAUGAAGCAACUUGGGAAAGGGAGGAUCGUCUUCGACUCGAGUAUCCCGCCUUCUUCUCGGAGGAACCCAAAUCUCGGGACGAGAUUCUUUUGAGUGGGGGUGAGUUGUUCAGAACCUCUGCCAAAAAUGGUGCACACUUUUCUAGGCCAUCCUAGGGUUCUUGAGUUAAAUCAUAACUAUUUGAAUUUGGGCAUUUAAAAUAAUAUAAAAUAUUUAAAUGCUCAAAUAUCUCCAAACUAAAAUGUUUCAUGUUGGAAAUAAUCCAACUAUGAGCCAGGAGUAGUUUGGUGAAUUUUGGAGUUGCCUAGGUAUUUUAUUUAAUUCAACAAAGUUGCAGUUAUAUUAAAUAAAACAGAAAACAGAAAAAAACUAAAAGGGAGAAGCUUACCUGGGCUCCUCCCUGUUCAGCCCGGCCCAGCUAGCCAGCCCAGCACUGUAGCUCCCCGUCGUCUUCCUCCCCACGCCCCGAAGCUGCUGCGUGCUCGCGCGCGCGCGGCCGCGCGGCCACCUCCUGCUUGCCGACGCCCUCCUGGCCGCGUGGACGACGCCCGCAGCCCGUCCCGAUCCCCCCUGCUCUCGCUCACUCUCCCCCGUUUCUCCCUCGCUCUCUCUCGCUCUCGGCCGAAGCACACCGUCGCCGCCGUUCGCCGUAGCCACUGUCUCCGGCCACCCCUCGCUCCCCCGAGUAGCUCAGAAGCUCCGCCACAACUCCCUCUUCCUCCCCACCGCUCCACGAGUCCCCGGAAGCCCUGCAUCGCCGCCACGUCGCCGUUCCCCUCUUCGGGCUCCGACCACCGUCGCCGACGAAUUCGCCGUCUCCAGCGCGUCCCCGAGCCCGCUUCGACGCCCACUGCAACCGCGGUGAGCUACGCCACCGUUUCCCCCUCCUCUCCCCCUCGUUCCCUCACCGUAGCUUCAUCUCCACCACGGCCGAACCUCCGCCGUCGCCGAGCUCGCCGUCGACGCAGCUCCGGUGACCAUUUGGUCACCCCGGCGAGUCCAACGCGUUCACCGAACCCAGUAGAGCAUCCCUAGCGCCUCACUUUGCUCGACUUCGAGCUCCAGCACCACUCCCGUGCACGACCGAACCCCGGCGGCCGCAGCCGAGCUCACCGCCGUCAACUCCGGCCACCCCGACCCCAACGGACUCCGCCAAGAGCCGCGGGUCGUCCUCAGCUUCACUCCGGUGAUCUCCGCGGUCCAUUUGGUGGCCGAAACGACCAAAACCACUAUCGCCGCCGCACUGUUGGUCGCCGCCGGCCAGAACUCCGGCGAGCUGACGUGGCUUAGUUAAUUAGUCACUAACCCCCCCACCUACUGACGCUGACAAGUGGGCCCAGGGCCUAGUCAAAGCUAACCAGCCCGGGGUCAACGCGGGAUUAGCCCCUGUGACACUGACGUGUGGACCCCACACGUCAGGUUUGACCCGAGCCAGCCCCGUUGACCUGCUGAUGUCACUGUGAUGUCAGGCUGACGCAGUAAAUGAUAUCUCUGGAUUUAAAUUAAAUCAGGAAAUUCAGAAUAUUAUUUAAACUUCAAAAAUUCAUAACUUUUAUUCUGUAACUCCAAAUUGGACAAAUUAUAUAUGAAAAAUGAUCAGAAAAAUCCAAUCUAUCCAUCUGUACUAUUUUCAUGCAUGACCAAACAAGUUAAAUUGAUGUUUUAAUCAGAACAAGGAAAGGCACUUUAAAAGGCCAUAUUUGAAUUUGGAAUUUGAAUCUUUGAUUCAAAUUUGCUCAAACACUUCUGGCUUUAGUUGCAUUAGCCCAACACACUCAUAUUGCCAUGUUUCAUGCAUGCAUCAUAUUGUUGCACAUUGUUUGGUGAUGCCUGUGUAUCGUUAUCCUUUGCGACAGGAUCUGUCCCCGAGGAGUACCGUGAUUACCCUAACGAAGAAUCGUAUCCGUGCAACGAACCAUCAGGCAAGCAACCAACCAUUUGAUCAUAUCGAUACAAUCACAUGUUCUCGCUCCUGCUCUCUUUUACUGCAUUAAGACAACGCGAUUCAAACUGCUGUGUGCUGCGGUAGUUGAACCCAUUUCCUCUGCAUGACCUGUCAUUGCCACAGUAACUAGAUGAAACCCACUAGCAUGUGUAGGAGUUGAUUGAGCCAUAUGUAUGUGUUGUUCCUACCUUGCUAUGCCUGCUAUGCUUAGAGUUGUGUCAGGUCUGGUUCAUCUGGGUGAUGGGCUAGAGUGAAAUGAUUAUGUCGGUAAUAAGAGUGGUGCGGUGAACACGAUUGGUAAAGGUAUCGAUGAGAGGCCAUGUAGGAGUACAUGGUGGGUUGUUUCAUUGAAGCCGACCUUAAGCACUGAGAUCUGUAUGUGUGAUUUAAGAUACAGCUACUACCAUGCAUUGGGCCCUGAAAUAUGACCCCGCUCGACUUCUUAUUCACCCUAGCUCUCUGUCCAGGAGUUGCAAGUAGUUUCUGGUGUUUGUAGCCUACUGGAGGCCGUGGACAGCGCUGACCGUAGGGGUGGGCUGUGAUGCGGUAGGUACGUGGCACGGUGUACCGAAUACCCAUUAGGUAUCUCGGGAACCCUGUUCACAUCGUUCGGGGCCGUAUGGGAAACCUCGGCCGGACUCCCUGCGGAUGGAACCUGAAUAGGCGAUAAACCUGGACUAGAGGCUUAAGUGUUUAGGUAGGUCGUGGUCUACACCCACGUCGGCUUUCGCUUGAAGUCUGCCGAGCACAUGACGUGUGCAGACGCUAAGUGGUGGAAACAUGUAUGAAGAAGUACACCCCUGCAGGGUUAACAUGAUCUAUUCGAAUAGCCGCGUCCGCGGUAAAGGACUACUUGGUUGCCUAUACAGUUCAUAGACAAGUAAAUGGAAACUACUAAAAGCCUCAAGAUAAGUGUGAGUGCCGAGGAUGGCUCUUCCGUAGGAAGACGGAGGUGGAUCCUCGGUAGUGUAUUGAAGUGGUGAAUAGUGGACUCGUGUGCGCAAAACUAUUUCAAGUUGGAGUAUCGUAGGAUAGCCUAGCCAAGAGUCAAAGCUGGCUUGCUGCAAUAACUCCACCAACCCUUCUUGAUACUAUGCAUGUAUGUAGGUUCUGAUGUAAGUCUUGCUGAGUACCUUUGUACUUAUGUUGCUAUAAUCUACAUUUUUACAGAAGACGCUGCAACCCCUUCUGAUGGGUUCUAUGUAGACGUUGACAUCAACGAGUAGGUUAAAGACCCAGGUGGUGACCCUGAGCUUGUGGAGGACCACGUAGUAUAGUUAGGCUUCCAAGCCUCUUUUAUUUUACUAGUUGUCUGUACCCAGACAAAGUACUUCCGCUGUUGGCUUGUAUGACUGUAUGACUUGUAUGUUGGGUCGUGAGACCCGUACCUUUGUGUAUGAUAUGUAUGGCUCCCUGAGCCUUAAAUAAAGUACUUGUGUCAUAGAGUCAUGUUGUGAUGCUUCGUUGUAUUUGCACAUAUCGAGCAUAUUGUGUGUAUGGUUGAAAUGCUUGGUAUGUGUGGGAUCUGACUAUCUAGUUGUUUAUCUUUAGUAGCCUCUCUUACCGGGAAAUGUCUCCUAGUGUUACCGCUGAGCCAUGGUAGCUUGCUACUGCUCUGGAACACUUAGGCUGGCCGGCAUGUGUCCUUCUUCGUUCCUGUGUCUGUCCCUUCGGGGAAAUGUCAUGCUUUGAGUACCGGAGUCCUGUUAGCCCGCUACAGCCCGGUUUACCGGAGUCCUGCUAGCCCAGUGCUACAGCCCGGACCCACUUGCUGAUGACCGACACGUUCGAAGCUGGGUCAUGGAUGCCUGUCCCUGUAAGUCUGUGCCACUUUGGGUUUACGACUAGUCAUGUCAGCCCGGGCUCUUUAUCAUAUGGAUGCUAGCGACACUAUCAUAUACGUGAGCCAAAAGGCGCAAACGGUCCCGGGAAAAGGUAAGACGACACCCGUGGGGAUACCGUGCGUGAGGCCGCAAAGUGAUAUGAGGUGUUACCAGCUAGAUCGAUGUGACAUCGAGUCGGGGUCCUGACACCCUUCUUGCCCUUGCCCUUCUUGAAACUAGUGGUUUCACUAACCAUCACCAAUUGAUGCUCCUUCUUGAUUUCUACUUUCGCAGUGUCAAACAUCGCGAAUAUUUCAAGGAUCAUCAUAUCUAUCCCUGAUAUGUUAUAGUUCAUUACGAAGCUCUAGUAGCUUGGUGGCAAUGUCUUUGGAGAAACAUCACUAUCUCAUCUGGAAGAUUAACUCCCACUCGAUUCAAGUGAGUUGUGCCCAGACAAUCUGAGUACAAUUUCAACGAUUGAGCUUUUCUCCCUUAGUUUUAGGCUAAGAAACUCGUCGGAGGUCUUAUACCUCUUGACGUGGGCACGAGCCUGAAAUCCCAAUUUCAGCCCUUGAAACAUCUCAUAUGUUCCACAACAUUUCGAAAUCGUCUUCGGUGCCUCAAUUCUAAACCGUUUAACAUUACUGAACUAUCACGUAGUUAUCAAAACGUGUAUGUCAGAUGUUCCCAACAUCCACAGACGACGUUCGAGGUUCAGCACACCGAGCAGUGCAUUAAGGACAUAAGCCUUCUACGCAGCAAUGAGGACAAUCCUUAGUUUACGGACCCAGUCCGCAUAAUUGCUACUAUCAACUUUCAACUAAAUUUUCUCUAGGAACAUAUCUAAAAUAGUAGAACUAAAGCGCGAGCUACGACAUAAUUUGCAAAGACCUUUUGACUAUGUUCAGGAUAAUUAAGUUCAUCUAAUGAACUCCCACUCAGAUAGACAUCCCUCUAGUCAUCUUAAGUGAUACAUGAUCCGAGUCAAGUAGGCCGUGUCCGAUCAUCACGUGAGACGGACUAGUCAUCAUCGGUGAACAUCUUCAUGUUGAUCGUAUCCACUAUACGACUCAUGUUCGACCUUUCGGUCUCUUGUGUUCCGAGGCCAUGUAUGUACAUGCUAGGCUCGUCAAGUCAACCUAAGUGUUUCGCGUGUGUAAAUCUGGCUUACACCCGUUGUAUGUGAAUGUUAGAAUCUAUCACACCCGGUCAUCACGUGGUGCUUCGAAACAACAAACUUUCGCAAUGGUGCACAAUUAGGGGGAACACUUUCUUGAAAUUAUUAUGAGGGAUCAUCUUAUUUACUACCGUCAUUCUAAGCAAAUAAGAUGCAUAAACAUGAUAAACAUCACAUGCAAUCAAAAAGUGACAUGAUAUGGCCAAUAUCAUUUUGCUCCUCCUGAUCUCCAUCUUCGGGGCUCCAUGAUCAUCAUCAUCACCAGCAUGACACCAUGAUCUCCAUCAUCAUGAUCGCCAUCAUCGUGUAUCCAUGGACUUGUCUCGCCAACUAUUACUUCUACUACUAUGGCUAACGGUUUAGCAAUGAAGUAAAGUAAUUACAUGGUGUUAUUCAGUGACACGCAUGUCAUACAAUAAAUAAAGACAACUCCUAUGGCUCCUGCCGAUUGUCAUACUCAUCGAGAUGCAAGUCGUGAUUCCUAUUACAAGAACAUGAUCAAUCUCAUACAUGACAUAUCAUUCAUCACAUUCUUUUUGGCCAUAUCACAUCACAUAGCAUACCCUGCAAAAACAAGUUAGACGUCCUCUAAUUGUUGUUCGCAUGUUUUACGUGGCUGCUAUGGGUUUCUAGCAAGAACGUUUCUUACCUACGCAAAAGCCACAACGUGAUAUGCCAAUUGUUAUUUACCCUUCAUAAGGACCCUUUUCAUCGAAUCCAAUCCGACUAAAGUGGGAGAGACUGACACCCGCUAGCCACCUUAUGCAACAAGUGCAUGUCAGUCGGUGGAACCUGUCUCACGUAAGUGUACGUGUAAGGUCGGUCCGGGCCGCUUCAUCCCACAAUACCGUCGAAACAAGAUUGGACUAGUAACGGUAAGAAUAUUGAACAAAAUCAACGCCCACAACAACUUGUGUUCUACUCGUGCAUAGAAACUACGCAUAGACCUAGCUCAUGAUGCCACUGUUGGGGAACAUAGCAGAAAUUCAAAAUUUUCUAUGCAUCACCAAGAUCAAUCUAUGGAGUCAUCUAGCAACGAGGAAGAGGGGAGUGCAUCUACAUACCCUUGUAGAUCGCGAGCGGAAGCGUUCAAGAGAACGGGGUUGAUGGGGUCGUACUCGUCGUGAUCCUAAUCACCGAUGAUCCUAGCGCCGAACGGACGGCACCUCCGCGUUCAACACACGUACGGUUGAGAAGACAUCUCUUCCUUCUUGAUCCAGCAAGGGGAAGGAGAGGUUGAUGGAGAUCCAGCAGCACGACGGCGUGGUGGUGGAAGCAGCGGCGAUCUCGGCAGGGCUUCGCCAAGCUCAGCAAGAGGGAGAGGUGUCACGGGAGGGAGAGGGAGGCGCCAGGGGCUAGGGUUCGGCUGUCCUCCCUACCCCACUAUAUAUAUGUCCCCUAGGGGGGGGCACCGGCCCUAGGAGAUCCCAUCUCCAAGGGGGGCGGCGGCCCAGGGGGGAAACUUGCCCCCCAAGCCAAGUGGGGCGCCCCCACCCCUAGGGUUUCCAACCCUAGGCGCAGGGGGAGGCCCAAGGGGGGUGCACCAGCCCACCAGGGGCUGGUUCCCUUCCCACUUCAGCCCAUGUGGCCCUCCGGGAUAGGUGGCCCUACCCGGUGGACCCCCAGGACCCUUCCGGUGGUCCCGGUACAAUACCGGUGACCCCGAAACUUUCCCGAUGGCCGAAACUGGACUUCCUAUAUACAAAUAUUUACCUACGGACCAUUCUGGAACACCUCGUGACGUCCGAGAUCUCAUCCGGGACUCCGGAAAACUUUCAGGUUAACGCAUACUAAUAUCUCUACAACCCUAGCGUCACCGAACCUUGAGUGUGUAGACCCUACGGGUUCGGGAGACACGCAGACAUGACCGAGACGACUCUCCGGUCAAUAACCAACAACGAGAUCUGGAUACCCAUGUUGGCUCCCACAUGUUCCAUGAUGAUCUCAUCGGAUGAACCACGAUGUCGAGGAUUCAAUCAAUCCUGUAUUCAAUUCCCUUUGUCUACCGGUAUAGUACUUGCCCGAGAUUCGAUCGUCGGUAUCUCGAUACCAUGUUCAAUCUCGUUACUGGCAAGUCUCUUUACUCGUUUCAUAACACAUCAUCGCGUGAUCAACUCCUUGAUCACAUUGUGCAGAUUAUGAUGAUGUCCUACUGAGUGGGCCCAGAGAUACCUCUGCGUCACACGGAGUUACAAAUCCCAGUCUCGAUUCGUGCCAACCCAACAGACACUUUCGGAGAUACCUGUAGUGCACCUUUAUAGCCACCCAGUUACAUUGUGACGUUUGGUACACCCAAAGCAUUCCUACGGUAUCCGGGAGUUGCACAAUCUCAUGGUCUAAGGAAAAGAUACUUGACAUUUAGAAAAGCUUUAGCAUACGAACUACACGAUCUUGUGCUAGGCUUAGGAUUGGGUCUUGUCCAUCACAUCAUUCUCCUAAUGAUGUGAUCCCGUUAUCAAUGACAUCCAAUGUCCAUGGUCAGGAAACCAUGACCAUCUGUUGAUCAACGAGCUUGUGAACUAGAGGCUCACUAGGGACAUGUUGUGGUCUAUGUAUUCACACAUGUAUUGUGGUUUCCGGUCAAUACAAUUAUAGCAUGAAUAAUAGACAAUUAUCAUGAACAAGGAAAUACAAUAAUAACCAUUUUAUUAUUGCCUCUAGGGCAUAUUUCCAACAGUCGGGACUCCCCAUAGACCUCUUUUGGGGUCGGUCUAUGAGAUUUCAAUCAUCCAGAGUGGUCUAGUCCAGAAAUUUAGGGGCAUUUUGGUGAUCCGCAUCGAAGAUGCCUAUCAUAGAGUAAUUUUCUAAAAUUGCCUUUAUGUUUUUUCUAUUUCUCUCUGGAAAUUCUUUCUUUGGAUUUUCCUCUAUGGGUUUAUUGAGAAAUUAAUUAGUGCAAUCGGGCUAUAGUCCCGGUUUGUAAGGACCUUUAGUCCCGGUUUUGCAACCGGCACUAAAGGGUGGGGACUAAAGGUCCCAUCCUUAGUCCCGGUUCAACACGAACCGGGACCAAAGGCCCACCACGUGGCACAAGCCCGCGGCGGGGCCUGGGGGACCUUUAGUCCCAGUUGGUAACACCAACAAGGACUAAAGGAAUUUUUUUGAUUUUUUUAACGGUUGAAUUUCGAUUUCCAAAUUUUGAAUUAUUUGACAAUUUAAUCUGUCGGAUUUAGGGUUCCGGCAAACCCUUGAGGUUCGAACACUGGGGUGCGCGCGGAGGGAUCGCCUUCUACCUACGUGUUCCUCUCCGAAUCGCUAGGAUCUAAACUACGAGAGGAACAACACAAGAGACACAGGGUUUAUACUGGUUCAGGCCACCAUUGUGGUGUAAUACCCUACUCCAGUGUGUGGCGUGGUGGAUUGCCUCUUGGGCUGAUGAUGAACAAUACAAGGAAGAACAACCUCACGAUGGUCUGUUCUAGUGGUGGUGUUAUCCCUUUGGAAGGGUUGAUUCUAGAUGCCUAUCUUAUCUCUAGAUUCCCUUUUUUCGAUCCCCCGGGUGGCUAGUCCUAUUUAUAGGCGAAGGCCCUGGGCCUCUUCCCAAAUAUUGAGCGGGAAGGGCGCCAACAAUCGGCCAAUUUGAAGGGGAACAUCCAGUACACUUAUCUUGACUAAAGUUGGUCCUCGCCUGUCAAAGGCUCUGGUGGUGACGCCGACUUGGGCUCCACGGUGACCUCCAUCCUGCCGUUGGACUGGUCUUGGUCUUGUUGCACCGAAAUGGAUGCCUUUGCUUGAUGCUCUCGCCUGCGCUUGCUCGCCUUGCACCAAAGAGGAAAGAAGGACACUGCGCGGGCUGGCGCCCGUCCAGCGCCCUUGGUCGUCAUGGCUUGCGUCAUGGGCACCUCAUGAGGUACCCCGCCUUGAACUCCCCGCCUCCUCGUGAGCCAGCCUGACGAGGCCGUGCCUGAGGAAGCUCCUUGUCGUCCGCCCCGCGAGGCUUGGCCCCUCGCGAGGGUCUUGAGCUUUUGUUGAUGAAGAUGGGCCGUGCUAGGCCCCCUUUGAGCCACGCCGCAGGCCGGAGGCAGGCAAGUCUGGGGACCCCCGUUCCCAGAAUGCCGACAGUAGCCCCCGGGUCCAAGGCGCGCCCGGACUUGGCCGAGCAGAGAGGCGAAAAGGCAAGUGCGAAGCGUCACGGGCCCUAACAGCCUACGGCCUUGGGCGCCGCGUGGCGGUUGAUUGGACGUGGGCGCCUCCACUUCCCCAUGACGCCUCGGCAACUGCACGGAUUCGACAAGUCCCUGCACGUGAAACGAGUCAUAAUUACCUGUGGUAGCGAAGGCCGACGGUUGGCCUCCUCUGGCUUUAAGUACGGCACGCCGCGUGCCCUACCGGUUCAUCCCCUCUUGCUUCUCCUUCUUCCUCAUGGCCCCGCCAAGGAGGCUCUUGGCCGCAGAGAAGGGAAAAGCUCGCCAGGCCGAGCCUACCUCUCCCCCGCCCAAGCGCGGUCGCGGCCGCCCUCGCAAGCACCCCAUGGCCCCCACGGCGGUUCCCUAUGACCGCGGAGGUGACGUCCCGUGUGGCGACGGGCGGCCGACCGCGGCCGGGGGGUGUGUUUCGGCCGUGCGGCCCCCGAGGCUGCGCUCUCGCACUGCGGAAGUGCUGCCGGAGUUUGUUGUGUGGGCAGCAGAGCCGGCCAGCGCCCGGCUUCAGCUCCCUCGCUUCCUCCUAGGUGAGCUCCCGGCUGGCGCCCCAGGCGGCCUCUGGCUUCAGGCAGACGGCUGCUGCAGCCGGGCCUCGUGGGUUUCGCUGGAGGUCUUCGCGGCCGGGAGCCUGGCCCUGACCAGCGGCUGGCAGACGUUUGCCCGCGCGCGUGGCCUGAGCCGCCGGUGCACCCUGCACUUCAAGUUCGACGGUGACGCCACCCUCUAUGUGAGGGUGUUUGGGGAAGAUGGUCGCCACGCCGGAUGCUUCCCUGAAGACAACGGCCACGGCUGGGGACCCAGCCCCGGCGAGGAUGGAGAGGGCAGCGAGCGCGCGGCUGGUGGCGCCCAGGAUUCCUCAAGCUUCACUGGUUCCUCUUCGGGUAGCGACUCUUCUAGCAGCGGCCGCAGUCUGCCUCCGCGCCGUCGUGCCUGCUUGGAGGGUGGUAGUGGGUCCGCCCGCCGUCGCACCCUGGUGAAGCACGAGAGGGAGUCCGCUUGAGCUCCGGAGGCAGCUCGGGCGCGGCGCCUGGCGAGCUUUGCCUGAUUUGUUCCUCCUUCCCUUUUCCUGCGCAAAAAGACAGCUAUGUGGGGGCCCCAUGGGGGCGUGUUUGUGUUAUCAUUGUUAACCAUCAUAAUGUUUCCGUUAUUUUGGUAUUGUUCCUUUUUGCUGAACGCCUGCGCGUAGGUAAUCCCCAGCCUUGGCCAUGGGGCGACCGACCCAGGUCCUGUAUUCGUGUCGCGGUGCCCGUGAGGCACGGACUGGAGGAAUGCUCCUGUAGUGGACCCGGGUCGUGAGGUCUUUGACCGAAAGGACCGAAACACUCGCGAGGGCGCCAGGGCCGUCCCCUGGCGAGACCUCAUGCAAGAGAAAUCGGGGUCGGAGGGCGAAAAACCGAAGAGCCAAAAGUCAAAAGACAGCGACAGUUUCGAUAAAACUUCAAAUGAGAAUGAACUAGCCAACUGCAGAAAGCAAAUGAAAAAGCCGCGUCCGGCACCUAGUCUUGUCUUCGACGUCUUCUCACCAGCGCGGAGCUAAGUGCUGCCACUGGGCGUGGGAGGGAGCCCCAGGGCCUGAGGCCGGCGCUCCUAAGACUCCGGGGUGUGUACAGCCCCAACUCAUUAUUACGUGAGAGUGUCACGGGCGGCGAGCUUCACAGGCAUUGGCCUUCUUCACAGGCUCCAAGCCUUUCUUCAGGAAAGUAAGCUUCACGGGCAUUGGCCCUCUUCACAGGCUCCGGGCCUUUCCCAAAAUCGUGAUAGCUUCACAGGCGUUCGCCUUCUUCACAGGCUUCGAGCCUUUUCCAAAAAGAUGGUCUUCACAGGCGUUCGCCUUCUUCACAGGCUCCAGGCCUUUUCCAAAAAGAUGGUCUUCACAGGCGUUCGCCUUCUUCACAGGCUCCGGGCCUUUUCCAAAAAGAUGGUCUUCACAGGCGUUCGCCUUCUUCACAGGCUCCGGGGCUUUUCAAGGGUAAAACCUCCGGAGGUGCUGGAUGUUCCAUGCAUUCUGGACUGGCACCCCCUCCUGAGUCUCCAAUCGCGCGAAGCCGGGCCUGGAAACAUGGACAACCUUGAACGGGCCCUCCCACAUGGGAGAGAGCUUAUGAAGUCCCUCCUUGGAGAGAACCCGCCUGAGCACGAGGUCCCUUACCUCGAGAGUCCUGGGGCGGAUGUUGCAGCAGUGGUAUCGCCGCAGUGCUUGUUGAUAUCUUGCCGCUUGCAGUGCGGCUUCUCGGCGACGCUCCUCCCCCAGCACGAGGUCCAUCGCCUGCAUGGCGUCCUGCUGCGCUUCGUCGAACGCCAGGACCCGCGCGGACCAACGUCUGACCUCGUGAGGGAGGACCGCUUCGGCUCCAUAGACCAAGAAGAUAGGGGUCUCUCCGGUCGGCUUGGUUGCGGUCGUGCGGAUGGACCACAACACGGAUUGGAGCUCGUCGUACCAGCCUCUGCCGCAAGCCUCUAGCUUCUUCUUGAAUGUUCUGGUCUUCAGGCCCCUCAGGACCUCCGCGUUGGCCCGCUCGGCCUGGCCGUUGCUUCGGGGGUGCGCCACUGAAGCAUAGCAUAUCUGCGUUCCAAGGUUAGCACAGUAUGUUUUGAAGAGGUUACUGGUGAACUGCGAACCGUUGUCGGUGAUGAUGCGGUUCGGCACCCCGAACCGGCUCACGAUGCCCUUGAUGAACUUGACCGCUGAACCUGCGGUGAUUGUGCGGACGGCUUCCACCUCGGCCCACUUGGUGAAUUUGUCCACGGCGAUGUAGAGGUAGCGAUAGCCCCCUGGUGCCCGGGGAAACGGGCCCAGGAUAUCAAGCCCCCAGACCGCGAAUGGCCACGUGAGGGUUAUGGUCUGCAGACCCCCCGCCGGCUGAUGGAUCUGCUUCGCAUGGAAUUGACAGGCCUCGCAGCCCUUUACCAGUUCAACGGCGUCAUUGAGCACGGUAGGCCAAUAGAAACCGCUUCAGAAUGCCUUGCCCACGAGGUUUCGUGAUGACGAGUCGUGCCCGCAGUCUCCACCGUGUAUGUCCACCAGCAGCUCUCUCCCUUGCUCCCUGGAGAUGUAGCGUAGGGAUACAUCAUUUGGUCGAUUCCGGUAGAGUUCCCCAUCCCUGAUGCAGUAUGCUGUGGCCUGCCGCGCCACGCGCUCUACUUCCUCCUCCUUCUCUGGCAAGAUCCCUUGCGUCAGAUAGCUCCAGAGCUCCAUGACCCAGCAUCCCUCCUAAGGCUCCAUUGUCAAGAGAAAACACGCCCCCGAGGCCGGCCCGCAGACCGGAGCUCCCAAGGCUAGCGGCUGGGGGAGCUCCUCCCGAGGCUGCACCGCGCUUGACAGUGACGGCGUGGCCGAGGACUUGAAGAGCCGCUCCUCGAAGAUGCCAGGCUCCUGAGGCAGUCGCCUGGACGCUCGUUUGGCGAUGUCGUCGGCCUCCUGAUUGGUGCCACGGGGCACGUGCUGUAACUCCAGCCCCCAGAACUGCUUCUCCAUCCUGCGGACCUCCGCAAGGUAGGUUUCCAUGUGCUCAUCCCUUGGCUCGUAUACUUUGUUGGAGAAGUUGACGAGGAGUUGCGAACCACCUUUGAUGGUAAGGCGCUUUACUCCGAGGGCGGCUGCGGCCUUCAGGCCCGCUAUCAGGCCUUCAUAUUCUGCUAUAUUGUUGGAGACCUUUUCUCCGUGUUGGAAACAGAGCUGCACGGCAUAGUAGAGCUUGUCUUAGGUAGGAGAUAUAAGUACCACGCCAGCCCCCGCGCCAUGCCUGGAGAACGCCCGUCGAAGUACAUGACCCAACCGUCCGACGCCUCACUUCCCGGGGAGAGGGAUCGAUCCUCAUCAGCCUUUAGGCCCGGCGCCUCUGUCCACUCUGCCACGAAAUCUGCCAAGUCGGCCCCCUUGAUGACUCGGGUCGUGCUGAAUUCGAGCUGAAAUGCUUGCAGCUCAAUGUUCCACUCGGCGACCCUUUCGGCUGAGUUAGGGCUCCGGAGCACUCUUUCCAAGGGGUACGCGGAGACAACCUUGAUAGGGUGACCCUGAAAGUAGUGUCGCAGCUUGCGCGAGGCCACCAGUAGCGCGAGGAGAAGUUUCUGAGGCAUGGGGUACCGUGCCCUCGCAUCUCGCAACACCGUGCUGACAAAGUACACCGGGUGCUCGACGAGGCUUGGAGCGUCGGUGCUGGUGGCGUCCUUCGGAAGCCAUGGUGCCUCCUAAGGCGGCGGAGCCUCCAGAAGCUGGUUGCCUGGGGGAAGGGCUUUUCCCGCUCCUGGUGCAUUCCCCUGCGGCGGCUGAUCUUCCUCAAUCGUGGUAGUGAUCUCUGUGAGUCCUCUUUGGUCCUGUUUUGCCUUGGCGAGGGCAGUUGCCGCGGCCUUGGUCCGACGCUCCUCCCUGACCGCCACCAGGGCCGCGCUGGUUGAGUAGGGAGUGGCGGCGAGGUAGAGUACCAAGGGCUCUUGUGGGCGUGGGGCCACCAUCACCGGCGGGCUGGUCAGGUAUCUCUUGAGGUCUUGGAAUGCCUUGUCGGCCUCUUCGGUCCAUUCAAAGGGGCCCUUUUUAUUCAUCAACUGGAAGAAAGGCAGCGCCCGCUCCCCCAACCUGGAGAUGAAGCGCCCCAGUGCAGUCACACGCCCAAUGAGCUUCUGCAUCUAUCUGAGGGUCUUUGGCAGGCUCAUGUCCUCGACCGCCUUGACCUUUUCUGGGUUGGCCUCGAUGCCUCGGUGGGAUACGAGGAAACCCAAGAGCUUGCCCGAGGGGACUCCAAACACACACUUCUCCGGGUUGAGCCUCAGGCUUACUGCGUUGAGGCUUGCAAAGGUUUCCUCCAGGUCUUGUAUCAGGGUCUUUGCCUCGCGAGACUUUACUACGAUGUCGUCGACGUAAGCCUCCACGUUCUUCCCGAGUUGCGGGCCCAAGGUGAUGUGCAUGAGCUGCUGAAAGGUUGCCCCCGCGUUGCGCAGUCCGAAGGGCAUGCAUGUAUAGCAAUAUACCCUACACGGGGUCAGGAAGGCCGUCUUCUCCAUGUCUUCCACCGCCAUCUUGAUCUGAUGAUACCCGGAGAAGGCGUCCAAGAAGCAUAACAGGUCACACUCAGCGGUGGAAUCGACGAUUUGAUCGAUGCGUGGGAGCGGGUAAGGAUCUUGCGGGCAUGCUUUGUUGAGGUUGGUGAAGUCGACACACAUGCGUUCCUUCCCUCCCUUCUUUGGUACCACCACAGGGUUGGCCAACCAAUCUGGAUAUCGAACCUCGCGAAUGACCCCCGCGGCUUCUAGCUUGCGGGUAUCCUGAACGAUGAAGGCCUGCUUUUCAGUGGACUGCCGCCUUGCUUUCUGCUUUACGGGGCGCACGUUGGGGCACACGUUGAGGUGGUGCUCGAUCACGCCCCGUGGGAUCCCUGCCAGCUGAUCGGGCUCCCAAGCGAACACCUUCUUGUUUGCACGCAGGAACUUGACCAGGGCUUCCUCCUGCUCGGGCCCGAGGUGAGCGCCUAUGGUGAAAGUGGCGCUGGUGGACCCGUCCUCAUCGACGGGUAUCUGCUUGGUCUCCUCCUUGUCCUGGGUGAACAAUUGUUUCUUCUUGGCUGGUGCAGCCCCCUUGGGCUCUGGGGCCCCCGCGUUGGCGGGCUGUGCUGACGCCGCCGUCUUGAAGGCGAGCUGGAGCGCUCGCAGCGCGUCCCCGGUGUCCCCAGGCACGGUGAGGACUCCGCUGCUCCCGGGCAUAUUCAUGAGGUUGUAUGUCGGGUGAGUCGCGGCCAUGAAUCGGGCCAGCGCUGGGUAGCCGAGGAUGGCAUUGUAAGGGAGGCCGAUGAGGGCGAUGUCGAAAUCGACCAGCUCCGUGCGGAAAGUGUCGUAGGUGCCGAAGGUCACUGGGAGCCGGAUCUGUCCCAAGGAGCUGGAUGACCUGCCCCCGAUGCCCAUAAAGGGCUGGCUCGGCCGCAGCCGCCCCGGGGGUAUGUGGAGGAGGUCGAAAGUUUUGACCGAAAGCACGUUGAGGCCCGCGCCGCCGUCGAUGAGGGUCCUGGUGACGGCCACCUGGCAGAUGGUGGGGGUGCACAGCAUCGGGAGAGCACCCGAGCAGGACGAGUUGGAGGGGUGGUCUUCCGAACUGAAGGCUAGCCUGGCCUGCGGCUCCGGCCGGUCCCGGGGAGCCCCCUGCCGCGCGGAGGUGGCGCCGACCUGGCGGAUGAACGGCUUGACAUGGUGACCGGAGGGCGGCGCCUGCAAGCCGCCCAGGAGGGCCGCGACGACCGGGGAGGCCGGAGCGGCGUGGCGGGCGAGGAAGAGGCCACGCGGCUUUUCCCAAGGGGCCACGGAGGGAUGCAGGGGCGAUACUCGUUGCUUGUUCCCCGCCGGGCCGGUGGCGGUGUUGACGGCGGGCGAUGGGGAGCGACGAGGGCACGCGCCGACGGGAGCCGUCCGGGCGACUCGAACGGCGCCGAGCAGCCCGAUGAGCGUCAGCCAUGGACGCGACGGUCGGAGAAGAGCAGGGCGACGGAAGACGAAUUCCGGCACACCCCUACCUGGCGCGCCAAAUGUCGGAUCUAGGGUUCCGGCAGACCCUUGAGGUUCGAACACUGGGGUGCGCGUGGAGGGAUCGCCUUCUACCUACCUGUUCCUCGCCGAAUCGCUAGGAUCUAAACUACGAGAGGAACAACACAAGAGACACAGGGUUUAUACUGGUUCAGGCCACCAUUGUGGUGUAAUACCCUACUCCAGUGUGUGGCGUGGUGGAUUGCCUCUUGGGCUGAUGAUGAACAAUACAAGGAAGAACAGCCUCGCGAGGGUAUGUUCUUGUGGUGGUGUUAUCCCUUUGGAAGGGUUGAUUCUAGAUGCCUAUCUUAUCUCUAGAUUCCCUUUUUUCGAUCCCCCGGGUGGCUAGUCCUAUUUAUAGGCGAAGGCCCUGGGCCUCUUCUCAAAUAUUGAGCGGGAAGGGUGCCAACAAUCGGCCAAUUUGAAGGGGAACAUCCAGUACACCUAUCCUGACUAAAGUUGGUUGAGGGAGUCCUGGAUUAGGGGGUGUCCGGAUGGCCGGACUAAGACCUUUGGCCGGACUCCCGGACUAUGAAGAUACAAGAUUGAAGACUCCGCCCCGUGUCUGGAUGGGACUUUCCUUGGCGUGGAAGGCAAGCUUGGCGAUACGAUAUGAAGAUCUCCUCCCAUUGUAACCGACUUUGUGUAACCCUAGCCCUCUCCGGUGUCUAUAUAAACUGGAGAGUCUUAGUCCGUAGGACGAACAACAAUCAUACCAUAGGCUAGCUUCUAGGGUUUAGACACUUCGAUCUUGUGGUAGAUCUACUCUUGUACUACCCGUAUCAUCAAUAUUAUUCAAGAAGGAGUAGGGUUUUACCUCCAUCGAGAGGGCCCGAACCUGGGUAAAAACAUCGUGUCCCUUGUCUCCUGUUACCAUCCGCCUAGACGCACAGUUUGGGACCCCCUACCCGAGAUCCGCCGGUUUUGACACCGACGUUGGUGCUUUCAUUGAGUGUUCUGCUGUGUCGUCACCAUCAGGAAGGAUGCCGCAUCCCGUCUUUAAAGACGGUGUCGUUGCUAAAGGAGCUUUGGCUGUCGGCCAAACUCUCCGGCUAGGCAGGUUUUUGAUGACCGCCUGUCCGGCCGCCGCGCCAAUGAUGACCUCUCGGGCCAUCAAAAGCAAUCUUCACAUCAGCUCGGAGCCUUCCGAGUAGUUAGAUCCGAUGGAUCUCCUCUCCCUGAACAAGCUCUUGGAUCGCAUCGCGGCCCUGGGAGUCGCUACUGAUUACGACCAGAUUGGGCUUAAACCCGAUCAGAGAGAGAUUGACUCUCCCCAGGUCACCCAUCACGUCGAAGUGGUGGAAGAACAAUGCGGCGAGUCUUCGCCCGCCCUAAGGACCAGAUGCGUUCGGAUUCCCGAUCCCUCCAAGCCGGACAUCCACGGAGGGGAGGAUGUCGCCCAAACCCUGAACCUAAAGUCAGGCAGCAGGCCCGAUUCAUUGAAUAAUGUCCAAGGAAGCAAGCUUCCGAAUUCGGAAACCGCUUGGCCCCUGAAUCUUACAUCGGGCAGGGUUCCGGAUUUAAUUCCACCCGCCCACCCAACUAUGCAGGAUUUUUCCCUAAUACGGCAAGAGCCCGGUGAAACAUUACACCACUACUGGGCCAGAUUCCUCCUGGUUAUGAACAGGAUAAAGGACUGCCGUGAGAAAGAAGCAAUUUCACUCUUCUGUAACAACUGCAUGGACAUCGGAAUCCUCAACGCAAUAAGUCGCCGCGAAAUUACACGAUUCGCCGACUUGACAUCCAUAGUACGAAAGUACCGUGCGACUGAAAGCGUUCGGAAAACCGAAGAUAAAUUAUGGGACAAUCCGGCCCCGAAUACAACACUAGUCCAAAACAAAAGGGCGUAUUAUCGCCAGGCAUCUAAGCCAAACAUCAAAAAACAAAAACCCUCUACAGGGUACGGGACCGUACUUGAAGGAUGGCUCAAUGGACCCUGUAAAAUUCAUAAUUCAGGGGAAGCCACACCAACACACAGCCUUAGAGCAUGUUGGAUACUACGGCAGGUGGCCCGAAGUGGCGAGGAGCUUUUAACUCCACCACCCGAAAAACACCCCCCCCAGUACGGUGUCGACAGUCUUUGAGACCUUCACAUCAAAUAAUGCAAGGAAAUGAACGCUCCGCAACCUUGCCGAAGUCUACCAAGUAGCAACAAUAAACCCAUGGAGUGACACGGCUAUUACAUUUAAUGCCAGUGAUGAACCUAAAUUCCGGACAGCCCGAGCACUAGCCGCAUUGGUCCUCAGUCCGAUAGUGGACGGCUUCCGACUCACAAAGGUACUCAUGGACGGCGGCAACGGACUCAACCUCAUCUACGAGGAAACCCUGUGAAAAAUGGAAAUUGACUGGAGCCGCAUUGAGAGAAGCAACACAACUUUUCGAGGAAUAAUUCCAAGCCGGGAAGCGUGCUGUUCAGGAAAAAUCACAUUGGAUGUGGUGUUCGGCACGCCGGAUAAUUACAGAUCCGAGGAGGUCACGUUUCAAGUGGCCCCGUUCAGCAGCGGAUACCAUGCUCUGCUAGGGCAAGAAGCAUUUACAAUUUUCCAAGCCAUACCCCAUUACGGAUACAUGAAGCUCAAAAUGCCCGGACCCAACGGAAUCAUCACUCUCGCAAGUGAUCCGGACAUAGCGCUCCGCGCUGAAAACAAGACAGUCGCACUGGCCCUGGAGGCAUUAUCCGAGGCCCUAGCGGGCGAGGAACUAACUGCGUUGCACUCCACGGUGGACAGGGACGAUGUGAUACUAGACAAGAGAUCCAAGUCCACCUCUUUCAAACCAGCAGACGAAAUAGUCAAAUUCCAAGUCCAUCCAACAGACCCUACAAAAACGGCCUCCAUCGGGGCACAACUAAAACCCGAUGUAGACGCCGCACUCAGAGACUUCUUGCGAGAAAAUUGGGACAUUUUUGCCUGGCACCCCUCAGAUAUGCCAGGAAUCCCACGCAGGCUGGCUGAGCACAACCUGAACAUCCUAAAAGGGUUUAAACCCAUCAAGCAGACUCUAUGGCGUUUUUCCGAACCCAAGAGACAAGCCAUGGGAGAGGAGCUAGCAAAACUGCUGGAAGCCGGAUUCAUCAGAGACAUAAAAACAUCCGGACUGGCUAGCAAACCUGGUGAUGGUACCAAAGAAGGACAAAUCUUGGUGCCUAUGUGUCGAUUUCAAAGACCAAAACAAGGCCUAUCCAAAGGACCCUUUCCCACUCCCCCGAAUUGAUCAAAUCAUCGACGCCACCGCAGGACACGACUCAUUGUGUUUCCUCGAUGCAUACUCUGGCUACCACCAAAUCAAGAUGGCAGAGUCAGACCAAGCCGCAACGACAUUCAUCACCUCAUACGACCCAUUCUGCUUCAACACGAUGCCCUUCGGGCUCAAAAACGCCGACACAACAUAUCAGCGCAUGAUUCAGACAUGUCUGGCCAACCAGAUCAGCAAAAUAGUUGAAGCAUAUGUAGAUGACGUGGUCGUCAAAACAAAACACGUCGAUACUCUAGUAGACGACUUGAGGCUCACGUUCGAUAAUCUCCGAACAUAUGACAUUAAGCUCAACCCAGAAAAAUGCGUUUUCGGUGUACCAGCCAGAAAGCUCUUGGGCUUCAUCGUAUCCGGUAGAGGAAUUGAAGCAAACCCAGCCAAGAUCCGAGCUCUGUCACAAUUGGAUACCCCAAAGGACCUCAAACAAAUACAAAAAUUGACAGGAUGCGUGGCGGCUCUAAGCCGCUUUAUCUCCCGCUUAGGAGAAAAGGCAUUACCCCUCUAUCGCCUCUUGCGGCGCACCGACCACUUCGAGUGGACGGAUGCCGCCACGGCCGGACUCGAAGAAAUAAAAGCCAUACUGGCAACAAAUCCGGUCCUGGCCGCGCCCAACACGAGCGAACCAAUGCUAUUAUACAUCGCGGCAACCCAUCAAGUUGUAAGUGCGGUGCUCGUCGUCGAACGAGAAGCGGACGGACACAAGUUCCCCCUCCAAAAACCAGUGUACUACGUGUCCACUGUACUAACUCCAUGCAAGUCACGGUACCCGCAUUAUCAAAAGAUAGCGUACGCGGUGUUCAUGGCAUCCCGGAAGCUGCGACACUACUUUCAAGAGUGCUCCAUAACAGUGGCAUCCGAAGUACCCCUUAACGAUAUUAUAAACAACCGCGACGCAACGGGCCAGAUUGCCAAAUGGGCCAUCGAGCUCCUCCCAUUCGACAUAACCUACAAGCCAAGGCGAGCUAUUAAGUCGCAGGUUUUGGCCGACUUCAUCGCCGAAUGGACUGAAGCCGAACUCCCUAAAGAGUACGACGCAUACUCCAACUGGAUCAUGCACUUCUACGGCUCCAAAAUGUUGGCUGGCCUGGGGGCUGCCGUCGUUCUAACAUCCCCAACCGGAGACACAGUCCAAUACGUACUUCAGAUAAUGUACACGGAUUCCAACAACACAGCCGAAUACGAGGCCCUUUUACAUGGCCUCCGGAUGGUAGUCUCCAUGGGCAUUCAGCGCCCAGAGGUCCACGGGGAUUCAAACCUCGCAAUAUCCCAAAUAAAUGGAGACUUCAACGCCAAGGAUCCGAAAAUGGCAGCUUACCGCAAUGCCAUCUUAAAGAUGUCAGCUCGGUUUGAGGGGCUGUAAUUUCAUCACAUAGCCUGGGAAAAUAACCAAGCAGCAGACGUGUUGGCACGCAUUGGCGCCAAGCGCGAGGCCGUCCCUCCCAACAUCUUCCUAGAAAGGCUAUUUAAGCCAUCCGUAUUAUGGGAAGGAGAAUCCAGAAAUAACAGCCCGGACACAACUACACCGCCCCCACCGAACAUUCUGACACAGUUGGGGGCUCCACCAGCGAAAGAACGCCGUCAGCCCACGCAAUAAUGGCAGUCAUUGCCCCUUGGACAGAACCAUUCCUAGCCUACCUAACUAGGCAGGAACUUCCCGAGGACCAAAACGAGGCCCGCUGCAUAAUGCGGCGAUCUAAAGCCUACAAAGUCCACGAGGGAGAGCUUUACAAGAAAAGCACAACCAGAGUCCUUCAAAGGUGUAUCUCCGAAGAGGAAGGGCGAGACCUUUUGGCUGAAAUUCAUGCCGGACUCGGCGGGCACCACGCCGUAGCCCGGGCCCUUGUCAGCAAGGCCUUCCAUACUGGAUUUUAUUGGCCAACGGCCCGGGCAGACGCUCAGGACUUAGUGCAACAAUGUGUUGGUUGCCAGUUAUUCGCCAACCAAAGCCACCUGCCGCCUACCGCCCUACAAACUAUACCCAUUACCUGGCCUUUCGCAGUCUGGGGGCUUUACAUGGUCGGACCCCUUAAAGGAGGAACCCACAAGCAAAAAUAUCUACUAGUCAUGGUGGACAAAUUCACCAAAUGGAUAGAAGCCAAGCCUGUAAAGAUGGCCGAAUCUGGACCAGUGAUAGACUUCAUAUCCGGGGUCGUACACCAUUACGGCGUCCCCCACAGCAUCAUAACCGACAAUGGCAAAAACUUCAUGGCCGAUGAAGUCAAACUUUGGUGCAAAAACAUGGGCAUCAAGCUCGACUAUGCUUAGUCUAUCACCCUCAAACUAACGGUCAAGUCGAACGGGCUAACGGUCUCAUUAUGAGUGGCAUCAAACCCAGACUAGUGCGAUCCCUCAAGGAAUCUAAUACACACUGGGUAGAGGAGCUUGACUCUGUACUCUGGGAGCUAUGGACCACGCCGAAUCCCACUACCGGAUUCACACCAUUUUUUAUGGUAUACGGCGCAGAGGCAGUACUGCCAUGUGACAUAAUCCAUGACUCACCUUGAGUGCGCAUGUAUGAAGAAAGAGAAGUCGAGCUCGAUCGGCAGGACAGCUUGGACGCAUUGGAAGAGGAGCGCGGCGUAGCAAAAGCCCGUUACGCAUUCUAUCAACAGCAGGCUCGAAGAUACCAAAGCAAAGAAGUACGGGCCAAAACCUAUAAUGUUGGCGAACUAGUUCUACGCCUGCCGGACAAGAAAAAGGAUAAAUCAAAGCCCAAAUGGGAGGGCCCCUUCAUAAUCGACCAAGUACUGACCGGCGGAGCGUACCGUCUGCGAAACACAUCGGAUAACCGACUCGAGCCGAACCCAUGGAACGCAGCACACCUACGAAGAUUCUACGCCUAGAGCCGGACUCCGUGUUCGUUUCCUUCUUUCGUCCCUUUUGUUUUAUUUUUUAUUUUUACUUUUUAUUGGCAGUUCGGGAUUUUGUUCCUUCUCCCUACCCCUUUUUUUCUCACAAGCCCUUAGGGGCUUGCCUGUGCAUUGUUCGCACAUACCCGACACGCUAUCUGCGCUCAUAAUACCUGGGGGCUUCUUUACCAAGAAGUUUAUAUAAAACGGGCCUCAUGCCCAAAAUAUGUGUGAUGCUUCCGCAUGAACCUUUUAUACACCAUUAUAUGCAUCGAUAUGACUUAAGUUUUGGCCAAGCUGGGUUGCCUGGCUCCUGUGCUUACCCCUACGUUCCUGUUCGUUCGGCUAGGUGGUAAAGGGAGCACCUCUGCGAUUGUUACUGCCGGAUCAGCCGGAUGUGUACCUCAGACUGGGUGAAGCCGAAAGCUAGCGUUCUUAAGGGAAUAUUCGGUCGGUGAACUAAAAGAUGAUCUUGCAUAUUUAUUCAUUCGCCCCCAGAUGCUUUUCUGCUCUUUCUUGUAGUUCGGACAUGCACUUUAGGGCAUGCCUCCCAGGGAAAGGAACCCCUAAUGGAACUAUUCUCCCUGGAAGAUGUUUCUUACUAACCAUGUAAUAUAACAUAACUAGUUGGGCACUUGUCUGCUAAAUCACUUAUGACCCCUACGCCUUGUCUCCAUGCAUGCCCCGGUUCUUACAUAAUCGAGAGGGUAUUCGGACACACUCCAGACUAUAGGGUCCAUAGGUCGAAGCAAAAAGGUCCGCAAUGACAAAUGAUCUACAAUCCGGCUAGAAGGCAUUUUUAAUGUCAUUUUUACAGAGUCAAUCCGACUCGGCAUAUUCUUCUUCAAUACAAUCCAACAGGCGGUCUAAUUUACAGUCCUGUUGGGAAUACUUUGCGGCCAGCUCCACCUGGCCAUAUGCUAAGCUGACUGGGAUCUCCUUUCCGUCCGGACCUAUAGGGCCGACCUCGGCCAUGUGGUUUGGGUCAGCCUUCGUGUACCGAGUCUUCACCAUGGCCCAAGCCUCCCUGGCACCUUGACGGCAAGCCGAUAUCUUCCACAACCGGAAGCGCUGCCGCACUCUCUCUAGCUUCUUUGUAAGCUCCUCAAGGCCUUCGGGCACGGAGAGGGAUGGCCACAUAGCCUGGAUGAGGCUUUGCAUUGCCUGCCGAACUCGUUCGUGUAGUUGCAACAGCUCGGGAAGAAGGUCUCCCGUUGAACCAGGCAUUUCCUCCGCAGGACGACCCGUCAGCAGACCUACAGACAUAGCUCUGUGAAUCGACUUCCUCGCCGAAUUCUUUUUUCGAAGAUUCGUUUAAGCACUUACUAAAAAUGCCGCGUCGAAGUCGCCGAUUCUCCUUCACGGCAGAAGACAGCUGAAUGCGAACAUCUUUCAGUUCCUCGCCCAGCUGGGUAUUGGCGUCUUGAAGCUUGUUCUUCUCUUGCCUCACCCUCGUCAGCACGCUCUCGCCAGCCUUUAGUUGGCGUAGGAGUUGUUGCUUGUCCGGAUUUACUCCGGCCUCAUCUGCAUUAUUAUCGUCAGGGUUGCACGCCUGCCGCAUUUCAAAACGGAAGUAUCUUUCGAAGCAUAUAUUACAUGCGGGCGUCCCCGUGAUAUUUUCUGAAGUGGCCAAUGCGGCCUCGAGCUGGGCCUUGCACUCUUCGAGCUCCUAGGACAAUUGCGUAUUCUUCUUUGUAAGGCACUGCAUAGCACAUGAUCCUUCAAACAGUUAUCUUCACUGUUUCAAGUCUCGGGGGCUACUGACAUAUAUAACCUUCAAUUCUACUCACCUGUAUGUCUUUCACAUACUGCUCCGUGGCUCUGGCUAGACCAUUUUGAGCAGCACGGAGAUACGCAUCUCCUGUAUUAAAGGCGUCCAACGCCUCUGGGGAAAAACACGCGUCACGAAGAACAGUCCGGCGACGCCUGUGGUUUAGGGCGCUCUCCACCUCUGAAUUGGUGGCAGAUAGCCCGUCGGCGUCCUCUGUCAGAGGAGCGCCUGAGGCGCGUCCCAUAUCCGCCUCCGCUUCCGGACCCGGCCUCGAACCUUGGCCGGCGGACAUAGUCCGGCAGGCUCUCUUCUUUCUAAGAAAAUCAUGAGCAUUAGUAAGACUCAAGGGCAUAAACCCUAGGCGUCAAAUUCGCAUGCCAUACCGUGGCACCGGAAUCUCGAUCUGGUCCGCACUUCUUUUUGGCCUGCCUGGUUUCGGCGGCCCUUGUUGGCUGCUCACCGUGGGCUCGGCCUUCCGCCUCAAGGAUUUACCCUGCGAAAUGCUAUUAGUUUACGGCAUGCAAGAUAAAGCAUGAGAAUACGGGGACUUCGGCCUUAGUUACCUUGGAGGCUGGAAGUAGUCCGGGAUAGUCGGCCGUGAUGGCCACCAAGGAGUUAUCCUUGCUCAAUUGAUGAAAUACUCCAUCAAUCAACUCCACGCAUAAGUCUGGAUCUUCUUGGGAGUCCGGAUCGAGGGACCGUUCCGGGUCCACGGGUUGUGGAGCAGGGCUGCUUAUUUCCUUCACAGCCUGGCGCAGCUCCUACGGUUAAACAUUACUAGACUAAGUACUCAACCACGGGAAUUUCAAAAGCAGAUAGGCGAGUGACAGUGUCCGCUCACCCAACUAGGUGGAUUGUACAUGGAGUAUCCGCCUUCCGGGUUGACACGGAGGAAUUCUUCCUCUUCCCCCUUGUACAAGGCGGAUAAGAUUCUCGUUAAAGUGGCGGCCGAAUCUGGCCCCUUGCGACCGCACCGGGUAGCGUCCUCCUCCCCGUUGAAAUCCCACAUGGGGUGGCCUCUGUAUUGAAGCGGCUGCACCCCUCGCGUAAUGCAUAUGGCCAUGACCUUGAUCAUGGUCAGUCCGGAAUGAGCCAACAACCUUAUCCGGCUCAUCAGGUACAUGACGUCCCUGUCAGCUUCCCUCUGAGGGUUCCGCGGGCGCCAACUCAGGCGCUUCUUCAACGGGGCAUUAUUGAACUCGGGGAGGCCGAUCCGUACAGGGUCCGGCAGGGGGACGUCAUCUAUAUAAAACCACUCCGAGGGCCAGUCUUUGGACGCCCUCUUUGGGGUACCGGAUAGAUAUCCGGUCCUGUCGAUGCGCCAUAGUUCGGCUCCGCCCACCUGAUAAAUAGACCCCUCCUGAGAACGGGGCACCAGGCAAAACAACCUCUUCCACAGCAUGAAAUCCACACCCAAGAACAGCUCGUAGAGGGCCACAAAGCCCGCGAUGUGCAAAAGGGAGGCGGGCAUGAGGUUAUGUAGCUGGAGGCCGUAGAACUCCAGCAACCCUCGAAGAAAUGGAUGAAUCGAAAAUCCUAGUCAUCUCAUCAAAUAAGGGACUAAGCAUACCCGCUCUCCUUGAGAGGGAUUGGGGACGCCCUCCGCCUGCUCUCCGCCGCUAUAGGCGGCAACCCCGGCUCGAACUGGGACCAUAUAUGCUGGGGGGAAAAGCCCCUUGGACUGAAGCACUACUAACUCGCUAUGCGGGACGGAACACCGCCCCCAAUCUCCGGGCCGAGGGCUGGAGGGGCGAGAGGAGGAGUGGCACCGACUGGCCAUGAUGGAAUGGAUCUCUGUCAGGGGCGCUCUGAUGAAGACUCGCGGAGGGAAGAUGGUGCGAAUUGGAUCUAAAUCCCCUUCCCUUUUAUGGGCGGCUCAUUAACGCAACCAGGGGGGUAAGUGAAAAAAAAUCUCCUGGCUUUUCGCAUUCGUUUGACGCGUGGAAGAUGGUCAUUAUGGGGCACAGAAGCCGAGGAGGACAGCACGCAUUAGAAGCCGGACACUAUUCUACGGAUACAGGGAAGUUGAAGGGGAACCCGCCUUGCAAUGCCGAAGACAACUUGCGCGCCGGACUCGUCGUCAUUGAAGCCUGGUUCGGGGGCUACUGAGGGAGUGCUGGAUUAGGGGGUGUCCGGAUGGCCGGACUAAGACCUUUGGCCGGACUCCCGGACUAUGAAGAUACAAGAUUGAAGACUCCGUCCCGUGUCCGGAUGGGACUUUCCUUGGCGUGGAAGGCAAGCUUGGCGAUACGAUAUGAAGAUCUCCUCCCAUUGUAACCAACUCUGUGUAACCCUAGCCCUCUCUGGUGUCUAUAUAAACCGGAGGGUCUUAGUCCGUAGGACGAACAACAAUCAUACCAUAGGCUAGCUUCUAGGGUUUAGCCACUCCGAUCUCGUGGUAGAUCUACUCUUGUACUACCCGUAUCAUCAAUAUUAAUCAAGCAGGAGUAGGGUUUUACCUCCAUCGAGAGGGCCCGAACCUGGGUAAAAACAUCGUGUCCCUUGUCUCCUGUUACCAUCCCCCUAGACACACAGUUCGGGACCCCCUACCCGAGAUCCGCCGGUUUUGACACCGACAUUGGUCCUGGCCUGUCAAAGGCUCUGGUGCUGACGCCGACUUGGGCUCCACGGUGACCUCCAUCCUGCCAUUGGACGGGUCUUGGUCUUGUUGCACCGAAAUGGAUGCCUUUGCUUGAUGCUCUCGCCUGCGCUUGCUCCCCUUGCACCAAAGAGGAAAGAAGGACACUGAGCGGGCUGGCGCCCAUCCGGCGCCAUUGGUCGUCAUGGCUUGCGUCAUGGGCACCUCGCGAGGUACCCCGCCUUGAACUCUCCGCCUCCUCGUGAGCCAGCCUGACGAGGCCGUGCCUGAGGAAGCUCCUUGUCGUCUGCCCCGCGAGGCUUGGCCCUUCGCGAGGGUCUUGAGCUUGUGUUGAUGAAGAUGGGCCGUGCUGGGGCCCCUUUGAGCCACGCCGCAGGCCGCAGGCAGGCAAGUCUGGGGACCCCCGUUCCCAGAACGCCGACAUAAUCUCUAAUCACACUAGUGUGGAGCACUCAUUAUUCCAAAUCGUCUAACUUCCCAACUAGUCACCCACCCCCCUCACUACUCCAACCUGAGCACGCUUAACUUUCGAGUUCUAUUUCCCCUAGUUUCCAACUCUGCACUUGUUGUUUUCCUGACAAUAGUAAUCUGUCCAUCCUAUUAACCCUUAAGAGUUUAGCUUGAGCAUGAAGCCACACGUUUCACCGUUUGAGUUUGAAACUAUUAUUGUAAAAAAUAUAUUUAAUAACACUAAUAUUUCUUGAAUAAGUAGUUUGACCAAAAUUCAAAAAAAACCUAAAAUUUGAGCAUAACUUUUUUUCCUUUCAGAAUUUGAGAAUUCUAAAAAUUUGCAAAACGGCCUACGGCUGUCGAAAUCGGAACCGGCUUUUGCAAAACAUGUCGAAAUUUAUGUUUUUAAAUUUCCCUAACUAGUAGAUGUAGUAACAUAACUACAUCUCGAAGGAUUUUAUUUUUUUAUCAUUUUUUUUCAAAAUUGAAAAGGCGAUAGGGGACCGGGGGGAGGGGUGGUAGAUUUUGAAAAUUAAAGAACCCCUUAAUCAGGGUUGGAGCCACCAACCGGGACUAAAGGGGUCUACCCUUUUAGUCCCAGUUGGUGGCUCCAACCCGGACUAAAGGUCUAACCUAUAGUUCCGGUUUGUGUCACAAACCGGGACUAAAGGGGCUUAUGGGACCCCGGCCUGACGCCGGCCUGCCACCACCCCUUUAGUCCCGGUUUGUGACACAAACCGGGACUAUAGGUCACAAAUGAACCGGGAUUAAUGCUUUGCCGUUUGAAUCGUGACUAAUGGUACCAUUAGUACUAGGCCGUAAUUGAACCGGGACUAAUGUGCUGAACAUUAGGUCGUUUUUCUGCUAGUGAUUGCUUUCUCUUUUUUACUUUGCUCAAAUGAGUUGGAGUUAUACUAGUAAAAUCUGCUCCUGCCUAUUAUUCUUCAGAUAUGUUCUUCCCAAGUCCAAUCUUCUCGAGGAAGUAUUCAAACUUGCAUGUUUGAAUUAUUAUUUUUUUGAAAAGAAACACAUAUACUUAGAGACAAAAUGUACAAUUUGUAAAUUUUCAGGACCAAAUACCGUAAAAUGAGUGCUACACAAAAAUCUGAGGCUUUUUAGUAGGUGCACUAUUUAUCCUCCAAGUCCAUGAAUUUGUCUUUUUUGCAUAGAUGGCAUUUCAAGGUGUUUCAUCCUGAAAUUUUACACAUAUACACAUCACAUCCUUGUUUACUUGUACAAUUUCUUUCAGAUAUUUUUAGAACUGAAAGUUUGAAUUUAGAUUUUUCAAAAAUUCGGCCUCCAUGGAAGCCGAGAUCCAAAACGCUCCACUCGUGCCAACGACGCCUUAUUUCAAGUGUGUCCUCAUAAUAAAGUUCACUGAAAAAAAGGUGUGUGUGCAUAAACGGUUGGAUCACUUGCUCUCAGUUUUCAAAGCGUGUCGUCAGCAAAGCGCCACUACUAGUACGUUGGGACAAACAGCAACCAUUACAGGUUCGCCGUAUCAUUUGCACAACCACGUUGGGAAACCGGAAACCGAGCAUUCGGUUCUGGUUCCUUGGCUUUGCCAAGUGAGCCGUGACGCGGUGACGAAGAGCGAAGACCACAGCCGGGCCCAGCCUGCGGACCCACAACAUCUACUCAACUUUCCUUUGUCUGCAACCCCACACACGUGUUGACCAUUGCGCCAUAAACCGGAAAUGGCAUUGAUCGGUUCUGGUUUGAUUCGGUUUUGUUGUGGUUCCGGCUUCUGGCAUGUCCAGGUCUUGAGUAAAAUAGUCAGGUCAGUUCGGGUCAUGUAGCUUCACAAAAUGAUAUAGAAACUCCCUCACUAGUAAAAUGAGAAUGAAAUUUAAUUUACAAGAUUUUAAUGGAAUCUCCAAAGCAGAUGCGCAAAUCAUCCACGUCGUCUAAACCGUACGGUUCAGAUGUGUUUUGUCAUCUAAUAUGAUAUUGUAUCCAUCCAUGAAUCGGUCCAGACGUUCUUUUUCCCGCAAACCGGAAGCAACCUUGGGAGAGGGGGCUUUGCGAGUGUCCGGACCGCUCCCACGUACGCGUCCGAUAACCUUGGCCCGCACAAAACCCUCUCCCGCCUCUCUCAUGAUUUCUCUCCAGCGGAUGCGCCGCUUCCCGCGUGUUUUUUCGAGGACAAGGCGGCGGGGCAGGGGCGGCACAACGCGGCCCGCCGUUUCGUGUUCGCCAAGUCAUAUGCGGCAUAGGCUUGGGUGCGCUGAGGGACUCCUGGAUUAGGGGGUAUCCGGACAGCCGGACUAUUUACUUUGGCCGGACUAUUGGAGCGUGAAGAUACAAGACUCAAGACUUCGUCCCGUGUUCGGAUGGGACUCUCCUUUGCGUGGAAGACAAGCUUGGCGAUCCGGAUAUAAUAUUUCCUUCCUUUUAACCGACUCCAUGUAAACCCUAGCCCUCUCCAGUGUCUAUAUAAACCGGAGGGUUUUAGUCCUUAGGGACAGAAUCAUAAUCAUCAUAGGCUAGCUUCUAGGGUUUAGCCUCUACGAUCUCGUGGUAGAUCAACUCUUGUACUACUCAUAUCAUCAAUAUCAAUCAAGAAGGAAGUAGGGUUUUACCUCCAUCGAGAGGGUCCGAACCUGGGUAACAUUGUGUCCCUUGACUCCUGUUACCAUUAGCCUAAGACGCACAGAUCAGGACCCCCUACCCGAGAUCCGCCGGUUUUGACACCGACAUUGGUGCUUUCAUUGAGAGUUCCUCUGUGUCGUCGUAGCAAGGCUCGAUGGCCCAUCUCGUUGUCAAGGACAACAUCACCUCCGGGGGAGCGCUGGCUGUAGGCCAAACUCUCCGACUAGGCGGCUUCAUCAUGGCUGCCCGAUCGGCUGUUGCGCCGACGAUGACCUCUCGGGUCAUCACGCAUAGCCUCCACAUCAAUUCAGAACUCGCCAAACAGAUGGAUCCGAUGGAGCUCUCCUCCCUUAAUGAGCUCUUGGAUCGCGUUGCUGCUUUGGGAGUCGCCACAGACUAUGACCGGAUCGGGCUUAAACCUGACCAAAGGGUUAAUAAAUCCCCAUCGGUCACCCACGAGAUAGCGGUAGUGGAGGAGCCACAUACGGAUUACCCCUCUAUUUUGAGAACGAGUUAUGUCCGGAUCACCGAGCUCCCUGAGCCGGACACCCGCUCAAGGGAAGACAUGACCCAGACCGCGGACUUAGAAUCGGGUGUUGGGCCGGAGAAAUUGGGCAGCACACCGGAUCCCGAGCUGUCAAGCCCGGAAGCUCCCCUGCCCCAAGACGUUAGAUCGGAUCAGAAUCCAGGUUCAGAUACACCCACCCACCCGUACUCAAACCCUCUCUCCCAUAUAAGACAAGAACCCCAAGAGACAAUGCAUCGCUACUGGGCCAGAUUCCUCCUUUUGCUAAACAAGGUCAAGGAUUGUCGUGAGGAGGACGCGAUCUCACUUUUCUGCAAAAACUGCACGAACAAAGGAAUCCUUAAUGCUAUAAGUCGCCGUGACAUAGUACACUUUGCUGACUUGGCAACCAUAGUACAGAAGUACUGUGCAAUGGAAAGCGCCUGGAAAACCCAAACAGAAUUUUGGGAUAGUCCGGCUCUCACUAAAACCUUUGUUCGAGCUAAACGGGCGAACUCUCGUAAGUCAGCCGAUCCAAUCCCCAAGAAACCAAAGCCCACCCCAGGGCGUGGAACCGUAUUGGAAGAAUGGCUCAAUGGGCCAUGUAAACUCCACAGCACGCCGGACACUACACCAACAGAUAGCCUUACAGCAUGUUGGAUACUCCGGCAGGUAGCAAAAAGUGGCGAGGAUCUUCUUGUAAGCCAUAAAGCAGAACAACAUCCCGCCAAAGAAAACAAUGCAGUACUGACAGUCUUCGAGACUUUCGCCUCAAGCAAUAGGCGCAAGCGAGCUCAUCGAAGCUCCGCUGAAAUCUGCCACGUGCCAAAAAUAAAUCCAUGGAACGACACUGCUAUAACUUUCAGCGCCAGCGAUGAACCUCAAUUCCAGAUAGUCUGGGCACCAGCCGCUUUGGUCCUUAGCCCAAUCGUGGACGGCUUUUGGCUCACUAAAGUACUCAUGGACGGCGGAAGCGGAUUAAACUUGAUCUACGAAGAAACACUCAGCAAGAUGGAAAUUGAUAAAAGCCGCAUUGAGCAACACGGCACAACCUUCAAGGGAAUCAUCCCUAGUCGGGAAGCACGGUGUGCGGGAAAAAUCACACUCGAUGUGGUAUUCGGCACUCCGGAGAAUCACAGAUCCGAAGAAAUCACAUUCCAAGUGGCUCCUUUCAGCAGCGGAUACCACGCCCUUUUAGGGAGGGACGCGUUUACAAGCUUUCAAGCCAUACCCCAUUACGGGUACAUGAAGCUUAAAAUGCCCGGACCCAAUGGAAUCAUCACUCUAGCCAGUGAUCCGGACGUUGCACUUCGCGCCGAAAACUAAACCGCAACACUAGACCUGGAAGCAUUAUCCGAAACCCUAGUAGCCGAAGAACUAACAACACUGCGUGCCACCGUGGACAGGGAUGACGUGAUACUCGACAAGCAACCCAAGUUCACCUCAUUUAAACUCACAGACGGGAUAGUCAAAUUCCAGGUCCAUCCAAUGGACCCCAUGAAGACAGCUUCCAUCGGGACACAGUUGAGCCCCACAAUUGACGCCGCACUGCGAGACUUCCUACGGGAGAAUUGAGACAUUUUUGCCUGGCAGCCCUCGGACAUGACGGGCAUCCCACGCAGACUGGCCGAACACAACCUCAAUAUACUAAAAGGAUACAACCUUUCAAGCAGACUCUAAGGCGGUUUUCAGAGCCCAAACGACAAGCCAUGGGGGAAUAGCUAGCCAAGCUACUCGAGGUCGGAUUCAUCAGAGAUAUCAAGCAUCCGGAUUGGCUGGCAAAUUGUCACGCCCAUUAUGUGAUACUAUCCUAAAGAGACUCGAAGGUCCCACCAAGGAUAGAACCGCAUAUUGAGAUGCUUUUGCAAGGUGGAUAUCAUUACAUCAACAUUACAUAAUAGAUGGGGAUACAUACAAGAGGCAAACAAUGCCACAUGAAUACAACAUCAUCAUACAUAAGAGCAACAUCCGACCACGGAUGAAACACAAACAGAAGCUCAAACGACAUCCACCCUGCUAGCCCAGGCUGCCGACCUGGAACCUAUCCCCUGAUCGAAGAAGAAGCAGAAGUAGAACUCCAAAACAAGUAAACAUCGCUCUCGCGUCAUGAUCAUCGCAUAAACCUGUACCUGCAACUGUUGUUGUAGUAAUCUGUGAGCCACGAGGACUCAGCAAUCCCAUUACCAUGGGUAUCAAGACUAGCAAAGCUUAAAGGGAAAGGAAGGGGUAAAGUGGUGAGGUUGCAGCAGCGACUAAGCAUAUAUGGUGGCUAACAUACGCAAAUAAGAGCGAGAAGAGAGCAAGCAGAACGGUCGUGAAGCUAGCAAUGAUCAGAAGUGAUCCUGAACUCCUACUUACGUCAAACAUAACCCAGAAACCGUGUUCACUUCCCGGACUCCUCCGAAAAGAGACCAUCACGGCUACACACACGGUUGAUGCGUUUUAUUUCAGAUCUGGUGUCAAGUUAUCUACAACCGGACAUUAACAAAUUCCCAUCUGCCUAUAACCGCAGGCACGGCUUUCGAAAGAUAAUACCCUGCAGGGGUGUCCUAACUUAGCCCAUGAUAAGCUCUCGCGAUCAACGAAGGAUAUACCUUCGCCCAGGAAGACCCGAUCAGACUCGGAAUCCUGGUUUACAAGACAUUUCGACAAUGGUAAAACAAGACCCGCAAAGCCUCCCGCUGUGCCGACAAAUCCCGAUAGGAGUUGCACAUAUCUCGUUCUCAGGGCACACCGGAUGAGCAAGACGACGGGUUGGCAUAGACCCUGGUUGCCUAGGGGGCACCGGACAUCGCUCGGUUUGGACCAACACUUAGACAAGCAUUGGCCCGGGGGGCUAAAAUAAAGAUGACCCUCGAGAGGGCGACUCCCAAGGGAAAAGGUAGGUGGUGGUGAGGCAAAUGGUAAAACCAAUAUUGGGCCUUGCUGGAGGAGUUUUAUUCAAAGCGAACUGUCAAGGGGGUCCCAUAAAUCACCCAACCGCGUAAGGAACGCAAAAUCCGAGAACAUAACACCGGUAUGACGAAAACUAGGGCGGCAAGAGUGGAACAAAACACCAGGCAUAAGGCCGAGUCUUCCACCCUUUACCAAGUAUAUAGAUGCAUUAAUAAUAAUAUAAGAGAAAUUGUGAUAUCCCAACAUAAUCCUGUCCACCAUGGAGCAAUCUUCAACUUCACCUGCAACUAACAACGCUAUAAGAGGUUUGCAUAGGAAAGGUGUCAAAGGUUAGAGGUUCAUGGCAAUAUGGGAGGCUUGAUAAACAGGUGAUAGGUAGCGCAGCAAAGCGAUAGAACGAAGCAACUAGCAUAGCAAUGAUAGUAGUGAGAUCCAAGGAAAUGGUCAUCUUGCCUGAAAUCCCUCUAGGAAGAAGAACGAGUCCAUGAAGAAGAUGGAGCCACGAAGACGAACCAAGCGUAGACGAACGAAUCCUCACGAUCGCAACGAAACGGGAACUAUCGAGAAGAAGCACACACCAUAGUAAACACACCACACAUAAACAAGACCUGAUGCGCAACAAGCAUGAUGCAUGACAAAGGCUACAUGAAGCUACUCAUGGCAAGAGAUGAUGCAAACAAGAGCAGCACAUCAAAGCAAGUUUAAAUGAGGCCGGGAACAACAUAUAACAACUCCGGUAAGUCCUCAUAUGCAAAUUUCGAAAUUGGUCCAGAUCUGAAUAAACCUUAUGUUCAAGUUGUUAAACAGCAAGUUAAGAUGCACCAAGAUGAUCUACACGAGAUUCUAGUCAAGUUACAUAUAGAGUUCAUUUUAUUCGGAGCUACGGCCGAGAAGAUAUGAGAAAAACAAGUUAAGCAUGGCAUUGAUGCAAAAUGCAUACAAACAUCAAGCAAACACCUCAAAACAAGGAUGCAACAUGAUAAUAUGAAGCUACAUGCAAUUCUAAGCAAGUUUCAUAUAGAGCACACCCAAAACGGAGCAACGGUUCAACACACACACAUGAAACAAGUUAUAGGAACAAUCUGUCCAAAACAGCAACUAGGCAUAUUGCAAGCAUCAAAACAACAUGCUACAUCACCCCAACAUGAGAACAAAAGGCAUGGGCAUGAUGUACAAGUAAAGCAUAUCAAACCAUGAACACUGAGCUAUCUCCAGAAAUCACUAGAACAUGCUCAAACACACAUGGCAAGAUUGCAAAUAAUAACAGUUCAGACUUUGCAGAAAAUAACAACAGGUUGCAAUGUUUAGAGCUAUCAAAAAACAUGCUACAGGAACUUAUCAUGGCAAACAAAGGCAUGGCAUGCUACUAAUAAAUGCAUAGAACAAAAGUCCCUUACUGACCAUGAGGUAAAAAGGAUCAGAAAAUAUGAUGGCACCCAUGUAAACAUAGCAAGUUAUAAUACAGAUUCAAACAUGGCAGGAAAAGAAUUAUGAAGGCAUGUAGAUGAGCUUGUACCACUCACCACAGAGCAAUACAUGGCAUGGCAAGGCACCCAACAGUAAGAAGACAUGUUUGUGAAGCUAAGCAUGGCAAGAGCAAGUCCAUAUGAUGCAUGGAUCACUAACAACAAUCAUGGAAACAACUGAACUUAAUGUUAACAGGCUGACAGCAACAUUAUUUAGCAACUUUGGAGUAAGAUUACAACAAGUUACAGCAAGCUAUAAAUGCUACCAGGGGCAUGGAUGGAUAGAGCAUGACAUCUAGAACAAAACACCCUUAGUGAACAUAUCCAUAUUAUGCAUAGAAUGACUAGUAGCAGCAGGUUUACAUAGCAUCACGAAAUAACAGAUUCAGCCUAGCAAAACAGCAAUAGCAAGUACCAUGGUUUUCACUUUCAGUGAGAUUUCGGUGAAAUUCACUGAAUUUCAGUAAUUUCAACAGACACUGAAAUAUUACGUUUCGGCCAAAAUAUUUCAGCAAUUUCAGUAUAGCACAACAAUUCCAAUAUUUUUCAAAAUAUUUUUUAAUUUUUUCAAAAUUUGAAUUGAAUUCAAGUGAAUAUUUCGGUCAUUUGGCUGAAAUGGAAACUGAAAUCACUAAAAUUCACUGAAUUUCAGUGAUUUCGGUUGGUGCUGAAAUUUUUCUGAAACUGAAAUUGAAAACCAUGGCAAGUACACUACUUAACAAGCUUGAUUCACUCACCACAAGUCAUUUCAUGACAAGAUAAGCAUAGCAUCAUCAGCAAGAAGACAUGUUUAUGAAACAAACCAAGGCAAGAACAAGUUCAUAGCAUGCAAGGAUCAACUACAACAACCUUGGCAAAAUUGAAUAACAUGUAAACAAUCUGCCAGGAAACAUUUUGAAGCAAAAGUAGAGCACGAAAAUGACAUGCUAGACUACUCCAUAAUUGCAAACAGGGGCAUGAAUGGAUAGAUAAUAACCAUAUGUUCAAAACACCCUUACUGAAGUAUCUCAAAAUAUGCAUGAAUCUCUCUGUAGCAUCAAGUUUACAUGGCAUCAAAAUAACAGCAGAACAGGGACUAAAAACAGCAACAUUACGAAGCCUAGUUUGCAUGCUUGUGCUAGUCACCACAUUGAUCACAAAAAUACAUGGCAAAUACCACUGUAAAGAAGACAUGGCAUAGAUCAAAACACGUGUAGACAUCAACCUCAUAGGAUGCACACAUCAAUCAUGGCAAAAAUGACAAAUGAGCAAGUUCUGUUAACAGACAGCAGACAACAUUAUGAAGCACUCUUGCAACAAUGAUUCAGGCAUCAAGAUGAGCUCAAAUGAACAUGAUGCAAUGGAAUGAAAUGAAGUACUCGUUGAGACAAACAAUUUGACAUAUUACACGCACGAAAUGAAGCUACGGAUGCAGAGAUAUGAUGCGAUGAACAUGGCAUGAUAAUGUCACAGAUUCGGGGACUUAGAGAAAAAUGGACCUCGGUGGAAAAGUGGACGAGGGGAUCCCGCGGGACGAAGCGGUGCCGCGGGCCGUUUGGAUCGGCGGGCUGGUGGAUCUGAUCCACCCCCUAACUCCGGCGAGGCAGAGGCGGUUCCGGCGAGGAGCUCCGGCGAGGAGGAGGCACGGGAGAUGGCCGGGGAGGUCGGGGACGACUGGUUCCGGUCCGGCCUGACCGGGUCCGCGGCGAGGCGGCACGGCUGCCGGCGAAGAGGGCCGGUGGAGAGGCGGAGGCCGGCGAGCGUUGCGGCAGCGGAGCUCCGGCAGGAGCUCGGGGUGAGCGGCGGCCCAUCGGGCGGAGACCGGGGCGGCGCGGCGGAUCGGCCGCGGNNNNNNNNNNNNNNNNNNNNNNNNNNNNNNNNNNNNNNNNNNNNNNNNNNNNNNNNNNNNNNNNNNNNNNNNNNNNNNNNNNNNNNNNNNNNNNNNNNNNNNNNNNNNNNNNNNNNNNNNNNNNNNNNNNNNNNNNNNNNNNNNNNNNNNNNNNNNNNNNNNNNNNNNNNNNNNNNNNNNNNNNNNNNNNNNNNNNNNNNNNNNNNNNNNNNNNNNNNNNNNNNNNNNNNNNNNNNNNNNNNNNNNNNNNNNNNNNNNNNNNNNNNNNNNNNNNNNNNNNNNNNNNNNNNNNNNNNNNNNNNNNNNNNNNNNNNNNNNNNNNNNNNNNNNNNNNNNNNNNNNNNNNNNNNNNNNNNNNNNNNNNNNNNNNNNNNNNNNNNNNNNNNNNNNNNNNNNNNNNNNNNNNNNNNNNNNNNNNNNNNNNNNNNNNNNNNNNNNNNNNNNNNNNNNNNNNNNNNNNNNNNNNNNNNNNNNNNNNNNNNNNNNNNNNNNNNNNNNNNNNNNNNNNNNNNNNNNNNNNNNNNNNNNNNNNNNNNNNNNNNNNNNNNNNNNNNNNNNNNNNNNNNNNNNNNNNNNNNGGCGUACGGGCUCCGCGGGCUUGCAGCGGGCCGCGCGGGCCGGCGGCGGUGGAGGCGCGGGGCAGGGCCACGUGGCGGCGCGGGAUAGGUCCAGGAGGCGGCGGGGUGACGUGGCGUGAACUGAUUGGCUCGGGCGACGUGGAGGCUGGACAUGGCCGGCGGGGUUGGACAUGUCCGGCGCGCGAGGGGAGCGGGGCUAGGGUUUCGUCUGUGAAAAUGGACGGGGAGGACGUUUUUAUAGGUAGAAGGAGCUAGGAGAGUCCAAAUGGAGCACGGUUUUCGGCCACACGAUCGUGAUCGAACGACCGAGAGCAUAGAGGGGGUUAGGAUGGGUUUUGGGCCACUUUGGAGGGGUGUUGGGCUGCAAGACGAAAGAGGCUUUUACGGUUACCCGGUUAACCGUUGGAGUAUCAAACGACCUCCAAAUGGCACGAAACUUGACAGGCGGUCUACUGAUGCUAUACCAAGGCCACUUGGCAAGCCUCGUGCCAUUCCAAGAAAGUUUAACACCCGCUCACAACGAGAGGGAAAAAGGGGGACGCCGGAUGACAUAGGAGCGCCGGAUUGCAAAACGGACAACGGGGAAAAUGCUCGGAUGCAUGAGACGAACACGUAUGCAAAAUGAAAUGCACAUGAUGAAAUGGCAAAAUGCAACACGCAAGCAAAUGACAUGGCACGACGGCGAAUAACUGGCAGACACCUGGCGCAUCGAAACCGGGGCGUUACAACACUCCUCCACUAACAAGAGAUCUCGUCCCGAGAUCUUAGGAUCGAGACAGAAGAGAAAAAAGGAAGAGGUGAAACAAGAACUCAAAGAAGAAGUAAGGAAUCGAGGGCACUCGAGAAGAAGAGAGGAAUGACGAGAAUGACGGAAAUCGAAGGCUCACUGAAUCAGAUAGACUAUGAAACAACUCCGGUUAGAACGAGAUAAGAAACAAAUAAGACUGAAACGAUUUAGGCAGCACUCCGGCUAAAACAUGGAGGAAUAGAACAUGAACUUCACAAGAUGGGAUGACACUUGACGAGAUGGACAACGCAAUGCUACCGGAAGAAUUGAAAGAAUGGAAUGAAAAGAACGGAUGAGAGGACAACAACUUCUACCAUGAAUGAAUUCGAUAGCAUCCUUUGAAGAAGAUUAGAACGGAGUUGAAUAUCUGAGAAGAACGAAGAAAUGCAAAACUCCACUUCAAAAGAAAUACGAAUAAUUAAUUGCACUUUGAGAUGCAAGAAGGAAGAUACUAGAACACCUUGAACAAGAAUCUUGAUGAACACUUGAAGAAUGAAUUAAAUCAUGACGAGCCACCAUGAAGAACUCCGGUAACAAAAGGAUGACGAGAUAAAAUGAAGGAUGAAAGAAUAAGAUGAGCCUUGCAGUGAUUUAGAUGGAGGUUCUGACGAGAUGGCCGAGGAAAUUUGAACUCCGGAAAAGAAAAGAGAAAAACACUUGGAACUAGAAUUUAUUCAUCAAGAACAAACUCCAAAGGAAGGGAUUACUCACUUUAAGGAAUAAGAACAAGAUUUAUUGUAUGCUUAUCCUUCAUCAAAUUAAAUUGAUGACCAACAAUGGAUUUGGCAUACUACUUAUUCUUCUUGAAAAAGGAUUGAGAAGGGAUAGCACAAAACUUGAGAAGGUCUUCAUGAACCACCGGUAGGAUUGAAAAGAACGAAUGAAUUGAAAUGAUAAUCAAAGAAAAAGAAUCUGAAGGAACCACCGUAAGAAUUCAAAAAUGACUGAUGAAAGGGGUUGAAUCACCGGGAAGAAUAAGAAGAACAAAUAUGCUUGAGGGGAUUUAGAUGCAAAAGAACAAAGAGAUCAUGAGCUGAUUAAAGAACACUUGAACGAAGCACCGGGAUAACUAGAGAAUGAUAAUUGGAAUGAUGGCCGCCGGUGAAAAGAAAACAAAAAACAACUGCUGACAUACUCCGGAUGGGUAAGAAAAGAAUAUUUGAUGAUUGGAAUACUUCGAGACUGAUAUGAAAACUCUUCUUCAAUCUUCAAAUCUGAGAAAGACGAUGAGAAACAUCACCGAAAUUACUGAGAUACUCCGGUAGAAUGACAAGCGAAGAGGUUGAGCCAACAAUGAAAAUGAUUUGAAAUCGAUCUUGGAAAAGCAUCUGACUGAUGAAAUUCAUUCUUACAUCACACUUGAAAAGAAUUUGGGAAUAACCCCGAGGGAAAAUUAGAAGAGUCAGGUAAGAUCCUAGAAAAAGACCUGUGGGUUAAGGCCCACUGAAGAGAUAACACCGUUGAAAAGGAUUGUUGGAAAGAUAGAUGAUGCACCGGAACAAUUGAGAUAUUAGAAUGAGGUGAUAACCUCGAAUUAAUUCGAACACAGACGAAUCUCCUGGGAUGUCUUGAACACUCCGAAAGGAUUAAUUGGAGAGAGGCAAACGAGCAAGGAAAACACUUGAGCUACGGAAAAGAAUAUGAUCAACCCGAAAAACUUGAAUUGAAUCCACCAGAGAAGAAAAAAGGAUGAUGAAUGACGAACUAGACGAGAAUUCACCGGUUGAAAUAAUUUACGAAAGAAUGAAGAGGUUCCACACGAAUGAAAUUGAUGCUCAAAAGAUACUCAGGCUCCGGGAAGAAGAGGGUGGGAGGGCAGGAAAACAAAGGCAACUUGGAAGGGGAAACUGACGAAUAACUUCAAGAGGAAACACCGGUUGAAAUUAUUGAGGAAAGAAAGCAAAGACUUCGCACGAGUAGGAUGGAUACGCGAUUACGGACUCCGGUUCUGAGAAGAAGAAGGGUGGGCGGGUGGGAAAGAAAACAACUGAGGAUUGAACUUGGCAAAGAUGAAGAGGCUCGAGUCACGAGAAAUGCACCGGAUAAAAAGAGUUGAGGAACAACUACUGGAAAAACCAACUGCGUGAUCCUAAAGAAAAUUUGAAAGGGGAAGAGGAGUAAUUCAAAACACCUACGUCAAGAUUCCUCACCAGAACAACAAAGGGGCUGAGGAGUAAAAAGAAUUCCUACUCUCCGAUAUAACUAGACUCCGAAAAGCAAUUUUCUUCUAGACUCAACAACGGCCAAACUACACGAUCAAUCAAGGGGGCUCCUAGGGUCGGUCGAGGCUCUAAUACCAACUUGUCACGCCCAUUAUGCAAUACUAUCCUAAAGAGACUCAAAGGUCCCACCAAGGAUAGAACCGCAUAUUGAGACGCUUUUGAAAGGUGGAUAUCAUUACAUCAACAUUACAUAAUAGAUGGGGAUACAUACAAGAGGCAAACAAUGCCACAUGAAUACAACAUCAUCAUACAUAAGAGCAACAUCCGACUACGGAUGAAACACAAACAGAAGCUCAAACGACAUCCACCCUGCUAGCCCAGGCUGCCGACCUGGAACCUAUCCGCUGAUCGAAGAAGAAGCAGAAGUAGAACUCCAAAACAAGUAAACAUCGCUCUCGCGUCAUGAUCAUCGCAUAAACCUGUACCUGCAACUGUUGUUGUAGUAAUCUGUGAGCCACGAGGACUCAGCAAUCCCAUUACCAUGGGUAUCAAGACUAGCAAGGCUUAAAGGGAAAGGAAGGGGUAAAGUGGUGAGGUUGCAGCAGCAACUAAGCAUAUAUGGUGGCUAACAUACGCAAAUAAGAGCGAGAAGAGAGCAAGCAGAACGGUCGUGAAGCUAGCAAUGAUCAAGAAGUGAUCCUGAACUCCUACUUAUGUCAAACAUAACCCAGAAACCGUGUUCACUUCCCGGACUCCGCCGAAAAGAGACCAUCACGGCUACACACACGGUUGAUGCGUUUUAUUUCGGAUGUGGUGUCAAGUUUUUUUUUGACCUUGGAGACUGCAGGGCUUGCACCCCACAACAUUUUAUUAAUGCAAAGAAAACAAAGGUAGUACAAGGUAUCCUCAAGAUGAGGAAAAAAGCAAAAGAAAGCUAUACAAGUAGUCUAGUCCUAAUAUAUACAAAUAUACAAAAGAGAACAAAAACCAUUCCCCUCAAGGAGGAAGGAAAUCAAUCCAUCUAAGUAAGGCCUCCUUGUGCUUCUAUUUGAUUCUAUGGGAAAGCAGAGUGAGAUCAUGAAUGAAUCCAUAUCUCCAUGCUCUGAAGGAAGGCUUGAUGUUCCUGAAAGCUCUGUCAUUUCUUACCUUCCAAAUGUUCCACCAGGCAGUAAAAACCACCUCCGCAAAGAAAGGUUUGUUGAACUCCUUUCUAGCAUGGAAAGCAAUCUCCACCAUGUCCUCAUUGUCUUUCCAGUCAAUCUGCAGAUAGCUCCAGACGCGAGCACUGAAGUUGCACAGGAAGAAAAGGUGGUUUCUGUCCUCCAAUAUCCCUGUUGGGCAUAGAACACAUUGUGGUCCCUCCUUAAUCUUCCAUUGCCUUCUCUGAAUCAUGUCCUUGGUGUUAACCCUGUCCAUUAUGACUAGCCAAGCAAACAUCUUGAUCGACAUAGUACAGCAGCUCUUCCAAAUCCAGCUCAAAAUGGGGUUUGCUACCAUUGGCUGGUAAGCAAAGUCAUAAAACUUUUUUGCAGUAUAAGAAGACUUCUUUCCAUGCCUCCAUACCCAAGAGUCAUGGCCACUAUAGUCCAAAUGGAAAGAUCCCAUUAGGGUCGAAAGCUGCUGAAAUUCUUGAUAAGCUUGCGCAGUGAGGGGCAAGUAAAAGAGAUCUUGCAAGCUGCCAGUCAUAAAGACUUCCUUGACUGAAAGGUUUUUGUGGAGACAAAAAGAAUAUAGUCUAGGAAAUCGAUCUUGAAGAGGCACAUUGUUGUUCCCAACUUUCCGAUAGUCAGACCAGAAUAACACAGUAUCUCCACUACGAACAUCCACCUCAGUAACUGCUCUGAAAUUAUCCAUCAAUUUGCAGAUAUCCCUCCACCAAAAAGAGCCAUAAAGGGUGGUAUCAUAAGGAAUUCGUUCAAAAUAAUAAGAAUCCCAGAUUAACUGAACUCAAGGCACAUCCAUUUUAUUGUAAAAUUUAUCCAGAAACUUCAGUAGCAGAGCAUCAUUUUGCAAACCCAGGUUUAAGAUUCCAAGUCCCCCCUUUGUUUUGGGCCUGCAAACAAGAGGCCAAGCAGCUAAUGAAUGACCCUUCUCUUGGCCAUAUUUCCUCCAUAAACACUGCCUUUGGAUCCUUUCCAACUGCUUCAAAAUACCCUGAGGGAUUGACAGAGUAGAAAGGAAGAAGAUAGGCAAAGAUGAAAUGACAGAAUUUACUAGUUGCAACCUGCUUCCCUGAGGCAAGAACCAAGAACAUGUAGUCAAUCUUCUCUCCAUACAAUCCACUAAUGGAAGAAGAUCCACAAUCUUAGGUCUGGUAGUCCCAACAGGCAGGUAUCUACAACCGGACAUUAACAAAUUCCCAUCUGCCUAUAACCGCAGGCACGGCUUUCGAAAGAUAAUACCCUGCAGGGGUGUCCCAACUUAGCCCAUGAUAAGCUCUCGCGAUCAACGAAGUAUAUACCUUCUCCCAGGAAGACCCGAUCAGACUCGGAAUCCCGGUUUACAAGACAUUUCGACAAUGGUAAAACAAGACCAGCAAAGCCUCCCGCUGUGCCGACAAAUCCCGAUAGGAGCUGCACAUAUCUCGUUCUCAGGGCACACCGGAUGAGCAAGACGACGGGUUGGCAUAGACCCUGGUUGCCCAGGGGGCGCCGGACAUCGCUCGGUUUGGACCAACACUUAGACAAGCAUUGGCCCGGGGGGCUAAAAUAAAGAUGACCCUCGAGAGGGCGACUCCCAAGGGAAAAGGUAGGUGGUGGUGAGGCAAAUGGUAAAAGCAAUGUUGGGCCUUGCCGGAGGAGUUUUAUUCAAAGCAAACUGUCAAGGGGGUCCCAUAAAUCACCCAACCGCGUAAGGAACGCAAAAUCCGGGAACAUAACACCGGUAUGACAGAAACUAGGGCGGCAAGAGUGGAAAAAACACCAGGCAUAAGGCCGAGUCUUCCACCCUUUACCAAGUAUAUAGACGCAUUAAUAAUAAUAUAAGAGAUAUUGUGAUAUCCCAACAUAAUCCUGUCCACCAUGGAGCAAUCUUCAACUUCACCUGCAACUAACAACGCUAUAAGAGGGGCUGAGCAAAGCGGUAACAUAGCCAAGCAAUGGUUUGCAUAGGAAAGGUGUCAAAGGUUAGAGGUUCAUGGCAAUAUGGGAGGCUUGAUAAACAGGUGAUAGGUAGCGCAGCAAUGCGAUAGAACGAAGCAACUAGCAUAGCAGUGAUAGUAGUGAGAUCCAAGGAAAUGGUCAUCUUGCCUGAAAUCUCGCUAGGAAGAAGAACGAGUCCAUGAAGAAGAUGGAGCCACGAAGACGAACCAAGCGUAGACGAACGAAUCCUCACGAUCGCAACGAAACGGGAACUAUCGAGAAGAAGCACACAACAUAGUAAACACACCACACAUAAACAAGACCUGAUGCGCAACAAGCAUGAUGCAUGACAAAGGCUACAUGAAGCUACUCAUGGCAAGAGAUGAUGCAAACAAGAGCAACACAUCAAAGCAAGUUUAAAUGAGACCGGGAACAACAUAUAACAACUCCGGUAAGUCCUCAUAUGCAAAUUUCGAAAUUGGUCCAGAUCUGAAUAAACCUUAUGUUCAAGUUGUUAAACAGCAAGUUAAGAUGCACCAAGAUGAUCUACACGAGAUUCUAGUCAAGUUACAUAUAGAGUUCAUUUUAUUCGGAGCUACGGCCGAGAAGAUAUGAGAAAAACAAGUUAAGCAUGGCAUUGAUGCAAAAUUCAUACAAACAUCAAGCAAACACCUCAAAACAAGGAUGCAACAUGAUAAUAUGAAGCUACAUGCAAUUCUAAGCAAGUUCCAUAUAGAGCACACCCAAAACGGAGCAACGGUUUAACACACACACAUGAAACAAGUUAUAGCAACAAUCUGUCCAAAACAGCAACUACGCAUAUUGCAAGCAUCAAAACAACAUGCUACAGCACCCCAACAUGAGAACAAAAGGCAUGGGCAUGAUGUACAAGUAAAGCAUAUCAAAACAUGAACACUGAGCUAUCUCCAGAAAUCACUAGAACAUGCUCAAACACACAUGGCAAGAUUGCAAAUAAUAAUAGUUCAGACUUUGCAGAAAAUAACAUCAGGUUGCAAUGUUUAGAGCUAUCAAACAACAUGCUACAGGAACUUAUCGUGGCAAACAAAGGCAUGGCAUGCUACUACUAAAUGCAUAGAACAAAAGUCCCUUACUGACCAUGAGCCAAAAAGGAUCAAAAAAUAUGAUGGCACCCAUGUAAACAUAGCAAGUUAUAAUACAGAUUCAAACAUGGCAGGAACAGAAUUAUGAAGGCAUGUAGAUGAGCUUGUACCACUCACCACAGAGCAAUACAUGGCAUGGCAAGGCACCCAACAGUAAGAAGACAUGUUUAUGAAGCUAAGCAUGGUAAGAGCAAGUCCAUAGGAUGCAUGGAUCACUAACAACAAUCAUGGAAACAACUGAACUUAAUGUUAACAGGCUGACAGCAACAUUCUUUAGCAACUUUGGAGCAAGAUUACAACAAGUUACAGCAAGUUAUAAAUGCUACCAGGGGCAUGGAUCGAUAGAGCAUGACAUGUAGAACAAAACACCCUUAGUGAACAUAUCCAGAUUAUGCAUAGAAUGACUAGUAGCAGUAUGUUUACAUACCAUCACGAAAUAACAGAUUCAGCCUAGCAAAACAGCAACAGCAAGUACACUACUUAACAAGCUUGAUUCACUCAUCACAAGUCAUUGCAUGACAAGAUAAGCAUAGCAUCAGUAAGAAGACAUGUUUUUAAAACAAACCAAGGCAAGAACAAGUUCAUAGCAUGCAAGGAUCAACUACACCAACCUUGGCAAAAUUGAAUAACAUGUAAACAAUCUGCCAGGAAACAUUUUGAAGCAAAAGUAGAGCACGAAAAUGACAUGCUAGACUACUCCAUAAUUGCAAACAGGGGCAUUCAUGGAUAGAUAAUAACCAUAUGUUCAAAACACCUUACUGAAGUAUAUCAAAAUAUGCAUGGAUCUCUCUAUAGCAUCAAGUUUACAUGGCAUCAAAAUAACAGCAGAACAGGGACUAAAAACAGCAACAUUACGAAGCCUAGUUUGCAUGCUUGUGCUAGUCACCACAUUGAUCACAAAAAUACAUGGCAAACACCACUAUAAAGAAGACAUGGCAUAGAUCAAAACACAUGUAGACAUCAACCUCAUAGGAUGCACACAUCAAUCAUGGCAAAAAUGACAAAUGACCAAGUUCUGUUAACAGACAGCAGACACCAUUAUGAAGCACUCUUGCAAUGAUGAUUCAUGCAUCAAGAUGAGCUCAAAUGAACAUGAUGCAAUGGAAUGAAAUGAAGUACUCGUUGAGGCAAACAAUUUGACAUAUUACACGCACGAAACGAAGCUACGGAUGCAGAGAUAUGAUGCGAUGAACAUGGCAUGAUAAUGUCAUAGAUUCGUGGACUUAGAGAAAAAUGGACCUCGGUGGAAAAGUGGACGAGGGGAUCCCGCGGGAUGAAGCGGUGCCGCGGGCCGUUUGGAUCGGCGGGCUGGUGGAUCUGAUCCACCCCCCAACUCCGGCGAGGCAGAGGCGGUUCCAGCGAGGAGCUCCAGUGAGGAGGAGGUGCGGGAGAUGGCCGGGGAGGUCGGGGACGACCGGAUCCGGUCCGGCCCGACCAGAUCCGCGGUGAGGUGGCACGACUACCGGCAAAGAGGGCCGGUGGAGAGGCGGAGGCCAGCGAGCGCUGCGGCAGCGGAGCUCCGGCAGGAGCUCGGGGCGAGCGGCGGCCCAUCGGGCAGAGACCAGGGCGGUGCGGCGGAUCAGCCGCGGCCGACGGGGCGGCGGNNNNNNNNNNNNNNNNNNNNNNNNNNNNNNNNNNNNNNNNNNNNNNNNNNNNNNNNNNNNNNNNNNNNNNNNNNNNNNNNNNNNNNNNNNNNNNNNNNNNNNNNNNNNNNNNNNNNNNNNNNNNNNNNNNNNNNNNNNNNNNNNNNNNNNNNNNNNNNNNNNNNNNNNNNNNNNNNNNNNNNNNNNNNNNNNNNNNNNNNNNNNNNNNNNNNNNNNNNNNNNNNNNNNNNNNNNNNNNNNNNNNNNNNNNNNNNNNNNNNNNNNNNNNNNNNNNNNNNNNNNNNNNNNNNNNNNNNNNNNNNNNNNNNNNNNNNNNNNNNNNNNNNNNNNNNNNNNNNNNNNNNNNNNNNNNNNNNNNNNNNNNNNNNNNNNNNNNNNNNNNNNNNNNNNNNNNNNNNNNNNNNNCAGGGGCCCCGCGGGCCUGCAGCGGGCCGCGUGGGCCGGCGGCGGUGGAGGCACGGGGCAGGGCCACGUGGCGGCGCGGGAUAGGUCCAGGAGGCGGCGGGGUGACGUGGCGUGAACUGACUGGCUCGGGCGACGUGGAGGCUGGACAUGUCCGGCGGGGUUGGACAUGUCCGGCGCGCGAGGGGAGCGGGGCUAGGGUUUCGUCUGCGAAAAUGGACGAGGAGGACAUUUUUAUAGGUAGAAGGAGCUAGGAGAGUCCAAAUGGAGCACGGUUUUCGGCCACGCGAUCAUGAUCGAACGGCCGAGAGCAUGGAGGGGGUUAGGAUGGGUUUUGGGCCACUUUGGAGGGGUGUUGGGCUGCAAGACGAAAGAGGCUUUUACGGUUACCCGGUUAACCGUUGGAGUAUCAAACGACCUCCAAAUGGCACGAAACUUGACAGGCGGUCUACCGAUGCUAUACCAAGGCCACUUGGCAAGCCUCGGGCCAUUCCAAGAAAGUUUAACAUCCGCUCACAACGAGAGGCAAAAAGGGGGACGCCGGAUGACAUAGGAGCGCCGGAUUGCAAAAGGGACAACGGGGAAAAUGCUCGGAUGCAUGAGACAAACACGUAUGCAAAAUGAAAUGCACAUGAUGACAUGGCAAAAUGCAACACGCAAGCAAAUGACAUGGCAACGACGGAGAAUAACUGGCAGACACCUGGCGCAUCAAAACCGGGGCGUUACACAAAUCUGGUAAUGGUACCAAAGAAGGACAAAUCCUGGCGCCUAUACAAGACUUCAAAGAUCUCAACAAGGCUUGCCCCAAGGAUCCCUUCCCCUCCCUCGCAUUGACCAAAUCAUCGACGCCACUACAGGACAUGACUCUCUGUGUUUCCUCGACGCAUACUCUGGAUACCAUCAAAUAAAGAUGGCAGAGUCUGACCUAGCUGCAACGGCCUUCAUAACGCCAUAUGGUCCUUUCUGCUUCAACACUAUGCCUUUCGGGCUUAAAAAUGCCGGCACAACCUAUCAACGCAUGAUUCAAACAUGCCUGGAAAAGCAAAUCGGCAAGACAGUGGAGGCAUAUGUGGAUGACGUGGUCAUAAAAACAAGACACGUCGAAACCCUAAUAGACAACUUGAGGCUUACGUUCGACAACCUCCGAACAUACGACAUCAAGCUAAACCCGGAAAAAUGUGUUUUUGGCGUGCCCUCUGGGAAGCUGCUCGGCUUCAUUGUUUCCAAUAGAGGAAUUGAGGCGAAUCCGGCAAAAAUCCGAGCUCUGUCGCAGUUGGCUAUCCCAACAGACCUCAAGCAUCUCCAGAAACUAGCUGGAUGCGUGGCUGCCUUAAGCCGCUUUAUCUCCCGGUUAGGAGAAAAGGCAUUACCUCUUUACCUCCUUCUUCGGUUCACCGAACACUUCAUAUGGACGGAUGUAGCCGCGGCCGGACUGGACGAAAUAAAGACCUUGUUGGCCAGUAAUACAGUCCUAACAGCGCCAAAUAUUGGCGAACCUAUGGUAUUGUACAUAGCUGCAACACAUCAAGUUGUAAGCGCAGUGCUCGUCGUCGAACGAGAGGCUGACGGAUACAAGUUCCAGCUCCAGAAGCUGGUAUAUUACAUAUCCACGGUCCUCACCCCAUGCAAAUCCCGAUACCCACACUAUCAAAAGAUAGCAUACGCGGUCUUCAUGGCAUCCCGAAAGCUAUGACACUACUUUCAAGAGUGUUCGAUCACGGUGGCCUCCGAAGUACCACUCAACGAUAUAAUAAACAACCGCGAUGUUACGGGCCGGAUCGCUAAAUGGGCCAUCAAGCUCCUUCCAUUCGACAUAACAUACAAGCCACGGCGGUCCAUCAAGUCGCAAGUACUGGCUGACUUCGUCGCCGAAUGGACAGAAGCCGAACUCCCUAAAGAGUACGGCGCGUACUCUAACUGGAUCAUGCACUUCAGAGACUCUAAAAUGCUGGCCGGACUGGGAGCAGGCGUAGUCCUGACGUCUCCCACCAGAGACACGAUCCAAUAUGUACUCCAAAUAUUAUACACAGACUCCAACAACGUAGCCGAAUACGAGGCUCUGUUACAUGGUCUUCGGAUGGCAGUCUCCAUGGGCAUUCUAUGCCUGGAAGUACAUGGGGCUUCAAACCUCGCAAUAUCACAAAUAAACGGAGACUUUGACGCCAAGGAUCCGAAGAUGGCGGCCUACCGUAAUGUCGUCCUCAAAAUGUCAGCUCGAUUCGAGGGGCUCGAAUUCCACCAUGUGGCUCGAGAAAACAAUCAAGCGGUGGAUAUCCUCGCCCGCAUCAGUGCUAAACGUGACCCUGUCCCACCUAACAUAUUCCUAGAAAGGCUGUUCAAGCCAUCCGUGGUAUGGGAAGGGGAAUCCGGCAACACUAGCACGGAUCCGAACAAACCCCCAGAUUCCGAACCAUCAGACGUAAUCGGAGGCUCCGCCACCGAAAUAACACAUUCGGCCCACGAAAUCAUGGCUAUAAUCGCCCCGUGGACCGAGCCUUUCUUGGCCUACCUAAAUAGGCAGGAGCUCCCCGAGGACCAAAUUGAAGCACGUUGUAUUGUGCGGCGUUCCAAGGCCUACAAAGUACAUGAGGGAGAACUCUAUAAGAAGAGUGCAGCCGGAGUGCUCCAAAGAUGCAUCUCCAAAGAGGAAGGGCGGCAGCUAUUAGCUGAAAUCCAUGUCGGACUCAGCGGGCACCACGCCGCGGCUCGGGCGCUCGUCAGCAAGGCCUUUCGUACAUGCUUUUAUUGGCCGACAGCCCGAGCAGAUGCACAGGACCUUAUCCAACAUUGCAUCGGUUGCCAGCUCUUCGCCAAUCAGAGUCAUAUGCCCCCCACCACUCUCCAAACAAUCCCCAUCACUUGGCCCUUCGUGGUCUGGGGGAUAGAUAUGGUCGGACACCUUAAAGGGGGAAGCCAUAAGAAAAAAAUACUUAUUGGUCAUGGUGGACAAGUUCACCAAAUGGAUAGAAGCUAAACCAGUCAAAACGGCCGAAUCCGGACCAGUGAUAGACUUCAUAUCCGGGGUUGUACACCGAUACGUCGUCCCCCACAGCAUCAUCACUGAUAACGGCUCAAACUUCACAGCCGAUGAAGUGAAAACUUGGUGCGGCAACAUGGGCAUUAAGCUCGAUUACGCCUCCAUCUACCAUCCCCACACAAACGGCCAGGUCGAACGUGCAAAUGGUCUCAUCAUGAGCAGCAUCAAACCCAGACUAGUGCGAUCCUUAACAUAAUCGGACACACACUGGGUCGAGGAGCUCGACUCCGUACUCUGGGGGCUGUGGACCACGCCGAAUCGUACCACCUGAUAUACACCAUUUUUAUGGUAUACGGUGCAGAAGCAGUACUACCCUGCGAUAUAAUACAUGAUUCGCCUCGCGUGCGCAUGUACGAAGAGAAGGAAGCCGAGUUGGAUCGGCAGGAUAACUUAGAUGCCCUGGAGGAGGAACGCGACGUCGCAAAAGCCCGUUCCGCAUUCUAUCACCAGCAAGCUCGACGGUACCAAAGCAGAGAAGUGCGGGCCAAAACUUAUACUAUUGGCGAACUCGUUCUACGCCUACCGGAGAAGAAGAAGGACAAGCUCAAACCUAAGUGCGAGGGUCCCUUCGUCAUUGAUAAAGUUCUCACUGGAGGAGCGUACCGCCUACGUAAUGCUUCCGAUAACAGACUCGAGUCGAACCCAUGGAACGCGGCCAGACUCCGGAGGUUCUACGCCUAGCGCCGAACUCAGUGUUCAUCUCCUUGCCCCCUCCUUUUCAAUUGCGUUCCCUCCUUUUUCCUUUCUCGGCCUUUUUCCUCUUCACACAAAGUACUUAAUACAGUGCGGGCGCCCGGAUCACUCCGGCCGCACUAUGUGUGUAAGCCAUACCUGGGGGCUUCCUAUAAGGAAGCUAAAUAUAAUUGCUCUCAUGGCUUCUUGCCUAUCACAUAUGCAUUCUUUUUCCAUAUGUACCCUUUUUUCACCAUUAUAUGCAUCGAUAUGACUUAAGAUGUGGCCAUGCUGGGUUGCUUGGCUCUUGUGUUUAUGCCCUAUGUUCCCGUUAAUUCGGCUAGGGCAUAAGGGGAGCACCUCUGUGAUUGUUACUGCCGGUUCAGUCAGAUGUGUACCUCAGACUGGGUGAAGCCGAAAGCUAGCUUCCUUAAGGGAAUAUUCGGUCGGUGAACAAAAGAUGUCUUUCGUUUAUUACAAUAUGAAUCCCCAGAAGUUUUUGUAUCCUGCGUCCCUGUUCGCAGUCCGGACAUGUACUUUGUUGCAUGCGUACCCAGGGAAAGCAACCCCUAAUGGAACUAUUCUCCCUGGAAGAUGUUUCUUACUAUCCAUGUAAUAUAACAUAACUAGUUGGGUACUUUUCUGUUCAAGCAAUUAUGACCCCUACGCCUGGUUUCCACGCAUACCCUGGUUCUGUAUAACUGAGCGGGUAUUCGGAUACACCCCGGACUGUCGGAUCCGGGGGCUGAAGCGAAAAGGUUCGUCAUGACAAAUGAUUUUAAUACGGCUAGGGACUACUUAUGUCCAUUGAAUUACAAAGUCACUUGGACUGACUAUAUUCCUCCUCUAUACCAUCCAACAGGCUAUCUAGCUUACAAUCGUGUUGGGAAUACUUUGCGGCUAACACUACUUGGUCAUACACCAGACUCACGGGAAUUUCUUGCCCAUCUGGCCCCUCCGAUCCGACUUCGGUCAUAUGGUUCGGGUCAAGCUUGGUAUAGCACGUCUUCACCAUAGCCCAGGCUUCUCUUGCACCUUGUCGGCAGGCUGACAUCUUCCACAACAGGAAGCGCCGCCGUGCUCCUUGGAGCAUAUCCACGAGCUCUGCCAUGCCCUUCGGCAGGAAGCUUGAUGGCCACAAGGCCUGAGCAAUGCCCUGCAUCACCUGCCGAGCUCGCUCGUGCAGCUGUGAGAGGUCUUGCAGCAAAUCGCCUGCAGACGCGGGCAUCUUCUCUUCAGGGCGGCCCGUCAGCAUGCCUACAAAUAAAAUUUAUUGCAAUAUGCUUCCUCGCCGAGCUAUACUACAGUUCAUCUAGGCACUUACCAUAAAUGCCGCCACGAAGCCUUUUGUUCUCCUUCACGGAGUCCGCCAGCUGAGCACGGACAUCUUUUAAUUCGACGUCCAGCCGGACAUUGGCAUCUUGAAGAUUGUUCUUCUCCUGCCUAACUUGCGUAAGAACACGCUCGCCAGCUUUUCGCUGCCUUUGGAGAUGUGACUUGUUAUCUCUUACGACAUCCGGAUUCACCCCGGUAUUGUCUGCAGAAUUUUCUGUUAGACUAAACAUACAAGCCACUUACUAACUGGUACAUCUCCGUACAAUUGAGACAUAUGUUACUAGAUAAGGCCUUCUGGGAUUCCUCUAACUUGGCAACCGUGGCCCUCAGCUGGGUCUUGCACUCCUCCGGCUCUCGAGACAAUUGCUCACUCUUAUCUACAAGGACCUGGGCAUAAAUUGAUCCUUAAAAUAGUUGUUCCAACCAUUUCAAGUCUCAGGGGCUAAUGCUAUACAUGCUUAUCAAAUUUUCUUACCCGUAUAUCUUUGGUAUACUGGUCCGUCUCUCGGGCAAGCCCGCCUUGAGCAGCUCGGAUGUACGCGUCUCCCGAAUUGAAAGCAUUAAAAGCCUCUUCGGAAAAGAUGUUGUUGCGAAGUACGGCCCAUCGGCGCCAGUGAUUCAUGGCGCUCUCCACUUUGGAAAUCGUGGCGGAAAGCAUAUCUGCAUCCUCUGUCGGAGGACAAUGCGGCAUCGGCCCCGCAUCCGCCUCCUCUCUUGAAGCCGGUUAUAAUCCGCCUAUUCCUCUUUCUGCUAGGACACGAAGGAUACUGUUACAUUGCAAACACAAUAAUCACACAGCAAGUUCUUACCAUACCUCUGUAGCGGCGUUUCGGCCCUAACCACCUUCCUCUUAAGCCUGCCCGAUCCGGACACCCUUUGUCGACGAGUCCCCAGGGGCUCGGCGUCGCGCUCUGACCGUCGUCUCUACAAAAAUACGACACUUAAGGUGUAAGGCAUGGCGUCAGAAAGGAGUCAUCUUCGGAGGAUAGGGUUUUUUUGGCUUGGCUUACACGUGAUGUAGGUAGCAGUCCGGGAUAGUCGGCGGUAAUAGCCACCGAGGCGCCGUCGCAGCUUGCCUGAUAAAAUAUCCCGUUGACGAGCUCCACAGUAAUAUCCGGAUCUUCUUCGAGUCCUGGAUCGAGGGCUCUUCCGGGGUCCUCUGGCUGCGGGGAGGGGUUGGAGAUUCCUUCUACGACCCUCCUUAGUUCCUGCUCGAAAAUAUCGAGGUAAAUAAUCUUGACGAAGAACGCCAGAAUGAGUGAAGCGGUGGAAAGAGUGGUGACUUACCCAGCUUGGGGGGUUGUACAUAGAAAACCCAUCCCGCAGUUAAAUGUGAAGGAAUUCUUCUUCUUCUCCUUUAUACAGAUCGGACAAUAUCCUCGCCAGCGCAGUGGCGGAGUCCGGACCCUUACAGCCACAGCGGGUGGCAUCAUCUUACCCGUUGUAGUGCCACAUGGGCUUCCCCCGAUAUUGAAGCAGCUGCACUCCCCGCAUUAUGCAUAUUGCCAUAACCUCGAUUAUCUUCAGCCCGGAUUUGGCCAGUAACUUUAUCGUGCUCAUCAGGAAGUGUAUCUCUCUGGUAUCCUCCUCAUGGGGGCCCCGAGGGCGCUAGCUUCGACGUGCCUUCGGCGGGGCGUUACUGAACAUAGGGAGACCUGUCCGGACUGGAUCCGGAAGGGGAACGUCGUCGACAUAAAACCACUCCGAAGGCCAGUUCUCCGGUGCCUUCUUGGGAGUACCGGAUAGGCAUCCAGUCUCGGCGAUGCGCCAUACUUCGGCUCCGCCCACUUGACAUAGGGAUUCCCCCUGGUUGCGAGGGACAAGGCAGAACAACUUCUUCCAUAACCCAAAGUGAGCCUCGCAGCCUAGAAAUAGCUCACAAAGGGCAACGUAUCCUGCUAUAUGCAGCACAGGGUCAGGGGUGAAGUUGUGCAAUUGGAGGCCGUAGAACUCCAAGAGCCCACGUAGAAAUGGGUGGAUAGGAAACCCGACGCCCCUUAGCAGAUGCGAGAUGAGACAUAUUCGCUCCUCUGGAGAUGGAUUAGGAGAUCCCUCAGCUUGCUCCCCGCCAUUAUAGGUGGCUAGUCCGGCUCGGACGGGGACCAUGAACACCGGUGGGAGAAACCCUUGGGUCUGUAACUCUAUCAAACGGUUGUGAGGAACUGAACUUUCUUCCCAGUCACCCGGCUUGGAGCGAGGGGAGCGAGAAGAAGAGCUGAGGCGACCGGCCAUGUUGGAAUGGUUUUUUCGGAGCACUCUGUUGGAUGCUUGCUCGAGGGAAGAAGGUGAGGUUUGGAUCUAAGAAUCCCCAUCUCUUUAAAUAGACGAUUAGCCUGCCGGACCGGGGGUGGAAAAUGCAAAGAUGCCUCGGCUCCUCGUAUUCGCUCGACACGUGGAGAUGGUCAUUAUUGAGGCACAAAAGCCGAGGAGAACAACAUUGAUGGGAAGCUGGACACUGUUCGUUGCAACAGGUACUUUGGAGUAUUCGGAGAUGGAACCCGCCUUGCAAUGCCGAAGACAAGACUGCGUGCUGGACUCAUCGUUAUUGAAGCCUGGUUCAGGGGCUUGUUGGAAAUAUGCCCUAGAGGCAAUAAUAAAAUGGUUAUUAUUGUAUUUCCUUGUUCAUGAUAAUUGUCUAUUAUUCAUGCUAUAAUUGUAUUGACCGGAAACCGCAAUACAUGUGUGAAUACAUAGACAUGUCCCUAGUGAGACUCUAGUUGACUAGCUCAUUGAUCAACAGAUGGUCAUGGUUUCCUGACCAUGGACGUUGGAUGUCAUUGAUAACGGGAUCACAUCAUUAGGAGAAUGAUGUGAUGGACAAGACCCAAUCAUAAGCCUAGCACAAGAUCGUGUAGUUCGUAUGCUAAAGCUUUUCUAAAUGUCAAGUAUCUUUUCCUUAGACCAUGAGAUUGUGCAACUCCCGGAUACCGUAGGAAUGCUUUGGGUGUACCAAACAUCACAACGUAACUAGGUGGCUAUAAAGGUGCACUAUGGAUAUCUCCGAAAGUGUCUGUUGGGUUGGCACGAAUCGAGACUGGGAUUUGUCACUCCGUGUGACGGAGAGGUAUAUCUGGGCCCACUCGGUAAGACAUCAUCAUAAUGUGCACAAUGUGAUCAAGGAGUUGAUCGUGGGAUGAUGUGUUACGGAACGAGUAAAGAGACUUGCCGGUAACGAGAUUGAACAAGGUAUCGGGAUACCGACGAUCGAAUCUCGGGCAAGUACUAUACCGGUAGACAAAGGGAAUUGAAUACGGGAUUGAUUGAAUACUCGACAUCAUGGUUCAUCCGAUGAGAUCAUCGUGGAACAUGUGGGAGCCAACAUGGGUAUCCAGGUCCCGCUGUUGGUUAUUGACCGGAGAGUCGUCUCGGUCAUGUCUGCGUGUCUCCCGAACCCGUAGGGUCUACACACUUAAGGCUCGGUGAUGCUAGGGUUGUAGAGAUAUUAGUAUGCGGUAACCCUAAAGUUCUUCGAAGUCCCGAAUGAGAUCCCGGCCGUCACGAGGUGUUCCGGAAUGGCCCAGAGGUAAAUUUAUAUAUGGGAAGUCUAGUUUCGGCCAUCGGGAAAGUUUCGGGGUCACCGAUAUUGUACCGGGACCACCGGAAAGGUCCCGGGGGUCCAUCGGGUAGGGCCACCUAUCCCGGAGGGCCACAUGGGAUGAAGUGGGAAGGGAACCAGCCCCUGGUGGGCUGGUGCACCCCCCUUGGGCCUCCCCAUGCGCCUAGGGUUGGAAACCCUAGGGGUGGGGGGCCACUUGGCUUGGGGGGCAAGUUUUCCCCCUUGGCCGCCGCCCCCCUUGGAGAUUGGAUCUCCUAGGGCCGGUGCUCCCUCCUAGGGGCCCUAUAUAUAGUGGGGGGAGGGAGGGCAGACGCACCCUAGCCCCUGGCGCCUCCCUCUCCCUCCCGUGACACCUCUCCCUCUCGCUGAGCUUGGCGAAGCCCUGCCGAGAUCGCCGCUGCUUCCACCACCACGCCGUCGUGCUGCUGGAUCUCCAUCAACCUCUCCUUCCCCUUGCUGGAUCAAGAAGGAGGAGACGUCUUCCCAACCGUACGUGUGUUGAACGCGGAGGUGCCGUCCGUUCGGCGCUAGGAUCAUCAAUGAUUAGGAUCACGACGAGUACGACUCCAUCAACCCCGUUCUCUUGAAUGCUUCUGCUCGCGAUCUACAAGGGUAUGUAGAUGCACUCCUCUCUCUCUCGUUGCUAGUCUCUCCAUAGAUUGAUCUUGGUGAUGUGUAGAAAAUUUUGAAUUUCUGCUACGUUCCCCAACAGUGGCAUCAUGAGCUAGGUCUAUUGCGUAGAUUCUAUGCACGAGUAGAACACAAGUUAUUGUGGGCGUUGAUUUUGUUCAAUAUGCUUACCGUUACUAGUCCUAUCUUGUUUUGACGGUAUUAUGGGAUGAAGCGGCCCGGACCGACCUUACACGUACACUUACGUGAGACAGGUUCCACCGAUUGACAUGCACUUGUUGCAUAAGGUGGAUAGCGGGUGCCAGUCUCUCCCACUUUAGUCGGAUCAGAUUCGAUGAAAAGGGUCCUUAUGAAGGGUAAAUAGCAAUUGGCAUAUCAUGUUGUGGCUUUUGCGUAGGUAAGAAACGUUCUUGCUAGAAACCCAUAGCAGCCACGUAAAACAUGCAAACAACAAUUAGAGACGUCUAACUUGUUUUUGCAGGUUAUGCUAUGUGAUGUGAUAUGGCCAAAAGAAUGUGAUGAAUGAUAUGUGAUGUAUGAGAUUGAUCAUGUUCUUGUAAUAGGAAUCACGACUUGCAUGUCGAUGAGUAUGACAACCGGCAGGAGCCAUAGGAGUUGUCUUAAUUUAUUGUAUGACCUGCGUGUCACUGAAUAACGCCAUGUAAUUACUUUACUUCUUUGCUAAACCGUUAGCCAUAGUAGUAGAAGUAAUAAGUUGGCGAGACAACUUCAUGGAGACACGAUGAUGGAGAUCAUGAUGAUGGAGCUCAUGGUGUCAUGCCGGUGAUGAUGAUGAUCAUGGAGCCCCGAAAAUGGAGAUCAAAAGAAGCAAAAUUAUAUUGGCCAUAUCAUGUCACUAUUUGAUUGCAUGUGAUGUUUAUCAUGUUUAUGCAUCUUAUUUGCUUAGAACGAUAGUAGUAAAUAAGAUGAUCCCUCACAAUAAUUUCAAGAAAGUGUUCCCCCUAACUGUGCACCAUUGCGAAAGUUUGUUGUUUCGAAGCACCACGUGAUGAUCGGGUGUGAUAGAUUCUAACGUUCACAUACAACGGGUGUAAGCCAGAUUUACACACGUGAAACACUUAGGUUGACUUGACGAGCCUAGCAUGUACAGACAUGGCCUCGGAACACAAGAGACCGAAAGGUCGAACAUGAGUCGUAUAGUAGAUGCGAUCAUCAUGAAGAUGUUCACCGAUGAUGACUAGUCUGUCUCACGUGAUGAUCGGACACGGCCUAGUUGACUAGGAUCAUGUAUCACUUAGAUCACUAGAGGGAUGUCUAUCUGAGUGGGAGUUCAUUAGAUGAACUUAAUUAUCCUGAACAUAGUCAAAAGGUCUUUGCAAAUUAUGUCGUAGCUCGUGUUUCAAUUAUACUGUUUUAGAUAUGUUCCUCGAGAAAAUUUAGUUGAAAGUUGACAGUAGCAAUUAUGCGUACUAGGUCCGUAUGUUGAGGAUUGUCCUCAUUGCUGCACAGAAGGCUUAUGUCCUUAAUGCACCGCUCGGUGUGCUGAACCUCGAGCAUCGUUUGUGGAUGUUGCAAACAUCUGACAUACACGUUUUGAUGACUACGUGAUAGUUUAGUGGGUAAUGUUAAAUGGUUUAGACUUGAGGCACCGAAGACAUUUUUUAAACGUCGCGGAACAUAUGAGAUGUUCCAAGAGCUGAAAUUGGGAUUUCAGGCUCGUGCCCAUGUCAAGAGGUGUGAGACCUCCUACAAGCUUCUUAAGCCUACAAACUAUGGGAGAAAUGCUCAAUCGUUGAGCUUGUACUCAGAUUGCCUGGGUACAACAAUCACUUGAAUUGAGUGGGAGUUAAUCUUCCAGAUGAGAUAGUGAUGUUUCUCCAAAGACAUUGCCACCAAGCCACUAGAGCUUCGUGAUGAACUAUAACAUAUCAGGGAUAGAUAUGACGAUCCUUGAAAUAUUCGCGAUGUUUGACACCGCGAAAGUAGAAAUCAAGAAGGAGCAUCAAUUGUUGAUGGUUAGUGAAACCACUAGUUUCAAAAAGGGCAAGGGCAAGAAGGGAUACUUCAUGAAAUGGCAAAUCAGUUGCUACUCCAGUGAAGAAACCCAGGGUUGAACCCAAACCCGAGACAAAGUGCUUCUGUAAUGAGGGAAUGGUCACUGAAGCAGAACUACCCUAGAUACUUGGUAGAUGAGAAGGCUGGCAAGGUUGACAGAAGUAUAUUGGAUAUACAUUGUAUUAAAUGUGUACUUUACUAGUACUCCUAGUAGCACCAGGGUAUUAAGAUACCGGUUCGGUUGCUAAGUGUUAGUAACUCGAAGUAAAAGAGCUACGAAUAAACGGAGACUAGCUAAAGGUGAGAUGACGAUGUGUGUUGGAAGUGUUUCCAAGGUUGAUGUGAUCAAGCAUCGCCUGCUCCCUCUACCAUCUAGAUUGGUCUAAACCUAAAUAAUUGUUAUUUGGUGUUUGCGUUGAGCAUAGACAUGAUUGGAUUAUGUCCUUCGCAAUACGGUUAUUCAUUUAAGGAGAAUAAUGGUUACUCUGUUUAUUUGAAUAAUACCUUCAAUGGUCUUGCACCUAAAAUGAAUGGUUUAUUGAAUCUCGAUCAUAGUGAUACACAUGUUCAUGCCAAAAGAUAUAAGAUAGUAAUGAUAGUACCACCUGCUUGUGGCACUGCCAUUUGAGUCAUAUUGGUAUAAAACGCAUAGAGAAGCUCCAUGUUGAUGGAUCUUUGGACUCACUCGUUUUUGAGAAGUUUGAGACAUGUGAACCAUGUAUAUUGGUAUGUGCGCAUGAAGAAACUCCAUGCAGAUGGAUCGUUUGGACUCUUGAUUCUAUAUCACUUGAGACAUGCAGAUCAUACCACAUGGGCAAGAUGACUGAAAAGCCUCAUUUUUCAGUAAGAUGGAACAAGAGAGCAACUUGUUGGAAGUAAUACAUUUUGAUGUGUGCUGUCCAAUGAGUGCUGAGGCACGCUGUGGAUAUUGUUAUGUUCUUACUUCACAAAUGACUUGAGUAGAUGCUGAGUAUAUUUACUUGAUGAAAUACAAGUCUGAAUUACUGAAAGGUUCAAGUAAUUUCAGAGUGAAGUUGAAGAUCUUCGUGACAAGAGGAUAAAAUGUCUAUGAUAUGAUCAUAGAGAUGAAUAUCUGAAUUGCGAGUUUGGUACACAAUUAAGACAUUGUGGAAAUUGUUUCACAAUUAAUACCGCCUGGAACACCAUAGUGUGAUGGUGUGUCCGAACAUCAUAACUGCACCCUAUUGGAUAUGGUGCAUACCAUGAUGUCUCUUAUCGAAUUACCACUAUCGUUUAUGGGUUAGGCAUUAGAGACAACCACAUUCACUUUAAUAGGGCACCACAUAAUUCCGUUGAGAUGACACCGUAUGAACUGUGAUUUAGAGAAACCUAAGCUGUCGUUUCUUGAAAGUUUGGGGCUGCGACUCUUAUAUGAAAAAGUUUCAUCCUGAUGAGCUCGAACCCAAAGCGGAUAAAUACAUCUUCUAGGACACCCAAAACAGUUGGGUAUACCUCCGAUUUCAGAUCCGGAAGCAAAAGUGAUUGUUUCUAGAAAUGGGUCCUUUCUCGAGGAAAAGUUCCUCUCGAAAGAAUUGAGUGGGAGGAUGGUGGAGACUUGAUGAGGUUACUGAACCAUCACUUCAACUAGUGUGUAGAGGGCACAGGAAGUUGUUCCUAUGGCACCUACACCAAUUGAAGUGGAAGCUGAUGAUAGUGAUCAUGAAACUUCGGAUCUAGUCACUACCGAACUCGUAGGUCGACAAAGAUACGUACUACUCCAUAGUGGUACGUAAUCCUGUCUUGGAGGUCAUGUUGCUAGACAACAAUGAACCUAUGAGCUAUGGAGAAGCGAUGGUGGGCCCGGAUUCCGACGAAUGGCUUGAGGCCAUAAAAUCCGAGAGAGGAUCCAUGUAUGAAAACAAAGUAUAGACUUUGGAAAAACUACUUGAUGGUCGUAAGGCUGUUGGGUACAGAUGGAUUUUAAAAGGAAGGCGGACAAUGAUGGUAAGUGUCACCAUUAAGAAAGCUCGACUUGUCGCUAAGAUGUUUUCUGACAAGUUCAAGGAGUUGACUACGAUGAGACUUUAUCACUCGUAGCGAUGCUAAGAGUCCGUUGGAAUUAUAUUAGCAGUUACUGCAUUAUUUAUGAAAUCUUGCAGAUAGGAUGGCAAAAAAAUUUGUUUCCUCGAUGAUUUUCUUGAGGAAAGGUUGUAUAUGAUACAACCAGAAGGUUUUGUCAAUCCUGAAAGAUGCUAACAAGUGUGGAAGCUCCAGCAAUCCUUCUAAGGACUAGAGUAAGCAUCUCGGAGUUGGAAUAUACUCUUUGAUGUGAUGAUCAAAGAUUUUGGGUUUAUACAAAGUUUAUGAGAAACUUGUAUUUCCAAAGAAGUGAGUGGGAGCACUAUAGCAUUUCUGAUGAGUAUAUGUUGUUGACAUAUUGUUGAUCGGAAAUGAUGUAGAAUUUCUGGAAAGCAUAUAGGCUUAUUUGAAAAGUGUUUUUCAAUGGAAAACCUAGAUUAAGCUACUUGAACAUUGAGCAUCAAGAUCUAUAAGGAUAGAUCAAAAUGCUUCAUACUACUUUCAAAUGAAUACAUAUCGUGACAAGAUUUUGAAGGAGUUCAAAAUAGAUCAGCAAAGAAGGAGUUCUUGGCUGUGUUACAUGGUGUGAGUAUUGAGUAAGACUCAAGACAUGACCACGGCAGAAGAGAGAGAAAGGACGAAGGUCGUCCCCUAUGCUUCAGGCGUAGGCUCUAUAGUAUGCUAUGCUGUGUACUGCACCAUAAGUGUGCCUUACCAUGAGUCAGUCAAGGGGUACAAGGGUGAUCCAGGAAUGGAUCACAGGACAGCGGUCAAACUUAUCCUUAGUAACUAAUGGACUAAGGAAUUUUCUGGAUUAUGGAGGUGGUAAAAGAGUUCGUCGUAAAGGGUUACACUGAUGCAAACUUUGACACUAAUCCAGAUUAUUCUGAGUAGUAAACCGGAUUCGUAUAGUAGAACAGUUAUUUGGAAUAGCUCCAAAUAGAGCGCGGUAGCUGCAUCUAGGAGAUGACAUAGAGAUUUGCAAAGCACACACGGAUCUGAAAGGUUCAGAUCCGUUGACUAAUAACCUCUUUCACAAGCGAGAUAUGAUCAAACCCCAUGGGUGUCGAUUCAUUACAAUCACAUAGUGAUGUGAAAUAGAUUAUUGACUCUAGUGCAAGUGGGAGACUGUUGGAAAUAUGCCCUAGAGGCAAUAAUAAAGUGGUUAUUAUUGUAUUUCCUUGUUCAUGAUAAUUGUCUAUUAUUCAUGCUAUAAUUGUAUUGACCAGAAACCGCAAUACAUGUGUGAAUACAUAGACCACAACAUGUCCCUAGUGAGCCUCUAGUUGACUAGCUCGUUGAUCAACAUAUGGUCAUGGUUUCCUGACCAUGGACGUUGGAUGUCAUUGAUAACGGGAUCACAUCAUUAGGAGAAUGAUGUGAUGGACAAGACCCAAUCCUAAGCCUAGCGCAAGAUCGUGUAGUUCGUAUGCUAAAGCUUUUCUAAAUGUCAAGUAUCUUUUCCUUAGACCAUGAGAUUUUGCAACUCCCAGAUACCGUAGAAAUGCUUUGGGUAUACCAAACGUCACAACAUAACUGGUUGGCUAUAAAGGUGCACUACGGGUAUCUUCGAAAGUGUCUAUUAGGUUAGCACGAAUCGAGGCUGGGAUUUGUCACUCCGUGUGACGGAGAGGUAUCUCUGGGCCCACUCGGUACGACAUCAUCAUAAUGUGCACAAUGUGAUCAACGAGUUGAUCGCGGGAUGAUGUGUUACGGAACGAGUAAAGAGACUUGCCGGUAACGAGAUUGAACAAGGUAUCGGGAUACCGACGAUCGAAUCUCGGGCAAGUACUAUACCGGUAGACAAAGGGAAUUGAAUACGGGAUUGAUUGAAUCCUCGACAUCGUGGUUCAUCCGAUGAGAUCAUCGUGGAACAUGUGGGAGCCAACAUGGGUAUCCAGAUCCCGCUGUUGGUUAUUGACCGGAGAGUCGUCUCGGUCAUGUCUGCGUGUCUCCCGAACCCGUAGGGUCUACACACUUAAGGUUCGGUGAUGCUAGGGUUGUAGAGAUAUUAGUAUGCGGUAACCCAAAAGUUGUUCGGAGUCCCGGAUGAGAUCUCGGACGUCACGAGGUGUUCCGGAAUGGUCCGGAGGCAAAGAUUUAUAUAUCGGAAGUCCAGUUUCGGCCAUCGGGAAAGUUUCGGGGUCACCGGUAUUGUACCGGGACCACCGGAAAGGUCCCGGGGGUCCACCGGGUAGGGCCACCUAUCCCGGAGGGCCACAUGGGCUGAAGUGGGAAGGGAACCAGCCCCUGGUAGGCUGGUGCACCCCCCUUGGGCCUCCCCCUGCGCCUAGGGUUGGAAACCAUAGGGGUGGGGGCGCCCCACUUGGCUUGGGGGGCAAGUUUUCCCCCUUGGCCGCUACCCCCCUUGGAGAUUGGAUCUCCUAGGGCCGGCGCCCCCCCUAGGGGCCCUUUAUAUAGUGGGGGAGGAGGGAGGGCAGCCGCACCCUAGCCCCUAGCGCCUCCCUCUCCCUCCCGUGACACCUCUCCCUCUCGCUGAGCUUGGCGAAGCCCUGCCGAGAUCGCCGCUGCUUCCACCACCACGCCGUCGUGCUGCUGGAUAUCCAUCAACCUCUCCUUCCCCUUGCUGGAUCAAGAAGGAGGAGACGUCUUCCCAACCGUACGUGUGUUGAACGCGGAGGUGUCGUCCGUUUGGCGCUAGGAUCAUCGGUGAUUAGGAUCACGAUGAGUACGACUCCAUCAACCCCGUUCUCUUGAACGCUUCCGCUCGCGAUCUACAAGGGUAUGUAGAUGCACUCUUAUCUCUCUCGUUGCUAGUCUCUCCACAGAUUGAUCUUGGUGAUGCGUAGAAAAUUUUGAAUUUCUGCUACGUUCCCCAACAGGGCUACUAGGGAGUCCUGGAUUAGGGGGUAUCUGGACAGCCGGACUAUAUACUUUGGCCGGACUAUUGGAGCAUGAAGAUACAAGACUCAAGACUUCGUCCCGUGUCCGGAUGGGACUCUCCUUUGCGUGGAAGACAAGUUUGGCGAUCCAGAUAUUAUAUUUCCUUCCUUGUAACCGACUCCAUGUAAACCCUAGCCCUCUCUGGUGUCUAUAUAAACCGGAGGGUUUUAGUCCUUAGGGACAGAAUCAUAAUCAUCAUAGGCUAGCUUCUAGGGUUUAGCCUCUACGAUUUCGUGGUAGAUCAAAUCUUGUACUACUCAUAUCAUCAAUAUCAAUCAAGCAGGAAGUAGGGUUUUACCUCCAUCGAGAGGGCCCGAACCUGGGUAACCAUUGUGUCCCUUGCCUCCUAUUACCAUUAGCCUAAGACGCACAGAUCGGGACCCCCUACCCGAGAUCCGCCGGUUUUGACACUGACAUGCGCAACGACCCGGACUUGGCGAUGGUCUGGGCCCUCGACCGGUCGGUCAUCACUGCAGAGACGGCCGCCCGGAGCCACCGCCGUCCCGACGGUGAGCUCGCCAAGAUUGUCGAGGAAUGGUUUCUCAACGACACCUUCACUAAUGUCGGCAGAGGUAGGGCACCGCGACCGCCGUCCGCAUUGGCCACGGCAGCCCUCGUCACGGCGUAGGAGGAACUGGACCGGCUCUUUCGCGAGCGCCAAGAGGUGUCCAAGCAAGGGUGCUGCGGCCCCGUGGCCGGAAGGACGACAACGAUGGUGGCACGGCCCGCGACGAUGGUACUGCCCAAGAAGACCGCUCAAAACGAUCGAGAAAAAACAAUUCUCAAAGAAAAAUCUAAGAAGGAACAUGACUGCACUUUCGUUUUCGUUGCUAUGUUUUUCUCCCACUACGAGUGCAUGUGCUUAUGUGUAAUCACAGGGUGAGCUCAGUAUCAUCACAAUUAUUUGGGGAAACCAAAUGGCCUGUGCUUCGGUUCGGGUAUGGUUAUGGUUUCUGGAGGGACAACAGAACUCGGGAAAACCAAAAUGUCUUGUGGUUCGGUUCGGGUAUGGUUCUGGUUUGCCACAGUGCCACUUUGCGCGUAGGCUGGCUAUAAAUCUUCAUCAUCUCCCCCCAGGUCAAGAACCCAUUUCUCCAGCAAACACCACACACACGAGACACGAGAUGCACAAUGGAUUCCGUGGCCACAGUCGCCGACCUUGGCGCCCUGAUCUCCGACGCAUGCCGCGACGCGGAGAUGUUGCCACGCGCUCUGAUCUCAUGCGGCGUCGCCGAGGCCGCCGCAGCGCUCUGCCUCAUCAUCUCCAAGGCGCCGGGGGGUUGUUUCUCCACCACGGCAAAGCGCCAUUCAUUCCACUAGUAGAAAAGGGGGCAAUGGUCCAGGCCAGGUCAGCCUAUUAGUCCCGGUUCAAUCCAGAACCGGGACCAAUGGGGGCAUUGGACCCGGUUCGUGAGCCCCGGGGGCCGGCCAGGCCACGUGGGCCAUUGGUCCCGGUUCUUCUGGACCUUUUGGUCCCGGUUGGUGGGACGAACCGGGACUAAUGGUCCUCGCUCUUGGCCCACCAUUAUUGGUCCCGGUUGGAGGCAUGAACCGGGACCAAAGGUCGUCCAUUAGUCCCGGUUCAUACCACCAACCGGGACUAAAGGGUUGGUCCUCGUUGCGGCCAGAGUUUAGUGCCACCUCGCCAACCGAAGGGGGCUCACACCGGUUUAUAAGCCCCUUCCUCUCUGCCUUGUUGAGCUCCUCUCAAAAGGAAAAUAGAUGCCCUUAUACAGGGAAUUUGACCUAAAUCCAUACUGAAUUUCUCUAAAGUUAGUAGAAAUUUAUUAUGAAUUUAGGUUUAAUUUUCUCUAUAAGCGCAUCUAUGCUCAUUUUUUUAGUAAAGUUAAUCACAACUAUUUUUUCUUCUAUUUAUUUCUAAGUAGUUUUUUAUAUAGUUUUUUUUCUUUUCUGCUAUAUUUAAUUAUUUCUAUUUUUUUCUGAGUUGUAAUAAGUCAUUAAAAAUAAAAAAGAUUUUAGUAAAGUUAAUCACAAUUAUUUUUUCUUCUNNNNNNNNNNNNNNNNNNNNNNNNNNNNNNNNNNNNNNNNNNNNNNNNNNNNNNNNNNNNNNNNNNNNNNNNNNNNNNNNNNNNNNNNNNNNNNNNNNNNNNNNNNNNNNNNNNNNNNNNNNNNNNNNNNNNNNNNNNNNNNNNNNNNNNNNNNNNNNNNNNNNNNNNNNNNNNNNNNNNNNNNNNNNNNNNNNNNNNNNNNNNNNNNNNNNNNNNNNNNNNNNNNNNNNNNNNNNNNNNNNNNNNNNNNNNNNNNNNNNNNNNNNNNNNNNNNNNNNNNNNNNNNNNNNNNNNNNNNNNNNNNNNNNNNNNNNNNNNNNNNNNNNNNNNNNNNNNNNNNNNNNNNNNNNNNNNNNNNNNNNNNNNNNNNNNNNNNNNNNNNNNNNNNNNNNNNNNNNNNNNNNNNNNNNNNNNNNNNNNNNNNNNNNNNNNNNNNNNNNNNNNNNNNNNNNNNNNNNNNNNNNNNNNNNNNNNNNNNNNNNNNNNNNNNNNNNNNNNNNNNNNNNNNNNNNNNNNNNNNNNNNNNNNNNNNNNNNNNNNNNNNNNNNNNNNNNNNNNNNNNNNNNNNNNNNNNNNNNUUUCUGUGUGGUAAUAAGUCAUUAAAAAUAAGCAUCUAUGCUCAUUUUUUAGUAAAGUUAAUCACAACUAUUUUUUAGUAAAGUUAAUCACAACUAUUUUUUCUUCUAUUUAUUUCUGAGUAGUUUUUUAUAUAGUUUUUUUCUUUUCUGCUAUAUUUAUUUUUUUCUAUUUUUUUCUGAGUGGUAAUAAGUCAUUAAAAAUAAAAAAGGGCGCAAUGCUAGUUAAUUCGCUUCAAACCUUUCAGAAUAGUGUAAACUGCACUGCACAUAGCUCCGUGCAGUCUACCCUAUUCCUCAAGGCUUGAAGCGAACCAACGUGCAGGUGAGCAUUGAGCCUCUUGUUCAUCGUCUCUGCACUCAGGGCUUAUAAAUGGCUGUGAAUGCCUCUCGCUUGGUGAGGUGGGACUAAAAAAACAGCUGCAGAAAGAAUCAACUAAAAAACAGCUGCAGAAAAUAAAUAAGUAAUUAGAUGGGUCCAUUGGUACCGGUUGGUGGCUCCAACCGGUACCAAUUGCCCUCUUUAGUCCCGAAUGGGGGCACCAACCGGGACCAAUGCCACUCUUUAGUCCCGGGUGGUGGCACCAACCGGGACCAAAGGUCUUGGUUUCCCGCCCUUUGGGCUGCUGAAAAGAGGCAUUUGGUCCCGGUUGGUGCCACCAACCGGGACUAAAGGUGGCAUUGGUCCCGGUUUGUGCCACGAACCGGGACCAAAGCCUUUGCUAUAUAAGUAGCACUUAGGAAAAUUUCAGAACCGCAUCCCCACUUCGAUCUCUCCUCCUCCUCUCCCGACGCCGCGCACCGUCCCUUGCCGCCACCUNNNNNNNNNNNNNNNNNNNNNNNNNNNNNNNNNNNNNNNNNNNNNNNNNNNNNNNNNNNNNNNNNNNNNNNNNNNNNNNNNNNNNNNNNNNNNNNNNNNNNNNNNNNNNNNNNNNNNNNNNNNNNNNNNNNNNNNNNNNNNNNNNNNNNNNNNNNNNNNNNNNNNNNNNNNNNNNNNNNNNNNNNNNNNNNNNNNNNNNNNNNNNNNNNNNNNNNNNNNNNNNNNNNNNNNNNNNNNNNNNNNNNNNNNNNNNNNNNNNNNNNNNNNNNNNNNNNNNNNNNNNNNNNNNNNNNNNNNNNNNNNNNNNNNNNNNNNNNNNNNNNNNNNNNNNNNNNNNNNNNNNNNNNNNNNNNNNNNNNNNNNNNNNNNNNNNNNNNNNNNNNNNNNNNNNNNNNNNNNNNNNNNNNNNNNNNNNNNNNNNNNNNNNNNNNNNNNNNNNNNNNNNNNNNNNNNNNNNNNNNNNNNNNNNNNNNNNNNNNNNNNNNNNNNNNNNNNNNNNNNNNNNNNNNNNNNNNNNNNNNNNNNNNNNNNNNNNNNNNNNNNNNNNNNNNNNNNNNNNNNNNNNNNNNNNNNNNNNNNNNNNNNNNNNNNNNNNNNNNNNNNNNNNNNNNNNNNNNNNNNNNNNNNNNNNNNNNNNNNNNNNNNNAUUAAUUUGUUCAUAUUGUGUUAGAUUUUUUUUCUGUUAAUAGAUUUUUUUGGUGAUAUUAUUGUUGAAUAUGCAUGUUUGGUGAUAUUAUUGUUAAUAGAUUUUUUUGGUGAUAUUUAGAUUGUGUAAUUAAUUUUGUUUAUAGAAUUUUAAUGAUUUUUUGUUCAUAGUAUUUAGAAAAAGGAAAAAAAUAAGAAGAGAAAGUGUUUAAUAUAAUUAGUUAGAAAAAUACUAGUUUAUUUUUAGUAAGUACUAUUUUAUUUUAUUUAUAGUAAGUGCUUCAUAUAUAGUUGAACUAGCUAGUUGAUUUAAUAAACUAAUUUAUUUAACUAUAUAUAGAAGUAGUUUGUAGUAAGUGCUACUUUAUUUAUUUAUAGUAAGUGCUACUUUAUUUAUUUAUAGUCAGUGCUACUUUGUUUUUAGUAAGUACUACUUUAUUUAUUUAUAGUAAGUGCUUAGUAGUUGAACUAGCUAGUUGAUUUAAUUAAUAAAACUACUUUAUUUAACUAUAUAUAGAAGUAGUUCCCGCAUCGACGUCGGCGAUGCCUAUCCCGCAUCCUCGUCGUCGUCAACUCGGCGAUGGAGGCCUGCUUGAUCAGGGCCAUGUUCGGGACUGGGCUCCGUCGGGCUUGUAUUGGGAGGUGCUACCUUCCGGGGGACGUAGGUUGGUGAGGAGGCAGCCCGUUGUUGACCCGAUCCUUGUUUGGUGAUGGUCGCGUGGGCCAGUGACGGUGCUGAGGCUUCCGGACACCGCGGAGGUGGUACGUCACCAUGUCAGCGAGGAGGACGAGCACGUCCGUCGCUACAUGGUUGCAUUGGAGGGCAGGUUCGACAAUACCUGGCAGGUUCUUCAGGGAUCUCACUGGAGCUAUGAUCCUGUGAUGGUUCCUUGUCUUUGGGUGUCCACCGCCCGCGACGAUACCCGUCGGGUGCUACGGUUCUAGUUGUAUUAGUGAUGCUAUAUUAGUGAUAAUAUUCGACGAUGUACGGACAGUAAGAGAUGAUGUACUUUUGCUUAUAAUUAUUGAAUGCAUGCUAAUUUGAAUACUACUUUAUUUCAUGAUUUGGUUUUGCUUAUUUUAUGAUUUGGUUUUGCUUAUUGAAUGCUCAUAUUGGAUAAGUUCUCUUUCAUCCCCGUCUGCUAGACAAUUUGGUGUAAUAAUGCACUCGGGAAUGAAAGGAGGAGCUACGUACAUCACCGAUAGUCAACCCGUGAUUAAUAAUAAUGAUCUAGUUUAAUAUUUAAAUUAUGAACAUAGGCCAGAAAUGUCGUACUUGGACGACGAAAACCGCCCGGGGGAGUGCGACUGGUGCCACGACGACCGAGGUAUGUGCGACAGGUUCAUUGAGCUGGACGAAAAUCGGCGCUUCAGCAUUAAGCUCGAGGAGACCUUCGAUGUUCAUACGGUACGCAACGACGACAAUAGUUUUUUUUGUAAUUAAGCACGACUUCAACUAUUUUAACGUGUAUUUUUCAUCUUUUCCAAUUCGACUAGCUUAUCCCAUGCUUUGCAAGACGCUAUGUCUUGGAGAGGAUGGGUUUUGAAGACCAUAAAAGUAUGGAAACCAAAAAAAUUAUCCUAAGUCAGCGAUCUCAUCCUCAAUAUCUACAUACUCAUGGGCCGGCCCGGGCCAUAUCGGGCAGGCCCGUUUAGCCAGGUCUGCUCUCGCACAUGGGAGCUAGCGCGGGCCGGCUUCGAUGGGCCUAGGCGACGUGGUCGCCCAUCCGAGUGAGACGUAAGCCGAAGCCCAGAUAAGCAGUUUUCUGGUUGAGUUUUAGACAUGUUUUCUUUUCUAUGUAGAUUUUCUGGUCAUUUUUCAUAUUCUGUUUUUAUCUUUUUUGUUUCUGUUUAUCUUAUUUUCUUAUCUUCUGCUUUUUUUGGUUUUUUCAUAUUCUUGAAUAUCUAUUUGACAUUUCUUCUAUGUGUUGAUCCCCGGGCUUCUAGUUUUUACGGGUUUUCUAUUUUUCUUCGUCGCCUUUUAUUUGGAAAAAUUGUUCAAUUGUGCAUUCUAAAAAUGUUGGAUGUGUAUUAGAGAAAAGUUCAACCUAUAGUAAAAAAAUAUCAUCGUAUAUUAGAAAUACCAAUUUUCUAUAGAAAUUUGUUCAUAUAUACAAAAUUUCAUCGUAUAUACAAAAAUUCUAUCUUAUAUUAGAUUUUUUUUGUAUAUUUAAAAUGUUCACCAUAUAUUAACUAAUGUUCAAUGUAUCUUAUAAAAAGUUCACCGUGCACUGUAAAAAAGUACCUAAUAUAUAAAAGAUGUUGACUUUAUAUUAGAAAUCCACAGAGAGACCAUGCUUUUGGUCUUCGGUUCAAAGGAUCAACCAUGAACGGUUCUAGGGAUUUGAUCAACAAUCUAAUCAACUCUUCUUCCAUUGCAACUCAAAGUUGGCAACGAUCCGAUCAAACCUUGUUUGCAUCUUCAUAGUGAUCCGGGAGUAUGAUUUGUAGGACGAUUUUUUUGUUUUCUACUACAUUUUCCAAUAUAUAUUUGGUUGGACGGUCCUCCGGGCCACCUCCCUAUGGUGUUUUUGAUCGCACCCACGUGCCAGGUCUCGGGCGCUGCCCCGCGCGCGGUGGGAGAUCCGGGUCUCCCUAUCAGCGCACUUCGGCCCCGCCCAGGUUGAUUCGUGCACGCCAGCUGGGCCUGCGCGUGCACUUGACUCUUGUAAUCGUCCACUCGACCGAUGGGCGAACCGGGUUGCCCUGUCAGCAUCCUUCGCCCCCAGCCAGGGUGCUUCGCUCGCGCAAGCCGGGCCCGCGCGUGCGCCAUGCUCGGCGUGUGUUCGUACAUCGAGCAAGCCCUAAUGGCCAUCCGGCGGGUCAUGGGGGGUGACAGGCUGAGCAGCGAGAGGUCGCUUCACUGCCACAAGCUUCAUGUGUGGGGCCUGCCCGACUCUGUGUGCGUUUGUCGGCCGGUGAUACGUCUCAAACAUGCUUAUAUAUACUUUUUGUUGUUUCAUGCUAUUAUAAUAUCACUUUUGUAUACUUCUCUAGCGAUUUUUAUUCUUUUUCUAGACUAACCUACCCAAAGCCAAUUGUUGUUUUCUACAUGUUUUAGACUUCUCAGAAAAUCAAUAUCUGUGUAACUCAAAAUACCACGAGGAUUUACAAUGAUUUAUUCCAAGUUAUGAAGAUUCCAGAAAGCGAUGGGAGGGGCUAAGGGGCCACAGUAGGCCCUCACGCGGCCAAGUGGAGCGACUUAGGCCCCAUCCGUGUGGGAAGGCCAUAUGGGACCGCAUGGCACCACAUUCUUUUUCCUAUAAAUGUCAUAAUUCGAGAAACUAUUUGUACCAUUUUUUGUGAUUUGUUUUGGCGCUACAAGUUCCUGUUCCAGGGAGAUCCAAUCUACAGGCCUGUUCCGGUACCCUGCUGGAGGGGAAAUUCAUCACCGGAGCCAUCUUUAUCAACCUUGCUACUACCAUGCAUGGCCAUGUGUGAGUAGUUUUCUUAGGACCUUAGCAUCCAUAGCAGUAGCUAGAUGACAUCAUCUCUCUCUUGUGAGUAGUUUUCUUAGGACCUUAGGACCUCAAUCAAGGUGAAGUAAUAUAGCAAUAAGUAUUUCCCUUAAUAAAGAAUCAAGGUUUAUCAAACCAAAAAAAGGUUCUUUUAGCAAACAAAGUCACUAGUACCUGCGCACAAAACACAACACAAACUUGUCCCCAACACGUCAAGAAUGUUGUGAAGCUUCUUAAUAGAGAGAUAAAUUAAAAGAAACGGUACAUCAAAGAACAUUAUUUUUGAUGAGGUUUUCAGUUAUAGAGAAUAGACCCAGGAGGCCAUAGGUUCACUAGUGGUAUCUCUCAUAAGCAUACAAAUGUGACGCAUAAAUUACAGUUGGCGCCCCAUAAGCAUACAAAAAACGUUAAAAUGAGUGCCACAAAAAAGUCCAUGAAUUACAGUUAUAGAGAGUAGAUGUACUUUUCAUCCUCGAAGUCCAUGAAUUUGUCUUUUUUUUGCACAGAUUGCAUUUGAAGUUAUUUCAUCAUGAAAUUUUACAGGCAUACACAUCACAUCCUUAUUUAAUUGUACAAAUUUGUUUCAGAUUUUUUUGAAACUGAAAUGUUUAAAUUUUGAAUUUUUCAAAAGCUCUGCCCUUUAUAGAGGCCGGGCUCCAAAACCCUCUACUCAUGCCAACGACGCUACAUUUCAAGUGUGUCUUCAUAAUAAAGUUCCCUGAAAAAAAGGUGUGUUUGCAUAAACGGUUGGAUCACUUGCUCUCAAUUUUCAAAGUGUGUCGUCAGCAAAGCGCCACUACUAAUAAGUGUACCUGUGUAAAAAAGGGCAGCUACCAUUACAUGUCAGCCGUACCAUUUGCAUAACCACCCUGGGAAACCGGAAACCGAGCGUUCGGUUCUGGUGCCUUCUUCGGCUGGCUUCCCCUGUGACAGAGGUGACGGAGAGCGAAGGCGACGGUCGGGGCCCAGCCGACCUGGUGGAUCCACAGCAUCUUAUGUAUACUCACUUUAGCCAAAUACCUCACUUUUGCCAUAUCCGCAAAGCUUAUUAUUACGACCCCCACAUGGCCACAUGCGUGUGUGACGAUGCUGUUGAGUGUUGACUAUCAUACUCGGGUGUCACCCUGUGUGCCAAUCAUCCUUGGCCACGCGUCAUAAACAAAAAAUGACCUUGAUCGGUUAUGGUUUGAGUCGGCUCGGUUAUGGUUCGGGCAUCCGACAUGGCCAGGUCGUUGCCGCUGUCCUUGUCUCAAUCCCACUUGAUUAAAAGAACCAAAUCAGUUUGGGUCGUGGAAUGAAUCUAUCAAGAGACUAGUAGCAUCACAAAAAGAAUGAAUCUUCUCCCGCAGAAAGAAAACAAGAAAAAGAAACUAUUCAUGUACAGUUGCGGACCUCCCUUAUUAGAUUAUAUUUCUUUGACGAGAAAAAGAAACUAUUCAUAUUCUUGUUCUUGAGGUGUGCAUAUACUUGUUUCAUCUUAUUAUUAGACUUUAUAAACGUAUUUGUGCACUUCUAGUCUUGGUGAUAUUUGUUCAAAACGACCAAGAAGUAGCAAUUCUAAAAGGAAAAUCUAAGGAGGGAACAAGGUCAUUCAUCUAGUAUUACACUAAUAAUGAGCUAGUAGUAAUAAAGUGUCACGGAGUAAACAACCAAAACACAUGGUAAAUUAGUACACAGCCAAGUAUAUUAAGUUGAUUAGAGUCAGUUUUGGUCACUUCUCGGCACGGGUAUUCUUUACUAUAGCAGUUAACGAUGCCAUAUGCUCUGAACUUCUGAAGCUUUGUUUAAGCAGUAAAGCAUGAUCCAUUCAAGCAUGUACAACAUGGCGUGUGCUUACCGAAGGGCUGAAAACCAAAUGCGCGCGGUUCGGUUCUGGUUCGGUUCGGCUCUGGUUCAGUUGCUCUGGUUCUUGGGGCUGUAGAAGACUAGAAGUCACGCUCCACUUUGCGCGUCUAAAGUCCGGUGCCUUAUAUAAAUCCUUGGCCAUCUCCAGCUCUAAACCUCAAACACAAACCCAUUUCUCCAGCAAACACAACCACCCAAGAGACGAACAAUGGGGUUCCUGGCCGCCUUCUGGAACCUGCUCGCCUUGAUUUCCGCCGCAUGUAGCAACGCGGAGAAGCUGCCGGCUGCUCUCAUCUCCUGCGGCGUCGUCGAAGCAGCAGCGGCGCUCUGCCUCGUCAUAUCCAAAGCGCCCGGAGGUAUAUUUCUCCACCACGGCAAAGCACCCUUCUUCUUGUACUACGGCAUCCUCAUUGCCGUGUUCGUCUUCGGGCUCCUCGAGGCGUCGGCCGGCUUCUGGGUGUCGGGCGAUGUGGUCGGACGACGUGCCGCCGGGAAGACCAUCCUCUGGUUGGGCCUCCUGCCCAUCGUCUUCGUGGCUGCGCUUGGAGGCUUUGUCAUUCUGAGCAUGAAAUAGUUCAUCAUCCUGCGUCAGUUGUGUGUGUGCACGUGUGUACGUGCGAGUGUCAGUGAGUGAGCUUGAUGUACCAUUUGCUUCCAUCUGUUAUCUGUUUUAGUAUAUGUUUGUGGUAACGGGGCUUUUUGUCCGAAACGGAGAGUUUCAGGUUCUGUUAGGAGAUGGUAACAGAGUUUCAGGUUCUGCCCUGCUUUCUGAUCGAUGUGAGAUUUUCAUUGAUCUGGUCUUUGCCUUGUUACGAACGGAAAAUCGUCUGUUGCAUUUUGGCACAUAUUUGUUCCCCUCUCAGAAAAUCGUCUCUGCCUUUCUUCAGUACCGUCCGGGCAAUUCAUACGCCCGAAUCGCCCCCUGCAGCUGCGGAAGACGAUGCUGUGGCUGGGCCUCCUGCCGGUCGUCUUGGUAGCUGCACUUGUAGCCUUUGUCAUUCCUCAUUCUGAGCGUGAAAUAGAUUAUCCCCGCCUUUCGAUGUUUGCUAUCAUGUAAUGAUACUGUUGUAACCUGUUCGUCCGUGUAAGUUGUGCCCCGUGUGUGCGCAGUUUCAUUUCCUUCCCUUUGCCCGUUAUGCACCGGUCAGUUUGUGCCUUUGUGGAUCGAUGGACAACGGAGGAUGGAUGUUCUGUUGUGCCUUCGAUACAUGUGAAAUUAUUAGUAAUGUGGUCUCCCCUGUUCUUUUUUAUUUUUUUAUUUUUUGAGAAUGAUCUCUUUUUUCAUGUAUACGAACGAAAAUACAGCAGUUGUAGCGGAAACGCAGAGGGAAACAAAGUUCAUCUGGAUACGUAUGAAUCAUUUUUCCCUAACCUAGCCACCGCCACGUGAAGGCCACUAGGGAGGCGAUCCUCUACCUCCGAUUUACACCGGUGAGGGCUGGUCCCCUCUACCUCCAACUGCUGCUCCAACGGCAAGAGGGAGGGUGGACCCCAUUUCCUCCGCUCCAUAGUUAGGAUUUGGUUUCGUAGGUCGUGGUGCGUCGUUGGGGUGGUGAAAGCGGCGCCUGGACGAAUAUAUCUGCCUUGGCUCUACUCCCACAUCGACGGUGUCCUUCAUGGCGGCGUCUCGAGUUGACGGCAUCGGCGGUGUCCUUCAUAGCAAAUUGGCGGCGUUAGUGUUCAUAGAUGGUGUCAGUGAGACGGUGGCGGUAACCCCCUCAAGUGUGUCUCUCCUUCUGCUUUGUUCCCGUUGUUGCGGCGUUGCCUCGACGUCUCGGUGGAGCAGGGAAGUUUUAUCGUCCGGGAGCACGUGCAUACGGUUGUCUAAGUCGGUGAUAGCUGGAAGAAGGUGCAUCCUGUGCUGGGUUGGUGGUUGGAGGCUGACAAUUAUGGUUUCUUCCUUCAAAGUCGUAGUCGUGCGGGGGUGUCAGGUCUGGAGUUUGAUGGCGUGUUCGGGAUAUGUUGCCCCUGUCUUAUUCCUUCAACGACAUUGGUUUUGCUUCAGGCAAAUUACUUUGGUGGUCCUUAAAGCUGCAGAUCAGCGAUGGGGCCGCGUCGAGCUCGGGUGAAGAGGUGAUUUGUCUUCUUUUUCUUGGUGGAGAGGGACAUGCGCUGGUUUUUUCCAUAGGAUUAUCCUCUAUUUUCAGUCAUGUUCUCUGUUUACGUGGCUUGUAACUGAAUCUUUCUUUUAUGACGGCUGCUACAAAUCAGCUGGACAAAUCAUCCGCAUGUUUAGUCGUCUGAUCAGCGUGAUGGGGGUCGUUGAAUCAGAGCAGGCAUCAGCAAGCUUGCAAUGCAACACCAUUGUAGCCCCGCGUGGAGCUCCAGCGCAGCACCCACGGCGUCCAGUGAGCUCCAUUUAAACCCGACGGAGCUCCAAUGCAGCACCAACACUCCGGUGGAGCUCCAUGGCAACUACAGUCGAGCUCCAUACUAGCACCAACGAAGCUCCAAUGCAUCAUCAACGCUCCGGCGAAGCUCCAUCGCAACUUCGGCUGACCUCCAUUGCAGCCUCGGCGGAGCUCCGACGGCUCCGACGAAGCUCCGUUGAUGUUGGGAAACGUAGCAUGCAAUUUCAAAAAAAUCCUACGCUCACGCAAGAUCUAUCUAGGAGAUGCAUAGCAAUGAGAGGGGAGAGUGUGUCCACAUACCCACGUAGACCAACCGAAAGCGGAAGCAUUAACUUAAUGUGGUUGAUGUAGUCGAACGUUUUCUCGAAUCAACUGAUCAAGUACCGAACGUACAUCACCUCCGAGUCCUGCACACGUUCAGCUCGAUGACGUCCCUCGAACUCUUGAUCCAGUAGAGGCACGGAGGAGUCGAUGAGAUCCAUCAGCAAGACGGCGUGAUGACGGUGUUCGUGAAGUGAUCUGCGCAGGGCUUCGCUUAAGCACUACGACAAUAUGAUCGGAGGAGUAAACGGUGGAGGGGGGGCACCGCACACGGCUAAGACAAUUGAUGUGUCUUUGGGGUGCCCCCCGCCCCUGCAUAUAAAGGAGGAGGGAGAGGCUGGCCGGCCCUAGGGGCAUGCCAAGUGGGGGGAGUCCCACUAGGAAUCCUAGUCCUAGUCGGCUCCCCCCCUUCCUUCCAACGGAGAGGGGGAAAGGGGAAAGAGGUGGAGAGGGAGAAGGAAAGGGGGGCUGCGCCCCACCCCUUGUCCAAUUCGGACUGCCAUGGUGGGGCACGUGCAACCUCUUGUGGCCUGCCUCCUCCUCUCCACUAAGGCCCAUGAGGCUCAUUAACUUUCCCGGGGGUUUCCGGUAACCUCCCGGUACUCCGAAAAAUUCCCGAAUCUUUCUGGAACCAUUCCAGUGUCCGUAUAUAACCUUCCAAUAUAUCAAUCUUUACCUCUCGACCAUUUCGAGACUCCUCGUCAUGUCUGUGAUCUCAUCUGGGACUCCGAACAACCUUUGAUCACCAAAACAUUUAACUCAUAUAAUACAUAUCGUCAUCAAACAUUAAGUGUGCGGACCCUACGGGUUCGAGAACUAUGUAGACAUGACCGAGAAACCUCUCCGGUCAAUAACCAACAUUGGAACCUGGAUGCUCAUAUUGGUUCCCACAUAUUCUAUGAAGAUCUUUAUCAGUCGAACCGCAAUGUCAACAUACGUUAUUCCCUUUGUCAUCGGUAUGUUACUUGCCCGAGAUUCGAUCGUCGAUAUCUUCAUACCUAGUUCAAUCUUGUUACCGGCAACUCUCUUUACUCGUUCCGUAAUGCAUCAUCCCGUAACUAAUUCAUUAUUCACAUUGCUUGCAAGGCUUCAUAUGAUGUGCAUUACCGAGAGGGCCCAGAGAAACCUCUCCGAUACUCGUAGUGACAAAUCCUAAUCUCGAUCUAUGCCAACCCAACAAACACCUUCAUAGAUACCUGUAGAGCAUCUUUAUAAUCACCCAGUUAUGUUGUGAUGUUUGAUAGCACACAAGGCAUUCCUCCGGUUUCCGGGAAUUGCAUAAUCUCAUAGUCGAAGGAAUUUAUAUUUGACACGAAGAAAGCAGUAGCAAUAAAACUUGAACUAUCAUUAUGUUAUGCUAACAAAUGGGCCUUGUCCAUCACAUCAUUCCACUAAUGAUGUGAAUCCGUUCAUCAAAUGACAACACAUGUCCAUGGCUAGGAAACUUAACCAUCUUUGAUCAACGAGCUAGUCUAGUAGAGGCAUACUAGGGACACGGUGUUUUGUCUAUGUAUUCACACAUGUAUCAAGUUUCCGGUUAAUACAAUUCUAGCAUGAAUAGUAAAAAUUUAUCAUGAAUAAGGAAAUGUAAAAUAACAACUUUAUUAUUGCCUCUAGGGCAUAUUUCCUUCAGUCUCCCACUUGCACUAGAGUCAAUAAUCUAGUUCACAUCGCCAUGUGAUUUAACAUCAAUAGUUCACAUCGUCAUGUGAUUAACACCCAUAGUUCACAUCGCCAUGUGACCAACACCCAAAGGCUGUACUAGAGUCAAUAAUCUAGUUCACAUCUCCAUGUGAUUAACAUCCAAAGAGUACUGAGGUGUGACCAUGUUUUGCUUGUGAGAGAAGUUUAGUCAACGGGUCUGCCAUAUCCAGAGCCGUAUGUAUUUUGCAAAUUUUCUAUGUCUACAAUGCUCUUUGGAGCUACUCUAGCUAAUUGCUCCCACUUUCAAUAUGCAUCCAGAUUGAGACUCAGAGUCAUCCGGAUCGGUGUAAAAAUUUGCACCGACGUAACUCUUUACGACGAACUCUUUAUCAUCUCCAUAACCGAGAAAUAUUUCCUUAGUCCUAUUAGGUAACUAAGGAUAACUUUGAUCGUUGUCCAGUGAUCCACUCCUGGAUCACUAUCAUAUCCCUUUGCCAAACUCAUGAUAAGGUACAAAAUAGGUCUGGUACACAGCAUAGCAUAUUUUAUAGAACCCAUGGCUGAGGCAUAGGGAAUGGCUUUCAUUCUCUUUCUAUUUUCUGCUGUGGUCGGGUUUUGAGUCUUACUCAUCAUUACACCUUGCAACACAGGCAAGAACUCCUUCUUUGACUGUUCCAUUUUGAACUACUUAAAAACCUUGGCAAAGUAUGUACUCAUUGAAAAAAAAUUAUCAAGCAUCCUGAUCUAUCUCUGUAGAUCUUGAUACCCAAUAUGUAAGCAACUUCAUCGAGGUCUUCCUUUGAAAAGCUCCUUUCAAAUUCUCCUUUAUGCUUUCCAGAAAAUUCUACAUCAUUUCCGAUCAACAAUAUGUCGUUCACAUAUACUUAUCAGAAAGGUUGUAGUGCUCCCACUCACUUUCUAGUAAAUACAGGCUUCACCGCAAGUCUGUAUAAAACAAUAUGCUUUGAUCAACUCAUCAAAGUGUAUAUUCCAACUCCGAGAUGCUUGCACCAGUCCAUAGAUGGAUCGCUGGAGCUUGCACACCUUCUUAGCACCUUUAGGAUCGACAAAACCUUUUGGUUGCAUCAUAUACAACUCUUCUUAGAGAUAUCCAUUUAAGGAAUGCAGUUUUGACAUCCAUUUGCCAGAUUUCAUAAAAAUAUGGCAAUUGCUAACAUGAUUCGGAUGGACUUAAGCAUCGCUACAGUUGAGAAAAUCUCAUUGUAGUCAACACCUUGAAUUUGUCGAAAACCUUUUUGCGACAAGUCGAGCUUUGUAGAUAGUAACACUACCAUUAGCGUUCGUCUUCCUCUUGAAGAUCCAUUUAUUCUCAAUGGCUUGCCGAUCAUCGUGCCAGUCCACCAAAGUCCACACUUUAUUCUCAUACAUGGAUCCUAUCUCAGAUUUCAUGGCAUCAAGCCAUCUGUCGGAAUCUGGGCUCAUCAUAGCUUCUUCAUAGUUCAUAGGUCCGUCAUGUUCAAGUAACAUGACUUCCAGAAUAGGAUUACCGUACCACUUUGGUGCAGAUCCUGCUCUAGUUGACCUACGAGGUUAUGUAGCAACUUGAUCUGAAGUUUCAUGAUCAUUAUCACUAGCUUCCUCUCCAGUUGGUGUAGGCAUCACGGGAACGGAUUUCUUGGAUGAGCUACUUUCCAAAUUGAGAGAAGGUACAACUACCUCAUCAAGUUCUACUUUCCUCCCACUCACUUCUUUCGAGAGAAACUCCUUCUCUAGAAAGGUUCUGUUCUUGGCAACAAAGAUCUUGCCUUUGGAUCUGUGGUAGAAGGUGUACCCAAUUGUUUCCUUAGGGUAUCCCAUGAAGAUGCACUUCUCCGAUUUGGGUUCAAGCUUAUCAGGCUGAAGCCUUUUGACAUAAGCACCGCAUCCCCAAACUUUAAGAAACAAUAGCUUAGGUUUGUUGCCAAAUCACAGUUCAUACGGUGUGGUCCCAACGGAUUUUAACGGUGCCCUUUUUAACGUGAAUGCAGUUGUCUCUAAUGCAUAUCCCCAAAACGAUAGUGGUAAAUCGGUAAGAGACAUCAUAGAUCGCACCAUAUCUAAUAAAGUGCGGUUACGAUGUUCGGACACACCAUUACGCUAUGGUGUUCCAGGUAGCAUGAGCUAUGAAACAAUUCCACAUUGAUUUAAAUGAAGGCCAAACUCGUAACUCAAAUAUUCACCUCCACGAUUAGGUCGUAGAAACUUUAUUUUGUUGUUACGAUGAUUCUCCACUUCACUCUGAAAUUCUUUGAACUUUUCAAAUGUUUCAGACUUGUGUUUCAUUAAGUAGAUUUACCCAUAUCUGCUCAAAUCAUCUAUGAAGGUCUGAAAAUAAUGAUACUCGCCACGAGCCUCAACACUCAUCGGACCACAUACAUCGGUAUGUAUUAUUUCCAAUAAGUCGUUAGAUCGUUCCAUUGUUCCAGAGAAUGGAGUUUUAGUCAUCUUGCCCAUAAGGCAAGGUUCGCAAGUAUCAAAUGAUUCAUAAUCAAGUGAUUCCAAAAGUCCAUCUGCAUGGAGUUUGUUCAUGCGCUUUACGCCGAUAUGACCCAAACGGCAGUGCCACAAAUAUGUUGCACUAUCAUUAUCGACUUUGCAUAUUUUGGCAUCAAUAUUAUGGAUAUGUGUAUCACCACGAUUGAGAUUCAAUAAACCAUUAACAUUUGGUGUAUGACCAUAGAAGGUUUUAUUCAUGUAAACAGAAUAACAAUUAUUCUCUUUCUUAAAUGAAUAACCGUAUUGCAAUAAACAUGAUCUGAUCAUACUCAUUCUCAACGCAAAAACCAAAUAAUAUUUAUUUAGGUUCAACACUAAUCUCGAAAGUAUAGGGAGUGUGCGACGAUGAUCAUAUCAAUCUUGGAACCACUUCCAACACACAUCAUCACUUCACCCUCAACUAGUCUCUAUUUAUUCUGCAACUCCUGUUUCGAGUUACUAAUCUUAGCAACCGAACAGGUAUCAAAUACCCAGGGGCUACUAUGAGCACUAGUAAGGUACACAUCGAUAACAUGUAUAUCAAAUAUACCUUUGUUCGCUUUGCCAUCCUUCUUAUCCGCUAAAUAUUUGGGGUAGUUCCGCUUCCAGUUAUUAGUCCCUUUGCAGUAGAAGCACUCAGUUUCAAACUUGGGUCCAACUUUGGGUUUCUUCCCGGGAGUGACAACUUGCUUGUCAUUCUUCUUGAAGUUCCCUUUCUUACCCUUGCCCUUCUUCUUGAAACUAGUGGUCUUGUUAACCAUCAACACUUGAUGCUUUUUCUUGAUUUCUACCUUUGUCGAUUUCAGCAUCACGAAGAGCUCGGGAAUCGUUUUCGUCAUCCCUUGCAUAUUAUAGUUCAUCACAAAGUUCUAGUAACUUGGUGAUAGUGACUAGAGAACUCUAUCAAUCACUAUCUUAUCUGGAAGAUGAACUCCCACUUGAUUCAAGCGAUUGUAGUACUCAGACAUUCUGAGCACAUGCUCACUGGUUGAGUUAUUCUCCUCCAUCUUGUAGGCGAAGUACUUGUCAGAGGUCUCAUACCUCUUGACACGGGCAUGAGCCUGAAAUACCAAUUUCAGCUCUUGGAACAUCUCAUAUGCUUCCUGGCGUUCAAAACGUUUUUGAAGUCCCGGUUCUAAGCCAUAAAGGAUGGUGCAUGAAACUAUCAAGUAGUCAUCAUAUCGAGCUUGCCAAACAUUCAUAACGUCUACAUCAGCUCUUGCAACAGGUCCAUCACCUAGCGGUGCAUCAAGGACAUAAUUUUUAUGUGCAGCAAUGAGGAUAAUCCUCAGAUCACGGACCUAGUCCGCAUCAUUGCUACUAUCAUCUUUCAACUUAGUUUUCUCUAGGAACAUAUCAAAAAUAAACGGGGAGCUACAACAUGAGCUAUUGGUCUACAACAUAAUUUGCAAAUACUAUCAGGACUAACUUCAUGAUAAAUUAAAGUUCAAUUAAUCAUAUUACUUAAGAACUCCCACUUACACUAACAUCCCUCAAGUCAUCUAAGUGUGACGUGAUCCAAAUCAACUAAACCAUGUCCGAUCAUCACGUGAGAUGGAGUAGUCUUCAAUGGUGAACAUCACUAUAUUGAUCAUAUCUACUAUAUGAUUCACGUUCGACCUUUCGGUCUCCAGUGUUCCGAUGCCAUAUCUAUAUAUGCUAGGCUCGUCAUGUUUAACCCGAGUAUUCCACUUGUGCAAAUCUGGCUUGCACCCGUUGUAUUUGAACGUAGAGCUUAUCACACCUGAUCAUCACAUGGUGUCUCAGCACGAAGAACUUUCGCAACGAUGCAUACUCGGGGAGAACACUUAAACCUUAAAUUUAAUAAGGGAUCAUCUUAUAAUGCUAUCGCUGUACUAAGCAAAAUAAGAUGCAUAAAAGAUAAACAUCACAUGCAAUCAAAAUAUGUGACAUGAUAUGGCAUCAUCAUCUUGUGCUCAUGAUCUCCAUCACCGAAGCAACGUCGUGAUCUCCAUCGUCACCAGCUUGACACCUUGAUCUCCAUCAUAGCAUCGUGGUCGUCUCGCCAACCAUUGGUUCUGCGACUAUAGAAGGAAAUAUGCCCUAGAGGAAAUAAUAAAGUUAUUAUUUAUUUCUUUAUUUCAUGAUAAAUGUUUAUUAUUCAUGCUAGAAUUGUAUUAACCAAAGACUUAGUACAUGUGUGAAUACAUAGACAAAACAUAUUGUCCCUAGUAUGCCUCUACUUGACUAGCUCGUUAAUCAAAGAUGGUUAUGUUUCCUAACCAUAGACAUGUGUUGUCAUUUGAUGAACGGGAUCACAUCAUUAGGAGAAUGAUGUGAUGGACAUGACCCAUCCGUUAGCUUAGCAUUGUGAUCAUUACAGUUUCAUUGCUUUCUUCAUGACUAUGAGAUUAUGCAACUCCCAAAUACCGGAGGAACACUUUGUGUGCUACCAAACGUCACAACGUAAAAGGGUGAUUAUAAAGGUGCUCUACAGGUGUCUCCGAAGGUGUUUGUUGGAUUGCAAUCGAUCGAGAUUAGGAUUUGUCACUCCAUGUUUCGGAGAGGUAUCUCUGGGCCCUCUCGGUAAUGCUCAUCACUAUAAGCCAUGCAAUCAUUGUAACUAAUGAGUUAGUUGCAAUAUGAAGUAUUAAGGAACGAGUAAAGAGACUUGCCUGUAACGAGAUUGAACUAGGUAUGAUGAUACCGACGAUCGAAUCUCGGGCAAGUAACAUACCGAUGACAAAGGGAACAACAUAUGUAGUUAUGCGGUUUGACCAAUAAAGAUCUUCAUGGAAUAUGUAGGAACCAAUAUGAGCAUCCAGGUUCCGCUAUUGGUUAUUGACCGAAGAUGUGUCUCGGUCAUGUCUACAUAGUUGUCGAACCCGUAGGGACCGCACGCUUAACGUUCGAUGAUGAUUGGUAUUAUGAGUUUAUGUGAUUUGAUGUACCGAAGGUUGUUCGGAGUCUCGGAUGAGAUCGCGGACAUGACGAGGAUUCUCGAAAUGGUCGAGACAUAAAGAUUUAUAUAUUGGAAGACUAUAUUCGGACACGGGAAUAGUUCCGAGGUGUAUCGGGUAUUUUCCGGAGUACCGAGGGGUUACCGGAACCCCCCGGGGGGGGUUAAUGGGCCUCAUGGGCCAAGUGGUGGAAGAGAGGAGGCUGGCCAAGGUGUGGCGUGCGCCCCCCCUAUCCCAAACCAAAUUGGACUAGGGGGGCCGGCCCCCUUUCCUUCUCUCUUCCCCCUCCUUUCCCCUUCUCCUUGUUGGAAUAGGAAAGGUGGGCCGAAUCCUACUUGGAGUAGGAUUCCCCCCCCCCCUGGCGCGCCUCCUCCCCUGGCCGGCCUCCUCCUCCCUCCCUCCUUUAUAUACAGGGGAGGGGGCACCCCAAAGCAUUACAAAAAAAUACACUUCCGUGAUGAUACAUGUUUGUCAUAGUAGGCCACAUUUUCUGUCAUGCGUGUACAUCCAUGACGAUUUUAUGACAGAAUCAACAUAGUCAUACGUGUUGAGGGAGUCCUGGAUUAGGGGGUGUCCGGAUGGCCGGAUUAUGAACUUUGGCCGGACUCCUGGACUAUGAAGAUACAAGAUUGAAGACUCCGUCCCGUGUCCGGAUGGGACUUUCCUUGGCGUGGAAGGCAAGCUUGGCGAUACGAUAUGAAGAUCUCCUCCGAUUGUAACUGACUCUGUGUAAUCCUAGCCCUCUCCGGUGUCUAUAUAAACCGGAGAGUUUUAGUCCAUAGGACGAACAACAAUCAUACCAUAGGCUAGAUUCUAGGGUUUAGCCACUUCGAUCUCGUGGUAGAUCUACUCUUGUACUACCCAUAUCAUCAAUAUUAAUCAAGCAUGAGUAGGGUUUUACCUCCGUCGAGAGGGCCCGAACCUGGGUAAAAACAUCGUGUCCCUUGUCUCAUGUUACCAUCCGCCUAGACGCACAGUUCGGGACCCCCUACCCGAGAUCCGCCGGUUUUGACACCGACAUUGGUGCUUUCAUUGAGAGUUCCACUAUGUCGUCACCAUCAGGAAGGAUGCUGCAUCCCGUCUUUAAAGACGGCGUCGUUGCUAAAGGAGUUUUGGCCAUCGGCCAAACUCUCCGGCUAGGAAGGUUUUUGAUGACCGCCAGUCCGGCCGCCGCGCCAACGAUGACCUCUCGGGCCAUCGAAAGCAAUCUUCGCAUCAGCUCGGAGCUCGCCGAGCAGUUAGAUCCGAUGGAGCUCUUCUCCCUGAAUGAACUCUUGGAUCGCAUCGCGGCCCUGGGAGUCGCUACUGAUUACAACCAAAUUGGGCUUAAACCUGAUCAGAGAGAGAUUGACUCUCCCCAGAUCACCCACCACGUUGAAGUGGUGGAAGAACAAUGCGGCGAGUCUUCGCCUGCCCUAAGGAGCAGAUGCGUCCGGAUUCCCGACCCCUCCAAGCCGGAAACCCGCGGAGGGGAGGAUGUCACCCGAACCCUGAACCUAAAGUCAGGCAGUAGGCCCGAUUCAUUGAAUAAUACCCGAGAAAGCAAGCUUCCGAAUUCGGAAACUGCUCGGCCCCUGAAUCUUACAUCGGGCAGGGUUCCGGAUCUAUUUCCACCCGCCCACCCAACUAUACGGGAUUUAUCCCUAAUACGGCAAGAGUCCGGAGAAACAGUACACCACUACUGGGCCAGAUUCCUCCUGGUUAUGAACAGGAUAAAGGACUGCCGCGAGAGAGAAGCAAUUUCACUCUUCCUUAACAACUGCACGGACAUCGGAAUCCUCAACGCCAUAAGUCGUCGCGAAAUUAUACGAUUCGCUGACUUGACAUCCAUAGUACGAAAGUACUGCGCGAUUGAAAGCGUUCGGAAAAUCGAAGAUAAAUUCUGGGACAAUCCGGUCCCGAAUAUAACACGAGUCCGAAACAAAAGGGCGCAUUAUCGCCAGGCAUCUGAGCCAAACAUCAAAAAACAAAAACCCUCUACAGGGUACGGGACCGUAUUGGAAGGAUGGCUCAAUGGACCCUGUAGAAUUCAUAAUUCAGGGAAAGCCACACCAACGCACAUCCUCAGAGCAUGUUGGAUACUACGGCAGGUAGCCAGAAGCGGCGAGGAGCUUUUAACUCCAGCACCCGAAGAAUACCUCCCCAGUACAGUGUCGACAGUCUUUGAGACGUUCACAUCAAACAAUGCAAGGAAACGAACACUCCGCAACCUCGCCGAAGUCUACCAAGUAGCAACAAUAAACCCAUGGAUUGACACGGCUAUCACCUUUAACGCUAGUGACGAACCUAAAUUCCGGACAGCCUGAGCACCAGCCGCAUUGGUCCUCAGUCCGAUAGUGGACGGCUUCCGACUUACAAAGGUACUCAUGGACGGCAGCAGCGGACUCAACCUCAUCUACGAGGAAACCCUGCGAAAAAUGGAAAUUGACUGGAGCCGCAUUGAGCGAAGCAACACAACUUUUAGGGGAAUAAUCCCAAGCCGGGAAGCGUGCAGUUCAGGAAAAAUCACACUGGAUGUGGUGUUCGGCACGCCGGACAAUUACAGAUCCGAGGAGGUCAUGUUUCAAGUGGCCCCGUUCAGCAGCGGCUACCACGCUUUGCUAGGGCGAGAAGCAUUUACAAUUUUCCGAGCCAUACCCCAUUACGGGUACAUGAAGCUCAAAAUGCUCGGGCCCAACGGAAUCAUCACUCUCGCAAGUGAUCCGGACAUAGUGCUCCGCGCUGAAAACAAGACAGCCGCACUGACCCUGGAGGCAUUAUCUGAGGCCCUAGAGGCCGAGGAGUUAACGGGGUUGCACUCCAUGGUGGACAGGGAUGACGUGAUACUAGACAAGAGAUCCAAGUCCACCUCUUUUAAACCGGCGGACGAAAUAGUCAAAUUCCAAGUCCAUCCAACGGACCCUACAAAAACGACCUCCAUCGGGGCACAAUUAAAACCCGAUGUAGACGCUGCACUCAGAGAAUUUCUGUGAGAAAAUUGGGACAUUUUCGCCUGGCACCCCUCGGAUAUGUCAGGAAUCCCACGCAGGCUGGCCGAGCAUAGCCUGAACAUCAUAAAAGGGUUUAAACCCGUCAAGCAGACCCUACGGCGCUUUUCCGAACCUAAGAGACAAGUCAUGGGAGAGGAGCUAGCAAAACUGCUGGAAGCCGGGUUCAUUAGAGACAUAAAACAUCCGGACUGGCUAGCAAACCUGGUGAUGGUACCAAAGAAGGACAAAUCUUGGCGCCUAUGUGUCGAUUUCAGAGACCUAAACAAGGCAUGUCCAAAGGACCCUUUCCCACUCCCUCGAAUCGAUCAAAUCAUCGACGCCACUGCAGGACACGACUCAUUGUGUUUCCUCGAUGCAUACUCUAGCUACCAUCAAAUCAAGAUGGCAGAGUCAGACCAGGCCGCAACGGCAUUCAUCACCCCGUACGGCCCAUUCUGCUUCAACACGAUGCCCUUCGGGCUCAAAAACGUCGGUGCAACAUAUCAGCGCAUGAUUCAGACAUGUCUGGCCAACCAGAUCGGCAAAAUAGUCGAAGCAUACGUAGACGACGUGGUCUUCAAAACAAAACACGUUGAUACUCUAGUAGACGACUUGAGGCUCACGUUCGACAAUCUCCGAACAUAUGACAUUAAGCUCAACCCGGAAAAAUGCGUUUUCGGCGUACCAGCCGGAAAGCUCCUGGGCUUCAUCGUAUCCGGUAGAGGAAUUGAAGCAAACCCAGCCAAGAUCCGAGCUCUGUCACAAUUAGAUACCCCAAAGGACCUCAAACAAAUACAAAAACUGACAGGAUGCGUGGCAGCUCUAAGCCACUUUAUCUCCCACUUAGGAGAAAAGGCAUUACCCCUCUAUCGCCUCCUACGGCGCACCGACCACUUCGAGUGGACGGAGGCCGCCACGGCCGGACUCGAAGAAAUAAAAGCCAUAUCGGCAACAAAUCCGGUCCUGGCCGCGCCCAACACGGGCGAACCAAUGCUAUUAUACAUCACGGCAACCCAUCAAGUUGUCAGCGCGGUGCUCGUCGUCGAACGAGAAGCGGACGGACACAAGUUCCCCCUCCAAAAACCAGUGUACUACGUGUCCACUGUGCUAACUCCAUGCAAGUCACGGUACCCGCAUUAUCAAAAGAUAGCAUACGCGAUGUUCAUGGCAUCCCGGAAGCUGCGACACUACUUUCAAGAGUGCUCCAUAACAGUGGCAUCCGAAGUACCCCUUAAUGACAUUAUAAACAACCGCGACGCAACGGGCCGGAUUGCCAAAUGGGCCAUCGAGCUCCUCCCAUUCGACAUAACCUACAAGCCAAGGCGAGCUAUUAAGUCGCAGGUUUUGGCCGACUUCAUUGCCGAAUGGACUGAAGCCGAACUCCCUAAAGAAUACGGCGCAUACUCCAACUGGAUCAUGCACUUCGACGGCUCCAAAAUGUUGGCUGGCCUGGGGGCUGGCGUCGUCCUGACGUCCCCAACCAGGGACACAGUCCAAUACGUACUUCAGAUAAUGUACACAGAUUCGAACAACGCAGCCGAAUACGAGGCCCUUUUACAUGGCCUCCGAAUGGCAGUCUCCAUGGGCAUUCAGCGCCUAGAGGUCCGCGGGGAUUCAAAUCUCGCAAUAUCCCAAAUAAAUGGAGACUUCAACGCCAAGGACCUGAAAAUGGCAGCUUACCGCAGCGCCAUCUUAAAGAUGUCAGCUUGGUUUGAGGGGCUCGAAUUUCAUCACAUAGCCCAGGAAAAUAACCAAGCAGCAGACGUGCUGGCACGCAUCGGCGCCAAGCGCGAGGCCGUCCCUCCCAACAUCUUCCUAGAAAGGAUGUUCAAGCCAUCUGUAUCAUGGGACGGAGAAUCCGGAAACAAUAGCCCGGACACAACUACACUGCCCCUCACCAAGCAUCCUGACACAAUUGGGGGCUACGCCAACGAAACAACGCCGUCAGCCCAUGAAAUAAUGGCAGUCAUUGCCCCUUGGACAGAGCCAUUCCUAGCCUACCUAACUAGGCAGGAACUUCCAGAGGACCAAAACGAGGCCCGCUGCAUAGUGCGGCGAUCUAAAGCCUACAAAGUCCAUGAGGGAGAGCUUUACAAGAAAAGCACAACCGGAGUCCUUCAAAGGUGUAUCUCUGAAGAAGAAGGACGAGACCUUUUGGCUGAAAUCCAUGCCGGACUUGGCGGGCACCACGCCGCAGCCCGGGCCCUUGUAAGCAAGGCCUUCCGUACCGGAUUUUAUUGGCCAACGGCCCGGGCAAACGCUCAGGACUUAGUGCAACGAUGUGUUGGUUGCCAGUUAUUCGCCAACCAAAGUCACAUGCCGCAUACCGCCCUACAAACUAUACCCAUUACCUGGCCUUUCGCGGUCUGGGGGCUUGACAUGGUCGGACCCCUUAAAGGAGGAACCCACAAGCAAAAAUACCUACUGGUCAUGGUGGACAAAUUCACCAAAUGGAUAGAAGCCAAGCCUGUAAAGACGGUCGAAUCCGGAACAGUGAUAGACUUCCUUUCCGGGGUUGUACACCGUUACGGUGUCCCCCACAGCAUCAUAACCGACAACGGCACAAACUUCACGGCCGAUGAAGUCAAACUUUGGUGCAAAAACAUGGGCAUCAAGCUCGACUACGCUUCAGUCUAUCACCCUCAAACUAACGGUCAAGUCGAACGGGCCAACGGUCUCAUUAUGAGCGGCAUCAAACCUAGACCAGUGCGAUCCCUCAAGGAAUCUGACACGCACUGGGUAGAGGAGCUUGACUCCGUACUCUGGGGGCUGCGGACCACGCCGAAUCGCACUACCGGAUUCACACCAUUUUUUAUGGUAUACGGCGCAGAGGCAGUACUGCCAUGUGACAUAAUCCAUGACUCACCUCGAGUGCGUAUGUAUGAAGAAAGAGAAGCCAAGCUCGAUCGGUAGGACAGCUUGGACGCAUUAGAAGAGGAGCGCGAUGUGGCAAAGGCUCGUUCCGCAUUCUAUCAACAGCAGGUUCGAAGAUAUCAAAGCAGAGAAGUACGGGCCAAAAUGUAUAACGUUGGCGAACUAGUUAUACGCUUGCCGGACAAAAAAAAAGGAUAAAUUAAAGCCCAAAUGGGAGGGCCCCUUCAUCAUCGACCAAGUACUGACCGGCGGAGUGUACCGUCUGCGAGGUGCAUCGGACAACCGACUCGAGCCGAACCCAUGGAAUGCAGCACGCCUAUGAAGGUUCUACGCCUAGCGCCGGACUCCGUGUUCGUCUCCUUCCCUCAUCCCUUUGUUUUAUUUUUUAUUUUUAUUUUUGGCAGUCCGGGAGUUUGUUCCUUCUCCCUCCCCCUUUUUCUCACAAGCCCUUAGGGGCUCGCAUGUGCAAUAUUCGCACGCACCAGAUGUGCUACCUGCGCUCACAAUACCUAGGGGCUUCUCUACCAAGAAGUUUAUAUAAAACGGGCCUCACGCCCAAAACAUGUGCAAUGCUUUCACAUGAACCUUUUAUACACCAUUAUAUGCAUCGAUAUGACUUAAGUUUUGGCCAAGCUGGGUUGCCUGGCUCCUGUGCUUACCCCUAUAUUCCCGUUCGUUCGGCUAGGUGGCAAAGGGAGCACCUCUGCGAUUGUUACUGCCGGGUCAGUCGGAUGUGUACCUCAGACUGGGUGAAGCCGAAAGCUAGCGUUCUCAAGGGAAUAUUCGGUGGGUGAGCUAAAAGAUGAUCUUUCGUAUUUACUUUUUUGCCCCCAAAUGCUUUUCUGCUCUUUCUGGUAGUUCGGACAUGCACUUUAGGGCAUGCCUCCCAGGGAAAGGAACCCCUAACGGAAUUAUUCUCUCUGGAAGAUGUUUCUUACUAACCAUGUAAUAUAACAUAACUAGUUGGGCACUUGUCUGCUAAAGCACUUAUGACCCCUACGCCUUGUCUCCAUGCAUGCCCCGGUUCUUACAUAACCAAGAGGGUAUUCGGACACACUCUGGACUGUAGGGUCCAGAGGUCGAAGCGAAAAGGUCUGUAGUGACAAAUGAUCUACAAUCCGGCUAGAGGACAUUUUUUAUGUCAUUUUUACAUAGUCAAUCCGACUCAGCAUAUUCUUCUUCAAUGUCAUCUAAUAGGCGGUCUAAUUUACAGUCCUGUUGGGAAUACUUUGCAGCCAGCUCCACUUGGCCAUAUGCCAAGCUGACCGGGAUCUCCUUUCCGUCCGGACCUAUAGGGCCGACCUCGGCCAUGUGGUUUGGGUCAGCCUUCGUGUACCGAGUCUUCACCAUGGCCCAGGCCUCCCUGGCACCUUGACGGCAAGCCAAUAUCUUCCAUAACCAGAAGCGCUGCCGCACUCCCUCCAGCUUCUUGGAAAGCUCCUCAAGGCCUUCGGGCACGGAGAGGGAUGGCCACAUAGCCUGGAUGACGCCUCGCAUUGCCUGCCGAACUCGCUCAUGUAGUUGCAACAGCUCGGGAAGAUGGUCUCCCGAUGAACCGGGCAUUUCCUCCACCGGACGACCCGUCAGCAGACCUACAGACAUAGCUCUGUCAAUCGACUUCCUCGCCGAAUUCUUUUUUCAAAGAUUCGUUCAAGCACUUACUAAAAAUGCCGCGUCGAAGUCGCUAAUUCUCCUUCACGACAGAAGACAGCUGAAUGCGAACAUCUUUCAGUUCCUCACCUAGCUGGGUAUUGGCGUCUUGAAGCUUGUUCUUCUCUUGCCUCACCCUCAUCAGCACGUUCUCGCCAGCCUUUAGUUGGCGUAGGAGUUGUUGCUGGUCCGGAUUUGCUCCGGCCUCAUCUGCAUUAUUAUAGUCAGGGUUGCACGCCUGCCGCAUUUCAAAACGGAGGUACCUUUCGAAGCACAUAUUACCUGCGGGCGUCCCCUUGACAUUCUCUAAAGCGGCCAAUGCGGCCUCGAGCUGAGCCUUGCACUCUUCGAGCUCCUGGGACAAUUGCGUGUUCUUCUUUGUAAGACACUGCAUAGCACAUGAUCCUUCAAACAGUUAUCUUCACUGUUUCAAGUCUCGGGGGCUACUGACAUAUACAACCUUCAAUUCUACUCACCUGUAUGUCUUUCACAUACUGCUCCGUGGCUCUGGCUAGACCAUUUUGAGCAGCACGAAGAUACGCAUCUCCUGUAUUAAAGGCGUCCAACGCCUCUAGGGAAAAACACGCGUCACGGAGAACAGUCCGGCGACGCCGGUGGUUUAGGGCACUCUCCACCUCUGAAUUAGUGGCAGAUAGCCCGUCGGCGCCCUCUGUCGGAGUAGCGCCCGAGGCGCGUCCCGUGUCCGCCUCCGCUUCCGGACCCGACCUCAAACCUUGGCCGGUGGACAUAGUUCGGCGGGCUCUCUUCUUUCUAAGAAAAUCAUGAGCAUUAGUAGGACUCAAGGGCAUAAACCCUAGGCGUUAAAUCCGCACACCAUACCGUUGCACCGGAAUCUCGAUCUGGUCCGCACUUCUUUUUGGCUCGCCUGAUUUCAGCGGCCCUUGUUGGCUGCCCACCGUGGGCUCGGCCUUCCGCCUCAAGGAUUUACCCUGCGAAACGUUGUUAGUGCACGGCAUGUAAGAUAAAACAUGAGAAUACUGGGACUUCGGUCUUAGUUACCUUGGAGGCUGGAAGUAGUCCGGGAUAGUCGGCCGUGAUGGCCACUAAAGAGUUAUCCUUGCUCAAUUGAUGAAAUACUCCAUCAACCAACUCCACGCAUAAGUCCGGAUCUUCUUGGGAGUCCGGAUCGAGGGACCAUUCCGGAUCCUCGGGUUGUGGAGCAGAGCUGUUUAUUUCCUUCACAGCCUGGCGCAGCUCCUGCGUUUAAACAUUACUAGUCUAAGUACUCAACUACGGGAAUUUCGAAAAUGGAUAGGCAAGUGAAAGUGUCCGCUCACCCAACUAGGAGGAUUGUACAUAGAGAAUCCGCCUUCCGGGUUGACGCGGAGGAAUUCUUCCUCUUCCCCCUUGUACAAAGCGGAUAAGAUUCUCGUUAAAGUGGCGGCCGAAUCUGGCCCCUUGCGACUGCACCGGGUAGCAUCAUCCUCCCCGUUGAAAUCCCAUAUGGGGUGGCCUCUGUAUUGAAGCGGUUGCACCCCUCGCGUGAUGCAUAUGGCCAUGACCUUGAUCAUGGUCAGUCCGGAAUGAGCCAACAACCUUAUCCGGCUCAUCAGGUACAGGACGUCCCUGUCAGCUUCCCUCUGAGGGUUCCGUGGGCGCCAACUCAGGCGCUUCUUCAACGGGGCAUUAUUGAACUCGGGGAGGCCGAUCCGUACAGGGUCCGGCAGGGGGACGUCAUCUAUAUAAAACCAUUCCGAGGGCCAGUCUUCGGACACCCUCUUUGGGGUGCUGGAUAGAUAUCCGGUCCCGGCGAUGCGCCAUAGUUCGGCUCCGCCCACUUGAUAAAUAGACCCCUCCUGAGAACGAGGCACAAGGCAAAACAACCUCUUCCACAGAGCGAAAUGGGCCUCAACGCCCAAGAACAGCUCGCAGAGGGCCACAAAGCCCGCAAUGUGCAGAAUGGAGGCGGGCGUGAGGUUGUAUAGCUGGAGGCCGUAGAACUCCAGCAACCCUCGAAGAAACAGAUGAAUUGGAAAUCCGAGUCCUCUCAUCAAAUAAGGGACUAGGCAUACCCGCUCUCCUCGAGAGGGAUUGGGGACGCUCUCCGCCUGCUCUCCGUCGCUAUAGGUAGCAAUCCCGGCUCGAACUGGGACCAUAUAUGCUGGGGGAGAAGCCCCUUGGACUGAAGCACUACUAGCUCGCUAUGCGGGACGGAACACCGCCCCCAAUAUCCGGGCCGAGCGCUGGAGGGGCGAGAGGAGGAGCUGCACCGACCAGCCAUGGUGGAAUGGAUCUCUGUCGAAGGCACUCUGAUGAAAUCUCGCGGAGGGAAGAUGGCGUGAAUUGGAUCUAAAUCCCCGUCUCUUUUAUGGGCGGUUCAUUAACGCAACCAGGGGGGUAACUGAAAAAAUCCCCUGGCUUUUCGCAUUCGUUUGACACGUGGAAGAUGGUCAUUAUGGGGCACAGAAGUAGAGGAGGGCAGCACGCACUAGAAGCCGGACACUAUUCGGCGGAUACAGAGAAUUUGCAGGGGAACCCGCCUUGCAAUGCCGAAGACAACUUGUGCGCCGGACUCGUCGUCAUUGAAGCCUGGUUCAGGGGCUACUGAGGGAGUCCUGGAUUAGGGGGUGUCCGGAUGGCCGGACUCCUGGACUAUGAAGAUACAAGAUUGAAGACUCUGUCCCGUGUCCGGAUGGGACCUUCCUUGGCGUGGAAGGCAAGCUUGGCGAUAUGAUAUGAAGAUCUCCUCCGAUUGUAACCGACUCUGUGUAACCCUAGCCCUCUCCGGUGUCUAUAUAAACCGGAGAGUUUUAGUCCGUAGGACGAACAAGAAUCAUACCAUAGGCUAGAUUCUAGGGUUUAGCCACUCCGAUCUCGUGGUAGAUCUACUCUUGUACUACCCAUAUCAUCAAUAUUAAUCAAGCAGGAGUUGGGUUUUACCUCCAUCGAGAGGGCCCGAACCUGGGUAAAAACAUCGUGUCCCUUAUCUCCUGUUACCAUCCGCCUAGACGCACAGUUCGGGACCCCCUACCCGAGAUCCGCCGGUUUUGACACCGACACCUGUGCUGUCGUAGAAGUGUUCCAUGACAUUACCAAAAUUAUCAUCACGGAAGUGUCCACUUCCAUGAUGAUAAAUCGAGCAUCACAGAAGUGCUUUCGUCAAGGGUGACCGAUACGUGGCGUCCAUCGUAACGGAACACCGUUAAGCUAUCGGGUCCGCUUUUGGAUCCGAUAACCCGUUAACAGCCCCGACCAACGGGGAUUUUCCACAUCUAAAAUCAUCAUUGGUUGGAGGAAACACAUGUCGGCUCACCGUUCGGACAGAUGUCAUCCACUCAUUGGACCCAAGGCGCCUAUGAUACGUUGGUACAUGCCACGGCCCAAAAGAGGCCCAUUCUUGUGAAAAGGUCGGCCCGUUUGACUUGGUCAAAAGGUGGCGGGCCAGCCCAUGAAAAGCCUGUUAACGGCCUGUUCGCGUAUAGCCCAUUUACAGCCCGCUAACCCAGGGCCCAUUACGACCUCUCCGAAUUAGGCCCAGUAGCAUCAUCUGGGCCGUCCAAUAUGAUUCCAGCACAUUUUAACUUUCGGCCCAUGUAUGGCCCAUGACUUCUUUUGGCCCAUAUGAGGCCCUUUGUAACUCUUGGUCCAUUAACGGCCCGUGGCCCAUAAUGAACAGUGUAUCACUUUAUACCCAUUAACGGCCCAUUAUUCCAUUGAGUCGUUUCCAGCCCAAGUUAUCUUUCAGCCUUCUCAGGGCCCAUUUAUUCUUGGGUUCAUUUCCAACAUUCAGUUACUUACGGCCCGUUACUGUCAUUUUCUGCUUGUGGGACAAAUUCAGCCUGUCGUUACAGUCGGCCCGUUUGUGGCCCGUUAAUACUUUGGGCCGUUUUCAUGUCAAAAAAACCCGUUGGGCUGUUUUCAUAGAGUUAUCAAAUACGGCCUAUUAAAGACCUGUUAUAGUCCACGAAUAGUACGACCCAUGAUUGGUGAAAUGAUGAUACGCCCCGUAGAAGGUCCAUGGAUCCUAUGACCCGUAUAAGGCCCAUGGAUCAUAUGGCCGGUAGAAGGCCCAUGGAUCGUACGGCCCGUAUAAGGCCCAUGGACCCUACGGCCCGUAGAAGGACCAUGGAUCCUAUGGCCCGUAUAGAAGGCCAAUGGAUCCUACGGACCGUAGAAGGCCCAUGGAUCAUACAGCCCGCAGGAGGCCCAUGGUUACAACAGUCUGUGUGUUGCCAUGAUUAUUUUGGCCUAGUUACCAAAAAUAGGCUAUUGUGGCCACUAGAAAAGCACAGAAAAAGAGCUGCAGUGACUACAAGUAAACAACUAAACAAGACAAUAAGGAAAUAAAUAAGCAAGCAAUUAACGCUAGCCUAUUACCGCUAUUACACAUAUUACAUCCACUGGGCAUCAAAGUUCGCCACCAGUGCAAAUACAGGGAACACAGCAGCAUAUUACAUACACUGGCCGUCAAAAUUGGCCACCAGUGCAAGUAAACGCGGCAGCAAAACAAGAGCAUAACUGAAACAACUUCAGAAGAGCUCAAGAAACGUUAUCCUGGGUAUCCACCAUGAUGGCAAUAAGCUUAGCAAGCUUUUUAGCUUUGUCCUGUUUGGUGCUAAAAUCCUCCAACGCUUGAUGUUGCAUGAGAAAGUAUGCAUCUGAAUGCUACAGGGACUUCUGUAGUCCUUCCUCUUCUUGUCGCAGCAUAGCUGAUUGAUGUCUUUCAGCUUGUAGUUGAGACUCAAGAAACCGAACUGAUUCAGACAGUGAGUUUGAAUAGCUUGUGCAAGCAGUAGUGGCCAGUAACUCGAACACUAAACCAAGACAGGACUUUGGGGUUGUCUCACUGUCUUCAAGAUAGUCUUCCUUAGCUGUUUUAUCAGCUUUGUUGGAGACCAGCAAGGAUGUGUCACUAUCCUGAACCUUAUCUGCAUUACUUCCUUUACCAUUGCUUAAUAAGGCACUCUUCCCCAAUAUUCUGUCAGCAUUCUAAAAGAAGAAACAAGCAGACACAUAAUAGUUUUAGCAUGUACUAGUAUAUGAAACUCAUUUCGGUGAACCAGUUCAUUAGUAAGGUGGACAGAAUUAAACUACCAAGUCAUCUAUUGCCAAGUACUAGUACAUAAUAAAAGCAUCAAACAAACAUAUAUCUAUGUCCUAUGGUCACUGCAUUGUCUUGCCAAAUCAAAAUAGAGACACGGUUCAAAUCAUAUCAGUUCAAGACAAAGCAGCAGUGAAAGAAUACAAAGCAUGGGAAACUACAUGGCACAACAAGAUUUCAGAUGGGUACCACGGGUCUACAUGUACAACAACACUAUUGGCUCUGUUGUGAUGCUAGUAAUGUGCAUGAUAUGAGAAGUCAACUGUAUACACAAUUGAAAUUGAAAUCAACAGAGCUAUUGAUAAGAGCAAACCUAUUAAAGAAACAUGCGUGAACAUACCUGCUGUGCCAUUGGAGUUUCGAUUGGAUCCUUCAAUUUAAAAAUAAGUUUGUAUGAGUAAAUACAGUGAUACAAGAGCAAAGCAGUAUGCAUGACAGCAAUCAUAGUUAAAAAAGGCGCGUCUAAGCAAGCGCUUAAGCGCGCCUAGGAUCUAGUCGUUGGCAAAACGCAUUGCGCAUAACUACGCUUAAUCUGUGCAUGACUGUGCAUAAGCAUGCGCUUUGGUCAGUAAAGUCCAAGGCGGUGCCAAAAUGCACAAUUAAUGCCUAGCACUUUUUUGAACUAUGAUAGCAAUGGAAUCUUAAAUUAGAACAAUUGUUCUUCAGGUUUAGGCACUUGUUCUACAUGAACAGAGUACAGUAAGACGCAACAAUAUAGUACUUAAAAAUAGAAAAUGAGCUCAUAGACCUUACCACAUUCUUGGUUCGGGACCAGUACAGAACAAGGCGUUCCCAGUCAUCGUCCAGUAAAUGUGUCUCAGGAGAACGUAAGGGAAUUUGAUGAGUUUCUUUGCGAGUGAAGUACAUUUUCUUCAGGUAAUUCCGAUACUGCCACCAAGCAUUCUUGAAGAUAUCAGAGGUAUUAGCACAGGUUACCUCAUCCUGAGUUUCCAAAUCGGUUCUUCUCUACAGAGAAAAAUGGGAAAAUUUGCUGUAUUAUAACCAUCAUGGAGGUAGGAUGUUUGGGACAAAGGAAAGUCAUUGCCAUGAAUAACAUUACUUACACAUAACUCCUGGACAAACACCUGCAACUGGCAUUUUCCUUCAUCUACAGUAUAAUAUUUCCAAGAUGGGAAGAUAAGCACAUACAAUUUAACAACAUCAAAUGCGAUAGAUGCUAAACUACGAUUAGCUGGUUGUGCUUCCUCCACAGGAAUAGGCGUACUAACUGGUGGAGUUGGGGUUCGCCAUGGUAAUACUGGACCUUUGGGCACUGGAGCUGCCUUACUAACUUCUCUUGUUUGGGAGCUCUGUGGUGGAGAUGGUGCUAUGUCAACAGGAACUGGGUUACUAUCUGCUGGGGUUGGGGUUAGAUUGGGUGAAGCUGGUUCUCUAUCCAUCGCAGUAGGGGUACAAUCUGCGAGAGUUUGGGUUAUGUGUGGUAGGGCUGGUUGUUGUGCAUGUACAACCGGGGUGCUAUCUCCACCAAGAGGUAGCACUGUUUUAUUUGAAUAUCGUGUUUUUAGUCCGCUAGAUACUGGCAUCAUCCACUCCAAUUCAAAUGGCUGAUAAACAAGAAACAUAGUUGAAUGUAUAGACAUUGUACGAGAGGCAUAUGCAAUAGAUAGUGUGGAAAAAAGAGGGCAUGAAAUAGUUGACAAGUAUAUUGUUUAACUAAAAUGGAUAGCAUGACAUAAUUUCACAUAUAUGAUGUCUAUCUAAACUGGAUAGCAUAGCAUAACAUAAUUCAAAGAUAUGAUGAAUAACUAAACAGGAUCGCAUGACAUAAUUCACCUACAUGUUAUCUAAGUAAUCAGGAUCGCAUCAUUUAAUUCACAUAUGUGAUUUAUAUGCUAAAAAGAGGGCAUUCGAUAUAAUGUCUGAACUAAGAACAUGGUGUUGAAUAUUGUGUAUAUGACGUCUAAACUAUGCAAUGCAAGACACCAUAUGCAUGAUAUGAGCAGUAUAACUGUGCCAAGUUAGAGCAUACACCUCGGUGGGGGAAUAGAACUGGUCAUCUGUCUCUGAAUCCAUCUCUAAGGAGCUAUCGGGACCCAACAAGAGAUCUACUUCGACAGGUAGCACUGUCUGCUCUGAAGGCCUUGUUUUCACUCCAGAUUUUUCCAUCUCCCACCCAAAUGGCUGAUUCACAGGAAGAGUAGUUUAAUGUACAAACAUUGUCGGCAAAUGGAAAUGUAAUGAAGAAAAGGAUGGGCAAGAUAUCAUUCAAAUAUAUGAUGCCUAGUUAAACAGGAUGGCAUUGCACAUUUCACAUAUAUUAUGGCUGGCUAAAAGACAUGAGACUGCAUAAUUCCCAUAUAUGAUAUAGAAACUAAACAGGUGGCAUUACAGAACAUGUCUAAACUAAGCAGAUGACAUAUAUGAUGUCAAAAGCAGGCACUGCAAGGCAACAUAUGCAUGAUAUGACUAACAUCAUCAUGCCAAGGUAGAGCAAACACCUUGGGGGUAAAUAGGAGUGGUCAGCGGCGUCUGAAUCCGCCUCAGAACAGAUAUCUUCCUAUGGAUUACAAUCUGGAGAGGGGUGGGGAGGGUUUGCCAUUGAACCCACCAUGGAGCGAUAUCUGCAUGACAUUGUAUUGCCACGCAAAACUCUUCUCCUUUUCUCUACAUGUUCAGCAUGACUGUGUACAAUAUCUCACAUGCAUACGAAAAAAAUAUGGUGAGAUUAUGUAAGGAGAGCAUGCAGAAAUUUAGAGUGAUGGUAACAACCAGUGGAUGGAUCCAAACAUAAUGAUAGCAGGCUGAUGAUUGCUUUAAUUUAAUAAAAAGACAGAUGAUGAUUGCUUUACUAUUUGUUUCCCACCCAAGAUGAACAACAUAGGCAUACCCUAGGUGAACCAGAUAUUAGACAGACAUAUUAUUCAUUGCUUCCUUGAUGUGUGCCCCACAACUAAUUUAGAACUCAAGUUUGAACAUUAAUUUGGAUCUGACUUGGAGUCCAAGAGGUGAACAGGACGAUAAAUUAAAGUAGCAGGUAAUUUUAAGCAAUGCAUACCAUAAGCAAAAACAAAAGAGUGUGACCUCUCUUGUGGACCUGUGUACACCUCAGGUUCAUCUGCCGAGUCGAUGAUGGUGAUGCCAUUGCGGUGGGUGUCGGCAGCAGGGAGGAGAUCUAAGGCGGCGAAAGACGGUCAGGAGUCAUGAUGUCUGGUUUGGUGGAUGCUUCUGUCGAUGGAGCAUCUCAGGUGAGGUGGACGACGUCGCGGCAGGAGCAGGACAAACCACACAAAGUUCCCUUUGACACCUACCUGUAACUGAAGUAAUUCUGUAAGGGCUCAUUAGGCUUGCAUGAUUCUAAAAAGGCAGGGAUAGGAAAAACACCGGAAUAGGAUAGGAAUGCACAUGGUAAACAGAGCAUUUGUAAACAGAGGAUUUCUGUCAACUUGGGUGUUUGGUUUACAGGAAUUGGAAGAGUAGAGGAAUGCAAAGAAACAUGGCCAAAAUAAAGUGAAACCAUAUGAAAGCGUGUUCAGUUAGAAUGUUAUUCUGCCAGUAAUGCACUUGGUCUUGUUUUCAUGCAUAGGAUUUUGAAAAGUAGGUCCAGGUGGAUAUUUUGCUUCAUUCCUUUUAACAAAAUGCAUGAAUAAUUGAAUAGUAGAGUGCCAUUGGAAAAUUCCCUAUUGCUAUGUUUUUCUGUUGAACCCAAAUAGCCCUAAUGGAUCGACAUGAAUGUAUAGUAAUAAGUGAUGCAACAAGUGUACAACCUCUUCGCCGUAGCUGUGUCGACCUCGGCAUCAUUGGGUUGGUCGCUGAAGCAGUUGAGGCAGAGGUGGCUGUCAGAGCUGUGGAGGAAGAUCUGGGGAAUCUGUAGAUGGCGUCCAGGGCACUGCUCUGUUAUGAUGGAUCGUUCCUUCGUUGGAGCAGCUCUGGUGAGCCGUAAGACAUCAAGGCUGAAGCAGCACAAGACAGACAUUGUCAAUCUCAAGUGGGAUUCUAAUAGCAUCUCCAAUAGAUGAUGUAAAAUAGAUGUAAAAUUUACAUCACCAAAAACCACCUGACUAUAACAGAUGAGGUAAAAACUGUUGAUUCUAAACUUAACUGUUGAAAUUGAAAUUUACUGUGGAAUCUGAAUGUUACUGUCGAAACUGAACGCAAUGGUAGCAUAGAAGCACUUGACAUGUAGUUUAGGGAGGGCCUGCACUUCAUCUUCAACCUACACCCCCCUGAGCAGCCAGCCACCACCGGCCGAACCGCCGGCCCCAGCGCCACCUCGCCGCCCCGAAACAACUCUGCACUGCCGGUCCGCCGACGCCCUGGCCAGCCCUCUAGGCGCCCCCACCAUGAACCCUAAGAUAGAUAGUGGGGUACCUCUCAGGCGAGCCCCCAUCCCCGCUGCGGGUGGUUCUUCCUUAACUCCGACGAGCCCCCCCCCUCCCCACACCCCCUGAAAAUCGACUGACCAAAAAGUCGAUUCAGUUGACUGAAGUGUAGCUAAAUCGGAGCAGAGCAGUAGCACAAGCGAGCGGGAGAGCAGCAGCGGCAGCACGAGCGAGCGAGCAAGAGCCGAAGCAGCAGCAGCUGGGCGAGCAAGAGCCGGAGCCCCCAUGGGUGUUCGAUUCAUCACAAUGUAACUAGAUUAUUGACUCUAGUGCAAGUGGGAGACUGUUGGAAAUAUGCCCUAGAGGCAAUAAUAAAAGCAUUAUUAUUAUAUUUCCUUGUUCAUGAUAAUUGUCUUUAUUCAUGCUAUAAUUGUGUUAUCCGGAAAUCGUAAUACAUGUGUGAAUAACAGACACCAACAUGUCCCUAGUGAGCCUCUAGUUGACUAGCUCGUUGAUCAACAGAUAGUCAUGGUUUCCUGACUAUGGACACUGGAUGUCAUUGAUAACGAGAUCACAUCAUUGGGAGAAUGAUGUGAUGGACAAGACCCAAUCCUAAACAUAGCACAAGAUCGUAUAGUUCGUUUGCUAGAGUUUUCUAAUGUCAAGUAUCUAUUCCUUUGACCAUGAGAUCGUGUGACUCCCGGAUACCGUAGGAGUGCUUUGGGUGUGCCAAACGUCACAACGUAACUGGGUGACUAUAAAGGUAGACUACGGGUAUCUCCGAAAGUGUCUGUUGGGUGACAUGGACCAAGACUGGGAUUUGUCACUCCGUAUGACGGAGAGGUAUCACUGGGCCCACUCGGUAAUGCAUCAUCAUAAUGAGCUCAGAGUGACCAAGUGUCUGGUCACGGGAUCAUGCAUUACGGUAUGAGUAAAGUGACUUGCCGGUAACGAGAUUGAACGAGGUAUUGGGAUACCGACGAUCGAAUCUCGGGCAAGUAAUAUAUCGAUAGACAAAGGGAAUAGCGUACGGGAUUGAUUAAAUCCUCGACAUCGUGGUUCAUCCGAUGAGAUCAUCGUGGAGCAUGUGGGAGCCAACAUGGGUAUCCAGAUCCCGCUGUUGGUUAUUGACCGGAGAGUCGUCUCGGUCAUGUCUGCUUGUCUCCCGAACCCGUAGGGUCUACACACUUAAGGUUCGGUGACGCUAGGGUUAUGAAGAUAUGUAUAUGCAGAAACCUGAAUGUUGUUCGGAGUCCCGGAUGAGAUCCCGGACGUCAUGAGGAGUUCCGGAAUGGUCCGGAGGUAAAGAAUUAUAUAUAGGAAGUGCUGUUUCGGGCAUCGGGACAAGUUUCGGGGUUAUCGGUAUUGUACCGGGACCACCGGAAGGGUCCCAGGGGUCCAUCGGGUGGGGCCACCUGUCCCGGGGGGCCACAUGGGCUGUAGGGGGUGCGCCUUGGCCUAGAUGGGCCAAGGGCACCAGCCUCUAUAGGCCCAUGCGCCUAGGGUUUUCACCAUGGAAGAGUCCAUGUGGUGGAAGGCACCCCUAGGUGCCUUGGGGGGGAGGGAAACCUCCCCUUGGCCGCCGCCCCCCUAGUAGAUCUCAUCUACUAGGGCCGGCGCCCCCCUGGCACCCCUAUAUAUAGUGGGGGGAGAGGAGGGAUUUUACACCAGCUCCUGGCGCCUCCAUCUCCCCCGUUACGUCUCUCCCUCGUAGUCUCGGCGAAGCCCUGCUGCUGUGACGCCCUGCAUCCACCACCACGCCGUCGUGCUGCUGGAUCUUCAUCAACAUCUCCUUCCCCCUUGCUGGAUCAAGAAGGAGGAGACGUCUCCCGUCCCGUACGUGUGUUGAACGCGGAGGUGCCGUCCGUUCGGCGCUGGUCAUCGGUGAUUUGGAUCACGUCGAGUACGACUACAUCAUCACCGUUCUUUUGAACGCUUCCAUGCGCGAUCUACAAAGGUAUGUAGAUGCAUCUAAUCACUCGUUGCUAGAUGAACUCCUAGAUGAUCUUGGUGAAACGAGUAGGAAAAUUUUUGUUUUCUGCAACGUUCCCCAACAGUGGCAUCAUGAGCUAGGUCUAUGCGUAGUUCUUCUUGCGCGAGUAGAACACAAUUUGUUGUGGGCGUAGAUUUGUCAACUUUCUUGCCGUUACUAGUCCUUUAUUGCUUCAGCGGUAUUGUGGGAUGAAGCGGCCCGGACCAACCUUACACGUACGCUUACGUGAGACCGGUUCCACCGACUAACAUGCACUAGUUGCAUAAGGUGGCUGGCGGGUGUCUGUCUCUCCUACUUUCGUUGGAGCAGAAUCAAUGAACAGGGUCCUUAUGAAGGGUAAAUAGAAGUUGACAAAUCACGUUGUGGCUUUAACGUAGGUAAGAAAACGUUCUUGCUAGAACCCUAAUUCAGCCACGUAAAACUUGCAACAACAAUUAGAGGACGUCUAACUUGUUUUUGCAGCAAGUGGUUUGUGAUAUGAUAUGGCCAAAGUUGUGAUGAAUGAUGAAUGAUCUAUAUGUGAUGUAUGAGAUGUUCAUGCUAUUGUAAUAGGAUUCACGACUUGCAUGUCGAUGAGUAUGACAACCGGCAGGAGCCAUAGGAGUUGUCUUUAUUCUUUUAUAUGACCUGCGUGUCAUCAAGAAACGCCAUGUAAAUUACUUUACUUUAUCGCUAAACGCGUUAGCCAUAGUAGUAGAAGUAAUAGUUGGCGAGCAACUUCAUGGAGACACGAUGAUGGAGAUCAUGAUGAUGGAGAUCAUGGUGUCAAGCCGGUGACAAGAUGAUCAUGGAGCCCCAAGAUGGAGAUCAAAGGAGCUAUGUGAUAUUGGCCAUAUCAUGUCACGUUUAUUAUUUGAUUGCAUGUGAUGUUUAUCAUGUUUUGCAUCUUGUUUACUUAGAACGACGGUAGUAAAUAAGGUGAUCCCUCAUACUAAUUUCAAGAAGUGUUCCCCCUAACUGUGCACCGUUGCGACAGUUCGCUGUUUCAAAACACCAAGUGAUGAUCGGGUGUUUUAUUUAGACGUUCACAUACAAUGGGUGUAAGACAGAUUUACACAUGCAAACACUUAGGUUGACUUGACGAGCCUAGCAUGUACAGACAUGGCCUCGGAACACAGAAGACCGAAAGUUCGAGCAUGAGUCGUAUAGAAGAUACGAUCAACAUGAAGAUGUUCACCGAUGUUGACUAGUCCGUCUCACGUGAUGAUCGGACACGGUCUAGUUUAACUCGGAUCAUGUAAUACUUAGAUGACUAGAGGGAUGUCUAAUCUAAGUGGGAGUUCAUUAAUAAUUUGAUUAGUUGAACUUAAUUAUCAUGAAAUUAGUCUAAAUAUUUUACAAUAUGUCUUGUAGAUUAAAUGGCCAACGUAGUCCUCAACUUCAACGCGUUCCUAGAGAAAACCAAGCUGAAAGACGAUGGCAGCAACUAUACGGACUGGGUCCGGAACCUGAGGAUCAUCCUCAUAGCUGCCAAGAAAGAUUAUGUCCUACAAGCACCGCUUGGUGACGCACCCGUUCUCCCUGCAGAACAAGAUGUUAUGAACGCUUGGCAGGCACGUUCCGAUGACUACUCCCUCGUUCAGUGCGGCAUGCUUUACAGCCUAGAGCCGGGGCUCCAAAAGCGUUUUUAGAGAUAUGGAGCAUAUGAGAUGUUCGAAGAGCUGAAAAUGGUUUUCCAAGCUCAUGCCCGGGUCGAGAGAUAUGAAGUCUCCGACAAAUUCUUCAGUUGUAAGAUGGAGGAAAACAGUUCUGUCAGUGAGCACAUACUCACUAUGUCUGGGUUACAUAACCGCUUGACUCAGCCGGGAGUUAAUCUCCCGGAUGAUGCGGUCAUUGACAGAAUCCUCCAGUCGCUUCCACCAAGCUACAAGAGCUUUGUGAUGAACUUCAAUAUGCAGGGGAUGGAAAAGACCAUUCCUGAAGUAUUUGCUAUGCUGAAAUCAGCAGAGGUAGAAGUCAGGAAGGAACAUCAAGUGUUGAUGGUCAAUAAAACCACUAAGUUCAAGAAAGGCAAGGGUAAAAAGAACUUCAAGAAGGACGGCAAGGAGGUUGCCGCGCCCCGCAAGCAAGCUGCCGGGAAGAAGCCAAAGAAUGGACCCAAGCCCGAGACUGAGUGCUUUUAUUGCAAGGGAAGCGGUCACUGGAAGCGGAACUGCCCUAAGUACUUAGCGGAUAAGAAGGCCGGCAAAACAAAAGGUAUAUGUGAUAUACAUGUAAUUGAUGUGUACCUUACUAGUGCCCGUAGUAGCUCCUGGGUAUUUGAUACCGGUGCAGUUGCUCACAUUUGUAACUCAAAGCAGGGGCUGCGGAAUAAGCGGAAACUGGCAAAGGACGAGGUGACGAUGCGCGUCGGGAAUGGUUCCAAGGUCAAUGUGAUCGCCGUCGGCACGCUACCUCUGCAUCUCCCUUCGGGAUUAGUUUUAAACCUUAAUAAUUGUUAUUUAGUGCCAGCUUUGAGCAUGAACAUUGUAUCGGGAUCUCGUUUAAUUCGAGAUGGCUACUCUUUUAAAUCUGAGAAUAAUGGUUGUUCCAUUUUUAUGAGAGAUAUGUUUUAUGGUCAUGCUCCUAUGGUGAAUGGUUUAUUCUUUAUGAAUCUCGAACGUGAUGCUACACAUGUUCAUAAUGUGAGUACCAAAAGAAGUAAGGUUGAUAAUGAUAGUCCCACAUACCUGUGGUACUGCCGCCUUGGUCACAUAGGUGUCAAACGCAUGAAGAAGCUCCAUGCUGAUGGACUUUUAGAGUCUCUUGAUUAUGAAUCAUUUGACACAUGUGAACCAUGCCUUAUGGGUAAAAUGACCAAGACUCUGUUCUCAGGAACAAUGGAGCGAGCAACCGACUUAUUGGAAAUCAUACAUACUGAUGUGUGCGGUCCAAUGAGUGUUGAGGCUCGCGGUGGCUAUCGUUAUGUUCUCACCCUCACUGAUGAUUUAAGUAGGUAUGGUUAUAUCUACUUAAUGAAACACAAGUCUGAAACCUUUGAAAAGUUCAAGGAAUUUCAGAGUGAGGUUGAAAAUCAACGUGACAGGAAAAUCAAGUUUCUACGAUCAGAUCGUGGAGGAGAAUACUUGAGUCACGAGUUUGGGGCACACUUAAGAAAAUGUGGAAUAGUUUCACAACUCACGCCGCCUGGAACACCUCAGCGUAAUGGUGUGUCCGAACGUCGUAAUCGCACUCUAUUAGAUAUGGUGCGAUCUAUGAUGUCUCUUACCGAUUUACCGCUAUCCUUUUGGGGCUAUGCUUUAGACACUGCCGCAUUCACUUUAAAUAGGGCUCCAUCGAAAUCCAUUAAGACGACACCGUAUGAAUUAUGGUUUGGAAAGAAACCUAAGCUGUCGUUUCUAAAAGUUUGGGGAUGCGAUGCUUAUGUCAAGAAACUUCAACCUGAAAAGCUCGAACCCAAGUCGGAAAAAUGCGUCAUCAUAGGAUACCCAAAAGAAACUAUUGGGUACACCUUCUACCUCAGAUCCGAAGGCAAGAUCUUUGUUGCCAAGAAUGGAUCCUUUCUGGAGAAAGAGUUUCUCUCGAAAGAAGUAAGUGGGAGGAAAGUAGAGCUUGAUGAAGUAUUACCUCUUGAACUGGAAAAUGGAGCAACUCAAGAAAAUGUUCCUGAGGUGCCUGCACCGACUAGAGAGGAAGUUAAUGACAAUGAUCAAGAUACUUCUGAUCAAGCCCCUACUGAAAUUCGAAGGUCCACAAGGACACGUUCCGCACCAGAGUGGUACGGCAACCCUGUCUUGGAAAUCAUGCUGUUAGACAACGGUGAACCUUCGAACUAUGAAGAAGCAAUGGCGGGCCCGGAUUCCGACAAAUGGCUAGAAGCCAUGAAAUCCGAGAUAGGAUCCAUGUAUGAAAACGAAGUAUGGACUUUAACUGACUUGCCCAUUGAGCGGCGAGCCAUAGAAAAUAAAUGGAUCUUUAAGAAGAAGACAGACGCGGAUGGUAAUGUGACCAUCUAUAAAGCUCGGCUUGUCGCUAAGGGUUAUCGACAAGUUCAAGGGGUUGACUACAAUGAGACUUUCUCACCGGUAGCGAAGCUAAAGUCCGUCCGAAUCAUGUUAGCAAUUGCCACAUUCUAUGAUUACGAAAUAUGGCAAAUGGACGUCAAAACCGCAUUCCUUAAUGGUUUCCUUAAGGAAGAAUUGUAUAUGAUGCAACCGGAAGGUUUUGUCGAUCCUAAGAAUGCUGACAAAGUGUGCAAGCUCCAACGCUCGAUUUAUGGGCUGGUGCAAGCAUCUCGGAGUUGGAACAUUCGCUUUGAUGAGAUGAUCAAAGCGUUUGGGUUUACACAGACUUAUGGAGAAGCCUGCGUUUACAAGAAAGUGAGUGGGAGCUCUGUAGCUUUUCUCAUAUUAUAUGUAGAUGACAUACUUUUGAUGGGAAAUGAUAUAGAACUCUUGGACAGCAUCAAGGCCUACUUGAAUAAAAGUUUUUCAAUGAAGGACCUUGGAGAAGCUGCUUAUAUAUUAGGCAUCAAAAUCUAUAGAGAUAGAUCGAGACGCCUCAUAGGUCUUUCACAAAGCACAUACCUUGAUAAGAUAUUGAAGAAGUUCAAUAUGGAUCAAUCCAAGAAGGGGUUCUUACCUGUGUUACAAGGUAUGAAAUUGAGCUCAGCUCAAUGUCCGACCACGGCAGAAGAUAUAGAAGAGAUGAGCGUCAUCCCCUAUGCCUCAGCCAUAGGUUCUAUUAUGUAUGCCAUGUUGUGUACCAGACCUGAUGUUAACCUUGUCGUAAGUUUGGUAGGAAGGUACCAAAGUAAUCCCGGCAAGGAACACUGGACAGCGGUCAAGAAUAUCCUGAAGUACCUGAAAAGGACUAAGGAAAUGUUCUCGUUUAUGGAGGCGACGAAGAGCUCGUCGUAAAGGGUUACGUCGACGCUAGCUUCGACACAGAUCUGGAUGACUCUAAGUCACAAACCGGAUACGUGUAUAUUUUGAAUGGUGGGGCAGUAAGCUGGUGCAGUUGCAAGCAAAGCGUCGUGGCGGGAUCUACAUGUGAAGCGGAGUACAUGGCAGCCUCGGAGGUAGCACAUGAAGCAAUAUGGGUGAAGGAGUUCAUCACCGACCUAGGAGUCAUACCCAAUGCGUCGGGGCCAAUCAAGCUCUUCUGUGACAACACUGGAGCCAUUGCACUUGCCAAGGAGCCCAGGUUUCACAAGAAGACAAGGCACAUCAAGCGUCGCUUCAACUCCAUUCGUCAAAAUGUUCAAGAUGGAGACAUAGAGAUUUGUAAAGUACAUACGGACCUGAAUAUAGCAGAUCCGUUGACUAAACCUCUCCCUAGAGCAAAACAUGAUCAACACCAGAAUUCCAUGGGUGUUCGAUUCAUCACAAUGUAACUAGAUUAUUGACUCUAGUGCAAGUGGGAGACUGUUGGAAAUAUGCCCUAGAGGCAAUAAUAAAAGCAUUAUUAUUAUAUUUCCUUGUUCAUGAUAAUUGUCUUUAUUCAUGCUAUAAUUGUGUUAUCCGGAAAUCGUAAUACAUGUGUGAAUAACAGACACCAACAUGUCCCUAGUGAGCCUCUAGUUGACUAGCUCGUUGAUCAACAGAUAGUCAUGGUUUCCUGACUAUGGACACUGGAUGUCAUUGAUAACGAGAUCACAUCAUUGGGAGAAUGAUGUGAUGGACAAGACCCAAUCCUAAACAUAGCACAAGAUCGUAUAGUUCGUUUGCUAGAGUUUUCUAAUGUCAAGUAUCUAUUCCUUUGACCAUGAGAUCGUGUGACUCCCGGAUACCGUAGGAGUGCUUUGGGUGUGCCAAACGUCACAACGUAACUGGGUGACUAUAAAGGUAGACUACGGGUAUCUCCGAAAGUGUCUGUUGGGUGACAUGGACCAAGACUGGGAUUUGUCACUCCGUAUGACGGAGAGGUAUCACUGGGCCCACUCGGUAAUGCAUCAUCAUAAUGAGCUCAGAGUGACCAAGUGUCUGGUCACGGGAUCAUGCAUUACAGUACGAGUAAAGUGACUUGCCGGUAACGAGAUUGAACAAGGUAUUGGGAUACCGACGAUCGAAUCUCGGGCAAGUAAUAUAUCGAUAGACAAAGGGAAUAGCGUACGGGAUUGAUUAAAUCCUCGACAUCGUGGUUCAUCCGAUGAGAUCAUCGUGGAGCAUGUGGGAGCCAACAUGGGUAUCCAGAUCCCGCUGUUGGUUAUUGACCGGAGAGUCGUCUUGGUCAUGUCUGCUUGUCUCCCGAACCCGUAGGGUCUACACACUUAAGGUUCGGUGACGCUAGGGUUAUGAAGAUAUGUAUAUGCAGAAACCCGAAUGUUGUUCGGAGUCCCGGAUGAGAUCCCGGACGUCACGAGGAGUUCCGGAAUGGUCCGGAGGUAAAGAAUUAUAUAUAGGAAGUGCUGUUUCGGGCAUCGGGACAAGUUUCGGGGUUAUCGGUAUUGUACCAGGACCACCGGAAGGGUCCCGGGGGUCCACCGGGUGGGCCACCUGUCCCGGGGGGCCACAUGGGCUGUAGGGGGUGCGCCUUGGCCUAGAUGGGCCAAGGGCACCACCCCCUAUAGGCCCAUGCGCCUAGGGUUUCCACCAUGGAAGAGUCCAUGUGGUGGAAGGCACCCCUAGGUGCCUUGGGGGGGAGGGAAACCUCCCCUUGGCCGCCGCCCCCCCUAGUAGAUCUCAUCUACUAGGGCCGGCGCCCCCCCUGGCACCCCUAUAUAUAGUGGGGGGAGAGGAGGGAUUUUACACCAGCUCCUGGCGCCUAUAUCUCCCCCCGUUACGUCUCUCCCUCGUAGUAUCGGCGAAGCCCUGCUGCUGUGACGCCCUGCAUCCACCACCACGCCGUCGUGCUGCUGGAUCUUCAUCAACCUCUCCUUCUCCCUUGCUGGAUCAAGGAGGAGACGUCUCCCGUCCCGUACGUGUGUUGAACGCGGAGGUGUCGUCCGUUCGGCGCUGGUCAUCGGUGAUUUGGAUCACGUCGAGUACGACUACAUCAUCACCGUUCUUUUGAACGCUUCCGUGCGCGAUCUACAAAGGUAUGUAGAUGCAUCUAAUCACUCAUUGCUAGAUGAACUCCUAGAUGAUCUUGGUGAAACGAGUAGGAAAAUUUUUGUUUUCUGCAACGUUCCCCAACAAGCCUAACGUGUAAUAAUGUACUUGUACGUACCAAAUCAAUUGCACUUUCCUCAACCUAAAAGAAAACAAAAAAAUAAAACUAUUCACACCUCACAAAAGAGAGAGUCUUGCCCCGUUUUACUAUACAAGUGCUAUUCAAAGCUACUCCCUCCUUCCUUAUAAAUAGGGCCUAAUGCAUUUUUUGAUGCUAACUUUGACCAAAUAUUAGAGCAAUAAUAUAUGACAUGCAACUUACACAAAGCACAUCAUUAAAUUCGUCUGUGAAAGGAGCUUUCAAUGAUACAAUUUUCACAUUGUGCAUGUCAUGUACUAUUAAUCUUGUCAAUAGUCAAAGGCGGUCUUAAAAACGCAUUAUGCCCUAUAUAGAUGGAAGGAGGGAGUAUGAAUCCAUGUUAUGUCCAAAUAAAUUUUUUCGCUUGCUGUAUAAUGCAUGUAACCUACUCAUACCAACAUUUUAGUGCAUUCCAAAUGUCUAUACUACCACUACAAUUCGAACUGAAUUUGAAUUUGUUUCUCUAUUUCAAUAAGAAUCUACAAUCAUGAUUGUUGCCAACUUCAACCAUCAUUCGUGUAUUACCUUAAUAACACACCACAUGAUUACUAUAGAGAUAGAUAUGAACUAUGUGUACUACAUGAACUCGAAUUCUAUCUUUUGAAUACACUUGAUAUUGAUUCCAAAUAAUAAUACAUUUGAUGUACUAACUAUAUAUUCAUAAUCUAAACCAUGUUCCAUACGUACACCGUGUUUAUCACACAGAGUAUAGUGCCCCGCCCCCUACAUUAUGACAAGUAUUUAGACCUGAGCUGCAAAAGCCACACAUUAGCCCAAAUUAUAAUCAAUGUUCUACAUUAUGAUAUCUUCUUCAAGUAUCCGUAUCCACUUUUUUAUAAUGAAUUAUGAUCUUUGUUCGUCUUUUACACCUUCACGAUCCUCUUCUAUUUGUAGCUAGCUAGCGCCAACUUUCUAUCAUGCAUGCACACUCCCGCCCCCUCUCACCCACCCUUAGCAUCCCCUCCAUCACGCACGUUCGUUAUUUCUCUUUAGGUUGUCCACCCGCGGUGUGUGUAGGCCCCCGGCUCCUUCUUUCCGGCACACACCGAUCGAUAUACCUCUCUAGCCAAGUGUGCCUACAACAAACACAUAUAUACUUCCCCUCUUCUCUUCUCAUCGUCCAUGCCCCCCUAUGUCCAAUACGGUUCCACGCAGGUGCACACUCCCGCCCCUCUUUUCAUUGAUCUCAUACUUGCACACUCCUCCCCCUCGACAUGGUAGGCCUCUCGCACCACCUCCUAGCCGCACCCCUCUCCCCCUGUCUGUCUCUCCGGACCUUAUUUGCUUCUAACACAUACAGGCAUGCAUACGUACUGAUCUCCCUACAUAUAGCCAGGUCGACUAUAAUUCGUUUUUGCCACGCACCGAUACACUUACCUCGCUAGUUAUGUUUCUCCCUUUCUCGGACACACGAUGGUUGAUCUUCCUAUGUAGUUACGUAUGCUUACCACAACCAUAUCGUCUCCCCUCAUCAUCCUUGCAUACCUCCCGACCCGUCUCUCACAUGCACGUGCAUUGACAGACAGACAUCCCCCGCCCUCUCUUAUUGAUAUUACACUCGUACCCUCCAUUUGUCUAGCAGGCCUCUCCCACCAUUUGUGAGACGCCACUCCACCACCAACCCUCUGACGCUCUACCUUUGUCUUUCUCCCAACCUUAUUCCUCUGCUACACAUAUCCAUGGAUGUCGAUCGAUCUCCCUCAGUACAUAGCUAGGUCUCUCUCCUUCCCCACACAUAUACUAGUCGAUCGGUCUCUGCCCCCUCCCCCCCCCCCACACACACCGAUAGUCGAACGUUGUAGGUAGGUAUCCAUGCCACGGAGAAAAACUGCACCUCUGCCAUCUCAAAUUCCAGUAGGCCAGCCGCCCUAUAUCUUUGACGUGGGCAAACAAAAAUUUGACGGCACUCUUUAUCGAUCGCGCAGCCACACACUUCAUCCCUGUUUUUAGUUCUAUCGAUAUCUCACGUCCAUGACUCCAUUUCACACACAUUUCAUAUGUUACGUUUUUCUGUCUGAGAUAUCAUCAACACAUUGCCUUUGUUUCGCACAAACCAUCUCUCUCACACCCACCCACGUACGUACCUGCACCUAAAGAAGAGGUGCACGCAGGACACAUGUACUCACGUCUUGUUCACAGCCACACCCGUGCGGGUACACGGUGGAGUUCAUUUAUGUAUGAAAAGGCAGCCCACGUGAUAAUUUGACGCAUGUAACGGUUGUUUACUCGAAGGAGGGUCGGGUACCACGCCUAGAAGGAACAAAGUUCGACUUGAUGCGUUAGUAUUAAAUAAAGUUAUAUAUUCCUCAAUGGCACGUAUAGAAUAUAAAAUGAUUGCCAUGGGGAAAAUGGAAAAAUAGGUUUGUCUCUCGUCACACCAUCUCACACAAGGCGGCAGUGGCCUCUCUCUCUCUCUCUCUCAGCGUUGGUCAGUGAUCUGGCCGCAUCCCGUCCGCCGGCGGAAAGGGAGGAUGUACUCUCCGUUCGACAGCAUUGAGGCAGCAUGUCCCGAUCUGCGGUACCCGCCGUUCUCUCUGACCAAGCUCCGGCGCGGUAGGGCCUUCGCCACUUGCUCGUUGCCGUAGUAUGGGCAGAUCCCGGCCGCCGGCGCCCUCCUAGUAACAUCUCGACGACCCUCAGGUACAGCUUCCUCCGGCCUUGCUCCACUGCCCAUCUUCCCACAUUGCUGCAUGUGGAUCUUCUUUAGUUGUUUCCUUAAAUCGUAUCUCGGUCGGCGUACCUUCCAUCUUGCAAUCUCGUCCUCAAACCAUUUUUGAUAGACCACCAUGUUCUAUCUUUCCCUUAUUACAUGGAAUAUGCUUAUUUUUUGUCGGUGUAUGUGUCUUCAACUCGUGUUAAUGGGCAGUAAUUGUUUCCUUUCUACCUCCUUUUGCAAAAAGGGCUAUUCAUUUUCACCUCAUUGCUAUUGCGACCUUUUGGUGAACUGAACAAGUCAUUUUUUUCUUAAGAGUGUUUUGUGCAGUUCCGCCAAAAUGUCACAUGGGCAAAAAUUUUACAUUUCUAUGGGACUGCAGAAAGGGAGAUUGGUUUUUCUAUCCUCCUCAUCCAACUCCGUGCCUAAUCUUCUCUAACAAGAAGUUAGUCCUAAAGAGAGAUCGUAGAGGUGAUCGGCUUCUAUUUAUGUGUGUUAUGUUUCAUCAUAUAGUUCCACUAUUAUUGUAAUCAUACUGACUAGAUAUCUUUGCAAACAGGGAUGGUCCGCUCGAUUUUAGUGGAGCUGCACAAAAUGAUCGGAUUGUCGUGUCCUCCAUACACCUCUUUUUGGCUACAGAGCUGGGUGAAACUAGCUGCCAAGCAAUGAACACUGUGCCAAGGAAAUGGAGCCAUGCCUACGAACAACAUCAAUCAAUUAUAUUCUUUUCUUUAUUUGUACACCUUGUCACAACUUUGUCUUCAGUUGUGAUGUGAAUAUUGGCGCUGAUCUGCGAACCAUUGAGAUGCAUUAGCCAUGGUAGCCAUGGUAGUUUCAUUUGUAUUUGAUGGAAUGUUGUAACGAGAUAAUCUUGAGGCAGGACACAUGAAUCCUAAGUUGAAACCUUUUUUUCCUGCGGGAACCAAAGUUGAAACCUUCAUAGCAUCACAGUACAAUUUCAUCAAAAUUAUGCGUACAUAUAAACAAAUCCCGAAGGAUUGAUAGCAAUGCCAGAAACAAUUCAACUUAGUUUCGCCGACAUGUUGGACAUCGUUCAUCCGGCUCCACCUGCCAUGCAGCAAUAUUGAGUGCACAACACAACUGCAGGGAAAGAUUCACCCCGGUCGUUGCACCGCAGUAGUAAUGACUAGUGAGCAGUCAAAUCAUAGAGCCCCACCUUCGCCACAGUAAGUUGCUCGGAUGAAGCAACCAUCAUUUCUCUGUUCCUUGAAUCCGCUGGUACUCCCAUAUUCCCACAAUAAUAAUUUGCUCGGGCGAAUCAACCAUCACUUCACCUUUCGCACAGUAAGUACUAGCACCUCCUUUUCUUACUCUAGAAACAACCUUACGCGAAUAUUGGACGGUAGCAGCAUAGCAACUGAAUCAAAAAUUCUAUAGUAUGAGAAUAACUUUGAAUGUAAGCCAUUGAUUCACUCUAUCCAAUGGUCAUAGUUGGAAAAUCCAAACAAAACCAAGCAUUGGAUCAACUCUUUUAGCACUCAGAUUGUUGCCGCCUGCUCAACCGCCUUCCCACCUAGCCCGCCUAUAUAUCCGCUCACGUGUGAUGACCACAGGAGCUAUCCAUUCAAAUUGUAUGUUAAGAAAUAAAGGUCGAUAACUAAUGCGGCACCUCGGGCCAACGCGGCCAGAUCGCAUUUUGCACGGGAAAUUACACACCAUGUUUCAUUGACAUGUGGUACCGUUCCAACAUGUCAGUGAGACGACGGUGAGUCCUUUUCUACUAGUAUUUCCAAACGGACGUGUAGGCCGGGGCGCCUUUUCGUGUACCAUGGCAAACUGGCAACCGUCCACCGACUCUUUGCCUUUCCCUCUCGAUUUGGAACUGUUCUCGCACGCUCUUCCUCCCUCCUCCAUUUGCCUUCACCCUUCCUUCUGCCAUUGUUUGAUCGUCUUCUCCAUGGAGGGAACAGGCUGGAAAUGACCCCGUUAUUCUUUCCCCGAUCUGAAAGAUGACGUGGUGGAGGAACUCAUUGAUCGGUGCAACGUCGUCACCUCGGCUGGCAUGGCAGGUUCGUUCAAGACCAUUCUCGACUCAACUAAUAACAUCAUUACAAGGAACCCAAGGGUCAAGGAGUGGUUUGAUCUCCCCUAUCUUCUUUGCCGUGACCCUGAUGACUGGCGCAGGGACGACGGAGGCCUCGCCUUGUGCAAGUUGAUGUUGCUUGAUAAUGAUAUGUUUGAUGUUAAGAUGCCAUUGCUAAAGGGCAAGGAUUGAGCAGGCGCAAAUGGAGAUUGGGUUGUUUAUAUUGGGUACAACUGCGAGUGGGAACUUGUGAAUUUGUACACUCAUCAUCGGGUUCCACUUCGAAAAAUCUCAGCAGACUGCCCAGAGGUUGAGCACACCGGUAUUCUACGCACGUAUACGAUCAUGGUGACUGUCUUCUAUGGAAGAUAGCAAUUUGUCGAGUUCCCAGCCGCUCUUGGAAUUACAAGAACUAUGAAGUUGUUGCUAUCUUCGACAAGCUUGUUGCCGUCCUUUGUGGUUCGACUCGAUGGAUAUUGCUCAAAAAUCAUUUUCUAUACACGGAUGUGUACUGUGAUACAAUUGAAUACGAGGGUCUUGUGUUUGCUUCCACCACUCAUGGCACUGUUUUUGCAUGGGAUCCUCGUAGUUUCGGUACAUUUGUCUUCCACCGUAAUUAUAAUUGUUUCAUCCACAUGCAUGUGGGUUAGCAAGUUUCCCUUUACUAAUUAACCUUCUUCUUGUGUUUCCAAGGUCCUGUGAACAUUCCACCACCUAUACUUGAAAAUUUUUAUAACCAAGGGGGAGAUGACGAUGGUGAUGAUCACGAGCAUGAGGACGAGCAGAACUUAUAUACUCAGUGGCGCCUGGCAACUAAUUCCGAUGGAUCACCUCUUCUUGUCUGUAUACAGCGCACUGAGUUUGUUACUACCGAGGGAGCACGUGUUGUCUCCCAUGGUCGCACUCUCCGGACCUAUUCCAACACUCGUUGCAUGGUAUUUGGGAUGGAUACUAGUGUGCUAGCGCCAACACCUUCUCCCUGGUACAAUAUUGAUAGUCUUGGAGAAAACUCGCUCUUCCUUGGACAAAACUAUCCGAUGAUGGUGAAAGGCGAUCCAACUACUGUUGACACAACGUUACUACCAUUUAUGAGAAGCAACUGUAUCUAUACCUCGGACAUUUGGAUGGUUCCGUACCCUGGUACUGAUAUAGUAGGCCGCUUCAGCCUGGAUGAUCAGUCCUGCGUUGGUCUCGAGAUCGACAAUAGAUGGCCCGUCCCAGAGAAUCACUUGUGGUUCAAAGCAAGUGUUUCCAACGCCGAGGAUUGGUUGAGUUGAAGUUCAUUUCAUCGCUUGUUAUUUGUUGUGUGAUGAAAACUUUAGUACUUAUAAUGUAUCCUCUUUGUCGAUGUGGGUUGAUGACCUGUUGUAUGUAAUAAAAUGAAAUGCCUGUGAUAAACUUACUAAAUUUAUGAAUGGCUUUCGAGUCGCUUCUCUGAGUGAGUGAUGCAACGAGGCAAAAAAAUAUUUUCCGAAUACAUAAUUGUACGUGCAUUGCAACAGGUUAUCGGAUGAGGCCAAUCAACAAUAGUAGUACACCAUUUGUACUAGCUUCACAUGCUUUGCGCGUCGGGCGGGUGUUUUUACGGUAGCCAUAUAUUAAUGUGUUCGUUGUACAUAACCAGCACCUCGAGAAUCCUCGAUACUACUAGUAAUAUAUAAGUAGUAGGAGUAGUAGGGUGGCAUGGGCCAGAACAAGCAUUCACGUCCAGGAGUACGGCACACGCCACCAGCACGACUUCCAUCUGAGACCAUAUUUCUUGGAGUCCGUGCUAGAGCAAUCUCUUCAACCUCGUCGUUUCUCUAACUUAGCCAUCACGCGGCGGGCGAGGUGGGGGUUUGUGAUAGUCGGUUGUUGGAAAUAUGCCCUAGAGGCAAUAAUAAAUUGAUUGUUAUUAUAUUUCCUUGUUCUUGAUAAUCGUUUAUUAUCCAUGCUAGAAUUGUAUUGAUAGGAAACUCAGAUACAUGUGUGGAUACAUAGACAACACCAUGUCCCUAGUAAGCCUCUAGUUGACUAGCUCGUUAAUCAAUAGAUGGUUACGGUUUCCUAACCAUGGACAUUGGAUGUCGUUGAUAACGGGAACACAUCAUUAGGAGAAUGAUGUGAUGGACAAGACCCAAUCCUAAGCCUAGCACAAGAUCAUGUAGUUCGUAUGCUAAAGCUUUUCUAAUGUCAAGUAUCAUUUCCUUAGACCAUGACAUUGUGCAACUCCCGGAUACCGUAGGAGUGCUUUGGGUGUGCCAAACGUCACAACGUAACUGGGUGGCUAUAAAGGUACACUAUGGGUAUCUCUGAAAGUGUCUAUUGGGUUGGCACGAAUCGAGAUUGGGAUUUUGUCACUCCGUGUAAACGGAGAGGUAUCUCUGGGCCCACUCGGUAGGACAUCAUCAUAAUGUGCACAAUGUGACCAAGGGGUUGAUCACGGGAUGAUGUGUUACGGAACGAGUAAAGAGACUUGCCGGUAACGAGAUUGAACAAGGUAUCGGUAUACCGACGAUCGAAUCUCGGGCAAGUACCAUACCGCUAGACAAAGGGAAUUGUAUACGGGAUCGAUUGAGUCCUUGACAUCGUGGUUCAUCCGAUGAGAUCAUCGUGGAACAUGUGGGAGCCAACAUGGGUAUCCAGAUCCCGCUGUUGGUUAUUGACCGGAGAACAUCUCGGUCAUGUCUGCAUGUCUCCCGAACCCGUAGGGUCUACACACUUAAGGUUCGAUGACGCUAGGGUUAUAAAGGAAGUUUGUAUGUGGUUACUGAAUGUUGUUCGGAGUCCCGGAUGAGAUCCUGGACGUCACGAGGAGUUCCGGAAUGGUCCGGAGGUAAAGAUUUAUAUAUAGGAAGUCCUAUUUCGGCCAUCGGGACAAGUUUCGGGGUCAUCGGUAUUGUACCGGGACCACCGGAAGGGUCCCGGGGGCCCACCGGGUGGGGCCACCUGCCCCGGGGGGCCACAUGGGCUGUAGGGGGUGCGCCUUGGCCUACAUGGGCCAAGGGAACCAGCCCCUAGAGGCCCAUGCGCCAAGAUAUAGGAAAAAGGGGAGAGUCCUAAAGGGGGAAGGCACCUCCGAGGUGCCUUGGGGAGGAUGGACUCCUCCCCCCUCUUAGCCGCACCCCUUCCUUGGAGGAAGGGGCAAGGCUGCGCCUCCCCCCUCUCCCCUGCCCCUAUAUAUAGUGGAGGGGAGGGAGGGCAUCCAAACCUGAGCCCUUGGCGCCUCCCUCCCUCCCGUGACACCUCCUCCUCUCCCGUAGGUGCUUGGCGAAGCCCUGCAGGAUUGCCACGCUCCUCCAUCACCACCACGCCGUUGUGCUGCUGCUGGAUGGAGUCUUCCUCAACCUCUCCCUCUCUCCUUGCUGGAUCAAGGCGUGGGAGACAUCGUCGAGCUGUACGUGUGUUGAACGCGGAGGUGCCGUCCGUUCGGCACUAGGAUCAUCGGUGAUCUGAAUCACGACGAGUACGACUCCAUCAACCCCGUUCACUUGAACGCUUCCGCUUAGCGAUCUACAAGGGUAUGUAGAUGCACUCUCCUUCCCCUCGUUGCUAGUCUCUCCAUAGAUAGAUCUUGGUGACACGUAGGAAAAUUUUGAAUUUCUGCUACGUUCCCCAACAGUGGCAUCAUGAGCUAGGUCUAUGUGUAGUUUCUUUGCACGAGUAGAACACAAAGUAGUUGUGGGCGUCGAUAUUGUUCAAUAUGCUUGCCGUUACUAGUCUUAUCUUGAUUCGGCGGCAUCGUGGGAUGAAGCGGCCCGGACCAACCUUACACGUACGCUUACGUGAGACCGGUUCCACCGACAAACAUGCACUAGUUGCAUAAGGUGGCUGGCGGGUGUCUGUCUCUCCCACUUUAGUCGGAUCGGAUUCGAUGAAAAGGGUCCUUAUGAAGGGUAAAUAGAAAUUGGCAUAUCACGUUGUGGUUCAUGCGUAGGUAAGAAACGUUCUUGCUAGAAACCCAUAGCAGCCACGUAAAACAUGCAAACAACAAUUAGAGGACGUCUAACUUGUUUUUGCAGGGUAUGCUAUGUGAUGUGAUAUGGCCAAAGGAUGUGAUGAAUGAUAUAUGUGAUGUAUGAGAUUGAUCAUGUUCUUGUAAUAGGAAUCACGACUUGCAUGUCGAUGAGUAUGACAACCGGCAGGAGCCAUAGGAGUUGUCUUUAUUUAUUUGUGACCUGCGAGUCAACUUAAACGUCAUGUAAUUACUUUACUUUAUUGCUAACCGUUAGCCAUAGUAGUAGAAGUAAUAGUUGGCGAGGCAACUUCAUGAAGACACGAUGAUGGAGAUCAUGAUGAUGGAGAUCAUGGUGUCAUGCCGGUGACGAUGAUGAUCAUGGAGCCCCGAAGAUGGAGAUCAAAAGGAGCAAAGUGAUGAUGGCCAUAUCAUGUCACUAUUUGAUUGCAUGUGAUGUUUAUCAUGUUUAUACAUCUUAUUUGCUUAGAACGACGGUAGUAAAUAAGAUGAUCCCUUACAACAAUUUCAAGAAGUGUUCUCCCCUAACUGUGCACCGUUGCGACAGUUCGUGUUUUGAAGCACCACGUGAUGAUCGGGUGUUAGAUUCUAACGUUCACAUACAACGGGUGUAAGACAGAUUUACACACGCGAAACACUUAGGGUUAACUUGACGAGCCUAGCAUGUACAGACAUGGCCUCGGAACACGAAGACCGAAAGGUCGAGCAUGAGUCGUAUAGAAGAUACGAUCAACAUGAAGAUGUUCACCGAUGAUGACUAGUCCGUCUCACAUGAUGAUCGGACACGGCCUAGUUUGACUUGGAUCAUGUAAUCACUUAGAUGACUAGAGGGAUGUCUAUCUGAGUGGGAGUUCAUAAGAUGAACUUAAUUAUCCUGAACAUAGUCAAAAGGAUUUUGCAAAUUAUGUCGUAGCUCACGCUAUAGUUCUACUGUUUAGAUAUGUUCCUAGAGAAAAAUUAGUUGAAAGUUGAUAGUAGCAAUUAUGCGGACUAGAUCCGUAAACUGAGGAUUGUCCUCAUUGCUUCAUAGAAGGCUUAUGUCCUUAAUGCACCGCUCAGUGUGCUGAACCUCGAACGUUGUCUGUGGUUGUUGCGAACAUCUGACAUACACGUUUUGAUAACUACGUGAUAGUUCAGUUAAACGGUUUAGAGUUGAGGCACCAAAGACAUUUUUGAAACGUCGCGAAACAUAUGAGAUGUUUUGAGGGCUGAAAUUGGGAUUUCAGGCUCGUGCCCAUGUCAAGAGGUAUAAGACCUCUGAUGACUUUCUUAACCUGCAAACUAAGGAGAAAAGCUCAAUUUUUGAGCUUGUGCUCAGAUUGUCUGAGUACAACAAUCAUUUGAAUCAAGUGGGAGUUGAUCUUCCAGAUAAGACAGUGAUGGUUCUCCAAAGUCAUUGCCACCAAGCUGUUAGAGCUUAGUGAUGAACUAUAACAUAUCAGGGAUAGAUAUGAUGAUCCUUGAGGUAUUCGCGAUGUUUGACACCGCGAAAGUAGAAAUCAAGAAGGAGCAGCAAUUGUUGAUGGUUGGUGAAACCACUAGUUUCAAGAAGGGCAAGGGCAAGAAGGGAUACUUCAUGAAACGAUAAAUCAGCUGCUGCUCUAGUGAAGAAACCCAAGGUAAAACCCAAACCCGAGACUAAGUGCUUCUGUAAUAAGGGGAACAACCACUAGAGCAGAAUUACCCUAGAUACUUGGUAGAUAAGAAGGCUGGCAAGGUCGAUAGAAGUAUAUUGGAUAUACAUUGUGUUAAUGUGUACUUUGCUAGUACUCCUAGUAGCACCAGGGUAUUAGAUACCGGUUCGGUUGCUAAGUGUUAGUAACUCGAAACAAAAGGCUACGGAAUAAACGGAGACUAGCUAAAGGUGAGCUGACGAUAUGUGUUGGAAGUUUUUCCAAGCUUGAUAUGAUCAAGCAUCGCACGCUCCCUCUACCAAAGAGAUUGGUGUUAAACCUAGAUAAUUGUUAUUUGGUGUUUGCGUUGAGCAUAGACAUGAUUGGAUUACGUCUAUCGCAAUACGGUUAUUCAUUUAAGGAGAAUAAUGGUUACUCUGUUUAUUUGAAUAAUACCUUCAAUGGUCUUACACCUAAAAUGAAUGGUUUAUUAAAUCUCGAUCGUAGUGAUACACAUGUUCAUGCCAAAAGAUAGUAAUGAUAGUACCACCUACUUGUGGCACUGCCACAUAAGUCAUAUCGGUAUAAAACGCAUGAAGAAGCUCCAUACUGAUGGAUCUUUGGGCUCACUCGUUUUUGAAAAGUUUGAGACAUGCGAACCAUGUCUAUUGGUGUAUAUGCAUGAAGAAACUCCAUGCAAAUGGACCGUUUUGACUCACUUGAUUUUGAAUCACUUGGGACAUGCAAAUCAUACCACACGGGCAAGAUGACUGAAAAGCCUCGUUUUCAGUAAGAUGGAACAAGAUAGCAACUUGUUGGAAGUAAUACAUUUUGAUGUGUACAGUCCAAUGAGUGCUGAGGCAUGUAGUGGAUAUUGUUAUGUUCUUACUUCACAGGUAAUUUGAGUGGAUGUUGAGUACAUUUACUUGAUGAAUCAUGAGUCUGAAUUAUUGAAAGGUUCAAGUAAUUUCAGGGUGAAGUUGAAAGAUCGUCGUGACAAGAGGAUAAAAUAUCUAUGAUAUGAUCAUAGAGAUGAAUAUCUGAAUUACGAGUUUGGCACAGAAUUAAGACAUUGUGGAAAUAGUUUCACAACUAAUACAGCCUGGAACACCAUAGUGUGAUGGUGUGUCCGAACAUCAUAACUGCACCCUAUUGGAUAUGAUGCAUACCAUGAUGUCUCUUAUCGAAGUACCACUAUAGUUUAUGGGUUAGGCAUUAGAGACAACCACAUUCACUUUAAAUAGGGCACCACGUAAUUCCGAUGAGAUGACACCAUAUGAACUAUGGUUUAGAGAAACCUAAGCUGUCAUUUCUUAGAAGUUUGGGGCUGCGACGCUUAUGUGAAAAAGUUUUAGGCUGAUAAGCUCGAACCCAAAGCGGAUAAAUGCAUCUUCAUAGGAAACCCAAACAGUUGGGUAUACCUCCUGUCUCAGAUCCGAAAGCAAUAAGGGAUUGUUUCUAGAAUCGGGUACUUUCUCGAGAAAAAAAUUCUCUCGAAAGAAUUGAGUGGGAGGAUGGUGGAGACUUGAUGAGGUUAUUGAACCGUCACUUCAACAAGUGUGUAGCAGGGCACAGGAACUUGUUCCUGUGGCACCUACACCAAUUGAAGUGGAAGCUUAUGAUAGUGAUCAUGAAGUUUCGGAUCAAGUCACUACCGAACCUCGUAGGGUGACCAGGAUACGUACUACUUCAGAGUGGUACAGUAAUCCUGUCUUGGAAGUCAUGUUGCUAGACAACAAUGAACCUUAGAGCAAUGGAGAAGCGAUGGUGGGCCCGGAUUCCGAUAAAUGGCUCGAGGCCAUAAAAUCCGAGAGAGGAUCCAUGUAUGAAAACAAAGUGUAGACUUUGGCAGAACGGCUCGAUGGUCGUAAGGCUAUUGAGUACAGAUGGAUUUUGAAAGGAAGACAGACAAUGAUGGUAAGUGUCACCAUUGAGAAAGCUCGACUUGUCGUUAAGAUGUUUUUCGACAAGUUCAAGGAGUUGACUACGAUGAGACUUUCUCACUCGUAGCGAUGCUAAGAGUCUGUUGGAAUUAUAUUAGCAAUUACUGCAUUAUUUAUGAAAUCUUGCAGAUAGGAUGUCAAAACAUUGUUUCCUCGACGAUUCUUGAGGAAAGGUUGUAUGUGAUACAACCGGAAGGUUUUGUCUAUCUUGAAAUAUGCUAAUAAGUAUGCAAAGCUCCAGCAAUCCUUCUGAGGACUGGAGUGAGCAUCUCGGAGUUGGAAUGUAUGCUUUGAUGAUGAUCAAAGAUUUUGGGUGUAUACAAAGUUUAUGAGAAACUUGUAUUUCCAAAGAAGUGAGUGGGGGCACUAUAGAAUUUCUGAUGAGUAUAUGUUGUUGACAUAUUAAUGAUCAGAAAUGACGUAGAAUUUCUGGAAAGCAUAUAGGGUUAUUUGGAAAGUGUUUUCAAUGGAAAACCUGGAUUAAGCUACUUGAACAUUGAGCAUCAAGAUCUAUAAGGAUAGAUCAAAACGCUUAAUAGUACUUUCAAAUGAGCACAUGCCUUGACGUGAUCUUGAAGGUGUUCAAGAUGGAUCAGUCAAAGAAGGAGUUCUUGCCUGAGUUGUAAGGUAUGAAGUUAAGACUUAAAAGCUCGACCAUGGCAGAAUAGAGAGAAAGGAACGAAGGUCGUCCCCUAUGCUUAAGACAUAGGCUCUACAGUAUGCUAUGCUGUGUACCGCACCUGAAGUGUGCUUUACCAUGAGUCAGUCAAGGGGUACAAGAGUGAUCCAAGAAUGGAUCACAGCACAGCGGUCAAAGUUAUCCUUAGUAACUAGUGGACUAAGGAAUUUUCUCAAUUAUGGAGGUGGUAAAAGAGUUCGUCGUAAAGGGUUACGUCGAUGCAAGCUUAACACCUAUCCGGAUAGCUCUGAGUAGAGAUACCGGAUACGUAUAAUGGAGCAACAAUUUAGAAUAGCUCCAAGUAGAACAGUUAUUUGGAAUAGCUCCAAAUAGAACGUGGUAGCUGCAUCUAGGAGAUGACAUAGAGAUUUGUAAAGCACACACGAAUCUGAAAGGUUCAGACCCGUUGACUAUAACCUCUCUCACAAGCAUAACAUGAUCAAACCCAGAACUCUGUUAAUCACAUGGUAAAUGUGAACUAGAUUAUUGACUCUAGUAAACUCUUUGGGUGUUAGUCACAUGGGGAUCUGACCUUGAGUGUUAAUCACAUAUCGAUGUGAACUAGAUUAUUGACUCUAGUGCAUGUGGGAGACUGUUGGAAAUAUGCCCUAGAGCCAAUAAUAAAUUGAUUAUUAUUAUAUUUCCUUGUUCAUGAUAAUUGUUUAUUAUCCAUGCUAGAAUUGUAUUGAUAGGAAACUCAGAUACAUGUGUGGAUACAUAGACAACACCAUGUCCCUAGUAAGCCUCUAGUUGACUAGCUCGUUAAUCAAUAGAUGGUUACGGUUUCCUGACCAUGGACAUUGGAUGUCGUUGAUAAUGGGAUCACAUCAUUAGGAGAAUGAUGUGAUGGACAAGACCCAAUCCUAAGCCUAGCACAAGAUCAUGUAGUUCGUAUGCUAAAGCUUUUCUAAUGUCAAGUAUCAUUUCCUUAGACCAUGAGAUUGUGCAACUCCCGGAUACCGUAGGAGUGCUUUGGGUGUGCCAAACGUCACAACGUAACUGGGUGGCUAUAAAGGUAUACUACGGGUAUCUCUGAAAGUGUCUGUUGGGUUGGCACGAAUCGAGAUUGGGAUUUUGUCACUCCGUGUAAACAGAGAGGUAUCUCUGGGCCCACUCGGUAGGACAUCAUCAUAAUGUGCACAAUGUGACCAAGGGGUUGAUCACGGGAUGAUGUGUUACGGAACGAGUAAAGAGACUUGCCGGUAACGAGAUUGAACAAGGUAUCGGUAUACCGACGAUCGAAUCUCGGGCAAGCACCAUACCGCUAGACAAAGGGAAUUGUAUACGGGAUCGAUUGAGUCCUUGACAUCGUGGUUCAUCCGAUGAGAUCAUCGUGGAACAUGUGGGAGCCAACAUGGGUAUCUAGAUCCCGCUGUUGGUUAUUGACCGGAGAACAUCUCGGUCAUGUCUGCAUGUCUCCCGAACCCGUAGGGUCUACACACUUAAGGUUCGAUGACGCUAGGGUUAUAAAGGAAGUUUGUAUGUGGUUACCGAAUGUUGUUCGGAGUCCCGGAUGAGAUCCCGGACGUCACGAGGAGUUCCGGAAUGGUCCGGAGGUAAAGAUUUAUAUAUAGGAAGUCCUGUUUCGGCCAUCGGGACAAGUUUCAGGGUCAUCGGUAUUGUACCGGGACCACCGGAAGGGUCCCGGGGGCCCACCGGGUGGGGCCACCUGCCCCGGGGGGCCACAUGGGCUGUAGGGGGUGCGCCUUGGCCUACAUGGGCCAAGGGCACCAUCCCCUAGAGGCCCAUGCGCCAAGAUAUAGGAAAAAGGGGAGAGUCCUAAAGGGGGAAGGCACCUCCGAGGUGCCUUGGGGAGGAUGGACUCCUCCCCCCCUCUUAGCCGCACCCCUUCCUUGGAGGAAGGGGCAAGGCUGCGCCUCCCCCCUCUCCCCUGCCCCUAUAUAUAGUGGAGGGGAGGGAGGGCAUCCAAACCUGAGCCCUUGGCACCUCCCUCCCUCCCGUGACACCUCCUCCUCUCCCGUAGGUGCUUGGCGAAGCCCUGCAGGAUUGCCACGCUCCUCCAUCACCACCACGCCGUUGUGCUGCUGCUGGAUGGAGUCUUCCUCAACCUCUCCCUCUCUCCUUGCUGGAUCAAGGCGUGGGAGACAUCGUCGAGCUGUACGUGUGUUGAACGCGGAGGUGCCGUCCGUUCGGCACUAGGAUCAUCGGUGAUCUGAAUCACGACGAGUACGACUCCAUCAACCCCGUUCACUUGAACGCUUCCGCUUAGCGAUCUACAAGGGUAUGUAGAUGCACUCUCCUUCCCCUCGUUGCUAGUCUCUCCAUAGAUAGAUCUUGGUGACACGUAGGAAAAUUUUGAAUUUCUGCUACGUUCCCCAACAUCGGUUUCCUCAACUGUGGUCCCACUUGUAAGGCCAACUCCAACGCACGACCCCAAAUGGACCUCGGUUUUGCCCGGAUUCUGUCUGUUUGGGUAGGGCAGUGGGGUCGUCUCUGGGCCAUUUCUUAGAUGCGGUGGCCGUGCACCGAACUCGCGGAUGCAUCCUGGCCGCGUACUUUUUUCUUCGCAAACACAUAUCUUUUUUUCAUCAUUGAUUUUUUGGUACAUGGAAAUACAUCACCAAAAUUUUGACUUGAAAAGCAAGACCAAAGAAAACAAGAACCACAAGAAUACAUUUUAGAAGAUAUCCAACUGCCAUAACUGCUCCGGUAAGUUGGAUUAGUGCCUUCUCGAUGCAUUCAUUGUUGAUCUGCGGAGGCUCGAUCUUGCGUGCUUCUUUCUUCUUCGAGUGUAAAGAAGUAGACGUUGCUUCCUCGUAUCUAGUCUCAUGUCUAGCCUCUAUUCUAUCAACAAGUGCACUUGUCUCAUCUCUAGCCUCUAUGCUAGCUAAAAGUGCUAGAACAUCUACUAAAUUGUGCUCUAUCAAUAUAUCGAUGUACUCUUCUUCCCAAUACCAAAACAUGCAUCCAUUCUACACAAUAAAAUUUGAAGUUAGCACAACUAGUCUAAUCCGAGAGCACAAACGAAGAUCUAGUCGGGUUCUUCCUCCUUUUGCCGACACGUGGGACAUCCAGCAUCCAGGUCGUGUCAUGCAAGAAAAUAGAGUGGUAGUUGAAGCCACGUGAUGUGCAUCUUGGGUUAAACUAUAAAUAGAAUCUUACUACUCUUGAGUAACUCCAAAAGCGGCCACCUAAGAUCUUUAUUGGAUUUGUUUUUCAUCACCAGCACGUCAAGGUGAAAGAUGUGCAGGUUCAGUGGGUCCUCUAGUGUUUUCACUGACAUGUGGGACCGCAUAUGAGCAAACGGAUGAUGGGCUCCGCACGUCCGUUGGCUUGCUGAGAAGAGAGAUAGAGGAGGGCUGAGCAUGGACUCCAGGAAAUUUGUUCUAUGUAAUCAGCACCUCGAUAUUCGUGUGUGGUUGUUUCUAGAAUAAAAAAAGGAGGUAGCCCUACUUAUGUUACUCCCACUAUGCCUAGCCAAAGGUUAGUAGGUGACCUUGCGCUUGGCUCUUCGCCUCUUCUGGAAGUCGAUGGUUCUACAUUAGUACUUUCUGGCAAUCUGACACCAAAUGAACUCCUGCAUGUCCACCGCUUGUAAGCAAAAGUUUAUCCUCGUGCUGCAAGCCACCGCGCAUGCGUUGGUGAGGGAGAAGGCAUAAUCAAGCUUCUCAUCGUUCUGCGAGUUGACGGGACACAUCAAAGUUAUUUAGUACGUACUCUCUCCAAAAAAGGGAUGACCAUGUCAUGGCUACCAUCCCGUGCUCCGUCGUUGAGUACGUGCACUAUUCACGUGCCAUAGAGGAGAAAAAAUAUUGCGUAGUAGGUGCCAUCGAAGUGCACGACUCACUUACGCACUGUUUAUCUGAUUGUCUCCAUUUUCUUGCAUGAAACAUGCACCUUAAUGCUAGAUGUCUCGCGUGUUGGGAAAAGGAUGAACAAAGCUCACGUAAAAGAAAAGAUUUGAAGAACAUAGAUUCCAGACAACCGAGAAGGAGCAAGGAACCUCGCGGUGGAGCGUCUGCAAGGAACCUUGCGUGUUUUCCCCUGUUUUUUGCCGCCAGCCCACCUAUAAACAAAUAAAAGAACAUGAACUCUUUGCUAACCACUAGAAAUGAUACAUCAGGAUGCUAAGUUGAAGAUGUUUUAUAGUUUAUAUUGAUAACCACGCAACAAGCCACGCAUGUACAGGACACAUGCAGCCACGCAUGUACACACGCCAACGCACUAACUCCAUCCGAUCCAACUCAUGCACAUACGCGCAUAGCAUGGAGCACACAACACACAUACACAACACAUGCAUGCACACACACUCGGUCGCAGAAUGCACGUGAAUAACACAUGCAUGCGCACACACUCAGCUGCAUGGAUUCGUGCGCCAUCUGUGGCGACGUCCGAUUUGUCGUGCUACGGCGAAGCUCGCACACAACGGCGCCUACGCAUCUCUUGCAUCACCUCUUUGCCGUCGUUGCUCAAUGACUAGUUGGAGAUGAAGAUGAUCGCAGCCUCGGCCUUAGAGCUAGCACCGAUGGAAAAACACGCACGCUGCACGCACACGAGCACGGAUGGAGUGCCCAUGAUGUGGUGCGUCCCCGGUUGCCUCUACUCCCUCUGUGCAUGUUGUCUAUCAAGGCGACUGCAUGCCUAAUGAUGAUGUGGGUGAGAUCUUCUAGGACUCAGAUGAUGACGAGGAAAAUUAUGAGACACAAGGUGACGUACACCGUCAAGGUCCACGGUCAAGGGGGUGCUAAGUGCUAAGUGCUUAGAUGUGCUUAGCUGAGGUGCUAAGUGCAUUAAAUGGCUUACUAACUCAAGUCUUCAAUGCAUAGGUGCUUAGUUUAUUGUUGCUAAGCUUGCUUCAUUUAAUUAGCUACAGACUCAAAACUGUCUUUCCACCGUUUCUUCCUACGGUCACCAAACUAGUCUCUCUCUUCUUAAUUAACUUGCCACAUCAUAUUUUUUGCCUAGGUGGCAGGCUUAGCAGCUAUACAUGAUGGAGCACUGGGAGAGGCCAAGGCUAGUCAUAGUGGGGAGUAACUUAUACUUGAAUAUAUUACUAUGUUACUCUAAACAUCUCUAUAAACCGGGAAGGAGGGAGUAGUAACAUAGACUAGUGUCAUAUGCAGAGUAUGGGAGCACAUGAUAUUUCCCCGUCCGGACCGAUCCCAAGUUGGCUUCUCACCUUCUUGGCCCAACAAAAACCCCUCCCCCCUCCCGCGCGCGCUUCCCUCCUAGCGCCAGCUGAGCCCGCCGCUCCACAUUGAUGGCAAGUCAGGGCGACGCGACCUCUCACUGUUUCCGCCGUUGAAGCGGCGCGCUGACCGAGGGCACUGCCCGCUGCACGCCCGGCAUUUCAGACUACAUAGUGGAGAGUAACUUUAGAGCAAGUACUACAAUUAGAUGACAUAAGCAGGCUAUAAGGAUUUAAAUAUAGUAUUUGUGAUUAGUUGAUGGAGAGAGAAGAGGAGAGAGAAGAGAAGCGGAUUGUAAACUUGUAGCCGAUUGUAGCAGGAGCCCCAACAUACUUUGUGAGACAAAAGGUGGGGCCGUUAUUAAUGAUAUUGUAUUUAUACUAAAGGGACUAACGGACGCCUUAAUUACUCUGUUUUUUAGACAAACCUUGGUGGGGCUAUUAUUGACUUGGACGUGGGGUUUGGGAGCCAAAGGCCUACUAUUAUACUUGGUCUUACUCGCAGGACCGACCUGACAUGCUCUACCCUAGCCACCGAUGUAUCAUAUGGUUUCACACCGUUCCAGAUCUUAGCGCCACCACGCAAUUCUUCUCCAGCCCUCCUUCUAGCGUGCACCGCGAGAAGGGACACCAGUCCUUCGAACCCCGCCUUUCGUGAUCCUGUACGGGAGAGGGGCAAUCAGGUUUUUGGGGAGCACACUCCUGUGACUGCUGCCGGCGAUGACUUCCUCAACGACAGCCUUCUUCCCCGACCUCGGUAACCUCUUCAUCAACGACAUGAGUGACAACAUCAACCACAGCGGUUCUGCUCCCUCUAUACAGUAUGUGAUUCUCUCCUCCUGGUUUAGUCCGCAUCAUUACUUUGAUGUUUGCAAUUGCCGUCAUGAUCUAUUUACUACUAAUUCGGAUUAAAUCUCAUAGUAAAUUGCUCAUAUAUUCAACAACCCAAUCCAAAGACCUGAUUAUAGGCAAUUUACUCCGAGUGGUUUUGCUGCGCUUUUGAAGCCGCCUACUUUUAAGGGGGUGCAAUAUAAAAGGUGGCGCACAAGAGCAGUAUAUUGGUUUCAGAUCAUGUACUGCUAUGACAUCACUAAGGGUAAGCCUGAGGGUGAUCUUAAUCCUACAAAGCAGGAAGCAUUUGAGAACAUGGAUACCCUCUUCAAAGCCGCCCUGCUGAGUGUUCUUAACGAUUCCAUUGUGGAUUCAUAUAUGUCGUUUGACAGUGGCAAAGACAUGUGGGCUGCUCUUGAGGCCACAUUUGGGCCCUCGGGCGCUGGCAACGAGUUGUAUGUCAUGGAGCAAUUCUGUGACUACAAGAUGACUGAUGAGCGCUCUGUUGUUCAGUAGACUCAUGAGAUACAGUCACUCUCUAAGGAACUUGAGUACUUCAAGUGUGUGUUGCCGGACAAAUUUUUUGCUGGGACCAUCAUUGCCAAGCUUCCACCUUCGUGGAACGAUUUUGCUACUUCUCUGAAAAACAAGAGACAUGAGAUUUUGGUUUUGGAUCUCAUUAGCACUCUUGAUUUUGAGGAGAAGGCGAGAGCAAAAGACACACGUGCUCGGGUCGCUGAGGGAGCUUCUAGUGCCCACAUGGUACAUGAGAAGAACUUCCAGCCCAACCAGCCCCAAAACAACAAGAACAAAUCUUACGGGAAAGGCAAGUUUGAUGCAAAGAACAAGUCAUCACAUUCUACCAACUUCAAGAAGAAUUCUCAUAAUGGGAAGGGAUACAAACCUCAAUUUUGGUAGCACCGCACAAAAUUUAUAUGGCUGCAUCUACCUACUGUCAGCUAACCUCAUGGUGCUCCAGGUAUUCAUACAUUCGUAACUAGGUACAAUGACCACCGCAAGAUGAAAUUAGCUUAUUCGUACGUUGACUUGCUGAAUGCAGUGCGGAACGAUCCUGUCAUAUGUGGAGGAGCAAACAAGCAGUGCAGCCGAAGGUGGAAAUCAACCAAGGACUUAUGAAAUUAUAUAUAAUCUUCCUUAGGCACGUCAGUAUCCCCUUCGUCCAGAUGAUCGUGUUUUGUCAUGCCGAGCAAUUGAUAUGUGCUACUAUUUUGCAACACCGUUUAAGUAUAGCUACUGUUUUCCUAUCUUUUCAGAUUCAGGACAAUGAAUAUGAUUUCAGGGGAACUGCACAAUAUGGACUCAUGUUGAGUCAUCUCUAUUGCCUCAUGUGUUUGCUACAAAUGUGUCAGCAUCAAUUGCAAGAUGAGGCAGCUAGCUAGCUGUGGAGUUGUCGACAUGCUCAAAGUGCUCGCAACAUUGAGAAGAAACAAGCAUGCCCAGGAAAUUAAUGUGUGCGCAGGGAGGCCCUUUGCUCAGAGAAGCAUCGACCGAUUUUCUUUAUUUCCACACCUUCUCACAGCUUUGUAUUGGUUAUAGUAUGGUGAAUCAUUGACAUGCAUAAACAUGCUGAACUUUUGUUCUUCUGAAUGUUAGUAUGCAUACCGUAUCUUCUGAAGCUUAGUUUAAUGUGAGUGUCUGCGUCCAGUACCGCGUCCUCUAAUUUGGUGGAUGGACACAGAGAAAAUAAAUCUCCUUAAUUUACUCCAUAACCACCCUAUUAAAUAGGCCUAGUAACAAACCAGGCGCAUGUAGUGGCCGGCAGGCACAUGCAUCCUGUAUGCAUGGCCAGUCAGCCAAGUCCAUGCGCCAGCUCCAAUGCAGGAACACAAAAGAAGAGAGUGGUUCUUGGGAAAAAGCGAGUAGUUACUGCAGCGGGCCUUAUAAACAUGAACAGCUCGCUCUCCCACUUCCGUCUCCCCCCCCAUUCCCCGCGCUCCCCAGUCUUCCUCACUUGUCCAGAAAACCCCCGCUCACCUUCUUCCUCACUCGUACAGAAAUCCCCAGCCCUCCUUCUUCCCCACUCGCACUGCCACUAGGCUCGUCUCUGGCUACUCUGCUCAAACCCGUGAGCUCGGCGCGACGCCCACAAGGAAAAUGGAGUCAGCUGGCCCCAGUGCCAAGAAGAUGAGGCUCCCACCAGCGGCGAUGUCGGUUGUAGAUCCCGCACCCAGUAGCGAAGGGAGAAGCNNNNNNNNNNNNNNNNNNNNNNNNNNNNNNNNNNNNNNNNNNNNNNNNNNNNNNNNNNNNNNNNNNNNNNNNNNNNNNNNNNNNNNNNNNNNNNNNNNNNNNNNNNNNNNNNNNNNNNNNNNNNNNNNNNNNNNNNNNNNNNNNNNNNNNNNNNNNNNNNNNNNNNNNNNNNNNNNNNNNNNNNNNNNNNNNNNNNNNNNNNNNNNNNNNNNNNNNNNNNNNNNNNNNNNNNNNNNNNNNNNNNNNNGCGAUCUCUCAGACGUCAUCCUUGAGGAGAUCAUCUCGCUUCUCCCCACCAAGGAUUGCUACUGCACACAAGUCCUCUCAACUCGGUGGCGCCCUCUAUGGCACACCGCGCCCCUCAACACUACAAAAAAAUACACUUCCGUGAUGAUACGUGUUUGUCACGGUAGGCCGCAUUUUUUGUCAUGCAUGUACAUCCAUGACAAAUUUAUGACAGAAUCAAGAUAGUCAUACCUGUGUUGUCGUAGAAGUGUUCCAUGACAUUACCAAAAUUAUCAUCAUGGAAGUGUCCACUUCCAUGAUGAUAAAUCGCGUGUCACAGAAGUGCUUUUGUCAAGGGUGACCGACACGUGGCAUCCACCGUAACGGAGCACCGUUAAGCUAUCGGGUCGGGUUUUGGAUCCGAUAACCCGUUAACAGCCCCGACCAAUGGGGAUUUUCCACAUGUAAAAUCAUCAUUGGCUGGAGGAAACAUGUGUCGGCUCACUGUUGGGACAGAUGUCAUCCACUCAUUGGACAGAAGGCGCCUAUGAUACGUCGACACGUGGCACGGCCCAACAGAGGCCCAUUCCUGUGAAAAGGCCGGCCCGUUUGACUUGGUCCAAAGGUGGCGGGCCGGCCCAUGGAAAGCCUGUUAACGACCUGUUCGCAUAUAGCCCAUUUACAGCCCGCUAACCCAAGGCCCGUUACCUGUCAGGACCCCGACUCGAUGUCACAUCGAUCUAGCUGGUAACACCUCAUAUCACCUUGCGCCUCACGCACGGUAUCCCCACGGGUGUCGUCUUACCUUUUCCCGGGACCGUUUGCGCCUUUUGGCUCACGUAUAUGAUAGUGUCGCUAGCAUCCAUAUGAUAAAGAGCCCGGGCUGACAUGACUAGUCGUAAACCCAAAGUGGCAUAGACUUACAGGGACAGGCAUCCAUGACCCAGCUUCGAACGUGUCGGUCAUCAGCAAGUGGGUCCGGGCUGUAGCACUGGGCUAGCAGGACUCCGGUAAACCGGGCUGUAGCGGGCUAACAGGACUCCGGUACUCAAAGCGUGACAUUUCCCCGAAGGGACAGACACAGGAACGAAGAAGGACACAUGCCGGCCAGCCUAAGUGUUCCAGAGCAGUAGCAAGCUACCAUGGCUCAGCGGUAACACUAGGAGACAUUUCCCGGUAAGAGAGGCUACUAAAGAUAAACAACUAGAUAGUCAGAUCCCACACAUACCAAGCAUUUCAAUCAUACACACAAUAUGCUCGAUAUGUGCAAAUACAACGAAGCAUCACAACAUGACUCUACGACACAAGUACUUUAUUUAAGGCUCAGGGAGCCAUACAUAACAUUCACAAAGGUACGGGUCUCACGACCCAACAUACAAGUCAUACAGUCAUACAAGCCAACAGCGGAAGUAACUUGUCUGAGUACAGACAACUAGUAAAAUAAAAGAGGCUUGGAAAGCCUAACUAUACUACGUGGUCCUCCACAAGCUCAGGGUCACCACCUGGGUCUUUAGCCUACUCGUUGAUGUCAACGUCUACAUAGAACCCAUCAGAAGGGGUUGCAGCGUCUUCUGUAAAAAUGUAGAUUAUAGCAACAUGAGUACAAAGGUACUCAGCAAGACUUACAUCAGAUCCUACAUACAUGUAUAGUAUCAAGAAGGGUUGGUGGAGUUAUUGCAGCAAGCCAGCUUUGACUCUUGGCUAGGCUAUCCUACGAUACUACAACUUGAAAAGGUUUUGCGCACACGAGUCCACUACUCACCACUUCAAUACACUACCGAGGAUCCACCUCCGUCUUCCUACGGAAGAGCCAUCCUCGGCACUCACACUUAUCUUGAGGCUUUUAGUAGUUUCCAUUUACUUGUCUAUGAACUGUAUAGGCAACCAAGUAGUCCUUUACCGCGGACGCGGCUAUUCGAAUAGAUCAUGUUAACCCUGCAGGGGUGUACUUCUUCAUACAUGUUUCCACCACUUAGCGUCUGCACACGACAUGUGCUCGGCAGACUUCAAGCGAAAGCCGACGUGGGUGUAGACCACGACCUACCUAAACACUUAAGCCUCUAGUCCAGGUUUAUCGCCUAUUCAGGUUCCAUCCGCAGGGAGUCCGGCCGGGGUUUCCCAUACGGCCCCGAACGAUGUGAACAGGGUUCCCGAGAUACCUAACGGGUAUUCGGUACACCCGGCCAUGUACCUACCGCAUCACAGCCCACCCCUACGGUCAGCGCUGUCCACGGCCUCCAGUAGGCUACAAACACCAGAAACUACUUGCAACUCCUGGACAGAGAGCUAGGGUGAAUAAGAAGUCGAGCGGGGUCAUAUUUCAGGGCCCAAUGCAUGGUAGUAGCUGUAUCUCAAAUCACACAUACAGAUCUCAGUGCUUAAGGUCGGCUUCAAUGAAACAACCCACCAUGUACUCCUACAUGGCCUCUCAUCGAUACCUUUACCAAAUCGUGUUCACCACACCACUCUCAUUACCGACAUAAACAUUUCACUCUAGCCCAUCACCCAGAUGAACCAGACCUGACACGACUCUAAGCAUAGCAGGCAUAGCAAGGUAGGAACAACACAUACAUAUGGCUCAAUCAACUCCUACACAUGCUAGUGGGUUUCAUCUAGUUACUGUGGCAAUGACAGGUCAUGCAGAGGAAAUGGGUUCAACUACCGUAGCACACAGCAGUUUGAAACGCGUUGUCUUAAUGCAGUAAAAGAGAGCAGGAGCGAGAACAUGGGAUUGUAUCGAUAUGAUCAAAUGGUUGGUUGCUUGCCUGAUGGUUCGAUGCACUGAUAUGGUUCUUCGUUAGGGUAAUCACGGUACUCCUCGGGGGCAGAACCUGUCGCAACGGACAUCGAUACACAACCAUCACCAAACAAUGUGCAACAAUAUGAUGCAUGCAUGAAACAUGGCAAUAUGAGUGUGUUGGGCUAAUGCAACUAAGAACAGAGGGGUUUGAACAAAUUUGAAUCAAGGAUUCAAAUUUUAAGUUCAAAUAUGGUCUUUUAAAGUGCUUUUCCUUGUUCUGCUUAAAACAUCAAUUUAACUUGUUUGAUCAUGCAUGAAAAUAGUACAGAUGGAUAGAUUGGAUUUUUCUGAUCAUUUUUCAUAUAUAAUUUGUCCAAUUUGGAGUUACAGAAUAAAAGUUAUGAAUUUUUGAAGUUUAAACAAUAUUCUGGAAUUUCCUGAUUUAAUUUAAAUUCAGAAAAUCAAUUACUGCGUCAGCCUGACGUCAGCAUGACGUCAAUGGUCAACUGCGGCUGGCUGAGGUCAAACCUGACGUGUGGGGCCCACACGUCAGUGACAGGGGGGGUUAAACAGGAUUAAAUUAAUCCUAAUUACUAAUUAGUGGUGCUGGGGCCCACUGUCAGUGUCAGGGGGGGUUGACUAACAGUAGUUAGCGCUAAUCUAACCAUCUGACCGACAGGGCCCACGCGUCAGUGACCCUGGGGGGUCAAACCCUAGGUCGGACAGGUCAAACCCCACCGGCGACAUGACGCCGGCGAGGCCCGAGACGGCGGCGAAAGUGCUUUUUGCCAUUCCGGCAACCAAAUGGACGGCGGAAGGCAUCUACGUGUUGCUGAGGUUGAGCCGCGACUAUUGGUGGUGGUGGUUGGGCUCGGGGUGGCCGGAGUUGACGGCGGCGAGCUCGGCUGCGGCGGCCGGAGUUCGGGUGCGGUCGGAAUCGGCGUUGCAGGGCGUUAGAAGAGGUGUUGGUGCGUGCUACGUGCUCCUGGUGAGGUGUGGAGCACGAUGGUGUGCUCGGUUGGGCGCUACGGCGACCGUGGCCACGACGGCGACAUCGCCGGCGGCGUGGAGCUCUCGGUCAAGGUGGGACUAGGGCCUAGAGGUCGAAAGAGACCAGGGGAGAAGGGGGAAACGAUCCGGGGGCUCACCGCGGUUGCAGUGGGCGUCGAAGCGGGCUCGGGGACGCGCCGGAGACGACGAAUUCGACGGCGACGAUGAUCGGAGCCCGAAGAGGGGAACGGCGACGUGGCGGCGAUGCAGGGCUUCCGGGGAGCUGGGGAGCGGUGGGGAGGAAGAGGGGGUCGUGGCGGAGCUUCUGAGCUAGUCGGGGGAGCGAGGGGUGGCCGGAGACGGCUGCUGUGGCGAACGGCGGCGACGGUGGUGUUCGGCCGUGUGAGAGAGAGAGCGAGGGAGAGGAGAGGAGAGCCGGGGGAGAGUGAGAGAGAGCAGGGGGAGAGGCGUGGCGUCGUCCAGGGCAUCGAGCGAGGAGGGGAGGGCAGGCAAGCAGGCGAGCAGGUGGCGUGGCGCGGUGGCGCGCGCGCGCCGGCCACACUCCCCUCCCUCUGUCGGGACGAAGACGACAGAGGAGGGAGGUGGGCUGGGCCGGCUGCUGGCUGGGCCAGCCAGCUGGCUGGGCCGCACAGUGGAGGAGCCCAGGUAAGCUCCUCCUGUUAUAUAAUUUUCUGUUUUUUAAUUUCUGACAUUUGUUUUGAUUUAAAUAAUAUAUUAAAUCAUUUAUUUAACUUAUGCCAAUUUUUGCAGGAGCUAUUUAUAUUAUUCAAGAGCUCUUUUAUAAUUGGCAUAAUAUUUGGGCAUAUAUUAAUAUAUAUAAUUAAUAUAUUUCCAAUGCAAAUAUUUAUGCAUUUAUUCCAAAUGCCCAAAAUAAAUGUCCAUGAGCCACUAAAAAUAUUGGUUUGAUUUUUAUCUCUGUCCAAUAUUUUCAGAGAGCAACAUGAGCAUUUUCUUGGACCCUUUUGGAGAAAUUUUUAUUUGGGUCAUUUUCAAAAUGGUUCUGAGGGUUUCACAGAUCCCCAUUUCAAGUUUCUGAUGAAAGAGUAAACAUGAUGCAACACUCUAAUGCAUGACUAGCUAGGGUGUGACAACUCACCCCCACUCAAAAGAAUCUCGUCCCGAGAUUUGGGUUCCUCCGGGAAGAAGGCGGGAUACUCGAGUCGAAGACGAUCCUCCCUUUCCCAGGUUGCUUCAUCCUCAGAAUGGUGCGACCAUUGAACUUUGAGAAACUUGAUAUUAUGACGCCGGGUGGUACGUUCGGCUUGAUCGAGGAUACGAAUGGGGUACUCUCGAUAUGUAAGAUCAUCUUGGAGAUCAAGCGUUUCGUGGUCCACUUCACGGAUAGGAUCCGAGAAGCAACGCCUGAGUUGAGAAACGUGGAAGACAUCGUGAACUCUGGAGAGGUGCGGAGGUAGUUCCAACUGGUAGGCAACUUCUCCUCGUUUGGCAAGGAUGCGAAAAGGUCCAAUAUAACGAGGAGCCAAUUUGCCUUUGAUACCGAAACGAUGGGUUCCCUUCAGAGGGGUGACCCGAAGAUAAGCCUUCUCGUCAACCUAGAAAGUCAUAGCCCUAUGUUUUCGGUCAUAUUGACUCUUUUGACGGGAUUGGGCUGUUUUCAACUUUUCACGAACGAUACGAACUUGUUCUUCUGCUUCCUGAAUCAUAUCCGGGCCAAAGAAUUGUCUUUCCCCGGUCUCUGACCAGUUAAGGGGUGUUCGACACCGUCGUCCAUAGAGAACUUCAAAAGGGGCUUUACCCAAGCUAGAUUGAUAGCUGUUGUUGUAAGCGAAUUCGGCAAAUGGAAGGCACUUCUCCCAGUCCAUUCCGAAUGAGAUAACAGAGGCUCGAAGCAUGUCUUCUAGAAUUUGGUUGACGCGUUCCACUUGACCACUCGACUGAGGGUGGUAAGCGGUGCUAAAGGAGAGACGAGUUCCCAUAGCAUUUUGGAAACUUUCCCAAAAUCGAGAGGUGAAAAGACUUCCUCGAUCCGAGUUAAUUUCCAAAGGAACACCAUGGAGGGACACUAUUCGGGAGAUGUAUAAGUCCACCAAUUGACUAGCGGUUAUACUCUCACGAACAGGUAAGAAAUGGGAUACUUUGGAAAGACGAUCGACAACGACAAAGAUAGCAUUAUUCCCUCUCUUGGUCCUGGGAAAACCGGUAAUGAAAUCCAUACCGAUUUUAUCCCAUUUCCAUUCAGGAAUAGCUAAGGGUUGAAGGGUGCCGGCAGACCGUUGAUGCUCUGCUUUAACACGACGGCAGACGUCGCAAUUUGCAACAUACUGAGCAAUUUCUCUCUUCAUCCUAGUCCACCAGAACCUCUGGCGUAGGUCCUGAUACAUCUUAGUACUACCGGGAUGAAUGGUGAGAGGGGAUUCAUGAGCCUCCUUAAGGAUCAACUGCCGUAGAUGCUGGUUCUUGGGAACCACUAGACGGUUCUCAAAGUACACAACACCAUGAUCAUUUGUGGAGAAACAACUAGCACCUCCGCUAGCAAUGUUCUCCUUGAUCUUAGCUAUUCCCUUAUCUCGCUUCUGGGCAGCAAUGAUUUGAUCCGUAAGAGUAGGUUUCGCCACCAAGGUGGAAAGAAAUCCUUGAGGAACAAUGUGAAGGUUAAGCUUCCGAAAUUCCUCAUGGAGAAGCGGUUGUCUUUGUUGUAACAUCAGAUUGUUACAAUAAGAUUUACGACUUAGCGCAUCAGCCAUGACGUUGGCUUUCCCUGGGGUGUAGGUUAUUCCUAAGUCGAAAUCUGUGAUCAACUCGACCAAACGUCUUUGCCUGAGAUUCAAAUCCGGUUGGGUGAAGAUGUACUUCAGACUUUGGUGAUCAGUGAAUAUUUCGCAACGAUUACCGAGGAGGUAAUGUCGCCAGGUCUUAAGUGCAUAGACUACAGCUGCAAGCUCUAGAUCAUGAGUAGGAUAAUUCUCCUCAUGUGGGUGCAAUUGCCGUGAAGCGUAGGCAAUUACGUGUCGAUCUUGCAUGAGAAUGCAACCUAGUCCUUGUCGCGAGGCGUCGCAGUAGAUAACAAAGUCCUUAGAGAAGUCUGGCGGUACCAGUACGGGAGCAGAAGUCAGGCGUCUUUUCAGUUCCUGAAAGCUGUGCUCACAUUGUGGAGUCCACUCGAACUUCUUAUCUUUCUUGAGGAGUUCGGUUAGAGGUUUAGCAACCUUGGAGAAGUUCUCGACAAAGCGACGACAAUAGCUCGCUAAGCCUAGAAAACUUCGAACUUGCUUGACCGAUUCAGGUGGAGUCCAAUUAAGAACGGCUUGAACUCGCUCAGGGUUAACAGCAAUACCUUUACCAGAUAUUACAUGACCCAGAUAGGUCACUUCUGAUAACCAGAAUUCACAUUUAGAAAAUUUGGCAUAAAGGCGAUGCUCUCGAAGUUUCUUCAACACUAGCCUUAAAUGUUCGGCAUGUUCUUCCUCGUUCUUGGAGUAGAUGAGUAUAUCAUCGAGAUAAACUACGACGAAUUUAUCCAAAUACUCCAUGAAGAUUGAGUUCAUUAACCGAGAAAAGGUGGCUGGAGCAUUGGUUAAACCGAAGGACAUGACGGUGUACUCGUAUUGGCCAUAACGAGUAACAAAGGCCGUUUUAGGAAUGUCCCCAUUUCUGAUUUUGAUUUGAUGGUAGCCCAACCUCAAAUCCAUCUUGGAGAAGACUGAGGAUCCAGCGAGCUGAUCAUACAGGUCGUUGAUCCUGGGAAGCGGGUAUUUGUUCUUGAUUGUGACCAAGUUGACAGGUCGGUAAUCUACAACCAUCCGGUCCGUACCAUCCUUCUUCUUGACGAAUAGGACGGGGCAAGCCCACGGAGAUGAGCUAGGUCGGAUGAUACCCUUUUUCAAGGACUCGUCGAGUUGUUUCUUAAGCUCGGCUAGUUCUAGGGGUGCCAUCUUAUAGGGUCUUCUAGCAAUCGGAACGGUUCCUGGAAUGAGGUCUAUUACGAACUCAACAUCCCUGUCAGGUGGAACACCUGGCAAUUCCUCUGGAAAGACAUCCGGGAAGUCACGGACUACCGGAACGUCCUCAAGGUCUGGCAAAGGGCUGGUGUUAAGAGAAUAUAAUUGUCGCUUGGCUAUUCGGUUCAAGACAUUGACUAUCUUCCCCGAAGGAUGGGUGAGUUGAACAGUCCUAGAGAAGCAAUCAAUUUGGGCAUGAUGAGCUGACAUCCAGUCCAUACCCAGAAUGAUAUUAAUAUCUGAAGAUUUAAGGGCUAUCAAGGAUGCAAGAAAAACAAGUCUGUCGACUUGGAUUUCAUUUCCAUAACUUACCCUAGAGGUCUGCCAUCUAGACCCGGGAGUAGAAAUUUCCAUAGUGGAUGGCAUGUCACAGAAUGCAACGUUAUGCAACGAGCAUAAUUUUCAGAUAUAAAGGAAUGGGAGGCUCCUGUAUCAAAAAGAACAGAUGCCGGGUGGCAAUUAACAAGAAGCGUACCGAGAACGACGUUGGGAUCCUCUUGAGCUUCUUCGGCAGAGAUACAGUUGACAUGGCCACGUGUAGCGGUGGCCGGCUUGGCGUGGAACACUUUCCCUGUCGGCUUGCCAUGGCCAACAGCUUUAGCAGAUUGAUUGGGGUUGGUCUGGGGGCAUUCACGCAUAUAGUGACCAGAUUCCCCACACUUGAAACAAGUCACGGAACUGGUACGUGGAGGAACAUUAUUGGUUGGACCCCCAUAGGGCUUGGCUGGAGCAGACUGUUGUACAGGGCGAGGCGCCUGGAAAGAUGGCCUCGGUGUGAACCUGGGUGGCAGGGCGGUGUUGGGCACCCACACGCGGCGCUUCUGAGGACCAGCACCGGAUGAGGAACCCGUGUCACGUCCAUGCUUGCGUGUUGCGUCGUAGUCAGUCUGACCAGUUUCAGCACUGAUGGCGUUGUUGACAAGUUUCGAAAAAGAUGUGCACUCAUGCAGACGGAGGUCGCGGCGAAGCUCAGGACUAAGGCCCUUACGGAACCUUGCUUGCUUCUUGGCGUCAGUAGACACUUCCUCUGUUGCAUAUCGUGCGAGAUUACCAAACUCCCUGCUAUAGGCAUCCACAGAAAGUCGGCCUUGGGUGAAACUGCAAAAUUCUUCACGUUUACGGUCCAUGAGACCCUCCGGAAUGUGAUGCUCACGGAAAGCCUCGCUGAACUCAGCCCAAGUAGUGACAUGGCCCGCUGGGCGCAUAGCUCCAUAAUUCUCCCACCAUAGACUGGCGGGGCCUUCAAGAUGAUAUGCAGCAAAGGUGACCUUGUCAGCCUCCGCUACCAGCGCGGAACGCAGUUUGUGAGAGAUACUGCGAAGCCAGUCAUCAGCGUCGAGAGGCUCGACGGAGUGGUGGAACGUGGGUGGAUGCAAUUUGAUAAAAUCACUGAGUGACACCACGUUAGCCCUCUGAUGGUGUGCUGUAUUCUGUUCAAUACGCUCCAACAAACGGUUUGUCUCCCGCUUGUUUCUCUCAGCUUCCAUCAUCACCUCGGCUAGUGAAGGAGGAUGAGGCAGAUUUUCAUUCCUGGCUUCACUGCCUUCGGCCUGCUCUUGAGAAGCAGGGUUAGCGCGCGUGUUGACCAUCCUAGGUAAACAAGACAAUGACUUAGUCAGGAUGAUAGAAUUCUGACAUAGGGUAAAAAUGUAAGGAAUAACUCGAAUGCAAGAUGAUCAUCCGUAUGACAUGGUAGAUACAGAAACUGCUUCUUUAUUCCAUCGUCAUACACACCAUACAGGGUUUAGUACAAGACCAAACAAAGUACUAUUACGGUGAGAAAAGGAUUACAUCUCAUCGGAGACAUUCCAAGCUCCUAUACAUUAUUUCUCUACAUCUCCGGAAAGAGUACAAACUAGGUCAUAACCCACGAGUCACGCGGGACGAUAGACGACAGAGCUAGUGCGAACUAGUGAUACUACCGCUAACUCAGACCGAUCCGUAGUAGUCCUCGUAGAAGUCACCUCCAUAGCCUGGAAGCUCAACAUGAUCAUCCGGAAACAGACGAUCUCGCGGAGCCUGUGGACCAUAGGGGCUAGGAUGAGGCCUUGGACCAACAGACGGUGGCCUGCGGGGACCACGAGGUGGGGUGAUGCCUCCUACAUCACGCCAACCCAUCACGUCUGGCAAAGCAGAUCUCACAGGAUAGAGAUCGCGCAUAUCUGAAUAUCCAGCUUGCACCGCCGGUGCGAACCGAGUCAAAGUGGCCCAGUGGUCAGCACGGGUAUUGAAGAGCUCUAACCUUAAGGCCCGAUUUUCACGGUCCUUAUCCUCGAGCAUCUCAGCGGUGGUGCGAGUCCGUGAAUCCUCCUGAGUGGGGUCAGCAUAGAUAGCCUGGAGAUAUCCCUGUGCUCCCGGAAGUGAUCCUGGCAUAUACAGGAAAUCAGAGUCCCGAAAUAGACCAGAUCUGACUCGCAUAAUGGUCAUCAUAGAGUAGGCGGCGUCCUACACAGCCAUCUCAAUGGUAACCCCGAGUCCAUAAGAGCAGUGAAGAGGCUCGGUGGAUCCAGGAUAAGAUGGAAAUAUCCUGACAGUGCAGAGAUACUGGCUUUGAUUAAAAUCUCGGAAUUGCUCUUCGACCGUGUACUCGGGAUACCAACAGUAUCCAGCCUCAGUCAUUACCCUGACCAACUUAGCAGUAUGGCCGGGUACAUCUAGGCAUCGAGUCAGGCGAACCACUUGAUUAAGGUCGCGAGUGGCCAUCUGAAAGCACAAUCAUAAUGCAAAGGCAUUAGAAUUUCUAGCAAAAUUUCGGCAGCAUAACAGCUGUAAAUGCUCAAGAAGGAUUUUGAGACAUUUGACAAAGGAUUUCGUACACACUCAACAUCAUCAUAUCAAAGUUCUGAAUCCAUUCUGGCAACAUAAUGUGGUAGUAGAACUGAACUAGGCUGGUAACCAUCAAACUUAUAAGGUACUACUGAUUAGUAACUCGUGAUCCUGAUAGAGAGAACAGAUCCUAAUUCCUUAACCCCCGGUGGAAGGAUGGACUGACUCAGAUCAGAAAGUCAUAAGGUAUAAGGAGUAAAAGAGCCUUACGUUCCAACCCACAAACAAUUCCCCUACAUAUAACUAAAGAAUUUCUAGACUCAACAUCGACCAGUUUGGCUUGGAGAACCUACAGGCAGUCCGGCUCUGAUGCCAACGCUGUCAGGACCCCGACUCAAUGUCACAUCGAUCUAGCUGGUAACACCUCAUAUCACCUUGCGGCCUCACGCACGGUAUCCCCACGGGUGUCGUCUUACCUUUUCCCGGGACCGUUUGCGCCUUUUGGCUCACGUAUAUGAUAGUGUCGCUAGCAUCCAUAUGAUAAAGAGCCCGGGCUGACAUGACUAGUCGUAAACCCAAAGUGGCAUAGACUUAUAGGGACAGGCAUCCAUGACCCAGCUUCGAACGUGUCGGUCAUCAGCAAGUGGGUCCGGGCUGUAGCACUGGGCUAGCAGGACUCCGGUAAACCGGGCUGUAGCGGGCUAACAGGACUCCGGUACUCAAAGCGUGACAUUUCCCCGAAGGGACAGACACAGGAACGAAGAAGGACACAUGCCGGCCAGCCUAAGUGUUCCAGAGCAGUAGCAAGCUACCAUGGCUCAGCGGUAACACUAGGAGACAUUUCCCGGUAAGAGAGGCUACUAAAGAUAAACAACUAGAUAGUCAGAUCCCACACAUACCAAGCAUUUCAAUCAUACACACAAUAUGCUCGAUAUGUGCAAAUACAACGAAGCAUCACAACAUGACUCUACGACACAAGUACUUUAUUUAAGGCUCAGGGAGCCAUACAUAACAUUCACAAAGGUACGGGUCUCACGACCCAACAUACAAGUCAUACAGUCAUACAAGCCAGCAGCGGAAGUAACUUGUCUGAGUACAGACAACUAGUAAAAUAAAAGAGGCUUGGAAAGCCUAACUAUACUACGUGGUCCUCCACAAGCUCAGGGUCACCACCUGGGUCUUUAGCCUACUCGUUGGUGUCAACGUCUACAUAGAACCCAUCAGAAGGGGUUGCAGCGUCUUCUGUAAAAAUGUAGAUUAUAGCAACAUGAGUACAAAGGUACUCAGCAAGACUUACAUCAGAUCCUACAUACAUGUAUAGUAUCAAGAAGGGUUGGUGGAGUUAUUGCAGCAAGCCAGCUUUGACUCUUGGCUAGGCUAUCCUACGAUACUACAACUUGAAAAGGUUUUGCGCACACGAGUCCACUACUCACCACUUCAAUACACUACCGAGGAUCCACCUCCGUCUUCCUACGGAAGAGCCAUCCUCGGCACUCACACUUAUCUUGAGGCUUUUAGUAGUUUCCAUUUACUUGUCUAUGAACUGUAUAGGCAACCAAGUAGUCCUUUACCGCGGACGCGGCUAUUCGAAUAGAUCAUGUUAACCCUGCAGGGGUGUACUUCUUCAUACAUGUUUCCACCACUUAGCGUCUGCACACGACAUGUGCUCGGCAGACUUCAAGCGAAAGCCGACGUGGGUGUAGACCACGACCUACCUAAACACUUAAGCCUCUAGUCCAGGUUUAUCGCCUAUUCAGGUUCCAUCCGCAGGGAGUCCGGCCGGGGUUUCCCAUACGGCCCCGAACGAUGUGAACAGGGUUCCCGAGAUACCUAACGGGUAUUCGGUACACCCGGCCACGUACCUACCGCAUCACAGCCCACCCCUACGGUCAGCGCUGUCCACGGCCUCCAGUAGGCUACAAACACCAGAAACUACUUGCAACUCCUGGACAGAGAGCUAGGGUGAAUAAGAAGUCGAGCAGGGUCAUAUUUCAGGGCCCAAUGCAUGGUAGUAGCUGUAUCUCAAAUCACACAUACAGAUCUCAGUGCUUAAGGUCGGCUUCAAUGAAACAACCCACCAUGUACUCCUACAUGGCCUCUCAUCGAUACCUUUACCAAAUCGUGUUCACCACACCACUCUCAUUACCGACAUAAACAUUUCACUCUAGCCCAUCACCCAGAUGAACCAGACCUGACACGACUCUAAGCAUAGCAGGCAUAGCAAGGUAGGAACAACACAUACAUAUGGCUCAAUCAACUCCUACACAUGCUAGUGGGUUUCAUCUAGUUACUGUGGCAAUGACAGGUCAUGCAGAGGAAAUGGGUUCAACUACCAUAGCACACAGCAGUUUGAAACGCGUUGUCUUAAUGCAGUAAAAGAGAGCAGGAGCGAGAACAUGGGAUUGUAUCGAUAUGAUCAAAUGGUUGGUUGCUUGCCUGAUGGUUCGAUGCACUGAUAUGGUUCUUCGUUAGGGUAAUCACGGUACUCCUCGGGGGCAGAACCUGUCGCAACGGACAUCGAUACACAAACAUCACCAAACAAUGUGCAACAAUAUGAUGCAUGCAUGAAACAUGGCAAUAUGAGUGUGUUGGGCUAAUGCAACUAAGAACAGAGGGGUUUGAACAAAUUUGAAUCAAGGAUUCAAAUUUUAAGUUCAAAUAUGGUCUUUUAAAGUGCUUUUCCUUGUUCUGCUUAAAACAUCAAUUUAACUUGUUUGAUCAUGCAUGAAAAUAGUACAGAUGGAUAGAUUGGAUUUUUCUGAUCAUUUUUCAUAUAUAAUUUGUCCAAUUUGGAGUUACAGAAUAAAAGUUAUGAAUUUUUGAAGUUUAAACAAUAUUCUGGAAUUUCCUGAUUUAAUUUAAAUUCAGAAAAUCAAUUACUGCGUCAGCCUGACGUCAGCAUGACGUCAGUGGUCAACUGCGGCUGGCUGAGGUCAAACCUGACGUGUGGGGCCCACACGUCAGUGACAGGGGGGGUUAAACAGGAUUAAAUUAAUCCUAAUUACUAAUUAGUGGCGCUGGGGCCCACUGUCAGUGUCAGGGGGGGUUGACUAACAGUAGUUAGCGCUAAUCUAACCAUCUGACCGACAGGGCCCACGCGUCAGUGACCCUGGGGGGUCAAACCCCAGGUCGGACAGGUCAAACCCCACCGGCGACAUGACGCCGGCGAGGCCCGAGACGGCGGCGAAAGUGCUUUUUGCCAUUCCGGCAACCAAAUGGACGGCGGAAGGCAUCUACGUGUUGCUGAGGUUGAGCCGCGACUAUUGGUGGUGGUGGUUGGGCUCGGGGUGGCCGGAGUUGACGGCGGCGAGCUCGGCUGCGCCGGCCGGAGUUCGGGUGCGGUCGGAAUCGGCGUUGCAGGGCGUUAGAAGAGGUGUUGGUGCGUGCUACGUGCUCCUGGUGAGGUGUGGAGCACGAUGGUGUGCUCGGUUGGGCGCUACGGCGACCGUGGCCACGACGGCGACAUCGCCGGCGGCGUGGAGCUCUCGGUCAAGGUGGGACUAGGGCCUAGAGGUCGAAAGAGACCAGGGGAGAAGGGGGAAACGAUCCGGGGGCUCACCGCGGUUGCAGUGGGCGUCGAAGCGGGCUCGGGGACGCGCCGGAGACGACGAAUUCGACGGCGACGAUGAUCGGAGCCCGAAGAGGGGAACGGCGACGUGGCGGCGAUGCAGGGCUUCCGGGGAGCUGGGGAGCGGUGGGGAGGAAGAGGGGGUCGUGGCGGAGCUUCUGAGCUAGUCGGGGGAGCGAGGGGUGGCCGGAGACGGCUGCUGUGGCGAACGGCGGCGACGGUGGUGUUCGGCCGUGUGAGAGAGAGAGCGAGGGAGAGGAGAGGAGAGCCGGGGGAGAGUGAGAGAGAGCAGGGGGAGAGGCGUGGCGUCGUCCAGGGCAUCGAGCGAGGAGGGGAGGGCAGGCAAGCAGGCGAGCAGGUGGCGUGGCGCGGUGGCGCGCGCGCGCCGGCCACACUCCCCUCCCUCUGUCGGGACGAAGACGACAGAGGAGGGAGGUGGGCUGGGCCGGCUGCUGGCUGGGCCAGCCAGCUGGCUGGGCCGCACAGUGGAGGAGCCCAGGUAAGCUCCUCCUGUUAUAUAAUUUUCUGUUUUUUAAUUUCUGACAUUUGUUUUGAUUUAAAUAAUAUAUUAAAUCAUUUAUUUAACUUAUGCCAAUUUUUGCAGGAGCUAUUUAUAUUAUUCAAGAGCUCUUUUAUAAUUGGCAUAAUAUUUGGGCAUAUAUUAAUAUAUAUAAUUAAUAUAUUUCCAAUGCAAAUAUUUAUGCAUUUAUUCCAAAUGCCCAAAAUAAAUGUCCAUGAGCCACUAAAAAUAUUGGUUUGAUUUUUAUCUCUGUCCAAUAUUUUCAGAGAGCAACAUGAGCAUUUUCUUGGACCCUUUUGGAGAAAUUUUUAUUUGGGUCAUUUUCAAAAUGGUUCUGAGGGUUUCACAGAUCCCCAUUUCAAGUUUCUGAUGAAAGAGUAAACAUGAUGCAACACUGUAAUGCAUGACUAGCUAGGGUGUGACAUUACCCCCUAUCCAAAUUAGGCCCAGUAGCAUCAUCUGGGGCCAUCCAAUAUGAUUCCAGCCCGUUUUCACUUCUGGCCCAUGUAUGGCCCAUGACGUCUUUUGGCCCAUAUGAGGCCCUAUGUAACUCUUGGCCUAUUAAUGGCCCGUGGUGAAACUGGCCCGCAAUGAACAGUGUAUCACUUUACACCCACUAACGGCCCGUGGUGAAACUGGCCCGUAAUGAACAGUGUAUCACUUUAUACCCAUUAAGGGCCCGUUAUUCAGUUGGGCCGUUUCCAGCAAAUGUUAUCUUUCGGCCUUCUCAGAGCCCAUUUAUUCUUGGGCUCAUUUCCAGCAUUCGUUUACUUACGGCCCGUUACUAUCAUUUUCUACUUGUGGGCCAAAUUCACCCCGUUGUUACAUCGGCCCGUUUGUGGUCCAUUAAUACGUUGGGCCGUUUUCAUAGCAUCAUCAAAUACGGCCUAUUAACGAUGGCCCGUUAUGGUCAUACAGCCCGUAUAAGGACCACUGAUGAUACGGCCCGUAGAAGGCCCAUUGUUUCUACGGACCGUAGAAGGCCCAUUGUUUCUACGGCCCGUAGAAGGCCCAUUGUUUCUAUGGCCCGUAGAAGGCCUACUGUUUCUACGGCCCAUAGAAGGCCCACUGUUUCUACGGCCCGUAGGAGGCCCAGUGUCACUACAGUAAAUAUUAGCCCAUGGUUAUUGUGGCCUAAUUUUAAAAAGAACUGCACUGACUACAAGCAAACAAAUAAACAAGACAACAAGGAAAUAAAUAAGCAAGCAACUUAUGCUAGGCUAUCACGGCUGUUACACAUAUUACAUCCACUGGGCAUCAAAGUUCGCCACCAGUGCCAAUAUAGGGAACAAAGCAGCAUAUCAUAUACACUGGUUGUCAAAGUUGGCGACCAGCGCAAAUAAACACCGCAGCAAAACAAAUCCAGAAUUGAAACCACUUCAGAAGAUCUCAAUAAACAAUAUCCUGGGUACCCAUAAUGCUGGCAAGAUGCUUAGCAAGCUUAUUAACUUUCUCUUGUUUGGCGCUUAAAUCCUCCAGCGCUUGCUGUUGCACCAGAAAAUAUGCAUCUGAAUUCUGCAGGGACUUCCUCAGUCCUUCAGCUUCCUGACGCGGCACAUCUGAUCGAUGUCUUUCAACUUGAAGUUGAGACUCAAGAAGACGAACUGAUUCAGGUAGCGAGUUCGAAGAGCUUGUGCCAGCAGUAGUGGCCAAUAACUCGAACACUACAUCAAGACAGGACUUUUGGGUUCCCUCACUAUCGUCAAGAUAGUUUUUAUCAGCUUUCUUGGAGACCAACAGGGAUGUCUCACUAUCUUGAACCUUAUCUGCAUUACUUCCUUUACCAUUGGAUAACAUGGUACUGUUCUCCAAUAUUUUGUCCGCAUUCUAAAAGAGAAACAAGCAGACACAUCACAUGUUUACCAUGUUCUAUAUGAAACACAUUUUGGUAAAUGAGUUCAGUAGUAAAGUGGACAGGAUAAUAGCAUGAAACAAACAUAUAUCUAUGUGCCAUGGUCACUUUAUGGUCUUUAUCAUUCUAGUUUUUGUUGCCAAAUCAAGAUAGAGACACAGUUCAAAUAAUAUUUGUUCAAGACAAAGCAGAAUAGAUAGAAUAUAAGUGUGGGUAACUAUAGAGCAAUAACAACACUUGUAAUGUGCAUGACAUGAGAACAUAACUGUUUAUUCAAUUGAAACUGAAAUCAACAUAGAGCAGGUUACAACAGCAAACCAGUUAAAGAAACAGGUUUAAAACAUACCUGUUGCGCCAUUGGAGUUUCAAUUCCAUCCUUCAAAUUUGAAAAUAGCUGGUAUGAGUAAAUACAGUAAUGCAAGAGCAAAGGAGUAUGAACCAUAGCUACAGAACCUGACCUGAGAACAAAUCUUCUUCUCCUUUAAGCGUUGAGUUGGGAUUCGGAGUGGUGGUCCUCGUGCUUUGGGCACUGCAGUUCCCUUACUAACCGCUCGUGUUUGGGUGCUCUGUGGUGGAGACGGUGCUGUGUCAACUGGAAUUGGGUUACUAUCUACCGGGGUUGGGGUUAGAAGGGGUGUAGCUGGUUCUUUGUCCAACUGGGUAGGGGUACAAUCUGCGAGAGUCUGGGUUAUGUGUGGUGGAUCUGGUCCUUGGGCAAGUACAACCGUGGUUCUAUCUGCAUCAACUGGUAGCACUAUCUUUUCUGAAGACUGUGUUGUUACUCCCUUAGAUACUGCCAUCACGCUCUCCAAUUCAAAUGGCUGAUAAACAAGAAAAGUAAUUGAAAGUAUAGACAUUGUAUGAUAGAUAGGUGCAAUGGAUAGUGGGGAAUAAAAGAGGGCAUGAAAUAAUUCAUAUUUAUGUUGUCUAACCAAACAGCAUAGCAUGACACAAUUUCACACAUAUGAUGGCUAACUAAACAGGAUAGCAUGACACAAUUUCACAUUAUGAUGGCUAACUAAAAAAGAUGGAAAGACAUAGUUCAAAAUAUGAGACUAUGUAAACAGGAUGACAUGACAUAACUAUAUAAUGUGUUUAUUAAAUAGGUUGGCAUGCCAUAAUUCACAUACAUUCAUGGAUAGAAUGCCAUAAUUCUAAAUAUGAUGACUGUAAACACUAAACAUGAUGAGAUGACAUAACUAUAUGAUGUCUUUAUUAAAUGGGUUGCCAUGCCAUAAUUCAGGUAGAUGAUGUGUAUGUACUAUGUAAACCUGAUGGCAUGAUAUAAUUCAAAUAUAUGAUUAUAUAGUAAGCAAGUAAGCAGAUGGCAAUCUGUAUAUGAUGUAAAAACUAAGCAAUGCAAGACAACAUGCAUGACAUGGGUAAUAUAACUCUGCCAAGUUUGAGCAUAGACCUUAGGAGGGAAAUAGGACUGGUCAUCAGUCUCUGAAUCCUCCUCUGAGGAGCUCUCUGUAGCCAGCAAGAUGUCUGCUUCAGCAGGUAGCAUUGUCUACUCUGAAUACCUUGUUUUCACUCCAGAUACUUCCAUCACCGCUUUAAAUGGCUGAUGCACAGGAAGAGUAGUUGAAUAUACAAACGUUGUCGACAAAUGGAACACAUAAUACAAAAAAAAUGAUAGCAUGAUAUAAUUCACAAACAUGAUGAUUGGCUAAACAGCAUGGCAUUGCAUAAUUCACAUAUAUAAUGCCUUUGCAACAAGAUAGCAUUGUAUAAUUCACAUAUAUAAUGUCUUGCAACAAGAUGGCAAUGCAUAAUUCACAUAUAUGGUAAUUAGACACUGAAUAGGUGGCAUUCACACAAAGCAUGUCUAAACUAAUCAAAUGGCAUAGCAAUGCGAGACACCAUACGCAUGAUAUGAGCAACAUAACCCUGCCAAGUUAGAGCAUACACCUCGGGGGGGGGGGAAUAGGACUGGUCAUCUGUCUCUGAAUCCUCCUCUGAGGAGCUAUCCAUAACCAGCGAGAUAUGUGCCUCGUCAGAUAGCAUAGUCUGCUCAAAAGACCUUGUUUUCACUCCAGAAUUUGCCAUCACCGUGUCAAAUGGCUGCACAUGAAGAGCAGUUGAAUGUACUAACAUUGUUGACGAAUGUAAUAUGUAACAAAAAAAAGGAUGGCCUGAUAUAAUUUACAUAUAAGAUGACUGGCUAAGCAGGAUGGCAUUGCAAAAUUCACAUAUAUGAUGCCUGGCUAAACAAGGUGGCGUUGCAUAAUUCACAUAAAGGAUGAAUAAACUAAACAGAUGGCAUUCGCACAAAGGAUGUCUAAACUAAGCAGAUGACAUAUUUGAUGUAUAAAGUAAGCAAUGCAAGACACCAUAUGCAUGAUAUAACCAACAUUAGCAUGCCAAGUUAGCGUGAAGACCUCAGGGGGUAAAUAGGAGUUAUCUUCUCCUUCUGAAUCCCCCUCAGAACAGAUAUCUUCCUCUCGAUUACAAUCCGAAAUGCGUGGAGAGGGGCUGCCUUUGCGCCUACCAUGGAGCGACGUCUGCAUGAAAUUAUAUUGCCACGCAAGGCUCGUCUCUUUUGCUCUACAUGUUUAGUUCCAUUGUUUACAAUAACUGUCAUGCAUGGGAAUAAAACAUAGUGAGAUUAUGUAAGGAGUACAUGCAGAAAUCUAGAGUGAUGGUAGCAACCUGUGGAUAGACCCAAAACCAAUAAUAGCAGGCAGAUAAUGGCUUCAGUUAAUAAAUACAGAUAAUGGCUUCUUUACUGUUUGUUUCCCACCCAACAUGAAACUCAUAGUAGACACCGGAGAUUAACAAGAUAGUAGAUAGAUACUAUUGAUAGCGGCCCCGAUAUGUACCCCACAACCAUUUAAAAACUCAAGUUUGACCAUUAGUUUGGAGCUGACUCAAAGUCUAAUCGGUGAACAGGACGAUAAAGUAGCAUGUAAUAUUAAGCGAUGCAUAACAUAAGAAGACACGAAAGAGUGCGACCUCUCUUGCGGACCCGUGUAGUCCUCGAGGUCAUCUGCUCGGUUGAUGAUGGUAAUGCAGUUUUCAUGGCUGCCAGCGGCGGGGAAGAAGAUCUGAGGCGGCGAAAGAUAGUCUGGAGGCCGGAUCCCUGCUGUGCUGGACCCUUCUGUCAUUGGAGCAGCUGAGCUGGGGUGGACGAUGGUGCAGCAGGAGCGGGACAAACCACGCAAGGUUUUCUUUGACAACUAUCUGUAAGAGAAGUAAUUCUGUAAGGGCUCGUUUGAAUUGGAGGAUUCCAACAAUGCAGGGAUAGGAAAUAGACAGGAAUAGGAUAGGAAUGCACGUGCAAAACAGAGAAUUUAAAAACACAGGAUUUCUGCCAAUCUGGGUGUUUGAUUCACAACAAUUGGAAGAUCACAGGAUGCAAAGAAGCAUGGUGAGAUUAAGUCAAACCACAAGAAAAUGUACGGUUAUAAUGCUAUUAUGCUACUAUCUCUUAGUCUUGUGCUUCAUGAAUAGGAAUUUGAAAAGGAGGACAAGUGAAAAUUAAAAUUCCUACAUUUUUUCUUUCAAGGAGACACUAAAGGAACAAAUCCGUGUGCUCAGUGGACAAUAUAUAUAACAUGUAGAGUAAAAAAGAGAUGCAACAAGUGUAAAACCUCUUUGGCGAAGCCAUGUCGAUCUCAGCAUGAUUGGGUUGGCCGAUGAGGAUGCUCCGGCUGACUUUGCUGUCGGAGGAGGGGAAGAAGAUCUUAGGCGUCUGGAGAUGGAGCCCGAGGUACUGCUCCGCUGUGAUGGAGGGCUUCGUCGUUGGAACAGCUCCGGUGAGUUGUACGACGCCGAGGCUGAAGCAGGACAAGAGAGACAACGAACAACGUUAACCUGAGUGGAAUUCUAAUAGCAUCUCCAAUACAUGACGUAAAAUACAUAACCACAAAGUGCUAGAUGUAAAAUACAUCAGCCACUCAUCUCUGAACUUAACUGUCGAAACUGAACUUAACUGUCGACACUGAACUUAACUGUCGAAACUGAACCUAACUGUCGACAUUGAAUUCUGCUGUCGAAACUGAACGCACUAGCAAGGUGAGGCUACACGUCGGUCGACUGACUUUUUCAUCUAUGGUCAGUCGAUUUUGCAGCCAUUGGAUACAAAAUCAAGGGCCUGCAGUUCAUCUUCAACAUCCACCCCUCCUGAGCCGCUAGCCACCACCGGCCAAACAGCAGCCCCCCGCCGGCGGUGCGCUGCCCCGCCCGCCUCGAAAACACUCCCCACCGCCGGUCCGCCGCCGCCCCGGCCAUCCCUCUAGCNNNNNNNNNNNNNNNNNNNNNNNNNNNNNNNNNNNNNNNNNNNNNNNNNNNNNNNNNNNNNNNNNNNNNNNNNNNNNNNNNNNNNNNNNNNNNNNNNNNNNNNNNNNNNNNNNNNNNNNNNNNNNNNNNNNNNNNNNNNNNNNNNNNNNNNNNGCCAACGCCCCACCACCGCCGGCGACCACCGCCCCCAUCAUGAACCCUAAGAUAGAUAGUGGGGUACCUCUCCGGCAAGCCCCCCUCCCCGCUGUGGCUGGUUCUUCCUUCACCCCGGCGAGCCCACCCCUUGGAAAUCGACUGACCCAAAAGUUGAUUCAGUCGACUGAAGUGUAGCCAAAUCGGAGCAGCAUCGCAAGCAAGAGCAAGAGCGAGAGCAGCGGCGCGAGCAAGAGCAAUAGCAAGAGCAGACCAGGCAGGGGACCGAGAGCAAGAGCAGAGCAGCAGCGCGAGCAAGAGCUAAAGCAGCAACAGCUCCUACUGAUGUGGACGUCGCCGCUGAGGGAGCGGCGCCGUGGAGGAAGUGGCCGAUGACGCCGCCGUGGAUGGAGCCGCGCUGUGUCGGCUCGAGACUGAGCGCCGGCAGCACCGUGAGAUCGAAUCAAGAAGAAAAUGUGGCGAUUAGUGUACAACCUCUUUGGUGGCGCCGAUUAGGCCGCAGCUUCAUCCGAGGAAACGGUGAUGAUGAUGCUCUUCCGGUGGUGCAGGUGAAGACGGCGGUGUGGGAAUGGAGGUGGCGCGAAAGACGAGGGGAACGUUGGUGCAGCUCCUUGGAGGUGGAGGACGGGGUGGCUGAACCGGCGGGACGAUGAGAUCAACGACGGAUCCUCAUCCGGUAUGGUGGAUGAGGGACAUCGAGGUGUUGCUGUGGACGACAUCGUCGGGGAAGAGGCUCCGGCUGGGUGGCGGAUGGAGCAGGGUGUGGGGUUUCAUCGCGGGUUUUCGCGGCCUUGGUGUACGAAUGGGUGGGCGGAUGGGAUGGCAGUGGGGAACCAUGGUUUAGAGACGCGCUUGUCUGAAAUGUGGGGUAAGUUACGAAAGUACCCCCCACCGAUUUGACGCGGUUCUUUCGGUUCAGGGGUACCACGGGCAUUUCGCGUGUCGGGAUUUCACAGGAGGUAGGAGUUUUUGCGCGUGUUGUAAUUUCGGAAUAGCAAGGCGCGGGUUGAGAUGGAGGGAGUUGUCGGAGCACAAGGAGACAAAGAUAUAUCUUAAAUAUUUCGGGCUAACAAGGUGCGGGUUGAAAUUUCCGGACAAGCCUAACGUGUACUGUACCAAAUCAAUGUGCACUACAAAUGUCAUUCAAAACUUUGAAUUCAUGUUAUGUUCAAUUAAAAUAUUUUGCUACGUGUAUAAUGCAUGCAACCUACUACUCAAAUGAACGUUUUAGUGCAUUCCAAACGUAUAUACUACUGCUUCAAUAUGAACUAAAUUUGAAUAAGAUCUACAGUAAUGAUUGUUGUGAAGUCAAAGCAUUUGAAUUCGUUUCUCUGUUUUAAUAAGAUCUACAAUCAUCAUUAUUGUCAAGUUAAACCAUCAUUUGUGUAUUAUCUUCACAACACACCACAUGAUCAGUAUCGAGUUACAUAUGAACUAUGUGUACUAUAUGAACUCGAACUAGAUUUUUUGAAUCCACUUUAUUUUGAUUUCAAAUCACAUUACAUUUCUAGCUCUAGCUAGAUCUUCAUAAUCUAAAUCAUGUCUCAUAUGUAUAAUGUGUUUAUCACAUUAUGUAUGGUGCCCCGCCCCCUACGCCUACAAGUAUUUAGAUGUGAGUUGGAAACACCACACAUUACCACAAAUUCAAAUAAAAUGUGAGAAUGUUCGAUAUAUAGUAUUGUUUAGAUUGCUCGAUAUUUAGUUGUAAGCUGCAAACGCCGCACAUUAUCACAAAUUCAAAUAAAAUGUGAGAUUGUUUGAUGUAUAGUAUGGUUUAGAUUGUUCGGCAUUUAGCUGUGAGUUGCAAACGCCAUGCAUUAUCACAUUAUGGUAUAACAUGUGCACAGCACGUGUAUCACCGCUACAUUCAUGCAUGCAAGGUUUAAAACACUAUGAUCUCCUAUUCAAAUAUAUGAAUCCUCUUUCAUAUCAAAUUAUGAUCUUUGUUAGUCUCUUACACCCACACAAUCCUCUAACCUUUGUAGCUACCACUAACUUUCUCUCGUGCAUGCACACACCCUCCUCGCCCUCCCCCUCCCUCGGCAUUCUAUCCACCGGGCACAUUCAUUUUUUUCUUUAGGUCGUUCUCCCAGAGUCUCCACAACUCCUUUCUGACACACACCGAUCGAUAAACCUCUCCAGCGAUGCCUGCCUACAGCAUACAUACACAGCUUCAAUCUCCUCCUUUAUGUGUCCUAGCCUCGUGUCUCUCAUAUGGUCAGACACACGUGUAAACUCUCACCCCUCUUUUAAUCGAUCUCACAACCGCACACUCCUCCCCCUAUCUAGCUAGUAGUUGGGCCUCUCGCACCACCUCCUAGCUCCAUUAUCUCUGUCUAUCCGUCUCGUUGGGCCUUAUUUGCCUCUAACAAAUGGACGUACACCGACCGAUCUCUCGCUAUACAUAUAGCCAGCUAGGUCCUUAUAACUAAUUUUACCCACACAUCGAUCGAUCUACCUCAUUUGUUGUGUCUCUCCCUUCCUCCGACAAACAACAAUUGAUCUAUCGAUCUAGUUAGGUUUGCUUACCAAACACAUGGUUCCCCUUCAUCAUCCAUGGAUGCGUCCCGACAGAUCUAUCACGCACAGGCACACACAGAAACACAUCCCCACUCUUCUUGAUAACAUUGCAAUUCCACCCUCAGUUUGUCUAGUAGGCCUCUCCCAACAUCUCCGAGAAGCAACUCCAUCACCCAUCCAGCACUCUACCCCUCUCCCUCCCUCUCUCUCUCCUCUCUCUCUCUGUCCCAUCAUAUUUCCCGUCCUUCAGUUAUGUAUGGAUGUCGACCGAUCUCCUUCAAGACAUAGCUGGGUCUCUCCUUCUCAACACAUAUACGAGUCAUUCUACCUCCAUAGUUANNNNNNNNNNNNNNNNNNNNNNNNNNNNNNNNNNNNNNNNNNNNNNNNNNNNNNNNNNNNNNNNNNNNNNNNNNNNNNNNNNNNNNNNNNNNNNNNNNNNNNNNNNNNNNNNNNNNNNNNNNNNNNNNNNNNNNNNNNNNNNNNNNNNNNNNNNNNNNNNNNNNNNNNNNNNNNNNNNNNNNNNNNNNNNNNNNNNNNNNNNNNNNNNNNNNNNNNNNNNNNNNNNNNNNNNNNNNNNNNNNNNNNNNNNNNNNNNNNNNNNNNNNNNNNNNNNNNNNNNNNNNNNNNNNNNNNNNNNNNNNNNNNNNNNNNNNNNNNNNNNNNNNNNNNNNNNNNNNNNNNNNNNNNNNNNNNNNNNNNNNNNNNNNNNNNNNNNNNNNNNNNNNNNNNNNNNNNNNNNNNNNNNNNNNNNNNNNNNNCCUGCCACACACAAACUUGACAUGUGCCCUCUAACGUUCCCAUAGGCCAGUCGCCCUAUAUCUUUGACUUGCACACACGCACACACACACACAAUUUCGAUGGCUCUCUUCAUCGAUAUCGCACCCACCCGUACUUGAUCCUCUCCUCGACUCUAUUGAUAGCUAUGACCCCUCCCUCUCUUCUCACGGAUUGCCCGACCCUCUAUGUAUGAUAUGGAUAGGCCUCCAUUUCACACACAUUGCAUGCAAAAUUUUGUUUGAGAUGUCAUCGACACAUAUUCCCACAAAUAAUUCACGAAAUCAACCCCCCACCCCCCACCACAAAACAAAAAACACUCACGAACGCGGUUUGUAUCUAUCACACACACCCACGUAGGUGGGGGACGUGCACGAAGAGAAGAGGUGCAUGCACGGCGCACGUACUCCCGUCUCUUUCCCAACCACACGGCGCAUGCAUGGAGCUCAGUUCUGUACGAAAAAGGCAGCCCACGUGGUAAUCUGGCACGUGUACUGGUUGUCCACUUGGUGGAGGGAGGAUCGUCUACCACGGAUGAACAAACAAAUUGCGACUUGACGCGUUAUCUUAAAUAAAAAAGAGGCAAACCAUGUGGGGCCUACCUUAGAGGCAAGGCUCUAUACACUAGAGUACUUUUGAUGUGUCCCAUCAACUCGCAGAAUGAGGAGAAGCUUGCUUAGUACACCGUCUCCCCCGCCCAUGGGCGCGGUGGCUCGCAGGAUGAGGUGAAGCUUGCUCCUCCCUCGCCCAUGCGCGCGGUGGCUCACAGGACGAGGAGAAAAAUUUACUACUCCCUCUAUUUACUCCUCGUCCCUACUACCUUGGUUAUAGAGAUUAUAUCAUAUUGUUUGGAAUAUAUAUAUUGCUCUACCAUUAUUGCUCGACUUCCCGAAGAGGCGAAGAGCCAAUCGCAAGGUUAAUAUUUUGGAGAUGCCAAGCGCCAGGUUAUAGGAGAACGAGUAGUAGGUGCCGCGUCAUUUAUAAAUAAUAUUUUUUCUUCAGUGGCACGUACGCAAUAUGAUAGGUUCAUAUGGAGAGAAAAGGAAACUGCUCCACUAUAUAAAGAGUCAGGACGGGCCAGCCUACACGGUUGCUUGAUGGGGUUGCUCUCUUCACACUCUCUUGCACAAAAUGACUGUGGCCACAUCUCUAACAUCCCGGCGGAUCACGUCCGCCUGGGGAAGGGGUGGAUGCUUAGUGCAGAUGCGGUGGCCGUUGCCGAUGGCGAAAACCCACUAUCGGCACGUCCCGGUCAGGGGUCCCACCGUUCUCUCUCACAAAGCCGGUGAGGUUGCCUUCGUCCCUUGCUCACUGCCGUGACGUGGGCAGUUGCCACCUCCCACUGCUCUCCUCAAGGUUGAGCUACCUCCCUCAGGUACAACUCCCUUUACAGCCGGCUUGCACCACUGCUCCAGCUGCCCACAUCAGUCCCUGUGGAUAUUUCUCUACUUCUUUUCCCCGCACAUACCUGAUACCUCUACUGGCUUCUACGUACUGUAUUUGUGAUGAGUUUAUGUCUUGUCAACUAGUCCUAGUAAUCUUAUUCUAAUCACGCUUCUUCAAUUUCUUUGCCACAGGGAUGCUCAUCUCGAUUUUGGUGAAACUGCACAAAAUGAUCCGAUGGUCAAAAGGUUGCAAACUUCAUUUAUUAGGAAGCUCGAAUGUUGCCAGCAAAUUGAAGCCUGGUCAGGGUUCAUGGUUCAAGGGCUAGGGACUGCAUGGAUAAUUUUUUUCUUUAGCUGCCUCUGUUCCAAAAUAAGUCUCAACUUUAGUAGUAGUACAACUUUGUACUAAAGUUUGCACAAAGUUGAGACACUUAUUUUGGAACGGAGGGAGUACAUAUUUGCUAUGAUCUGUCAAUCAUUGAGAUGCAAUAGCAUGCAUGUUAGUCUCCUUUGUAUUUUAUGAAAUGUUGCAACGGGCAACCUUGGACACAAGAUACAUGUAACAGGAGCUGGAAGCUUCAUAGCAUUGUACAAAUUUAUCUCGCUGAUAAAUUACAGUACGUACUAGUACUAUACUAGUACUUCCUCCGUUCCUAAAUAUAAGUCUUUGUAGAGAUUUCACCAUUAACCACAUGCGGAUGUAUAUAGAUGCAUUUUAAGUGUAGAUUCAUUCAUUUUGUUCCGUAUGUAGUUCACCUAGUGGAAUCUCUACAAAGACUUAUCUACUAGUAAUAGCUAGCCCCCACUACUAGGAAUUCUCUAUCCUCUCCUUGAGCCACAUCAUCAAAAUUGACGUAGCCGUUAGAUGAAGUAAAUCAGUCAUAAUAGCCGUCUGAUCUAGACGUUGAGAGGCUCCGCACUAAGCCACAUGCAAGCAUGCAGAAAUACCGUGGCACAUGCAUGUGAGUGGGUUUUAAAUCACAUCAACAUGUCUGCAUGCAAGCGUGCACCGGUAGCAUGCAUGUAAGUGAGCUUUUAAGUCCCAUUAACAUGUCAAAAAGAAAAAUAUAAUCCCAUUAUGCAGUAGGAGUUUGCUGAUCUUUUUUCCUUACGCGGGAUGAUCUAAAUGAUGGUGGGAGUUUAUUUAGUUUGGCUACCACAUUUGUCAUGCGGUUUUAGAGUUUUUUUUUAGUUCUAUGAAAUUGAUAAUUUUGCGCAGAGAGAUAUACCGUUGUUCCGCAGCAAUGAGCGGGGACUCAUCUAGUAAUAUUUAGGAACGAAGGGAGUACUAUGUAAAGAGUUAGGUGUCGCACGGUGAUAGUGUGAGGUGGGCCAUGUAAUCACUGAGCCUGCGUGUUUCCACUGCUCUUGCACUCCUCCGCUGUAAGAAUGGAGAAAAUUGUAAUCUACUACCUCCUUUCACCGAAAGCGUGGGACAUCCAGUUGUCCUACCACCUCAGUAAUAAAGACCAAUGAGCCAUCAAAUCACAUAGACCCAGCAGUAAGUUGGACGGACAAAGCAACCAUCACUCUUGCGCCAGUGAGAGGUCGCGUCUGCUCUGCCCGGGCAUGAAUGCGGCACCGAUUCUUUGGAGCGGUGCUGACUGUUUCGGGCGGGAAGCACGCGUGGGCGGUGGAGGGGCUUUGGGUGGGCUAGGCUGGUCAGGAGCGGGCGUGGCAGCUGUCCGCAUGUCCCUACCGGACACGCCCGGAAACGAGAGGAUGCACCGACUCUUGCGGCUAAAAUUGUACACUACACACCAUAUCUUUGUAGGAGUAGGUCGAUCUGUCGCACUCUCUAACACACACAUGCUAUUAAACACACACACGCACACGCACGCACCUUGGUCCCGUUGCACCUUCUAACGUGACUUAUUACACCUAGACAGAGGGAGUAGUAAGUAUACGAGAUACGGUGGCACACUGACUUAAGUCGAAUACAAGUGCCCAAAAUUUGUGUUCAUGUUAUAAUAAGGAUUCACUUAAAAUAGUACGUGAGCGAACAGAGGGAUCAAUUGGACAGUGUUCCCGAGCAGUAGCGAGAUGUGUGAGGUAGUAAGAUACACCGCUGGCGCUUUUAAUUUUUCUUAAUAAUUUGUUUGUUUCACCCUCUGACUGGUGGUACCCAACGUACUACGUGGAGAGAGGUAAGGUGACUAAGGCUGCAUUAUUUCUGCACCACUUUGGAUAGUCUUACCACCAAAGCCACAUGACACGAUUAUGAUUGAAAUCCUAAUGACUCCCACACACACACACACACACAAUAAACACGGCAUGCCUGUCACACGAAUGCAGGAAUGUAUAAAAGGUUAUUUCCCUCUCGUUUAACAUAACGGGAGGGUUGUGUAGCUGGUUAGCCUCUUCACUCAUCAAACUUGAGGUCUCGGGUUCGAUAACUACACUUGAGCAUAUUUUCUGCCAGGAGGAUUCUUUGACUGGUCAAAAUGUUUUCUAGGGUUUGCACGCUUCACACUCUCUCUCCAAUAUAUAUAUAUAUAUAUAUAUAUAUAUAUAUAUAUAUAUAUAUAUAUACACGCUGGAGCCUCAGCGCUUGUAGUUGCUCUCUUCAGACUCUCUCGCCCUCUCCCGCUGGAGCCUCAGCGCUUGUAGUUGCUCUCUUCACACUCUCUCGCCCUCUCGAGAUCUAAACAAGACUUCGUUGGCCUCUCUCUCCCCUCACUGCUGCUCAAAGAGCCAACAGGAUCCGUCCGCCGGGAAGGGAAGGAGGCUUAACGUUGUCUCCGUCGGCGAGGGAGGGAAUCCACUACCGGCGCUGUUGUUCACUUUCCACCCAGCGGCGGCGCGGGAGGGCCUCCGACCCCUUCUUCUUCGCCGUCGUCCAGUCGCCCACCGAACCACGCCCCAAGAACCUUAAGGUAUAUUUUACUUACUCCACAUGCAUUGCUCUAGCUGCAUGUAUACCAUGAAUCUAGGACGUGGUUCAAAGAGGAAAGGAGUGGGGGAAAGUAGUGGGAAAAUUUGUAUAUAGAAUGAAUCUAGGACGUGGUUCAAAGAGGAAAUGAAGGGGGAAAGUUGUAUAGCAUGAAUCUAGGACGUGGUUCAAAGAGGAAAGGAAUGCGGGAAAGUAGUGGGGAAAGUUGUAUCACAUAAAUCUAGGACGUGGUUCAAAGAGGAAAGGAAGGGGCGAAAGUACUAGUUCAAAAAGGAAAGGAAGGGACAAGGCUGUAGAGUUUGAGCAGGACUAGAUUUGCUGCAAUCACAUAGGGAAAGGUGUCUAAAGAUAACAAAACUGGGACCAACACAAAUAUGCUCCUUGGUUGUUUGUUCUUUGUUGCAACAGACUAUGCAUGACCACAGUAUAUCGGUAGAUGCACAUGGUGCUGGUGCAUCCACUAUCCCGUGCAACUCAUUGGCUGUUAAUCUAUGGCCCUGUUUGGUUAAAAACUCCCUAGUCCCUACCUACUUGGUUCCAGGGACUAAACAUGGACUAGAGGUUAUUAAAUGACAUGAUAAAAGACCAUGUAACCCCUAGUGAUGAACUAAUAGAAACAAGGUGCGAUGCGUGGCAGGGGCAACUGUUGGAAAAAGUCCCAAAAAGACUCCCUCGGGGUCUUAUUUCUUUAGUCCCAAAUGCGCACUUUUAGUCCCGAAAAGUCCCUCCUGUUUGGUUUAGAUGUGAUUGACACGGAGUUUUUUUAGUCCCUACACCAAAAUGGCCCUGUAAACAAACACGCUCUAAUAAUGCCGCUGGAAAAUUGAUGCAAUGCCACAGUUAAAAGCAAAUUACAUGUUUAACGAAUUUUAUUGUUAAUAUAAUCUCUAUGUUAAUAUUAAUCAAUGCCACCAUUUGAGAAAUGCUACGGUCUUGCUUUCUUUCCCAUUUAGAUAAGGUAGAUGCUUCUUUUUGUUGGCUUCUGUGUCAUCCACUGUUAUUGACCACUAAUUGUUUCCUUUGCACCUCUGUGUAAACAGGGUUAUCUACUUCACCUUGUUGCCAUUGUGACCUUUUGUUGCACUGCACAAAACACUUUUGUUUUAAGAGUGUUUUGUGCAGUUCAACCAAAAUGUCACACCGACAACGUUGCUUGAUUGCUUGAUCUUAGUGGAACUGCACAAGAGGAGAUCUUACUUCCUAUCCAUUAAGGCGAAUUUGGUUCAGAUCUUCUUCUUGUGAGUUGUUUGAAUUCCGCAUCAUGAGAGGUUAGUACUAGCCUUCUUUCACAUGAUUCUACAGUGCGCUUUCAUAUGUUGUGCUACUUGUACGAUAAUGUUGCUUGAUUUUAGUGAACUGCACAAAUGGAGACAAGACUUCCAAUAUGUAUGUGCACCGUAAUAUCCCAUUGAGGUAAGAUAAGGAUAUUUCACAACUGCUGGCCUGUAUUUUGCCACUUCCAUCAGAAAAUUAAGUUUAGUACUAUACUUGUGCUCCCUAAUUGACAUGCCAAAUCUUACAUUGAAGGCGAAGCUUGUCUGUUAUUGAACCAAGUGAUGAAGGGGAAGAACAAGCGGAAGAAAAACAAAAAUCAACUCCCGAUGCUGUAAUGAAGCACUGGAACUGUGAUGACACAAGUAAUGAUAUAGUUUUGCAUCUUAAUUUAUUGCUAUGGCUGGAAUGAGCAAUUGUUUUACCAUUGAUUUGAUGCCAUAUGUAAUUAUCUCUACCUAUGCAAACAGGGAUCUUCUUUGAAGAUACCAUAUAUUUUAGUGGAACUAUACAAGAAGAUGUUGGAAACAUUAAACUAAUCGAGGAGUAUAUAGUAAGCAUGGCCACCCCCGUAGAUAGCAACAAAUGGUUCCCGAGAAGUGCUUCAUCUGUAUGCUCUACACAAUCAGCCUCCUGACAAAUGUUGGUACUCACCCACUGAUUUCAUCCAUAUGAUUGAGCUUUGUCAUCUCUAUUGGUGUUGUGCUACUGUUUAGAUACUGUCAUGAAAAAGUGGUAUUGUCCUUGAGAAGUGCUUUAUCUGUGCUGUUUUAAAUAUUUCCUUUCCAUUUUUUCAAGCAAACAGGGAUCAUCUUCCUCUGAAGAGGAAUAUGGAGUAUGUGAAGUGACUAGUUCCGAUUAUGCCAGGAUGAAGAAGCCAUGUCUAUCUUCUCAUCAGAAGGAGCAGUUGAAGGAUGGUUACAUUAUUCCCCACAAGACCAAACUAACUUUAGCUCAGAAGGACUGACAAAUCUCCAUUUUUUUGCUGUGAUGCACGAGUACAAUGUUGUUUUAGGAUUCUUUCUGGUGAGUUCCAUUUUUCUAAAAGUGUGCCCUACAUGGACCAUGUAUGUGCCUAUUGAAACUAUCAAUUCAUAGUACAGUUUGCUUUAUACUAAUCACUUUUUUGUAUUUGUGCAAACAAGGGUGCUCAGCUUGAUUUCAAUGGGAACUACACAAAAUGUUCAUGAAUACAUCAAAUUAUUCAUUUCCACCACAAGAAAGGAGGUGCCCAUAAGUUCAAGGCGUUGGAACAUAUAAUGGCGAAAUCAUACAAGCUACACGCGAAUUUGGUUGAUUUUGGUGGAACUGCACAAAAAGAAUAGCUGGUUUAUUUAGCACGAGGUGCCAUGUCAAUGUUCGAACUGAUGGCAAACCCUGCCCAUUCCACAAUCGUAGGCAUUUGAUAUUUUGGAAUGGGACAACCUUGUCAAAGUUUGCUCAUUGAUUUUAGCAAGAUAUGCGUUUGAUAUUUUUGAAUGGGACGCCCUUUGCUGUUAGCAGCGGCGAUCAAUUUUUUCUUUAUUCUUUAGUUGUGAAUUAAAUAUUGCCUCUGACAUGUGAGUCGCUGAGAUGCAUAAUCAUCGAUUGUUUUGAAUGUUCUCUAUGAAUUGCCAGGCCUGUGUGUUUGAUUGCAAUGUACAGAAACGCUAAAAAGAUGCUCAAACUCUCUAUACUCCUUCUGUUCCUUUUUACUUUGCACAUUGUGAAAGUGCAUACUUUUUUGUAUAAGAUUGGUCAAAGUAGAGAUACUUUGACUGCAGACAAAACUUGUAUGCAGACUAGAAAGGACCGGAGGGAGUACAUGUGAAAGUGCUACAAACGUGGUGAUCACCCAGGGAAUAAUGCUAGUACGUAUUGUUUUGCAUGUUCAUCCAAUGCCAGUGAUACAGGAAUUCGAACUAAUCAAAAUAAAUUCAUUCAUACACGGUCGGAUUUCAUAUAAACAUGCCGGAUUUCAUUACAUUUCAUACAUUCUUCAACUAAAAAGGGGUGUUUAUGGCCGCAUGCAUCUCCCAGAUGCAGAGGCCGGGGGUCAUCCUCCUUUUCGAAAAAAAACUAAAAAGGGGUGCGCUAGAGGUAUAAUUAAUUAGCCGAAGCUACCCACAUGUGUCCCGCUGAGCCGAACAGAAGCUUCAGUGACUUAACUGCAGGUGCAGUUGUGUAACUGAUAUGUGGCCUGUUGGGCCCACGUGUCAGUCAGCCAACUGCACUAGCAGUUAAGUAGAAGCAGCGUUCUUCUCCAGCGCAGCUCUCCGACUCCACGUCGGCGCCAAGAAGCUAACCGGCCGUCAAUGGUCAACCCGCCUAGCUUGGCUUUAGCCGGAGGGUAGCAGCGGUGGCCUUACUUGGACCUGAGCGGCGGCGACCUACCGUGUUCUACUCUUCCUCAUUUUCUGUGUGGCACGGCCUCGUUGGCAGCGGGGCGGGGCCUCGGUGGAGCCGGCGAUGCCUCUAUCUCGUUGCCGGCGGGCGGCGCCUCAGCGGAGCGAUGGAAAUCCUCCCCCACGUUGCUGGCAGGGUGGGGCCUUGGCUGAGCCGGCGAUGUCCUCUGCCUCGUUGUUGGCGAGGCGGGGCCUCGGCGGAGCCGGCGGUGUCCUCUGCCUCGUUGUUGGUGCCGCAGGGCCUCGGCAGAGACGGCGGUGUCCUCUGCCUCGUUGUUGGUGCCACGGGGCCUCGGCGAAGCCGGCGGUGUCCUCUGCCUCGUUGUUGGCGCCGCGGGGCGUCGGCAGAGCAGUGCAUCGUUGACGCCAGCGGAGCGGGGACUCGUCAGAGCCGGCAUUGUCCUCUGCCUCGUCCUCGGUCUCGCCAAACAGUGCCUCGCCCGCUUCAUCUCCCUCUUUGCUAGCCUCUUUGUAGGCGGCCGCAGCCUCCGACACGAGGUACGGCCAGCGCUCGAGGCAGCCCUUGCAGGCGGAGUGGUACGAGUCGAGCAGCGCCUCCUGCUCCGCCCGCUCCGCAGUGAUCUGCUCCUCCGCCUGCAGGUGCUCCUAGAGGAGAUGGUGGUUGUAGGCGGCGUCAGCCUGCGCCUCCCGGAACUGCUCCUCACGCAUCUGCCUCACCCUGUCCAUAUAUUGGGCACGGGCCUCGCCGAUGGUCAUGGUGCAAUGCACCGACGAGGAUGGCGCGGAGGAGGGGGUUGGCGCCGGAUCAUCGACUACCAUGUUCUCCAUUGGGACGUCGUCAUUCUCCGGCUGCCUGCCGGCCAGACGGUCGGUGGCAAUGGCUGCUAUCUCCUUGUGGUCCAUCGUUUGCCCGUCCCGAAGAGCGCUGGAGCGCGAGGAAGCCAUGGUGGGCAGUAGUGGUGUGGACAGGAGAAUGAGAACGGAUGCGGAUGACUGCGGCUAUUGCCGGCGCAGCAGUUUAUAUAGCAAUGGUGGGCGGGCGGUGGGACGGACGUGUGGCGCCGGAGUAGCCGCCUUGGCAACCGCAUAUCAUUAAUGUGUGCGGCAGAUGGACGGACGGACGGCACUUGUGUCGUUUGAAGGCGGAGCAAUCGCCUGCACCGAGAAGCGGGGCGGCCGGCACUGACUGUUUCGGGCGGAAAGCGCGCGCGGGCGAGGAGAUGACUUUACUUGGAUACGAUGGCAAUGGGGACCCACCAGGUCCAUAGCCUCACGUACGCAAGUGCCUCCUUAUUAUAUAUAUAUAUAUAUAUAUAUAUAUAUAUAUAUAUAUAUAUAUAUAUAGGGUGGGUCUAUUAUGAUAACACCCCUGAAGACCUUAUUCUGCACACCUAAACCUUAUUCUGCACACCACCCUAACCGACAGAGCCAGCCGAACCGAUCCACCCCACCCACUCUUUCCUCUCCUCCCACGACCUCUCCUCUCCACCUUCUUCCCCCCACCCCAGUCGGUCCUCCCGCACCUACCCUGCGUCAGAUCUGCNNNNNNNNNNNNNNNNNNNNNNNNNNNNNNNNNNNNNNNNNNNNNNNNNNNNNNNNNNNNNNNNNNNNNNNNNNNNNNNNNNNNNNNNNNNNNNNNNNNNNNNNNNNNNNNNNNNNNNNNNNNNNNNNNNNNNNNNNNNNNNNNNNNNNNNNNNNNNNNNNNNNNNNNNNNNNNNNNNNNNNNNNNNNNNNNNNNNNNNNNNNNNNNNNNNNNNNNNNNNNNNNNNNNNNNNNNNNNNNNNNNNNNNNNNNNNNNNNNNNNNNNNNNNNNNNNNNNNNNNNNNNNNNNNNNNNNNNNNNNNNNNNNNNNNNNNNNNNNNNNNNNNNNNNNNNNNNNNNNNNNNNNNNNNNNNNNNNNNNNNNNNNNNNNNNNNNNNNNNNNNNNNNNNNNNNNNNNNNNNNNNNNNNNNNNNNNNNNNNNNNNNNNNNNNNNNNNNNNNNNNNNNNNNNNNNNNNNNNNNNNNNNNNNNNNNNNNNNNCCGCCCUUCCCUCCCCUCCAGUGGCCGUGGACGUCGGCGCUCGUCGGAUCCAGCUUCCACCGCGCCUGGAUCCACUGGAUCCAUGGAUCCCCCACGCGUGUUCCCCAGUCAGCCCCCACCUCACCAACCCUACUUCCUUCGUCGCCAGCGCCCUGGCUCUGCCCGAGCCCACUUCUUUCUCCCCCUACCCCGUGGUUUGGAUCCCGUGUUGCGGCCCCACCACCAGAUCCGUCCAAGGGAAGCAGAGGGGCUCCGGGCCGCCACCACCGGCCACACGCGGCCACCACCUCCACAAAGGGGUGCUCCGGGCCACCACCGCCGGUGCCGCGCCCUUGACUUCCCCACUGGAUGCACCCUCACCAGUGGGCUAGGCCGCGAGCAUAGAGGAGGAAGGAGAAGUUCUCCUAUCGGGUGCCGCUCCCAACCAGCAUCGAUCUGGUUCCCCUCCACCUCAAUGAGCUCCUCCCUGUUUGCUACUGCUUCCCCCGAUGGUUGCAGCUCCUUUGAAUAUGUUUUGAAGCUCACUGAAUAUUUUUUGCAGUACAUUGUGAAAAUCCACAGAGAAGUCCAUUUCUUUUUAGAUGCAGUACGCCUCGUCGACGCAGCUCAUCUGAAAAAAUAGUGUGGUUCGUUGCUAUAGAAGGUUGUGAGUUAUAUCAGUGGAGAUAAUGUAAAAAUAAACUAUGCAGUUCAUUGUGUGUAUGCUUGCAAAAAGCGGUGUGUGUAUGCGUGUAGUCCACCCCCUCGGUCAUCUAUUUUUUUAGAUGACAAAAAUGUAUUGUCAGGUGCGGUGGUUUCACUUCUUUGGAAAAAUGAUUGCAGUGGGGUGUGUGUAUGCGUGCAGUGCACUGCUAUGGUCCGCUGUUAGGUGAUACUGUUUUUUGUUUUGUUCUUUUGUUUAGAAAAAAAAUCAAGUGGACUUCAGUUAGCUAUUGCAGGAGAAGAGAAAAAAAUGCAAAUUUUAGUUUGUAAUUAUUGAAGAAAUCUGAUGUAGUUCGUUUGUGUGAUGACUUGUGAUUCGCUAUGUAACAGGAAAAUGGAAAACCCACGAGGAAGCCCUUCUUAUGUAAAUGGAAAAGGAAAAAAAUCAUGUAGUCCGCUAGCCCGUCUGAUGCAGGCGGUUUUCAGUCUAAACGCAGUGCGGUUUAAUUCCUCGUCUUCAAAAGUUUGCAUCCCACAAAAAAGAAAUCAUGCAGUCCGCUAGCCCGUCUGAUGCAGUGCGGUUUUCAGUCUAAAAGCACUACGGUUUUCUUCCUCGUCUUCAAAAAUUUACGUCCCACAAAAAAGAAACCAUGCAGUUCUCUUCCCCGUCUGAUGCAGUGCGGUUUUCAGUCUAAAAAGCAGUGCGGUUUUCUUCCUCGUCUUCAAAAAAUUACGUCCCACAAAAAAGAAACUAUGCAGUUCUCUUCACCAUCUAAUGCAGUGCGGCAUUUCGUCCGAUGCAGUGCGGUUUUCAGUCGGAUGAAGUACGCACGUCGAUUUGGGUGUCGCGAAAAAUAGAGUGUCCGCAUUUCGGUAAAUUUAAAACUGCUCUUAAACCAUAAAGAAUUAAAGAGAGUGUUCUACAUGAAAAAGUUGCGCCUCGUCGAUACCUUUCCAACGACGUAUCGUUUGAGUCAUUCCGAGCAGCGGUUUGUAAAAAUUUCGCGAAAACCAGCAGCUGCCACUCGUCGUCUGCCACACGAUUUCAAAAAUUAACUUAAAACCGUAAUGAAUCUCAAAAACAUUGCAACAUAUGAAAGUUGCGCCUCGUCCAUAGCUUUUCAACGAUAUAUUACACGCCUCCUUUUGAUAAACGGUUCAAAAACUGGACCGAAAACAGUACCAAAAAUUUGAAAAAAUUUGAAAAACAGAAUUCCGCGAUUUAGUAAAUUUGAAACUGCUCUUAAACCGUAAUGAAUUAGAGAAAGAUUUAUAUAUGAAAAAGAUGCGCCUCAAUGAUAUCUAUCCAACGGCGUAUCAUUUGCUUCAUUCCGACAAGCGGUUUAGAAAAAAACGCAAAAAAACGCUCGCUGCCACUCGUCAUCCGCCGCACUAUUUUCAAAACUGCUCUUAAACCGUGUGGAAUCUCGAAAAGUAUUCAACAUGUCGAAGUUGCGCCUAAUCCAUAGCUUUUCAAUGGUAUAUUACACGCCUCAUUCCGAUAAACGGUUGACAAAUUAGAGCGAAAAUAGUACGGAAAAACACCGCGUGCAAAUUUUUUCGACACGAAGUUCACUAGUCUCUAUUGCAGUGCUCGUCGUCAAAAUGAUGCAGUGCGCUUAUAUUGAGCGUGCAGUGCCGAAGUGAUGUGCAGAAUAGUUAUUCUGCUAAUAUUAGCAUAAUAGACCGUCUAUAUAUAUAUAUAUAUAUAUAUAUAUAUACAUAUAUAUAUAUAUAUAUAUAUAUUUUGCUUCCUCCUUGUUUCCUGACAUCACGGUCCCACACCAUUGUCAACCUAUGUACUCCCUCCUUUCCGGUUUAUAGGGCUUAUCUCAAAAUUUUAGCUUUUCCAUUUUAUAAGUCUCAAUUUGGUUGUUUUCCAUCACAUGUUCAGAUUCCAAGGUGCAUUAAAUCAUUGCAUGCAAGUAUUAAGAGAAAAUUGACCAAUGCAUGUACUUUAUGCAUGCAUGCAUUGCAAUUAAUGCAUUGAUAAACAUAAUUUUUUGAGAAUAACAAGAGCAUUAAUUGGGUGCUUUUGCAAAACUACAAAAAGUAUUCCACCACUCGCCAUCUACCUUGAUUGGUGAGAUUUUUGAAUUAAGAAUUAUAAACCGGAAAGGAGGGAGUAGUCAAUAAACGAAAGAAUUGCACAAGAAGCAGCUGACAGCUGGGACCAAGCAGCUCGAGCAGUAUUUGUGUUUUUGAGGUGUGAGCACUUCAGAGUUUUUCGAUGUUUACCCCAGAUAUUAAUUUUUCUCCUCUGAACAACAACGAAAACAUCGCUGCAGGUAUUAACUGGGCGGGCUGUGGCCCGUCUAGCCCAGGCCAGAUAUCCAGCCCAGAUAUUAAUUUUUUUCAAGCUGGAAAUGGCUAGCCCAGCUAUACUUUUUUUAGGAAUACCCAAGCAAGGUCAAGUUGUUAUUCUCCGCCCCGCUGGGCUGCAAAUCUUUCCUAGGAGGGAUGCAUUAGGUUUAACAAGAAAAUGGGCUUUAAGAAAUAAUAAAUGGGAUGCAAUUAUAAAACUGGGUAGUAACUAUAAAAAAAUGCACCAAACAGUGAUUACUUUAUAAAAUAUUAUUUUUGGAAUAUUAAAAUUUUAAUUUAUUAAUUGUUGCGAGCGGAAUGUUUUGUUGGAUUUUUACGCAAUAUAAAUUUAUAUUGAAAUUGCAUUUAAUCUGACUAGAAAUUUCGGGAUAAAAAUAUUCGGAUCCCAUCAAAAUGUGGGAAAUUUUAUUGAAUUCUGUUUUGAACGGUUGGUUCAAAUGGGUUGUACUUUUAACAAACUGUAAAUGUGUUGUAGUAAAUUCCAUUAGAAUUCAAAAAUGGGCUACACAUUCUUACAAAUCUCAAAUGGGCUAUAAGUUCUCUGCCACACACUUCUGGCCUUACUAAGUUGACGCGUCCCCUAGAAAAAACAGAGUUGACGGGUAUGCAAGGCUUUGUCAACUUAUAGUCAACACACGGUUCUAGCAGCAGUGGCCGUUGGAUGUCCAUCCAACGGAUGCCAUGCUUCUUCUUCAAUCUCGAAUAUUCUAGCUUCACCUGUCCAAAAAAUGAUACAUCCCCCUGACAUCUAGGGCGCACCGUUUCGGAAGCUGACCUGUGGGCCUACUAAGUUGACCGUACGAUGUCCAUCCAACGGCCGUCGUGCUUCUUCAACCUCUGGUCUUCUUGCUCCAGCCGCCCAAAGCAGCGCCGGUAAUGCCGCCUGCUCCUACCUCCCGUGGCCGGCUGUGCUGCCGCGGAGGCCUCACCGCCCCCUACUACUCCCACCGCUGGCCAGGCCAUCCCUCCACUCACCCACACCCCCUGUUAUUCUGCGGCGACGGCAGCGCAGCCGAACCAAUGAACCCUCGUACUCCUCUUCGCGUGUGCAUCCACUACCGCGUCUUCCCCGGCUCCGCGCCGUCCCCUUCCUAGGCCUCGCCGUCGUCCACCGGCGUGGUGCUCUCGGCGCGGCGUGGUCAACGUGGUCAAGGAACGACUUCCAUCGGACGUGGACUGUAUGUGGAGAGGCUGACAGCUGGGUCCACGGCAGCCGCAAGGAAGUGCCUCCUUAUUACGUGCAAAAUAAUUAUUCCUUCACCUAAUAGCGGGGACCCAUCGGACGGGCCAUCGUAUUUCGCGAAAAAAAUGAUUCGCCCCUGACUACUGGGACCCAUGAGCUACAUCUUCGCACGCAAGGAAGUGCGUCCGGGAAAAAAAUGAUUCGCCCCCUUAACUGCUGGGACCCACCAGCUACAUCUUCGCACGCAAGGAAGUGCGUCCGAAAAAAAAUGAUUCACCCCCCGACUGCUGGGACCCUCCAGCUACACCUUCGCAUGCAAGGAAGUGCGUCUGGGCAAAAAAAACGAUUCGCCCCCCUGACUGCUGGGACCCAGCAGCUACACCUUCGCACGCAAGGAAGUGCGUCCGGGCAAAAAAAAGAUUCGCCCCCCUGACUGCUGGGACCCAGCGGCUACACCUUCGCAAGCAAGGAAGUGCGUCCGGGCAAAAAAACGAUUCGCCCCCCGUACUGCUGGGACCCACCAGCUACAUCUUCGCAAGCAAGGAAGUGCCUGACAGUCGGGACCCACCUGGUCGAAGCGUACGUAGCGUUGUCAUCCUGGUCGCGAACGUGUACGUACAUACUGGUCGAUGUAGAGGCGCGCACGUGUCGUAGUAGAGGCGCGCACGUGUCGUAGUAGAGGCGCGCACGUAGCAUGUACAUGUACAUACAGCGGCCAGGGUGCAAGAAAGAAAAUACGGCCACGUAUGUGUACAUACGGGUGGGGUCUCGAACGCCUAGUCGCGCAUACAUACGGCGAGGGCUCGUGUUCAUGGGGAGGCAACGAAAUGCGUCAUGUUCAUGGGCAGGCAAUGGAAUGCGUCAUGUUCAUGGGGAGGCAACAGAAUGUGUCGUGUUCAUGGGGAGGCAAAGGAAUGUGUCGUGUUCAUCGGGAGGCAACGGAACGCGUGGGAGCCAACCGGCUGGGUCGAAACGGAAUGCGUGGUCGUGUUUGGGAGGGCUUGGACGGAACGGGCGAUGGAAACGAGGCCUGGUGUACCACACAACGGAGGAAACGGACCUCCUAUGUUCGGAACGGGGUCCUGUUGAUUGGGAGGGGUGUGGCAUACCGUAAAAAGGAGGAAAUGGACCUCCUACGGUCGAAACGGGGGUCCUGUUGAUCGGGAGGGGUGUGGCGUACCGCAAAACGGACGAAACGGACCUCCUACGGUCGAAACNNNNNNNNNNNNNNNNNNNNNNNNNNNNNNNNNNNNNNNNNNNNNNNNNNNNNNNNNNNNNNNNNNNNNNNNNNNNNNNNNNNNNNNNNNNNNNNNNNNNNNNNNNNNNNNNNNNNNNNNNNNNNNNNNNNNNNNNNNNNNNNNNNNNNNNNNNNNNNNNNNNNNNNNNNNNNNNNNNNNNNNNNNNNNNNNNNNNNNNNNNNNNNNNNNNNNNNNNNNNNNNNNNNNNNNNNNNNNNNNNNNNNNNNNNNNNNNNNNNNNNNNNNNNNNNNNNNNNNNNNNNNNNNNNNNNNNNNNNNNNNNNNNNNNNNNNNNNNNNNNNNNNNNNNNNNNNNNNNNNNNNNNNNNNNNNNNNNNNNNNNNNNNNNNNNNNNNNNNNNNNNNNNNNNNNNNNNNNNNNNNNNNNNNNNNNNNNNNNNNNNNNNNNNNNNNNNNNNNNNNNNNNNNNNNNNNNNNNNNNNNNNNNNNNNNNNNNNNNNNNNNNNNNNNNNNNNNNNNNNNNNNNNNNNNNNNNNNNNNNNNNNNNNNNNNNNNNNNNNNNNNNNNNNNNNNNNNNNNNNNNNNNNNNNNNNNNNNNNNNNNNNNNNNNNNNNNNNNNNNNNNNNNNNNNNNNNNNNNNNNNNNNNNNNNNNNNNNNNNNNNNNNNNNNNNNNNNNNNNNNNNNNNNNNNNNNNNNNNNNNNNNNNNNNNNNNNNNNNNNNNNNNNNNNNNNNNNNNNNNNNNNNNNNNNNNNNNNNNNNNNNNNNNNNNNNNNNNNNNNNNNNNNNNNNNNNNNNNNNNNNNNNNNNNNNNNNNNNNNNNNNNNNNNNNNNNNNNNNNNNNNNNNNNNNNNNNNNNNNNNNNNNNNNNNNNNNAAGCAUCGAUCGGCUUCAUUUAGUAGCAGUAGCGAAGGAAUUGCUCCAUCGGGUUCAAUUAACAGCCAUCGAUCGAUCGCUCGGGUUCAGUAACGCGUAGCCUGUAGUGCAAUCGCUCGGGUUCAGUUAGAGCCCAAUGCCUCGCUCGGGUUCAGUUAGAGCCAACGCCUCGCACACACGUGCGUACCUGUAUGAGAGAAACGCGCAUCGCUCCGCCCCCGACCUCCCACCAUAACCGGCAACUCCCCAAAAAUUUCCUCCCCCUCGCUUCUACCACGGUUUUUUCCGUCAUGGACGGCCCAAAGAAUGUCAUGCAGCUGCGUCUCUGGCCCGCCCAGGACGAAAAGCCCAUUUUCUGUCAUGAUUUUUUGUCAUAGAAGUAGGAGCCCACCACAUCUAUGAUGAUACCGGGUUUUGUCACAAUUAUCGUCAUAGAAGUGUCACAUGUAUGACAGGAAAAAAAUUCGUUCGUCCCAAAAUGUCACAGAUGUGUCUUUUUUUGUAGUGCAAUCUCGACUGUCAUCAGAUAUCUGUCCUUCUUGAAUUUGAUCUCCUCAGAGCCAUCGUCUCUUCUCACCAGCAGGGCCCCGUUCAAUGCCUCUGCAUCCCGACAUGCUACCUGCUGUCCAUACCCGGCACGGUGGACGCUUGGCUGACACCCCCUGAAUUCGGAAAACUCCAGCAGUUUGAGUUGUACCAUUACCACAAAAGUUUCAUACCACGAACACACCAAGAAUUCGUGCCCACACCACCAUUGUCCAUCUCACGGUUUUCCUCCUCUCUCCACACCGCCACCUUCGCCCGGUGCCAUCUACCAGACGAUCUGGUACAAAUGCUUCGACUCCCAUUGCUAAAAAAACUUCCGCUUGUGGUGGUUUAUCUGUCGGAGGCCUCACUGUACAGCAUCAUCCACUCCAGUUGCCCUGCCCUCGAGUGCUUGCUUAUUGUUUUGGGAAUAGAAAUCCGUAUUAGUUGUCUCCAAAUAAAGUCGCCUCACCUUAAAAGCAUUGGAAUUUGAUUUGAAGGACAGCAGCUCAUCAUCGAAGAUGCCCCUUCACUUCAAAGGUUGCUCCUUGACAAUUGUAUACACUUUCACAAAUAACUGUCGUCUCUGCAUCCAAACUAGCGACCUUGGGUGUAAUUCGUGACCCGUUUAAUGAUCACAAGGAGUUGGUGGUUGGCUCCUCACUUUUUCAGGUACCGUAUAUUAUCAUCUACACAUUUGUAAUCAUAAGCUGCAUUUUUCAUUUGUGCACAUAAGUUUUAUAUCAUCUUGGAGUACACUUUGGGUACUAAUAUUAUGUUAUAUGCUUAAUGAAUAGUUCACCCAUUGAUAGCCUAUCAAUGCUGCUGGAUUCUGUCAAGAUCAUGUAUAUCAGAAUGUUUAGUUUUGAUCUGGACAUAAUUAUUGGCUUCCUGCAAUGCUUUCGAUCUCUGGAGAAUUUAUAUAUAGAGGUGAUGAUUUCAUGCACAUUGAAAGCCCGUAUAUAUUGUACUAGAAUUAACUAUUCAGCUGUCGGUCUUUCGACAUACUCUUUUUUCAGACCUUAACUAUUUUCAAUCUUCAUGUCUACUUAGGCAGAACCACACGGAGAAAAACAUAUAACCAAUCGGUGGCGUAAUAAGCAACAGGAUUUUCUUAGUUCUCAUGACAUUCGUUUGAGGACAAUAACGAUGGAACGAUAUGCAUCCAACCAGGCAGAUAGAAGCUUUGUCACAUUCUUCAUGUUGAACGCGAGGUUACAAUUGUCCAUGAGGCUUAAUUUUUACUGCAAGAGAUUUCUCACGGACGGACAUGUUGAACAGCAAAAAAAAGAAGUUUCAGGUGGACAAAUGGGCUUCUAAACGUGCUCGGCUUCUAUUUACAACAAGUUCUAGUCAUCCUGAAAUAAUUUUUUUUGCAUAGGAUGUUGAUUUUAUGGAUCAGACCGACCCAUUUGUUUGUGACUGCAAAAAAGAGUGGUUGGGUUAGAUGUUAUUGUCAUGUUCAAUCUGGGUUUCGUCUAAAAACUUGAUGAACAAUUAAUCCUUGGGCUUUUUGUACCAUUUGUAUGCUUGAGUUGCAUGUUGUUGCCCUCAUACUCCCCUCCACCAGCCACUACACUGCCGCAUCUUCGACGACUGUUGUUCAUUCCCGUCCGAGGCCUCGCCAUCGUUCUCCGCCUUGGUUCACUCGCUGUGCCCGCCACCGUCGGGUGUGGUCUACAUGGUCAACAACCAAGAGGAAUCAAGAGAUGACUGUACGUGGAGAUGCUGACAGUAGGGACCCACCAGGGUCAUUGCAUUUCGCAAGCAGGUGCCUCGUUAUUACAAGCCAAAAAAAUACUUCCUCCUAAUUGUUUGACAACUAGCUCCCACACCAUUGUCAAUGUAGUCAAUAAACGAGAAAAUUACACAACAAGCGGAUAACACCAGGGACCCAGCAGCUCGCCCAGUUGUUUUUUAGUUUCAGAGACAGAGCUCAACUGCACGCUGUGCGGGGGCUGUGGCCCAUCUAGCCCACGCUUACGCUUUUAUUAAGCACAUGACGAGCCCAGUUAAUAUAUUUUUUAUUUCUAAAAAUGGCUAGCCCAGUUCUUUUUUUGGAGAAUACCAAAACCGAGGCCUACUUGCUUUUCUCAGCCCUGCUGGGCUGCAAAUCUUUCAAGACGAGGAGGGAUGUAAGUAGUAAGAAAUGGGCUUCCCUAGGAAAUGGGCUGUAAGUUGUAAGAAAUGGGCUAUAAAUUUUUAAAACCAAAGCCAACCGACAAUUGCAUUAAAAUAUCAUUUUCAGGAUUUCUCUAGUCUCUACUCUUAUAAAAACCAAAGUAAAGUGGCAAUUACAUUAAAAUAUCAUCUUUUCUCCCACAAUAUAAACUACUCGUACAAAUGCAUCUUCAUGUUUCGUGCAACAAACGGGCAUCUUGCUAGUUAAGAUUCUAAAUUUCAUUCUUUUUUUCCAGAGAAUUGUUUUUUGAAUUUUAUUUUGAUAUAAUUUUUGAAAAUUAUUUUUAACGUGACCCGAAAUUUCGUGAUUAAAAGAGUUCGGACCCCACCAAAAUAUGCAAAAUUUCGUUGUUUUUUAGCAGUGCCCAGAAUAUAUGGUCUGUAAUGCUAAUAAAAAGAAUAUGGGCUUCAAAUAUCCUUAAGAAUUAGCAAAUGGGCUGUAAAUUGUUGAAAAUAGUGGCUAAUGGGUUGUAUGCUGUUUUCCACAGAUUUGGAGGCUGACUUCUGGGCCUACUAGGUUGACAAUGACAUUGUCCUAAUUUUUUUUGACGCGUACGCAAGGCUUUGUCAACUUAGUCAACACACAACAGUGACUGUUGGAUGUCCAUACAAAGGCCGCCGUGUUUCUUCAAUCUCUGAUCUUCCUGCUCCAGCCACCCAAACCAGCGCCGGUGGGACUGCCUGCUCCCUCCUCCCGUGGCUGGUUGUGCUGCCGCCAGGCCAUCCCUCUAACCACCCACACAUCCUGUUAUUUUCCGGCGACGUCAGCCUCACCCCGCAUCCGACCAGUCAGCGCUCAUACUCUCCUCAGCAUGGGCAUCCGCUGCGGUGGCUUCACCGGCUCCGGGUGGUUCUCUUCCUGGGCCUCGCCCUCGUCCACCGCGUUUGUGCUCUCGGCGCGGCGAGGUCAACAUGGUCAACAAACAACAGCCAUCGGAAGAGGCUGACGUAGGGGCCCACACAGGGAAAUGCCUCCUUAUUACAUGCAAAAUAAUGAUUCCUCCACCUGAUAGCUGGGAGCCACCAGAAGGGCCUNNNNNNNNNNNNNNNNNNNNNNNNNNNNNNNNNNNNNNNNNNNNNNNNNNNNNNNNNNNNNNNNNNNNNNNNNNNNNNNNNNNNNNNNNNNNNNNNNNNNNNNNNNNNNNNNNNNNNNNNNNNNNNNNNNNNNNNNNNNNNNNNNNNNNNNNNNNNNNNNNNNNNNNNNNNNNNNNNNNNNNNNNNNNNNNNNNNNNNNNNNNNNNNNNNNNNNNNNNNNNNNNNNNNNNNNNNNNNNNNNNNNNNNNNNNNNNNNNNNNNNNNNNNNNNNNNNNNNNNNNNNNNNNNNNNNNNNNNNNNNNNNNNNNNNNNNNNNNNNNNNNNNNNNNNNNUGGAAGUGCCUCCUUAUUACGCACAAAAAAAUGAAUACUCCCCCUGCUAGCUGGGACUCACCUUGGUGGGAGGCUGACUUGUGGGCCUACUAAGUUGACAUGGACGGAGGGCUUUGUCAACUUAGUCAAUAUGAACGAUUCUAGCUCCAGUGACCGUACGAUGUCCAUCCAACAGCCGUAGUGCUUCUUCAACCUCUAGUCUUCGUGCUCCAGCCGCCCAAAGAAGCGGCGGUCGUGCCGCCUGCUCCUGCCUCCUAUGGCCGGCUGUGCUGCCACAGAGGACUCACCGCCCCAUACUAUUCCCACCGUUGCCCAGGCCCUGCGGCAACGGCAGCCUCACACCAAAGCCGAACCAGCGAACCUUCAUACUCCUCACCGUGCGAGCUUCCACUACCGCGUCUUCCCCGGCUCUGUGUCGUCCCCUUCCUAGGCCUCGCGUCGUCCACCGCCCUGGUGCUCUCGGUGCGGCAUGGUUAACAUGGUCAAGGAACGACUUCCAUCGCAAGAGUACUGUACAUGGAGAGGCUGACAGCUGGGUCCAAAACGGCUACAAGGAAGUGCCUCCUUAUUACGUGCAAAAUAAUUGUUCCUCCACCUGACAGCGGGGAUCCACCGGACGGGCCAUCUUAUUUCGUGAAAAAAAUGUUUCCCCCAGACUGCUGGGACCCACCAGCUACAUCUUCGCAUGCAAGGAAGUGCGUCCAGGUAAAAAAACGAUUCGCCCCCCUGACUGCUGGGACCCACCAGCUACAUCUUCGCACGCAAGGAAGUGCCUGACAAUCAGGACCCACCUGGUUGAAGCGUACGUAGCGUUGUCAUUCUGGUCACGGACGUGUACGUACAUACUGGUCGAUGUAGAGGCACGCAUGUGUCGUAGUAGAGGCGCGCACGUACCAUGUAUACGUAUAGCGGCCAGGGUGCAAGAAAGUAAAUACGGCCAUGUACGUACAUACGGGUGGGGUCUCGAACGCCUACUCGCACAUACGUACGGCCAGGGCUCGUGUACAUGGCUGGGUUGGAACGGAGAAAAAGCGUCGUCGUCGUGUUCAUGGGAAGCCAACCGGCUGGGUCGGAAUGGAAUGCGUCGUCGUGUUCAUUGGGAGGGCUUGGACGGAACAGCCGAUGGAAACGAGGCCUGGCGUACCGCAGAACGGAGGAAACGGCCUUGUGUUUGACCGGCCAUGUUCGAAACGGGAUCCUGUUCAUUAGGAGGGGUCUGGCGUACCGCAAAACUGAGGAAACGGACUUGUGUUGGACCUCCUAUGGUCGAAACGGGGUCUUGUUGAUCGGGAGGGGUGUGGCGUACCGCAAAACAGAGGAAACGGACUUGUGUUGGAGCACUAUGGUCGAAAUGGGGGUCCUAUUCAUCGAGAGGGGUCUGGCGUACCGCAAAAUGGGACUCCACGGGAUACUGUUCAUCUCCACCGCCGACCUCCUCCGGCUUCCAUGGGCUACUGUUCAUCCACCGUCGACCUCCUCCAGUCUCCACCUGCGACUGUUCAUCCAUGGGCUCCUGUUUAUCCAGCCUCCACCGCGUGCUACUCCACCGGCUACUGUUCAACCACCCCUCUCCACAGGCUCUUGUUCAACCACCCCUCCACGGGCUACUGUUCAUCCACCCCUCCACCAUCUACUGUUCAUCCAGCCCUCCACGGGGUCAUCCUGUUCCUCUAGUCCUCCACGGGGUCCUGUUCAUCCAGCCCCAACCAGCUCGAUCGAUCGGGGUCCUGUUCAUCCAGAGGCAACACCACGGGGUCCUAAUCAUCCACCCCCACCGCUCACUGUUCAUCCAAACCUCCCAGCAACUCUCACUGUUCAUCCACAGGAAGCAUCGAUCGGCUUUAGUUAGCCUCAGUAGCGAAGGAAUCGCUCGAUCGGGUUUAGUUAACAACCAUCGAUCGAUCGCUUGGGUUCAGUAACGCGUAGCCUGUAGUGCAAUCGCUCGGGUUCAGUAGGUGAACACCUCGCUCGGGUUCAGUUAGAGCCCAACACCUCGCACCCACGUGCGUGCGUGUACGAGAGAAACGUGCAAACCUUUGUGCAUCGCUCGGCCCCGACCACCCACCGUAACCGGGAACUCCCCGAAAUUUUCCUCGCCCUCGGUUCUACCACGGUUUUUCUGUCAUGGACGGCCCAAAGAAUGUCAUGCAUCUGCGUCUCCGGCCGGCCCAGGAUGAAAAGCCCAUUUUCUGUCAUGAUUUUUUGUCAUAGAAGUAGGAGCCCACCACAUCUAUGAUGAUACUGGGUUUUGUCACAAUUAUCGUCAUAGAAGUUUCAUAAGUAUGACAGAUAAAAAUUUCGUUCGGCCCAAAAUGUCACGGAUGUGUCCUUUUUUUGUAGUGAAAACACACAAGUUGAUCUUUACCUGUGUGCGGUGCCCCCAUCCACAGUUUUCCACCCCGUUCAUAUCAUCGUAGUGCUUAGGCGAAGCCCUGCGCCAGUAACUUCAUCAUCACCGUCACCAUGCCGUAGUGCUGACGGAACUCUCCAUCGGCCUCAGCUGGAUCUAGAGUUCGAGGGACUUCACCGAGCUGAACGUGUGCAGAUCGCGGAGGUGCCAUGCAUUCGGUACUUGAUCGGUUGGAUCGCGAAGACGUUCGACUACAUCAACCGCGUUACUUAACGCUUCCGCUUUUGGUCUACGAGGGUACACGGACACACUCUCCCCUCUCGUUGCUAUACAUCAUCUAGAUAGAUCUUGUGUGAUCGUAGGAAUUGUUUUGAAAUUACCGUGCUCCCCAACAGUUGCAUCCGAUCCAGGUUUAUGCGUAGAUGUUAUAUGCAUGAGUAGAACACAAAGAGUUGUGGGCGAUAAUAGUCAUACUGCUUACCACCAACGUCUUACUUUGAUUCGGCGGUAUUGUUGGAUGAAGCGGCCCGGACCGACAUUACAUGACCGCGUUCAUGAGACUGGUUCUACCGACGUGCUUUUGCAGAAAGGUGGUUGGCGGGUGUCUGUUUCUCCAACUUUAGUUGAAUCGAGUUUGACUAUGGACGGUCCUUGUUCAAGGUUAAAACAACACACUUGACGAAAAAUCGUUGUGGUUUUGAUGCGUAGCUAAGAAUGGUUCUUGGUAGAAGCCCGUAGCAGCCACGUAAAACUUGCAACAACAAAGUAGAGGACGUCUAACUUGUUUUUGCAGGGCUUGCUGUGAUGUAAUAUGGUCAAGGCAUGAUGUGAUAUAAAUUGUUGUAUGAGAUGAUCAUGUUUUGUAACAAAGUUAUCGGCAACUAACAGGAGCCAUAUGGUUGUCGCUUUAUUGUAUGCAAUGCAAUCGCCAUGUAAUUGUUUUACUUUAUCACCAAGCGGUAGCGAUAGUCAUAGUAACAAUAGUUGGCCAGACGACAACGAUGCUAUGAUCGAGAUCAAGGUGUCGCGCCGGUGACGAUGGAGAUCAUGACGAUGCUUCGAUUAUGGAGAUCAUGAGCACGAGAUGAUGAUGGCCAUAUCAUGUCACAUAUUUUGAUUGCAUGUGAUGUUUAUCUUUUAUGCAUCUUAUUUUGCUUAGUACGACGGUAGCAUUAUAAGAUGAUCCCUUACUAAAUUUCAAGGUACAAGUGUUCUCCCUAAGUAUGCACCGUUGCUACAGUUCGUCGUGUCGAGACAUGAUACGUCCAUUUUGCAUCAUGCUUUAAUAUCGAUAUUUAUUGCAUUAUGGGCUGCUAUUACACGUUAUGUCACAAUACUUAUGGCUAUUCUCUCUUAUUUUACAAGGUUUAACAUGAAGGGGGAGAAUGCCGGCAGCUGGGAUUCUGGGCUGGAAAGGGAGCAAAUAUUGGAAACCUAUUCUGCACAGCUCCAAAAGUCCUGAAACUCCACGAAAGUAAUUUUUGGAAUUAAUAAGAAUUAUUGAGCGAAAUAAGUACCAGAGGGGGCCUACACCCUGGCCACGAGGGUGGGGGCGCGCCCACCCCUACUGGGCGCGCCCCCUACCUCGUGGGGCCCCUGGUGGCCUUCCGGUGCCCGUCUUCUGCUAUAUGAAGUCUUUUACCCUAGAAAAAAAUCAUAAGCAAGCUUUCGGGACGAAACUUCGCCGCCAUGAGGCAGAACCUUGGCGGAACCAAUCUAGGGCUCCGACGGAGCUGUUCCAUCAGGGAAACUUCCCUCCGGGAGGGGGAAAUCAUCACCAUCGUCAUCACCAACGAUCCUCUCAUCGGGAGGGGGUCAAUCUCCAUCAACAUCUUCACCAGCACCAUCUCCUCUCAAACCCUAGUUCAUCUCUUGUAUCAAUCUUGUAUCAAAACCACAAAUUGGUACCUGUGGGUUACUAGUAGUGUUGAUUACUCCUUGUAGUUGAUACUAGUUGGUUUAUUUGGUGGAAGUUUAUUUGUUCAUAUCCUUAAUGUAUAUUAAUACCCCUCUAAUCAUGAACAUGAAUAUGCUUUGUGAGUAGUUACGUUUGUUCCUGAGGACAUGGGUGAAGUCUUGCUAUUAGUAGUCAUGUGAAUUUGGUAUUCGCUCGAUAUUUUGAUAAGAUGUAUGUUGUCUCUCCUCUAGUGGUGUUAUGUGAACGUUGACUACAUGACACUUCACCAUUAUUUGGUCCUAGAGGAAGGCAUUGGGAAGUAAUAAGUAGAUGAUGGGUUGCUAGAGUGACAGAAGCUUAAACCCUAGUUUAUGUGUUGCUUUGUAAGGGGCUGAUUUGGAUCCACUAGUUUCAUGCUAUAGUUAGGUUUACCUUAAUACUUCUUUUGUAGUUGCGGCUGCUUGCAAUAGGGGUUAAUCAUAAGUGGGAUGCUUGUCCAAUAAAGUGCAGCACCCAAACACUGGUCCACCCACAUAUCAAAUUAUCAAAGUAACGAACGUGAAUCAUAUGAGCGUGAUGAAAACUAGCUUGACAAUAAUUCCCAUGUGUCCUCGGGAGCGCUUUUCUCAUUAUAAGAACUUGUCCAGGCUUGUCCUUUGCUACAAAAAGGGAUUGGGCCACCUUGCUGCACCUUAUUUACUUUCAUUGCUUGUUACCCGUUACAAAUUAUCUUAUCACAAAACUAUCUGAUACCUACAAUUUCAGUGCUUGCAGAGAAUACCUUACUGAAAACCGCUUGUCAUUUCCUUCUGCUCCUCGUUGGGUUCGACACUCUUACUUAUCAAAAGGACUAUGAUAGAUCCCCUAUACUUGUGAGUCAUCAAGACUCUUUUCUGGCGUCGUUGCCGGGGAGUGAAGCCCCUUUGGUGAGUGCAACUUGGUAAGGAAACAUUUAUAUAGUGUGCUAAAAUUUACUGUCACUUGUUACUAUGGAAACUAAUGUGGCACCCCGGCUCAGAGAAACCGGAACGCCCCAUAUUCCAGCCCAGAGAUCGAGGAGAAGUAUUCUGGAAUACGGCACUGCUUAGCAUAGAACAAACCGGCUUUCUAUUAUUACAUGAAUAUGAAUACAAGGUCUCCGGUAUUACAAUGAAUAACAUCGGCACGGCGACACUACGCCAUCCUCAGUUGCUCUAUGCAAGCAGCAUAACAACUCGAAGCAGUGGAAAUAACUCUAGCAGCGGAACAACGGCGACGGUGGUGAACUCCACUCCGUAGGGACUCUGGCUGGAACGCUUAUCCUAGCUCGCACGAACGGAAACCACGACAAGCAAGCAAUCAAAUCCGGCAUGACCUGCAAGCUGGCAUGACACGCCAGGUCAGUACAUUGAAUGUACUUGCAAGCUCACAAUAAACCUGAAGCAUUCAAGGCAGACAACAGCAUGGCAAUUACAGGUUAAGCAGGAAUUAACAGGAUAUCAUCAGAACAAUAUAACAUGGCAUGACCAACAUAAACACAACACAGCUAUCACAACAUGAACAUAUUAAUCCAACAAUACUAGCAUGCAACAUGAAACCACUAUAUGCACCACUUAUACUGCUCGGUUACCUCGUAACCAACACAUGCAUCACUUACCAACCUCGGACAUCACACGAUCAUCUCAGGAUCAAAUCAAGCUUGGCAUGAACAAUACCGUAGCGAUCAUUAAAUAACCACAAGGAGCUUGAUCUUUACCCAUGACUCUCGUACAACAUCACGAAUAUACAACAACUCGGUAUCCUCGAUACCAUUGUGAUCUUUACAGCGAUCACCACCCGACCAACACUUGGCCCGUGAUCCUUACGGUGAUCACAACCCGACCACUACAUGGCCCGUGAUCCUUACGGCGAUCACCACCCGACUAACACAUGGCCAACUUAUUUCAUUGUUAUUAAGCAUAUUAUUCUUAUUACUGUUGACUCAUGGUGUGACCUACUUUUGACCUGGGCCCUUAUCCGCGGGCGUGGCUAUCGAUAGAUUAAUAUACACUCUGUAGAGGUUAGUACAUUGUACCCACACUACGGAACCCAUGGCCUCACUCUCCCAUUCGGGUGGACCAUCGGCGUUCCGACAAAACCGAUCUAUUGUCAUGAUACUCUCCCGGCCCUUCCGACUCAGACCCCACUAGGCUAGUCCUGGGUGGCCCCGUGUCUACCUCCAGACACCUCGACCACCGUCGUGGCCACGAUCCAUACUGGGAUCCGGUACCAAAAUUAACUUAACAACGGGCUCACAAGGUUAUGCUCUGCCUACCUGAUCAGGGUAGCACGCGCCCAUAACCUUCCCUACAUUGAGGUACCGACCAGAGGCACGACAAUAGACCCAGUUAGGACCGUCCCAUACCGGUAAUCGUGGUUGCACUGGUCAGCAUCGAUUCAGCGGCACCAUGACUCAGCCAACAGUUGUUCAAGUUCAAUUUAAUCCGGUUAACUUGAAUGCAAAUAUGUUGAGCCAUGAUAAAAUAACAUGAUGCCAACCAUAAUACAUGAACAUGAUAUCAACAUCACCAUGAGAGUAUCACAUAACUUUCCACCAGAUCAACAAUAAAUCAUAUCCACUGAGCAUCGCAUACUGACUAGCAUGACCAUCUCCAACAUCAACAUGUACUACUAACCAGCAUAAUCAUAUGAAAGGUAAUACUAGCAGGUAUAACAUGAUCAUAGAGUAUAAGACAACAUAGCACAACAGUGAACAUGCAAAUCUAAACUUCACCGGAACAACGAUAACCAUCUUUUCAACAAGCAAACAUUUAUUAAAUAUUCAAGUUGAAAACCAUGGCUACUGCAUGACUAUCAUGCAAGUGGGUAUUGUGGCUUGCCUGGGGAUGAAGAAAGCAUCGGGGAGAAGUGCGGUGAAGCCGCGGAACGAAACGCCGGAAAACGUUCUCUCUCGGAGGGGGCUGAAUAAGGGCAAGGGCAUAAAGGUCAUUUUCAUAGUGUCAAACCAUAGUGAAAACAUGACCAACAGAACGGGCUCGACGAAACGAAGAAGUGAGCGUUGGUUUCACCUUGUUUGGAGUUACGGUUAAAAAGAUAUAAAGGUUUUACUGCCAGGGACCUAUCUAUAAUGAAAAAAAAUUAACCAGGGGCCUGAACAGAAAAAGUGAAAGCGCAUUUGACGAAAUACGUCUCCACUUACGCUGACGUGGCGGUGGACUGGUUAAAAGGAAGAGGCGGGGCCGGCUCCAGGGUGGCUGACGUGCGGGGCGACGAGGGGAGGCGGCCCAAGGAGACAGAGGCGGCGGCUGGUCAAGGGGGCAUGGCCCUAGAGGGGCUUCGGCGACGAGGGGAAAGGCAGGGCGACUCACCGGAGUGUGGGGAAGACGAUGGUGGUGGCUAUAGGUGGAGGGGGGCUCGGCUUUGGCCGAAUUUGAGAUGGCCGAGGUGGCGGCCAUGGCGGCAAUCAUGGUCGGGGAGAGGUUCUCCGGCUCGGGGAAGAGCAUGGGCGAGCUCCUGGGGGAGUGGUGACGCUGGUGGUGAGCUCAAACGGCUCGGGGGAAGGCUAUAUAUAGCCGGAGCGAGGAGGGGAGGCCAUGGACGCGUGGUCGUGGCUCGGGUGCUGCCGUGCGCAUCCGGCCGAGGCUCUGGAGCGGCAAGCGAGCACGGGAUGGCGCGGGAUCACGACGAGGGGGCGUGCGGACGAGCCACAGAGGCACACAUGGCAGGAGGGGCCGAGGGGAAGCAGAGGAAGAGGCCAAACUCCAUUAAAACUCGGUCAGCCACAUGGCUCCCGUGGGCGUUCGUCGGCGAGCAUCGGCGAGGAAGCUAUCAGAGGGGGAGAGGAGUCCAGGGGGACGGCGACGACGAGGGCAAUCUACUGGACAUGCUCACGGGUGCGAAGACAGCGAGAGGGGGAGGGGCCCGAGCACAAACGGCCACUGGACGCGCUCAUGGCAUGCCAAAAUGGUGGUCACCACCAGUGCUGGCAUGUCCGUGAGGCAACCAGCUGGCAAAUGAUGUCUAGGGGUUAGUCCUUCGAAGAUGGUUUGCACUGAGGUGGUAACUAGGUGAAAGGUGCUCUGGUCAAAAAGAUAUAACCCUCUAAAGUUUACUGCAGUAAACUUUAUUAGCUCAGUGAGAUCAACAGGGAGUUAUUGGAGGCCAAAUAAGAUGUCUGGGAUGUUAAGCUAUGGAAGGACUACAGUCCUGGAGGUUGGGAGGGUAAAUGGACCAAGUUAACUCACAGUUGCUUUGCAACUGCCAAAAUGGUCCAGAAAUGAAGAUCAUCAAGAUGCACUUACAUGGAGUGUUCACUUGAGCUCAAAUUGGGCAAGGAUUAGUCAUAUGGUCAUAUCAAGAUGCUGUAAAAAGCUCAUGCCAAAUGGACAAACCAAAAUAGCACUUGCUUCACAAACUUCUCUGCUGACCAGAAAUUUGAAUUAAUUAUGGUGGUCAAAUGGAUCAAUGAAAUGAUGCCAAAAUGGGUGGAGGGAUGUUUUAUGGGUAUAAGAAUGAUCUGGUAAUUUAUCAGGAUUUUUGAAGCAAUAUAACAUAUACUUGCUUCACAACCUGAAAAUUUUGCCAGAAACAAAGAUUUACUCAUGUGCUCACAUAGAUACUUGUAUGGGGCUGCAAAUGGGUGAAGGGGCUUAAUAUGAGAACAUUAAGGAGUGUGCAGAAGUUCAACUCAUUUGGGUACUCCUAGCUAGUACUUCCUUUACAAAGCCUUCUGUCUGACAGAAACUUUGGAAAUUCACUGAGGAAGAUUGGCUAGGCAAAUAAAUUUGAACUUGUGCAUGGGGCAAUCAUUUGGACAUAUAAACAUGCCUAAAAAGGUUGGGAGUCAAUAGGAGAAAUAUAAAUGACACUUCCUUCACAAAGUGCCAUUCAGGGCAGAAUAGGAAAUGAAUUAAUGGAGAAUUAUUUUUGAACAUGGCAAUGAAAAGUUUUGCCAUAUUUGAGAAUUAUUUGGGAAUUUUAGGAGUGAGGGAAAUAUAGGUUGCUUCACAACCUAGGGCAAUUGGAGUUAUUCCUUUAAGAGAAAAGGAAUAUUCCCAAUAAAAAGAAUAUUGGGAUUUGGGCUAGGAUGGAAAUGACAGGGUCUAGGGAAAGAUUUGGGAAUGACCAACCACUCUGGAAACAAAGAAGAGGGCAUCUUAUUCAGUUUCCAUACCACAAAGCCACGGAAAAAGAAAACUCACGCAAAAACCUGGGAAAAACAAAAGAAAAAGGAAGGGCCAAAAAUCAGGCUGUGACAACUAAUCCUUUGAUGGGCUUGUUCGGGGCAUCUUCGCCCCGACCAGUAGAGCAAAGAGUUGCUCCUCAACAUACUAAACCUACUGAAAAUGUUUACUUUGAGAUUCCUUCGGGUAUGAUAGAGAAACUGCUAGCUAAUCCCUUUGCAGGAGAUGGAACAUUGCAUCCCGAUUUACACCUUAUCUAUGUGGAUGAAGUUUAUGGAUUAUUUAAGCUUGCAGGUAUACCCGAUGAUGUUGUUAAGAGGAAGGUCUUCCCUUUAUCUUUGAAGGGAGAUGCAUUGACAUGGUAUAGGCUAUGUGAUGAUACGGAAUCUUGGGACUAUAAACGAUUGAAAUUGGAAUUUCACCAGAAGUUCUAUCCUAUGCAUCUUGUUCAUCGUGAUCGUAAUUACAUAUAUAAUGUCUAGCCUCGCGAAGGAGAAAGCAUCGCUCAAGCUUGGGGGAGGCUUAAGUCAAUGUUAUAUUCAUGCCCCAACCAUGAGCUCUCAAGAGAAAUGAUUAUUCAAAAAAAAUUAUGUUCGGCUUUCUCUCAAUGAUCGCACCAUGCUCGAUACUUCUUGUGCUGGUUCUUAUAUGUUGAAGACUAUUGAAUUCAAGUGGGACUUAUUGGAAAGAAUUAAAUGCAACUCUAAAAAUUGGGGUUCCGCCGAUGGUAAGGAGUCAGGUAUGCCACCUAAGUUUGAUUGUGUUAAGUCUUUUAUGGAUACCGAUGCUUUUCGUGGAUUUAGCACUAAAUAUGGACUUCACUCUGAGAUAGUAGCUUCUUUCUGUGAAUCUUUUGCUACUCACGUUGAUCUCCCUAAGGAGAAGUGGUUUAAAUAUAAUCCUCCUACUGAAGUAAAAGUAGUUGCACCUGUUACAGUUGAAGAAAAGAUUAUCACUUAUAAUGAUCCUAUUGUUCCUACUACUUAUGUUGAGAAACCACCUUUCCCUGUUAGGAUGAAGGAGCAUGCGAAAGCUUCAACUGUGGUUCAUAAAAGUAAUACUAGAACAUAUACACCUCCUGAGCAAAUUAAAGUUGAACCUAGUAUUGCUAUGGUUAAAGAUCUCUUGGCUGAUAAUAUUGAUGGGCAUGUUAUUUAUUUAUGUGAUGAAGCUGCUAAUAUUGCUAAACCUGCUGCUAAGAUACAUAGACCUAUUGUAGGCAUGCAUGUUAUUUCUGUUAAAAUAGGAGAUCAUUGUUAUCAUGGCUUAUGUGAUAUGGGUGCUAGUGCUAGUGCAAUACCUAUUUCCUUAUAUGAAGAAAUUAUGCACGAUAUUGCACCCGCUAAGUUAGAAGAUAUUGAUGUUACAAUUAAGCUUGCCAAUAGAGACACUAUUUCACCAUUUGGGAUUAUUAGAGAUGUUGAAGUCUUGUGUGGGAAAGCUAAAUAUCCUACUGAUUUUCUUGUUCUGGGUUCCCCACAAGAUAGCUUUUGUCCCAUUAUAUUUGGUAGACCCUUCUUGAAUACUGUUAAUGCCAAGAUUGAUUGUGAAAAGGAUGUUGUUACAAUUGGCUUCAGGGAUAUGAAACAUGAGUUUAAUUUUGCUAAUUUCAUAGACAACCCCAUGAUAAAGAAUUGCCUAGUAAAUAUGAAAUUAUUGAUCUUGCUUCUAUUGUUGUGCCUCCUACUGAUCCUUUAGAACAAUAUUUGCUAGACCAUGAAAAUGAUAUGUUUAUGAAUGAAAGAAGGGAGAUAGAUGAAGUAUUCCUUAAACAGGGUCCUAUUCUGAAACACAACUUGCCUGUUGAAAUCCUAGGGGAUCCUCCUCCACCUAAGGGUGAUCUCGUGUUUGAGCUUAAACCAUUACCUGAUACUCUUAAAUAUGCUUAUCUUGAUGAAAAGAAGAUAUAUCCUCCUAUUAUUAGUGCUAACCUUUCAGAGCAAGAAGAGGAGAGAUUAUUGAAAACUCUGAAGAAGCACCGUUCUGCUAUUGGAUAUACUCUCGAUGAUCUUAAGGGCAUUAGUCCCACUUUAUGCCAACACAAAAUAAAAUUGGAAGAAGAUGCCAAACCAGUUAGAGACCAUCAACGACGUUUAAAUCCUAAGAUGAAAGAAGUGGUAAGAAAGGAGAUACUAAAGCUCCUUGAGGCAGGUAUAAUUUAUCCCAUUGCUGAUAGUCAGUGGGUUAGUCAUGUCCAUUGUUUCCCUAAGAAGGGAGUUAUUACAGUUGUUCCUAAUGAUAAAGAUGAAUUGAUCCCGCAAAGAAUUAUUACAAGUUAUAGGAUGGUAAUUGAUUUCCGUAAAUUAAAUAAAGCUACUAAGAAAGAUCAUUACCCUUUACCUUUUAUUGAUCAAAUGCUAGAAAGACUAUCCAAACAUACACAUUUCUGCUUUCUAGAUGGUUAUUCUGGUUUCUCUCAAAUACCUGUGCCAGCGGACGAUCAAGCAAAGACUACUUUUACUUGCCCUUUCGGUACUUUUGCUUAUAGACGUAUGCCUUUUGGUUUAUGUAAUGCACCUGCUACCUUUCAAAGAUGCAUGAUGGCUAUAUUCUCUGACUUUUGUGAAAAGAUUUGUGAGGUAUUCAUGGAUGAUUUAUCCAUCUAUGGAUCCUCUUUUGAUGAUUGCUUGAGCAACCUUGAUCGAGUUUUGCAGAGAUGUGAAGAUACUAGUCUUGUUUUGAAUUGGGGGAAGUGUCACUUUAUGGUUAAUGAAGGCAUUGUCUUGGGUCAUAAAAUUUCUGAAAGAGGUAUUGAAGUUGAUAAAGCUAAAGUUGAUGCUAUUGAAAAGAUGUCGUGUCCCAAGGACAUUAAAGGUAUAAGAAGUUUCCUUGGUCAUGCCGGUUUUUAUAGGAGGUUCAUGAAGGACUUUUCUAAAAUCUCUAGGCCUCUGACUAAUCUAUAGCAAAAAGAUAUCCCUUUUGUCUUUGAUGAUGAUUCUGUAGAAGCAUUUGAAAUACUUAAGAAAGCUUUGAUCACUGCAUCUAUUGUUCAGCCACCUGAUUGGAAUUUACCCUUUGAAAUUAUGUGUGAUGCUAGUGAUUAUGUUGUAGGUGUUAUUCUAGGGCAAAGAGUUGAUAAGAAAUUAAAUGUUAUUCAAUAUGCUAGCAAAACUCUAGACACUGCCCAGAGAAAUUAUGCUACUACUGAAAAAGAAUUCUUAGCCUAGACUUAUUAGUGUUGAUAUUAAAUAUCUUAUAUUGUUGAUAAGUUCAGACCCUAUAUUGUUGAUUCUAAAGUAAUUAUUCACAUUGAUCAUGAUGCUAUUAAAUAUCUUAUGGAAAAGAAAGAUGCUAAGCCUAGACUUAUUAGAUGGGUCCUCUUGCUCCAGGAAUUUGAUUUGCAUAUUAUUGAUAGAAAGGGAGCCGAGAACCCCGUUGCAGACAACUUGUCUAGGUUAGAGAAUGUUCUUGAUGACCCACUACCUAUUGAUGAUAGCUUUCCUGAUGAACAAUUAGCUGUCAUAAAUGCUUCUCGUACUACUCCAUGGUAUGCUGAUUAUGCUAAUUAUAUCGUUGCUAAAUUAUACCACCUAGUUUCACAUACCAGCAAAAGAAAAAGUUCUUUUAUGAUUUAAGACAUUACUUCUGGGAUGACCCACACCUUUAUAAAGAAGGAGUAAAUGGUGUUAUUAGACAUUGUGUACCUGAGCAUGAACAGGAACAGAUCCUACACAAGUGUUAAUCCGAGGCAUAUGGAGGACACCACACUGGAGAUAGAACUGCACAUAAGGUAUUGCAAUCCGGUUUUUAUUGGCCUACUCUCUUCAAAGAUGCCCGUAAGUUUGUCUUGCCUUGUGAUGAAUGUCAAAGAAUUGGUAAUAUUAGUAGACGUCAAGAAAUGCCUAUGAAUUAUUCUAUUGUUAUUGAACCAUUUGAUGUUUGGGGCUUUGAUUAUAUGGGACCUUUUCCUGCCUCUAAUGGAUAUACACAUAUUUUAGUUGAUGUUGAUUAUGUUACUAAGUGGGUAGAAGCUAUUCCAACUAGUAGUGCUGAUCAUAACACCUCUACUAAGAUGCUUAAAGAAGUUAUUUUUCCGAGGUUUGGAGUCCCUAGAUAUCUCAUGACUGAUGGUGGUUCACAUUUUAUUCAUGGUUCUUUUCGUAAAAUGCUUGCUAAGUAUGAUGUUAAUCAUAGAAUUGCAUCUCCUUAUCACCCACAGUCUAGUGGUCAAGUAGAGUUGAGUAAUAGAGAGCUCAAAUUGAUUUUGCAAAAGACUGUUAAUAGAUCUAGAAAGAAUUGGUCCAAGAAACUUGAUGAUGCAUUAUGGGCCUAUAGAACUGCAUAUAAGAAUCCUAUGGGUAUGUCUCCGUAUAAGAUGGUUUAUGGAAAAGCAUGUUACUUACCUCUCGAACUAGAACAUAACGCAUAUUGGGCUAUUAAAGAGCUCAACUAUGAUUUCAAAAUUGCCGGUGAGAAGAGGUUAUUUGACAUUAGCUCACUUGAGGAAUGGAGAACCCAGGCUUAUGAGAAUGCCAAGCUGUUUAAAGAAAAUGUUAAAAGAUGGCAUGCCAAAAGGAUAGAAAAGCGUGAGUUUAACGUAGGUGAUUAUGUGUUGCUUUUCAACUCUCGUUUAAGGUUUUUUGCAGGAAAACUUCUCUCUAAAUGGGAAGGUCCUUACGUUAUCAAGGAGGUCUAUCGUUCCAGUGCCAUAAAAAUCAACAACUUUGAAGGCACAAGUCUGAGGGUGGUGAACGGUCAAAGAAUCAAACAUUAUAUCUCAGGUAAUCCUAUAAAUGUUGAAACUAAUAUUAUUGAAACCGUAACCCUGGAGGAAUACAUAAGGGACACUUUCCAGAACAUUUCAGACUUCGAAAAGGAAUAGGUAUGUGGUACGGUAAGCAAACUGACUCCAAAACAAUUCUAAUAGCAAUUUUUCUCCGUUUUGGAAUAUUUAAGAAAAUAGGAAAAUAAGAAGUAGUCCGGAAAGGACACAAGGCGUCCACGAGGGUGGAGAGCGCGCCACCCCUACUGGGCGCGCCCCCUGCCUCGUGGGCACCUCGUGUGCUCUCCGGACUCCAUUUUCGUGCACGAUACUCCUUUUGGUUGGUAAAAAUUCAUUAUAUAAUCUCCCGAAGGUUUUGACCACUGUAUCACGCAAAAAUCCUCUGUCUUUGUUUCGAGCUGUUUUUCUGACAGAUCUAGAGCAUCAUGACGUCACCCUCCUCCAACAAUGAAGACAAGGGUGCUUGGCUAUUGAAGAUAUAGCUAAAAAGAGAAGAACCUGAGGAGAUCAACAAGGAUGAAGGGAUCAAGAAGGCCAUGGAGGAUCAAGCUCCGACGGCGGAAGAAGAAAACAUCUCUCAACCUCUACCUAACCUCUUUACCCCAACUGAGAUUGAAGCUUUCAAGAUGAUUGAGUUAGCUCGUAUACAAAACAAGUAUCUCACAUAGGAAAAUAUUUUGUUGAAGGAGCAUAUCAUCGCACUCAAGGGCAUUAUCCGCAAACUGGAGGAGCUCCUAUGCUCGAUGUGCGACUAUCCAUCAUCAUCACCACCUUCUUCACCACCUCCGAGGACAUAAUCACAUGGGUAUGGGCACUCCCCUUGGCAACUGCCAAGUUUGGGGGAGUUGCCCCGGUAUCGUAUCACCACCACACUCCUAUCUUUACCGUUUUACUUCGUUCGAUCCUUUUGGUAAUAUCUUGAUCUAGUAGAAUAAAGUUUUGGUAUGAUUUAGUUUUGAGUUUUGCUUUGUGAUCCCUCUAUGUAAUCGAGUCCGUGAGAUAUAUAUAAUAAAGAUUAGUGUUGAGUCAAGGGCUUUGCUAUCUUGCUAUGAUCUUGAGAAAAUAGAAAGAAUAAAAAGAAAUAAAAUAGUUCAUAUUGAUCUUAUGGAUAGUAAUGACUUCAUACAUAAAGAGUAUGAGGCAUAAAAGUUGUUGAGAGUUGGCAAACAUAGUUUUGGUCAUCGUUGCAAUUAAUAGGAAGUAAUAAAGAAAGAGAGGUUUUCACAUAUAAAUAUACUAUCUUGGACAUCUUUUAUGAUUGUGAGCACUCAUUAAAGUAUGACAUGCUAAAGAGUUGAUGUUGGACAAGCAAGACAAUGUAAUGGGUUAUGUUUUCUCACAUCUCAGUUAAAGUAUAUUGUCAUGGAUCGUCCAACAUGUUGAGCUUGCCUUUCCCCCUCAUGCUAGCCAAAUUCCUUGCACCAAGUAGAGAUACUACUUGUGCUUCCAAAUAUCCUUAAACCCAGUUUUUGCCAUGAGAGUCCACCAUACCUACCUAUGGAUUGAGUAAGAUCCUUCAAGUAAGUUGUCAUGUUGCAAGCAAUAAAAAUUGCUCUCUAAAUAUGCAUGAAUUAUUAGUGUAGAGAAAAUAAGCUUUAUACGAUCGUGUGAUAUGGAAGUAAUAAAAGCGACAGACUGCAUAAUAAAGGUUCAUAUCAUAAGUGGCAAUAUAAAGUGACGUUCUUUUGCAUUAAGAUUUUGUGCAUCCAACCCUAAAAGCACAUGACAACCUCUGCUUCCCUCUGCGAAGGGCCUAUCUUUUACAUUAUGCAAGAGUCAAGGUGAUCUUCACCUUUCCCUUUUACAUUUUAUCCUUUGGCAAGCACUUCAUGUUGGAAAGAUCCUGAUAUAUAUAUAUAUAUAUAUAUAUAUAUAUAUAUAUAUAUAUAUAUAUAUAUAUAUAUAUAUAUAUAUAUAUAUAUAUAUAUCCAAUUGGAUGUAAGUUAGCAUGAACUAUUAUUGUUGACAUUACCCUUGAGGUAAAACAUUGGGAGGCAACACUAUAAGCCCCUAUCUUUCUCUGUGUCCGAUUAAAACUCCAUAACUAUAAGUGUUGCGUGAGUGUUAGCAAUUGUGAAACACUAUAUGAUAGUUGAGUAUGUGGACUUGCUGAAAAUCUCUAUUCUUGACUCUUUCCGAUGUUAUGAUAAAUUGCAAUUGCUUCAGUGACUGAGAUUAUAGUUUGUUAGUUCUCAAUGAAGUUUCUGAAUCAUACUUGACAUUGUGAAUAGAUUGUUACUUGAGCAUAAGAAAUCAUAUGACAAUAUAUAUAUAUAUAUAUAUAUAUAUGUUGUUGUUAGAAAAAUGAUCAUGAUGCCCUCAUGUUCGUAUUUUAUUUUUAUUGACACCUCUAUCUCUAAACAUGUGGACAUAUUUUUUUAUAUCGGCUUCCGCUUGAGGAGAAGCAAGGUCUAAGCUUGGGGGAGUUGAUACGUCCAUUUUGCAUCAUGCUUUUAUAUCGAUAUUUAUUGUAUUAUGGGCUACUAUUACACGUUAUGUCACAAUACUUAUGUCUAUUCUCUCUUAUUUUACAAGGUUUAACAUGAAGGGGGAUAAUGCCGGCAGCUGGGAUUCUGGGCUGGAAAAGGAGCAAAUAUUGGAAACCUAUUCUGCACAGCUCCAAAAGUCUUGAAACUCCACGAAAGUCAUUUUUGGAAUUAAUAAGAAUUAUUGAGCGAAAGAAGUACCAGAGGGGGCCCACACCCUGGCCACGAGGGUGGAGGGUGCACCCACCCCUACUGGGCGCGCCCCCUGCCUCAUGGGCCCCCUGGUGGCCCUCCGAUGCACAUCUUCUGCUAUGUGAAGUCUUUUACCCUGGAAAAAAAUCAUAAGCAAGCUUUCGGGACGAAACUCCACCGCCACGAGGCGUAACCUUGGCGGAACCAAUCUAGGGCUCCGGCAGAGCUGUUCUGUCGGGGAAACUUGCCUCCGGGAGGGGCAAAUCAUCACCAUCACCAUCACCAACGAUCCUCUCAUCGGGAGGGGGUCAAUCUCCAUCAACAUCUUCACCAGCACCAUCUCCUCUCAAACCCUAGUUCAUCUCUUGUAUCCAAUCUUGUAUCAAAACCACAAAUCGGUACCUAUGGGUUGCUAGUAGUGUUGAUUACUCCUUGUAGUUGAUGCUAGUUGGUUUAUUUGGUGGAAGAUUAUUUGUUCAGACCCUUAAUGUAUAUUAAUACCCCUCUGAUCAUGAAUAUGAAUAUGCUUUGUGAGUAGUUAUGUUUGUUCCUGGGGACAUGGGUGAAGUCUUGCUAUUAGUAGUCAUGUGAAUUUGGUAUUCGUUCGAUAUUUUGAUAAGAUGUAUGUUGUCUCUCCUCUAGUGGUGUUAUGUGAAUGUCGACUACAUGACACUUCACCAUUAUUUCGGCCUAGAGGAAGGCAUUGGGAAGUAAUAAGUAGAUGAUGGGUUGCUAGAGUGACAGAAGCUUAAACCCUACUUUAUGCGUUGCUUUGUAAGGGGCUGAUUUGGAUCCACUAGUUUCAUGCUAUGGUUAGGUUUACCUUAAUACUUCUCUUGUAGUUGUGGAUGCUUGCAAUAGGGGUUAAUCAUAAGUGGGAUGCUUAUCCAAGAAAGGGCAACACUCAAUCACUGGUCCACCCACAUAUCAAAUUAUUAAAGUAACGAACGUGAAUCAUAUGAGCAUGAUGAAAACUCGCUUGAUGAUAAUUCCCAUGUGUCCUCGGGAGCGCUUUUCUCAUUAUAAGAACUUGUCCAGGCUUGUCCUUUGCUACAAAAAGGGAUUGGGCCACCUUGCUGCACCUUAUUUACUUUCAUUGCUUGUUACCCGUUACAAAUUAUCUUAUCACAAAACUAUCUGUUACCUACAAUUUCAGUGCUUGCAGAGAAAACCUUACUGAAAACCGCUUGUCAUUUCCUUCUGCUCCUCGUUGGGUUCGACACUCUUACUUAUCAAAAGGACUAUGAUAGAUCCCCUAUACUUGUGGGUCAUCAAGACACCAUGUGAUGAUCGGGUGUGAUAAGCUCUAUGUUCACAUACAACGGGUGCAAGCCAGUUUUGCACACGCACAAUACUCGGGUUAAACUUGACGAGCCUAGCAUAUGCAUAUAUGGCCUCGGAACACUGAGACCAAAAGGUCGAAUGUGAAUCAUAUAGUAGAUAUGACCAACAUAGUGAUGUUCACCAUUGAAAACUACUCCAUCUCACGUGAUGAUCGGACAUGGUUUAGUUGAUUUGGAUCACGUGAUCAUUUAGAUGACUAGAGGGAUGUCUAUCUAAGUGGGAGUUCUUGAGUAAUAUGAUUAAUUGAACUUUAAUUUAUCAUGAACCUAGUCCUGAUAGUUAUUUUGCAUGUCUAUGUUAUUGUAGAUCAAUGGCCGGUGCUACCGUUCCUUUGAAUUUUAAUGCGUUCCUAGAGAAAGUUAAGUUGAAAGAUGAUGGCAGCAACUACACGGACUGGGUCCAUAAUUUGAGGAUUAUCCUCAUUGCUGCAUAGAAGAAUUACGUCCUGGAAGCACCGUUAGGUGUACCAACCGCGCCAACAACUGCAGACAUUGUAAAUGCCUGGCAGACGCGUGUUGAUGACUACUCGAUAGUUCAGUGUGCCUUGCUUUACGGCUUAGAAUCGGGACUUCAAAGAUGUUUUGAGCGUCAUGGAGCAUAUGAGAUGCUUGAAGAGCUAAAGUUAAUAUUUCAAGCAAAUGUCUGGGUUGAGAGAUAUGAAGUCUCCAACAAAUUCUACAGCUGCAAAAUGGAGGAGAAGCGUUCUGUCAGUGAACACAUACUCAGAAUUUUUGGGUACCAUAACCACUUGACUCAGCUGGGAGUUAAUCCUCCUGAUGAUAGUGUCAUUGACAUAGUUCUUCAAUCACUGCCACCAAGCUAUAAAGGCUUCGUGAUGAACUAUAAUAUGCAAGGGAUGAACAAGACUAUUCCCGAGCUCUUCGCAAUGCUAAAGGCUGCGGAGGUAGAAAUCAAAAAGGAGCAUCAAGUGUUGAUGGUCAACAAGACCACUAGUUUCAAGAAAAAGGGCAAAAGGAAGAAGGGGAACUUCAAGAAGAAGAUCAAAAAGGUUGUUUCUCAAGAGAAGAAACCCAAGUCUGGACCUAAGCCCAAAACUGAGUGCUUCUACUGCAAAGGGACUGGUCACUGGAAGCGGAACUGCCCCAAGUAUUUGGCGGAUAAGAAGGAUGGCAAAGUGAAAGGUAUAUUUGAUAUACAUGUUAUUGAUGUGUACCUUACUAAUGCUCAUAGUAGCACCUGGGUAUUUGAUACUGGUUUUGUUGCUCAUAUUUGCAACUCGAAACAGGGGCUACGGAUUAAAACAAGAUUGGCUAAGGACGAGGUAACGAUGCCCGUGGGAAAUGGUUCCAAGGUCGAUGUGAUCGCCGUUGGCACGCUACCUCUACAUCUACCUUCGGGAUUAGUUUUAGACCUGAAUAAUUCUUAUUUGGUGCCAGCGUUGAGCAUGAACAUUAUAUCUGGAUCUUGUUUGAUGCGAGAUGGUUAUUCAUUUAAAUCAGAGAAUAAUGGUUGUUCUAUUUAUAUGAGUAAUAUAUUUUAUGGUCAUGCACCCUUGAUGAGUGGUCUAUUUUUGUUGAGUCUCGAUAGUGAUGAUACACAUAUUCAUAAUAUUGAAGCCAAAAGAUGCAAAGUUCAUAAUGAUAGUGCAACUUAUUUGUGGCACUGCCGUUUGGGUCAUAUCGGUGUAAAGCGCAUGAAGAAACUCCAUGCUGAUGGACUUUUGGAAUCACUUGAUUAUGAAUCACUUGGUUCUUGCGAACCGUGCCUUAUGGGAAAGAUGACUAAAACUCCGUUCUCCCGAACAAUGGAACGAGCUACUGACUUAUUGGAAAUAAUACAUACCGAUGUAUGCGGUCCAAUGAGUGUUGAGGCUCAUGGCGGGUAUCGUUAUUUUCUUACCUUCACAGAUGAUUUGAGCAGAUAUGGUUAUAUCUACUUAAUGAAACAUAAGUCUAAGACAUUUGAAAAGUUCAAAGAAUUUCAGAGUGAAGUGGAAAAUCAUCGUAACAAGAAAAUAAAGUUUCUAUGAUCUGAUCGUGCAGGAGAAUAUUUGAGUUACGAGUUUGGUCUUCAUUUGAAACAACUUGGGAUAGUUUCACAACUAACGCCACCUGGAACACCACAGCGAAAUGGUGUGUCCGAACGUCGUAACCAUACUUUAUUGGAUAUGGUGCGAUCUAUGAUGUCUCUUACUGAUUUACCGCUAUCGUUUUGGGGUUAUGCUUUAGAGACGGCUGCAUUCACUUUAAAUAGGGCACCUUCAAAAUCCGUUGAGACGACGCCUUAUGAAUUGUGGUUUGGCAAGAAACCAAAGUUGUCAUUUCUUAAAGUUUGGGGCUGUGAUGCUUAUGUGAAAAAACUUCAACCUGAUAAGCUCGAACCCAAAUUGGAGAAGUGUGUCUUCAUAGGAUACCCAAAGGAAACUAUUGGGUACACCUUCUAUCAUAGAUCCGAGGGCAAAAUCUUUGUUGCUAAGAAUGGAUCCUUUCUAGAGAAGGAGUUUCUCUCGAAAGAAGUGAGUGGGAGGAAAGUAGAACUUGAUGAGGUAAUUAUACCUUCUCCAUUAUUGGAAAGUAGUUCAUCACAGAAAUCAGUUCCAGUGAUUCCUACACCAAUAAGUGAGGAAGUUAAUGAUGAUGAUCAUGAAACUUCAGAUCAAGUUACUAUCGAACCUCGUAGGUCUUCCAAAGUGAGAUCCGCACCAGAGUGGUACAGUAAUCCUGUUCUGGAAGUCAUGUUACUAGACCAUGGUGAACCUACGAACUAUGAGGAAGAGAUGAUGAGCCUAGAUUCCAUGAAAUGGCUUGAGGCCAUGAAAUUUGAGAUGGGAUCCAUGUAUGAGAACAAAGUGUGGACUUUGGUGGACUUGCCUGAUGAUCGGCAAGCCAUAGAAAAUAAAUGGAUCUUUAAGAAGAAGACCGACGCAGACGGUAAUGUUACUAUUUACAAAGCUCGACUUGUUGCGAAAGGUUUUCGACAAGUUCAAGGAGUUGACUACGAUGAGACUUUCUCACCCACAGUGAUGCUUAAGUCUAUCCGAAUCAUGUUAGCAAUUGCUGCAUUUUAUGAUUAUGAAAUUUGGCAGACGGAUGUCAAAACUGCAUUCCUGAAUGGAUUUCUGGAAGAAGAGUUGUAUAUGAUGUAACCAGAAGGUUUUGUCGAUUUAAAGCGUGCUAACAAAGUGUGCAAGCUCCAGCGAUCCAUUUAUGGACUGGUGCAAGCCUCUCAGAGUUGGAAUAAACGCUUUGAUAGUGUGAUCAAAGCAUAUGGUUUUAUACAGACUUUUGGAGAAGCCUGUAUUUACAAGAAGUGAGUGGGAGCUCUGUAGUAUUUCUAAUAUUAUAUGUGGAUGACAUAUUGUUGAUUGGAAAUGAUAUAGAAUUUCUGGAUAAGAUAAAGGGAUACUUGAAUAAGUGUUUUUCCAUGAAAGACCUCGGUGAAGCUGCUUACAUAUUGGGCAUCAAGAUCUAUAGAGAUAGAUCAAGACGCUUAAUUGGACUUUCACAAAGCACAUAACUUGAUAAAGUUUUAAAGAAGUUCAAAAUGGAUCAGUCAAAGAAAGGGUUCUUGCUUGUGUUACAAGAUGUGAAGUUGAGUCAGACUCAAUGCCCGACCACUGCAGAAGAUAGAGAGAAAAUGAAAGAUGUUCCCUAUGCUUCAGCCAUAGGUUCUAUCAUGUAUGCAAUGUUGUGUACCAAACCUGAUGUGUGUCUUGCUAUAAGCAUAGCAGGGAGGUACCAAAGUAAUCCCGGAGUGGAGCACUAGACAGCGGUCAAGAACAUCCUGAAAUACCUGAAAAGGACUAAGGAUAUGUUUCUCGUUUAUGCAGGUGAAAAAGAGCUCGUCGUAAACGGUUACAUCGAUGCAAGCUUUGACACUGAUCCGGAUGACUCUAAGUCACAAAUAGGAUAUGUAUUUUUAUUGAAUGGAGGAGCUGUCAGUUGGGGCAGUUCCAAGUAGAGCAUCCUGGCGGGAUCUACGUGUGAAGCAGAGUACAUUGCUACUUCGGAAGCAACAAAUGAAGGAGUUUGGAUGAAGGAGUUCAUAUCCGAUCUAGGUGUCAUACCUAGUGCAUUGGGUCCAAUGAAAAUCUUUUGUGACAAUACUGGUGCAAUUGCCUUGGAAAAGGAUUUCACAAGAGAACCAAGCACAUCAAGAGACACUUCAAUUCCAUUCGUCAUCAAGUGUCGGAGGGGGACAUAGAGAUUUGCAAGAUACAUAUGGAUCUGAAUGUUUCAGACCCGUUGACUAAGCCUCUUCCACGAGCAAAACAUGAUCAGCACCAAAGCUUUGUGGGUGUUAGAAUCAUUACUAUGUAAUCUAGAUUAUUGACUCUAGUGCAAGUGGGAGACUGAAGGAAAUAUGCCCUAGAGGCAAUAAUAAAGUUAUUAUUUAUUUCCUUAUUUCAUGAUAAAUGUUUAUUAUUCAUGCUAGAAUUGUAUUAACCGGAAACUUAGUACAUGUGUGAAUACAUAGACAAAACAUAUUGUCCCCUAGUAUGCCUCUACUGGACUAGCUCGUUAAUCAAAGAUGGUUAUGUUUCCUAACCAUAGACAUGUGUCGUCAUUUGAUGAACGGGAUCACAUCAUUAGGAGAAUGAUGUGAUUGGCAUGACCCAUCCGUUAGCUUAGCAUUGUGAUCGUUACAGUUUCAUUGCUUUCUUCAUGACUUAUACAAGUUCCUCAGACUAUGAGAUUACCGGAGGAACACUUUGUGUGCUGCCAAACGUCACAAUGUAAAAGGGUGAUUAUAAAGGUGCUCUACAGGUGUCUCCGAAGGUGUUUGUUGGGUUGGCAUAGAUUGAUAUUAGGAUUUGUCACUCCAUGUUUCGGAGAGGUAUCUCUGGGCCCUCCUGGUAAUGCUCCUCACUAUAAGCCUUGCAAGCAUUGUAACUAAUGAGUUAGUUGCAGGAUGAAGUAUUACGGAACGAGUAAAGAGACUUGCCGGUAAUGAGAUUGAACUAGGUAUGGUGAUACCGACGAUCGAAUCUCGGGCAAGUAACAUACUGAUGACAAAGGGAACAACGUAUAUUGUUAUGCAGUUUGACCAAUAAAGAUCUUCGUCUAAUAUGUAGGAACCAAUAUGAGCAUCUAGGUUCCGCUAUUUGUUAUUGACCGGAGAUGUGUCUCGGUCAUGUCUACAUAGUUCUCAAACCCGUAGGGUCCGCACGCUUAACGUUCGAUAACGACUGGUAUUAUGAGUUUAUGUGAUUUGAUGUACCAAAAGUUGUUCGGAGUCCCGGAUGAGAUCAUGGACAUGACGAGGAGUCUCGAAAUGGUCGAGAUGUAAAGAUUGAUAUAUUGGAAGACUAUAUUCUGACACCAGAAUAGUUCUGAGGUGUAUCGGCUAUUUUCCGGAGUAUCGGGGGGUUACCGGAACCCCCGGGGGGUUAAUGGGCCUCAUGGGCCAAGUGGUGGAAGAGAGGAGGCAGGCCAAGGUGUGGCGCGUGCCCCCCCCCCUAGCCCAAACCUAAUUGGACUAGGGGGGCGUCCCCCUUUCCUUCUCUCCUCCCCCUCCUUCCCCCUUCUCCUUGUUGGAAUAGGAAGGGGGGGCGAAUCCUACUUGGAGUAGGAUUGCCCCCCUGGCGCGCCUCCUCCCCUGGCCGGCCUCCUCCUCCCUCCCUCCUUUAUAUACGAUGGAGGGGGCACCCCAAAGACACACAAGUUGAUCUUUAGCCGUGUGCGGUGCCCCCCUCCACAAUUUUCCACCUCGGUCAUAUCGUCGUAGUGCUCAGGCGAAGCCCUACGCCGGUAACUUCAUCAUCACCAUCACCAUGUCGUCGUGCUGACAGAACUCUUCCUCGGCCUCAGCUGGAUCUAGAGUUCGAGGGACGUCACCAAGCUGAACGUGUGCAAAUCACGGAGGUGCCAUGCGUUCGCUACUUGAUCGAUUGGAUCACGAAGACGUUCGACUACAUCAACCGCGUUACUUAACGCUUCCGCUUUCGGUCUACGAGGGUACAUGGACACACUCUCCCCUCUCGUUGCUAUGCAUCAUCUAGACAGAUCUUGCGUAAUCAUAGGAAUUUUUUUGAAAUUACCGUGUUCCCCAACAACUAUCACUACCGCUUAGUGAUAAAGUAAAGCAAUUGCAUAGUGUUUGUAUUUCAUACAAAAAAGCGACAACCAUAUGGCUCCUACCAGUUGCUGAUAACUUUUACAAAACAUGAUCAUCUCAUACAGCAAUCUUUAUAUCACAUCAUGUCUUGACCAUAUCCCAUCACAACAUGCCCUACAAAAACAAGUUAGACAUCCUCUACUUUGUUUGUUGCAAGUUUUACGUGGCCGCUACGGGCUGCUAGCAUGAACCGUACAUACCUACGGCACAAAAACCACGACGGUGAUUUAUCAAGUUUGUUGUUUUAACCUUCACAAGGACCAACCGCAAUCAAAUUCAAUUCAACUAAAGUUGGGGAAAGAGACACCCGCCAGCCACCUUUAUGCAAAACUAGUUGCAUGUUUGUCGGUGGAACCGGUCUCAUGAACGUUGUCAUGUAAGGUUGGUCUGGGCCGCUUCAUCCAACAAUACCGCCGAAUCAAAAUAAGACAUUGGUGGUAAGCAGUAUGACGAUCACCGCCCACAACUCUUUGUGUUCUACUCGUGCAUAUCAUCUACGCAUAGACCUGGCUCGAAUACCACUGUUGGGAAAUGUAGCAUGCAAUUUCAAAAAAAUUCCUACGCUCACGCAAGAUCUAUCUAGGAGAGGCAUAGCAGCGAGAGGGGAGAGUGUGUCCACGUACCCUUGUAGACCGAAAGUGGAAGUCUUAACUUAACGCGGUUGAUGUAGUCGAACAUCUUCUCGAAUCAACCGAUCAAGUACCAAACGUACGACACCUCUGAGUUCUGCACACGUUCAGCUCGAUGACGUCCCUCGAACUCUUGAUCCAGUAGAGGCACGAAGGAGUCGAUGAGUUCCAUCAGCACCACGGCGUGAUGACGGUGUUAGUGAAGUGAUCUGCGCAGGGCUUCGCCUAAGCACUACGACAAUAUGAUCGGAGGAGUAAACGGUGGAGGGAGGCACCGCACACGGCUAAGACAAUUGAUGUGUCUUUGGGGUGCCCCUUGCCCCCGUAUAUAAAGGAGGAGGGGGAGGCCGACCGGCCCUAGAGGCGCGCCAAGUGGGGGGAGUCCCACUAGGACUCCUAGUCCUAGUCGGCUCCCCCCUUCCUUCCAACGGAGAGGGGGAAAGGGGAAAGAGGGGGAGAGGGAUAAGGAAAGGGUGGGCGCACCCCACCCCUUGUCCAAUUCGGACUGCCAUGGGGGGUGCCACCUCGUGUGGCCUGCCUCCCCCUCUCCACUAAGGCCCAGGAGGCCCAUUAACUUUCCCGGGGGGUUCCAGUAACCUCCCGGUACUCCGAAAAAUUUCCGAAUCUUUCCGGAACCAUUCCAGUGUCCGUAUAUAACCUUCCAAUAUAUCAAUCUUUACCUCUCAACCAUUUCGAGACUCCUCGUCAUGUCCUUGAUCUCAUCCGGGACUCCGAACAACCUUCGGUCACCAAAACACAUAACUCAUAUAAUACAUAUCGUCAUCGAACGUUAAGCGUGUGGACCCUACGGGUUCGAGAAAUUGUAGACAUGACCGAGACACCUCUCCGGUCAAUAACCAACAGCGGAACCUAGAUGCUCAUAUUGAUUCCCACAUAUUCUACGAAGAUCUUUAUCGGUCGAACCACAAUGUCAACAUACGUUAUUCCCUUUGUCAUCGGUAUGUUACUUGCCUGAGAUUCGAUCGUCGGUAUCUUCAUACCUAGUUUAAUCUCAUUACUGGCAAGUCUCUUUACCCGUUUCAUAGUGCAUCACCCCGUAACUAAUUCAUUAGUCACAUUGCUUGCAAGGCUUCAUAUGAUGUGCAUUACCGAGAGGGCCCAGAGAUACCUCACCGAUGCUCGAAGUGACAAAUUCUAAUCUCGAUCUAUGCCAACCCAACAAAUACCUUUGGAGAUACCUGUACAACAUCUCUAUAAUCACUCAGUUCCGUUGUGACGUUUGAUAGCACACAAGGCAUUCCUCCGGUCUCCAGGAGUUGCAUAAUCUCAUAGUCGGAGGAAUAUAUAUUUGACACGAAGAAAGCAGUAGCAAUAAAACUUGAACAAUCAUUAUGUUAUGCUAACGGAUGGGUCUUGUCCAUCACAUCAUUCCAAUAAUGAUGUGAUCCCAUUCAUCAAAUGACAACACAUGUCCAUGGCUAGGAAACUUAACCAUCUUUGAUCAACGAGCUAGUCUAGCAGAGACAUACUAGGGACAUGGUGUUUUGUCUAUGUACUCACACAUGUAUCAAGUUUCCGCUUAAUACAAUUUUAGCAUAAAUAAUAAACAUUUAUCAUGAAUAAGGAAAUAUAAAAUAACAACUUUAUUAUUGCCUUCAGGGCAUAUUUCCUUCAGUUAAAACUCCGGCCGAGCGUUGUCAUCCUCGACUUGUCACGCCAAGGCCCCCCGCUUCAUUGCAGCAUCGUCGGCGGCAGUAAGGAGACGGAGUCAUUCCAGCGCCACCAGAGACAUUGCAUCGGUGCUCUGCUCCCGCACCACCGGAGACGCUGCAUCGGCGCUCUGCUGCCACACCACCAGAGAUGCUACAUCAGCAUGCUCUACCAACAGUGGGCACUCCCUCGCAGCACCACCACGCUCACAAACACCGGCUGCAGCCAGCCAGCGCAGCGGAGCUGCAGGUCAAUAUGGAUGCUGCAGUUCGCCGGUGCAGGGAGCUGCAGGUCGAUGCAGGUGUGCUACAAAAUUGUCGGCCGCUGCUGCAAGCCGCCCCACGGCUGUUCCGACGAGGGCCGAUAGCGAAGCAGAAGAUUGUUCGUUGUGUGACAGAGCUACAAGAUGAAAGAGGAAUAGAGAUCUCGCUAGGAAGAGGAAAGGGAACGAGCGGCUCGCCUUGACACUGGGGAUAAGGAUAAGGCAGCGAUGCGGAGUGUGGCCCCACGAGGAUGCGUGUCACGCGGGCGAGACGGCUUGUUUAGUCCGGAAAUAAUUCGGUUGUUUUUAAACGUUUUCCUUAUUUUAUUAAUGAGACACGUAUUAUCAUAUAAAAGAAACAAGGUUCAUCUGGUCCAAAAAAAAAGUUCGCCCGACAGUCUGGUGCUUAAUGUGCUCGGCCUAGUCCAUAUCAUUAAAAAUCUAGGCCAAAGUUGUACGGAGUCACUAAUUGAGGAGUACUCAUUGCAAAGAUCACUCCCACCUUAACGUGCCACUUGUCGCAACCCGGAAGUUUUCCCUUUUUUCUAGAUCCGUUUAUUCAAAAUGUUUUAUCUCUUAAAUCGCGCAUCUAAAUCUCGAACCAUUUUCACCGUUGGAUUCCUCGCAUCGGGGUCUUCAAAACUAGAUCCAAUGUUGAUAGGUUUUGACGAAAUUUUUUUCAUGAAAAAAUGGACGAAAAAACCAAACCGAAAGUACGGGUUUUUUCGCUUUCCGAAAGAGGCACGUACGUGCCUAUCGCGAAAUCAUAACCGUGUGUCACGCGAAACCAAAAUCGUGCCUCUCGCGAAAGGAAAAAAAAAGAGAAAGGCACGGCCGUGCCUCUCGCGGAAGCAAAACCUUAACUCUCGCGAAAGAGAAAAAAAGAAAUAUGUUUUUUUCCGUUUACGAGAGACACAACCAUGCCUCUCGCGAAAGUACAACCGUGCCUCUCGUGAAAGCAAAACCGUGUCUCUCGCGGAAGGAAAAAAAUGUGUUUUUUUUGUUUCCGAGAGGCACGGGCGUGCCUCUCGCGGAAGAAAAAAAACAGAAAACACGUUUUUUUCGGUUUUCGAGAGGCACGGCUGUGACUCUCGCAAAAGCAAAACCGUGACUUGGGAAAGAAAAAAAAACACGUUUUUCGUGUAAAAAAAUUGACUUUUUUAAUCAGAAAAAGCUAAGGAAGAGCUGUGGAAAACCAAAAGGUAAAAAAAAGUUUUAAAAGCCGAAAACGCCGUGGAAAAAUAAAAAAACAAAAUCCAGAGGGAGCAUCCAGAACACGACACGUGACGGGCGACUGAGAGUGCUUCAAGUGGCACUGAUUGCGAGGCUGUCGAAGGAGCCCUCGUCAACUAAUUGCUCUCAAAGUUGCGGCGAUAUAAAUCAAAUAGAAGAACUAUAGCCUGGUCCAAACUUGUCAAUAUGGAUAGGCCGAACGCACACAGAUCAUACUCCUUUUUCAAAGUAGCCCGUAGAGCUUUGUGUGUGUGCUACCCUGUUCCACGAUCUACUGAGCUGAGAGAGUGUGCUCGGCUUUCCCUCCUUCCUUCCGCGUUCGGCGCAUUUAUAAAACAAUAAUGAGGUUAGCUAACUCAUCUUCAGAAGGCUCUCCCGAUUGGAGCCUCAUUGGCCGUCCGAUCUGCCCCUCCAACUCAGUUGUACCGUUGGAUCUUCACUUGCAGUUAAAUUAUUUUUCACCUUGCAGUCAUUUUACUGCCCAAUGACAAGUGGACUCGUCUCACGCUUGCAGUGGCUGGGUCAGCAGCGGGUCAAUUUCGGCCGGGUGAGCCUUUCCUCGCGCGCGCCGCGUCGCGCGUCCUGUGGCUUGCCUGGGGCUGGAGCGAGGAGCCCAUUGGGCACGACCGCACCAACCCUAGCUCCCGAUCCACAGCCACGCACUCCUCCCUCCUCCCUCUCACAGCCGCCACACCCCAUUCCUCUCUUCCUCCUCCCUCCUCCUUCCCGGAUCAGUGCCACCGCCACACGCACUCGUCUCCUCCUCUCUCUUCUAGCUAACUCCUCCUUCCUGAGCUCUGUGUCGGCCGCAGCGCGAGAGGAGCAGCGGCGGCAGAGAUGCUCCGAUGGCGGCGUCGAGUUGCGAAGCGGCGGCGCUCGGGCGCGAGACGACAGAAGCGGGAGCCGCUACUCCGGGCCCCGAUCUGGGGGGUUCGGUUCCAGGGCGCCGACGGCUUCUUUGUCUAUGAUGCGGGGGCGAGCUGGGGUUCGCCGUCACCACGGCCGACCACCUCCCGUCGCUAGGGCCCAUGACGGCGGCCGGGUCGGGCCAGGGCAGAAUAGUUGGAGGCCAUGAAGGGCACGGCUGCUGCUGGCGGAAGUAGCAGGGUUUGAAGGAGCGGCAGAUGUGGGCAGGGUUGCGGUUGGGGAAGGCUCGCCGGCUGGGGGACGGCCAUAUCAAGAGGUAUCUGCUGGCGGGCUGGACCAUGCUUUGCUUCCUGUUGUCUUCUCUCUUUUGGGAUUUCUCAUCUUUAUUUUUUUUCGUUUUUACAGCUUGAGUGAAGGAGCCACGCUUGACAACUUGGCGUGAGCUACUUUGGUCCAGCGGCUACCAAUGUUCCUUUUUUACUUCAGAAUUAUAAAAUCAUGUUGCCUUUCUAGAAUAAGAUGGAGAAAGUUCCAAACAAUCUUUCAAGGUAUUUACUCUUGGCGUUUCUCUCUGAAAUUGCUCUUUUGGGAUCUGUUCUAUGCCUGCCUAUUAUCAAGCCAGUAGAAUGGGGUGGUUAGAUGUGAUUAUUUUCAGGGGAUUGAAUUGAAGGAGAGACAUCUGUUCCACAUCAGUUGGACAAUAAAUAUGCAUCACUUGAUAUCAUUGUGAUUUUGCACCUCACCAUCUUUUUGAAAUAAAGUUUAAUUUAAUCAAGUUCAACUCUAUCAUCCACAACUGACAGCAUGUUCCAUAUUUAGUUGUCUGCUUAAAUCUGAUUCCUUUUUCUGGUAGGUGCAAAAAUAGUAUGAUAUCCCUACUGAUAUGUAUGAAUAUACAGAUGACACAUGUAUUUACAUGUUUAGUUUUUCCAGAUUUGUCACACUCGAUGGAAACUGGAAGCACCACUCUCCUUGGCUGAAAUCACAGUGGUCAGAUUAUAGAUCACAAGCUGUAGACGAAUUGUUUCUUCUAAUUUCCCAAUCUUCAGGUUAUGGGUCAUUUCCCCUUUGCAAGAAUUAAUUUAUGUGGCUCCAUUUUUGUUAUACUAAAAAAAGAUAAAUGGAGUGAUAUUCUUAUACUAUAGAACUUCUAGAGUGAACAAAGAUAAAUGGAGUGAUAUUCUUAUACUACAAAGCCUCUUAUAUACUCCAUUUUGGUUAUGCUGGCCUCACUUAAUUGCUUUGCAGAUUGAACUGACCAAUCCGUAUGAUUGAGGAAUCCUUCUGGAGAAAAAGAAUUCAAGGAACUCCGCAGCUCCGAAUACAGAGGUGAGAAAUCGAAUCAAUCGAGCAGCGCUCUGGUGAUCUAUUCAUCUACAUGUUCUGAUAUGCAUGUAUUCCCUGUUUUUCCUCUGCUGGUUCAGCUUUGUUAAACUUAUAGUAGAUAUAAAAUACAUGUAUAUAUAUGCUUAGAACAAGCAAAAUUAGCACUCUCUAUCUUGAGUUGUCAGUUUGAUUUACAUACACAUGUCACUAGACUAUGCAUCAUCAAGCAGAAUGUUUAUGUGUGUUGCCAGUAACAAAUUGUAUCAAAUCUUGUGUUAAAACAAUGCUAUCAAAUUAACUUCCAACCAGGAUUUCAAGAAAAAAAUUGUGUGCUGGAGCAAGAAAGGGAACAUGGUAAGGAGUGUGCCUACAAGAGUUUCUCUGUUCUUAUUGGUUGCCAUAUGCAGCUUGCGGGUCUCGACUUAAUAAAUACAUCAACCGUGUACAGAAGGAAAAACCCAUUACAUGAAUUCUGAGUAGGUAUUUUCAGUCUUUCGCAAUGUAAUUUAUUUAUUUUUCUCUCAUAAUAUUGGAAAAUAUUUGGCAUGAAUGAAAUUGAUUUAAAUCUUGAAAGACUUCGAUUGAGACCCAUGUUUAUGUGUGUUGCCAGCCAACUGUUGAAACUGAAAGUAGAGACACAAUUCACAUAAUAAGUAACAACCUCCGAUUCAAGUUUAACAACCGCAGCUCCAUUCUAGAUUGAUGUUUAAGUUUUGAUGUGUCGCUCUCCAGAUUUCUGUCUGAUUCCCUUUUAUUUACCGCAAUCUGCAUUGUAAUGGCUAUAUAUAGAAUCACUAGAUUCAAGCCGAGUGAGGCAUCUACUUUGUUGUAAUUGGGCUUCCCUAGCAUCCAAUAUCAUGGUCCUAGCAACACUUUUCUCUGGGAGCAAUACAAACCAUGGGAGGCUCAUCUGAACCUUGAGUCGUUUCUCUGAAAUUUAUGAAUUUUGCUUGCUGAAACCUCUGAACAUUUCUGGAGUCUGUCACCUGAUUGAUUCUUCACUUGGCAAAGCAGCAAGAGGGACAUUAGCUGAUGCUAGAAUGAAAAGAAUUUGUACUGUACUUGGACUCGCCCUGAGCGCAUAUGGUCAGAUUUUACGUUAAAGCUGGUGAGGCAUUGGUGUUAGUUGCUAUUACCUGAGACCAGCUGCCAGGGAUACUUUCUUGAACCUUUGUUUUCCUGUCGCUGUAUUGUAGCAUAAAAAUCUAAAAUGGGUCCAUCUUUUCAUUACAGCUUAUGGUUUCCUUUGUUUUUCCCAAUAACUAAUGCAUUUGUUCAUUCUUAACGUUUCUUGCUUCUAUUUGUGCAGCUAUGCCAAUCUUUAUUAUUUUCUCCAUGAUACAGUUGCUUACCUGUAUGUUCUUAUGUUUAGUGGUAUUUAGUCUACCGUAUAUGUGUCAGGAAGAUGCGAGUACCAGGGUGUUACCCAGCUCAAGUUCUAGAGGAACAGGCGGUCUGUUACUGAAGAAAGAUAGUUUGAUAUGUCCGAGCGCCUCCCUUAGCAUGCUCUAGGUUUCAAUGAUGUACCUAUAACAAGACAGUCUUGCUAUCAAACAAAUAUUGCCUAUAUUUAUGACUGAUCAUGUAUAUAAAAAUAUGUUUGAUAUGUGCUCGCAGCCACAUAUUAUAUAAGACUAAAGUUAGUUUUUUGGUUGUAAAUAACUGCUAGCUCUUUUUAGUGCUACAUACAUCUAUUUGAGCGGCAGGUAAUUCCGACGGGAGGUAGUACUGCCCUAAGUAGAUUACAUGUUAGGCGUUGGAAACGGAGUUUAUAGAGAAGACAGGGUUGCUAGAAAUUCUUCUUGGUUGGUCUUCUCCCCUGAUUGGGCUUAGCCCAGCUAACAUUGAUGAGCCGAGUAAGCUAAUUUUGAAAUAAAUAUUUCCUUUCUUUUAUGCAUACAUCCAACAAAACAACAAUAUAAGAAAAAACAACAAUAUAUUAUAACAACAAUAUAAGAAAAAAAUAUUUCUUUCUUUUAUGCAUACAUAUAACAAAACAACAAUAUAAUAUAGGAUAAAAAUGUUCUCUAUCAUUGUAACCAUUCAUUUGCAAAGUAAAGCAAAAUACUUGCGUUUAGUUCUUGGUUUGAAUUUGGUAUGAGCCGACAAAAAUUCACUCCCCUUCAGUACCACACAUGUGAAGAGGGCCACCGGUCAUUCUCCACUAAUGAAAAGACGGGGUAAAAUGAGUAGUGAAAAUUGAACGGUCGAGGGGCAAAUCUGUUGCAAUCAGUGGUGGGUUGUAUCCUAAGUGUAUGCUAAAACCUAAUUUUACCAAAGAAGAGAAACAAUUUUAAAAUACUUCAGAUUUGAAAUGGACUAUAACCUAAAGUUACAAAAAGAAUGCAAAUAUUUCCACGUGCACAUGGUUUUAAAUGGGACUUUGCGCCAGUUGGUCGAUAUUCCCUGCCGCUUCAUAUUCUAUUCCAAGUGGGUGAGCCCAAAACAACGCUUCGUGGGGCCGGACUAACUUACAUAUGACUACUUUAUAAUAGACAUGUGUCUAAUUGGCUCAAAAAUAAUCACUUUUUUUCAAACACACACACAAUGUGUACAUCUCUUUGUAGACAACAAGCCAUGUUUUUUUAAUUAUUAAAGGGCAUUAAAUUUGUUACCUUAUAUGUUUGCCAACAACAAACCAACUAAAUCAUGAUUCUCUUUUCAAUGUGAACAUGGAUUCAGCAGGUCUCUGCCAUUUGGCACAACGGGUCCAUGAGGAACAGGUGGUCUAUUGCUAGCUUAUUUGAAAAGCGCCAACAGUGUGUGCCACAUGUAAACAGUCCAUGUUGAAAGAAUAGAAACAGAAGUGUGGAGAUAAUGUAAUUGGUCAGUCAGGAAAUUCAGUCUCAAUGAGCUCAACUAAUGACAUGUGGGGUUGAGCCUCAAAGUAACAGAAGUAUUUUACUAUCCUUUUCAUGUCAGUGGUCGAUGGUACUUACAUGCUGUAUCAGGUUAUCAAAGGACUGCAAUCAUAUACAUUUUAUAAACAAAUAAAACACUUUUAUGAAGCAUGUAGUAGACAAAUAGUGCUGCUGAUAAAUGGAUUUUUAUGUCAGAGCACAAAUGGUGUUUAGUGGGUCUCUGUGUCAUUUUGCGCAAUGGGAGAUUACUCAAAAAUACACAUAUUUUCAACAUAGCAUGAUCUUCAAUGAGAUUCUAUACUACCAAAUUAAAAUCUAUAGGUACAUCUCAUUGUAGACAACAAACCUCCAUUAUUUCUUUAUUAAAGAGGAUUGUUUUUAUUCGCAAAAAGAAGGGUUAAAUUUGUUACCAUAUGUGCUUGUCCACAACUAAAAUAACUAAAGUAAGGUUUUUUUUCAAUGUGAACAUGAAUUCAAUGGUUCUCUGUGUCAUUUGGCGCAACAGAAAUAACUACAAGGAUUUAUUUGCAUAUGUAUACAUCCAUAAAUGUUUUAGGAGAAAAUUACAACACAUGAUUUACGAUGCCUAAAAAAAGAUACGAGAAAAGUAAAAAUUGCCAAGAUCCGAAUAAAUGAGAACUAAAUCCAUGCAUGCAGAGAAAUCCGAAAUCGAAGGAAAGGAGAAAUUUCACCAGUUGAGUACGCCUCUCUAGGAAUGCUUAUCUUACCCAACUGAGGAACCGAGGAGGAAAAGGGGAUAAACAAGCUCGAUGGAUUCAGUCCCUGUCACUUCAUAUUCUACUACUGACAGGCCACACAUAACUUUGUUCAUGGACUGGGCUAGGUAGCAUAUGGGCAUUUCAAAUACCUAUGCCUCCAUAUGCACAACACAAAGAGGUUUUUUUCAUGCACAUGAAAAAUAGAAGUUUGGUACAAACACCGCUAAAAAAUACAUCCUUAACUGGCUAUGCAUUGUAUAUAAAUAUGUUUUUUAAUCAGAUUUCUCAUUGUGAUAAUCAUAUUUUCAAUUAAUAAAAAGCUUCCUUAGCUGGUCUAUACAUGUCAUACACUUUUUUUUUCAAACUCGGAUUACACAACAUGCUAAACAUAUUUUCAAUAUAGUAUGAUUUAACACAUGUAAACAUGUUUAAAAAAUAACAUGAUUUAGUUGAAGUUCUUGCAGCAUGAAACUAUUUUCAUCAAUAGCAUGUUUUGAGCAGGUCUCUGCGCCAUGAGCGCUGCUAUGCACACGACGCAUAGCAGACGAUUUGUGCACGAUAGGGCAUAUCCGUGCGUCCGUGCAUAUUAUCAAAGUGCAGCAGACGGCUAGAUGAAAAUCGUGCACCUGUCGUCCAUGGAGUGCAUCGUCUGCAUAGCUGUUUCGCUGCGCCAUUUGACCCAACGGAUCAACUGGUUGUAUAUUGUUUCUGCUCUUCUCGCGUGCUCCCCACUCUCGAGCGACCCCCCACGCCCCCCCACCCCACCCCCCCGACCACAGAGACCAUCUCCAGCGAACAUCCUCUGCCGGAUCUGAUGGCGGCCGCGAUUGGGUGGCUGGUUGAGACCAUCUCUGCGACCCUCCAAAUCGACAAGCUCGACGCCUGGAUUCGGCAAGUCGGUCUUGCCGAUGACAUCGAGAAGCUCAAGUCGGAGAUCCGGAGAGUCAACAUAGUGGUCACUGCUGCCAAGGGCAGGGGGGUAGGGAGCGAGCUGCUGGAUGGACCUUUCGCUCUUCUGGAGGAGCGGCUCUAUGAAGCCGACGACGUGGUCGACGAGCUCGACUACUACAGGCUCCAACACCAAGUCCAAGGUCUGCCGGCACCUGCAGAUCCAAGCGAGCCAGUCCCACUCCCAGUCCCAGGAGGUAAGCGUAAAUCUGUCUAGACCCAAGUAAUCCAAGUCUGCUAAUUAUUAGUUUGAUCUUAUGUUGCUCCAAAAAUGUAAAUUGGUCGUAUCUGAUCAAGGACGACCGUUCUUUAAUUUCUGGUCCACGAUUUCUUUUGGCACAGUUACAAGGGGUGAGCCCGAAGGCGUGCUUGUAGCUGAGCAAUUCAAUGAGAUAUCGAGGGGCGGUGGUGAUGUACCACAGAGCAAUGUUGGCAAAUUACGGUCCGUGGUAUGGGAACACUUUAUGAUCACAGAAAGAGAUAACGGAAAACCCAACAAGGCAGUAUGCCGACACUGUAGCAAUGAGUUUAAGUGUGACACCAAGACGAACGGUACAUCAUCUAUGAAAAAGCAUUUGGAGAAUGAGCAUUCUGUGACUUGUACAAAGAAACCUCCUGGAGCACAUCUACCAAACCCUUCAAGGUACUUAAAAGAGAAUUGGGUAUAGAGAGUAGAGUAUUCUUUCUAAUCUUAAGUGUACAUUUUUAAAAAGUUGUUUAUAUACAUAUGCUUGAGGCGAUUGUGGUCCUGAUUAAUAAGCACAUCCCCCGCAAAAUAAAUAAAUACGCACCUCUUUUUUUCUCACCACAGCACCGGUGAGCCUACUAUAAUUGCCAGCUCAUCCAGCAAAAAACGAAAGAGACGACGGUCCAAGGCAUGGGAAUUUUUUGAUGUCAUAGAAGAAGUAAACGAACAGCCUAUGAAAGCAAGAUGUAAAUACUGUCCCGCAGAGAUCAAGUGCGGCCCAACAAGUGGGACAGCAGGUAUGCUCAACCAUAACAAGAUUUGUAAGAACAAACCUGGACCAAAUGACCAGUUGCCAAACCUGUCAAGGUAACUAAAGAAUCUAUAUGUUGCGUCGAAAAACAAUUAGAAGUCAUUAAGUUAAGAGUCUCAUUGUGGUUCUAAUAGUCAAUUAACGUUCUUUUUUCUUAUUGUAGCACCGGUGAUGCUAAUGCGGAUGUGACGCCAAUUCUAAUAGGUAACUCGUCCACCAGAAAAGGGAGAAUGGAUGAUUCCAUACAAAUUGAUGUGACUAACACAGUCACCCCUUGGGACAUGGCCGAAUUAUCCAGCAGGAUACGAAAAAUAGCUAGUCAGUUGCAAUACAUCCAAGAGGAAACGACUGAAAUUCUCAAGCUACAUGGAUCGGACUCUACUUCAAGUUCAGAUCAUCACCAGAGUACAACAUCAUAUCAGCACCUCAGAACAUCAAGUCUUGUUCCAAGGAAUGUGUAUGGAAGAGUUAAAGAAAAGGAACACAUCAUGAAAUUGAUGAUGACAGAAGGCAGAUCUGACAAAGUAAUUGUUGUGCCUAUUGUAGGCAUUGCAGGUAUUGGAAAGACAACUCUCACUCAACUUGUGUACAACGAUCCAGAAGUGGAAAGGCAAUUUGAACAUAGGAUAUGGGUUUGGGUGUCUCGCAACUUUGAUGAAAUGAGGCUCACAAGGGAUAUGCUGAGCUUUGUUUCUCAAGAAAGUCAUGAAGGAAUAGGCUGCUUUGGGAAGCUUCAGGAGAUCCUGAGAAGUCAUGUCAAAUCAAAGAGGGUUUUACUUAUUUUAGAUGAUGUAUGGUAUGACAAGAAAGAUGCCCGAUGGAACCAACUAUUGGCUCCCUUUAAGCCUCAUAGUGCCAAUGGCAAUGUGAUUCUUGUGACAACUAGAAAAAUGACCGUUGCAAAAAUGAUUGGAACAGUGGUGCCAAUUAAGUUAGCUACUAUUGAAAAUGAUGACUUUUGGUUAUUAUUCAAAUCAUGUGCUUUUGUUGAUGGAAACUAUGAAUGUCUUGGAAAUCUUAGCACUAUUGGACGGCAAAUAGCAGAAAAGUUAAAGGGUAACCCGUUAGCAGCAGUGACUACAGGGGCACUAUUAAGGAACCAACUUACCGUUGAUCAUUGGAGUAAAAUUCUCAAGGAAGAAAAUUGGAAAUCAUUAGGACUUAGUGGAGGCAUCAUGCCUGCUUUGAAGCUUAGUUAUGAUGAGUUGACAUACCGUUUACAACAAUGUUUCUUGUAUUGUUCUAUAUUUCCUGACAAAUAUAGGUUUCUUGGUAAGGAUUUGGUAUAUAUGUGGAUUUCUCAGGGAUUUGUGAAUUGCACCCAAAAUAAGAGAUUGGAGGAGAUAGGAUUGGAAUAUCUGAAUCAUUUGGUAAACCUGGGAUUCUUUCAGCAAAUUGAAGAACAGCAAGAAUUGGAUGAGGAAAAAGAAUUCUCUCUACGCGGUCAGAUUUGGUAUUCUAUGUGUGAUCUCAUGCAUGAUUUUGCGAGGAUGGUUUCGGUGACUGAAUAUGCGAGGAUAGAUGGUCUGCAGUGUAAGAAAAUCUUACCGACUAUACACUAUUUGUCAAUAGUAACUGGUUCUGCAUACAACAGAGAUCUGCAUGGGAAUAUUCCUCGCAAUGAGAAGUUUGAAGAAAAUCUGAGAAAUUCUGUUACAUCAGUUACCAAAUUGAGAACACUGGUUGUACUUGGGAGCUUUGACUAUUUCUUUGUACAGUUGUUCCAAGAUAUAUUUCAAAAGGCCCAAAAUUUACGCCUGCUGCGAGUAUCUCCAGAAUCCACUUAUCUGUUUCAAGUGCCUGCAGCAUCCACUGAUUUUAAUUCCUUCCUGUGCAGUUUGGCAAAUCCUUUGCAUCUUCGUUAUCUAAAACUUGAUUUAGACGGGAUUGUGCCACAAGUUCUCAGUACUUUUCUUCUUCUUCAAGUAUUAGAUGUUGGCUCAAACAGGGAUACUUCUCUACCCAAUAGCUUGCAUAAUCUUGUUAGCCUGCGACAUCUUGUUGCACACAAGAGAGUCCAUUCUUCCAUUGCUAGCAUUGGCAACAUGACAUCUAUCCAGGAGCUACAUGAUUUUGAGGUUCGAAUUUCUAGCGGCUUUGAGAUUACACAACUCAAAUCCAUGAACAAGCUUGUUCAACUUGGAGUGUCUCAACUUGACAGUGUUAAAACCCGGGAGGAGGCUUAUGGGGCAGGACUAAGAAACAAGGAACACUUAGAAGAGCUUCACUUGUGUUGGAAGCAUGCAUUUUCAGUGGAUAAGGAUGUCAGUGACACUAGAUUUGAAUCUUCUGCAGACAUGGCCAGAGAAGUGAUUGAGGGUCUUGAACCACACAUGGAUCUAAAACAUCUACAAAUAUCUCGGUAUAAUGGUACCACUUCACCGACUUGGCUUGCCAAUAAUAUCUCAGUUACCUCACUGCAGACGCUUCAUCUUGAUGAUUGUGGAGGAUGGAGAAUACUUCCAUCUCUGGGAAGUCUUCCAUUUCUUACAAAGUUGAAGUUGAGCAACAUGUGGGAAGUAACAGAAGUAUUGGUUCCUUCACUGGAGGAGCUAAUUUUACUCAACAUGCCCAAGUUAGUGAGAUGCUCAAGUACUUCUGUGGGGGCUCUGAACUUUAGUUUACGAGCACUGCGGAUCGAGGAUUGUGAAGCACUGAAGGAGUUAGAUCUGUUUGAGAACGAUGAUAAUUCUGAAAUCAUUCAGGGGUCAUGGCUGCCUGGUCUUAGGAAUUUGAUUGUGAAAUAUUGCCCUCAUUUGAAAGUGUUGAAGCCACUUCCACCUUCAGCUACCUUUUCUAAGGUACUCAUCAAAGUGGUUUCAAGAUUUCCGUCUAUGAAGGUAUCAUCGGGUGAAAAGUUAGAAAUUUGGGAUGCUAAUUACCGCAGAGGCGAUCGAUCUUGUGAUGAGUUGAUCAUACUGGAUGACAAAAUUUUGGUGUUCCAUAAUCUUAGAAACCUCAAAUCGAUGGAGAUAUUUGGUUGCAGAAAUCUAAGGUCUUUCUCGUUUGAAGGUUUCAGUCAUCUCGUCUCUUUAACGAGCUUGAAAAUAAGAGGCUGUGAAAAACUUUUCUCUUCACAUGAGAUGCCAGCCAUUGAACAUGUGACAGCUGUGAACUGCGAUUCUUUCCCAUCUCUUAAAAGUCUCAGUAUUAAGUCAUGUGGAAUAGCGGGGAAGUGGCUAUCGUUGAUGCUGCAGCAUGCGCCAGGCCUAGAGAAAUUGAGUUUAAGAUAUUGCGCACAUAUAACAACAGUACUGUUACCGAUGGAAGAGGAAGAAAACAAUCUAUUAACAACAGUACUGUCAUCAGGAAAUCAAGAUGAGGCAUUGACCUGGUUAGCUCGAGAGGGACUCUUGCACAUUCCAUCAAAUCUCGUCUCCUCUCUCAAGAAUAUGAGUAUUAGUGAGUGCCCUCGUCUAAAAUUUAACUGGGGCACGGACUGCUUCUCUGGAUUUAUCUCGCUUGAGAAGCUUGAAAUCUGGGGAUCGUUGGUGGAUGAUGACGGAAGUUAUGACCCCGAGAAUGGAAGUUCUUUUGUGUUCGAAGAGGAGGAUCAACCCCUGGGGGCGAACGGAAGAUGGCUCCUCCCGACAUCACUUCAGGAACUUAACAUCAGGUUCUUGUGUUACCAAGAAACGCUGCAACCCUGCUUUACUAGAGAUAUCACCAGCCUUAAAAAGUUAUAUGUAAGCUUCAGCCCAGGUUUGCAAUCUCUACAGCUGCACUCAUGCACGGCACUGGAAGAAUUGGCAAUUGUCGGCUGUGGAUCAGUCACCGUCACUGUACUAGAAGACUCUCCUGGCUUGCUGCCAUGUUUGGAAAGGCUUUGCAUCAAUGACCCAUCUGUCCUUACCACGUCAUUCUGCAAGCACCUCACCUCCCUGCAACGCCUACGACUUGGUUUCUUGAAAGUGAGGAGACUAACAGAUGAGCAAGAGCAAGCGCUUGUGCUGCUCAAAUCCCUGAAAGAGUUCCAAUUCUAUUUGUGUAAUGAUCUCGUAAAUCUUCCUGCUGGGCUGCACACCCUUCCUUCCCUCAAGAGGUUGGAGAUAGAACGGUGUGGACGCAUCUCAAGGCUGCCAGAAGCAGGCCUCCCACAUUCGCUGGAAGAACUGAAAAUCGAGUCUUGCAGCCAGGAGCUAUAUGAUGAAUGCAGGCAGCUAGCAACAAGCAAACUGAAAGUCAAAAUUGGUGGGAGAUAUGAGAAUUAAUUACUGUAUGACUUGUUAAGGACAUGUUUCUGCAUGCACAACUCGUAGCGCUUGGUUGUUCUUGAGUUAAAGUUGUGUCAUAUGCUCAUAUAUCAUGUUAUAUUCAGAGUCGACAUACCCUCAUAAUUGUGCAGUGUGUUCAUACUAAAAUGAGCGUCUGGGUAGGCAUUCAUGUAGUCGAUAAACUGGUAUGUUUUGUUGUUUGGUCUUAUCAACUGAAUGAUGAAUUUCCCAUUCUUGUUUUCUUCCGGGAGAAUUUUAAUUUCCUUGGCUAGAGAGAUAAUUGCAACAGAUAAAUCCGAAGAUGCAUCCUAUUAUUCUUCACACAAUUUGGUUUAUCCAAAAUUCGUUGCUGCUCGCACAUACCAUUUUGAGUUAAUAAAUGUGCCCUUUAUCGGAACAUACCACACAUAUGCUUAGUGUGGUGAACAGAGCAGAUAAACAUGUCACAGUCCUGCACUUUCAGAGAUCAGGAUGGAAUUGACAGCAGACACCUAAUGUGUGCUUAAAUUUGAAUACGCAACCUGUAUUUCAGUGCUGAUUACCAGUUCCAUUCCUGCGAUACUAAUGAAGCUACUUCUCUUGUGUGUAGUUUAGUACUCCCUCCAUCCAAAUAGUGUCUCAACUUUAGUACAACUUUAUAUUAAAGUUAAUAUAAAAUUAAGAUACUUAUUUUGGGACAGAGGGAGUACUAUCGUAUCGUGGUAAGAAGAUAAAAGAAAGGACAUGUUACUAUACACUGAGCAUGUAUAGAAUCAUUAGAGAAGAACACGCACCAAUUCUUCAUUUCAAUUUAUGGGGAAAACUGAUCACCGCAUCUCACACGAGCAUUGCAGUUACAUCGAUCAUUUCCACCAUGUAAGGACCUUGAUGAACAUUAGCAAUCCCUGAAAAUUUGUUGCACUGGCAAACACAAGCAAAGUAACUAAAAAAUAUUUUAGACGUCAAAAAAUCUCAGAAAUUUGCACCAGCACACCAAAGACCAAACACGUUUUACUAGCACUCCAGUUAUCCAUUAGGAAAAGCUUACAGCUACAUGAAGUUGCUCUUACCCAAUAAUAACAGGCCAGUUUAAAAUAAUACACACUUACUGAAAUCAAGGGUAUAAUAAUAGAAAAAUUGAAAGCGAGCAGCGUCACCCGGAUAAAAGAGUCCCGCGACAUCUCCAGCGUGAGCCUCCUCGUCGCCCCUCCAUCGUCGCCCCGCUCCCCCGGCGCCGCCUCUGCCCGCCGCCUCGCGCCGCCGGGGGCUGAGCCCACGCCCUCCGCCGGCUCGCCCUCUCCGGUUUCUUCCGGGGUUGGCGGUGUCGGGGCGUCUCUGGGGCCGUCUGAUCCACCCCCCGCGCCGGUGCCGUCGGGCUACCACCUCGCCUCGCCGGCUUCCCCAGACGCCUCGGUGGCGGUGGACGUCUCCUCCCCGGCCUCCGCGCACCCCCCUCCGACGGUGGCGUACGCCAGGAGGCCCCGCUCCACCUCGACGCCGGUGACGUCCUCUCGCCGCAGCGCCCGCCUGGAGGCGGCGCGGCCGGGCGACUCCCCUGCGCCUUCCGUCGCCGAGCAGGCGGAGCUCCGUGCCGCUGUCCGGAAUCUCGAGUCAGGUGCGGACCCUGCCCCUCCCGGUUCUUCUCGUUGCUCCUUUUCUGCUCUCGAGGCUGCUCCUCUCGGCCACCUCGCUAAGGUGGCCAAUGACUCGGCCAUUGUCUUCAGGGGGGAGGUCGGUCCCCCCUUAGAUCAGAUCGCGGCCAUUAGGGCCCGGGAGAUCCUCGACGGCAGGCUGGCUGAGACUCGUGCCCGCCUGCUUCGGCCCCCGGAGGGCCCGCCCUCCACCCCCGCGGCUCCGGCUCCUCCGGUGGUCGACGGGAUUAUCCGUGGACGCACUCGGUCUCGCACGGCCGCCCUUCGCGCGCAAAGCGCCUCUCGUGUCUUGGGGUCAAGCAGCCCCCCGAUGGGGGUUUAGAUGCGGGCCCUCUUCUGGAACCUCCGCGGCUUCGGCCAUGAUGGCCGUCGCCGCCAGCUCAUCGAGUACAUCCGGGAAGAACACAUUGACAUCGUGGCCAUCCAAGAAACCCUUCGCUCCGAGUUCACCCUGCCGGAGCUUGAACACCUGAGCCCCCACCUCUUCGCUUGGCACUGGCUCCCUUCUAGUGGGACCUCAGGCCACUCGGGUGGCAUCCUCUUAGGGGUUAAGGAUGCCACAUUUGAGGUGGGAGGCAUGGAUAGAGGGGAAUUCUUCGUUAGUAUGGAGAUCUUCGAACGUGCCCUGAACUUCAAAUGGGAGGUCAUUGUUGUCUACGGACCGGCGGAUCACCGCCGCUCCCCAGCCUUCCUUGACGAGUUGCAGCUGAAGAUUUCUAACUCCCCCUCCUUGUUUUAGUGGGAGGCGACUUCAAUCUCAUCCGAUCCCCGGAUGAGAAGAAUAAUUCCCGGAUUAAUUUUCCCCGGAUGCAAUUAUUCAACGAUUAGAUCGCGGAGCUGGGGCUCCGCGAGCUUGACCGGACAGGUGCCAGGUUCACUUGGACCAACCGGCAAUCUGUCCCGACACAAUCCGUGCUGGAUCGUGUCCUAGUGUCCCCGGAGUGGGAAUUGCGUUGCCCCUUGGCAUCGCUCCGGGUGGUCACCCCGAUUGGCUCCGAUCAUGUCCCCCUUCUCCUUUCCACCGCCGACGAGUGCCCCCCCUCCCCUCCGCGGUUCCGGUUCGAGCUCUUCUGGCUCAACCAAACCGGCUUCCGGGAGGCCGUCGUCGCCCGCUGGAUUUCCGCUAGGUCGGCGCCCCAUCGCUCCAUGUCCGCUGUCGACUCAUGGCACUUUUGUGCCAAGCUUGCCCGCCAGUUCAUGAAGGGUUGGGGGCUAACCUUGGCCGGGACCUUAGAGAGCGCAAGAAGACCAUCCUGAUUGCUAUUCAAGCCUAGAUGCUCGCGCGGACUCGACCGGGCUCUCCUCGGAUGAGUGGAUGCUACGUUACGACCUGGAGGACCAGCUCUCCACCAUCAACACGGAUGAGGAGGCCUACUGGCGCUUGCGUGGUACCCAGAGGUGGGUGCUACAGGGCGAUGCCAACACCGCCUAUUUCCAGGCGGUCGCGAACGGCCGGCGCCGUCGCAACUCCAUCCACUGCCUGUGGGAUGGAGACUCGCCGUUAGUUCUCCCCGCGGCCAUCCGCUCUCAUGUGGAUGGCUUCUAUCGAGCCUUAUUUACCCCCACCCCGCGCGGUGGGGCUAGUCUCGCCCCCGACAUUUGGUCGGGCGCGCAUGUAGUCUCGGAUGAAGCCAAUGCGGCUUUGGUUGCCCCCUUUAGCGAGGACGAGGUCCUCGCUACCAUUAAGGGGAUGAACCCCUCCUCGGCCCCGGGACCGGACGGUCUACCAGUGUCUUUCUUCAAGACGUUCUGGCCUACCAUCAAGCUUGAGGUCAUGGCUCUGUUUGAGGAAUUCUACUCGGGCUCCAUGGACCUGGGGCGCCUUAAUUAUGGGGUUGUGACCCUCAUCCCCAAGGUCCCGGGCGCCUCCGAUAUUCGCCAGUUCCACCCCAUCACAGUGCUUAAUGUGAUUUUUCGGAUCCUGGCUAAAGGGUACGCCAAUAGGGUGACCCUCCUUGCGGACUCAAUCACCCACCCGAACCAAUCCGCCUUCAUUCAAGGCCGAUUUAUCCUGGAUGGGGUGUUGGUGUUCCACGAAGUCCUCCACGAGGUCCGCCUGAAGCGCCAUAGGGCGGUCUUUCUUAAGCUGGACUUCCACAAAGCCUACGACACGGUGCACUGGCCGUUCCCGAGGGAGGUCCUACUCCGCAAGGGCUUCGAUGACCGUUGGGUGACCCGCGUCAUGCAGCUCGUCUCCUGUGGUCGGACUGCGGUGAACAUCAACGACGACAUUGGGCCCUUCUUCCCUACCCUUUGCGGGGUCCGGCAGGGAGAUCCCUUCUCGCCGUUCUUGUUCAACAUGGUCGUGGAUGCCCUGGCCGCCAUCUUGGAUAAGGCCACGGCUGCCGGGCAUAUUCGAGGCCUUGUCCCGCACCUUGUUGGAGGGGGAGGUGUUUCCCUUCUCCAAUACGCGGAUGACACCAUUAUUAUGGUCGAGGGUUCCGCCCUAGAGAUCUCCAACCUGAAGUUCCUUCUUCUGUGCUUCCAACAAAUGUCGGGCCUCACCAUCAACUUUGAUAAGAGCGAAGUGAUGGUACUCGGUUACCCCUCAGAGGACGCACAGUCCAUUGCCGACCGGCUUAACUGUCGGCUGGGUUCUUUCCCCAUGACCUAUCUGGGGAUCCCCAUUAGUGACACGCGCCUCACCGUGGCGGACCUCCGCCCCACAGUGACCCGUAUGCAACACCGCGUAGAGCCCUAGAAAGGGCGUUGGCUGUCGAAGGCGGCGCGCGUGAUCCUUAUCAACUCCUCGCUAGCUAGCCUCCCGUGGUUCCUCAUGAGCUUCUAUAGCCUUCAUGAAACGCUCCAUCAGGAGGUCGCCAAAUACCAGUCCAGAUUCUUCUGGGCUGGGGAGGAGGGCAAGCAGAAAUACCACAUGGUCAGCUGGCCAGAUAUCUGCAAACCCAAGGACCAGGGCGGUCUUGGGAUUCUGUCCUCUCGGUGCAUGAACAUCGCCCUCUUGACCCGCUGGCUCUGGCGUAUUGCCAAUGGGGAUGGAGGCCUCUGGCUCACUAUCAUCCAGAACAAGUACCUGCGUGGACAGCCACUCGCGUUCUGCCAACGCUCUGGCGGUUCCUAGUUUUGGCAGGCCGUCGUCCAGCUGCUGCCGGUCUUGCGUAUAGGCACAUCCAUCUCGAUGGGCACUGGAGCCUCGACCUUGUUCUGGAUGGAUAGAUGGCUCGGAGAUGCCCCUCUAGCCGCCCGGUUCCCCAUCCUAUUCGACAUUGUAGUUGACCCUCGGGUCUCAGUCGAGGCGGCCCUUAUUGACUUAGGGCGCCUCGCGUUCCGCCGCCCUUUUGGCCCCGCUGAGGUGGCUGCCUAGGAUGUCCUCCUCCAGGACAUCGCCCUCUUACCUAUGGACGUGGCCGACUCUCCGGACGCCAUCUCCUGGCGCCUAGAUCCCUCCGGCUGCUUCUCCACUAAAUCCCUCUACGCGGCUAUUGCCCCCUCGUCAGCCCCGGAGCCCUUCGGUCUGAUCUGGGACAUCCGCCUCCCCCUAAAGAUUCGGAUCUUUCUUUGGCAAUGGAUCCGCGGCCGCCUCCCGACCGGCGUUGAGGUUCUUAAGCGCCAUGGUCCUAGCGAUGGAAUGUGCCCCCUGUGUGGCACGGUAGAGGACGCUAAUCACAUCUUCUUCUCUUGCUACACGGCACAGUUCCUUUGGUCUUGUUUCCGCGAAACGGUUGGGGGACAGUGGUGCAACACCAACUUCCCUGACUUGCUUGCGGAAAUUCAAGCCUCCCCCCUCGCUACAGACAUAUUAGAUGGCUCUGCGUCGGGGUUCUCGCCUGGACGUUGUGGACGGUUCGCAAUAAGCUUGUCAUUCAGAAGGUGCCCCUUCGGCGUGCUACUGACUCCAUCUUUAAAAUGUGUGGUUACUUGCAGCUCUGGCGGCCGCUUAGCCGCCCUCAGGACCGGGACGCCAUCAAUAGACUCCUCACCGACCUCCGUUCGUUGGCCUUCCGCCUGGCGCCUCCGCUCCCGCCGCCACCCCCGGAGCCCGACUAGAGGAUGUUUCCCUCCUGGCGCGUGUGCCUUUUGUGUGUGUGUGUUGGGCUUGUUGAGCUGUGCCCUCAGCCGUACCCCUUGUUGCUUGCUUUUGUUUGGACUCUGUGUGCGUGUGGACUUUGUGUGUGUGCGGACCUGUUGGAUGUUGGCUUUGGCAUUGGCUUUAUAUAUAAAGCGGGGCGUGAGCCUUUUUCCGGUAAAAGAGUCCCAAUCAACUCAGGUUGCAUGGUUACUAAAUUUUUUUAUCAUUCAUAUACCUCCAAGAAAAAGAUUAAACCAUUCUCAUACCAGUAUAAGUCGCUAGACAAAGAUGAUAAGCAUGAUUUCAGCAUUUUCUUACUCUGAUGCCAUAGUUAUGUCGCCCAUUGUAGUUGAUAUGUUGGCAAUUAUGAUAGGAAGGGCUAAGGAGGCUGGUCAGGUGGGUGGCUUGGUACCUCAUCUAGUUGAUGGAGGAGUGUCUAUCCUACAGUACGCCGAUGAUACGAUCAUCUUUAUGGAGCAUGACUUGGCCAAAGCGAGAAACAUGAAGCUGGUGUUAUGCUUAUUUGAACAAUUGUCCGGGUUAAAAAUUAACUUUCACAAAAGCGAAUUGUUCUGCUUUGGUAGAGCCAAUGACGAAUAAGAGGCAUAUCGGCAAUUGUUUGGGUGCGAAUUGGGGACUUUACCUUUCACGUACUUAGGUAUCCCAAUUCAUCAUCGCAAGCUGACAAACAGAGAAUGGAAGUGCAUCGAGGACCGAUUUAAAAAGAAACUGAGUUGCUGGAAGGGCAAGCUCAUGUCAUACGAAGGCCGAUUAAUUCUGAUAAACUCGGUUCUCACGAGUAUGCCCAUGUUUCUUUUGUCGUUCUUCGAAGUCCCAGUUGGAGUUAGGAAAAGACUGGACUUCUAUCGAUCACGCUUCUUCUGGCAGAGCGAUGAACUAAAAAGAAAAUAUCGACUUGCCAAAUGGGAUAUCAUCUGUCGACCGAAAGACCAAGGGGGUCUUGGUAUUGAGAAUCUUGAGGUUAAAAACAGAUGUCUUCUCAGCAAGUGGUUGUGGAAGUUAUCGGUAGAGACUGAUGCCAUUUGGGCACAGAUCCUUCGUAGCAAGUAUCUUCAUUCCAAAACCUUGUCCCAGGUGACAGCAAGGCCGACUGACUCACCCUUUUGGAAAGGGCUUAUGAAAGCCAAAUUAACCUUGUUUAAUAGGACAAAGUUUAUUAUUGGCAACGGCGCUAGCACGCGAUUCUGGGAGGAUACUUGGCUUGGAGAGACCCCCCUUGCCAUUCAAUACCCGUCUAUGUAUCGUAUUGUUCAACGACGUGAGGCAUUCGUUGCAACGGUACUUCAAUCCACUCCCCUUAAUAUGCAAUUCAGAAGGACGCUAAUUGGAAACCGUUGGGAAGAAUGGUUCCAUCUAGUAGGUAGACUGAUGGAGGUUCAACUAUCUCAACAGCCCGAUAAAUUAUGCUGGAAACUUACUAGGUCUGGAGAGUUUACAGUUAAAUCAAUGUAUGUUGAUGUUAUCAAUUCAAGCUCGAUUCCUAGUUCCAAACAUGUUUGGGUUGUCAAAGUUCCUUUAAAAAUCAAAGUGUUUAUGUGGUUUGUCCAUAAACAAGUAAUUUUAACCAAGGACAAUUUGGCAAAGCGUAAUUGGACAGGACCUACUAGGUGUAGUUUCUGUGAUCGGGAUGAAACUAUCAAACACCUUUUUCUUGACUGCCCGUUAGCAAAAGUUCUCUGGCGGACAGUUCAUAUUGCUUUUAAUAUCACUCCACCGAGUUCUGUCAACACGUUAUUUGGAACGUGGCUUAACGGGAUAGGGCCCGAAACAGCGAGACACAUUCGUGUAGGAGUUUGUGCUUUACUUUGGGCAGUCUGGAACUGCAGAAAUGAUUUGGUUUUUAACAUAUCAACAAAUAUUCAUUUUUUGCAGGUUAUUUUCCGGGCCACUGCGUUGAUCCGUAUGUGGUCGCUACUCACUCCGACGGAGGCCAGGGAGCGUUUGGUUACUGGAUCUAUCCGCUGGGAGAUGGUAGCACGGGAUAUUUUCAACCGGUUUGAAUGGCGGUCAUGUAAUAGGAUAGGCAAUUAGUUUACCUAUCUUUCUUAUGCCAGCCGGUUGUAGCUUUUUGUGGCGAGUUUGUUUUUCGCCUUUUUGGUUCCUCGUGAACACUCUUUUAUUUUCGCUUUGAGACUUUAAGACCUUGUUAAACCUAUUUAUUUAUUUAAUAAGUAGGCCGUAUGCAUCGUUUAGAUGCAGAGGCCGGGGAGUCCCCCUUUUCAAAAAAAAAGUUAUGUCGCCCAUAAGCAUUACGUACACAAUAUAUGUGCUAGAGAAAACACAUCAAUACAAAAGCCACCUUCAGAUCAGAAGGCCAGCUGAACUACAACAUGACUCAGUACCCUCCACUUUUCACUUCUAUAGACAUAGUCGAGCUGAGCUAUCACCCACAAAGCCAGCCAUCUACUAGGAACUCCUUUUUUUGCAGGUGAGCCAUCUACUAGGGACUAUGUACUCACAGUAGGAUCCAAGCCGACAUGAACAUCCCACAAAUAAGUACUCACAUCCUCCACCUCAGAUCCUACUGUUAGAACAACCUCUACACCAGAGAACGAGCAUUGCCAUCUGAGGUGCUGUCCCCUGAGCUCCCUGACCCUGAUCCUGUAAACAGAGUCAAAUGUGAAACAUUGUAGGAAGUUUAAUUCAUGAAGAUUAAACGAUGUUUCUCAAAAAGGGGAAGAAUAAACAGUGGGUUCGGCAGUACCACUGGAUGACGAAGAUCCACUACCCGAACCACCAGAGACACUCAUGACCUUAGCACCCUUCUCGAUCUCCACUGAUUGGUAAGUUGCAGUUGACAUCUCAUCAUCAAUAUUCACAUACUCGUCCACCUGCGCAGACACUACAGUGUUCUCAGGAUUUUCGCUCUCCUGUAAAUAACAAAACAAACAACACCCGUGAGAGUCCAAUUUGCAUACCCACUAACUGCAAACAAGAACAGCACAUGUUUCCUCUACGGCCAUUACCACAUCAGCAUUGUCAACCGAUGUAGGCACAGCACCAUUCACAGCUUCAACUCCAACAGCAUCGUUGACCUCAGCAAUGUCCCCAUUCAUCAUCACGGCUCGUCGGCUCCUUUUGAGAGCCUUGUUGAACAUUUCGACCAUUAAGUAGCAACCCCUGCAAAGAAAAGAAGAACAUUCGCAAGGGGCAAAUUUGCCGCACUGGCAAACACAAGCCGAGUAACUCAGAAAUAUCUGGAUGUAAACUUAACUCAGAAAUUUUCACCAGCACACCAAACACGUUUUACUGGCACUUCAGUUAGAUGUUGGGAAAAGCUUACAGCAACAGGAAGUUCUCUUACCCAGUAAUAACAAGCCAGUUAAAAAUAAUACGUACAUAAUCUAACUGAAAUCAAGGGUAUAAUUUCAGAAAAGGCGAGCAGCGUCACCAGGACAAAAGAGUCCCAAUCAACUCAGGUUUGCAUGGCUACUGAAAUUGUUAUCGUUCAUAUACCUCUAAGAAAGAUUAAACCAUUCUCAUAUCAAUAUAAGUCACCAGACAAAGAUGAAAACGAUGAUUUCAACAUUUUCUUACUCUGAUGUGAUAGUUAUGUCGCCCAUAAGCAUUAAGUACACAACAGAUGUGCUAGAGAAAACACAUCAAUACAAAAGCCACCUUCAGAUAGAAGGCCAGAUGAACUACAACAUGACUCGGUACCCUCCACUUUUCACUUCUAUAGACAUGGUCGAGCUGAGCUAUCAGAUUACCCACAAAGCCAGCCAUCCACUAGGAACUAAGUUAACUAAAUCCAAGCAGACAUUAACAUCCCAGAAAUAACUACUCACAUCCUCCACCUACUCAAAUCCUACUGUUAGAACAACCUCCUCUAAACGAGAGAACGAGCAUCACCAGCUUCUGAGGUGCUGUCCCCUGAACCUAUAAACAAAGUGAACAUUGUAGGAAGUUUAGUUCAUGAAGAAUAAACGGUGUUUCUGGAAAAGGGGAAGAGUAAACAAUGAGUUCGACAGUGCCACUGGAUGAAGAAUAAACGAUGUUUCUCAAAAAGGAAAAGAAGAAACAGUCGCUUCGACAGUAUCACAGAGCAUGAUGAAGAACCACCAGACUACCAGAGACACUCUCGACGCGUUUGGUUCACUCUCUGGUAACGUAUUCGUUCAGGUAACGAGAAGCACCGGUUUCCGAUGUUUUGUUACCGAAUACAUGCUUUGUUUGGUUGAGCGUCCAACCUCCGGUUUCCUAAUCACCUUUGAUCCGGCCGUUUUCGGUUUUGCGAAGCCACGUAUCAGAAGACGCUGCUAGCUAAUACGUAGUGUGCGUACCAAACGCAGGAUACCGUUUCGGAAAACGCUGGAAUCGAAAGCCGCGAUGUUCGCUCCGAACCAAACGCGUCGUCUGUAUCCUCACUUCCUCAGCACCAUUCUCGGCCUCCACUGAUUGGUAAGUCAGCGCUCUCAUCCUCAAUAUCUACAUACCUAUCCACCUGCUCAACCACCACUACAUUCGCCUUCUCAGGAUUCCCGCUCUCCUGUAAAUAACAAAACAAAACAGAACAACUGAGAGUCCAAUUUGCAUAUGCACUAACUGAAAACGAGAACAACACAUGAAAGGAACAGCACCAUUCGCAGCCUCAGAGCGCCAGCGCCAUCGUCUGCCUCGGCAGUGUCCUUCUGCAGUAAGGAUCUGGCCGCAGCGCUUCCUCAUAGCCGCCCGGAGCUUCGCCGGAGGCGGGGGGAGGUUCCUGCUGCAGCGUGUAGAUUAGAUGGACAGCGGGAGGAGGGCGCGGACCUGGCCGAGCCCGCCUCCGAGGAGUCCCGGUCCCGGAACGCACUGGCAUCGCGUUGGGCUAACCUCGCCAGCCGGAAGGUGAGGCAACCGGGCGGCGGCGAGCCACCGAACAUAGGAGCUGUCCAUAAUGUAACAGAAAGUAAGAGCUGAAAAGACAAGUGGAACAGCACAACCACCCGCCCUCUCCCCUCCCGCGUCGCCCCCGCAGCCGGGCAAACCACGAGGCGCGACCAGACGAAGCCUGACCGGCGCAGGCGGCGGCGGGACGUGCGGGCCGGCUUCGAUAGGCCUAGGCGCCGCGGUCUGGUGGGAUCAUGCGACCCACGCGAGUAAGGCGUGAGCCGAGGCCCAGAUAAGCAGUUUUCUGGUCGGUUUUUUUCUAUGUAUACUUUCUGGUCGUUUUUCAUAUUCUGUUUUUAUCCUUUUUAUUUUAUUUUCUUCUCUUCUCCUUUUUUCUGUUCUUAUUUUUGUUUUUUAAAAUUCUUGAAUAUCUAUUUGACAUUUCUUCAAUGUGUUGUUCCCCGGGCUUCUGGUUUUUAUGGGUUUUCUAUUUUUCUUCAUCGCUUUAUUUUUUCUGGAAAAACUGUUCAAUUGUGCAUUCUAAAACUGUUCGGUGUGUAUUAGAAAAAAGUUCACCCUAUAGUAAAAAAGAUCAUCAUAUAUUAGAAAAUACCAAAUUUCUAUAGAAAUUUGUUUGUAUAUACAAAAUUUCUAUUUUAUAUUAGAAAUUUGUUUGUGUGUAUAUUAAAAAUGUUCAAUGUAUAUUAUAAAAAGUUCAUAAAAAGAUCACCGUGCACUGUAAAAAGUUCCUAGUACAUAAAAAAUGUUCAUUGUAUACUACAAAUUCACAGAAAGACUGUGCUUUCGGUCUUCGGUUUGAGGGAUCAAUUGUGAACGGUUCUAGGGACUUCAUCAACGAUCUAACCAACUCUUAUUCCACUGCAACUCGAAGUUGAUAAUGAUUCGAUCAAACCUUGCGUUGCAACUUCAUAGUGAUUUCGGAGUAUAAUCUGUAGGACGAUUUUUUUUUGUUUUCUACUACAUUUCCCAGUAUAUAUUUGGUUGAUCGGUCCUUCGGGCCACCUCCCUAUGGUGCUUUCAAUCGCACCCACGUGCCAUGUCUCGGGCGCUGGCCCGCGCACGGCGGAAGAUCCAGGUCACUCUAUCAGCGUCCUUCGGUCCCUGGUCAGGUUGCUUCGCUCACGCCAGUUGAGCCUGCGCAUACACUCGACUCGGCUUGUGACUGUCCACUCGGCCGAUGGGCGAGCCAGGUCGCCCUGUUAGCAUCCUUCGGCCUCAGCCGGAGUGCUUCGCUCGCGCUAGUCAGGCCUGCGCGUGCGCCCGGCUCGGCGUGUGACCAUCCACCCAGCCAGCCCUAAUGGCCAUCCGGCCAUGGGUCGUGGAGGUGAGAGGCCGGACAGCGAGAGGCUAUUUCGUUGCCACAAGCUUCGUGUGUGGGGCCUGCCUUCCUGCCUGUGUGUGCGUUUGCCGGCCAGUGAUACGUCUCAAACGUGUUUAUAAUUUUUGUUGCUUCAUGCUAUUAUAAUAUCACUUUUGUAAAUUUUAAUAGCAAUUUUUAUAUUUUUUCUAGACUAACCUAGCAAGAGCCAAUUAUUGUUUUCUACAUGUUUUAGGGUUUAUUUGGAUCAGUGCCAAAACCUGCCCAGCCAAUUUAUUGCCGUUGACUGCUGCGUGGGCAACUGUUUGGAACGAAGCCAAUUUUUUGGUGUGCCCUGGCUCGCACAUCCUUCUGGUUCACUUUUGCGUGGAUUUUUGACGCCAAUUUUUUGGCGUGCCGAAGCAUUGGCAGGGCUAGCACGGGUUAAAUCCAUACACAGCCUUAGAUUUUUCAGAAAAUCAAUAUCUGUGUAGCUCAAAAUACCAUGGGGAUUUACAAUUAUUUUUUCCAAGUUAAGAAGACUCCAAAAAGUGCUGGGAGGGGCCGGGGGCCACACCAGGCCCCCACGCGACAAGGUGGCGCGGCUUAGGCCCCAUCCGUGUGGGGAGGCCAUAUGGGGCCCCGUGGCACCGCGUUACGUUGAUUCUUUCGCAUAUAAAUUCCAUAAUUCGAGAAACCCUCCGCACCAUUUUUUUGAUUUGUUUCACCAUCGUAAGUUCCUAUUCUAGGGAGAUCCAAUCUAGAGGCCUGUUCCGAGACCCUCCUGAAGGGGAAAUUCAUCACCGGGCCAUCUUUAUCAACCUUGUUGCUACCAUGCAUGACCAUGUAUGAGUAGUUUCCUUAGGAUCUUAGCAUCCAUAGCACUAGCUAGAUGACAUCCUCUCUCUCUCUCUUUCUCUCUCUCUCUCUCUCUCUCUCUCUCUCUCUUGUGAGUAGUUUUCUUAGGACCUUAGGACCUCAAUCGAGGUGAAGUAAUCUAGCAAUAAGUAUUUUCCUUAGUAAAGAACUAAGGUUUAUUGAAUCAAAAGGAGUUCUUUCAGCAAACAAAGUCACAGUACCUGCGGACAAAACACAACACAAACUUGUCCCCAACACGUCAAGAAUGUUGUCAAGCUUCUUAAUAGAUAGAUAAACUAAAGGAAACAGUACAACCAAGAAUAUUAUUUUUGAUGAGGUUUUCAGUCAUAGAGAAUAGACCCAGAGGGCCAUAAUUUCACUCUCUCGUAAGUAUACAAGUGUGGUGAACAAAUUACUGUUGGGCAGGGAUUAAAUUACAAUAUUAUAUUUAUUACUAUGAUCAUUCACAUUAUAAUUUUAUAUAGGCAUUACGUCGGUGAUAUGUACUCCCUCCGUUCCUAAAUAUAAGUCUUUGUAGAGAUUUCACUAUGAACCACAUACGGAUGUAUAUAGAUGCAUUUAGAGUGUAGAUUCACUCAUUUUGCUUCGUAUGUAGUCACUUGUUGAAAUCUCUACAAAGACUUAUAUUUAGGAACGGAGGGAGUAGACUGUUAUCCAACUGCAGCUGCAACUAAUAUUUGCAAAAUGCUCAAUGGAGCUCGGCCUCCAGGGAGGCCGAAUUUGAAAUAAUCAAAAUUCAAAUUUGUGUGUUUCAAAAAAAAAUAUACAUAUACUUAGAGACAUAAUGCUCAAGUGUGUAAAUUUUCAGGACAAAAAACGUUAAAAUGAGUGCUACAAAAAAAAUCUGAGCCACUUUAAUAGAUACACUAUUCAUCCUCAAAGUCCAUGAAUUUGUCCUUUUAGCACAGAUCACAUUUCAAGAUAUUUCAUCUUGAAAUUUUACACACAUACACUCACAUUCUUGUUUACUUGUACAAAUUUGUUUUAGAUUUUUUUGAAACUAAAAUGUUCAAACCUUAAAGUUUUCACAAAAUCCGGCCUCCAUAAAGGCCGAGCUCCAAAACGUUCCACUCAUGCCAACGACGCUGCAAGUGUGUCUGAAAAAGUUCCCUAAACAAAGGUGUGUUUGCAUAAACGGUUGGAUCACUUGCUCUCAAUUCUCAUAUAAAGCGUGACCAGGUCCAGAACUAUAUUGAUCAUUUCUUAGCUAGUUAUAUGCUAGGCAUACCAAUCGUAUUGCUGUUUGUCUAUGCUCCGGCUUUGAGAACGUUGAGAACUUAUGUCUCGCUGAUUGUAAUCCUGAUGAUUGAGUUAUACAUGUCCUAUUCGCGCGCAAAAGAGAAAAGUGUGUCGUCAGCAAAGCGCCACUACUAGUAUGUGUACCUGUCUAGAAAAACGAAAGCAGUAACCAUUACAGGUCAGCCGUAUCUUGUGCACAAGCACGUCGGGAAACCGGAAACCGAGCGUUCGGUCCUGGUUCCUUGGCUUCGCAUGACGCGGUGACGGAGAACCAAGGCGACGGUCGCCUGGCGGACCCACAGCAUCCACUGACUCACCUUUUCCAUGCCCGCAUAGCUUAUUAUUAUGACCCAACAUGCUGUGUGACGAUCUUGUUGAUUGUUGACUAUCGUACUCGUGUGGCACCCUUUUCUGCCCAUCAUCCUUGGCCACGGAUCUUAGAGCAACUCCACCGGGACGACCCAAACGGAUACGCGCUUUGUCUGUUUUUUAUUUGUUUGGAUCGGUCGCCCGUCCGGCGUCCGCCCAGUUUUGCAUUUGGGUCGGCAGUGUACCCAACACAUCGAUCCAUUUCAUGUCCGCAUUCAACUUAAAAAAAAGGCCCGCGGGCGAUCAUGCCAGCGACCAUGUCUCAUGCCAGCAUCAUGCCAGCGCCGGCAUACAAUGUCGGCUUCAGAAAAUAUCACCACAGGUUUAUGUUGGCGCACUCACUAGCCGGCCGGUACACAUGCCAGCACACAAAAAAUGAUGGGGCUUGAAGUUCGACCACGCCAUCGCGGCUCCCGUGUUCAUGCAUACAAAAAAGAUGGCGCUCGCCGCCAUAGAUCACUCGUCGUCGAACUUGAGCAUGUCGGCCUGCAUCUUCUCGAACCAUGGCCUCUUCCUUGGCGACACGGUGUUGAGAUCCACCUUCAUGAUCUCCACCCCGGUCAUCAUGCUCACGAGAGCCACUUCUUUCGCCUUGGUCUUGACGUUGGCAACCUCGAUCUCAAGCAUCUUGGCUUGCUUCUCCGCCUCUAGCUCGAACAUCUUGGCUUGCUUCUCGGCGUCCAAGUCAAGCCUCCUCCUUUUGGAUCUCUAUGAAAGCAUCCGGGUAGAAGGCGCGAUCAUGCUCACUUCGGGUGAGCACUCCCCGGAGAGACGGGAGGUCUGCGGGUAGACGUGGAAGCCGGGGAUCGGGUUGCAAGCCGACCCGCGGGGCGAGUCGGGCAACACCAUCCGAGGAAACGCCGACGAGCCGGUGCUGGCCGCGGCGACGAUGGCUUGGACGAGGCCGUGCUGGCUAGGGUUUAACCCUAGCAUGUAGAGCGCCUCCCUCGUUACCGCCGCGACGCGGGCGUUGGUGACCUCCUGCUGCGCGGCAGCGACGGCGGCGGCCUGAGCGGCGACCUCAUCCCUCGCGCCCGCGGUGUGCCUCCGGCCCUUCCUCUUGGCCGACUCGCGUGCCCGCUGUUCGGGCGUCAUCGCCUUCUUUGGCUUGGUGGUGGCGGCCGUCUUGCGCGGGGCACGAGGCUUGCCCUUCCCGGCGGGGGCGGCGGCACCAGACGAGGCGAGGGAGGCGAGGCCGGCGGCGGCGUCGAGAUCGAUGGCGUCGUCCGUGGUUGGGGCGGGAGCGAGCGCGCGGGCGGGAGCGUCUUUGAAGAAAUGGGGGGAAAUGAUGGUGGCUGCCACCGACCAGCGCGUCCGAGAAGAGGAUUAGGCGCGCGCGCGUCCGUCUCGUGUCCGCGCGGACGCAAAUCCGGCUCAAAAAUGACUCAAGAAUGGGUCGCCAUGCGGACGUCAAGCGGACACGCGUCCGUUUGGGUCGGCGCGUUGAGCCACCUUUUGUGUGCGCGCCGACCCAAACGGACGACGACGGACAAAAUGGGUCGUCCCGUUGAAGUUGCUCUUAAACCAAAAAUGCCCUUGAUCGGUUCUGGUUUGAGUCGGCUCGGUUAUGGUUCGGGCAUUCCACACGGCCAGGUCGUUGUCGGUGUCAUUGUCCCAAUCCCUCUUGAGUAAAAAACAGAUCGGUUUGGGUCGUGGAAUGAAUCUAUCAAGAGACCCGUAGCAUCACAAAAAGAAUGAAAUCUUCCCCCGCAGAAAUAAUGUACAGUUUAGUACCUCGCUUCUAAUAAUUACUCCGUCCGUCCCGUAGUCUCGGUGAUAUUUGUGCAAAACGACCAAGAAGUAGCAAUUACGAAAGGAAAAUCUAAGAGGGAACGAGGUCAUUCAUCUAGUACUACACUAAUAAUGAGCUAGUAGUAAUAAAGUAUCACGGAGUAAACAACCAAAACACAUGGUAAUUAGUACACAGCAAAGUAUUAAGUUGAAUAGAGCCACUUUUCGUCACGGAGAUUGUUUACUAGAGCUGAGCAGUUAACGACGCCAUACGCUCUGAAGCUUUGUUUAAGCUACUAUAAAGCAUGAUCCAUUCAAGCCUUACAGCAUGGCAUGUGCUCACCCAAGGGUUGGAAAACCAAAAUGUGUGGUUCGGUUCGGCUCUGGUUCAGUUCGGUUCGGAUGGCUUCUUGGGGCUGCGGAAAGUCACGUCCCACUUCGUCUCUGACAUAUUACUGCCACUUUGCGCGUCUAAAGGCUGUGCUUAUAAAUUCUUCGCCAUCGCCGAGCCUCAAACACAAACCCAUUUCCCCACAAACACGACCACCCUCGAGACGAGCAAUGGAGUUCCUGGCCGACUUCUGGAACCUGCUCGCCUUGAUUUCCGCCGCAUGUGGCAACGCGGAGAAGCUGCUGGCUGCUCUCAUCUCCUGCGGCGUCGUCGAAGCAGCAGCGGCGCUCUGCCUCGUCAUAUCCAAAGCGCCCGGAGGUAUAUUUCUCCACCACGGCAAAGCACCCUUCUUCUUGUACUACGGCAUCCUCAUCUUCGUGGUGAUCUUCGGGGUGGUCGAGGCGUCAGUUGGCUUCUGGGUGUCAGGCGAUGUGGUCGGACGACAUGCCGCCGGGAAGACGAUCCUGUGGUUGGGCCUCCUGCCCAUCGUCUUCGUGGCUGCGCUUGGAGGCUUUGUCAUUCUGAGCAUGAAAUAUUUCAUCAUCCUGCGCCAGUUGUGUGUGUGCACGUGUGUACGUGCGAGUGUCACUGAGUGAGCUUGAUGUACCAUUUGCUUCCAUCUGUUAUUCGUUUUAGUAUAUGUUUGUGGUAACGGGGCUUUUUGUCCGAAACGGAGAGUUUCAGGUUCUGUUAGGAGAUGGUAACAGAGUUUCAGGUUCUGUCCUGCUUUCUGAUCGAUGUGAGAUUGUCAUUGAUCUGGUCUCUGCCUUGUUACGAACGGAAAAUCGCCUGUUGCAUUUUGGCACAUAUUUGUUCCCCUUUCAGAAAUCAGAGGAAAGUGGCAGUCAACGACUGCCUUUCUGUACCGUCUGGGCAAUUCAUACGCCCGAAUCGCCCCCUGCAGCCACGGCCCGUCGGUCCGGCAGAAAACGCCUUGAGUUCUUGACUGCUCGUGGAAAGUUCCCUAAAAAAACAUGGGUGAAGUUGUAAGGCCAUCUUACGUCUGAAUGUGUCCUCGGAUAUUCAGUUGGGCACCCGUCAUCCAGUCGUAUCCCUAAAAAAUAUCAGUCCUCUCCUUUUUAUACUCCAAAUGUUAAAAUUUCCUUUUUUAUAUUUUCAAAUAUUAAAAAUAAUCAAAGGUAAAUGCCAAAUUGCAUCAAUAACUCAAAGAUAUUUUUUCCAAUACAACAAUAACUUAAAGAAAAAUAUUACUGUACAAUCCAAACAUAAAGUUAUGAAAUAAAAUUGUUCAACUUUGAAUUCAAUUUAUUCAGAUACAUGUUCUAAUUGUCCAUAUGAAACACCCACAAAUGCUCAAGCAAUCAUUUAAGCCGUGUAUGGGUUCCUCCAUUGCAAAUUUGACGGUGCAUUUGAAGAAAAUUGCUCAAACGAUAGGAUUGAACAUUCAUUGAAAAUCCAGACCGUGGCGAAGUGCCUCACCAUCACUCUCCACAUUCUUGUUGUUUAUGAUCACAUAACAAAUCAUUACCUCCCACAAUGUCGUUAGAUCCCAUUAUUUAGCAGAUCCACAAACAACUGCAUAACGGGUUUGGAGAAGGCCAAAUGCCCACUCCACGUCGUUUCUAGCAUCGAUAGUUCCCCAUAUUAUACACGUGCGCAUUGAUGGUAUAUUUGCAUGUAGGAGAUUCCCCCGCACACAAGCUUUUGCAUGCAAUGGAGACCGUUGCAGCAUGUUGAUGUCAUUGUGAGACUCUGGCAUGCCGAACAAAGAGUGUGAAAUUCAGAGGUCUUGUGAUGCAACCGCUUCAAGAAUGAUGGUGAGCUUUUUAUGAUGGCCCUAGUAUUGCCCUUGUUGAGCAUACGACGGUUCUUCAACUUUUAGUGCAUGCAAUCCAGGGAUCUGAGCAUACAUGAAAAUCCUCCUGAUUCUCCAAGUGACAUUAGUCUUUUUGUGUCUUUGACAUUUGGUUCUCUCAAAUACUUCGGUCCAAACAUGUUGACCACUGCAGUAGCAAAUCUAACCUUGUCCUCCAAGCAUGUGCUCUCAAACAUCAGAGGUACUCAUCCCAUUGGUUUGCCGUUGUGCCAUAUGCAAGCAUCCUCAUAGUAGACAUGCAUGUUAGAGAUUAGAGAACCCAGUGUUCCAAUGGCAUCCUUCUUGACAUUUAAGGAGUCAUCACAGGCCCUGAAACCUUGCAUGAUGUGCAAGAACAAUGGUCACUCCAUCCAAAAUAGACGAUGGAAAUAGCGUUCAAAUAGCACAACGAGGACAAAGUAAUCAUUGUAGAAAUCAACAUGUCGCUGUUUUCUGACACAAAUUCAACAUUCAGUGUCUCUUGUCGAACCUUAAAGUUCAGAACAUGCUUGUUCACACGCUUUGUUUUUUCAAGAGUCGAUAACAUCAACACUGUUUCAUCCUCAUCUUCCUAAUCCGACAAAGACGAAUCUAUGAACUCUGCGACAAGUACUCCUCAUCUAAAUUAAUCGUUUUUUAUUCGGAGUAAACAAUGACAACAUUAAAAAAAAUUGUUAUCAUUUGACUGAGCAGUUGAUAGGCACGGUGUCCACAUGGACGGCAUCGGCUGGUGCGGACAGUACCUGGGCGGCGGUUGAAUCCAUGGGAGUAUGACAACAAAAUGGCCUAGGCGAGUAGGGAUGUGGGUGGAGCGGUAGAGGUCCGACAUGGCCUGGGUGGUGUCCAGGGGGAUGGGGCGGCAUUUGUCUCCAGGAACGAAGGAGUAGGGCGAUUGUGAAAAAAAGGUAGGCUUUGGGUGGGGUUUUAGGUGGGUACAGGGAGUUGAAGUUUGACGUGACACAUGUUCGGACUCCCCAUAGCCCCGUUUUUGUGCCGGUCUGUGGCAUUUUAGACGUCCAGACUAGUCUAGUCGGAUUUGGUGAUAUGCGUUGGAUGGCCAAAAGUGUCCGCACGGCCUAAUCCGGAAAUUUAAGGGCAUUUUGGUGAUCCGCAUUGGAGAUGCCUGUCAUAGAACAGAUUUCUAAAAUUGACUUUCUGUUUUUUCUAGUUUUUCUUUGGAAAUUAUUUCUUUGGAUUUCCCUCCAUGGGUUUAUUGGGAAAUUGCUUUCUCCUUUUUCCUUGGCUCAAAUGAGUUGGAGCUAUACUAGUAAAAAUCUUAUCCUACCUAUUAUCCUUCACAUAUGUUCUUCCCAAGUCCAAUCUUCUCGAGGAAGUAUUUCUUUUUAUUUUUACAGUAGUCAUCAGUUAAAGCCCCUUUGUGACGGAACCCCUUUUUAGACAACUUGUGUUCCACCAACAAAAUUGGUAAUAUAUUAUGCUCAUGUGUAUCUAAGACAUGCAAAAACAGGAGGUACAUUACUUUACUAUUUUGCCUUGAAAAACCAUUCAGCUUUUUGCUAGAAGCAUCCCAUAAAUUAUUUCAUAAUUUUAUUGGUGACUCCUUGACCUGAAACUUUUUGGAGGCACUCUACACAUCAUAGGGAAGCUACCAUAUUUUUACUAGCCCGGACCUUCACCACUUGUACCACUUUGAAUUCCAAAUUUAUUUAUGGACAAAAUAGAACUUGCACCAUGUGAAUGCAGUGGACCUUGUUCAUUUGAUCUCAAACUUCUCUAGUAUGUUGAACACCAAUAGAGACAUGACCAUGCUAAAUUUUAACCCCAGCUAUGACAUAGCGCGAGCAGAACGAUCUCAUCCGACAUUGGCAUGGCGGCCAUAUUCAACUAAAGUGGCUUCACUUCAGUAACAGCGCUCCCGCACAGCAAUGCUCACGCUGCUCCCCUGUAGCCACGUCGCCGUGAAGCCAUCAACACCAUGAGCCUUCCCGUGCAUGCCCGCACUCACUCCUCUCCUGAUGCCACACCCACCACGUCGUUGAUAUGUCUCCAACGUAUCUAUAUUUUUUUAUUAUUUCAUGCUAUUAUAUUAUCAAUCUUGGAUGUUUUAUAUAAAAUUUCAAGCAACAAUAUAUCAUUUUUUAGGAUAACCUAUUAACUUAGUGCCUAGUGUCAGUUGCUGAUUUUUGCUUGUUUUUGGUUUCGCAGAAUAUUAGUACCAUACAAAGUCCAAAUGCCACGAGACUUUUUGGUGAUUUUUUCUGGACAUAAGAGACCCUGGAAGCUUCAGGAGGGACGAGAAGAUGGAGUAGUGGCCCACGAGGCACCAGGGCGCGCCCUGGUGGCUUGUGGGGUCCACGUGGCUUCAUUUGACCUAACUCCGCCUCUAUAAAUUCUCUAAAAUAUUGAAACCAAUAGAGGAGUCCACAAAAUACUUUUUUUGCUCCCGCAAGCUCCAGAACCACGAGAUCCCAUCUGGAGGCCUUUUCUGGCACUCUACCGGAGGGGGAUUCGAUCACGGAGGGGCUCUACAUCAUCCUUGUUGCCUCUCCGAGGAUGCGUGAGUAGUUUACUACAGACCUAUGGGUCCAUAGUUAGUAGCUAGAUGGCUUCUUCUCUCUAUUUGAUCUUCAAUACAAUGUUCUCCCCGGUGUUGUUGGAGAUCUAUUUGAUGCAAUGACUUUUUGCGGUGUGUUUGUUGGGAUCCGAUGAAUUGUGAGUUUAUGAUCAGAUUUACCCAUGAAUGUUAUGUGAGUUUGUCUGAACUCUUUUAUGCAUGAUUACUAUAGCUUUGUAUUUCUUCUCCGAUAUAUUGGUUUGGUUUGGCCAACUAGAUUGAUUUAUCUUGCCAUGAGAAGAGGUGCUUUGUAUUGGGUUCGAUCUUACGUUGCUCAAUCCCAGUGGCAGAAGGGGACAUGAUACAUAUGUAUCGUUUCUAUUAAGGGUAAAAAAUGUGGGGUUUAUUCAUACAUGAGUUUAUCUUGUCUACAUCAUGUCAUCUUGCUUAAGGCGUUACUCUGUUUUUCCAUGAACUUAAUACACUAGAUGCAUGCUGGAUAACAGUCGAUGUGUGGAGUAAUAGUAGUAUAUGCAGGAAGGAGUCGGUCUACUUGUCUUGGACGUGAUGCCUAUGUAUGAUCAUUGCCUUGGAUAUCGUCAUAAUUAUUUGCUUUUCUAUCAAUUGCCCAACAGUAAUUUGUUUACCCACCGUAUGCUAUUUUCUUGAGAGAAGCCUCUACUGAAAACUAUGCCCCCCGGGUCUAUCUUUUAUCAUAUAUUAAAAUAAAAAAUACCUUGUUGCAAUUUUAUUUUAUUUAUUUAUUUUGUAUUUUUGUCUGAUCUAUCAAUGAAAAAUUAUACAAUUUAAUCUUGCUUGUAACCGUUGAGGGAUCGACAACCCCUCUGCGCGUUGGGUUAGAAAUAUUUGUUGUUUAUGUGCAAGUGAUGUUAACGAGUCGUUGCAUGGUUCUCCUACUGGAUUGAUAACCUUGGUUUUAUAAAUGAGGGAAAUACUUAUCUCUACUUGUUGGGGAACGCGGUAAUUUCAAAAAAUUCCUACGAUCACGCAAGAUCUAUCUAGGUGAUGCAUAGCAACGAGAGGGGAGAGUGUUGUCUACGUACCCUAGUAGACCAAAAGAGGAAGCGUUAUGACAACGCGGUUGAUGUAGCCGUACGUCUUCACGAUCCAACCGAUCCUAGCACCGAAGGUACGGCAUCUCCGCGAUCUGCACACAUUCAGCUCGGUGACGUCCCACGAACUCUAGAUCCAGCUGAGGUCGAGGGAGAGUUUCGUCAGCACGAUGGCGUGGUAACGAUGAUGAAGAAGUUGCCGGCGCAGGGCUUCGCCUAAGCACUACGACGAUAUGACCGAGGUGUGUAACUGUGGAGGGGGGCACUGCACACGGCUAAAACAAUUGUCAACUUGUCUGUCUAAGGGGUGCCCCCCUCCCCCGUAUAUAAAGGAGUGGAGGAGGGGGAGGGCCGGCCCUCUAUGGCAUGCCCAAGGGGGGAGUCCUACUCCCAGUGGGAGUAGGAUUCCCCCUUCCCUAGUUAGAGUAGGAGAGGAAGGAAGGGGGAGAGAGAGAGGGAAGGAAAGGGGGGCCGCCCCCCACCCAAUUCGGAUUGGGCUUGGGGGGGCGCCCUCCACCUGGCUGCCUCCUCCUCUCUCCCACUAAGGCCCAAUAAGGCCCAUACACUCCCCGGCGGGUUCCGGUAACUCCCCCCCCGGUACUCCGGUAAAUGCCCGAACUCACCCGGAACCAUUCCAAUGUCCAAACAUAGUCAUCCAAUAUAUCAAUUUUUUUAUGUCUCUACCAUUUAGAGACUCCUCGUCAUGUUUGUGAUCACAUUCGGGACUCCGAACUACCUUCGGUACAUCAAAACACAUAAACUCAUAAUACCAAUCGUCAUCGAACGAUAAGCGUGCGGACCCUACGAGUUCGAGAACUAUGUAGACAUGACCGAGACACGUCUCUGGUCAAUAACCAAUAGCAGCACCUGGAUGCUCAUAUUGGUUCCUACAUAUUCUACGAAGAUCUUUAUCGGUCAAACCGCAUAACAACAUACGUUGUUCCCUUUGUCAUCGGUAUGUUACUUGCCCGAGAUUCGAUCGUCGGUAUCUUAAUACCUAGUUCAAUCUCGUUACCGGCAAGUCUCUUUACUCGUUCUGUAAUACUUCAUCCUGCAACUAACUCAUUAGUCACAAUGUUUGCAAGGCUUAUAGUGAUGAAUAUUACCGAGAGGGCCCAGAGAUACCUCUCCGAAACACGGAGUGUCAAAUCCUAAUCUCGAUCUAUGCUGUCAUGCCCAAUAUGCGACCCUAUCCAAAAGGAACUCGAAGGUCCCACCAAGGAUAGACCCGCAUAUUGAAACGCUUUUGCAAGGUGGAUAUCAUUACAUCAACAUUACAUAAUAGUGGGGAUACAUACAAGAGGCACACAAUGCCACAUGAAUACAACAUCACAAUACAUAACAGCAUCAUCCGGCUACGGAUGAAACACAAACAGAAACUCAAACGACACCCACCCUGCUAGCCCAGGCUGCCGACCUGGGACCUACCCCCUGAUCGAAGAAGCAGAAAAAGAACUCCAAUACAAGCAAACAUCGCUCUCGCGUCAUGAUCAUCGCAUAACCUGUACCUGCAACUGUUCUUGUAGUAAUCUGUGAGCCACAAGGACUCAGCAAUCCCAUUACCAUGGGUAUCAAGACUAGCAAAGCUUUAAAGAGAAAGGAAGGGUUAAAGUGGUGAGGCUGCAGCAGCGACUAAGCAUAUAAGGUGGCUAACAUACGCAAAUAAGAGCGAGAAAAGAGCAAACGGAACGGUCGUGAAGCUAGCAAUGAUCAAGAAGUGAUCCUGAACUCCUACUUACGUCAAGCAUAACCCAGAAACCGUGUUCACUUCCCGGACUCCGCCGAAAAGAGACCAUCACGGCUACACACGCGGUUGAUGUGUUUUAAUUCGGAUCUGGUGUCAAGUUAUCUACAACCGAACAUUAACAAAUUCCCAUCUGCCUAUAACCGCAGGCAUGGCUUUCGAAAGUUAUACCCUGCAGGGGUGUCCCAACUUAGCCCAUGACAAGCUCUCGCGAUCAACGAAGGAUAUACCUUCUCCCAGGAAGACCCGAUCAGACUCAGAAUCCCGGUUUACAAGACAUUUCGACAAUGGUAAAACAAGACCAGCAAAGCCUCCCGCUGUGCUGACAAAUCCCAAUAGGAGCUGCACAUAUCUCGUUCUCAGGGCACACCGGAUGAGCCAGACGUCGGGUUGGCAUAGACCCUGGUUGCCCAGGGGGCGCCGGACAUCGCUCGGUUUGGACCAACACUUAGACAAGCAUUGGCCCGGGGGGGGGGGGCUAAAAUAAAGAUGACCCUCGGGUUGGCCAACCCAAGGGAAAGGUAUAGGUGUUAGUGAGGCAAAUGGUAAAAACAAGGUUGGGCCUUGCUGGAGGAGUUUUAUUCAAAGCAAACUGUCAAGGGGGUCCCAUAAAUCACCCGACCGCGUAAGGAACGCAAAAUCCAGGAACAUAACACCGGUAUGACGGAAACUCGGGCGGCAAGAGUGGAACAAAACACCAGGCAUAAGGCCGAGCCUUCCACCCUUUACCAAAUAUAUAGAUGCAUUAAUAAUAUAAGAGAUAUUGUGAUAUCCCAACCAAAAUCAUGUCCGCCAUGGAGUAAUCUUCAACUUCACCUGCAACUAGCAACGCUAUAAGAGGGCUGAGCAAAAGCGGUAACAUAGCCAAUCAAUGGUUUGCAUAGGAAAGGUGUCAAAGGUUAGAGGUUCAUGGCAAUAUGGGAGGCUUGAUAAACAGGUGAUAGGUAGCGCAGCAAAACGAUAGAACGAAGCAACUAGCAUAGCAAUGAUAGUAGUGAGAUCCAGGGUAGCGGUCAUCUUGCCUGAAAUCCCGCAAGGAAGAAGAACGAUUCCAUGAAGGAUAUGAAGCCACGAAGACGAACCAAGCGUAGACGAAUGAAUCCUCACGAUCGCAACGAAACAGGAACUAUCGAGAAGAAGCACACAACAUAGUAAACACACCACACAUGAACAUGACAUGAUGCACAAUAUAAGUAUGAUGCAAGACAAGGCUACAUGACGCUACUCAUGGCAAGAGAUGAUGCAAACAAGAGCAACACAUCAAGACAAGUUUAAGUGAGGCCGGGAACAACAUAUAACAAUUCCGGUAAGUCCUCAUAUGCAAAUUUCUAAGUUGGUCCAGAUCUGAAUAAAGCUUAUGUUCAAGUUGUUAAACAGCAAGUUAAGAUGCACAAAGAUGAUCUACACGAGAUUCUAGUCAAGUUACAUAUAAAGUUCAUUUAGUUCGGAGCUACGACCUAGAAGAUAUGAGCAAAACAAGUUAAACAUGGCAUUGAUGCAAAAUGCAUACAAACAUCAAUCAAACACCUCAAAACAAGGAUGCAACAUGAUAAUAUGAAACUACAUGCAAAAUCAAGCAAGUUUCAUAUAGAGCACACUCAAAACGGAGCAACGGUUCAACACACACACAUGAAACAAGUUUAAAGGACAAGCUGUCCAAAACAGCAACUAGGCAUAUUGCAAGCAUCAAAACAACAUGCUACAGCACCCCAACAUGAAAACAAAAGACAUGGGCAUGAUGUACAGGUAAAGCAUUACAAAACAUUAACACUGAGCUAACUCCAGAAAUCACUAGAACAUGCUCAAACACACAUGACAAGAUUGCAAAUAAUAACAGUUCAGACUUUGCCGAAAAUAACAUCAGGUUGCAAUGUUUAGAGCUAUCAAACAACAUGUUACAGGAACUUAUCAUGGAAAACAAAGGCAUGGCAUGAUACUACUAAAUGCAUAGAACAAAAGUCCUUUACUGACCAUGAGCCAAAAAGGAUCAGAAAAUAUGAUGGCACCCAUAUAAACAUAGCAAGUUAUAAUACAGAUUCAUACAUGGCAGAAAUAGAAUUAUGAAGGCAUGUAGAUGAGCUUGUGCAACUCACUACAGAGCAAAACAUGGCAUGCCAAGGCAACCAACAGUAAGAAGGCAUGUUUGAGAAGCUAAGCAUGACAAUAGCAAGUUCAUAGGGUGCAUGGAUCACUAGCAAAACACAUGGUAACAACUGAACUUAAUGUUAACAGGCUGACAGCAACAUUAUCAAGCAACUUUGGAGCAAGAUAUGAACAAACUACAGCAAGAUAUAAAUGCAAACAGGGCCAUGGAUGGAUAGAGCAUGACAUGUAGAACAAAACAUAUUUAGUGAUCAUCUCCAGAUUAUGCAUAGAUUGAUUUGUAGCAGCAGGUUUAUAUAGCAUCACGAAAUAACAGAUUCAGCCUAGCAAAACAGCAACAGCAAGUACACUACUUAACAAUCUUGAUUCACUCACCACAAGUCAUUGCAUGACAAGAUAAGCAUAGCAUCAGCAAGGGACAUGUUUAUGAAACAAACCAAGGCAAGAACAAGUCCAUAGCAUGCAAGGAUCAACUAUAACAACCUUAGCAAAAUUGAAUAACAUGUAAACAAUCUGCCAGGAAACAUUUUGAAGCAAAAGUAGAGCAUGAAAAUGACAUGCUAGACUACUCCAUAAUUACAAACAGGGGCAUGAAUGGAUAGAUAACAACCAUAUGUUCAAAAUAUCCUUACUGAAGUAUCUCAAAAUAUGCAUGGAUCUCUCUGUAGCAUCAUGUUUACAUGGCAUCAAAAUAACAGCAGAAAAGGGACUAAAAUCAGCAACAUCACGAUGCCUAGUUUGCAUGCUAGUGCUAGUCACCACAUUGAUCACACAAAUACAUGGUAAGCACCACUAUAAAGAUGGCAUGGCAUAGAUCAAAACACACGUAGACAUCAACCUCAUAGGAUGCACACAUCAAACAUGGAAAAAAUGACAAAUGAGCUCGUUCUGUUAACAGACAGCAGAAAACAUUAUGAAGCACUCUUGCAACGAUGAUUCAGGCAUCAAGAUGAACUCAAAUGAACAUGAUGCAAUGGAAUGAAAUGAUGUACUCGUUGAGUCAAACAAGUUGACAUAUUACACGCACGAAACGGAGCUACGGAUGCAGAGAUACGAUGCGAUGAACAUGGCAUGAUAAUGUCAAAAUAUUUCGGGACUUAGUCAAUUUCAGGAAAAAAACAGGUGAGCGUCAUAUAGUCAUAUCGCGCACGGGCGGGGAAAAGAGGGGCUGCUCACCAUGGGCCGAGCCCAGGUCGUCGGGGUUGCUGGUGGCUGGGCCUUGGGCUGGCAGAUCCGGGGUGGGGCGAGACACGCCCAUCAAGGGGUCGCUCGACCUCCUCCUCUGCUCGAGACGAGCAGGAGGCCACGGCGGCGGCUGCCGUCGACGAGGAGGCGAGGAUGGGGCGGGAACCGCCCGGAUCCAGGCGGAUCCGGCGUAGGGCGGCCGGAUCUGGCCAUCGGAGGCGCCGGCGGGAGGCUAGGGCGCGGGGCGGCGGGCGCGCGACGGGGCGGCAGAGGCGGGACGGCGGCGGGCGAACCGGCGNNNNNNNNNNNNNNNNNNNNNNNNNNNNNNNNNNNNNNNNNNNNNNNNNNNNNNNNNNNNNNNNNNNNNNNNNNNNNNNNNNNNNNNNNNNNNNNNNNNNNNNNNNNNNNNNNNNNNNNNNNNNNNNNNNNNNNNNNNNNNNNNNNNNNNNNNNNNNNNNNNNNNNNNNNNNNNNNNNNNNNNNNNNNNNNNNNNNNNNNNNNNNNNNNNNNNNNNNNNNNNNNNNNNNNNNNNNNNNNNNNNNNNNNNNNNNNNNNNNNNNNNNNNNNNNNNNNNNNNNNNNNNNNNNNNNNNNNNNNNNNNNNNNNNNNNNNNNNNNNNNNNNNNNNNNNNNNNNNNNNNNNNNNNNNNNNNNNNNNNNNNNNNNNNNNNNNNNNNNNNNNNNNNNNNNNNNNNNNNNNNNNNNNNNNNNNNNNNNNCGGCGGCGGCGUGGGCGACGGGGCGCCACGUGGCGGUCCCGGAUUCGUCGGGCGGCGGCGGCGGACGCGUCCGGUCUGGGACGGACAUGUCCGGCGGACGAGAGGAGCGGCGCUAGGGUUUCAUCUACGAUUUGGACGGGGGAGGCACAUAUUUAUAGGUUCUGAGCUAGGAGAGUCCAAAGGGAGCACGGUUUUCGCCCACACGAUCGUGAUCGAACGACCGAGAGCAUGGAGGGGAGUUUGCUGGGUUUUGGGCCACUUUGGAAGGGUGUUGGGCUGCAAAGAGAGAGGGGGUUUCGGGCUACGCGGUUAACCGUUGGAGUAUCAAACGACCUCCAAAUGGCACGAAACUUGACAGGCGGUCUACCGGUGUUAUACCAAGGCCGCUUGGCAAACCUCGGGCCAUUCCGAGAAAGUUUAACACCCGCUCACGAAGAGAGGCAAGAAGGGGAACGCCGGAGGACAUAGGAGCGUCGGAUUGCAAAACGGACAACGGGGAAAAUGCUCGGAUGCAUGAGACAAACACGUAUGCAAUGCAAUGCACAUGAUGACAUGAUAAAAUGCAUCACGAAGAAAAUGACAUGGCAACGACGGCGAAUAACUGGCGGACACCUGGCGCGUCGAAUCUGGGGCGUUACAACACUCCUCCACUAACAAGAGAUCUCGUCCUGAGAUCUUAGGACCGAGACGGAAGAGAAAAAGGAUGAGUGAAGCAAGAACUGAAGAGAAGAAGCAAAGAAUCGAGAGCACUCGAGAAUAAGAGAGGAACGACGAGAAUGACGAGAAUCGAAAGCUCACGGAAUCAGAUAGACUAUGAAACCACUCCGGUUAGAACAAGCUAAGAAAUGAAUAAGACUGAAACGAUUUAGGCAGAACUCCGGCUGAAACAUGGAGGAAUAGAACACGAGCUUCACGAGAUGGAAAGACACUUGAUGAAGACAUGACACAAAACCUCAGGAAAGAAUUAAAAGAGUUGAAUGAAAAGAACGGAGAAGAAAAUGACAACUUGUGCCACGAAUGAAAUAGAAAGCAACCUUAGAAGAAAAGAUUGAAUGGAGUUGUUGAGAAAAUUCAACAACGAAAAGAAUAAGCUUGUCGUGGACUUAUGGAUAACAUCUCAGAAAUUAUGAGGUGAUAACCAGCCGCAAACGAAAAUGAUUGGAUGACUUAGAAGAACGAAGAAAUGCAAAACUCCACUUCACAAGAAUACGGAGAAUUAAUUGUACUUCGAGAUGCGAGAAGAAAAGAUACUUGAGCUCCAACAACAAGAAUCUUCAUGAACUCUUGAAGAAUGAAUUAAAUCAUGAAGAACCACCAUGAAGAGCUCCGGUGCCAAAAGGAUGACGAGAUAAGAUUGAAGGAUGAAAGAAUAAGAUGAGACUUACGAUGAUUUAGAUGGAGGUUUCGACGAAAUGACCGAGGAAAUUUGAACUCCGGAAAAGAAAAGAUGAAAACACUUGGAACUAGAAUUUAUUCGCCAAGAACAAACUCCGAAGAAAAGGAUUAAUCACUUGGAGGAAAUAAGAAUAAGAUUUAUUGUAUGCUUAACCUUCAUCGAAUUAAAUUGAUGACAAGCAAUGGAUUUUGCAUACUACUUAUUCUUGUUGGAAAAAGAUUAAGGGGAAUAUGGCGCAAAACUUGAGAAAGUCUUCAUGAACCACCGGUAGGAUUGGAAAGAACGAAUGAAUUGAUAUGAUAAUCAAGGACAAAGGAAUCUGAAGGAACCACCAAAAGAAUUUGAAAAUGACUGAUGAAAGAGACUGAAUCACCGGGAAGAAUUAGAAGAACAAAUAUGCUUGAGGGGAUUUAGAUGCAAGAGAACGAGAAGAACUCGAGCUGAUUAAAGAACAUUUGAAUGAAGCACCGGGAUAAUUAGAGAACGAUAGCUGAAAUGUGAGCACGAAGAAUUCUUCUAGAAUGAUGGCCUUCGGUGAAAAGAAACAGAAAUCAACUCCUGAAAUACUCCGGAUGGGUAAGAAAAGAAUAUCUGAUGAUUGGAAUCAUACUUACGUCAAACUACAGAAAGGAUUUGAGAAUAGCUCCGGGAAAAUAGAAGAGUCAGGUAAGAUCCUGGGAAAGACCUAUGGGUUAGGGCCCACUGAAGAGAAAACACCGUUGGAAAGGAUUGUUGAAGAGAUAGAUGAUGCACCAGAACAAUUGACAUAUUUGAAUGAGGUGACAACCUCGAAUUAAUUGGAACACAGACGAAUCUCCUGAGAUGACUUGAACACUCUGGAAGGAUUGAAUGACGAGAGGGAAACGAGCAAGGAGAACACUUGAUCCAAAUAAAAGAAUACGAUCAACCUCAAAAACUUGAAUUGAGUCCACUGGAAAAGAAAAAGAGAUGGAGAAUGACGAACGAGACGAGAAUUCACCAGUUGAAAUAAUUGAGGGAAGAUUGAAGAGGCUCCACACGAAUGAAAUUGAUGGUCGAAAGAGACUCAAGCUCCGGGAGAAGAGGGUGGGAGGGCGGGAAAACAAAGGCAACUUGGAAGGGAAAACACCGGUUGAAAGAAUGCAAAGGCUUCGCAAGAGUAGGAUGGAUACUCGAUUACGGACUCCGGUUCCGAGAUGAAAAAGGGAGGGCGGGUGGGAAAGAAAACAACUGAGGAUUGAACUCAGAGAUGAAGAGGCUCGAGUCGACUUGAUGAGAAAUGCACCGGAUGAAAAGAGCUGAGGAACAACGAUCGGCAAACCAACUGCGUGAUCCUAAAAAAUUUGAAGGGGAAGAGAAGUAAUUCAAAACACCUACGCCAAGAUUCCUGACCACAGCGACGAAGGGGCUGAGGAGUAAAAAGAAUCCUACUCUCUGAUAUAACUAGACUCCGAAAACAGUUUUCUUCUAGACUCAACAACGACCAAACUACACGAUCAAUCAAGGGGGCUCCUAGGGUCGGUCGAGGCUCUGAUACCAACUUGUCACGCCCAAUAUGCGACCCUAUCCAAAAGGAACUCGAAGGUCCCACCAAGGAUAGACCCGUAUAUUGAAACGCUUUUGCAAGGUGGAUAUCAUUACAUCAACAUUACAUAAUAGUGGGCAUACAUACAAUAGGCACACAAUGCCACAUGAAUACAACAUCACAAUACAUAACAGCAUCAUCCGGCUACGGACGAAACACAAACAUAAACUCAAAUGACAUCCACCCUGCUAGCCCAGGCUGCCGACCUGGAACCUAUCCCCUGAUCGAAGAAGCAGAAAAAGAACUCCAAUACAAGCAAACAUCGCUCUCGCAUCAUGAUCAUCGCAUAACCUGUACCUGCAACUGUUGUUGUAGUAAUCUGUGAGCCACGAGGACUCAGCAAACCCAUUACCAUGGGUAUCAAGACUAGCAAAGCUUUAAAGGGAAAGGAAGGGGUAAAGUGGUGAGGCUGCAGCAGCGACUAAGCAUAUAAGGUGGCGAACAUACGCAAAUAAGAGCGAGAAGAGAGCAAACGGAACGGUCGUGAAGCUAGCAAUGAUCAAGAAGUGAUCCUGAACUCCUACUUACGUCAAACAUAACCCAGAAACCGUGUUCACUUCCCGGACUCCGCCGAAAAGAGACCAUCACGGUUACACACGCGGUUGAUGUGUUUUAAUUCGGAUCUGGUGUCAAGUUAUCUACAACCGGACAUUAACAAAUUCCCAUCUGCCUAUAACCGCAGGCACGGCUUUUGAAAGAUUAUACCCUGCAGGGGUGUCCCAACUUAGCCCAUGACAAGUUCUCGCGAUCAACGAAGGAUAUACCUUCUCCCCGGAAGACCCGAUCAGACUCGGAAUCCCGGUUUAAAAGAUAUUUCGACAAUGGUAAAACAAGACCAGCAAAGCCUCCCGCUGUGCCGACAAAUCCCAAUAGGAGCUGCACAUAUCUCGUUCUCAGGGCACACCGGAUGAGCCAGACGUCGGGUUGGCAUAGACCCUGGUUGCCCAGGGGGCGCCGGACAUCGCUCGGUUUGGACCAACACUUAGACAAGCAUUGGCUCGGGGGGGCUAAAAUAAAGAUGACCCUCGGGUUGGCCGACCCAAGGGAAAGGUAUAGGUGGUGGUGAGGCAAAUGGUAAAAGCAAGGUUGGGCCUUGCUGGAGGAGUUUUAUUCAAAGCGAACUGUCAAGGGGGUCCCAUAAAUCACGCGACCGCAUAAGGAACGCAAAAUCCGGGAACAUAACACCGGUAUGACGGAAACUCGGGCGGUAAGAGUGGAACAAAACACCAGGCAUAAGGCCGAGCCUUCCACCCUUUACCAAAUAUAUAGAUGCAUUAAUAAUAUAAGAGAUAUUGUGAUAUCCCAACCAAAAUCCUGUCCGCCAUGGAGUAAUCUUCAACUUCACCUGCAACUAGCAACGCUAUAAGAGGGCUGAGCAAAAGCGGUAACAUAGCCAAUCAAUGGUUUGCAUAGGAAAGGUGUCAAAGGUUAGAGGUUCAUGGCAAUAUGGGAGGCUUGAUAAACAGGUGAUAGGUAGGGCAACAAAACGAUAGAACGAAGCAACUAGCAUAGCAAUGAUAGUAGUGAGAUCCAGGGAGCGGUCAUCUUGCCUGAAAUCCCGCAAGGAAGAAGAACGAGUCCAUGAAGGAGAUGAAGCCACGAAGACGAACCAAGCGUAGACGAACGAAUCCUCACGAUCGCAACGAAACAGGAACUAUCGAGAAGAAGUACACAACAUAGUAAACACACCACACAUGAACAUGACAUGAUGCACAAUACAAGUAUGAUGCAAGACAAGGCUACAUGAAUCUACUCAUGGCAAGAGAUGAUGCAAACAAGAGCAACACAUCAAGACAAGUUUAAAUGAGGCCGGGAACAACAUAUAACAAUUCCGGUAAGUCCUCAUAUGCAAAUUUCGAAGUUGGUCCAGAUCUGAAUAAACCUUAUGUUCAAGUUGUUAAACAGCAAGUUAAUAUGCACAAAGAUGAUCUACACGAGAUUCUAGUCAAGUUAUAUAUAAAGUUCAUUUAGUUCGGAGCUACGACCUAGAAGAUAUGAGCAAAACAAGUUAAACAUGGCAUUGAUGCAAAAUGCAUACAAACAUCAAGCAAACACCUCAAAACAAGGAUGCAACAUGAUAAUAUGAAACUACAUGCAAAAUCAAGCAAGUUUCAUAUAGAGCACACUCAAAACGGAGCAACGGUUCAACACACACACAUGAAACAAGUUUAAAGGACAAGUUGUCCAAAACAGCAACUAGGCAUAUUGCAAGCAUCAAAACAACAUGCUACAGCACCCCAACAUGAAAAUAAAAGACAUGUGCAUGAUGUACAGGUAAAGCAUUACAAAACAUGAACACUGAGCUAACUCCAGAAAUCACUAGAACAUGCUCAAACACACAUGGAAAGAUUGCAAAUAAUAACAGUUCAGACUUUGCCGAAAAUAACAUCAGGUUGCAAUGUUUAGAGCUAUCAAACAACAUGUUACAGGAACUUAUCAUGGAAAACAAAGGCAUGGCAUGAUACUACUAAAUGCAUAGAACAAAAGUCCUUUACUGACCAUGAGCCAAAAAGGAUCAGAAAAUAUGAUGGCACCCAUGUAAACAUAGCAAGUUAUAAUACCGAUUCAUACAUGGCAGAAACAGAAUUAUGAAGGCAUGUAGAUGAGCUUGUGCAACUCACUACAGAGAAAAACAUGGCAUGGCUAGGCAACCAACAGUAAGAAGGCAUGUUUGAGAAGCUAAGCAUGACAAUAGGAAGUUCAUGGGGUGCAUGGAUCACUAGCAAAACACAUGGUAACAACUGAACUUAAUGUUAACAGGCUGACAGCAACAUUAUCAAGCAACUUUGGAGCAAGAUAUGAACAAGAUACAGCAAGAUAUAAAUGCAAACAGGGCCAUGGAUGGAUAGAGCAUGACAUGUAGAACAAAAAAUAUUUAGUGAUCAUCUCCAGAUUAUGCAUAGAUUGAUUUGUAGCAGCAGGUUUACAUAGCAUCACGAAAUAACAGAUUCAGCCUAGCAAAACAGCAACAGCAAGUACACUACUUAACAAGCUUGAUUCACUCACCACAAGUCAUUGCAUGGCAAGAUAAGCAUAGCAUUAGCAAUAAGACAUGUUUAUGAAACAAACCAAGGCAAGAACAAGUCCAUAGCAUGCAAGGAUCAACUAUAACAACCUUGGCAAAAUUGAAUAACUUGUAAACAAUCUUCCAGGAAACAUCUUGAAGCAAAAGUAGAGCACGAAAAUGACAUGCUAGACUACUCCAUAAUUACAAACAGGAGCAUGAAUGGAUAGAUAACAACCAUAUGUUCAAAACAUCCUUACUGAAGUAUCUCAAAAUAUGCAUGGAUCUCUCUGUAGCAUCAUGUUUACAUGGCAUCAAAAUAACAGCAGAACAGGGACUAAAAUCAGCAACAUCACGAUGCCUAGUUUGCAUGCUUGUGCUAGUCACCACAUUGAUCACAAAAAUACAUGGUAAUCACCACUGUAAAUAUGGCAUGGCAUAGAUCAAAACACAUGUAGACAUCAACCUCAUAGGAUGCACACAUCAAACAUGGCAAAAAUGACAAAUGAGCUCGUUCUGUUAACAGACAGCAGAAAACAUUAUGAAGCACUCUUGCAACGAUGAUUCAGGCAUCAAUAUGAACUCAAAUGAACAUGAUGAAAUGGAAUGAAAUGAUGUACUCGUUGAGACGAACAAUUUGACAUAUUACACGCACGAAACGGAGCUACAGAUGCAGAGAUACGAUGCGAUGAACAUGGCAUGAUAAUGUCAAAAUAUUUCGGGACUUGGUCAAUUUCAGGAAAAAAAUCAGGUGAGCGUCAUAUAGUCAUAUCGCGCACGGGCGGGGAAAAGAGGGGCCGCUCACCAUGGGCCGAGCCCAGGUCGUCGGGGUUGCUGGUGGCUGGGCCUUGGGCCGGCAGAUCCGGGGUGGGGAGAGACCGGCCCAUCAAGGGGUCACUCGACCUCCUCCUCUGCUCCAGACGAGCAGGAGGCCACGGCGGCGGCUGCCGGCAACGAGGAGGCGAGGACGGGGCGGGAACCGCCUGGAUCCAGGCGGAUCCGGUGUAGGGCGGCCGGAUCUGGCCAUCGGAGGCGCCGGUGGGAGGCUAAGGCGUGAGGCGGCGGGCGCGCGACGAGGAGGCGGAGGCGGGACGGCGGCGGGCGAANNNNNNNNNNNNNNNNNNNNNNNNNNNNNNNNNNNNNNNNNNNNNNNNNNNNNNNNNNNNNNNNNNNNNNNNNNNNNNNNNNNNNNNNNNNNNNNNNNNNNNNNNNNNNNNNNNNNNNNNNNNNNNNNNNNNNNNNNNNNNNNNNNNNNNNNNNNNNNNNNNNNNNNNNNNNNNNNNNNNNNNNNNNNNNNNNNNNNNNNNNNNNNNNNNNNNNNNNNNNNNNNNNNNNNNNNNNNNNNNNNNNNNNNNNNNNNNNNNNNNNNNNNNNNNNNNNNNNNNNNNNNNNNNNNNNNNNNNNNNNNNNNNNNNNNNNNNNNNNNNNNNNNNNNNNNNNNNNNNNNNNNNNNNNNNNNNNNNNNNNNNNNNNNNNNNNNNNNNNNNNNNNNNNNNNNNNNNNNNNNNNNNNNNNNNNNNNNNNNNNNNNNNNNNNNNNNNNNNNNNNNNNNNNNNNNNNNNNNNNNNNNNNNNNNNNNNNNNNNNNNNNNNNNNNNNNNNNNNNNNNNNNNNNNNNNNNNNNNNNNNNNNNNNNNNNNNNNNNNNNNNNNNNNNNNNNNNNNNNNNNNNNNNNNNNNNNNNNNNNNNNNNNNNNNNNNNNNNNNNNNNNNNNNNNNNNNNNNNNNNNNNNNNNNNNNNNNNNNNNNNNNNNNNNNNNNNNNNNNNNNNNNNNNNNACCCGAGCGGGCCGGCCGCGGCGCGGGCGACGGGGCACCACGUGGCGGUCCCGGAUUCGUCAGGCGGCGGCGGCGGACGCGUCCGGUCCGGGACGGACAUGUCCGGCGGACGAGAGGAGCGGGGCUAGGGUUUCAUCUGCGAUUUGGACGGGGGAGGCACAUAUUUAUAGGUUCUGGGAGCUAGGAGAGUCCAAAGGGAGCACGGUUUUCGCCCACACGAUCGUGAUCAAACGACCGAGAGCAUGGAGGGGAGUUUUCUGGGUUUUGGGCCACUUUGGAAGGGUGUUGGGCUGCAAAGAGAAAGGGGGGUUUCGGGCUACGCGGUUAACCGUUGUAGUAUCAAACGACCUCCAAAUGGCACGGAACUUGACAGACGGUCUACCGGUAUUAUACCAAGGCCGCUUGGCAAACCUCGGGCCAUUCCGAGAAAGUUUAACACCCGCUCACGAAGAGAGGCAAGAAGGGGAACGCCGGAGGACAUAGGAGUGUCGGAUUGCAAAACGGACAACGGGGAAAAUGCUCGGAUGCAUGAGACGAACACGUAUGCAAUGCAAUGCACAUGAUGACAUGAUAAAAUGCACCACGCAAGCAAAUGACAUGGCAACAACGGCGAAUAACUGGCGGACACCUGGCGCAUCGAAUCCGGGGCGUUACAUAUGCCAACCCAACAAACACCUUCGGAGACACCUGUAGAGCACCUUUAUAAUCACCCUUCUAUGUUGUGACGUUUGGUAGCACACAAAGUGUUCCUCCGGUAUUCGGGAGUUGCAUAAUCUCAUAGUCUGAGGAACUUGUAUAAGUCAUGAAGAAAGCAGUAGCAAUGAAACUAGCACGAUCAUAAUGCUAAGCUAACGGAUGGGUCAUGUCCAUCACAUCAUUCUCCUAAUGAUGUGAUCCCGUUCAUCAAAUGACAACAUAUGCCUAUGGUUAGGAAACAUAACCAUCUUUGAUUAACGAGCUAGUCAAGUAGAGGCAUACUAGGGACUAUAGGUUUUGUCUAUGUAUUCACACAUGUACUAAGUUUCCGGUUAAUACAAUUCUAGCAUGAAUAAUAAACAUUUAUCAUGAAAUAAGGAAAUAAAUAAUAACUUUAUUAUUGCCUCUAGGGCAUAUUUCCUUCAGUCUCCCACUUGCACUAGAUUCAAUAAUCUAGUUCACAUCGCCUUGUGAUUUAACAUCAAUAGUUCAUAUGUGUAUGUGAUUAACACCCAUAGUUCACAUCGCCAUGUGACCAACAACCAAAAGGUUUACUAGAGUCAAUAAUCUAGUUCACAUUGCUAGGUGACUAACACCCAAAGAGUACUAAGGUGUGAUCAUAUUUUUCUUGUGAGAGAAAUUUAGUCCAUGGGCCUGUCACAUUCAGAGCCGUAUGUAUUUUGCAAAUAUUCUAUGUCUACAAUGCUCUGCAUGGAGCUACUCUAGCUAAUUGCUCUCACUUUCAAUAUGUAUCCAGAUUGAGACUUAGAGUCAUCUACAUCAAUGUAAAAGCUUGCAUCGACGUAACUCUUUACAACGAACUCUUUAUCACCCCAUCACCGAGAAACAUUUCCUUAGUCCUCACUAAGGAUAAUUUUGACCGUUAUCUAGUGAUCUACUCUUAGAUCACUAUUGUACCCCCUUGCCAAACUCAUGGCAAGGUACACAAUAGGUCUGGUACACAGCACAACAUACUUUAUAAAACCUAUGACUAUGGCAUAGGGAAUGACUUUCAUUCUCUUUCUAUCUUCUGCCGUGGUCGGGCUUUGAGUCUUACUCAACUUUACACCUUGUAAUACAGACAAGAACUUCUUCUUUGACUGAUCCAUUUUGAACUCUUUCAAAAACUUGUCAAGGUAUUUACGCAUUGAAAAAUCUUAUCAAGCAUCUUGAUCUAUCUAUAGAUCUUGAUGCCCAAUAUGUAAGCAGCUUCACCAAGGUCUUUCAUUGAAAAACUUUUAUUCAAGUAUCCCUUUAUGCUAUCCAGAAAUUAUAUAUCAUUUUCAAUCAACAAUAUGUCAUCCACAUAUAAUAUUAGAAAUGCUAGAGAGCUCCCACUCACUUUCUUGUAAAUACAGGCUUCACCACAAGUCUGUAUAAAACUAUAUGCUUUGAUCAACUCAUCAAAGCGUAUAUUCCAACUCCGAGAUGCUUGUACCAGUCCAUAGAUGGAUCGCUGGAGCUUGCACACCUUAUUAGUACCUUUAUGAUUGACAAAACCUUCUGGUUGCAUCAUAUACAACUAUUCUUCCAGAAAUCCAUUCAGGAAUGCAGUUUUGACAUCCAUUUGCCAAAUUUCAUAAUCAUAAAAUGCAGCAAUUGCUAACAUGAUUCGGACAGACUUAAGCAUCGCUACAGGUGAGAAAGUCUCAUCGUAGUCAACUCCUUGAACUUGUCAAAAACAUUUUGCAACAAGUCGAGCUUUGUAAACAGUAACAUUACCGUCUGCGCCGAUCUUCUUCUUAAAGAUCCAUUUAUUUUCUAUGGCUUGCCGAUCAUCGGGCAAGUCCACCAAAGUCCACACUUUGUUCUCAUACAUGGAUCCCCUCUUAGAUUUCAUGGCCUCUAGCCAUUUCGCGGAAUCUGGGCUCAUCAUUGCUUCCUCAUAGUUCGUAGGUUCAUCAUGGUCUAGUAACAUGACUUCCAGAACAGGAUUACUGUACCACUAUGGUGCGGAUCUUACUCUGGAAGACCUAAGAGGUUUGGUAGUAACUUGAUCUGAAGCUUCAUGAUCAUCAUCAUUAGCUUCCUCACUAAUUGGUGUAGGAACCAUGGGAACUGAUUUCUGUGAUGAACUACUUUCCAAUAAGGGAGAAGGUACAACUUACCUCAUCAAGUUCUACUUUCCUCCCACUCACUUCUUUCGAGAGAAACUCCUUCUCUAGAAAGGAUCCAUUUUUAGAAACAAAGAUUUUGCCUUCGGAUCUGUGAUAGAAGGUGUACCCAACAAUUUCCUUUGGGUAUCCUAUGAAGACGCACUUAUCUGAUUUGGGUUCAAGCUUAUCAGGUUGAAGCUUUUUCACAUAAGCGUCGUAUCCCCAAACUUUAAGAAACAACAACUUUGGUUUCUUGCCAAACCACAGUUCAUAAGGCAUCGUCUCAACAGAUUUUGAUGGUGCCCUGUUUAACGUGAAUGUAGCUAUCUCUAAUGCAUAACCCCAAAACGAUAGUGGUAACCUGGUAAGAGACAUCAUAGAUCGCACCAUAUCCAAUAAAGUGCGGUUACGACAUUCAGACACACCAUUACGCUCUGGUGUUCCAUGUGGCGUGAUGUGUGAAACUAUUCCACAUUGUUUUAAAUGAAGGCCAAACUCAUAACUCAAAUAUUCUCCUCUACGAUCAGAUUGUCGAAACUUAAUUUUCUUGUUACGAUGAUUCUCCACUUUACUCUGAAAUUCCUUGAACUUUUCAAAUGUUUCAAACUUGUGUUUCAUUAAGUAGAUAUACCCAUAUCUGCUCAAAUCAUCUGUGAAGGUCAAAAAAUAACGAUACCCGCCAUGAGCAUCAACACUCAUUGGAUCGCAUACAUCGAUAUGUGUUAUUUCCAAUAAGUCACUAGCUCGUUCCGGUGAUACGGAGAACGAAGUUUUAGUCAUCUUGCCCAUAAGGCACGGUUAGCAAGCAUCAAAUGUUCAUAAUCAACUGAUUCCAAAAGUCCAUAUUUAUGGAGUUUCUUCAUGCGCUUUACACCGAUAUGACCCAAACAGCAGUGCCACAAAUAUGUUGCGCUAUCAUUAUCAACUUUGCAUAUUUUGGCAUCAAUAUUAUGAAUAUGUGUAUCACUACAAUCAAGAUUCAAUAAACCAUCAACAUUGGGUGUAUGACCAUAGAAGGUUUUAUUCAUGUAAAUAGAAUAACAGUCUAUUCUCUGUCUUAGAUGAAUAAUCGUAUCACAGUAAACAUGAUCUAAUCAUAUUUAUGCUCAACGCAAACACCAAAUAACAUUUAUUUAGGUUCAACACUAAUCUAGAAAGUAUAGGGAGUGUGUGAUGAUGAUCAUAUCAAUCUUGGAACCACUUCCAACACACAUCGUCACUUCACCCUCAACUAGUCUCUGUUUAUUCUGUAACUCCUGUUUCGAGUUACUAAUCUUAGCAACCGAACAAGUAUCAAAUACCCAGGGGCUACUAUAAACACUAGUAAGGUACACAUCAAUAACCUGUAUAUCAAAUAUACCCUUGUUCACUUUGCCAUCCUUCUUAUCCAACAAAUAUUCAGGGCAUUUCCGCUUCCAGUGACCAUUUCCUUUGCAGUAGUAGCACUCAGUUUCAGGCUUCGGUCUAGCUUUGAGCUUCUUCACGGGAGUGACAACUUGCUUGCCUUUCUUCUUGAAGUUCCCUUUCUUUCCCUUUGCCUUUUUCUUGAAACUAGUGGUCUUGUUUAAUCAUCAACACUUGAUGCUCUUUGUUGAUUUCAACCUUCGUCGAUUUCAGCAUCACGAAGAGCUCGGGAAUCGUUUUCGUCAUCCCUUGCAUACUAUAGUUCAUCAUGAAGUUCCAGUAACUUGGUGAUGGUGACUAGAGAACUCCGUCAAUCACUAUCUUAUCUGGAAGAUUAACUCCCACUUGAUUCAAGUAAUUGUAGUACCCAGACAUUCUGAGCACAUGCUCACUAGUUGAGCAAUUCUCCUCCAUCUUUUAGGCAAAGUACUUGUCAGAGGUCUCAUACCUCUUGACAUGGGCAUGAGUCUGAAAUACCAAUUUCAGCUCUUGGAACAUCUCAUAUGCUUCGUGACGUUUCAAAAACGUUUUUGAAGUCCCGGUUCUAAGUCGUAAAGCAUGGUGCACUAAACUAUCAAGUAGUCAUCAUAUUGAGCUAGCCAAAUGUUCAUAACGUCUGCAUCUGCUCCUGCAAUAGGUCUGUCACCUAGCGGUGCAUCAAGGACAUAAUUCUUCUGUGCAGCAAUGAGGAUAAAGCUCAGAUCACGGACUCAGUCUGCAUCAUUGCUACUAUCAUCUUCCAAUUUAGUUUUCUCUAGGAACAUAUAAAAAAACAUAGGAAAGCUAUAACGUGAGCUAUUGAUCUACAACGUAAUUUGCAAAAUACUAUCAGGACUAAGUUCAUGAUAAAUUAAAGUUCAAUUAAUCAUAUUACUUAAGAGCUCCCACUUAGAUAGACAUCCCUCUAGUCAUCUAAAUGAUCACGUGAUCCAAAUCAAGUAAACCAUGUCCGAUCAUCACGUGAGAUGGAGUAGUUUUCAAUGGUGAACAUCACUAUGUUGAUCAUAUCUACUAUAUGAUUUACGCUCAAUCUUUUGGUCUCCAGUGUUCCGAGGCCAUAUCUGCAUUUGCUAGGCUCGUCAAGUUUAACCCGAGUAUUCUGUGUGUGCAAAACUGGCUUGCACCUGUUGUAUGUGAACAUAGAGCUUAUCACACCCGAUCAUCACGUGGUGUCUCAGAACGAAGAACUGUAGCAACGGUGCAUACUCAGGGAGAACACUUAUACCUUGGAAUUUAGUAAGGGAUCAUCUUAUAAUGCUAUCGAUGUUCUAAGGAAAAUAAGAUGCAUAAAAGAUAAACAUCACAUGCAAUCAAAAUAUAUGACAUGAUAUGGCCAUCAUCAUCUUGUGCUCAUGAUCUCCAUCAUCGAAGCAUUGCUUGGUUCUCCUUGAAAUAUUUAUACCUUGAAAUAUUUGUUGUUUGUGUGCAGGUGAUGUUAACGACUCGUUGCUUGGUUCUCCUACUAGAUUGAUAACCUUGGUUUUAUUAAUGAGGGAAAUACUUAUCUCUACUAUAUUGCAUCCUCUCCUCUCCAGGAAAAUCCCAACGCAUCUCACAAGUAGCAGUCGUCCACAUCGACACCAUGACAAUCGCCAAGGUCACACGUCUAGAGUCUAGACAGAGCACCCCGAGCAGUUCCACAUGAACUGGACCAAUUCACCAGAGCUACCUUUGCUUAUUCACCACAGCACCCCAGUGCCGCUCCAUUGCCAUGAAUGUGUGACCCACACAGCUGUUUAGCCUCUGGCAUAAAAGACGACACCCACAGAAUCACAAUGCACCUAACCCUUCUCCUUGCACUGAAUUACUGCCUCAAGCAAAGGAGAGCACCGCAUUUUCAACCCCAUAGAGCCAAAGGAGCUCACUAGGGCCGCGAUAACCCUCAUCGGUAACCGCCACUCCAUUGCCUCACGUUUCUAUUCCUCUCGAUACCGAGCCUUGUCUGCACCGAGAAGCUAAUGUGAGGUCAUUGUUUGCUCUGGUUUACAAUGUAGAGAUCUCGAUCAAAGUUCUUCGUAUUUCAUCAAGACCAACUGUCAUAUGACCUAUCGUUCGGUAGCCCUUGGCGUUCCCAAGUCAACAAAUACCUCAUCGAGAAUAGACGUGACCCCAGUCGCCGGCCAUCACCUCGCUGGUGAGCUCUCACCGUUGUUCUAUUUUCUCUUAGGGAUAACCCUUUUGUUUAAACUGACCCAAUGCCACCUGUCAGUAACUCAUUUGCCUAUAACCUGCAUGGGCUUACCACUUCUUUGGAGGCAUAACCUGGUUUAUGCCUUCAAUGUCACCCCCUAUCAGUUUAGUUUUCUUUUACAUAUAAAUGGAUAACUUUACCAACUUUUAUUAGCUAUAAUUGCUCAUUUUUUAUCCAAAUGAAUUGAUUGUCUUUACAUUAGUUUUCUAUUGAAAUGCUCCUUCCAAUGGUAUGCUUGCUAGGAUUUUUCCUGCUAUGUAUGCUUUUGUGUAGAAUUUGUUGCUUGUAUGCUUAUUUAAAGUAAAUCAUUAUUUUUUAUUCGAGAAGGAUAUAAUGUUGGUUGCUAGUAAGACUAGCCCUACAAUCCCUCUGGUCAGGCAAGUCUUCAAAACUUCUGCUUACUAUGUCAUGAAAUAGAUCAUGGUAUUUUGCAGUUUUUGGACGAAUAAAAAUGUCUAUUACUUGUUAUAUAGAAAUGUUUCUAAAGAGAUAUUUUUGCUACUAGAAAAAAAUAUGGUUAUUCCUCUAAAUAAUUAUUUCAGAAACAUGACAUGCUAAAAACAAAAAACAUUUGGAUGUUUUCAUCAUGUCAUGGUUUUGUUUGAGCAUGUAUCUAUGAUGUUGUUUUAUUGAUGGAACAUGUCGAGACAAUGCUAGUUGAUGUGUAUGAUUUGUUGAGCACUACUGCUUUAUCUUGGAGUUGAUAUGUCGCUAGUGGAUAUGUCGAAAAGUUUAAUUUUUGUGAACAUUAAAUCUCCACCCGCUUGAUCUAUUCAUGUGCCACAAAACCAACAAGUAACCAAUAUGACCAUGUGAUGUUUUUGGGCAAUACUGAUAGAGGCUUCAUGCACACUAUUGUAUUUAUGAUACCUAUAGGUAAAGUGCAAUUAUGUGCUGAUUGGAGGGAUAGUCAUUGAUUGGCUUGAGGAGAAACUUGACCCGUCAAGUUGAGUACUUGAUAGAAUUUCGAGGGUUAUAUUUUACAUCAUGGGAACUGGUGAUGCGGUCAUUCUCUCUCUCUCUCUCUCAUCGUAAGGUUUGAGUCCUUACCUGUGAAUUAAUAAUAUGGGUGUUGUCGGUGUCAAAACCGACAGACCUCGGGUAGGGGACCCAAGAUGUAAGAUCGAAUCGAUGGGUAACAGGAGACAAGAGACACAAUGUUUUACCCAGGUUCAGGCUCUCUUUAGGAGGUAAAACCCUACGUCCUGCUCUUGCUUAUAUUGUUGAUGUAUCAAAGUACAUAGUUGAUCUACCUCGAGAUCGUAAGUUGUGCACUAAACCCUAAGGCUAAUGAUGAUGAUAAUAAAUGCCCCUCUACAUGCUAAACCCUCCACUUUAUAUAGGAACCAGGGGUAUCUAGGGUUACACAUGAUCGGUUGCCAUCUACGUGUUAUAUGUCAAACCCAAUGGAUACCCGUGGAGUACACAUCAAGUCUUUGGCGGCGUGGUUAAGGAUUGAGCCCCUUUCUGCAUAGUUGCACUUUUGUUACUAUUUACACUCUUGUGAUCAAACAAACCAUCAAACAAUCUUUGUAGCUUUUACAGUAAUUCCUUACUAUUUUCCACCAACCAAUUCCUUCUACUCCUUGUUGAGUUUGACACUCUUAAUUAUUAGAAAGUCUAUGAUAGAUCCCCUACAUUUUUGGGUUAUCAAGACUCUUUUCUAGUGCCAUUGCCAGAGAGUGUGGUGCUUCUAAUAGGUGGAAUUUGGCGAGAGAAACAUUUACUUUGCAUGUUGUUUUUUAUUUUUGUUACUACUUUAGUCCAUUAUGUAUUUGCUUGCUGCUAGUAAAUUGUUAGGAGGGGUUGCCUACAUUAAUGUGGUUAGUAGAUACGAACCUCCACCUUAUGAAAACCUUAUAAGAUACAUAUUGGCUUCCUUGAACAUAUGAGGGCUAACUGUUAUGCAGGUAACAAAACCGUUCCUCUUGAAGAACAUUGGCGUAAUCUUACCAAAUUAUGUGGUAUCUUUAAGCUUUCGAGUUUAUUAGGGAAUGGUGUUAUGAAGAAGAUAUUUCCUACUAUAUCUUUAGAAGGCAAUGUUUUUGCAUGGUUUAGGUUAUUGAGCAAUCCCUUUGCAAUGCAGUGUGGGAAUCUCUACUCUGAGUUUGUCUCCAAGUUUCAUCCUGCUCAAUAGGUACAUGAAGACAAGAAUUAUAUUUAUAUUUUUUGGCGUGAGUUUGGAGAAAGUAUGGCUUAAGCUUUGGGUGAACUUAAAUCAUUGAAGCUCAAAUGGUCCACUCAUUGGCUUUCGGAAGAGAAGAUUGUCACAAACAUCUAUGCGAGACUCCCUCAACAUGAUGAAGAAGCACCUGAUAUGUCUUCUAGAGGUUGCUUUAGUAAGAUGAAUACCGAUGAUAAAUGGAAUCUUAUUGAAAGAGUGCAACACUAAAGGUUGGGAAAUUGACCAAGGUAAAGAAUCAAGUAUAAAUUUUGAAUAUGGUUGCAUUAAGUCUUUCUAAAGCUCUUAAUUUUCACAAACUCGCUAAGUUUGGACUUGACUCUGAGAUAGUUGUCGCCUUUUGUAAAUUUUUGUUGCUCAUAUUAAUGUUCCUAAAGAAAACUGGAAGAAAUACCAUGAGCCUUUUAAAGAUUGAUAAAGAAAUAUGGCUAAAAAGGAAUUACAUUUCAAACUGUUAGUCACGUGUUACAUUAUGUUUAUGUUGAGAAACCUUUAUUCGCCAUUAGGAUUAAAUAACACUCUUUGGUAACUAUUGUAUGUAAGAAAGUGAACAUGGUACUUACAGACCUUAUGAUCAAACUAAAACACAACCUAAAAUAGUUAUGAUUAAAGACCUUCUGACUGGAGAUAUGUAUGGGCAUGUUAUUCAACUUUGUGAGGAAGCUGCUAACAUUGCAGGCAUAAAAUAAAUUUUAAUGUUGUUGGUAUGUUUGUUAUUUAUAUUAAGAUUGGUACUCAUUGUUAUUAUGGGUUAUGAGCUAGUGUAAGUCUUAUUCCCCUUUCUGUUUAUUAAGAAAUUACUAAAUAUUUCCCCCCUUUUUCAAUCGAGGACGUUUAUUUAACAAUUAAACUAGCAGAUAUGUCUAGUAUUCACCUAUAGGAACUGAUAGAGAUGUUGAAGUUCUAUGUGGUAAGUUCAAGUAUCCUGCUGAUUUCUUAAUACUUGGAACCGAAUAGGAUUUUGUCCCAUAAUCUUUUGUAGAUCCUUCUUGAAUACUUAUAGCAUUAUUGUUGACUGUAAAAAAAUACAAAGUUUAUGUUAAGUUUGGUGGAGAUGGAUCUUCCUUAAAUUUCUCUAAGUUCAUUAAACAACAUCAUGCCAAAGAUUUUCCUUGUGUAGAUGAGAUAGAGAGAAUUGUUGCAAUUGUACCUCCUAGUGAUUCAUUAGAAUAGUAUCUAUUGGAGCAUGAGAAUUGAUGUAAUAUGCAAGAGAGAAAAUAAAUAGUUGAAGUUUUCUUUAGGGAACCAUCUUUUCUUCUACAUGUUGAAACUUUAGGGGAACCUACUCCUUCCAAAGGUGAUCAUGUGUUUGAAGUUAAACCUUUACCUGAUAAAUCGAAAUAUGCUUAUUUGGAUGAUAAUAAGAUAUAUCACGUUAUUAUCAGUGCUAACAUUCAAUGCAUGAAGAGAGAUUGCUUACCGUCCUUAGAAAACAUCAUGUUGCAAUUGGUUAUAAUUUGGAUAAUCUCAAGGGCAUUAGCCCUACUCUAUUUAUGCAUAGGAUUCAUAUCAAAACUAAUGCUAAACCUGCUAUAGAUAAUUAACUUUGUUUGAAUCCUAAGAUCAAGGAUGUGGUAUGAAAUGAAAUUCUCAAACUUCCGGAAGCUAACAUAAUCUAUCCUACAUCCAAGAGUUGAUGGGGUGUUCAUUGUGUUCCUAAGAAAUGAGGUAUUAAUUUUGUUCCUAAUGAUGAAAAUGAACUUAUCUCACUAAGAAUUGUAUGGAUAUGUAUUGGUUAUAGAAAACUAAAUAUAGCUAUGAGAGAAUAUUAUUGCCCUUUGCCAUUUGUUCUUCAAAUUUUAAAAAGAUUAUCUAAGCAUACACACUUUUGUUAGCUUGAUGGGAUUCUUCAAAUAGUUGUUCAUACUGAAGUUCAAGAGAAAAUAAAUUUGAAGUGUCCUUUUGAAAUGUAUGCUUAUAGUUAUAUGCCAUUUGGCUUAUGUAAUGCACCUACUACUUCUCAAAGAUGCAUGACAUCUAUCUUUGUUGUUUUUGCAAAAAAUAUCAUAGAAGUCUUCAUGGACGAUUUCUCUGUCUAUGGAACUUCUUUCGAUGAUUGUUUGCACAAUCUUACCAUGGUUUUGCAGAGAUUUGAGGAAAACACCUCAUCUUGAACUGGAAGAAUUUCACUUUAUGGUGAAUGAGGUGUUGUCCUUGGGCAAAGAAUUUAUAAAAGAGGUAUUGAAAUUGAUAGAGCUAAAGUUGAAGCCAUUGAGAAAAUGCCUUAUCCUUCAGAUUGCUAACCCAAAUGCACAAGUCAAGCUUGGAAUGUUUGAACGGGUGUUAGGCAUGUGCUAGAAGCUAGAGCCUUAAUGCCUUAUGCCUCAGAGCUUGGAAGGAUGUUUGCACAACAAAGAAAGAGUGUGGCUUAGAGCAUCUCUAACCGAUCACUUAGAAUUUAGGCCCUAUGUGGCCUCUUAUCCUUUAACUUCUUAUAGUUGCUCCUCUAAAAAAUUGUGGUUCCUAACCUAACCCAUAAAACUUAGCUCCUUAAUUUUCUUUAACACAAAUUCAGUUACUUUUGGUUCAUCGAGUUAAACUUCACUAGUUCUUCGUUAAGAGAACUGCAAAGAAAACGACAAGAAAAAUUUCACACUUCAAUAGAAAGACAACAUCCUUGACUACUCAUACUAGUCCGAUCAAUACUUUCUCCAUCUCAUGUUCAUUGAUGUUGUUUCUCUUCUUUGUUGGCUCGUUGAGCUUCCAUGCUUGUUUCUUCUCUGCCUCCUCAAACUUAGACAUUGCAUCCUCUAUAGUCUCAUCUCUAGCAACUAGUGCACCAACAUCUGGUAGAUUUCUCUUUAUCAAUAGAUUAAUGUACUCUUCCCAAUACCAAUCCUUAUCCUUUCUACACAAAAUUUUAAGCAAAUAAUGAGUUCUAAAUUGCAAAAAAUCUAAGAACAACCUAUAAAAUUGCAGUCACUCAGUCAAUUUCAUACUUGUAGAAAACCCAUCCGGAAUGUUUUGGCAUGCUCGAGACACGGCGCAGUACCAGCCGCCACCAAUCAUCACACUUGAUGGCCAGUAGAGACUCGCAGACGAGUAGUUGGGCGAGGGCUGGACCCGGCAGACCGAAAGACGUGGUUGUGCCGACAGUCAAUCGACGUGUGAGAUGCGAGCUCCGAGAGGAGGAGGAGAUACCGCGAGGUGGCGUGGAGUGGUUGAGGUGGCUGCGCGAUUCCGUCCAUGAUGAAUUCGGCUGAAACGUGAUGGCAUCGGGGCCUGGGUACAUCGAUUCCAACAAUGACGGUGACGGGCGAAGAUCCGUCAAUUGAGGCAGUAGAGACGAUAGUCGACCGAAUCAAAGUGGGGAGGAGUGUGGCUGGUGCUAUUGGGUGUCGUCAGUGGCGUGUGGUGGCCGGUGAGGGCAAGUAGGGCGACCCCGGAGUCGACAACCAAGGGGGGAGGGGAAAUUUUUUGCUCCAUGGAUGAGCGGCCUAGUAUGUUUAAGAGUCAGAGCGGCCAUGGAGUAAAAAAAAUUACUCCUCUAACACUGAUAAGUGAUUGGCUAGGUGCAGUUUAGAGAAGUAAAACCGAAUUUAUACUCCUUUAAAGCUCUUGGCGCUUGGAUGACCGCAUCUCUUGGCAUCUAGAGCCUUCAAGCCAGUUCUCCACGAAAUCGCUUUACCAAGCUAUCGCGGCAGUUUUGGGCCCAGAGCCCCUCGUGGCGAUUUGGGCAAUAAGACUGCUAUUGAAGAUUAGGAUCUUCCUCUAGCAAUGGAUUCAUGGCUGGGUGCCUUCAGGAUGGAGGAACUUAAGAGAAAUGGCCCGGGUGAUGGGAUGUGCCCAUUGUGUGCGACGAUAGAGGACUCCAACCACAUCUUCCUCACCUACAUCUCUGCGUGUUUCUUGUGAAGCUGCUUCCGGGAGGUGGCCAGAGGAAAUCGGUGCAACACUAAUUUCCCCGACCUAUUCGCGGAACUCAUUGCCUCCCCGCUGCGGCUCGUCACAUUAGGUGGCUGGGCAUUGGGGUGCUUGCCUAGAUGCUUUGGACGAUUCACAAUAAGCUUAUGAUUCAGUGUGUGCCUCUUCAACGUGCUACUGACGCGAUCUUCAAAAUAUGUGGCUAUAUGCAGCUUUGGCGGUCGCUUAGCCGCCCGCAGGGCCAAGACAUUAUCGACAUCCUCAUCGCAGACCUAUGCGUGAUGUCCCUCCGCUUGGCGGCGCCGCUUCCAGAGCCGGAUUAGCCACUUGGUGGCCGUUGCUUCGAUGUUUGUGUUUUAUUUAGGGAUUGUUGAGUUGUGUCCUCAGCAGAACUCCUUUUGAACCUGUGUGUUUGUGCUACUUCGUGUGUGUGUGUGUGUGUGUCGUGAACUCUUGUCGGUUGUUGUGGCUUGGUGGUUUGCUUUAUAUAUAAAGUGGGGCAAAAGCCUUUUUCGGUAAUUAUUUGUGUUACAUGGAGAAUUGCAGAAAAUGCUUAUAGCCACCUCUCCACUUCAGAAAAUGUAUUCCAUCAUGAAAAUAUACAGACAUGAGGUAUACGUCACUAUGUACAUGCAUAUUUGUUUUUAGAAUGUUUUGAAACUAAUUUUUUUAGCUUCAUGGAGCUGCUCCCUGAGCCAAAAAUCUUCAUUCAGGAAAAAGGUGCUCAUGUUAUCCGCUUCAGGUUAUUCAGUGUGGUCCAUUCUAUUGUAAAUCUGGGUUUGGCCUGUCACAAAGUUUUGAGCAUGGACAGACCACCAUUCAAAAAUAAAUGGACUACCUGAGCAAAAGCAUCGAAAGACGAAAGGCACUCCAGGUUCCCUUGUAGUAUAAUCGUGUUGUUCAGAGGCUCGCGUCCUCUUACCUUUCCUACCAACUUGCUGCAUUGUAUAUCGAUUUCUUUUCCUUUGCCCGUUUGGCUGCUCCACAUCUUCUCCUCCACUGACCAUCUCCAACGAGCCCCUCCUGCCCUCCAAAUCUGAUGGCGGCAGCGAUUGCAUGGCUGGUGCAGACCAUCCUGUCAGUACUGCUACGCUGAAGGUUGCACCAGCACUGACGGAAGUACAUCUUCGAGGGAAGGAGGCGCAAUCGGGUGGCGGAACGGCGACUGAAGACUCAAACCAGGCACUGGGCCGUGUGCGAGUGUGAGCCCAGUGGGCUUGUAGGCACGGCUAUAUAACGUGCCGAGUAGAGAGUGGUAGGACAGUAGAGUUGAUUCCCCUUUUCGUCCUCCUCUGUAUCCAUCUGUAUCUUCUUCCUCCCCACGACACUCUUUCUCUGGAACUUGAGAUCUCUACCAAAAUCCCAAAUCCUAGGUUCGCCUAUGGCAAGGAUAUGACAGUUGGUAAUCAGAGCUUCGUCGGUCCCUGCUGCGCCUAAAUCCUCGAGAUCGAUCCGGUAACAUCAACUGGUUGGUGGGCUGAUUGCUGCGGCGAUCGGCUGUAAAUCCGAGAUCAGCGUUCGGAUCGAUUCAGAGCAGGCGGCAACGGCGCCGUUCAAGCCGAGUGCUCAGACAAGGUACCUGCGAGACGAGAUGGGAACAUUCGAGGAGCGCGUGAUGAAGGAGUUCGAGGCGCUGCGGCUCCUGCAGGCCAAGGUGGAUGGGAUCGAGGCGAUCCAGGCCAGACUUGAUGGAUUGGAUGCAAAAUUUGAGGAACAAGUGCAGCGCCUAGAUCAAGUGCAGAGCAAGGUGAAUCUGUCGGUGAGUUCGAUCGGGGAGAUUCAUCAGGAACAAGUUCAAGUGGCUCAUCAUCUGAAGCAGUCAAGCAAUGCACGGGAGGCUGAUUUGAACAGGUUGGCGGAUCCGGGAUGUUUGGCCGCAUCUUCGACUACGAGUCAGAGCGGUGGGCGACCGUUUUCGACGCAUGGGCAACCACCACCACCACCUCCUCCUCCGCCAUUACUUCCUCCGCGGGACCGCGCAUCUCAUCAGCAACAGGUACCAAAUUCCCCACGUCCCUUGGAGGAACAGCAAAACAAGCAGACUUGGAUGCCGAAAAUGGAGUUUCCAAAAUUCGAGGGAGAGGGAGUCCGUAUUUGGUUGGAUAAUUUUGAAGCAUAUUUCCAGUUAUAUCAGAUCCCUGAGUCCUUUAAGUUGAUGUCCGCAUCUCUGCAUCUGAUUGGUAAUGCAACACACUGGUUUCAGGCUUAUAAACUGACAGAUCAUUAUGGCACUUGGGAAAAUUUUUGUGCUGCUGUCAUACAGGAAUUUGAUGUGAAUGUGCAUAGGAACUGCAUGAGAGAGCUGCUUGUAUUGAAACAGGAAGGUACUGUGCAACAAUACAGAUCUACGUUCCAUUAGCUGGUGUACCAGGUCCGGAUGUAUGAGGGAGGAGUGAGUGAAACAAUGUUGGUCACUCAAUUCAUGUUGGGUCUUAAAGAAGAAAUUAGAGCUGCAGUAGAAAUUCAGUUACCAGCCACUGUUACUAUUGCAGUGGAGUAUGCUUUGGUGCAAGAAGCACUGUUAGAAAGAGCUAAACAGCAAGCCACUAAAACUAGCAAAUUCAGUUUUCACAAGGGAAGUACGACCAAAGGAGAUUAUAUUGGAAAAUCCCAGCUCUUCGCAGGAGAUAUGUGGAAAGCAAGGCAGCUCAAGGACUACAGGAGACAUAAUGGUCUCUGUUACAGCUGUGGAGAGAAAUUCAGCCCUGGCCAUGUUUGCACUAGCAAGCAAAAUGCCCAAGCCAAAGCAAUUGAAGCUGCAGAACAACAAGUGCAAUUAUUUGACCCUGUUCUUAAUGCCAUUGCAGUAGAAGAGGCUGCAGAGGAAGCAACUGCUUAUUUAUCUGUGAAUGCACUUUCGGGCACAACCAAUACUAAGUCCAUCAGAUUGAGAGCAUUGGUUGGCAAUCAAGUCAUGCUCCUCUUGUUGGAUUCGGGCAGUUCUCACACAUUUAUUGACCAACAGCUGGCAGACAAACUCAAGUACAAAGCUCAAGAUCUACCAACACCACUAACAGUCAAAGUGGCAAAUGGUGAAAAGCUACAGUGCACACAACACAUUCAUGGACUAGAGUGGUGGAUACAGGGCCACACAUUUACCACUGAUAUGAAAGUACUUGCUAUGGGAGGAUAUGAUGCAAUCUUAGGUAUGGACUGGCUGUCGCAGUGGGGCCCUAUGGUCUGUCAUUGGCAAGAUCAAUGGAUUCAGUUUCAGAGGGGAGAUAAAACAAUCAUGCUACAAGGGCUGCAGACUCCUCCAGUUAAAGAAUUGCAAAAGCUAUCCAUGGAGCAAGUGGUGAAGUGCCAGAAGGGCAAUGAUAUUUGGGCCACAACUGUAUUAUCCAGAAUGGCUGUGGUGGAAACAUCAGUUGUUCCUGAAUGCAUUCAGAAUACUAUUAAAACUUUUGAAGAUGUUUUUCAAGAACCUAAAGGAUUACCCCCUCACAGAGAAUUUGAUCAUGCUAUUUCUCUUCUUCCAAACAGUGUACCUGUGAAUUCCAGGCCCUAUAGAUACUCGCCCUUACAAAAAGAUGAGAUCGAGAGGCAAGUAGCGGAGAUGAUCCAAGCAGGAAUUGUGAAACCUAGCAUGUCACCCUAUGCAUCACCUGUCCUGUUGGUCAAGAAAAAAGAUGGAAUGUGGAGAUUUUGUGUGGAUUAUAGAAGACUGAAUUCAGUGACAGUAAAAAGCAAGUUUCCUUUGCCUGUCGUAGAUGAGUUGCUGGAUGAACUGGCAGGUGCAAAGUGGUUUUCCAAAUUAGAUCUCAGGUCUGGUUAUCACCAGAUACGAAUGGUGGAAAGUGACAAGGAAAAAACUGCCUUCAAAACACAUCAAGGACAAUAUCAAUUUAGAGUUAUGCCUUUUGGGUUCACAAAUGCUCCAGCUACCUUCCAAUGUUUAAUGAAUGCAACUUUUGCAAGAUUUAUCAGAAAAUUUGUGCUAGUAUUCAUGGACGAUAUUCUAAUAUUUAGUGAAGAUUUGGAACAACAUCAACAUCAUCUUCAAGAAGUCCUCUCAGUUUUAAGGGAGCACCAGCUGUUUGCUGAACUCAGUAAAUGCUCUUUUGCCCAACAGGAGUUGGAAUAUUUGGGUCACAUCAUUUCUGAUAAGGGGGUGUCCAUUGAUCCUGCCAAAACUACCGCUAUGGUACAAUGGCCAAGACCAACUACAGUUACUGAACUCAGGGGGUUUUUGGGUCUCACCGGCUACUAUAGGAAGUUUGUGCAGAACUAUGGCAUCUUGGCACAACCACUGACUAGUUUACUAAAGAAGAAAAGUUUUGAGUGGACCGAGCAAGCUCAAGCUGCAUUCGAUCAGUUAAAACAGGCUAUGUCCACUACUCCAGUCCUAGUAUUGCCAGAUUUUGCAAAACCCUUUUGCAUAGAAACGGAUGCUUGUGAUAGUGGCAUUGGAGCUGUUUUAACACAGGGAGGGCAUCCUGUGGCUUAUUACAGCAAAGCUUUAGGGCCAGCUAACCAGAAACUGAGUAUCUAUGAGAAAGAGUUCAUGGCAAUUAUUAUGGCCAUUGAAAGAUGGCGACAAUAUAUUUCCAGAGGUCCUUUUGUCAUCAAAACAGACCACAAGAGCCUCUGUCAGUUAGGAACACAAGAACUUACUUCAGAUCUUCAGAGAAAAGCAAUGACUAAACUAGUGGGAUUGCAGUUUUCUUUUCAGUACAAGAAAGGUCCGGAGAACAAAGCUGCAGAUGCACUUUCCAGAAUAGGCCAUGUAUUUGCAUUGCCUGUUGUGUCUACUUCUCGACCUGUUUGGAUUCAGGAAAUCCUCAAUUCCUAUGACAUCGAUACACAAGCUCAACAACUUUUGCAGAAGCUAGCUGUUAACCCUGAGGAAGAACCUGAAUAUUCUUUGGACAAUGAUCUAUUAAAACAUCAAGGAAGAAUUUGGGUGGGAGCCAAUGUAGGGUUACAGACUAAGAUCAUUGAGGCACUGCACUCUUCUCCUGUAGGAGGGCAUUCGGGUAGCUUGGCUACUUAUCAGAAAAUCAAGAAGCUAUUUCAUUGGGCCGGAAUCAAAACUGUAGUUAAGGAGUUUGUGCAACAAUGUCAGAUAUGUCAGCAAGCUAAACAUGAAAACUGCAAAUAUCCUGGGUUGUUGGCACCUUUACCAAUACCUAGGGGCCCUUGGGAGGAUAUCUCCAUGGAUUUUAUUGAGGGCCUUCCCAAGUCCAAUGGAUCCUCUUGCAUUCUGGUAGUUGUGGACAGAUACACUAAGUACAUUCACUUUAUACCACUUAAACACCCAUACACGGCAGCUCAGAUUGCUCAUAUCUUUCUGCAGCAAGUGGUAAAACUACAUGGUAUGCCCUACACCAUUACUUCAGAUAGAGACAAGAUCUUCACCAGUAAUUUCUGGAGAGAGUUGUUCAAACUGUGGGGCACUAAACUGCAGAUGUCAACUGCUUAUCACCCACAAACUGAUGGCCAGACUGAGAGGGUAAAUCAAUGCCUGGAAAUGUACCUGAGAUGUGCUGUCAAUGAUACUCCAAAGCAAUGGGCAGCUUGGCUUCCUUUAGCAGAAUUCUGGUACAACUCUACUUAUCACUCUUCCCUGGGAUGUACUCCAUUCAAAGCACUCUAUGGACAUGAGCCAAACUUGGGAAAUCUACCUCAACCCUUGCAAUCACAACAGUUGGAAUUGCAGGACUGGCUUAAUGAAAGGCAACAGUACUCUGAAUUUUUGCACCAACACUUGAACAGAGCUCAAACGAAGAUGAAGUCUGAUGCAGAUAAGAACAGGACUUUCAGGGAGUUCGUGGUGGGAGAUACAGUGUUCUUGAAGCUGCAACCUUAUUCUCAAGCUUCUGUGGUCAACAGACCUUACCCAAAGCUGGCAAUGAAGUUCUUUGGGCCGUAUAAAAUUCUCGAGAGAGUGGGAACAGUGGCUUACAAGCUGGAACUCCCACCCACUAGUCAGAUACAUCAUGUGUUUCAUGUGUCUCAAUUGAAAACUCACGUGCCAGAUCACACACCAGUUUACACGACAUUGCCAGAACCACCGCUGCUUAACAGGAUGAAUGUGGUUCCUGAGGAAAUUUUGGACAGACACCUGGUCAAGAAGGGGAAUGCUUCCUUGCUUCAGGUUCUUAUCAAAUGGUCUGGGUUGCCAGCAGCAAGUGCUACUUGGGAGGACUAUGACAUAGUCCACCAACAUUUUCCAUUGGCACCAGCUUGGGGACAAGCUGGAAUUUCAGGGGGAGCUCAUGUCAGUACUGCUACGCUGAAGGUUGCACCACACUGACGGAAGUACGUCUUCGAGGGAAGGAGGUGCAAUCGGGUGGCAGAACGGCGACUGAAGACUCAAACCAGGCACUGGGCCGUGUGCGAGUGUGAGCCCAGUGGGCUUGUAGGCACGGCUAUAUAACGUGCCGAGUAGAGAGUGGUAGGACAGUAGAGUUGAUUCCCCUUUUCGUCCUCCUCUGUAUCCAUCUGUAUCUUCUUCCUCCCCAUGACACUCUUUCUCUGGAACUUGAGAUCUCUACCAAAAUCCCAAAUCCUAGGUUUGCCUAUGGCAAGGAUAUGACACAUCCUUGCAACCCUCCAAAUCGACAAGCUCGACGCCUGGAUUCGGCAAGUCGGACUUGCCGAUGACAUCGAGAAGCUCAAGUCGGAGAUCAAGAGAGUGGUGUCUGCUGUGAAGGGGAGAGGGGCCGAUGAAUCUUUCGCUCUUCUCGUGGAGCGGCUCUAUGAAGCCGAGCGUAUGGUCGACGAGAUCGACUACUAUAGGCUCAAAGAUCAAGUUCAUGGAGGUACGCCCGCUGCCUCGUGGCCUGCAGAUCCAAGCAUACUACUCCAUGUAGAUCUUGUCUUGAUCCAACAGACAAAUUGAUUUUACCUCCUGCCUUUCUGGUCCAUGUUUUUGUGGGCACAGUUACAAGGGAUGGAGCUGAGCGAGUGGAUGAGAUAUCGGGUGGUGAUCCUAUUGCUGCUACACCGAAUAGACGUACUAGUGUUGGCAAACAGCGGUCCGUGGUAUGGGAACACUUUACAAUCGCAGAUAACGAAAAUCCUAACAAAGCAAAAUGUACAUACUGUGAAAAAGAGUUCAACUGCAAUACAAAGACGAACGGUACAUCAUCUACGAAGAAACAUUUGGAGAAAGAGCAUUCCAUCGCUUGUACGAAGAACCCUGAAGCACAUCCACCAAACCCUUCAAGUUCAAGGUACUUAAGAGAAUAUUCUUUCUAUGCUCAGGUGUACACACACCUCUUACCUUGUAUGAACACAUUUUCAAAAAUCGUUUAUAUACAUCUGCUGAGGCCAUUGUGGUCCUAAUAAGUGCCCUAUCUUUUUCUUACCGCACCACCGCUGAGCCUAUCGUAAUUGGUAGCUCAUCCAGCAGAAAAGGAAAGAGACAACAGUCCAAGGCAUGGGAACUUUUUGAUGUCAUAGAAGGAGAUAACGAACAUCCUAUGAAAGCAAAAUGUAAAUACUGCCCCACAGAGAUCAAGUGUGGACCAACGAGUGGAACAGCAGGUAUGCUCAACCAUAACAAGAUUUGUAGGAAGAAACCUGGACCAAUUGACCAGCCGCCAAACCCGCCAAGGUAGCUAAAGAAUAUACAUUGCACCGAUUUUUUCUUAGAAAUCAUUAAGUUUGGAGUCUCACUGUGGUUCUAAUAGCCAAUUCAUGGUUUUUUUCUUAUUGCAGCACUAGUGAUGCUAAUGCAGAUGUGACGCCAAUUACUGCGGCUAACACAGUCACCCCUUGGGACAAGACUGAAUUGUCCAAUAGGAUACAAAAAAUAUCUUGUCAGUUGCAAUGCAUCGGAGGGGAAGUGGGUGAGAUUCUCAAGCUACAUGGAUCGGACUCUACUUCAAGUUCACAUCAUCACCAGAGUACAACAUCAGAUCAGCACCUCAGAACAUCAAGUCUUGUUCCAAGGAUUUUGUAUGGAAGAGCUAAGGAGAAGAAACACAUCAUGAUGAUGACAGAAGGCAGAUCUGACAAAGUAAUUGUUGUGCCGAUUGUAGGCAUUGCAGGUGUUGGAAAGACAACUCUCACUCAACUUGUAUACAAUGAUGUAGAAGUGAAAAUGCAAUUUCACCCUAGAAUAUGGGUUUGGGUGUCUCGCAACUUUGAUGAAAUGAGGCUCACAAGAGAGAUGUUGAGCUUUGUUUCUCAAGAAAGACAUGAAGGAAUAGACUGCUUUGUGAAGCUUCAGGAGAUCUUUAAAAGUUAUGUUAAAUCAAAGAGGAUUUUACUUAUUUUAGAUGAUGUUUGGGAUGACAAGAACAAUUACCAACGGAACCAACUAUUGGCUCCUUUUCAGCACGAAAAUGCUAUUGGUAAUGUGAUUCUUGUGACAACUAGAAAACUGUCUGUUGCAAAAAUGAUUGGAACAACAAGACCAAUUAAGUUAGGUGCAUUGGAAAAUGAUGACUUCGAGUUAUUGUUCAAAUCAUGUGCAUUAGGUGAUGGAAACUAUGAAUUUCCUGGAAACUUUAGCACAAUUGGGCAGCACAUAAUAGAGAAGUUAAAGGGCAACCCCUUAGCAGCAAUAACUACAGGGUCGCUAUUAAGGGAUCAUCUUACCGCUGAUCAUUGGAGUAACAUUCUGAAGAAAGAAAGUUGGAAGUCACUGGGAGUCAGUGGAGGCAUCAUGCCUGGUUUGAAGCUUAGUUAUGAUGAGCUACCAUACGGUUUAGAACAAUGUUUUUCUUACUGUUCUAUAUUUCCUAACAAACAUAGGUUUCUUGGUAAGGAUUUGGUCUAUAUUUGGAUUUCUCAGGGAUUUGUGAAUUGCACCCAAAAUACGAGAUUGGAGGAUACAGGAUGGGAAUACCUGAAUCAAUUGGUAAACCUAGGAUUCUUUGAACAAACUGAAGAACAAGAAGAAUUGCAUCAGGAAGAAGAAUUCUGUUUACGCCGUCAGAUUUGGUACUCUAUGUGUGAUCUCAUGCUUGAUUUUGCAAGGAUGGUUUCAAGGACUGAAUGUGCGAUUAUAGAUGGUCUACAGUGCAAUAAAAUAUUGCCAACUGCACAACAUUUGUCAAUAGUAACCAGUUCUGCAUACAACAAAGAUCUGCACGGGAACAUUCCUCAUAAGGAGAAGUUUGAAGAAAAUCUGAGAAAUUCAGUUACAUCAGUUACCAAGUUGAGAACAUUGGUUAUACUUGGAAAAUUUGACUCUUCCUUUGUAUAGCUGUUCCAAGAUAUAUUCCAAAAGGCACAAAAUUUACGCCUGCUACGAGUAUCUUCAUUAUCCACUUAUCUAUUUCAAGUGCCUCAAGCAUCCACCGGUUUUAAUUCCUUCCUGUGCAGUUUGGCAAAUCCUUUGCAUCUUUGUUACCUAAAACUUGAGUUGGAUGGGAUUGUGCCACAAGUUUUGAGUACGUUUUUUCAUCUUCAAGUAUUAGAUGUUGGAUCAAGCAUGGAUACUUCUCUACCCAAUGGCUUGUUGCAUAAUCUUGUUAGCCUGCGACAUCUUGUUGCACACAAGAGAGUCCAUUCUUCCAUUACUAGCAUUGGUAACAUGACAUCUAUCCAGGAGCUACAUGAUUUUGAGGUUCGAAUUUCUAGCGACUUUGAGAUAACACAACUCAAAUACAUGAACGAGCUUGUUCAACUUGGGGUGUCUCAGCUUGACAGUGUUAAAACCUGGGAGGAGGCUUAUGGAGCAGGAUUAAGAAACAAGGAACACUUAGAAGAGCUUCACUUGUCCUGGAAGGAUGCAUAUUCAGAGUAUGAGUAUGUCAGUGACACUAGAUUUGAAUCUUCUGCAAACAUGGCAAGAGAAGUGAUUGAGGGUCUUGAACCACACAUGGAUUUAAAACAUCUACAAAUAUCUCGGUAUAAUGGUACCACUUCACCAGCUUGGCUUGUCAACAAUAUCUCAGUUACCUCAUUGCAGACGCUUCAUCUUGAUGAUUGUGGAGGAUGGAGAAUACUUCCAUCUCUGGGAAGUCUUCCAUUUCUUACAAAGCUGAAGUUGAGCAGCAUGCGAGAAGUAAAAGAAGUAUUGGUUCCUUCACUGGCGGAGCUAGUUUUAAUUAAAAUGCCGAAGUUAGUGAGAUGCUCAAGCACUUCUGUUGAGGGUCUGUGCUCCAGCUUAAGGGUACUGCAGAUCAAAGAUUGUGAAGCAUUGAAGGAGUUUGAUCUGCUUGAUAAUGAUGAUAAUUCUGGAAUCAGUCAGGGAUCAUGGCUGCCCAGUCUUAGGAAUUUGAUUCUGGAUUAUUGCCCUCAUUUGGAAGUGUUGAAGCCUCUUCCACCUUCAACUACCUUUUGUAAGGUACUCAUCAGAGAAGUUCCAAGAUUUCCGUAUAUGGAGGUAUCAUCUGGUGAAAAGUUAGAAAUUGGGAAUACUGAUGGCCACAGACGUGAUUUUUUUGAUGAAUCUUCUGAUGAGUUGAGGAUACUGGAUGACAAAACUUUGGCAUUCCAUAAUCUUGGAAACCUCAAAUUGAUGGAGAUAUAUGGUUGCAGAAAUCUAAGGUCUUUUUCGUUCAAAGGUUUUAGUCAUCUUGUCUCUUUAGCAAGUUUGACAAUAGAAGACGGCGAACAACUUUUCCCUUCAGAUGUGUCGCCAGAGUACCCUUGAAGAUGUGACAGCUAUGAACUGCAAUGCCUUCCCAUCUCUUAAAAGUCUCAAAGCAUCAUGCCUGGUUUGAAGCUUAGUUAUGAUGAGCUACCAUACCGUUUACAACAAUGUUUCUCUUACUGUUCUAUAUUUCCUAACAAAUAUAGGUUUCUUGGUAAGGAUUUGGUCUAUAUUUGGAUUUCUCAGGGAUUUGUGAAUUGCACCCAAAAUACGAGAUUGGAGGAUACAGGAUGGGAAUACCUGAAUCAAUUGGUAAACCUAGGAUUCUUUGAACAAACUGAAGAACAAGAAGAAUUGCAUCAGGAAGAAGAAUUCUGUUUACGCCGUCAGAUUUGGUACUCUAUAUGUGAUCUCAUGCAUGAUUUUGCAAGGAUGGUUUCAAGGACUGAAUGUGCGAUUAUAGAUGGUCUACAGUGCAAUAAAAUAUUGCCAACUGCACAACAUUUGUCAAUAGUAACCAGUUCUGCAUACAACAAAGAUCUGCACGGGAACAUUCCUCAUAAGGAGAAGUUUGAAGAAAAUCUGAGAAAUUCAGUUACAUCAGUUACCAAGUUGAGAACAUUGGUUAUACUUGGAAAAUUUGACUCUUCCUUUGUAUAGCUGUUCCAAGAUAUAUUCCAAAAGGCACAAAAUUUACGCCUGCUACGAGUAUCUUCAUUAUCCACUUAUCUAUUUCAAGUGCCUCAAGCAUCCACCGGUUUUAAUUCCUUCCUGUGCAGUUUGGCAAAUCCUUUGCAUCUUCGUUACCUAAAACUUGAGUUGGAUGGGAUUGUGCCACAAGUUUUGAGUACGUUUUUUCAUCUUCAAGUAUUAGAUGUUGGAUCAAGCAUGGAUACUUCUCUACCCAAUGGCUUGUUGCAUAAUCUUGUUAGCCUGCGACAUCUUGUUGCACACAAGAGAGUCCAUUCUUCCAUUACUAGCAUUGGUAACAUGACAUCUAUCCAGGAGCUACAUGAUUUUGAGGUUCGAAUUUCUAGCGGCUUUGAGAUAACACAACUCAAAUACAUGAACGAGCUUGUUCAACUUGGGGUGUCUCAGCUUGACAGUGUUAAAACCCGGGAGGAGGCUUAUGGAGCAGGAUUAAGAAACAAGGAACACUUAGAAGAGCUUCACUUGUCCUGGAAGGAUGCAUAUUCAGAGUUUGAGUAUGUCAGUGACACUAGAUUUGAAUCUUCUGCAAACAUGGCAAGAGAAGUGAUUGAGGGUCUUGAACCACACAUGGAUUUAAAACAUCUACAAAUAUCUCGGUAUAAUGGUACCACUUCACCAGUUGGCUUGUCAACAAUAUCUCAGUUACCUCAUUGCAGACGCUUCAUCUUGAUGAUUGUGGAGGAUGGAGAAUACUUCCAUCUCUGGGAAGUCUUCCAUUUCUUACAAAGCUGAAGUUGAGCAGCAUGCGGGAAGUAAAAGAAGUAUUGGUUCCUUCACUGGCGGAGCUAGUUUUAAUUAAAAUGCCGAAGUUAGUGAGAUGCUCAAGCACUUCCGUUGAGGGUCUGUGCUCCAGCUUAAGGGUACUGCAGAUCGAAGAUUGUGAAGCAUUGAAGGAGUUUGAUCUGUUUGAUAAUGAUGAUAAUUCUGGAAUCAGUCAGGGAUCAUGGCUGCCCAGUAUUAGGAAUUUGAUUCUGGAUUAUUGCCCUCAUUUGGAAGUGUUGAAGCCUCUUCCACCUUCAACUACCUUUUGUAAGGUACUCAUCAGAGAAGUUCCAAGAUUUCCGUAUAUGGAGGUAUCAUCUGGUGAAAAGUUAGAAAUUGGGAAUACUGAUGGCCACAGACGCGAUUUUUUUGAUGAAUCUUCUGAUGAGUUGAGGAUACUGGAUGACAAAACUUUGGCAUUCCAUAAUCUUGGAAACCUCAAAUUGAUGGAGAUAUAUGGUUGCAGAAAUCUAAGGUCUUUUUCGUUCAAAGGUUUUAGUCAUCUUGUCUCUUUAGCAAGUUUGACAAUAGAAGACGGCGAACAACUUUUCCCUUCAGAUGUGUCGCCAGAGUACCCUUGAAGAUGUGACAGCUAUGAACUGCAAUGCCUUCCCAUCUCUUAAAAGUCUCAGAGCAUCAUGCCUGGUUUGAAGCUUAGUUAUGAUGAGCUACCAUACCGUUUACAACAAUGUUUCUCUUACUGUUCUAUAUUUCCUAACAAAUAUAGGUUUCUUGGUAAGGAUUUGGUCUAUAUUUGGAUUUCUCAGGGAUUUGUGAAUUGCACCCAAAAUACGAGAUUGGAGGAUACAGGAUGGGAAUACCUGAAUCAAUUGGUAAACCUAGGAUUCUUUGAACAAACUGAAGAACAAGAAGAAUUGCAUCAGGAAGAAGAAUUCUGUUUACGCCGUCAGAUUUGGUACUCUAUGUGUGAUCUCAUGCAUGAUUUUGCAAGGAUGGUUUCAAGGACUGAAUGUGCGAUUAUAGAUGGUCUACAGCGCAAUAAGAUAUUGCCAACUGCACAUCAUUUGUCAAUAGUAACCGGUUCUGCAUACAACAAAUAUCUGCACGGGAACAUUCCUCAUAAGGAGAAGUUUGAAGAAAAUCUGAGAAAUUCAGUUACAUCAGUUACCAAGUUGAGAACAUUGGUUGUACUUGGAAAAUUUGACUCUUCCUUUGUACAGUUGUUCCAAGAUAUAUUCCAAAAGGCACAAAAUUUACGCCUGCUACGAGUAUCUUAUCCACUUAUCUGUUUCAAGUGCCUCAAGCAUCCAUCGGUUUUAAUUCCUUCCUGUGCAGUUUGGCAAAUCCUUUGCAUCUUCGCUACCUAAAACUUGAGUUGGAUGGGAUUGUGCCACAAGUUUUGCGUACGUUUUUGCAUCUUCAAGUAUUAGAUGUUGGAUCAAGCAUGGAUACUUCUCUACCCAAUGGCUUGUUGCAUAAUCUUGUUAGCCUGCGACAUCUUGUUGCACACAAGAGAGUCCAUUCUUCCAUUACUAGCAUUGGUAACAUGACAUCUAUCCAGGAGCUACAUGAUUUUGAGGUUCGAAUUUCUAGCGGCUUUGAGAUAACACAACUCAAAUACAUGAACGAGCUUGUUCAACUUGGGGUGUCUCAGCUUGACAGUGUUAAAACCCGGGAGGAGGCUUAUGGAGCAGGAUUAAGAAACAAGGAACACGUAGAAGAGCUUCACUUGUCCUGGAAGGAUGCAUAUUCAGAGUAUGAGUAUGUCAGUGACACUAGAUUUGAAUCUUCUGCAAACAUGGCAAGAGAAGUGAUUGAGGGUCUUGAACCACACAUGGAUUUAAAACAUCUACAAAUAUCUCGGUAUAAUGGUACCACUUCACCAGUUGGCUUGUCAACAAUAUCUCAGUUACCUCAUUGCAGACGCUUCAUCUUGAUGAUUGUGGAGGAUGGAGAAUACUUCCAUCUCUGGGAAAUCUUCCAUUUCUUACAAAGCUGAAGUUGAGCAGCAUGCGGGAAGUAAAAGAAGUAUUUGUUCCUUCACUGGCGGAGCUAGUUUUAAUUAAAAUGCCGAAGUUAGUGAGAUGCUCAAGCACUUCUGUUGAGGGUCUGUGCUCCAGCUUAAGGGUACUGCAGAUCGAAGAUUGUGAAGCAUUGAAGGAGUUUGAUCUGUUUGAUAAUGAUGAUAAUUCUGGAAUCAGUCAGGGAUCAUGGCUGCCCAGUAUUAGGAAUUUGAUUCUGGAUUAUUGCCCUCAUUUGGAAGUGUUGAAGCCUCUUCCACCUUCAACUACCUUUUGUAAGGUACUCAUCAGAGAAGUUCCAAGAUUUCCGUAUAUGGAGGUAUGAUCUGGUGAAAAGUUAGAAAUUGGGAAUACUGAUGGCCACAGACGCGAUUUUUUUGAUGAAUCUUCUGAUGAGUUGAGGAUACUGGAUGACAAAACUUUGGCAUUCCAUAAUCUUGGAAACCUCAAAUUGAUGGAGAUAUAUGGUUGCAGAAAUCUAAGGUCUUUUUCGUUCAAAGGUUUUAGUCAUCUUGUCUCUUUAGCAAGUUUGACAAUAGAAGACUGCGAACAACUUUUCCCUUCAGAUGUGUCGCCAGAGUACCCUUGAAGAUGUGACAGCUAUGAACUGCAAUGCCUUCCCAUCUCUUAAAAGUCUCAGAGCAUCAUGCUUGGUUUGAAGCUUAGUUAUGAUGAGCUACCAUACCGUUUACAACAAUGUUUCUCUUACUGUUCUAUAUUUCCUAACAAAUAUAGGUUUCUUGGUAAGGAUUUGGUCUAUAUUUGGAUUUCUCAGGGAUUUGUGAAUUGCACCCAAAAUACGAGAUUGGAGGAUACAGGAUGGGAAUACCUGAAUCAAUUGGUAAACCUGGGAUUCUUUGAACAAACUGAAGAACAAGAAGAAUUGCAUGAGGAAGAAGAAUUAUGUUUACGCCGUCAGAUUUGGUACUCUAUGUGUGAUCUCAUGCAUGAUUUUGCAAGGAUGGUUUCAAGGACUGAAUGUGCGAUUAUAGAUGGUCUACAGUGCAAUAAGAUAUUGCCAACUGCACAUCAUUUGUCAAUAGUAACCGGUUCUGCAUACAACAAAGAUCUGCACGGGAACAUUCCUCAUAAGGAGAAGUUUGAAGAAAAUCUGAGAAAUUCAGUUACAUCAGUUACCAAGUUGAGAACAUUGGUUGUACUUGNNNNNNNNNNNNNNNNNNNNNNNNNNNNNNNNNNNNNNNNNNNNNNNNNNNNNNNNNNNNNNNNNNNNNNNNNNNNNNNNNNNNNNNNNNNNNNNNNNNNNNNNNNNNNNNNNNNNNNNNNNNNNNNNNNNNNNNNNNNNNNNNNNNNNNNNNNNNNNNNNNNNNNNNNNNNNNNNNNNNNNNNNNNNNNNNNNNNNNNNNNNNNNNNNNNNNNNNNNNNNNNNNNNNNNNNNNNNNNNNNNNNNNNNNNNNNNNNNNNNNNNNNNNNNNNNNNNNNNNNNNNNNNNNNNNNNNNNNNNNNNNNNNNNNNNNNNNNNNNNNNNNNNNNNNNNNNNNNNNNNNNNNNNNNNNNNNNNNNNNNNNNNNNNNNNNNNNNNNNNNNNNNNNNNNNNNNNNNNNNNNNNNNNNNNNNNNNNNNNNNNNNNNNNNNNNNNNNNNNNNNNNNNNNNNNNNNNNNNNNNNNNNNNNNNNNNNNNNNNNNNNNNNNNNNNNNNNNNNNNNNNNNNNNNNNNNNNNNNNNNNNNNNNNNNNNNNNNNNNNNNNNNNNNNNNNNNNNNNNNNNNNNNNNNNNNNNNNNNNNNNNNNNNNNNNNNNNNNNNNNNNNNNNNNNNNNNNNNNNNNNNNNNNNNNNNNNNNNNNNNNNNNNNNNNNNNNNNNNNNNNNNNNNNNNNNNNNNNNNNNNNNNNNNNNNNNNNNNNNNNNNNNNNNNNNNNNNNNNNNNNNNNNNNNNNNNNNNNNNNNNNNNNNNNNNNNNNNNNNNNNNNNNNNNNNNNNNNNNNNNNNNNNNNNNNNNNNNNNNNNNNNNNNNNNNNNNNNNNNNNNNNNNNNNNNNNNNNNNNNNNNNNNNNNNNNNNNNNNNNNNNNNNNNNNNNNNNNNNNNNNNNNNNNNNNNNNNNNNNNNNNNNNNNNNNNNNNNNNNNNNNNNNNNNNNNNNNNNNNNNNNNNNNNNNNNNNNNNNNNNNNNNNNNNNNNNNNNNNNNNNNNNNNNNNNNNNNNNNNNNNNNNNNNNNNNNNNNNNNNNNNNNNNNNNNNNNNNNNNNNNNNNNNNNNNNNNNNNNNNNNNNNNNNNNNNNNNNNNNNNNNNNNNNNNNNNNNNNNNNNNNNNNNNNNNNNNNNNNNNNNNNNNNNNNNNNNNNNNNNNNNNNNNNNNNNNNNNNNNNNNNNNNNNNNNNNNNNNNNNNNNNNNNNNNNNNNNNNNNNNNNNNNNNNNNNNNNNNNNNNNNNNNNNNNNNNNNNNNNNNNNNNNNNNNNNNNNNNNNNNNNNNNNNNNNNNNNNNNNNNNNNNNNNNNNNNNNNNNNNNNNNNNNNNNNNNNNNNNNNNNNNNNNNNNNNNNNNNNNNNNNNNNNNNNNNNNNNNNNNNNNNNNNNNNNNNNNNNNNNNNNNNNNNNNNNNNNNNNNNNNNNNNNNNNNNNNNNNNNNNNNNNNNNNNNNNNNNNNNNNNNNNNNNNNNNNNNNNNNNNNNNNNNNNNNNNNNNNNNNNNNNNNNNNNNNNNNNNNNNNNNNNNNNNNNNNNNNNNNNNNNNNNNNNNNNNNNNNNNNNNNNNNNNNNNNNNNNNNNNNNNNNNNNNNNNNNNNNNNNNNNNNNNNNNNNNNNNNNNNNNNNNNNNNNNNNNNNNNNNNNNNNNNNNNNNNNNNNNNNNNNNNNNNNNNNNNNNNNNNNNNNNNNNNNNNNNNNNNNNNNNNNNNNNNNNNNNNNNNNNNNNNNNNNNNNNNNNNNNNNNNNNNNNNNNNNNNNNNNNNNNNNNNNNNNNNNNNNNNNNNNNNNNNNNNNNNNNNNNNNNNNNNNNNNNNNNNNNNNNNNNNNNNNNNNNNNNNNNNNNNNNNNNNNNNNNNNNNNNNNNNNNNNNNNNNNNNNNNNNNNNNNNNNNNNNNNNNNNNNNNNNNNNNNNNNNNNNNNNNNNNNNNNNNNNNNNNNNNNNNNNNNNNNNNNNNNNNNNNNNNNNNNNNNNNNNNNNNNNNNNNNNNNNNNNNNNNNNNNNNNNNNNNNNNNNNNNNNNNNNNNNNNNNNNNNNNNNNNNNNNNNNNNNNNNNNNNNNNNNNNNNNNNNNNNNNNNNNNNNNNNNNNNNNNNNNNNNNNNNNNNNNNNNNNNNNNNNNNNNNNNNNNNNNNNNNNNNNNNNNNNNNNNNNNNNNNNNNNNNNNNNNNNNNNNNNNNNNNNNNNNNNNNNNNNNNNNNNNNNNNNNNNNNNNNNNNNNNNNNNNNNNNNNNNNNNNNNNNNNNNNNNNNNNNNNNNNNNNNNNNNNNNNNNNNNNNNNNNNNNNNNNNNNNNNNNNNNNNNNNNNNNNNNNNNNNNNNNNNNNNNNNNNNNNNNNNNNNNNNNNNNNNNNNNNNNNNNNNNNNNNNNNNNNNNNNNNNNNNNNNNNNNNNNNNNNNNNNNNNNNNNNNNNNNNNNNNNNNNNNNNNNNNNNNNNNNNNNNNNNNNNNNNNNNNNNNNNNNNNNNNNNNNNNNNNNNNNNNNNNNNNNNNNNNNNNNNNNNNNNNNNNNNNNNNNNNNNNNNNNNNNNNNNNNNNNNNNNNNNNNNNNNNNNNNNNNNNNNNNNNNNNNNNNNNNNNNNNNNNNNNNNNNNNNNNNNNNNNNNNNNNNNNNNNNNNNNNNNNNNNNNNNNNNNNNNNNNNNNNNNNNNNNNNNNNNNNNNNNNNNNNNNNNNNNNNNNNNNNNNNNNNNNNNNNNNNNNNNNNNNNNNNNNNNNNNNNNNNNNNNNNNNNNNNNNNNNNNNNNNNNNNNNNNNNNNNNNNNNNNNNNNNNNNNNNNNNNNNNNNNNNNNNNNNNNNNNNNNNNNNNNNNNNNNNNNNNNNNNNNNNNNNNNNNNNNNNNNNNNNNNNNNNNNNNNNNNNNNNNNNNNNNNNNNNNNNNNNNNNNNNNNNNNNNNNNNNNNNNNNNNNNNNNNNNNNNNNNNNNNNNNNNNNNNNNNNNNNNNNNNNNNNNNNNNNNNNNNNNNNNNNNNNNNNNNNNNNNNNNNNNNNNNNNNNNNNNNNNNNNNNNNNNNNNNNNNNNNNNNNNNNNNNNNNNNNNNNNNNNNNNNNNNNNNNNNNNNNNNNNNNNNNNNNNNNNNNNNNNNNNNNNNNNNNNNNNNNNNNNNNNNNNNNNNNNNNNNNNNNNNNNNNNNNNNNNNNNNNNNNNNNNNNNNNNNNNNNNNNNNNNNNNNNNNNNNNNNNNNNNNNNNNNNNNNNNNNNNNNNNNNNNNNNNNNNNNNNNNNNNNNNNNNNNNNNNNNNNNNNNNNNNNNNNNNNNNNNNNNNNNNNNNNNNNNNNNNNNNNNNNNNNNNNNNNNNNNNNNNNNNNNNNNNNNNNNNNNNNNNNNNNNNNNNNNNNNNNNNNNNNNNNNNNNNNNNNNNNNNNNNNNNNNNNNNNNNNNNNNNNNNNNNNNNNNNNNNNNNNNNNNNNNNNNNNNNNNNNNNNNNNNNNNNNNNNNNNNNNNNNNNNNNNNNNNNNNNNNNNNNNNNNNNNNNNNNNNNNNNNNNNNNNNNNNNNNNNNNNNNNNNNNNNNNNNNNNNNNNNNNNNNNNNNNNNNNNNNNNNNNNNNNNNNNNNNNNNNNNNNNNNNNNNNNNNNNNNNNNNNNNNNNNNNNNNNNNNNNNNNNNNNNNNNNNNNNNNNNNNNNNNNNNNNNNNNNNNNNNNNNNNNNNNNNNNNNNNNNNNNNNNNNNNNNNNNNNNNNNNNNNNNNNNNNNNNNNNNNNNNNNNNNNNNNNNNNNNNNNNNNNNNNNNNNNNNNNNNNNNNNNNNNNNNNNNNNNNNNNNNNNNNNNNNNNNNNNNNNNNNNNNNNNNNNNNNNNNNNNNNNNNNNNNNNNNNNNNNNNNNNNNNNNNNNNNNNNNNNNNNNNNNNNNNNNNNNNNNNNNNNNNNNNNNNNNNNNNNNNNNNNNNNNNNNNNNNNNNNNNNNNNNNNNNNNNNNNNNNNNNNNNNNNNNNNNNNNNNNNNNNNNNNNNNNNNNNNNNNNNNNNNNNNNNNNNNNNNNNNNNNNNNNNNNNNNNNNNNNNNNNNNNNNNNNNNNNNNNNNNNNNNNNNNNNNNNNNNNNNNNNNNNNNNNNNNNNNNNNNNNNNNNNNNNNNNNNNNNNNNNNNNNNNNNNNNNNNNNNNNNNNNNNNNNNNNNNNNNNNNNNNNNNNNNNNNNNNNNNNNNNNNNNNNNNNNNNNNNNNNNNNNNNNNNNNNNNNNNNNNNNNNNNNNNNNNNNNNNNNNNNNNNNNNNNNNNNNNNNNNNNNNNNNNNNNNNNNNNNNNNNNNNNNNNNNNNNNNNNNNNNNNNNNNNNNNNNNNNNNNNNNNNNNNNNNNNNNNNNNNNNNNNNNNNNNNNNNNNNNNNNNNNNNNNNNNNNNNNNNNNNNNNNNNNNNNNNNNNNNNNNNNNNNNNNNNNNNNNNNNNNNNNNNNNNNNNNNNNNNNNNNNNNNNNNNNNNNNNNNNNNNNNNNNNNNNNNNNNNNNNNNNNNNNNNNNNNNNNNNNNNNNNNNNNNNNNNNNNNNNNNNNNNNNNNNNNNNNNNNNNNNNNNNNNNNNNNNNNNNNNNNNNNNNNNNNNNNNNNNNNNNNNNNNNNNNNNNNNNNNNNNNNNNNNNNNNNNNNNNNNNNNNNNNNNNNNNNNNNNNNNNNNNNNNNNNNNNNNNNNNNNNNNNNNNNNNNNNNNNNNNNNNNNNNNNNNNNNNNNNNNNNNNNNNNNNNNNNNNNNNNNNNNNNNNNNNNNNNNNNNNNNNNNNNNNNNNNNNNNNNNNNNNNNNNNNNNNNNNNNNNNNNNNNNNNNNNNNNNNNNNNNNNNNNNNNNNNNNNNNNNNNNNNNNNNNNNNNNNNNNNNNNNNNNNNNNNNNNNNNNNNNNNNNNNNNNNNNNNNNNNNNNNNNNNNNNNNNNNNNNNNNNNNNNNNNNNNNNNNNNNNNNNNNNNNNNNNNNNNNNNNNNNNNNNNNNNNNNNNNNNNNNNNNNNNNNNNNNNNNNNNNNNNNNNNNNNNNNNNNNNNNNNNNNNNNNNNNNNNNNNNNNNNNNNNNNNNNNNNNNNNNNNNNNNNNNNNNNNNNNNNNNNNNNNNNNNNNNNNNNNNNNNNNNNNNNNNNNNNNNNNNNNNNNNNNNNNNNNNNNNNNNNNNNNNNNNNNNNNNNNNNNNNNNNNNNNNNNNNNNNNNNNNNNNNNNNNNNNNNNNNNNNNNNNNNNNNNNNNNNNNNNNNNNNNNNNNNNNNNNNNNNNNNNNNNNNNNNNNNNNNNNNNNNNNNNNNNNNNNNNNNNNNNNNNNNNNNNNNNNNNNNNNNNNNNNNNNNNNNNNNNNNNNNNNNNNNNNNNNNNNNNNAAAAUUUGACUCUUCCUUUGUACAGUUGUUCCAAGAUAUAUUCCAAAAGGCACAAAAUUUACGCCUGCUACGAGUAUCUUCAUUAUCCACUUAUCUGUUUCAAGUGCCUCAAGCAUCCAUCGGUUUUAAUUCCUUCCUGUGCAGUUUGGCAAAUCCUUUGCAUCUUCGCUACCUAAAACUUGAGUUGGAUGGGAUUGUGCCACAAGUUUUGAGUACGUUUUUUCAUCUUCAAGUAUUAGAUGUUGGAUCAAGCAUGGAUACUUCUCUACCCAAUGGCUUGUUGCAUAAUCUUGUUAGCCUGCGACAUCUUGUUGCACACAAGAGAGUCCAUUCUUCCAUUACUAGCAUUGGUAACAUGACAUCUAUCCAGGAGCUACAUGAUUUUGAGGUUCGAAUUUCUAGCGGCUUUGAGAUAACACAACUCAAAUACAUGAACGAGCUUGUUCAACUUGGGGUGUCUCAGCUUGACAGUGUUAAAACCCGGGAGGAGGCUUAUGGAGCAGGAUUAAGAAACAAGGAACACUUAGAAGAGCUUCACUUGUCCUGGAAGGAUGCAUAUUCAGAGUAUGAGUAUGUCAGUGACACUAGAUUUGAAUCUUCUGCAAACAUGGCAAGAGAAGUGAUUGAGGGUCUUGAACCACACAUGGAUUUAAAACAUCUACAAAUAUCUCGGUAUAAUGGUACCACUUCACCAGCUUGGCUUGUCAACAAUAUCUCAGUUACCUCAUUGCAGACGCUUCAUCUUGAUGAUUGUGGAGGAUGGAGAAUACUUCCAUCUCUGGGAAGUCUUCCAUUUCUUACAAAGCUGAAGUUGAGCAGCAUGCGGGAAGUAAAAGAAGUAUUGAUUCCUUCACUGGCGGAGCUAGUUUUAAUUAAAAUGCCGAAGUUAGUGAGAUGCUCAAGCACUUCUGUUGAGGGUCUGUGCUCCAGCUUAAGGGUACUGCAGAUCGAAGAUUGUGAAGCAUUGAAGGAGUUUGAUCUGUUUGAUAACGAUGAUAAUUCUGGAAUCAGUCAGGGAUCAUGGCUGCCCAGUAUUAGGAAUUUGAUUCUGGAUUAUUGCCCUCAUUUGAAAGUGUUGAAGCCUCUUCCACCUUCAACUACCUUUUGUAAGGUACUCAUCAGAGAAGUUCCAAGAUUUCCGUAUAUGGAGGUAUCAUCUGGUGAAAAGUUAGAAAUUGGGAAUACUGAUGGCCACAGACGCGAUUUUUUUGAUGAAUCUUCUGAUGAGUUGAGGAUACUGGAUGACAAAACUUUGGCAUUCCAUAAUCUUGGAAACCUCAAAUUGAUGGAGAUAUAUGGUUGCAGAAAUCUAAGGUCUUUUUCGUUCAAAGGUUUUAGUCAUCUUGUCUCUUUAGCAAGUUUGACAAUAGAAGACCGCGAACAACUUUUCCCUUCAGAUGUGUCGCCAGAGUAUACCCUUGAAGAUGUGACAGCUAUGAACUGCAAUGCCUUCCCAUCUCUUAAAAGUCUCAGUAUUGAUUCAUGUGGAAUAGCGGGGAAGUGGCUAUCACUGAUGCUGCAGCAUGCGCUAGUCCUAGAGGAACUGAGUUUAAGAAGAUGCGCACAUAUAACAACAGUACUGUUACCGAUGGAAUAUGAAGAAAACAAUCUAUUAACGACAGUACUGUCAUCAGGAAAUCAAGAUGAGGCAUUGACCUGGUUAGUUCGUGACGGACUCUUGCACAUUCCAUCAAAUCUCGUCUCCUCUCUCAAGAAUAUGAGUAUUACUCAGUGCCCUCGUCUAAAAUUUAACUGGGGCAAGGACUGCUUCUCUGGAUUUACCUCGCUUGAGAAGCUUGAAAUCUGGGGAUCGUUGGCGGAUGAUGACCCGGAGAAUGGAAAAUCAUUUAUGUUCGAAGAGGAGGAUCAACCCCUAGGGGCGAACGGAAGAUGGCUCCUCCCGACAUCACUUCAGGAACUUAACAUCAGGUUCUUGUGUUACCAAGAAACGCUGCAACCCUGCUUUCCUAGAGAUAUCACCAGCCUUAAAAAGUUAAUUGUAGAUUGCAGCCCAGGUUUGCAAUCUCUACAGCUGCACUCAUGCACGGCACUGGAAGAAUUAACAAUUUCCGGCUGUGGAUCAGUCACCGUCACUGUACUAGAGGGCAUGCAACCCCCUGGCAGCUUCGGGCGUCUGAAUGCAUCAGAUUGUCCUGGCUUACCACCGCGUUUGGAGAGCAUUUCAACGCUGUGCCCUCGGCUGGAAAGGCUUUGCAUCGAUGACCCAUCUGUCCUUACUACGUCAUUCUGCAAGCACCUCACCUCCCUGCAAAGACUACAUCUUGGUUACAUGAGAAUGACGGGAUUCACAGAUGAGCAAGAGCGAGCGCUUGUGCUCAUCAAGUCCCUGAAAGAGCUCCGAUUCUAUGUGUGUAACGAUCUCGUAGAUCUUCCUGCUCGGCUGCACACCCUUCAUUCUCUCAAGAGUUUGGGAAUAGAACAGUGUGGACGCAUAUCAGGGAUGCCAGAAGCAGGCCUCCCACGUUCGCUGGAAGAACUGAAAAUCGACUCUCGCAUCCAGGAGCUAGAGGAUGACUUCGACAUAUCUGAAUUAACUACUGUAUGACUUGUUAUGGACAUGCUUCUGCAUGCACAACUCUGUACCGUUGGGUUGCUUUUGAGUUAAAAGUUGUGUCAUAUAUCAUGUUAUAUUCAGAGUCGACAUACCCCCUCAUAAUUCUGCAGUGUGUUCAUCCUAAAAUGAGCGUUUGGGUAGGCAUUCUAGCUGCUCAACAUAUAUCAUGUAACUCAUAAACUGGUAUGUUUUGUUGUUUGUUCUUCAUCUCGUCUUGUCAACUGAAAAUGAUGAAUUUCCAUUUCUUGUUUUCUUGCGUGGAGAAUUUUAAUUUCCUCGGCUAGAGAAAUAAUUGCAACAGAUAAAUCCGAAGAUGCAUCUUAUUAUUCGACAUUCGUCACACAAUUUGGUUUAUCCAAAAUUCGUUGCUACACCACGCACAUAUGCUUAGUGUGGUGAACAGAGCAGACAAACAUGUCGCAGACCUACAGUUUCAGAGAUCAGGAUGGACUUAUCAACAGAUACCUAAUGUUUGCUUAAAUUUGAAUACACAAAACUGGGACCUGUAGGGUCGAUACUGAUUACCGGUUAUAUUCCUUGUGAUAGAACCUGAAGGAAGGUAUGAUAUGAAUGUGUGAGUGCUGUUAUCCGCUCCCGCGACGCGCCCCGCGAGCGCGUCACGGGAGAUUCCCCUCCGUCGCCGGCGCAAGGCUCCGCCCUCGCUCACUCCUCCUCCUCGCCGCUGCCGGAGGGCGUCCGCACGGGCUGGCAGCGGCGGGGCUCUCUCCUUCCUCUCCUGGUCGGGAUCUCGGCGGCGCGGGCCGCCGCUCGUGGGGGAGCUGGGUCCGGCGGGGCCUCCGGCGGCGGAGACGUGCGGAUCUGGCAGCUUUGGUGCUGGGAGGCGGCGGUGCGGCCCCGCGGCGGCAGCGGCGGGGGUUUGGUCUGGCGCGGCCGAUCUGGCCCCCAGCGGCGGGCGUUGCGGGUGGCGGCGGCCACUGCUGGAGAGGGCGUCUUCCCCUUGUCGACGGGGUUUGGCGCCGGCACUCGGUGCGCUGUCUUGGCCGUGCUGGGCGGCGAGUCGGCGGCGGGCUUGGAUUCGAUCUGAAGUUGGCGGCUUCACCGCGCUUUCCUCCUCUGCUGGCCGGUCUGUGGGCUUCCUCCGGACGUCCUGCUCGGCUGGUUGGCGGAGCAAUGGCGAUGCAAGCUCUGGGUCGGGGGCAAACCCUUAACCGGCGGUGCCGGUCACGAUGUUGGCGACGCUCGCGGCGCCGUUCUCCCUCUGGUGGGCGACAUCGAGACCCUCUCCUCGCCUCCACCCCAUGGUCCCGGGCGAAAGCCUAAAAUCUCUUGAUUGGGCGGCGACGGCGCAUCGGCGUCGUUUUUUUCUUGAAGACGCUGCCUUGGGAGUCCAGGAUGGUCAGGGGAUCGGCGCGGUGGUGGUUUGCCUGUUUCUGUCGUGUCCCUGCUCGGCAAUGGCGAUGGGCUUCUUGGUCUUGGCCGGUGACGUGCGUGAUGUAUGGGUUCCUGUGAGAGGUGAGGUGGCCAGGGCUCGUCCUCUCCCCAGCAACAUGUUGGCCAGUCCAUCCGUGCUCAGGGGUGAGCUGUUCUGCCUCCUGACGGGUCGGCGUCCUUCGAUCCAGGACGAGAGGGCAGGGGUGCCCUCUUCGGAGGCAGCGGCGGAAGGUAGGGCAACAGGGUUGGCCCUUGGGAGUUGAUGGAGCGUGGCCUCCCUCCGGUGGCGAAUUGCUCCCUUGUCGCAGUUGCGUCGAUGGCAUGAUCGGAGGCCGUCGCUUGUUGUUCCGUAGUGUUUGUAUCCUUGUCGAUUUUGUUUUCUCUUCUUUUCCUUCUUUGUUGUGGUGAUGGCUGUAAUGUGUGGUUGGUGCUUUAUAUAUAAAGCGAGGCGAAAGUCUUUUUUGAUAGAACCUGAAGCCACCCGUGCGUGUAUAGUGUAGUACUGUCCUAUCUUGGUAAGAUGUUAGUCGUUUGUGAUGCCUGGAAUCCAUGUUGAACUUCAGGCAGUGCUUGGGUCUUUGGACAGUUUAGCUCCUGAUCUGGAUAUGUUAGUGGCAGUUUCCUUUGCUGGACAAGAGAUUAGCACAUGCACCGUUUGUGACUGCAGUGUUUUCAUACUAAAAUGAGCGUCUGGGUAGGCACUCAAGCUGCUCAACAUAUAUCAUGUAACCGAUAAACUGGUAUGUUUUGUUGUUUGUUCUUCAUCUCGUCUUGUCAAGUGAUGAAUUUCUUGUUUUCUUGCGGGGAGAAUUUUUAAUUUCCCUGACUAGGAAAAUAAUUGCAACAGAUAAAUCCGAAGAUGCAUCCUAUUAUUCAUCACAAAGUUAUUAAUAUUUCCGUGCCUCAUCAAUUAAUUAAGAAGAAGAGAAUUGCCCGGUCAAUUAAUAGAAAACCGGCCGAAACCGAUACAAACCAACCAUAUGUGUACUACUCACAGAGCAUGCAACCCUGUAAGUGGACGAUCAGUCCGACAACCACACCCAACACGCAACGACCACCAACCCCCACACUUUUGUCACACAAUUGGGUUUAUCCAAAAUUCUCUUACUGUGGUGAACAGAGCGAGUAAAUUGCAGAAAACCACCACUUUGAAGGCAAGCUUUGCAAAAACCACUACAAUACAUUUUUUUUUUUUGCAAAAAACACCGUGUCUACCGUAAUCUUUUUGCAAAUAACACUGAUCGGCAGAUUUGCCUCUGUUGAGUAUGUUUAUGACAGAUGGGGCCCACUAAUCAGGCUGAUGUGGCACCAAUUUCUAACACCGUUAAGUUCAACCAUUUUACUGGACAUGGAGCCCAGUUGUCAGCAUUUCAUCCUGAUUUCUCUCUCUGCCCCCGAGCCAGCAACAUGCAGCAGCGCCGCGCCGCCCAUCACCAUUGCCCCUGAGCUCCACGAAAUUCACCGCCGUUGACCAGCCCUCACCCAGAUCCGGCAAGAAUCGAGUCGCCGCCCUCUCUAUACAUCGGUUUCGUGCUCCUCCGCCGCGAGCGACGGCCGCGAGCGCCGGCUGGACUUGGAUGAGGUCGGCGACCCCGGCGAUGCACGGCGUCCUUGGCGCGUGGCGGAAGGCCGCCCCUCGGCCGGGGGCGGGACUGGCGGCGUCCUCUGCCUUCCCUCGAUGCGGCAACAGCGACGACGGCCCUUGCCUCGGCUGGGGUCGGGACGGGCGACGGCAACCGAGCCGCCGGCGACUUCCACACUCAGAUCUGUUCUCCCCGCUCCAAUCCAGCUGGUGCCGCUGCCUCUGCGCUCGAGCCGCCAUCGAUGUAGGAGCUGCAGCAGCCAGUGAGCAAGGUGGUUGCCGUGGCUGAGGAAGGAGACGGCGACUCCCUGCUCGAGCACCACAUCGGGUGCGGGCCUUCGGGCAUGCACCGUUGACCACGGGGGCAGGACGGGCGGCAGCGAGCUGGUGAAGAUAAGGCGAGAACCAGAUUUUUUUUUGUUUCAGUGACAGGUGGACCCCACAGGGCUCCACACAAGAGGAUAACGUCGCAAACAUCGCCGUUACAUGCGAGGUGUUAAGCGGUGCCACAUCAGCCUGACUGACGGGCCCCAUCUGUUAAAAACAUACUCAACAGAGGCAAAUCCGCCGAUCAGUGUUAUUUGCAAAAAGUUUACGGUAGACACGGUGUUUUUUGCAAAAAAAAUGUAUUGUAGUGGUUUUUGCAAAGCUUGCCUUCAAAGUGGUGGUUUUCUGCAAUUUACUCGAACAGAGCAGACAAACAUAUGCUUAUUGUGGUGAACAGAGCAGACAAACAUGUCGCAGACCUGCACUUUUAGAGAGCAGGAUGGAAUUGACAGCAGACACCUAAUGUGUACUUAAAUUUGAAUACGCAACCUGUAGUUUCGGUGCUGAUUACAAGUACCAUUCCUUUGUGAUACAAAUGAAGCUACUUCUCGUGUGUGUACUUUAGUACUAUCCUAUCUUGGUAAGAAGCUAAAACAGAGNNNNNNNNNNNNNNNNNNNNNNNNNNNNNNNNNNNNNNNNNNNNNNNNNNNNNNNNNNNNNNNNNNNNNNNNNNNNNNNNNNNNNNNNNNNNNNNNNNNNNNNNNNNNNNNNNNNNNNNNNNNNNNNNNNNNNNNNNNNNNNNNNNNNNNNNNNNNNNNNNNNNNNNNNNNNNNNNNNNNNNNNNNNNNNNNNNNNNNNNNNNNNNNNNNNNNNNNNNNNNNNNNNNNNNNNNNNNNNNNNNNNNNNNNNNNNNNNNNNNNNNNNNNNNNNNNNNNNNNNNNNNNNNNNNNNNNUGAUCGCCGCACCUCACGCAAGCAUCGCAGCUGCAGUGCUCCUUUCGACCAUGUAAGCACCUUGAUGAACAUUAGCACUCCCUGAAAAUUAGUUGCACUGGCAAACACUAGCAGAGGAACACAAUUAUUUUAGAUGUCAAAAAAUCACUCAGAAGUUUAUAUGUUAGGAAAAGCUUACAUCAACAUGAAGUUCUCCUACCCAGUACUAGCAUGCCAAUUUAAAAUAAUAGAGACACUUACUGAAAUCAAGGGUAUAAAUAUAGAGAAAGCGAGCAGCAUCAGCUGGAUGAAAGGGUCCCAAUCAACUCAGGUUGCAUGGUUAUUGAAUCUUUAUCAUUCAUAUCAUUAUAUGUCGCCAGAUAACCCUGAUUUCAAAAUUUUCUUACUCCGAUGCCAUAGUUAUAUCGCCCAUAAGCAUUACGUACACAAUAGAUGUGCUGGAGAAAACACAUCAAUACAAAAGCCACCUUCAGAUCAGAAGGCCAGAUGAACUACAACAUUUCUCAGUACCCUCCACUUUUCACUUCUAUAGACAUAGUCGAGCUGAGCUAUCAGAUUACCCACAAAGCCAGCCAUCCACUAGGAACUAAGUUAACUAAAUGCAAGCAGACAUGAACCUCCCAGAAAUAAGUACUCACAUCCUCCACCUACUCAAAUCCUACUGUUAGAACAACCUCCUCUAAACGAGAGAACGAGCAUCGCCAGCUUCUGAGACGCUGUCCCCUGAGCUCCCUGAUCCCGAAC
rnacentral:lncRNA from 1 species